rnacentral:lncRNA from 1 species
UGGCUUCUCCUUGUUGGGUGUAUCUACUUUUUCUUUUGGCUUCUUCUCCGCAGCGGUGUAUCCAGAGGCGUCGUUCUUUCCUUUGGACUUCUUCUCAUUUUUACUUUUCGGUUUCUUCUCGAUGGUGGAAGGCUGGGAGGGCUCACUCUUUCUUUUGGAUUUCUUCUCGGAGGCCACUUCAGCUUUCUCUCCUCAGCAGCCUUGCUGCCGUCUUCGGGGUUCUUCUUCUUGCCUGCAUAGCCAGAGGCACUUACCGGUUUCUUCUCCGCAUCAACAUUCUUGGGGGCGACGUCAGGUUUUGUCUCCGCGCUGGAGGAGACGUCGGAUCCGGAGACAGCAUCUGGUUUCUUCUCAACAUCAGCGGAGAUGGCUUCGGGUUUCUUCUCAGCACUGGCCGAGACAGCUUCGGGUUUCUUCUCAAUACCGGCGGUGUAUCCGCCAGUAGCUUCAGAUUUCUUCACUCCACCGCCAUAGUCAAGAUCGCCAUGGGCCGAUGCUAGGGGGCUGAUGGAGGCAACAACGAGGAAGAGCAGAAGGGAUAGAGCAAGCUGGGCCCUCAUGAUUAUCAAUCAACCCGAUGAAUAGUGGUGGUGCGAUGAAAUGUCUGCAGGAGGAAGUCGGGAGGUAUUUGAAUGGCGAGGGAGGGAGGGAAGGAGAGGAGAGAUGGUUCUGGUGGGUCUUGUGCGUUUCUCCUUGAACCGCUAAUCUCGUCCUGUAAAACCAUGCGCCCGCCGUGAAGAAUGGAGCCCGAAGAGAAGCCAGUAACUUUACUAAAUAAGGUCUAAUCCUGUUUUGUCUACAUCUUUUCUGGAUGAUGUUUACAAAAUAGGCAGCAUGCAUGCAUGCAACUUCCUUUUCCUUUUUCUUUUUUCUUUUUUUGAGAGACUUGGUUUUCUCAAUAACAUGUGGGCGCAGACCCGAGCUAUCGACCUUGGUAGACGCAAAUAAGAUUACUCAUCUAGCAAUUCAGACAUGUUGCAAAAAAAAAAUGCUUUCACGCAUCUACAAAAAUUUACCAUGUUAUAGUCGUCUUUGCAAUGGACGAUACGACAUUAUUGCGGACAACAAAACCUGUGGCAUGUGCUCCUCGAUACACCAUUGAUCUCCCAUUCCUGACAAGAACAAACAUCGCUCAGCCCUCAUGAUUCCACUGCCCUUGUUGCAACACCGCCACACGGCUUGCAUAGCACAAUGCAGUCGCAGCACCAUCUUUCCCAGUGCUGCCACAAUUAAACUAGAUAGACGCAAGUUUAGUGUUCAUUAGAUACGACAAAAAAUCAUAAAACUUACAUGUGACAGUUAAAAAGGAGAGCAAGCGUUAGUUUCCAUGGACGAAACUGGUCGUGACAAAGCCUAUCAGGCAUCUCAACACCUUCUCUGUGGUGGUGUUAUCUUUGGGAUAUUCAAGAGUCACUGGUUCCAGGAUCCAGACAUGACAAACAACAACUAGUAUGGGACUGCGGGAGCUGGACUUGCCAUUUUUGUUAAAAAAAUGCCUCAUCCUGUAUGUAACAUUCACGAAAAUACAUUUCAGUUAUAUGUGAACCAGAAUAUUCUUGCCUACACGUCUACACCUACUCAAUAUAUACGAUUUUAUGGGGUACCUUUCAAGUGUACCAAAAAAGUUCUUUGUUAUACUCUUUGUGAAGAAAUUAAUAUAGCUCCAAUGUCCAAGCCUCCAUCAGCGAAUAUAAAGCUUAAAAUUUGAGAGGGAUGGGAUACAUACCUGGUUUGCCCGCUCUAAAAUUUGAUGGUAAUGGGGCACAAACUACAUCGCCCUCUUCAAAGAAACCUUCCUUGAAUGCUCGGAUCAGGAAACUAAAUUUAACAAGUAGUACAAUUUUGUCUUCAGCUGAUCAGCAGUUCCAGCUCCUCUGUUUGGUAGGAACAAUGCUCGAUAUUCAGAAUCUUCUACAGUUUUGACAAAGAUUCAGAAUAUAUGUACUUAUCUUGCACAAUUUUGUCAAAUACAGCUUGUUGUGUAGAUAUUAAUAAUAUCUCCAUGGUUAUCACUUAGAGCAUUUUUAACCGAUCCCCAAUAAAUAGUGGAGUAUCAGGUGGAGUAAACCCUUAGUGGAGUAAAUUUACUACACUAAUUUUAGCCGGACCUAGCCGAUCCCCUAUAUAUAACGGCGUAAAGUUUUUCCAUUUGUUUUUCAUUUUCAGCCAUUGAAACACAUUUCUUUGUUUCUUUAUUUCAUUGAACGGCAUUUUGAUACUUUGGAGUACAUUAUAUAUUCACAUAUUCUUGGCUACGAGAGUAAGACCAAGGAAAAUAGGAACCACAAUUAAACAUUUUAAAAGAUAUCCAAUUUCUAUAACUUCUCCUACUAGUUGGAUUAAUAUCUUCUCUAUGUUUUCAUUGUUGAUCUGUAACUUCUCGAGCUUGCACACUUCUUUCUUUCUACUUUGAUUUCGAAGAAGUAGACGUUGCUUCGCAUGUAGUCUCAUAUCUUGACUCUAUUCUUGCAAUCAGUGCACGAGCAUCUUCAAUUUUCAUGUUAUCAAUAGAUCGAUGUAAUCUUCUUAUCAAUACUAAAUCUUGCAUCCAUCCUACACAUAAAUUAGAGUAAACAAUGAGCUACCGAAAUUGUACCGAAUCCGGUGAACAACCGAAUGAAAAGACUCAUAUACGCCAUCUUUCUUGCACUUGAACAACACCCACCCGGGAUGUUCCGGCAUGGUAGAAACUUGGCGCACGACCUGCCGCGGGCAAUCGUCACAUUUUAUGAGCGACAACUGUGGGCCAACGAGUCGUUUGGCCAGCGCCGAGCCUAGGCAACGACCUUGUGUGUCUUCGCGGUGAACCGCUGACGGGAGAGAUCCGAGCGCUAGAGGCGGAAUCAAUACCUGCAUGCGAUGUGGAGCAUUGUCGGGGCUGUGUGGCCUGGUACCCGGCAAAUCCAUGGCAAGGCGCAGUCGCCGGAUGCGGAAGCCGCAGAUCUACCGGUUGUGCGCCGGCAACGGGGCGAGAGGGCACAAAUCCGGGUGGUUAAGGACCGCGGCGGCAUGCAGUAACUGGCGGGGGGGAAGGGGGGGGGGUGUGAGGGGCUUCGCCUGCGAAGUUGUGGCGUGGGGGAGGCAGCGGAGGAGAGUGGACUUUUUACUCAAGCGUCGAUAGGUGGAGUAAAUAUAGGGAGGCCGGGCGCGGCUGAGGAUAAUUAUCCUCCACUACAGCGAAUUUUUACUCUUCUAACUGAUUAUAGGGGAUCGGUUAGAAAUGCACUUACUCUAUUGUUCAUCCUUAGUUUUUGUAUGACACAAAACAGAUAAAGGGAGGAAGAAAAUGUUGGAAAUAUGCCCUAGAGGCAAUAAUAAAAGUAUUAUUAUAUUUCUAUGUUCAUGAUAAUUGUCUUUUAUUCAUGCUAUAACUGUAUUAUCCGGAAAUCAUAAUACACGUGUGAAUACAAAGAUCACAAUAUGUCCCUAGUGAGCCUCUAGUUGACUAGCUCGUUGUGAUCAACAGAUAGUCAUGGUUUCCUGGCUAUGGACAUUGGAUGUCGUUGAUAACGGGAUCACAUCAUUAGGAGAAUGAUGUGAUGGACAAGACCCAAUCCUAAGCAUAGCACAAAGAUCGUGUAGUUCGUUUGCUAGAGCUUUGCCAAUGUCAAGUAUCCCUUCCUUUGACCAUGAGAGCGUGUAACUCCUGGAUACCGUAGGAGUGCUUUGGGUGUAUCAAACGUCACAACGUAACUGGGUGACUAUAAAGGUGCACUACAGGUAUCUCCGAAAGUAUCUAUUGUUUUAUGCGGAUCGAGACUGGGAUUUGUCACUCCGUAUGACGGAGAGGUAUCUCUGGGCCCACUCAGUAAUGCAUCAUCAUAAUGAGCUCAAGAUGACCAAGGUGUUGGCCGCGGGAUCAUGCAUUACGGUACGAGUAAAGUGACUUGCCGGUAACGAGACUGAACAAGGUAUUGGGAUACCGACGAUCGAGUCUCGGGCAAGUAACGUACCAAUUGACAAAGGGAAUUGUAUACAGGGUUUGAUCGAAUCCUCGACAUCGUGGUUCAACCGAUGAUAUCAUCGAGGAGCAUGUGGGAGCCAACAUGGGUAUCCAGACCCCGCUGUUGGUUAUUGCCCGAGAGUGGUCUCGGUCAUGUCUGCAUGUCUCCCGAGCCCGUAGGGUCUACACACUUAAGGUUCGGUGACGCUAGGGUUGUUAGGAAGACUAGUAUGUGACUACCGAAUGUUGUUCGGAGUCCCGGAUGAGAUCCCGGACGUCACGAGGAGUUCCGGAAUGGUCCGGAGGUAAAUUUUUAUAUAUGGGAAGUUGUUAAACGGGCACCGGAAAGUUUCGGGGUCAUACCGGUAUUGUACCGGGACCACCGGAAGGAAUCCGGGGGUCCACCGGGAGGGGCCACCCCUCCCGGGGGGCCACUUGGGCUGCGUGGGGAUUGCAGCCAGCCCCUAGUGGGCUUGGCGCGCCCCCCCUCCUUGGGCCCUUGCGCCUAGGGGUGGGGGGGAAACCCUAAAGGGGGCGCACCCCCCUUGCUUGGGGGCAAGCCCCCCACCCCUUGGCUGCCGCCCCCCCUUAGGGUUUUCCCUAGAGGGCCGGUCCCCCUUGCCCUUUCCCCUAUAUAUAGAGGGGUGAUGGGAGGGCUGCAAGACACCAUAACUCAAGGCGCAGCCCCUCCCCUCCCCAACACAUCUCCUCCUCCGUACGUGCUUGGCGAAGCCCUGUCGGAAUACUGCCGCGUCAACUGCACCACGCCGUCGUGCUGCCGUUGGAGCUGCCUUCCUCAACCUCUCCUUCCUCCUUGCUGGAUCAAGACGGAGGAGACGUCUCCCGUCCCGUACGUGUGUUGAACGCGGAGGUGCUGUCCGUUCAGCACUAGGACAUCGGUGAUCCGAAUCACGUUCGAGUACGAUUCCAUCAUCACCAUCUCCUUGGCAAGCUUCCGCUCGUGAUCUACAAGUGGUAUGUAGAUGCAAACUCUCUCCCUUGACUCGUUGCUUAGAUGAACUCAUAGAUGGAUCUUGGUGAAACCGUAGGAAAAAUUUUAAAUUUCUGCAACGUUCCCCAACAGUGGCAUCAUGAGCCAGGUCUAUGCGUAGUUCUUUUUGCACGAGUAGAACACAAUUUUUUUGUGGGCGUGGAUUUUGUCAUGUUGCUUGCCUCUACUAGUCUUUUCUUGCUUCAGCGGUAUUGUGGGAUGAAGCGGCCCGGACCAACCUUACACGUACGCUUACGUGAGACCGGUUCCACCGAUUAACAUGCACUAGUUGCAUAAGGUGGCUGGCGGGUGUCUGUCUCUCCCACUUUAGUUGGAGCGGAUUCGAUGAAAAGGGCCCUUAUGAAGGGUAAAUAGAAGUUGACAAAAUCACGUUGUGGUUAUUCGUAGGUAAGAAAACGUUCUUGCUAGAACCCAAUUGCAGCCACGACAAAGAUGCAACAACAAUUAGAGGACGUCUAACUUGUUUUUGCAGCGAUUGAUCAAGUGAUGUGAUAUGGCCAGAAGUUGUGAUGAAUGAUGAAUUGUGAUGUAUGAGAUCAUGUUCUUUGUAAUAGGAUUCACGACUUGCAUGUCAAUGAGUAUGACAACCGGCAGGAGCCAUAGGAGUUGUCUUUAUUUUUGUAUGACCUGCGUGUCAUUGAAGAACGCCAUGUAACUUACUUUACUUCAUUGCUAAACACGUUAGUCAUAGAAGUAGAAGUAGUCGUUGGCGUGACAACUUCAUGAAGACACGAUGAUGGAGAUCAUGAUGAUGGAGAUCAUGGUGUCAAGCCGGUGACAAGAUGAUCAUGGAGCCCCGAAGAUGGAGAUCAAUGGAGCUAUAUGAUAUUGGCCAUAUCAUGUCACAACUAUAUAAUUGCAUGUGAUGUUUAUUAUGUUUAUGCAUCUUGUUUACUUAGGAUGACGGUAGUAAAUAAGAUGAUCCCUUACAAAAAUUUCAAGAAGUGUUCUCCCCUAACUGUGCACCAUUGCUACAGUUCGUCGCUUCUAAGCACCACGUGAUGAUCGGGUGUGAUGGAUUCUUACGUUCACAUACAACGGGUGUAAGACAGUUUUACACAGCGAAAACACUUAGGGUUAACUUGACGAGCCUAGCAUGUGCAGACAUGGCCUCGGAACACGGAGACCGAAAGGUCGAACACGAGUCGUAUGAAAGAUACGAUCAACAUGAGAAUGUUCACCGAUGAUGACUAGUCCGUCUCACGUGAUGAUCGGACACGGGCUAGUCGACUCGGAUCGUGUAACACUUAGAUGACUAGAGGGAUGUCUAAUCUAAGUGGGAGUUCAUAAUUUGAUUAGAACUUAAUUAUCAUGAACUUAGUCUAAAACCUUUGCAAAUAUGUCUUGUAGAUCAAAUGGCCAACGCUCAUGUCAACAUGAACUUCAACGCGUUCCUAGAGAAAACCAAGCUGAAAGAUGAUGGCAGCAACUAUAUGGACUGGGUCCGGAACCUGAGGAUCAUCCUCAUAGCUGCCAGGAAAUAAUAUGUCCUAGAAGGACCGCUAGGUGACGCUCCCGUCCCAGAGAACCAAGACAUUAUGAAUGCUUGGCAAACUCGUGCUGAUGAUUACUCCCUCGUUCAGUGCGGCAUGCUUUACAGCUUAGAACCGGGGCUCCAAAAGCGUUUUGAGCAUCACGGAGCAUAUGAGAUGUUCGAAGAGCUGAAACUAGUUUUCCAAGCUCACGCCCGGGUCGAGAGAUAUGAUGUCUCCGACAAGUUCUACAGUUGUAAGAUGGAGGAAAACAGUUCUGUCAGUGAACACACCCUGAAGAUGUCUGGGUUACACAACCGUAUGACCCAGCUGAAUAUUAACCUCCCAGAUGAGGCGGUCAUUGACAGAAUCCUCCAGUCGCUCCCACCAAGCUACAAGAGCUUUGUGAUGAACUACAAUAUGCAGGGGAUGGUAAAGACCAUUCCUGAAGUAUUUUCUAUGCUGAAGUCAGCAGAGGUUGAAAUCAAGAAAGAACAUCAAGUGUUGAUGGUCAAUAAGACCACUAAGUUCAAGAAGGGCAAGGGUAAGAAGAACUUCAAGAAGGACGGCAAGGAGGUUGCCGCGCCCGGUAAGCCAGUUGCCGGGAAGAAGUCAAAGAAUGGACCCAAGCCUGAGACUGAGUGCUUUUAUUGCAAGGGGAAGGGUCACUGGAAGCGGAACUGCCCCAAAUACUUAGCGGAUAAGAAGGCCGGCAACACCAAAGGUAUAUUUGAUAUACAUGUAAUUGAUGUGUACCUUACCAGUACUCGUAGUAACUCCUGGGUAUUUGAUACCGGUGCCGUUGCUCAUAUUUGUAACUCACAACAGGAGCUGCGGAAUAAACGGAGACUGGCGAAGGACGAGGUGACGAUGCGCGUCGGGAAUGGUUCCAGAGUCGAUGCGAUCGCCGUUGGCACGCUGCCUCUACAUUUACCUAUGGGAUUAGUUUUGAACCUCAAUAAUUGUUAUUUAGUGCCAAGUUUGAGCAUGAACAUUGUAUCUGUAUCUCGGUUAAUAUGAGAUGGCUACUCAUUUAAAUCUGAGAAUAAUGGUUGUUCGAUUUAUAUGAGAGAUAUGUUUUAUGGUCAUGCUCCGAUGGUCAAUGGUUUAUUCUUAAUGAAUCUCGAGCGUAAUAUUACACAUGUUCAUAGUGUAGAUGCCAAAAGAUGUAAAGUUGAUAACGAUAGUCCCACAUACUUGUGGCACUGCCGCCUUGGUCACAUUGGUGUCAAGCGCAUGAAGAAGCUCCAUGCUGAUGGACUUUUGGAGUCUCUUGAUUAUGAAUCGUUUGACACAUGCGAACCAUGUCUCAUGGGCAAAAUGACCAAGACUCAGUUCUCCGAAACAAUGGAGCGAGCAACCAACUUGUUGGAAAUCAUACAUACCGAUGUGUGCGGUCCAAUGAGCGUCGAGGCUCGCGGAGGAUAUCGUUAUGUUCUCACUCUAACUGAUGACUUAAGUAGAUAUGGGUAUGUCUACUUAAUGAAACACAAAUCUGAGACCUUUGAAAAGUUCAAGGAAUUUCAGAAUGAGGUGGAGAAUCAACGUGACCGAAAGAUAAAGUUCCUACGAUCAGAUCGUGGAGGAGAAUACUUAAGUCACGAAUUUGGCACACACUUAAGGAAAUAUGGAAUCAUUUCACAACUCACGCCGCCUGGAACACCUCAGCGAAACGGUGUGUCCGAACGUCGUAAUCGCACUCUAUUGGAUAUGGUGCGGUCUAUGAUGUCUCUUACCGAUUUACCGCUAUCAUUUUGGGGAUACGCUCUAGAGACAGCUACAUUCACUUUAAAUAGGGCACCGUCUAAAUCCGUUGAGACGACACCGUAUGAAUUAUGGUUUGGGAAGAAACCUAAGCUGUCGUUUCUAAAAGUUUGGGGAUGCGAUGCUUAUGUCAAGAAACUUCAACCUGAAAAGCUCGAACCCAAGUCAGAAAAAUGCGUCUUCAUAGGAUACCCUAAGGAAACUGUAGGGUAUACCUUCUACUUAAGAUCCGAAGGCAAGAUCUUUGUUGCCAAAAACGGAUGCUUUCUGGAAAAAGAGUUUCUCUCGAAAGAAGUAAGUGGGAGGAAAGUAGAACUCGAUGAAGUACUACCUCUCGAACGGGAGAGUGGUGCAGCUCAGGAAAAUGUUCCUAUGAUGCCCACACCAACUGAAGAGGAAACCAAUGAUGAUGAUCAAGGUACUUUGGAUCAAGUUGCUACUGAACUUCGUAGGUCCACAAGGACACGUUCCGCACCAGAGUGGUACGGCAACCCUGUCCUGGAAAUCAUGUUGUUAGACAACGGUGAACCUUCGAACUAUGAAGAAGCGAUGGCGGGCCCAGAUUCCAACAAAUGGCUAGAAGCCAUGAAAUCUGAGAUAGAAUCCAUGUAUGAAAACAAAGUAUGGACUUUGACUGACUUGCCCGAUGAUCGGCGAGCGAUAGAAAACAAAUGGAUCUUUAAGAAGAAGACGGACGCGGAUGGUAAUGUCACCAUCUAUAAAGCUCGACUUGUCGCUAAGGGUUAUCGACAAGUUCAAAGGAUUGACUACGACGAGACAUUCUCUCCCGUAGCGAAGCUUAAGUCCGUCCGAAUCAUGUUAGCAAUUGCCGCAUACUAUGAUUAUGAGAUAUGGCAGAUGGACGUCAAAACGGCAUUCCUUAACGGGUAUCUUAAGGAAGAGCUGUAUAUGAUGCAGCCGGAAGGUUUUGUCGAUCCUAAGAACGCUUACAAAAUAUGCAAGCUCCAGCGAUCCAUUUAUGGGCUGGUGCAAGCAUCUCAGAGUUGGAAUAUUCGCUUUGAUGAGAUGAUCAAAGCGUUUGGGUUUAUGCAGACUUAUGGAGAAGCCUGCGUUUACAAGAAAGUGAGUGGGAGCUCUGUAGCAUUUCUCAUAUUAUAUGUGAAUGACAUACUCUUGAUGGGAAAUAAUAUAGAAUUUCUGGACAGCAUUAAGGCCUACUUGAACAAAUGUUUUUCAAUGAAGGACCUUGGAGAAGCUGCUUAUAUAUUAGGCAUCAAGAUCUAUAGAGAUAGAUCGAGACGCCUCAUAGGUCUUUCACAAAGCACAUACCUUGAUAAGAUUUUGAAAAAGUUCAAAAUGGAUGAGUCCAAGAAAGGGUUCUCGCCUAUGUUACAAGGUGUGAGAUUGAGCUCAGCUCAGUCACCGACCACGGCAAAAGAUAAAGAAGAGAUGAGUGUCAUCCCCUAUGCUUCAGCCAUAGGAUCUAUUAUGUAUGCCAUGCUGUGUACCAGACCUGAUGUAAACCUUGGCGUGAGUUUGGUAGCAAGAUACCAGAGUAAUCCCGGCAAGGAACACUGGACAACGGUCAAGAAUAUCCUGAAGUACCUGAAAAGGACAAAGGACAUGUUUCUCGUUUAUGGAGGUGACGAAGAGCUCGUCGUAAAGGGUUACGUCGACGCUAGCUUCGACACAGAUCUGGAUGACUCUAAGUCACAAACCGGAUACGUGUAUAUGUUGAAUGGUGGAGCAGUAAGCUGGUGCAGCUGCAAGCAGAGCAUCGUGGCGGGAUCUACAUGUGAAGCGGAGUACAUGGCAGCCUCGGAGGCAGCGCAUGAAGCUAUUUGGGUGAAGGAGUUCAUCACCGACCUAGGAGUCAUACCCAAUGCGUCGGGGCCAAUCAAACUCUUCUGUGACAACACUGGAGCUAUUGCCCUUGCCAAGGAGCCCAGGUUUCACAAGAAGACCAGGCACAUCAAGCGUCGUUUCAACUCCAUCCGUGAAAAUGUUCAAGAUGGAGACAUAGAAAUUUGCAAAGUACAUACGAAUCUGAAUGUCGCAGAUCCGUUGACUAAACCUCUCUCGCGAGCAAAACAUGAUCAACACCAGAACUCUAUGGGUGUUCGAUUCAUCACAAUGUAACUAGAUUGGUGACUCUAGUGCAAGUGGGAGACUGUUGGAAAUAUGCCCUAGAGGCAAUAAUAAAAGUAUUAUUAUAUUUCUAUGUUCAUGAUAAUUGUCUUUUAUUCAUGCUAUAACUGUAUUAUCCGGAAAUCAUAAUACACGUGUGAAUACAAAGACCACAAUAUGUCCCUAGUGAGCCUCUAGUUGACUAGCUCGUUGUGAUCAACAGAUAGUCAUGGUUUCCUGGCUAUGGACAUUGGAUGUCGUUGAUAACGGGAUCACAUCAUUAGGAGAAUGAUGUGAUGGACAAGACCCAAUCCUAAGCAUAGCACAAAGAUCGUGUAGUUCGUUUGCUAGAGCUUUGCCAAUGUCAAGUAUCUCUUCCUUUGACCAUGAGAGCGUAUAACUCCUGGAUACCGUAGGAGUGCUUUGGGUGUAUCAAACGUCACAACGUAACUGGGUGACUAUAAAGGUGCACUACAGGUAUCUCCGAAAGUAUCUAUUGUUUUAUGCAGAUCGAGACUGGGAUUUGUCACUCCGUAUGACGGAGAGGUAUCUCUGGGCCCACUCGGUAAUGCAUCAUCAUAAUGAGCUCAAUAUGACCAAGGUGUUGGCCGCGGGAUCAUGCAUUACGGCACGAGUAAAGUGACUUGCCGGUAACGAGACUGAACAAGGUAUUGGGAUACCGACGAUCGAGUCUCGGGCAAGUAACGUACCAAUUGACAAAGGGAAUUGUAUACAGGGUUUGAUCGAAUCCUCGACAUCGUGGUUCAACCGAUGAUAUCAUCGAGGAGCAUGUGGGAGCCAACAUGGGUAUCCAGACCCCGCUGUUGGUUAUUGCCCGAGAGUGGUCUCGGUCAUGUCUGCAUGUCUCCCGAGCCCGUAGGGUCUACACACUUAAGGUUCGGUGACGCUAGGGUUGUUAGGAAGACUAGUAUGUGACUACCAAAUGUUGUUCGGAGUCCCGGAUGAGAUCCCGGACGUCACGAGGAGUUCCGGAAUGGUCCGGAGGUAAAGUUUUAUAUAUGGGAAGUUGUUAAACGGGCACCGAAAAGUCUCGGGGUCAUACCGGUAUUGUACCGGGACCACCGAAAGGAAUCCGGGGGUCCACCGGGAGGGGCCACCCCUCCCGGGGGGCCACUUGGGCUGCGUGGGGAUUGCAGCCAGCCCCUAGUGGGCUUGGCGCGCCCCCCUCCUUGGGCCCUUGCGCCUAGGGGUGGGGGGGAAACCCUAAAGGGGGCGCACCCCCCUUGCUUGGGGGGCAAGCCCCCCACCCCUUGGCCGCCGCCCCCCCUUGCCCUUUCCCCUAUAUAUAGAGGGGUGAGGGGAGGGAUGCAAGACACCAUAACUCAAGGCGCAGCCCCUCCCCUCCCCAACACAUCUCCUCCUCCGUACGUGCUUGGCGAAGCCCUGUCGGAAUACUGCCGCGUCAACUGCACCACGCCGUCGUGCUGCCGUUGGAGCUGCCUUCCUCAACCUCUCCUUCCUCCUUGCUGGAUCAAGACGGAGGAGACGUCUCCCGUCCCGUACGUGUGUUGAACGCGGAGGUGUUGUCCGUUCAGCACUAGGACAUCGGUGAUCCGAAUCACGUUCGAGUACGACUCCAUCAUCACCAUCUCCUUGGCAAGCUUCCGCUCGUGAUCUACAAGUGGUAUGUAGAUGCAAACUCUCUCCCUUGACUCGUUGCUUAGAUGAACUCAUAGAUGGAUCUUGGUGAAACCGUAGGAAAAAUUUUAAUUUUCUGCAACGUUCCCCAACAGAAAAAAAUAGUGUGCACUGCAGUCUGCUAUUCUGUGUGAAAAAUGCUAAAUGAAGAGUGAAAAAUGUUGUGCACUGUAGGUUUUCUGUGGUUUAUGUGUUUGUUUGCUAGAAACCAAAUGCGGUUAUGAGUAAGGUUGGAAAAAAUUCAUAUGCUUGUGACUACACAUGGCAUAUCUUGUUCCUCUUUUGUAAAUGGGCCUGCAACUAAUAUGUUUCCACUAGAACUUGGGUUUGUAGUGUUUUUCACAGAUUGUUGCAGUAUGUAUUAAGGACUCAUGGCAUAACACAAGGAUAUUCUUUCUGCUUACAUUUUGUAAAUCCAAUCUUGACAUGCUGCAGCAAACGUGUAGAUUUACGUCGAUCCUAGUUUUCUAGCGUUUUGGGCAAGAGUUUGGUUCCCCAAGGUCAUUCCUAGCACCGUGUUUGGGCGUACGCUGCACACGGUCUCAUCAUUUCCACUAAAGGACCUCAAGCCACAGACCAGCAACAUCAACAUCAAUGAUGACCCUGUGAAAAGGAUGAUCUAUUUUGAAUGGGGCAUGCACUUCCGCGGAGCAUAUCAACAGCUAGCGCUUCUUCUACAAAGAGCUGCUGGAGAAAAGUUGCACCCUAGGCUGGCUACAACAUUUCGUUCAUUUGUGUCCAUCCCCGCGUCGCUCCCGUGUGGCGACCUGGGGGGAAACCCUAGCCGCCGGCUUCGGGCCUCCUCUCGUCCCUUCCCUCCCUCGCCGCCGCCGGACCACGCUGCCGGGCAAAGCCCACCGGCGCCGGCGGCGGCGGGGCUCUUCUUCAUCCCGCUCGGAGGCUGUUGGCGUGGGGCAGCGGCGGACGGCGGUGCUUCGCGCUGGUGCCGGGCGCGGAGGCGCGGCGGUGGGCCCUGGCGGCAGGGUAGCGAGGGCUUGGUGGCGGCGCGGUGGGCUGCACGGGGCGGCUCGCGCUCGUGGCUGCGGUGGCGGCCAGGUCUGGGCUCUGCCAGAUCUGGCGGUACGGCGGGCGNNNNNNNNNNNNNNNNNNNNNNNNNNNNNNNNNNNNNNNNNNNNNNNNNNNNNNNNNNNNNNNNNNNNNNNNNNNNNNNNNNNNNNNNNNNNNNNNNNNNNNNNNNNNNNNNNNNNNNNNNNNNNNNNNNNNNNNNNNNNNNNNNNNNNNNNNNNNNNNNNNNNNNNNNNNNNNNNNNNNNNNNNNNNNNNNNNNNNNNNNNNNNNNNNNNNNNNNNNNNNNNNNNNNNNNNNNNNNNNNNNNNNNNNNNNNNNNNNNNNNNNNNNNNNNNNNNNNNNNNNNNNNNNNNNNNNNNNNNNNNNNNNNNNNNNNNNNNNNNNNNNNNNNNNNNNNNNNNNNNNNNNNNNNNNNNNNNNNNNNNNNNNNNNNNNNNNNNNNNNNNNNNNNNNNNNNNNNNNNNNNNNNNNNNNNNNNNNNNNNNNNNNNNNNNNNNNNNNNNNNNNNNNNNNNNNNNNNNNNNNNNNNNNNNNNNNNNNNNNNNNNNNNNNNNNNNNNNNNNNNNNNNNNNNNNNNNNNNNNNNNNNNNNNNNNNNNNNNNNNNNNNNNNNNNNNNNUGCGCGCUGGCCGUCCUCCAGUCGGGGCUCCCCUGUUCCGGCCCCUGGACGGCGGCGAGCGGCACGGGAUGGCUCUUCCGGUGAGUGCUCUUGGCUGCGGGUGCGGGCUGGCUUCGCGCUUCUGGUCGAUGGUUGGGCGGGCUGCCGUUGGUGGCCUCGUGUCGAGCUGCGGUGGGCGCCAUGGUGAGGCGACAUGGGGGUGUGUCCGGUGGGGAGUUCUCAGGAGGGGUGCACCGGUCCGGAUGAGUCCGCUCCGCCUCCCCCUUUCCUCGGCUGUAUGCUCUUUGUUGGGGUUCUAGCGAUGUUCGAGGCAGGGCGGUUGCUGGCAUCUUCAUAGGCGAGGGCUGCCAGUCAGGCCAAAGCCAAGGCCUUUGGGUGUUCACGGAGUUGCUUGCAUGCUGGGCGGCGGCCCUGGCGGCGGGAGGCGCGGUGUUCGUGGGCGGAGCGCGCGUCUUGGGUGCGGUCGGGCAGCCAUGGCCACGUGGGUGGCAUGGUUGGUGAUGUUUGGCGAAGCAUGGUGGUUUGGUAGAGGGUUAACACCGGAGUCCAUAACUUGCCCGGUUUUCUCCGACCGACGGUGGCGGCGCCAUGGGUGUCGUUUCCUUCAUGAAGGCUCCGUUGUGGUGUUCUCUUCUCUCCAUGUUGCUCCGGGUGAAAACUUGAUCUCCGAGAUCAGGCGGUGGCGGCUUUCGGUGUCGUGCCAUUCUUGAAGGCACCGCCUUGGAGUCCAUGCUUCGCCAUUGUCCUGCUUCACUUCUUCUCGGUGGCUAGGUCUCGGAAGGUCCUCGUCGGCCCGAAGUGUUUGGUAGUGUGCUUGGUGGUCGAUUGGGUAGUGUUGCGGUGCAUCGGCACCCCUGUGUCUUGCCUUGGGUGUGUGGUGUGUGGGGGGUUGCAUGUUGUACCCGGAUUUGUACUUCUGGUCGAUGCUUUAUAUAUAAAGCGGGACGAAAGCCUUUUUCGGUAAAAGAUUCGUGUGGGUUAAUUAAAAGGAAAAUCAGGUUUCGAUAGAUGGUAGCACAGUGUCGUUGGUUAAAGAUAAUUAAGCUCGUUGAAAGGAAAAAAUGUAUAAUCACACAAUGAGGCAUGCACAAAGAUAAUUACUAAGUUCACUGCCACUUUUUCGUCACUACCAAAGUCUUACAGAUACCGGUCAGUCGGUUAGCCACGCGCCUCGGGGCCCUCCCCUGUCCAGCCGGCUCGUCUUCCCACUUUGGAGAAAGCCGGCUCGGGGCCGCACCAGGCUGGUCAAGCGAGUGCACAGCAGCCUCGGGGCCCUCCCCCGUCCAGGGAAAAUAUCUGGUGCUCCUGUGACUCAGGUGCUACCGUGAUACGGGCUCCUGGGCCGUUGGAUUUUCAGAUCGGACGGUUCCUAGUAACUUUGUAACAUUUACAGAAAAACCUUCUAAAAAUCCAAAAAUUACACAUAAGUCUAGCAAAUCCAAAAGCUCUUAUAUGCCAUCCGAUCUGGGAUCCGACGGCCUAGGAGCUCGUAUCACGGUAGCACCUGAGUCGCAGGAGCACCAGAUACCCCCCCCCCCGUCCAACCCCGCAGUGUCUCUGCCUGCCUCGGGCGGCGGGCUUGCCCAGGCGUAGCCUGAUCCCGGGACCGCUGCUCAGGACAUGUAGCCCCUCAUGGACCCCACCACCACGCCCGUGAUCGGCUCGUCAUGCUCAAGGGUGCCUCCAACAGAUGGCGCCCAUUCACGUCCCACCCAUGCAGCCCAUGCACGGCGAUACCCACGUCCCGCCUCCCUCUCAGGCUGUCCUGGAUGGCUCGGUGCAAGGCAGUGAGGCCCUCCUGGCCUACGUCGACUUGGUGCAGCAGGCGGUGGAACCCCCUGCUCCCUACGCCGCGCCGCCGCCGUCUAGAGGUGCCUCCGAACUUCACUCCGUGCCGGAGCGGCCGCCUAGCCAAGGCUGAUCGUGGGCUUAACUCAGAAAUGAAGGCGAAGAGAGUGCUGUUGCGGCGCCUUGGUCAACUGCAUCAGUAUUCCUAUCUAGUUUUAGCCAGCCGGUUGUGGCGUCUUUUCUUGGCUAGUUGAUGUUUCUAGCCCUCUCUGGCUCUGUGUGAGCUUUUUGUGCUUUUUUAGUACUUUAUGAGACUUUUGGGACCAUGUUCGCACUACUUUAUUUGGUUAAUAAGAUGGCCGUAUGCAUCUUUCUGAUGCAGAAGCCGGGGAAUCCCCCUUUUCGAAAAAAAACUGCAUGAGGAUGAGCCGGUCUCUGAAGCAGUUCUGGAGAGAUACGCUAGAGUCUUCGAGCGGCCCAUAGCCAUCAAUGUCAUCCAGGCGUCCCAGAGUUCUACGGUUGGGAAGUGCCAUCGGAGGACAUUCUUGCCUCCCUGCGUCAGCCGGCGACCAUGCUUGNNNNNNNNNNNNNNNNNNNNNNNNNNNNNNNNNNNNNNNNNNNNNNNNNNNNNNNNNNNNNNNNNNNNNNNNNNNNNNNNNNNNNNNNNNNNNNNNNNNNNNNNNNNNNNNNNNNNNNNNNNNNNNNNNNNNNNNNNNNNNNNNNNNNNNNNNNNNNNNNNNNNNNNNNNNNNNNNNNNNNNNNNNNNNNNNNNNNNNNNNNNNNNNNNNNNNNNNNNNNNNNNNNNNNNNNNNNNNNNNNNNNNNNNNNNNNNNNNNNNNNNNNNNNNNNNNNNNNNNNNCAACCGUCGGGCCAAGCGCACCGGUGUCCAUAGCGUCAUCACUAUGGAUUUGCCUUCUAUUGUGUGCCUUCAAGAGACAAAGCUCAACUCCAUCUCGCUGCCGCUAGUGACUGAGACCCUAGGCCCGGCCUUCGACAACCUCUUCUUCUUGCCCGUCGUGGACACCUGUGGCGUCAUCUUGCUGGCUUGGCGUUCCUCCCUCCUUGCUAUCUCCAAUCCCACCUUUGGGGAGCACCACAUCACGAUAGCGGUCUCUUCGCUCUCCGGUGACCGGCAUUGGUGGCUCAUUGGGGUGUACGGCCCGCAGGGUGACGACGACAAGCUGUUAUUCCCGGCGGACCUGCAAGACAUGCGUGCUACAUGUGUCAGGCCAUGGGUCCUUGGGGGCGACUUCAACAUGAUUGCUUCAGUGGUGGACAAGAAUAAUAGUCACCUUAACUUGCGCAUGAUGCGGCGUUUCCGGCGUUUCAUGGCCGACAUGGAACUGCGUGAUCUAUAUCUCCAUGGCCGCCGCUACACCUGGUUUAGUGAGCCCGACAACCACACGCUGGUUCGGAUCGACCGUGUACUCUGUACCCCGGCCUGGGAGGAAGCCAACCCUCACUAUCUUCUCUGUUGUCUUUCCUCCGCUGCCUCGAACCAUUGUCCCUUGAUGGUUGACUACACAGCUAGAUCGCCUGGCCCUCGACGCUUUCAUUUCGAGAAAUUCUGACCAAAGAUGGAUGGUUUCCAGCAGUUCGUCACGGAGGCUUGGGCCACGGCUGAGCAUGAGCAGGACCCGUUUAGGCGCAUCUUCCUACGACUACGGUCCACGGCCAGGCAGCUACAAAGCUGCUGGAGCGCGAAAUCGAUCGGCCACGUCUCCCUUCAGCUUAUGAUCACCCGCGAGCUGAUCACACGUGUUGAUGCUUCCCAGGAUCUGUGGCCACUCUCGGAGCAUGAUAAUUGGCUGCGCCGCUGCCUUAAGGGCGCGUAUCCAGGCCUUGCGUCCCUAGAGCAUUCUGUCCUUCGCCAGUGGGUGCGAAUGAUGUGGCUGUGGGAUGGCGAGGCCUCCUCGGCCUUCAUGCACAUCCAUGCUGCCCACCACAAGCAAAGGAGCAGAAUUCUCACCCUGCAAUGCGGCAAUGAAACCAUUUCCGAGGGUGCCGCCAUGGCUAGGGCCGCAUUCGAGCACUUCACUGCUAUCAUUGGCACUGCGGAUGCACAUGAGCUCUCCCUCCGCCUGAAUGACAUCGACCCUAGGCCUUCAAUAUUUCCAUGCUUGAGCUCCCAUUCACCGAGGAGGAAGUUUGGCGCGCGAUCAAGCUGUUGCCGACCGAAAAGGCGUCGGACCACCUAUUCUGCACGCCAAAGGCCUCUAGCAGGGAGGCCCCUACUCACCCAUUCUCUUUACGCUGGUGAUAGACACUCUCAAUUCUCUACUGCACCAUGCGCUUGGGGUCGGCAUCCUUCGCCAGCUCACGGCACGAGGCGUGAGUUACAGCGUCCCCCUGUACACCGAUGACGUGGCCAUCUUCUACCACCCCGACACUGGUGACCUACGCACGGUGCACACACUUCUGCAACUGUUUGGGGUUGCAUCAGGGCUACACAACAACUUGGCCAAGUACUCUACGACUCCGAUCCAAUGCACACCCGCGGAGAUUGCAGUCAUUGCCGACGAGCUGGCCUGCCUGGUGACCUUGUUCCCCAUUCGAUACUUGGGCCAUCCCCUCUCGGUGUGCAAGGUUGCCGUCUCGUCUCUGCAAUACCUUGUCGACCGCUUGGCCAAGAAGCUGUCCACUUGGCGCGCCUCGAUGCUCUCUCGAGGCGAGCGGCUGGCGUUGGCCCGGCACGUGCUCUCGGCCAUGCCGACCCAUCUGCUCAUGGCCAUGGCCUUCUCUGCAGCCAUCCUGAAGCAGAUAAAUCAGAUCAUCAGGGGCUUCCUUUGGCAUGGGAUUCACGAUGCCUCUGACGGGCAUUUCCUGGUCAACUGGAAGAAAGUUUGCUGGCCGCUAGCCCUCGGCGGGCUCAGCAUCCCUGACCUACGGAUGGGCAUUGCUCUUUGGACCAGAUGGUGCUGGCUUCAGCGUACUGACAAGACCCAGCCCUGGAGCCAUCUCCAGCUCCCGAUGGAUGCCGAGACCUCUGCGAUCUUCCACGCUUCCAUGUUCUGGCUGACAGGUGACGGGUGCACCUGCUGUUUUUGGCAAGAUCGCUGGCUUGAUGUGCGGGCCAUCUCCGACAUCGCCCCAGUGCUUUCUUCCCUCGUCCCGCACCGCCGCCGCAAGACCGUCUUGGAGGCCGACGGGCUCCAUCAAAGGGCUUGGGUUAGAGACGACUCGAGCUGUGGCGACGACUCCUGUGGCAAUUGUUGAAUACAUCGAGCUGUGGCGACGACUCGAGACCGUGCAGCUCCCUGCCGAGCCGGACAGGCUCCUAUGGCGUUGGACCCCGCAUGGCAUGCACUCGGCGCGCUCCUGCUACAUUGCACUCUUCCAAGGUUCCACCUAUGCGCCGCACUAGAAGCUGACCUGGAAGGCCUGGGCACCUUUGGGCAUCAAAUUCUUCACCUGGCUCGCCCUUCAAGAUCGCUGCUGGACACAGGCCAGGCUGGCGAGGCACGGCCUCCUGCAUGACACUUUAUGUCGGCUAUGCAAUCAGGAGCCUAAGACGAUGCAACACCUUCUCACGGGCUGCUCGUUCUCGCGACAGAUAUGGUAUGAGGUGUGGACAUGGUGCAUCCUACAUUCACCCACACCGACUCUCGACCAGGACUUCAUGGAAUGGUGGCACACGACGCGAUCAUCUACUCCCGCACCCUCUCAUAAAGGCCUCUCUUCCUUGAUCAUUCUCACUGCCUGGUCCAUCUGGAACCACCGCAAUGCUUGCACUUUCGACGGUGCGAAUCCCUCCAUCACUCGUCUCUCCACUGGCAUCAAGGAUGAGGCCAGGGCCAGGGCUUCGGCGGGGGCCAUAGGGCUCGCCAACAUUUUGUCGUAGUUUCUACUUUUGCUAGGAGGGGCUGAGCAACCUUAGUUCUCUCUGCUUGUGUUGUUGCCGGUGCCUUCCAUGCGUAUGCCGACAACAACGCCCCCCCUCUCUCCUUGUACUCUCUGUAUAACAAACUUCUACCUAUAUAUGAAUGAUACGCAAGCUGUUGCGUAUUCGUGAAAAAAAAGAGCCAGCCACACGCUCUAAUUUUCAUACAUCGGGAAAGAAAGAUGAAAAGGAAGGAUGCAUCUCAAAGAGGCAGCAAAAAAGCGGCACUCAAAUAGAAGCAGUAAGCUGCAACGACACACGUUGGGAGCGCCAUCAUUCUUCAUCCAUUCAGGUCAUUGUCAUCGUUCAUUUGACAUUUCAAAACGGAAUCACAAUUUCAUACUUGAUCAGGGAUAUUGGUGGCAAUGCAUCCGGGGAUCAUCCAACGCCAACUUUGACUUACAAAGGCAAUGUGACGUUGAUCAGAGUUUUCAUUUUUUUAAAUCCUAGCGGAGUUCUAGUGCACCAUAACCCAUUUCACAGAACUUAGCCAAAAAAAAGAAACACAGUAUGCCGAUGCGUUGAAAAGAUCAGAAAAUUUUACUAUGCAAAUAUAUAUUAUUUGAUAAAGUUGAUAUGAUUAUUUAUGACAUGGGUAAAUCUUAGAGCAUCUACNNNNNNNNNNNNNNNNNNNNNNNNNNNNNNNNNNNNNNNNNNNNNNNNNNNNNNNNNNNNNNNNNNNNNNNNNNNNNNNNNNNNNNNNNNNNNNNNNNNNNNNNNNNNNNNNNNNNNNNNNNNNNNNNNNNNNNNNNNNNNNNNNNNNNNNNNNNNNNNNNNNNNNNNNNNNNNNNNNNNNNNNNNNNNNNNNNNNNNNNNNNNNNNNNNNNNNNNNNNNNNNNNNNNNNNNNNNNNNNNNNNNNNNNNNNNNNNNNNNNNNNNNNNNNNNNNNNNNNNNNNNNNNNNNNNNNNNNNNNNNNNNNNNNNNNNNNNNNNNNNNNNNNNNNNNNNNNNNNNNNNNNNNNNNNNNNNNNNNNNNNNNNNNNNNNNNNNNNNNNNNNNNNNNNNNNNNNNNNNNNNNNNNNNNNNNNNNNNNNNNNNNNNNNNNNNNNNNNNNNNNNNNNNNNNNNNNNNNNNNNNNNNNNNNNNNNNNNNNNNNNNNNNNNNNNNNNNNNNNNNNNNNNNNNNNNNNNNNNNNNNNNNNNNNNNNNNNNNNNNNNNNNNNCCCCGCUGAGGGAGUCCUGGACUAAGGGGUCCUCGGGCGUCUGGUCUACUCAAUAUGGGCCGUACUGAUGGGCUAUCAAGAUGAAGGAAGAAGGUCACCUCCCGUGUCCGGUUAGGAAUCUUGUAUGCAUGAACGACAAGAUUAAGUGUCCGGAUAUACUGUUUCCUUUCUUUGUGAACCGACUCUGCACAACCCUAGGCCCCUUCGGUGUCUAUAUAAACUGGAGGGCUUAGACCGGAGAUAGGAUCAUAACAUUCAUAGUCUAGACAAUCUAGGGUUUAGCCAUCAGAAUCUUUCGAGGUAGAUCAACUCUUGUAACCCCUAUACUCAUCGAGUACAGCCCCGAGCACGCUGAUCACGAGGACUCGGAGGACAUCAAUUACUUACCUAUCUCCGAAGUGGAUGUGAGCCGCGGUGACAAAGAUUUCAUCAUCCCAGAGGAACCCCUCAAACAACAACGCUUCAAGUGACAACUCAUCGCCACUGCACAGAGCCUGAAAAAGAAACAACAGCAGCUUCAGGCUAAACAGGACAUGCUCAACAAUAUAUGGACUAAUUAAGAUCCUAGCCGCCAAAGAGUACGACCUUGAGCGGCCAGUAAAGAGUUACCCGAAGUGCAGGCUGCUGCCACAAUUCGACGAUGAAGCCCUCGAGCCAAUUCUGUCGAAGUACAACUAUGCUGAUCAACCAGAAUGACCACCAGGUGGACGGGACAAAACGACCUAUAAGGCCGAACACCAGCCCGCACCACCUCGCCAUAGAGGCAGGGAGACAUCGGAACUGGAUUACACAUAUGACCUACGUCAGGACCUGGCCGAUAAAGCUGGCCAGACCAGAUCGAUCUAUGGAUCCAGAGGACGUGCCCCGACACGAGAUGACGGCCACCAAACCUGGCACGAGCAACAUCAGCAAGUUCGAGGUCAGCACCGAACACAGAUGUCAUCCAAACUACGUCGCGAUGUAGCUAGAUAUAGAGGUGUCGCACACCCUAUGUGCUUUACUGAUGAAGUAAUGCAGCACCAAUUUUUGGAAAGGUUUAAACCUGUAAACAUCGAACAAUACGAUGGAACAACAUACCCUGCCGUCUGGAUUGAGGACUUUCUUCUCCACAUUCACAUGGCUCGCGGAGAUGACCUCCAUGCCAUCAAAUAUCUCCCCUUUAAGUUGAAGGGACCAGCACGACACUGGUUGAAAAACCUCCUUAGAGAGCUCCAUAGGGAGCUGGGAAGAUUUAGAAGAUGCUUUUCUGGACAACUUUCAGGGCACUUAUGUCUGGCCUUCGGAUGCUGCCGACCUCAGUCACAUAAUCUAGCAACCCGGAGAGUCAUCCCGCAAACUCUGGAAUCAGUUCCUAUUAAAAAGAACGAAAUCAUGGACUGUCCAAACGCCGAAGCCUUAGCGUCCUUUAAACACAGCGUCCAUGAUGAAUGGCUCACCCGACUCCUCGGGCAGGAAAAGCCGAAAACCAUGGCAGCCCUGACAACGCUUAUGACCCGCUUUUGCGCUGGCGAAGAUAGCUGGCUAGCUUGUAGAAGCAACAGUUCCAGCGAUCCCGGCACCUCUGAGGCCAGGGACGGCAAUGGCGGGCCACGCCGCAACAAAAACAAAUGCCGGAAUAACAACGACGACACCGAAGACAUGGCAUUCAAUGCCGGAUUCAGUGGUUCUAAAUCCGGUCGGCGGAAGAAACCUUUCAAAGGCAACAGGGACGGCCCAUCCAACUUGGACAAAAUGCUCGAGAGGCCCUGUCAGAUUCGUGGUACCCUCGACAAGCCUGCCAAUCACACCAAUAAAAAUUGCUGGGUUUUUAAACAUGCCUGUAAGUUAAAUACCGAACAUAAGUGGAAGGGACCGCCAAGUGAGGACGACGACGAGCCCCGUCAGCCGAACACUGGGGGUCAGAAGCAGUUUCCCCCCGAUGUAAAAACAGUGAGGGAGCGCAAGCACGCACUAAGGGACGUCUACGCCGUAGAGCCUGUCGCCCCAAAGUUCAAUCUAUGGUAAGCCUGUCCGAUCACUUUUGAUCGCAGGGAUCACCCAACCAGUAUCCAUCACGGGGGUUCGGCCACCCUGGUGCUCGAUCCCAUCAUGGACAGAUAUCAUCUAACUAGAGUCCUUAUGGACGGUGGCAACAGUCUUAACUUUAUCUAUCAAGAUACUGUCCGCAAAAUGGGCAUCGACCCAUCAAGAAUCAAGCCAAGCACACUACCUUUAAAGGAGUGAUACCUGGUGUGGAGGCCCGUUGCACGGGCUCAUUAACACUGGAAGUGGUAUUCGGCUCUCUGGACAACUUCUGUAGUGAAGAACUGAUCUUUGAUAUCGUCCCUUUCCGUAGUGGCUAUCACGCACUGCUCGGACGAGCCGCUUUCUCCCGUUUCAAUGCGGUCCCGCACUAUGUUUAUUUGAAUCUUAAAAUGCCCGGCCCUAGGAGCCGAGGUAUAUGGUGGCCUCAUCAAGAUGAACAAUUCAUCGCCCAUCAAGACCAUUGACAUUGUUAAAAAAGUCCGGUCCGCACCUCAUUCAGAUAGCUCGACGGACCCGGACCUCGAAUAUCAAUUCUGUCUCCGUUGACUGCCCUAUAAGGCCGUGACAUAUGUACUGCAUGUAAACAACUACGCACUCAAAAUACCUUGGGCAACGCCGGAGGCACACCUCAGGACAGGUCCAUAGUAUGUCUCGACCCUAUUCGGACCUCACAUCCUCUUCCCUUCUUUUUUUCUCCCUUUCACUGCAUGUUCUUUUGAAAACCUAAAAGCUGUAUGGUUGCAUGAGGGAUCCCUCUUCGAACCCUCUUCUUUACAGACAACCAUCUUACAUCUCCUCUUGAAGGACUCAUUACUAAGGAGAAAUGGCGCAGACGUGUGGCAGGGCACCCUUGGGAUCUUCAAACCAUUACGUUAAGGCCAUGUGGAAACCUUUCCCUUGUGCAAAUUUUCUGGCAUGUAACAUGACCUCCAUAUUCAUGCUAUUUAUCGAAACACGUCUCUACGUAUUCAUAAAGAUAUAAAGGAAGCAAAUGAUCACCACUUUUUGUUUGGUAUGUGUGUUAUAUCAUCAUUUGUAUAUAGGGAACUCUUUAGCAUCCUGGAUAUUGCAUUAUAUGCAUCGGCUCCGAUUCAUGUCUUUGGUCUAUAGUUGGGUUGCCCGGCUCCUGUGCUUACCACCAUACGUUCCGCCACUUCAGCUAAGGUAGUAAAGGGAGAACUGCUGCGAUUGUAUAUCUGGUUCAUCCGAUUAAGUACCUUAGUAGAGAAAGCCGAAAACUGACCGUCAUGAUACGCGAGAGCUGGUCAGCAAUCCGGUGACUUAGUGUUAUACUACUAAUCGUUAGUGAUUCUUGCCGUAUUACACGAGGGGUUGGUACUUGACCAGCCGCGUUGCAGAGGCACCAUAAUCCGGAUUGCCGCUCAAUGCAACAAGGGUUACUAGUUAACCCCACCAAUCGACUCCUAUGGCUAAGAGAAGGUAAUAAAUCCACAUAGUCUGAUUGCCUAGUUCACCGCACGGACGCCUCCUCCAAGGACCAAGAUGUUGGAUAAAGUGCGGCCAUGCAUUCACGAACACCCCUGUACUAUUUACAUGGGGGCGGAAGCCGAUGACUGGCAACCUUCAGAAACACAAAUAAUAAACGGCCGCACAUGAGGAUAAAAUUAACACAAAAUGCGCAAUCAUAGCGUGGAUUCAUAACAUGGUUUCUGUGACCCGAUUACAUUUAAUCAAACAUAACAUCCUUGGAACAUUGGACCUCUACUAUUCGGGCCCCUUCCAGGACAUCUUCAAAGUACUUCUCCAGCUUCUGGUGAUUCUUGCCCUCGGGUGAACCUACGGUCGCCACUUCGGUGGCUCAUCUUUGCCCAUUGCAUCUUCAUGCGGGCGAAGCCAUCAGGGCACCUUAUAUGUAGGCCGGCAACUUUAUGGCGUCAAUCCGAGGCCGCACAUUGACAAGCAGCUUCACGAGGCCGACGUAGCUGCUGGGCAUGGGGUCGGCUGGCCAAAGCUGGACUAUUAGAUCCUUCAUGGCCAAACCGGCCACCAUGUGCAGCUCGGUCAGUUGCUUCAGCUGGUCGCUAAGGGGCGCCGGAUGCUCUGGGACAAGAUACUGCGACCAGAAUAGCUUCUCGGUCGAGCUCCCCUCCUCGACUCGGAAGAACUGCGUAGCGUCAACAACACUCCUCAGAAGAUCCGUAAACGCGCCUGGAGAACUCCAAACUUGGGUUAGCUAGAUAUAUCUCCUACUUCCAAAUUUACUCUACAAAAGAAAGGCCUUACCAGCCACUAUCUGCCUCGCCCGCUGGAUCUCCUGGCGAGCACUCUGGGACUCAACCCGGGCCUCCUUGAUACCCUGGACAGCCUUGGCGAGUUCAGAUGCUUGGUCCGAAGUCUUUUGCUCUAAGGACUCGCACUUGGUAAUGGCGUCCUUGAGCUCUUGCUUGACUUCGGCCACCUGAUCUUCAUGUUGGCGGCGAGUAGUCUACUCCGCCUCCAGCUCCUUAGCCGCCUUGUCAGCGGCUUCUUUAUUCGCCUCCGCCUCCUUCAGGGCUUGGGCAAGUGCAAUCUUGAGGGAUUCGACCUUGGCCGCGCCAACUGUGACCAUAAUCAAAUAAAUUAAAAGACUCAAUACAUAUAUCACUUCUGAUAUAUACACUACUGCAGGAUGCUGCUAACGCGACACUACGAUCAGAGACCCUUCGACGAAACUGUGUGCGAUGCAAUAAUCACAAACGGUGGUGUAAAAAAACCGUCAAAAAAUGUGCAAAACGUUUGCGAUGACGGAUGCAUCAAACACGGUUCAGAUUUUUGUUGCGUGUGUGAUUCAGGGCAUAUGGUUCAGUUCAAUUAACUGUUUGCGAUGAGGGUGAACAAAAGAAACGAGCUGCCAGAUGAAGGCGUGUGUGAUGUAGAGCAUACAGUUCACUCGGAUGAACUGUUUAUGAUGAGGCGGAAAAAUAGAAACGGGCAGUUAGAUGAAGGUGUGUGUGAUAUAUGACAUACAGUUCACUCGGAUGAACUGUUUGCGUUGAGCCAAGAGAACAAAAACAGUUCAACUUAACCAGAUGUGUGUGAUAUGGGGCAAACAUGUCUGUAAUCGGGAAUGUGUGGGAAGACCGAUAACAACAUAGACGAUUCCAGUUAACACGCUGUGUGUGUUGUGAGCAAACGAUUGCUGGUAUACAAUUGUCAGUGAUUGAUGAAAUCAUCACCGAUGGGUUCCAAUGUUUAGUCCGUGUGCGAUGUAAUUUGCUCUGUCUAUGGAGCAUCAAUAUAUAUAUAUAUAUAUAUAUAUAUAUAUAUAUAUAUAAAAUAACUAUUUGGAUCACAGAGCCCUAUAUAGGAGCGAUCGUGUUGUUCCCGAACUCCCCCAACCCGCUGCGAAAAACAAAUUCCCACCCCACCACCCCAUGACCGCUCGUUCCUAACCUCUCCCCCGAUCGUCUGUGAUCCACCACGAUAGUGGCUCCUUCCCCUCGAUCCGGCGCCUCCCGCCGCCGUCUCCCCGGCCCCGGCGCGCCUCUCUCCCUCCCCAGAUCGCCUCCCACUGCCUCCUACUUCACGCCGCCCCCGCGCCUUCACCCUACAACGCGCCGCCGCCCUGCAUCUCGCCGCCACAGCCNNNNNNNNNNNNNNNNNNNNNNNNNNNNNNNNNNNNNNNNNNNNNNNNNNNNNNNNNNNNNNNNNNNNNNNNNNNNNNNNNNNNNNNNNNNNNNNNNNNNNNNNNNNNNNNNNNNNNNNNNNNNNNNNNNNNNNNNNNNNNNNNNNNNNNNNNNNNNNNNNNNNNNNNNNNNNNNNNNNNNNNNNNNNNNNNNNNNNNNNNNNNNNNNNNNNNNNNNNNNNNNNNNNNNNNNNNNNNNNNNNNNNNNNNNNNNNNNNNNNNNNNNNNNNNNNNNNNNNNNNNNNNNNNNNNNNNNNNNNNNNNNNNNNNNNNNNNNNNNNNNNNNNNNNNNNNNNNNNNNNNNNNNNNNNNNNNGGCCAACCUUCUCCCUUCCUCCCUCCCAGCCGGCGGGCCUCCUCACUCAACAGUGGUGCCCCUCCUUCCCCAUCGCCGGUGUUCCUUUCCCAUGGACGCAUGCCUCCUCUCCAAUGUCGGCGGACCUUCUUCCACACGGCCAACAGGCAUACUCCCCCACGGCCGGUGAGCCUCCUCCCCCAUGGACGAUCCAUUCCGUCCAUGCGUCGUCCUCCUCCUGGCUGCGUCCCAUCGAGCGCGGCCCCUGCAUCUUGCCACCACCACAUCGAGCGCCGCAGCACUCAGGUCGUUCGCCACCACCUCCUACGGCCGUUCAACGAUGCAGCAGCAAGACGUUCAAUGCCUCAGCCCUCCCUGCGAAUCCCACUGUUGUAGCAACCGGACAAGGCCCAUAUAUUUCUUCUUCAAUAAGAUAAUUUUGAUUGCAUACUGUCUGUUAUUUUGCUCUGUCAUUUUGAUGAUGCCUAAAAAGAAAUUAGAUGAUGGGCUUCUCAUCCCUACUGCGGUCUGCAAGCUGCCUCCAACCUUUGGCAAUAUUUGUAAAAAUGAUUGUGCAGAUUUUUUGUUACCCCAUUUUUAGUUACUGAUUGAAGAAAAUUUUGUUCAUUAGGUGAAAGAACUUGAUUUCUGUUGUUCCUUUGUGGAGGAAGAAGGUCACCAUAAAGGUAGGGAGAUGGUCACAUAAGGUGCAGAAAGAAUGUCAGAGUUCAGCAACGGGGUGUGUGAUCUUUGUGUUGUUUUUGGGGUCAAAUCAUGGGUAUGCGAUCUCACAUCCUGUGUACUAUUGAGAUGGCCUUCCUUAGACUCAAACCACAUUGCCUACAAAUAUGAUAGUCACAAUGCUACCAUCAUGUGUAAAGAAAAUUAGAUAUGUACAUGUACACAACCUACAACAACUUUACGAGGAGUUGAUGGAUUAUUCAGUGGUUGUUAAUUCCACUACUGAUUUUUUCUUGAGAUGGUCUUCAUCACCAUUCAAUAAUUCACUUGUUUCUUGGUUGCAUCUAGUUCCCUCGCUCCACCUCAACACUGUUUCCUUUAGCUAGAUCUCCUUUGUUAUUUUGUAUUCUUAUUUUCUUUUCAUAAAGCAUUUGCUCUGAAAUCCGGAUCCGAUGAUGUAGCUUUGACUAUUCAUGAAAACGUGGUGAAAAUUGUACAUGCUCUAUAGGUCAAAAUUUUGUCUUUAAUUUAUUUUUUGUGAAUGUCAAAAUGUUAUGUUCGAGAAGGUCGAUUGUGUUAUCUCAGCAAGUUCAAAUAAAAAAAUAAACAUGCAAGGUAAAACAUCGGAGAGUUGCGAUUUUUUAGAACUUCAACUGACAAACAAAUUUGAAAAGAGCACAAAACAAAAUUUAAGUCAAACACUAUCAAGAAAAAGAAUGUUCUCUUUGUUAUCGAACACAAAAAUAAAAAUUAAUGAAAGGGGGAAUGCAGUUUAUGCAUUUUGAGAAAGAACUAAGAAGUUCGAGUUAAACUAAUAGAGUAGUUUGAUUUUAAUAAAUAAUUCAGUUUUUUUGUUUCCAUAAAUAAAACCAAGAAGUUUAAAAUUUAAAAAUAGAGAAGUUCAAAAAUCAUAAAAAGGACUUUCAUUGUUUCUCAAAAAAACUCUAGAAGUUGAAAUUGAAAUAAUGGGCAAUUCAAUAUUUAUUACAAAACUAUGAUAUUGUCUUUACUGAAAGAAAUAAAUCAAGAAGUCCAAAUUACAAAAAUAGAGAAGUUUCAUAUUUAUGACAAAACAAAGAUUUUCCUUGUUACUAAAAAAAUAAAAUGAAGAAGUUCAAAUUAAAAAAAGGAGAAGUUUGAUGCAUAUAGAAAAACCAAAAUUCUUUCCGUUUCUUGGAAAAAUAAAAGUAUGAAGUUUAAUUUAAAAAAAGUUGGAUGCUUAUUUAAGAACAUGAUUUUUCUAAGAAUAAGACUAAGAAGUUCAAAUUAAAAUAAAAGAGAAGUCCAAAGAUUAUAAAAAACUCAGAUUUUUCGUGUUACUAAAGUAUAAAACAAAGAAGUUCAAAUUAAGAAAAGGAAGAACUAAAAAAAGUUUAAAAAUAGAUUUUCCCCAUUUCUAAAAAAACUAGAAUUUCAAACGAAAAUAAUGAAGUGGUUCCAUGUUUAUUUAGAAACUAAGAUUUUAUCAUUACUAAAAUACUCAAAUGUCCCUUAGUAUUGAAGAAUCAACCAUUAAGUUCAAAUUGAAAAGAUGGAGAAGUAAAACCAGGAAGUCCAUAUUAAAAAGAUGGAGAAGUUCGAUGAUUAUAGAAAACUUAGAUUUUCCUUGUUAUUAAAGAAUGGAAAUAAGAAGUUCAAAAAUUAAAUAAUAAGAAGUUCAACUUUUAAAAAUAGAGGGCUUCAAAAUUCAUAAAAAAAGAUUGAGAAAUUGAGAUUAAAAUUCAUAAAAAAUCAGAUAUUUUCACGUAACCGAGUGAAGUUCAGAUUGAUAACUGCCAGAAGUUCAUGUACUAUAGGGUGUGCAUUUUGUAUUAGAAAAAGAAUGAAAAUGCAAAGCAUAAAGUUUUGUUGCUAGAAGUUCAAGUGCUCGACUCGAGAAAGUUCAAAAAUUCUUAUGUGGCAGAGGUUGACCAAAAAUACGUGACAGAAGUUCAAGGUUAAAACAACGAGAAGUUCACCUACUGCAAGGAAUGCAUUUCAAAUGAGAAUAAAAGUAUAGAAAAUUUAAAGCUUAAAAGGUUUGUUGAAAGAACUUCAAGUGCUUUGUCCGGGGAAGUUCAAAAAUUCUUAUGAGAGAGGCUCAUCUUGUAUUUCCAUGUUUGAUUUUUUCCAUAUAAAAAUCGAAUACAAUUCUUUACUUCAAAAUAUAAAAAGGUGAAGUUCAAAUUGAAAUAACACAGAAGUUCGGAGUUUAUUAAAACCUAGGAUUUACCUUUUCAAAAAAUAAAAAGCACAACACCAUUUUUUGCACUUUUGAAAACAAUCUCAUAUACGUAAAAAUGGUUGCUAGAAGUUCAAGUGCUCGGCGAGGGGAAGUUCAAAAAAUUUUGUGAGAGAGGUUCACCAUGUAUUUAGAUGUCCAAAAUACAUACAAAUAUGUUGUUUUUUGUGUUUUAAAAUAACUCUUUCAAACCAGAGAGAAGUUCAAAGUGAUAACAACUGGAAGUUCACGUACUACAUGGUGUGUAUUUCAUAUAAAAAAAUACAAUAAAGUGAAACAAAGUGAAGUUCAAAUAGACAUGCCCAAGAAGUUCAACUACUUCACGUAGUGCAAAAAACAGUACGUCAAAAAACAGCACGUCAAAAAUUAGAGUGAAGUUCAAACAUACAUGCCCGAGAAGUUCAAUUACUUCACGCAAUGCAUUUCCGUUCACGAUAAAGGCAGAAAUCAUGAUCUCGUCGUUUUCUAGUUUACUUCAAAACGACAGGAAUAUCAUUUGUGUAAGUUCAAGUCCUCGGUCGGAGAAAGUUAAAAAAAUAUUGUGAGAGAGGUUUGUACAAAAAGAAUAUCAUUUGUGUAAUAAUAAUGAAAAUGGAUGGGAAAAUUACAAACAAAAAUAUGUUACAGAAGUCCAACGUGAAAACAGCAGGAAGUAAAACUACUACAAUGAAUGAAUUUCACAAGAAAAUCUUUUAAAACCGUUGCGAGUAUAAAAAAAUGAUCAACACGAAAAAGUUGCGUGUUUAUAGCAGCUUUCCAUCGGUAUAUUACUUGCUUAAUUCCGGUUAGUGAAUGAAGAGCUACGAGCAAAAGAAAGCACGUGAAAAUCACAGUGAAGUCCAAGCAGAACUGCCACAGAAGUUCAAGUACUUCACCCAAUGCAUUUUCGACGAAUCUGUUUUGCGAUGAAGGCAGAACGAGUGAUCUCCCCGUUUCUGAAAUUACUUGAAAAUGGCUGGGAUUCAGAGAAAAUUAUCAACAUGAAAAAGUUUCGCAUUGUUCGUAGCUUUUCAACAAUAUAUUAUUUGCCCCGUUCCGAUGAAGUUUGUAGAAAUUAUGACAAAAAUACGUUUUUAGCCAUUUUCAAAAUCAACGUAAAACCGUAAUGAAUUUGGAGAAACAAUAUAUACCAAAAAGUUUCGCAUUUGUUCAUGCUUUCCAACGCUAUAUCCUUUGCUACAUUCAGACGUAUGAUUAAAAAAAUAGAUUGAAAAUACAAACUUGGUAGAUCUUGUACCAUUUUCUAAAUUACUCUUAAACCUUUCAAAAUUAUAAAAAACUUUCAACAUGAGAAAAAAGCGUUUUCAUAAGCUUUCCAACGUCAUAUCAUUUGUCUCAAUUCGAUUAGGCAUUCAGAAAUGGCAUCAAAAAUACGAACUCGGUUGUUCGGUUUGCGACAUUUUAUGAUUUGCCACAUUACUCUUUAACCAUAGGGAAUUAGAAAAAUCUUUCAGCAUGUGGAAGGAGCGGUAUUACAACAGCUUUCGAACGCCAUAUUAUUUCCUCAUUCUGAUAAAUGGUUUAGAAAUGCGAUUGAAAAUACGAUUCAAGUUUUUUGUAUGAAGAAAAAACUGUUUUCAAAACUGCUCUUAAACCACUUACAUGUUGCCAAGAUUUUAAGUUGGGUCAUGAUACUGGUGUCCAUAGCUUUCCAACGGUAUAUCGCAAGCCUCAUUUGGGCAACGUUGACGGAAGUUCAACCUAGCACUAAGGGAAGUUCAGGUCAAACAAAUCAGGCAGUAAAAUUGCAAAAAAACGCAAUUUCAUCACGACCCGAGAGCAAAAUCCGCCAGCGAUCGAGAUUUCUAUUUAAAUUUGGUAUUUAGUUGCUAAAAAACCUUUCUAGAUUACACUAACAUCAUAUAGAACACUACUAACCAGAAUAAUUCGCGGGGGAAGCCAUGGUUGCAAAGAUAGCCCGAAGGUCGGGUUCGUACAGAGGAAGUUCAGGCGCGUGUACAAACAAAAAUACUCACAGAAGUUCAACGUGAAAAUAGCAUGAAGUUCAACUACUACGCUGAAUGAAUUUCAGAUGAAAAACUUUUAAAAUCGUUGCGAGUAUGAAAAAAUGAUCAACACGGGAAAGUUGCGUGUUUACAGCUUUCCAUCGGUAUAUCACUUGCUCAAUUCCAGUGAGUGGAUGUAGAGCUAGGAGCAGUGGAUAGAGAUAUACGAGAAAAAAAGCACGUGAAAAACAGAGUGAAGUUCAAGGUUUCAUACCGAGCAGUUCAGGUUCUUCACGCGAUGCAUUUUUGGCGAAUUUGUUUCGCGAUAAAGGCAGAACAAAUGAUCUCACUGUUUUUGAAUUUAUUUGAAAACAGUUAGGAAUCAGAGAAAACUGUCAACAUGAAAAAGUUUCAAAUUUUCCGUAGCUUUUCAGCAGUAUAUUAUUUGCGCCAUUCCGAUAAAGUUUGUAGAACAUAUGGCGAAAAUACGUUUUUGGCCAUUUUCGAAAUUGACUUAAAACCAUAAAGAAUUGGGAGAAAUAAUACAUACCAAAAAGUUUCACACUUGUUCAAGCUUUCCAACGCCAUAUCAUUUGCUGCAUUUGGACGCGCGCUUAAAAAGUUAGCUUGAAAAUACGAACCCGGUAGGACUUGUAUCGUUUUCUAAAUUACUUUUAUACCUUUCAAAAUUAGAAAAACCUUUCAAAAUCAAAGAGUAGCACAUUUUCAUAAGAUUUCCAACACCAUAUCAUAUGCCUCAAUUGGACUAGCCGUUUAGAUAUGACGUUGAAAAUACGAACUCGGCUGUUCGAUUUGUGAAAUUUUAUGUUUUUUCAAAUUACUCUUUAACCAUAGAGAAUUAGAGAAAUUUUUUAACCUGUGUAAGUAGCGGUUUUGCAGCAGCUUUCCAACGCCAUAUUAUAUGCCUCAUUCCGAUAAACGGUUUAGAAAUGCGAUCGAAAAUACGAUUCACGUUUUUUGUGUGAAGAAAAAACGGUUUUCAAAACCGCUCUUAAACCGCUUACAUUUUGCCAAAAAUUUAAGUUGGGUCAUGAUACUGGUAUCCAUAGCUUUCCAACGGUAUAUCGCAAGCCCCAUUUGGGCAAUGUUGGCGGAAGUUCAACCUAGUUCACACGGAAGUUUAACGUACUACUAGCAGGGCAGGUCAGGUUGUGAUCAGAAUAUUAUUCUCAUCCCGUGAUCAGAAUAGUGUUUAUGUAUAUAUAUGGCAACUCACAUCGCAAGCCCCAUUUGGGCAAUGUUGUUUGGGGCACCUAGACCCAUUAUAUGGCAACUCACAUUCACUAGUGCAGAACCGGGCUUUAGCACCGGUUCGUAUGGGCCUUUAGUGCCGGCUCCACAACCGGCACUAAAGAGUGGAGACUAAAUCCCCCCCUCCCCUACUACCGGUUCGGCACGAACCGGCGCUAAAGUGCCACCACGUGGCACGAGCCAGGCCCGGGUGCUGGUAGACCAUUAGUACCGGUUUGUAACACCAACCGGUACUAAAUGUUUGGGGGGGGGGUUGGUUUUAUUUUUUUAUUUUCCAUUAAUUUUGUGUUUUCCAUUUAAUUCUUUUUUGUUUGCUGGUAUUUUACCAAUCUACAUAUUUUACACGUUAUGCAUAUAUAUAAAUAGAUUUUCUCGUAGAACCGCAUAUAUAUAUAUCAUUGAAUGUCUCACAACCAACACCAUUAGUUAUUCACACACACACACACACACACACACACACACACACACACACACACAUAUAUAUAUAUAUAUAUAAAAUUUCUCUACAUGUUGCCUUGGUGCCUUCAGAGCACGAUGACAAGUGGUUCAUGGGGGCGGUAGCGGCUAAUAGUAUUCUCCUUUGGGAUCUAUGACCUGGUUGAGCAAAAAUCCCGCUAUUUCCUCUCGAAGUGCUAGUAUGCAGUCCGCUGGGAGGAGCUGCUCCCGCACCUCUCUGAACUAUUAAGAAGGAGAUCAAUAUGCAUGUGUAUUAGUUGUGUGACUAGAUAUCGAUAAUGGUGUGAAUAGUUUCUGACAAACGUACCCAGUCCUGUCUUUGAGAUCUGCUCCUUUCGGACGCCAUCAUGCGAAUGUUCUCUCAAACGUAGUAUGCACACAGAUCAUUUCCCAACGCCUGCCUUAGGGACUUUACGAGAAUGGAAUUGAACCAUAUAAUGAUUAGUCAAGCAUGAUAAUUAAUUAAUGGUAUUGAAACAAGAAUUAAAGAGAUGGAAGCUAGCUAGCUAGCUAGUACUACUUAAUUACUUACCUUUGGUCGAUACCAAAACAACUUUUUUGCCCAUUUGCCUGGAGUCACCUUGAUGAACUUUGCCCAAGCCCUGCCCGCUGGCAAAGAAAAUUAAUAAAGGGGUUAUUAAAUAGUUCAUAUCAGGAAAUGACGAACUAAAUAGGCUGAGAUAUAGUUAAUAAUGAUUGAAAUUACCUGCUGACUAUCCCCUUCAAUAUGGUGUAGUCACUUUCUUUUUUAAGUAGUGAGUCCAGUACUUCAACUUUUCCUUCGUCAACUUUAAUGUCUAACAAGAUCCAGUGGAAACUGCAUGCGCACACGUUUGCAUGUCUUAAUUAAGCGGGCAUGUGCAUAACAGUAAUCAACUACCAUAAACCCUAUACACUUAAUUAUUAACAUCUAGCUAGCUAGUAAGCAAAAACAUAAUUUAUAGUACAAGACAGUGUGACUCACAGGAAGUUGUAAGGAAGUAAUAUAUCUUCAUUGGUACUGAGGCGCUUGAAGAACUCUAGUACGCUUUCCUCUAAACUUACUCGAUAACUUGGAAGAUUCCAUGUGUACUCCUUAAUGGUAUUUGGGUCAAUGAACCCAAUGCCAUAGCGUCCAUAUUUUUUCAUUUCAUACAACUUCAUCCUGCAUAUAAUACCACAUAAAAGAAUAUAGUGAGGAUACUUACAUGUAAUGAUUGAUCAAAAUGAUCACUACAGCUAUCUUGAGACUUAAAUUACAGAAAGAAAUCACUUACAGACAAUAGCAACUGACGAUAGAUUUGUCGAGUGCGUCUUGAUUGUAUAACUGAAAUAGUUCUGAAUACUCAACGGAUAGAGGUUUCUCAUGGAAGUAAUGCUCCUCAUUGACAUUCACCAUGAGGGAUUCUCGAUUGGAAAUCUUGGUAAUUUUCAUGUAUCAUUGAUGCAAUUCAUACAUUUUUGUUGGGAGGUUCUUGACCUUGACUGGCUCGACCAAAGGUUGGCCCCGGACAUAUUUCUGUUUUAUUUCCUCCUCUCUAAGCGGAGACAUGGGCUCGAUUUCGAGGAGUUGUCCAACAGUGAUCUUGAACAUUUUAGCCUGCAUUAUAUGCUCCUCGGUUAUUACCACAUCACCCAGCUGGGGAACGUUAACGGUUUGCCCACAAUAAUAUUGGGCGCGCGUACUCUCAUGUGUUGUUGGCACAACAAGCGGGGGGAUCGAUUGCGCCGCUUGUUCUCCCAGCUGGGGAAUGGUUUUCCUGCAUUUUUUGACAAAUGCUUGUUGGCUCGAGCUCGAGCUCGCUUCCUUCUGUAGUCGUGAUCCAUGUAGCUUCCUGAGUUGGCACUCAUAGUCUGAGUCAACAGGCUUGGGAGCUGGUUUUCUUGCCAUAUGAAUAAAGUGGUCAAUAACUUUCUCAGGCACUUUCUCCAUUGGCGGCGGUGCCGGGUUCGGUCCAAAAUGGGCGUCCACUUGGGCCUGCACUAUGGCUGCGUUUUGCUCCUCGGUCAUAUCGCAAGGCCUCUGAGGAAGAGGAGCGAGGCUUGGACCAUAUUUAUAUCGCUUGUCUCUGCCUGUACUUCCUGUACUACCUCGACUCGUACCGUCAUGCACCAUAGCUGCGGCGUGUCUCUUCUGCGAUUGCUGAGACGGCUGACGUGGUUGAGUUGAGCAGGAGGAGUGGCCUGACGCUGUGUCGGACUUGAAGCAGGAGGUGUGGCCUAACAUGGUGUCGGACUUGAAAUAGGAGGAGUGGCCUGACACUGUGCCAGACUUGAAGCAGGAGUCUGCUCACGCGUUCGUGGACUUGGAAGAGGUGGCGGACUUAGAGGAGGAGUCGGCUCACGCGUUCGUGGACUUGGAGGAGUGGGAGUGUGCUGACUUGGUGGCGGACUUCGAGGAGGAGUCGACAGACGUGGUGUCGGUGGACUUCAAAAGAUGUUACAAUCCUUUCUCCAUAGGAUGAUACGAUGUAUGGCCUCUCCUAGUGUGCGCUCGUCAUCACCUCCAGGAAUGUCAAGAUGUAGCCUCGAAUAUGGGUCCACCACUUCAUCAACCAAGACACGAGCAUAGCCCACUGGAAUCGGGGUGCAAUGGAAGGUUGCUUCGGGGGUAAUUGUAAAAGCAACGGCGUCCGCCACCUUCAUGGAUAUGUUCUUCAUUUUGGAGUGUAGCUCACAGUUAGUGUUCUCUAUGAUGUCAUUCACAGGGUAUGUAUCUAGCAGUGUGUCGCUCGGGGCGGAACCAAUGCUUCUUCUCGGCAUGGAUGGGACGGUGCUAUCCAAUGCUAGACGAUCAUCCGCUUGCUGCUACCGCUGCUGAGACCCCCUUUCCUGGCUAAGUGAGUCGAUCUGCUGCUGCUGCUGGAAUUUGAGUGCCAAGUCCGAGUGCCUUGAUUCUAGGCCUUGAAGGCGUUUUGCGUUCUGCUUCCUUUGCUCCUCCUACAGCUUCCUCUUCUUCUCCUCUUGCAUCUUCUUUCUUGCACGGGUCCUGUAGUCAUCGUUCCAUUCCGAAAAUCCCUCAUACCAGGGAAUAACGCCCUUGCCUCGUGUUCUUCCCGGGUGUUCAGGAUUUCCCAGGGCGCGCGUAAUCUCUUCGUUCUCUCUGUUGAGCGUGAACACCCCCUUUCGAGCAUCUUUUAUUGCGUCAAGUAUCUUUUGUUCGGCUCCUUUUAGACUUGCCUUCUUCGAAACCAGGCCUGUCUUCGGGUCCCACGGCCCCCAUGCGCAUAGAACCAAGUUCUGCACCUGGGGGCCAGCUCCUAGUAACCGGAGUGACCCCUGCAUCCUCCAUCUCUUGUUCAGACUUAUCCCGCUUAGGCAUUCCCACCGCGUAGCCACCUGGACCCAGCCUAUGGAGCUGCGUCUUUUUUGCGGCAUUGGCCUUGUUUUUUCUCGACCGUUGCUUAGAUAAUUCUGAUUCCUUUAAUUCCACGAAAGCGGCUCAGUGUUCUCUUUUCUUCUCCAGUGUUCCCUUGAAUUCUGGAGUCUUCCUUUCUGCAGUGAGGUAGUGGGCCCAUACAGUUUUCUUGUGGGUGUUGAAUGCAAUAGCCAUCUUCUUAAGAGCAACGUCCUUGACUUUCUGCACAUCUGCAUCAGUGAAAUAAUCUAGUAGGGUGAAAUGUUCCAUCAGAGAUUCCCAAAGGUUUUUUUUGCUCUGUCGUCGACCCAAGUAACAUCUAGACGUUUAGUUUUUGGCUCUUUCCAUUCUUGAAUGGAGAUCGGGAGUUGGUCCUUCACAAGAACUCCGCACUAACGAGUCCACUUGUUCGCAAUGUUCUUAGGCAUGAGGGGUUCGCCACUAGAUUUGAUGGAGUCGAUGUUGUACUUUAGACCCUCCUUCAACUUUUUGCCCGGGCCUCGAUUUGUCCUGGUGUUUGUAGAAGCAGAUUUGCUCGAUCCAGAGGGCUAAAAGAAGAAAGAUCGAUUCGUUAAUAUAUCUUCAAAUAAAAAAAACAUGUGAUGAUCACCAGAUUCCUGCUUAUAUAAAUAUACCUCACCGGUAGUGUUUGUUAUUUCAAGAUUAACAUUAUUGUCUGUGUCAUCAUAAACAUUGUCUGCGUCAUCAUAAUCAUAAUCAUAGUUCAUUACUUCAUCAGCUCGGUCGUCGAGAUCGAAUAUCUUAUCAUCACCCUCUCUGGUACUGUUCAGAUAUUGGGAGCCGUCAUCUACUUCAUUCAGAUCAUCUAGCCUGCGAGGGCUGCGUAUGAUCUCGAACAAUUCCUCUUCUCUCUCUCUGCCGGUAUUGUCCGCUAUAGCUUUUACUUAACUAAUAUAGAAGAAAUAUAAAACAAUUUAUUAUUCAAAUUACAAUGCUUGGAUGCAAUCAAUAAGGAAGAACUGAAUCAUAUAGUACAUAAUAUGCAUCAUCUCGAUUAAUAUCUAAUCUCGAAUACAUCAUCUCGAAUAAUAUAUAUAAUCUCGAAUACAUCAUCUCGAAUAUUAUAUAUUGAAUACAUCACUGGCUAGGUACCUAAUAAAGAUCGGAUACUAUAGAAGAAUCUAGGCCACUCACGGUUCCUGAGGCGAGGGCGGUGGAUACCCAAAGAGAAGGAACCAUUACAGGAUCAUAUCUCCGGUCAUCUACCCAAAGACCCUACCAAGUAUUGGAGAACCUGACGUCCAUAGCGGCCAUGUAGCAAUGGACGUGCUCGUCCUCCUCCCUGACACGGCGAUGCACCACCUCCGGCGGGUCCGGCUCCCUCUACACCGAAUGUGGCCCACGCGAACGCCACCAAAGGAGAUCAGGGUCGACGACGGGACCCGAGGCCGGGUUCCUCACCAAGCGGCGUGCCCCUCUAGGUAGCACCUCCCAGUGCUAGCCCGGCGGAGCCCAGUCCCGGACAUGGGUCAGCCGGAUGUCAUCGCGAACGGGUCGACGGCGAGGAUGCGGGUUGGGCAUCAUCGAGAACAAAUACUAUAUGCCCGCAAAAAGUAAUUUUUUUAAAUGGUUGGAUUGUGAUAACUAAAAUUCUAUAUGCAAAUAUUAACAAUUUGACAUUAAUCUAAUUCAUCUAACUAAAACUAAUUAUAAAAUUCCUAACAUUUCUAUAUAUAUAACAAACAUUUCUAUAACAUUUCUAAUAUUCCUAUAACUAAAAAAUACAAAAAUUGCUAACAUUUCUAUAACUUAAAAACAGAAAAAAUUUAUAAAAUUUCUAUAUAACUAACAUUUCUAUAAUAUUUCUAAUAUUUCUAUAAUAAAAAUAGAAAAAUUUCUAACAUUUCUAUAGAUAUUUCUAUAACUAGAAAACAGAAAAAUUUCUAUAACUAAAAUUUAUAACUAAAAAACUAAUGUGUAUGUGUGUGUGUGUGUGUGUGUGUGUGUGUGUGGACAUGGCGACCGGGGCAGGAGCUCACCGGCGAGGCGCGGCGACGGGGACGGAGACGGNNNNNNNNNNNNNNNNNNNNNNNNNNNNNNNNNNNNNNNNNNNNNNNNNNNNNNNNNNNNNNNNNNNNNNNNNNNNNNNNNNNNNNNNNNNNNNNNNNNNNNNNNNNNNNNNNNNNNNNNNNNNNNNNNNNNNNNNNNNNNNNNNNNNNNNNNNNNNNNNNNNNNNNNNNNNNNNNNNNNNNNNNNNNNNNNNNNNNNNNNNNNNNNNNNNNNNNNNNNGGCGGGGAGAUGGGGCGGGGCACGGCGACGGGGACGGGGACGGCCGGGGCGGCGACGGCGACGGGGACGGCGACGGACGCCGACAGGGACGGUGAUGAACGGCGAUGGGGACGGUGACAGGGGCGGCGACGAGGGGCGGCGGCGACGGGGCAGAGGAGAAAGAAGCAGAGGGAGAGAUGAGAAACUGAAUCUUUUUGAAGUGCUUUCUUAUAUAGAACAUGCCUUUAGUACUGGUUGGAGCCACCAACCGGUACUAAAGGUCUGUUUUGGCCAGGCCAAGCGGUGGGAAGCGCCCCCUCUUUAGUACCGGGUGGUGGCACCAACCGGUACUAAAGACCCCCUCUUUAGUACCGGUUGGAGCCACGACCCGGUACUAAAGGUGGUGCACUGGUGCAGGUUCGGUGCGGCAAGUUUAGUCCCACCUCGCUAGACGAGGGGCGUCCGCACUGGUUUAUAAGCCCCAGUGCGGUAGUUCUCUCGAGCUCCUCUCUAAAGCAGGCCUACUGGGCCUACCUGUUCUCUGCUGCCUUGUGGGCCUACUGGGCCUUUGCGGGCCUGCAUCCUGGCCCAACAACACGUUGGGUUUCUAGUCGUAUGCAGGCCGCUCUGGCCUAGUAGGCGGGCUUUUUUAUUUUCUUAUUUUUUUUCUUUAUUUAUUUUUGAGUUGUUUUUUGCUGCAUUUAGAGUUUCUUUGUGAAUAUUUUUGCUUUAGGUACAAAAAAUUAUAAACUUUCUGUUAGUGCCGGUAGUUUUCAAAUUUGAAUAGUUUAAAUUUUGAAUUAUUUGAAAUUUGUAUGAAUCACUAGUUUGUGAAUAACUUAACUUUGAAAAUAGAUUUUUCAGUGAUUCUUUUUUCUUAUGUGUAAUAUUAGUGUGUUUUAUCACUAUAUUCAAUUUGGUAAUGCUUAGGUUAUUUAAAAAUUCAAAUGCCUUUGUAACAAAUAAGUUUUUGUCCGAAACCCUGAUACUUCGAAAGAGAUUUUCUAUUUUGUACACGAAGUGCCUCCAGUUUUUGCGGCAACCAUCUCUACUUUUUUGCACAUGCUAUGUGGGUGAAAUCAUGAUACCAUGCCAACUUUCAACCUUUUCUGAGUUCAUUUGAAAUGCUUUUCAAUUUCAGGGUCAUUUAGCUGAAAAAAAUCAGUAAAUGCAGGAAAGAAUUUGUUUGCACAUUAAAUUUCUUCGCGUUUCAAAUGCCAAAACACAUAAUUACCCUAACUAUUACAGAGAUUCCCUCCUGGGUGUGAAAUACAGAAGAAAGUGAUGAUAGUGAAGCCGAUCACAUCCCAGAUCUUUGGGUGUGAAACUUUUUCCACUACUGGAAUCAGCUACUUUCCAUCUGCCAGCUAGCGGACGGCAAAGAAGCUCUUUGCCAUCAGCUACCGAAAAGCAGACGACAAAGAAACAGCGGACGACAAAGAAGCUCUUUGCCAUCGGCCGGCUCUUUGCCGUCAGCUGGCUGACGGCAAAGAGAUAGGUGGCCCCCACCCCCCGCCCGUUUAGAAAAAACUUAAUGCCCCACCUCUUUGCCGCCCGUUAGCAGAUGACAAAGAGAGAUAAAGGCAGACGACAAAGAGAGGCGGAUGACAAAGAGCAGGGUAACUAAGGGCCGCCACCCCCCCACCCGUUANNNNNNNNNNNNNNNNNNNNNNNNNNNNNNNNNNNNNNNNNNNNNNNNNNNNNNNNNNNNNNNNNNNNNNNNNNNNNNNNNNNNNNNNNNNNNNNNNNNNNNNNNNNNNNNNNNNNNNNNNNNNNNNNNNNNNNNNNNNNNNNNNNNNNNNNNNNNNNNNNNNNNNNNNNNNNNNNNNNNNNNNNNNNNNNNNNNNNNNNNNNNNNNNNNNNNNNNNNNNNNNNNNNNNNNNNNNNNNNNNNNNNNNNNNNNNNNNNNNNNNNNNNNNNNNNNNNNNNNNNNNNNNNNNNNNNNNNNNNNNNNNNNNNNNNNNNNNNNNNNNNNNNNNNNNNNNNNNNNNNNNNNNNNNNNNNNNNNNNNNNNNNNNNNNNNNNNNNNNNNNNNNNNNNNNNNNNNNNNNNNNNNNNNNNNNNNNNNNNNNNNNNNNNNNNNNNNNNNNNNNNNNNNNNNNNNNNNNNNNNNNNNNNNNNNNNNNNNNNNNNNNNNNNNNNNNNNNNNNNNNNNNNNNNNNNNNNNNNNNNNNNNNNNNNNNNNNNNNNNNNNNNNNNNNNNNNNNNNNNNNNNNNNNNNNNNNNNNNNNNNNNNNNNNNNNNNNNNNNNNNNNNNNNNNNNNNNNNNNNNNNNNNNNNNNNNNNNNNNNNNNNNNNNNNNNNNNNNNNNNNNNNNNNNNNNNNNNNNNNNNNNNNNNNNNNNNNNNNNNNNNNNNNNNNNNNNNNNNNNNNNNNNNNNNNNNNNNNNNNNNNNNNNNNNNNNNNNNNNNNNNNNNNNNNNNNNNNNNNNNNNNNNNNNNNNNNNNNNNNNNNNNNNNNNNNNNNNNNNNNNNNNNNNNNNNNNNNNNNNNNNNNNNNNNNNNNNNNNNNNNNNNNNNNNNNNNNNNNNNNNNNNNNNNNNNNNNNNNNNNNNNNNNNNNNNNNNNNNNNNNNNNNNNNNNNNNNNNNNNNNNNNNNNNNNNNNNNNNNNNNNNNNNNNNNNNNNNNNNNNNNNNNNNNNNNNNNNNNNNNNNNNNNNNNNNNNNNNNNNNNNNNNNNNNNNNNNNNNNNNNNNNNNNNNNNNNNNNNNNNNNNNNNNNNNNNNNNNNNNNNNNNNNNNNNNNNNNNNNNNNNNNNNNNNNNNNNNNNNNNNNNNNNNNNNNNNNNNNNNNNNNNNNNNNNNNNNNNNNNNNNNNNNNNNNNNNNNNNNNNNNNNNNNNNNNNNNNNNNNNNNNNNNNNNNNNNNNNNNNNNNNNNNNNNNNNNNNNNNNNNNNNNNNNNNNNNNNNNNNNNNNNNNNNNNNNNNNNNNNNNNNNNNNNNNNNNNNNNNNNNNNNNNNNNNNNNNNNNNNNNNNNNNNNNNNNNNNNNNNNNNNNNNNNNNNNNNNNNNNNNNNNNNNNNNNNNNNNNNNNNNNNNNNNNNNNNNNNNNNNNNNNNNNNNNNNNNNCGACCCCGACACCGCCGGUAUUCUUUUAUUUUGUACUUGAUGAUGAUACACUUAAGUGAUAUACAUAUUAUUAUUCAUGUUCGUAUUUUUUUUAUGUUGUACUAAUUUUGUUAACUGUUUGUCAUGGCAGAUGUUGAAAGAUGGUGGGCGCUGGUCGGGAGAGCUCGGAGGACCCUUCUUCAUCGGCGUGUGGUGCGAGGUCUUCUAUUCCACAUGCACCUCUCCGUCGAGCGUUGCUGGACAGUAUGGCGACACCGCCGGGCCCUUCUUCGUCGACCGCGGUGCCAAGCAGGGGCCGAGGUAAGAAGAAGAGAGGAGAUGGAGGACGUGGUCGCGAUAGAGGAGGUAGGGUGACUGCCAGGGCGCCUUCCUCGCCGCCACCCCAGCUGUUUCACCCGAGCACGUGACUGCUAGGGUGGACUCGUCCGAGGAGGAGGCUACACGGACUCCGGUCCACGAGCCUCGGGUUGACGGGCCUUCGGGCCACGAGAGUUCGGCCCACGAGACCUCGGAGGAACACACGUCUUGAUGGGGUACCUGGCCGGAUCAGCGUGAGGGGCCGAGUGGCCAUGCUGAUGAUGGCGGGGACACGCCUGAUAUUGAGGAGGAGGGUGGCACCAUCUACCAGCGUGGUUGUACAUGGCUCUCGGACGUGCCGGCGACCCACGAGCAGAGGUGGUUGAUUUUCCCUGAUGGGGAGAGGUAAGUGCAUGUAAUUUUUUUGUACCUUUCUGCAUUCACGUUUCUUCAAAUAUAUAAUGCGUUGGCCUUGUCAUGCUGCAGGGGUUGGGACCACCACCAUAGUGUCCGUCGGCCCAACUCCGUCCUUGGAGUUCUUUGUCGGCAAAACUUCCCGGGGUUUGUCACGUUGCCUGGUCAGGGUCGGCUUCCAGAGCUUGGAUUGAGUUGGGAGCACUACUUGGCUGCCUCGGCCCCGCCGGGUCAGAUUAUCAAUGGUGUCUUGUGCAAGAUGAGGGCAGACGUGGUGAUUAGAAAGUUCUGGGUAAUUUCUCCUUUACACAAUUAAAAAUCUUUAACUAGAUAGUUAUUAAUUGUACUAAUCAAUAUUGUGUCAUUUGAUUGCAGACAUUAUACAGGUGUGAGGAGGGAUACGAGGAGGCGGCGGCAAAUGUUAUCGAUAACGUCUGCAAGCUCCUACUACAUAACUUACGGCACGAGGCUCGGGUGCAGGCUGUUCGAGACUACUACGCCUCGCGUGGUAUUAAGAAGACCAAGCCGGCGUGCCGCGAGAAGUUCUUGAGUAAGGAGGAGUACAUGAAGGUAAUUCUUAAGGCCUUCUACUUUACUUCCUUCAUUUAGUAAUUCAUAGCCGUAGCGCUCAAGUUUCUAUUUCCUAACUUAGGCCCCUCCGAGAUGGUGUGCGGAUCGGAUGGAUUGCUGGGAGGUGUUGGUCAAUGAGUGGUGCUCAAAAGAAUGGCUAUCCCUGCACAACAAGGCCGAGGACAAACGUGCCCAAAUGGAAGGUGUGCCACACCAUCAAGGCAGCUCCAUCUUAUAUUAGUACGGGCGGAACUGGGUAUGUGGUUUGCUUCAUGAUUCAUGCAAUUCAUUCAUCAUGCUAGCUUGAGCCCUUUAAUUACUAAUUUACUUUGUUUCUCUCUUUCAGACACGCUACAAUAAGGCAGAUAAGGUGCCAAAGGUGUACGACCUGUAUGCCAUGGCCCACACUGGCUCUUACAAUAAAGUCAAGGCAUUCUCUGCGUCUGACCUCGAUGAUCCAAAAAACUUCACCAACAUCUCCUCCCACGACAAGCUCAUGAGAUAUAGAGAUGAGGGGAAGGCGAGGAAAGGGGAGGACUUUAACCCGAGCCAAGGUCCCAUUGAUACAGAGCUGCUGAUGAUAUCUGGUGGUGGGAGGUCCCAUGGCUCCAUAGCCAUGGGAGAUGGACUUAUCCGUUGUCCUAGAUAUGGAUGGAUGGAUGUAUGAAUGGAUGGAACUAUAUAUGUAUGUACGAUGAAACUUAUGUGCUAGAUAUUUCAUAUGUUUGCUGUUAAAUAGCCUUGUGAAAUAUAUUUUUAUGUCAUAUAUAUUUGCUGUUAAAACUGUUGGAUUAAAAAAAAUACAUAAAAAAGAGGUAAUGUAGGAUCUUUGCCGUCAGCCACUGAUGGCAAAGCCUCCUUCGCCGACAGCCGCGAACGGCAAAGAAGUCACGCGGCGGCCACCUGUGCGUCCUGGUGGGCUGACCCAUUUGGUCAGUUUGCCUACAGUGGCGGACGGCAAAGUCUUUGCCUACAGCAGCGGACGGCAAAGGCUUUGCCUACAGCGGCGGACGGCAAAGGCUGCCGUUAGCCAGCUAACGGACUAACCACGUAUUCUUUGCCGUAUGCUUUCUUUGCCGUCCGCUGCUGAUGGCAAAGGCCCCUUUGCCGUCAGCCUCGGAAAGCGGACGGCAAAUUAGAUCUUUGCCGAUCCUUACUUUGCCGGAGCCUUUUGCCGUCCGUGGCAGACGACAAAGACCUUUGCCGUCCGCCAUUCCUGCCUUUGCCGUCCGCCAUGGCUGAUGGCAAAGUAGAUGAUUCCUGUAGUGUUCUUCGCAUGUGUCCCUUUGCACCGUAUCUAUGGACAAUCUUCAUCAUUUAACAGGAUGCUCGGGUCAACAUUCACUUUGAAUGGAGCAAUUUCAUCAAAAUUUUCAUAAUCUUCUGACAUGUCUGUCUUGUCAUCCACUCCCACGAUGUUUCUUUUCCCUGAAAGAACUAUGUGGCGCUUUGGCUCAUCGUAUGAUCCAUUCGCUUCCUUAUCUUUUCUUUUUAUCGGCCUGGUAGACAUGUCUUCCACAUAAAAAACCUGCGCCACAUAAUUGGCUAGGACGAAUGGUUCGUCUGCAUACGCAAGAUUGUUGAGAUCCACUGUUGUCAUUCCAUACUGCGGGUCUUCCGUUACCCCGCCUCGUGUCAUAUUGACCCAUUUGCACCGAAACAAAGGGACCUUCAAACCACCUCCAUAGUUAAGUUCUCAUAUGUCCUCUAUGUAACCAUAAUAUGUUUCCUUUCCCGUGUUGGUUGUUGCAUCAAAGCGAACACCACUGUUUUGGUUGGUUCUCUUCUUAUCUUGGGCGAUCGUGUAAAAUGUAUUCCCAUUUAUCUCGUACCCUUUGAAAAUCAUUAUAUUGAAAGAUGGUAACUGGGACAUCGAGUACAGGUCAUCUUCAAUAUCGCCAUCACACAUGGCAUGUUUCUGCAACCAACCGGCGAAAGUCCUCAUUUGUUCAUGUGUAAUCCAGUCGUCAGACUGCUCCUGGUUUUUGGAGUGUAGAAAAUUCUUGUGUUCCUCCAUAUACGGAGCCACCAAGGCGGAAUUCUGUAGAACUGUGUAGUGUGCUUCAGUGAGAGAAUGCCCGUCCAUACAUAUUAUUUGAUCCCCUCCUAGCGUUCCUUUUCCACCAGUCUGCUCUUAUGCCGCGAUUCAAGAACACCAAUCGGCUUAAGGUCAGGAAUAAAUUCAAUACAAAACUCAAUGACCUCCUCAUUUUCAUGGCCCUUCGAGAUGCUUCCUUCUGGCCUAGCACGGUUAUGAACAUAUUUCUUCAAGACUCCUAUGAACCUCUCAAAGGGGAACAUAUUGUGUAGAAAUACAGGACCCAAAACGUUAAUCUCUUUGCAAAGGUGAACUAGGACGUGCGUCAUGAUGUUGAAGAAGGAUGGUGGGAACACCAACUCGAAACUGACAAGACGUUGCACCAAAUCAUUCUGUAACCUUGGUAUGAUUUCUGGAUCGAUUACCUUAUGAGAGAUUGCAUUGAGGAAUGCACAUAGCUUCACAAUGGCUAAUCGAACGUUUUCCGGUAGAAGCCCCCUCAAUGCAACCGGAAGCAGUUGCGUCAUACUCACGUGGAAGUCAUGAGACUUUAGGUUCUGGAACUUUUUCUCUGCCAUAUUUAUAAUUCCCUUUAUAUUCGACGAGAAGCCAGACGGUACCUUCAUACUGAGCAGGCAUUCAAAGAAGAUUUCCUUCUCUUCUUUGGUAAGAGCGUAGCUGGCCUAACCCUGAUGUAUGCCAUCUUUUCCGUGCAUACGUUGCUGGUCCUCCCAUGCCUCUGGUGUAUCUUUUGUCUUCCCAUACACGCCCAUGAAGCCAAACAGGGUCACGCAAAGAUUCUUCAUCACGUGCAUCACAUCGAUUGGGAGCGGACCUCUCGGUCUUUCCAAUAUGGUAGGUCCCAAAAUAUGGAUUUCUUCUUCCACAUGGGUGCGCGCCCGUCAGCAUCCUUCGGAACAGGUUGUCCGCCAGGACCCUUUCCAAAGAUUACCUUCAAAUCCUUGACCAAAUCAUGUACAUCAGCACCAGUACGGUGGCGAGGCUUCGUUCGGUGAUCCGCCUCACCUUUGAAAUGCUUGCCUUUCUUUCUUACGGGAUGCCUGCUCGGAAGAAAUCGACGAUGUCCCAGGUACACAUUCUUCCUACAACUAUCCAAAUAUAUACUGUCGGUAUCAUCCAAACAGUGCGUGCAUCCGCGAUAUCCCUUGUUUGUCUGUCCUGAAAGGUUACUGAGAGCAGGCCAAUCAUUGAUGGUCACGAACAACAAUGCCUUUAGGUCAAAAUCUUCCUGUUUGUGUUCAUCCCACGCACGUACACCUUUUCCAUUCCACAGCUGUAAUAGUUCUUCAACUAAUGGCCUUAGAUAUACAUCAAUGUCGUUGCCGGGUUUCUUAGGGCCUUGGAUGAGCACUGGCAUCAUAAUGAACUUCCGCUUCAUGAACAACCAAGGAGGAAGGUUAUACAAACAUAGAGUCAUAGGCCACGUGCUAUGGUUCCUGCUCUGCUCCCCAAAAGGAUUAAUGCCAUCUGCGCUUAGACCAAACCAUACGUUCCUUGGGUCACCUACAAACUCCUCCCUGUACUUUCUCUCAAUUUUAUCCACUGCGACCCGUCAGCGGGUACUCUCAACUUUCCGUCUUUCUUACGGUCUUCUCUGUGCCAUCGCAUCGCCUUCGCAUGCUCUUUGUUUUGGAACAAACGUUUCAACCGUGGUAUUAUAGGAGCAUACCACAUCACCUUGGCAGGAAUCUUCUUCCUGGGGCGCUCUCCCUCGACAUCACCAGGGUCAUCGCGACUGAUCCUAUAACGCAAUGCACCGCAUACUGGGCAAGCGUUCAAAUCCUCGUACUCACCGCGGUAGAGGAUGCAGUCAUUAGGGCAUGCAGGUAUCUUCUACACCUUUAACCCUAGAGGGCAGACAACCUUCUUUGCUUCAUACGUACUCUCGUGAAAUUCGUUGUCCUUUGAAAGCAUAUUCUUUAUCAUUACUAGCAACUUUCCAAAUCCCUUGUCAGAUACACCAUUCUCUGCCUUCCAUUGCAGCAAUUCCAGUGUGGUUGGUGCCCAACUUUUUUUGUCAGCUUCGCAAUUCGGGUACAACAAUUUCUUGUGAUCCUCUAACAUGCGCUGCAACUUCUUCUUCUCCAAAUCACUUGCACAGUUUCUCUUUGCAUCGGCAAUGGCCCAACCUAGAUCGUCAGCGGGCUCAUCUGAUGCCUCUUCUUUAGCUUCUUCCCAUUGCCGGCUCAGCUUCUUCCCCCAUUGUUGUAUCAUUGUAUUCAGGGAACCCAUGGCCAGGAUAGCUGUCUUCGUCCUAUUCUUCUUCAUUGUCUACCAUCAUAACCCCUCUUUCUCCGUGCUUGGUCCAAACAUUAUAGUGGGGCAUGAAACCGGACUCAAAUAGGUGGAUGUGAAUGGUUCUUGACGUUGAGUAAUUGUGACCAUUCUUACAGCCAGCACAUGGACAAGGCAUAAAACCAUCCGUCCGCUUGUUUGCCUCAGCAGCAAGCAGAAAAGUAUGCAUGCCAUUAAUGAACUCGGGAGAGCAUCGGUCGUCAUACAUCCACUAUCGGCUCAUCUUCAUUACACAACACUGAAAGGACCAAAUUAAUACAAGUUCAUACAUAAAGUUCAUACAUAUAUAUAGUUCAUACAACACUUAAAUGCAACAAACAAAUAACUCUCUAGCUAAAGCAUUUAAAUGCAACAACAAAUGCGAUCAAGAUUGCAACUAAGGUAACAAUUGAUCCAACAACAUAAUGAUACCAAGCCUCACUAUCAAUGGCAUAUUUUCUAAUCUUUCUAAUCUUCAAGCGCAUUUUCUCCAUCUUGAUCUUGUGAUCAUCGACGACAUCGGCAACAUGCAACUCCAAUUCCAUCUUCUCCCCCUCAAUUAUUUUCAAUUUUUCUUUCAAAUACUCAUUUUCUCUUUCAACUAAAUUUAACCUCUCGACAAUAGGGUCGGUUGGAAUUUCUGGUUCACAUACCUCCUAGAUAAAAAUAUCCAUGUCAACUUGAUGGGCAUAAUUUGUCAUAAACACGAAAUGCAACAACUAGUUUUAAAAUAGAAUAUACCACAUCCGAAUCAUAACAAGGACGAGGGCCGAUGGGGACGGAUAUCAAAACCAUGGCACUAUGUAUAACAAACAACGUACGGGUAAGAUAAUUAUAUGAGUAACUAUAUAUCCAAAUCACACAAACAUCAAUUUGGUAAUGUAAAACAUUCAUGAACAAGAGCCUCACCACAAGAUGGUGCCGGCGACGGGACGGUGCGGGUGAUUGACGGUGGUUACGACGGAGAUUUAGAAGGCACUAAGUAAACCUCACCUACAUAUGCAAACUAAGUGUUAUUUUUGACCUCAAAUUGCAUAUAAAUCAAAUACUAGCACAUAUACUUCCUCCCAAAUUACUAAACUCACAAAUUAAUCACUAUACAAAGCAUUGCAAGAGCUAAUCUAGCAAUGAGAGAUGAAAGGACAAAGUUGCUAACCUUUGUGAUCAUUUGAAUGGAUGAGGGCCUUUAAAUCUUGACAAAUUUUGGGCAAAAUGUGUGAUGAGCUCGAGGAAGAGGGGAAGAACAGAGGAGGAGAGGGGAAAGGGGAAGAACAGAGCGAGCUCGGGUGGACGAAGGGUUUAUGUAGGACGACCUUUAGUACCGGUUCGUAACACAAACCGGUACUAAAGGUGCUGGAGGGGCCCCAGACUGACAACAUCCCGCGACCACUGACUUUAGUACCUGUUCGUGGCACGAACCGGUGCUAAAGGUUCGCCACGAACCGGUACUAAUGAGAACGGCUGGCUAGCCAUUGGAACCGGCACUAAUGGACACAUUUGACCCUUUUUCUACUACUGAUUUGUAGUGCAUGAUGUACAAUAGACGACAAAUUGAGUUUCCAAAUUUGUUUGCAUGCACUACAACCAUCAAUGGUCAUUGAUUUCUUUUCAAAAAAACAAAUAUACUAUUGUUUCCUAGCAAUGACUUCUUUUCAAACAAACAGGGUAUAUAUGUACGCUCUGAUUUUUAAGUUAUCAGAUACGACCGAAUAAUAUAAGGCCAUGUCAUGCUUUUUAACGCCUAAUAUUUCUAUACAAAUUAAGAUGACCAUAUAAUAUAAAAUGUGACCCAAAUUAUUAUUUUACUUUUAGGAAAAUAUGAUGCAUGUUGAUACCCAUAGAUAUUUUUUUCGUGCGUACAAAUACCCAUAGACGAUUCUUUUUAGUUUUAGGAAUGCACAUUGUUUGCCAAUACCCACACAUGAUUUUUCCCAUGUGUAUGUGGACCUAAGAUAUCACACCCGCAUACCCUUUUUCAUCAUGCUUUGUAGAUAUAAACAAAAUUGAUAUACUUUGGACGGUACAUACGCGAACACUAUCUUUUUAUUGCACGUAUAUUUUGUUGAGACAUACUUGUAACUGAUACUGGGGAUAUACCCAAAAAUUGUAUAAUUUACAUAUACCUAAUAUAUAUGAUAUGUACAUAUACCUAAUAUAUUAUACAUACAAACUCAUUUUUUAGUACAUGUAUAUGCCUUGAAGACAUAUCCAAAAACAAUAUAGUUUUAAUGGGGACAUACCUAAUAAUGAUAUACUCUUUUUUGGGGUAUGUAUAUGUACCUAAGAUAUUGUACACGCAAACUAUUUUCUUCAAAAGUGUCAUGUGACAUACGUUUCUCCAAAAAGGUAUACAACAUCAAUAAAAUAUGAAUUCUUGUUCUCUGUAGAAAAGCACACGUACCAUGCAUGUGACCAUUGAUUGUUCAUUCUUGCUCACUACAAGAAAUAUGUCAACUAGUGACCUUCUGUCAGUGACCUUGGAAGAAUUGGUCAUAGAUCUAUGACCAUUUGAGACCAAUUGGUCAAAAGCUAUUCCGGGGGCUCCAAACCCUAAACCAUUGCGACCAUUUUGGUCAGAAAGGUCGUAAUUUCCUUACACGAAAUGGUCACAAAACAAACAGCGCUGGUUCGCUGCCUUAUUUCUAGUUGUUAACGACCAAUAUAGAUGGUCAUAGCAUUAUAAAUUGUGGUGGGUUGUGAUGACUAGGCGCCAUCUCAUCAGUUUUGCCUAUGUGUCAUGUCCAUGUGUCAAUUUUUGCCCUAGGUUGUGAAGCAACCUAUAUUUUUGUUAUUCCAAAAAUUCCCAAAAAAUUCUCAUAAUUUUUUUGGAUCAUAUCUUCAUCAAUUAUGUCAAAAACCUUCCUUGCCUAGUUCAAAAAUAAUUCAAAAAUAUUCAUUUUCCUAUUCUGUUCAGAGCAGCACUUUGUGAAGGAAGUGUUAUUUAUAUAUUCUUGAUUUCUUUAAAAAUUUGUGAAGACAUUCUUCUUAGUAUAUGAUCAUCCUCAGCCAAAACUCACGCCCAUUGGCCAUGUGCAUUUCCCGUACCGCUAAUCAAACACUUGGGUGCUAAUUCAUGUUUGAGCAUAGUUCGGUCUCCUCAUGAGAAUCUUAUGUUGUCAUUUUCUUCCUAACACCUACCUGAGGAGUUCCCAACCCACUAGACAUGCCUAGGCCGCCCUGAACGCAUGGCAACGCCACGGUCACGCGGUGACCACGCGGCGGGCAUGCGAGCUUAUGAGCUAUAGAGUUGGGGCCCUCGGCCACCGUCCAAAUCUUGAUGUCUUGCCACCAAACCAUGUAUUUCUGAUUAAAUAGAUACUUAUGUACCUAGAAAUGAUUUUUGGAAAAAAUAAAGACCAAACUAUGAGGCAGCUGCAGUUCAAAUUUGACCCACUUCCUACUGAAUCAGCGGGAAUUUGUCUUUUUCACCAGAGGUGGAUCAAAACUUUUGACACCCAACCAUUUUGUCAAUUGUGCAUUAAAUAUGGCCUAGUAUUUUUGAAAAUUGAUUUGGUCCAAUUUUGCAACAAAUAUAUGGUAGGUCCUUCACAAAAAAACUCAUUUUGGGUACUCGAAAAAAUGGAAAAUGAUUUUUUCGUCCAAAUAAAAUGAAAACUUCCUUAGGCAACAUUGUUUUUCAUUCCAACAUGCAGUCUUUUGCACGAUAUGAGAUCAUUUGAACAAACUAUGCCAUGAAUGUGGCCAUAAGAUUGAUCAUUUGGGUUGAAAGCCAUGAAUCUUCACGCAUGAUAGCUCAUCUCUGAGAAUACCUUUUUAAAAUAAUUUCCGUAUUACAAUUUUAUUAUUUUUUCUGGAAACUUGAUCACAUAUAAUGAAACAAUGCAAAAGAUUUCCAAUUUUUUGUUUUUUUUUGAAUUUUUAUGCCCAUUUCAAGAUGCAGCCAAAACGACGGGCUUGACAGUUCCUAGCUAGUGGUUGAAUCUUGGAAAACUUUUGAUGUUUCUCUGAUUAAAUAGAUAUUUAUGUACCUAGAAAUCUUUUUUGGAAAAAAAUAAAGAGCAAACUUUGAGGCAGCCACAGUUCAAAUUUGACCCGCUUCCAACUGAAUCAGCGGAAAUAUGUCUUUUUCACGAGAUGUGGAUAAAGGCUUUUGAAACCCAACCAUUUGGUCAAUUGUGCAUUAAAUAUGGCCUAGUAUUUCAGAAAAUUGAUUUGGUCCAAUUUUGCAAUAAAUAUAUUGUAGGUCCUUCACAAAAAAACUCAUUUCGGGCACUUGAAAAAUGGAAAAUGAAUUUUCCAUGCAAAGAAAAUGAAAACUUCCUUAGGCAACAUUGUUUGUCAUUCCAAUAUGCACCCUUGUGCACAAUAUAAUAUCAUUUGAACAAACUAUGCCAUGAACAUGGCCAUAAGAUUGAUCAUUUGGCUUGAAAGCCAUGAAUCUUCACAAAUGAUAGCUCAUUCAUGAGGACACUGUUUCAAAAGAAUUGACGUAUUACAAGUUUAUUAUUUUUCCUGGUAACUUGGUCACAUAUAAUGACACAAUGCGAAAGUUUUCCAUUUUAUUUUAUUUUUUUAAAUUUUUUAUGCCCGUUUCAAAAUGCGGUCAAAACGAUGGGAAUGACCGUUCCUAGCUAGUGGUUCUAUCUUGGAAUUUUUUUGAUGUUUCUCUGACUAAAUAGAUACUUAUGUACCUAAAAAUGAUUUUUGGAAAAAAUAAAGAGCAAACUAUGAGGCAGCUGCAGUUCAAAUUUGACCCGCUUCCAACUGAAUCAGCAGAAAUUUGUCUUUUUCGCGGGAGGUGGAUCAAAACUUUUUACACCCAAACAUUUGGUCAAUUGUGCAUUAAAUAUGUCCUAGCAUUUUAUAAAGUUUAUUUGGUACAAUUUUGCAACAAAUAUUUGGUAGGACCUUCACAAAAAAACUCAUUUCGGGCACUCAAAAAAUGGAAAAUGAAUUUUCCGUGCAAAGAAAAUUAAAACUUCCUUAUGCAACAUUAUUUACCAUUCCAAGAUGCACCCUUAUGCACAAUAUAAGAUCAUUUGAACAAACUAUGCCAUGAAUGUGGCCAUAAGAUUGAUCAUUUGGCUUGAAAGCCAUUCAUCUACACACUUGAUAGCUCGUUUUUGAGAACACUUUUUUAAAAUAAUUGCCGUAUUACAAGUUCAUAAUUUUUCCUGGUAACUUGGUCACAUAUAAUGACACAAUGCGAAGGUUUUCAAAUUUUUUGUUUUUUUUGGAUUUUUAUCCCCGUUUCAAGAUGCCGUCAAAACGGUGGGAAUGACCGUUCCUAGCUAGUGGUUGAAUCUUGGAUUUUUUUGGUGUUUCUCUGAUUAAGUAGAUACUUAUGUACCUAGAAAUAAUUUUUGGAAAAAAUAAAGAGCAAACUACGAGCCAGCUGCAGUUCAAAUUUGAUCCGUUUCCAACUGAAUCAACAAAUAUUUGUCUUUUUCAAGACAGGUGGAUAAAAUCUUUUGACACCUAACCAUUUGGUCAAUUGUACAUUAAGUAUGGCCUUAUAUUUUAUAAAAAUGAUUUAGUCCAAUUUUGCAACAAAUAUAUGGUCGGCCCUUCACAAAAAACCUCAUUUUGGGCACUCAAAAAAUGGAAAAUUAAUUUUUAGUCAAUUACGACCAAUUUUUUAUUCAACUAUGACCAUUUGAGAUGGUCAUAACAUCGUACGCGUAUACUGCAUUUUGAUUGGUCCGUGCAUGUUUCACGCGGAUCAUGCAUGGAACACCGUCGGAUGCUCGCGGAUCCAACGGUGGUCCUCACCCCAAGCCCACCUAGGCCGAAACCCUAGCUCUUUCCUCGUGGACAUUUUCCAUCCACCCCCGCCUCUUUUCUUUCUCUCCUCGCGCUGCCAAUUCCCUAGCUCUCUUCUCCUUUCUCGCUCUGCCCGCGCACACCAUGGCCACCCGCACGCCCCUCCUUCGCCGGUGUUGACCCGCAGUCCACCUUCCCCAUCUUCCACUCCCUCUCUCCACCCGUCGAUCCCAUCGAUCCAUGACCAGAUCCAUCGCCUCUUGUGGCAUCCCAUCGAUCCACGGCUAGAUCCACCGCCCACCCUGACCACUCCUCGUUCCACCCACACCAAUCCAUCCCCCCGCGUCUCCGCUGCCCCCACCCAGUUGCGCCGUGGCGAAGCCCGUCCUCCGCGUCGCUGCCAUCUGCGGCCCCUCAUCCCCUCCUCUCUCUCCCGCUCCACUCACUUGCUGCCGCCACCUCACACGCUCGAUCCCAGCAAGGACGCAGCAGUUGAUCCCGGCGAGGACGACGGCAGCGAGGUCGGCGCCCUCGUUGAGUGGCACGUGACGCCCGGCGCGAUGCUGACGCGGUCCGUCAUGACCGCCUGCAGUUUCUGCACACCCAAUGAUGGCUGCACGGUCACCAUGCCGAGGUCCACGCUCUGCUCCCUCUGCUCUUUUUUUCCCUCUCGGCCGCUGCCGCCGUGUAGAAUUUGAUGCUGCCAUGGCCGUUCCCUCGAUUUGAUCGCCGCAUUCGUUGAUCAGGAUUAGGAGCCUCCUGCCCGGACGCGGCCGGUGGUGCGGAGGUCGCCUGGAGCCGGAGAUGGCGCCAGCGCCAUGACUUCCCAUAGCUCGAGUUGAUGCACUCAUCGCUACAUGAUCUGUAAGUGUUGGGUCUGUAGCUAGAAGAAGCUAGGGUUCUUGACUCCUGCUGCUAAAGAGAUUCAGGCGGGGGUGGUCUUAGAUUUUUUUAUCGUAAUAUAGUCUAGUGCGGAGUACUCCUUGCUCCAGCGAAAGGAUUGCAUCAGCCAUUGGCAGCGUCUACCUCCGUCCUUUGCUUAGUAGGAGCAAGAUGGAGUCGCUGGAGGAGAGUAGUGGAGUCUGCAUUUUCUUCUUCUGUCAGACAAACAUCCACAUGCUGUACCGAUUCUUAGUUCAGAGACGGGGAUGUAUAAAUGGUUGCCGAUCUCUGCAUGCAUGGAACAAUAGCUUUUUAUGUAGGAUCCAUUCUGUAAAGAUGAGUCACAACAUUGAUUUCUUGAUCCAUUUGGAAACUAAAAUAAAGUACAGAGAGAAGGAACUUGUUGGUAGAACUUUAUCAUAUUCAGCAGACGGAGUCCACGGGUGUAGCAUUUUGUCUAGUACACCCAGCUCCACCUGAGGAUCCAAUCCACUGUUAGAAAGUUAGAAACUGAUAUUACAGGUUCAUUAUAGUGCAAACCAAAGCAACUACUCCAACAACCAUCAAAUGAAACCAUGUUCUUUAAAAUUAAAGGGUCUAGUUGAUAAUGGUCCUUCUUUUGAUAGGUAUAAUAUGUAUCUUGACUUGUUAUUUUCUUCUCUAGCAAGCACUACGGCGUCAACCUCGUGGUGGCCAGCGUGACGGCCAUCGAGCACGACUUCUUCGCCAAGAACAACCUCAUCGUGGACAUCACGCCUCAGUACAUCAUGAUGGAGCUCGGCUGGUUCGACGCCCAUCUCAAGACACCAUAUACCCCUGCCAGUACCUGAUUGUUCUCAUUCAUUAUUGUGCAACAGCGCUUGCUUGUUCAAAUCCAUUUGUUUCAAUUAAUGCCAACAUGUACAUAUUUACACAGGAGAGAUAGCUAGAUUUUCCGACUAAGAAGUGAUAAUAAAAAUGUGGUUGUUUUAACCUAGAGGUUAAUAAAACACUUUGAUAGUUCUGUUCCUGAGCAUUUUUCAGUUUGCAGUUACUUGUGCUGAGAUACUAGUCUCUUUCUUUGUCCAGAAAAUGUGAUGUGUAUUUCUUGUCGAGAGUAUAAUAUUCCAUGGCCAGAGCAAGCAAGAUGUUAUUUCUAGUGCUAGCCUUUUGUUGUAUUAAGGUACUGUAUAUAGUAGGAGCACUUUGUCUUCAGAGACAUCAAUCAUGAGUAAUGUAGUCGCUUCCAUUGCAUACUUGCUCUAGCUGCAAGUACUUGGAAAUUACUAUGACGUAUAUUUUUGGAUGAGGGAUCACAUAUCUUGUGUGUUGCAUGGAUGCCAUCUGAACUGAAGUAUUGUAAGUACUACUUGCCGCUAAUCUUGUGUGUUGCAUGGAUGCCAUCUACACCAUUGGUUAAUGCAGGACACUGCCAGUUGCUCUGUAGUGUAUCUUAUCCUGCCGUUCUCAAGGUAGGACCGUGAAUUGGAAGCCUACAGUACGUAUUGUGUGGCUUGCCCCUUUUGGGAGAGGUUAUUUUCUUAUAGUCAGUCUAGUCUGCCUGUGUUUGUAUACUAAUUAUCAUUUACUAGAAUUUAGCUCCUGCUUGCUACUGCCUGGUUCUUGACACCAGUAUUUUGUAUUAAAACCUGCAUACUUCACCCCUUUCCAGAUUCUUCGGUGGAGGUGACCCAUGUGAUGGCGAUUCACUCCAUCUGCUCCGGUUCUGGCGGUGGUGGUGCUCCUAUGAUGGCUAUGCGCUGGUAGGCUUGGCUGCCUCCCCUGGCCGCCGCCAUGGUGAUGAAGCUGAGCCUAGGCUACAACCCCUCCAGUGAGAUCCUCAGCUCCCCUUGUACCCCUCCUACUUGCUUUAUGAUUCUCUGCUCUGCCUUCGUGAGGUGUAAUUGUUCAAUUUUUUCAUAGUCGAGCAUUGGAUGAUAUUGUAUAUGUCAUGAUGUACAUGGUUCAUGAAGUAUGCAAACCUACAGCUUGUUAUGCUAGUGAUAGUAGGAUAAUGUAGCUUGUUGUACUAAUGAUACUGCUAUGGCUUUCACAUUCAUUCAUUCUCUGAUUGUUCUAGGAGUCCUCAUUCAUUUGAAAAAUCUGUGCACAUGUAGUCAUUCGGGAGAAGCAUCCCCAUACUAGCACAUGUAUUUGAAAAAUAUAUUCAAAUUUGUUCAUUCCAGAGAAGCACACCCAUAUUAGCCAUUGCAGGGGAGGAAGGGAUCAGGGAGUUGAGUUGCUUGACUUUCUUUUGUAAUAUAUAAUUUGUGCAUAUGAUGUGCCACGAUCGAUGAUUAUUAUUGUAGUUUCAGCGUGUGUUGAACUUAAUGAAAUGGUUAGUUGUGGUUUUCUGAAUCCUGUACUAUUGAUGUCACAAGGGAAGGGAUCUUGGAGUACCUGCUACCUUUGAGAUGUACCGGUGGGCUGCCAUCGGGAUGAUUCUCAUGUAGAAGCUGAACGAGAUGGUUUCCAGCUGUGCGCCCAGUCCUGAACUCGCCAUUUGUGUCCUCCUGCAGUGGUUUCUUGCUGGUUGAGCGCAGGAACACUCUGCAUAGCUGAGGCGAUGAUGCAUACCAAAUUUUCUUCAAGUACAUACACAUCCACUGCAUCAGCUUGGAGCUGGGUAUGCAUGAGGUCUCCUUUUACUUACUUCGUACUCGAAGGUGGAACAAAAUCUUGCUUGUUCAGUAUGGUCCAGCCUAGCAUGUAUAUAUACCCAGUAGUUUGUGUUCUUGAUAUCUACAUGUAGCGUCAUGAGGAAUAAACCUGCUGAUUUCAUAUGUCGUCCUAUGGAAGUCACCAACCUUUUUUUAUCAACACUAAUUUCAGAUAGAUAGGUUCUGCUUACCAUACCUAAGAGUGUAGCAUGCUGUGAAGGGAUACUCCAAAGUAGACAAUUAAAAGAUGUUAGUAAAAUCAGUAUGCAUCCCUAGUGAUGCUUUAUCUUGUUAUUUUUGUCUGAGUGUUGUGCUGUAGCAUCACUAACUAGUAUGUUUUUUUCCAGGUCUAUACAAGUGCCAUCUAUGUCUAGCAACAUAAGCCUCUUGUCAUGUCAUGUAUCUAUUAUCACGUUAGAUGUUUUAUUAAGUGAAUGUUUUAUUUCUUGAAAGCGUCGAUGUACUGAUGCGAACACUGCUUGUGUACUUAUGACUAAUCAGUUUUCCCCUCUCUUAUAUAGGAGUUCCUUGGUCGAAGAAAUUUGAAGAAGCUCGAAGCCCCUGUCAGCGACUCGCUUUAUAUGUUAUUGAACUUGUAAUGCAGAAUUUGCUUGGAAUUUUGAUGUAAGGCUGAUCUUGCUGGGAAUUGGGUGUAUAUUUACUUGCUGUACUUUUUAUUAAAAUGCUGGUUGUACUUGUUAUUCAAAUGCUGGUUGUACUUGUUAAGCAAAUGCUUGUAAUUUAAAUUUGUGCUAAAUGUAUACAUAAUACUGAAAGAGGCCUUGGCCCAAACGCUACUGGACCUUAAAAAGGCCACUGCCCAAACAUAGUUAAACUCGGUUUCAACAAAUACCAAUAUAUUAAUUCUUGAAAAUAAAUAAAAUGAAUUGUAAAAAGGCCAAAUUAUGAAAUUUAAAAGGAGAGCAAAAAGGGCCGAGGCUACAAAAAAUAAAUUGAUUGUAAUAGGCUGUGGCCGAGAAAGUAAAAGGCUGGAUUGUUGGGCCUGGCCCAUGUAGCCAAAUAAAAUUAAUAGAAAAAACAACAAAUAGGCUGAAUUGUUGGGCUCGGCCCAUGUAAAACACCGAAUCAGACUGGGAUGAAUCUUAUAAGUGACCUUUUCAAUAGGUCGCAAUUUUGCCACGUUAGAUUGCCACGUUGAAUCCGACGUGGCCUGGGCAGACAACCAGUGACCAAAUUAAGCAUAUAAUUACACACAUAACAUCUUCACACACCAAAGUAGGCAAUUACAUGCGUACUAAACUAUGACAAAUGAGGAUCUAAUCAUCUACUUCUUGUUGCGACCAUGCUUGCCAUUGCUCUGCUUCCGGCUAGAUCCCUGGUCGUUUUGGGGAAGGAGGCACUUCCUCAUGUCAACGAUCCACCUGUACAUGUCGUAGCACGUGUACGCCUCCUUGGCCCCGUACACGACGUGAGCUUUGUCGACUUUCUCCAUCAUGGACGAGUGCCAGGCACGCUUGUCCUUGUUGCAGGAAUCCUUCAUGUAUCUCUCCUCCACAUAGGCAAAAUUGCCAUGUAAGCAGGCUAUAAGCCCACUAUUGUAGUACUUCCUCUUAGCGGCAUGGUGGACCAACCAUGUGGGGUGCGAAGUGGCUUCGCUCAUGCGGGGGACAAAGGCCAUUCCGCAAGGGUGCUAGGUCUGAGAGGACGACCUUGUCGUCAGUGUGUGUCCUUCUGUGGCAACCGUUUGCUCCCCACUAGACUGUUCGUGUACCGUGGCAACCGUCCACCCCCUCUUCGCCUUUCCCUCUCGAUUUGGAACUGCUGUCGCAUGCUCUUCCUCCCUCCAUUUGCCUACACCCUUCCUUCUUCCCUUGUUCGGUCGUCUUCUCCAUAGAGGGAACAGGACAUAAACGACCCCGUUAUUCUUUCCCCGAUCUGAAAGAUGAUGUGGUGGAGGAACUCAUUGAUCGAAGCAACAUCAUCACCUCGGCUAGCAUAGAACGCUCAUUCAAGUCCAUUCUUGACUCAACAAAUAACAUCAUUGCAAAGAACCCGAGGGUUCAGCAGCGGUUUGAUCUCCCCUAUCUUCUUCGCCAUGACCCUGGUCACCGGCGUGGGGACGACGGAAGCCUCGCCUUGUGUAAGUUGAUGCCGCUUGAUAAUGAUACGUGUGAUGUUAAGAUGCCAUCGCUUGAGGGUAAGGCUUGGGCAUGCACAAAUGGAGAUUGGGUUAUUUAUAUUGGAUAUAAUUGCGAGUGGGAACUUGUGAAUGUGUACACUCGUAACUGGGUUCCACUUCCAAAAAUCACAGACUGCCCCGAGGUUCAGCAAACAGAUGAUCUACGAUCGUUCAAAUACGAUCAUGGGGACUGUCGUGAACGGAAGAUAGCAAUUUGUCGAGUUCCCAACCGCUCUUGGGAUUACAAGAAUUAUGAAGUUGUUGUUAUCUUAAACAAGCUUGUUGCCGUCCUUACUUCCACGCCUCGAUGGAUAUUGCUCAAAAAUUAAUUUAUGUACACGGAUGAGUACUGUGAUGCAAUUCAAUACGAGGGUCUUGUGUUUGCUGCCACCACUCGUGGCACUAAUUUUGCAUGGAAUCCUUAUGAUUUCGGUACGUUUAUCUUCCACCAUAAUUAUAAUUGUUUCAUCCACAUGCAUGCGGGUUAGCUAGUUUCCCUUUAUUAAUUAAACUUCUUGUGUUUCCAAGCUCAUGUGAACAUUCCACCACCUACACUUGAAAAUUUUAAUAACCAAGGGGGAGAUGACGAUGCUGAUGAUCGCGAGCAUGAUGACGAGCAGGACCUAUAUACUUAGUUUCCCCUGGCAACUUAUUCUGAUGGAUCACCUCUUCUUGUAUGUAUACAUGGCACUGCUGAUGUUACUAAUGAAGCAGGUGUUGUCUCCCAUGGCCGCACUCUCCGGACCUAUUCUAACAUCCGUUGCAGGGUAUUCGGGAUGGAUACUCGUGUGCUAGCGCCAACACCUUCUCCCUGGUUCAGUAUUGAUAGUCUUGGAGAAAACUCGCUCUUCCUUGGACAAAACUAUCCAAUGAUGGUGAAAGGCGAUCCAGCUGUUGUUGACACAAUGUUAGUACCCUUUAUGAGAAGCACCUGUAUCUAUACCUCGAACAUUGCUAUGGUUCCCGACCCUCUCUAUCACAAUAUGCGUCCUAUAGGCCGCUUCAGCCUGGAUGAUCAGUCCCGCGUUGGUUUCGAGAUUGACAAUAGUAGGCCCUUCCCAGAGAAUCAAUUAUGGUUCAAAGCAAGCGUUUCCAGCGCCGAGGAUUGGUUGAGCUAAAGUUCAUUUCAUCGCUUUGUUAUUUGUUGUGUGAGAAAAACUUUAGUAUUUACUAGGAUGUUUUGUUGGAAAUAAUCUAUAAUCCAACAUGUAUGCUCGUUUUUAUUGUGUGUUCAUGACUUGUUAUAUAUAAUCCAACGUAUAUUGUUUUUCUAUUUGGAUGAUUAAUGUUGCCGCUUUAUUGCUUAACCGAAGCAUGGCACGUAUCCAUUAUUGGUCUAAUGCUCACGGUUCUAAUAAAUAAUCUAUUUGGGAUAUUGGUUCCCAAUUAUUAAUAAUCUCCCGUUUGUAAUUAGAUAAAGAUUACAUCAAAACUGGUCUCAGAACUGACCAAAAAAAGUACAAUGCAACUUUGUAUUGGUGUCCAUAUGACAACACGAUAAGUUUCACAAACUUCAAAUAAGUUUUGGAUGUACAAGAAUUUAAAAAUCAAGAUUCUCAUUGUUUGGAAUUUGUUGCACGGGGAGUAAACAUGCACCCCAUGAGACACAUGUGUUUUUGCAAUCCAUUUAGGUGCACUGUCACGUGUGCAUGUAGCUCGAAUUUUAUUUUUGCACAUUAUACCCGUAGAAAAUCAAUCAAUUAAUGUACUAAAAUGUCUUAAUGAUCUCUGAUUUUUUUCCAAAUUAAAACGUCCCUCCUUUGGUAACAUAUAUAUGUUCACUGCUGGAUAAUUAAUUUAACAUGCAUCGUAGUUGCGGUGCAUUUGUGGUGUGUGUGUGGGUGUGUGCGCCUGGGGGUGGAGGGUGGCUCGCAGUACAGUACGAGCUGUGAGCCACCGUGUGGGUUGGCUGUUUUGUUAGGCAGGCUGGUGCCACAUCGGAGUCGUGAAUUCGAAAUUUAAAACAUUACACAAUCCUUUCAUACAUACAUAUUUUGUCCACAUGAAGUCGAUGGUUGUCCUACACGACACUCGAUCCUCGCGUGUGACGCUUUUAGUGGGCCCGCGAGGUUGUCGUCCAUCACUUUGACGAACAGCCGAUAAUGAGGUUAGUUUAAAAAGCAGUUAUCUCAAUGUUUGCGGCCGAGUGACGGUGGCAGGGUGUUUGACAUUCAUUCUCAUUUCUUGCAUGGGACCUUAGCAUGCAACCAAGGACAUAGAUUUAAAUUUUCAACCAAUUUAUAUGCAUUAGAGCAUGUCCCUGUACUUCAGAUUUGAAUUAUGCACAUAAAUGCAUUGAAAACUCAAUUAAUGUAUAAAAAUGUCCAAACGAACCCCGAAAAAUUCCAAAUUUUAAGACAACACUCCUGUUGUUCUAUGUUGACACUAGAGAAAAAAAUUAAAGAAAGAACAGGCAACGAAUAUCAUUUCGUCCCCAAAGGUGGCACAUUCCCUACCGAAACCAUGAGGGUCUUGUUGUGAGAAGCUCUGGUUUAUGAGAAGCUUAUAUCCAAGCCUGCCCCAAAUAGGACAAAAUUUUUACCACAGCAUGUUGAUGCCGCUCCAUGAUAGCAUGCCAAGUUUCAUGAAUUUCAGAAGAGUUUUGGAUUUACUAGAAUUUGAAAAUCAGAUAUCUCAAUGUUUGUGGCCGAGUGACGGUGGCACGGUGUUUGACAUUCAUUCCCAUUUCUUGCAUGGGACAUAAGCAUGCAACCAAGGACAUGUAUUUCAAUUUUCAACCAAUUAUUAUGCAUUAGAGCAUGUGCAUGUAGUUCAAAUUUGAAUUAUGCACAUAAAUGCAUUGGAAACUCAAUUAAUGUAUAAAAAUUUCCAAACGAACCACGAAAAAGUCCUAAAACUAACACAACACUCAUGUUGUGCUAUGUUGUCACUAGAAAAAAAAUUGAAAUAAAAAAGAGGCAACGGAUACUGUUUCAUCCAGGAAGGUGAAACGUUCCCUACCGUAACCAUGAGGCUUGUUGUGAGAAGCUCUGGUUUGUGAGAAGCCUAUAUAGCCCAACCUGCCCCAAAUGGGACAAUAGUUUUACAACUGCAUGUUGAUGCCGUUCCAUGCUAGCGUGUCAAGUUUCAUAAAUUUUAGACGCAUUUUCUAUUUACUAGAAUUUUCAAACCAUGUAUCUCAAUGUUAGCGUGUGAGCGACGGUGGCAAGAUGUUUGACAUUCAUUCUUAUUUCUUGCAUGGGACUUAAGCAUCUAACCAAAGACACACAUUCCAAUUUUGAACCACUUGAUAUGCACUGCAGCAUGUGCAUGUUGUAGUUCAAAUUUGAAUUAUGCACAUGAAUGAAUAGAAAACUCAGUUAAUGUAUAAAAAUGUUCAAGCGAACCCCGAAUAGUCCCAAAAAAUGACACAUCACUCAUGUUGUUCUAUGUUGACACGAGGAAAAUUUAGAAAGUAAGAAGAGUCAACAUAUAUCGUUUGUCCCCCAAGGUGGCACGUUCCCUACCGAAACCAUCUGGCUUGUUGUGAGAGAAGCUCCGGUUAGCGAGAAGCUUAAACCCAAAACUUCCCCAAAUGGGAAAAUAUUUUUACCAUGACAUGUCGAUUCCGUUCCAUGAUAUCUUGUCAAGUUUCAUCAAUUUCAGCCGAGUUUUCGAUUUACUAGAAUUUUAAAACCAUGUAUCUCAAUGUUAGCGGCCGAGCGACAGUGUCAAGGUGUUUCACAUUCAUUCUCAUUUCUUGCAUGUGACCUAAGCUUGCAACCAAGGACAAACAUUUGAUUGUGCAACCCGUUUUGAUGGACUGGAGCGUGUGCUUUAAUUUUGAAUUGUGCACCUGAAAUGGCGAGAAAACAAAUUUAAUGCAUAAAAUUUCCAAACGAACCCUGAAUAAUUCCAAUUUUUGUACGACACACAUAUAUUUGCAUGUUCACUGCAAAUAAAAGGUCUAGCAAUUCAAACACUGUCCAUUGCCGCUCCGACCCCAUUAAGCAAUUCAAAUCAAAAUGAAAAAUCAAGUUGAUCCUGCACAGUUUAUUAUCGCCAACCGUGUGAGAUGCAGUACAAAAUAUCCUAGAGUACCAUCUGUGUAUAGUACGCCUAUGGCUUACGCAAGAAGGUGGGUCGGCUAUAGUCCACAGCCGGUGUGUCAAGCACACUAUCUCGCUCCCCAAAUACUCCCGCCUCUGCAUUCCUCGCAAUCUCAAAAAUAUCUGCUCGCCCUUGAUCCAAAUUUUCAAUAGCCCCGCCCUGUUACUCCCACCUAGUAAAAUUUUCAGUUGCCGCGGUAUUUCCUCAAACACCACCUUAACACCCCCCCACACACCACACACCCAAAACCUCCGCUCCCCGACACACACCACCCCUGUAACAAUUGGAAGGUCAUUGCCAUCACCGCCGCCUCCAUCCUUAACCUCUGCCUAUGUACCGGGGAGCUCGAGGAGCCAAUGGUCCAAGGGAGGUUUAGCACAGCCUCCUCGCCCGAUGCAGGAGAGGUGGCCUCCGAGGUGUCCCCGUCGUCCUCUACGGGCUCUUUAUCGAUCCGCCGUUGCCGGUCACCCGAUCCGCCCGCCGCCACGCCCCUAAGCCGGUUUGAGGACUUCCCCGUCCUCCCUCGGACCCGACAGCCGACGAGGUCCUACCUCGGGGUACGUCAGUGGCGGUUGGGGAUGUGGGUCACCAAGAUUACAGAUCAGGAGGUCCACACCCGCUGGUGGCUCGGUAGCUUCCACAUUGCCGAGCUCGCGGCAAUGGAGUAUGACCGCUGGUAGGUCGCUACCACGGCGCGGUGGCUAGUCUCAAUUUCCCAUUUGGCACACGUCCGGUCCACCUCGUUCCGCCAGAGCCAGGGGUGGUGAGAUCGGCUAUGGCGCGGAAGGAUCGCGAGGUGAGGGAACGCAUCGAGGCCGAGGCCGCCGACGAGGCCUACAUGCAAGAGCUCCGCUGGCAACACCCAAAGCUCGUGGAGGCGGAGCAGGCGAUCUUUGCCGGUGCAGAGGGCGGCGAGGUUAUCACGCUCUCCUCCGCUGACGAGGUCGAAGGUGGCAAGGACGAUGGCAUGGAGGGCGGCGAGGUUAUCACGCUCUCCUCCGAUGAUUUGGUCGAAGGCGGCGAGGACGGCGGUGUGGAGGGUGUCGAGGUGGGUAGCGAGAACGAGGAGAUCGACAUCGACGAUUGGAGGAGUGGCUUCCCCAACGACCCCAAUGAAGGCACCGGCCCGGACCCGGCUCGUGGCACAUCGUACCUAACGAGGAAGGAUUGGCAGGAUCUCUACUUCGACCGAAAGUAGUUUAGCUUAGUUCAAAUUUAUGUUUUAUGUUCUCUUAUGAAAAACUAUCUAUGUUUAUGUUUGAAUGCAUGCUACUUUUGGUUGAACCUUCUUUGAACUUGAUCAAAUUGAAGUUUACAACAUUAAGUUUAGGGGAUCGACUAUAAACGACAAAAAAUUGCUGGAGUAUAUAUAUAUCCACUAAGGGUUUUAGUCCUUGAACUUCUAAAGGAUCGUCUAGAGAUGGCCUUAUGCCUUGUUUAUUUCAGUUCUUCACAAUGUGAUGCUCUAUAUGUGCAACUAUUUGCCGUGCAAUUCAAUAUCAUCAAUAACAGUUUCAACAAUACCACUACGAAUUACGAUAUUUGGUUGCUAUUAAGGAUAUUGCAGUUAACAUGCCUUUUAAUUUUUUAACAAUAACUAGUGUACUUUAGACCUGCACAAUACCAGUUUGAAUGACUAUUUGCUUGUUUAUAAAUGUUACGCCUGAUGCAGUUAACACACCUUUCCACUUCUUGUGUUUCUUAACUAGCGUGCUUAAGCCUGCACACUGAAGCUAUCAUUUGUUUAUUAUGUUGUCUACCAUGGAUAUAUUUGGUUGAUGUUUAGCAUGUGGUCCUUAACAUGCCUUUAUAUGUACUCAUACAGUUCAAUAUUGAGAACAUUGUUGUUUUCCAUUGAGGUUAGUUUCAUUGAAUUGUACUGAAUGACUAAAUAUGCAUUCCCAGGUUACAUAGCAACAAGGAAGAGUGUUACCUGAAUGUUCUGAUGAUGUCUAGAUAUACAUUUAUAAAAUCUUAUAUAAUGGGAUGGAGAGAGUGUUGUACUACAUCAUUUUUCAAUUGUUGUUUAGCUUCUAAUAUUAACUUGGUUCUUUUAGGUACACAUGUCAUUGCCAAAGAUCCACACUUAGACCCUUGCAUAUUAUAAUUCAUCACGAAGUUCUAGUAACUUUGUGAUGGUGACUAGCGAACUUUGUCAAUCACUAUCUUAUCUGGAAGAUUAACUCCCACUUGAUUCAAGCAACUGUAGUACCCAGACAAUCUGAGCACAUGCUCACUGCUUGAGCUAUUCUCCUCCAUCUUUUAGCUAUAGAACUUGUUGGAGACUUCAUAUCUCUAAACUUGGGUAUUUGCUUGAAAUAUUAACUUCAACUCCUGGAACAUCUCAUAUGGUCCAUGACGUUUAAAAUGUCUUUGAUGUACCGAUUCUAAGUCGUAAAGCAUGGUGCACUAAACUAUAAGUAGUCAUCAUAUUAAGCUAGCCAAAUGUUCAUAACUUCUGCAUCUACUCCCGCAAUAGUUUUGUCACCUAGCGGUGCAUCAAGGACAUAAUUCUUCUAUGCAACAAUGAGGAUAAACCUCAGAUCACAUACUCAGUCCGCAUCAUUGCUACUAUCACCUUUCAACUUAGUUUUCUCUUGGAACAUAUAAAAACAUAGGAAGCUACAACGCGAGCUAUUGAUCUACAACAUAUUUUGCAAAAUACUAUCAGGACUAAGUUCAUGAUAAAUUAAUGUUCAAUUGACCAUAUUACUUAAGAACCCCCACUUAGAUAGACAUCCCUCUAGUCAUCGAAAUGAUCACGUGAUCCAAAUCAACGAAACCAUGUCCGAUCAUCACGUAAGAUGGAGUAGUUUUCAAGGUGAACAUCACUAUGUUGAUCAUAUAUACUAUAUGUUUCACGCUCGACCUUUCGGUCUCCAGUGUUCCGAGGCCAUAUCUGCAUAUGCUAGGCUCAUCAAGUUUAACCCAAGUAUUCUGCAUGUGCAAAACUGGCUUGCACCCAUUGUAUGUGAACAUAGAGCUUAUCACACCUGAUCAUCACGUGGUGUCUCGGCAUUAAGAACUGUAGCAACGGUGCAUACUCAGGGAGAACACUUAUACCUUGAAAUUUAGUAAGGGAUCAUCUUAUAAUGCUACCGUCGUACUAAGCAAAAUAAGAUGCAUAAAAGAUAAACAUCACAUGCAAUCAAAAUAUGUGACAUGAUACGGCCAUCAUCUUCUCGUGCUCAUGAUCUCUAUAACCGAAGCAUCGUCAUAAUCUCCAUCGUAGCAUCGUUGUCGUCUCGCCAACUAUUGUUACUAGGACUAUCGCUACCGCUUAGUGAUAAAGUAAAACAAUUACAUGGCGAUUGCAUUGCAUACAAUAAAGCAACAACCAUAUGGCUCCUACCAGUUGUCGAUAACUUUGUUACAAAACAUGAUCAUCUCAUACAACAAUUUAUAUCACAUCAUGCUUGACCAUAUCACAUCACAGCAAGCCCUGCAAAAAGAAGUUAGACAUCCUCUACUUUGUUGUUGUAAGUUUUACGUGGCUGCUAUGGGCUUCUAGCAAGAACGAUUCUUACAUACGCAUCAAAACCACAAUGAUUUGUUGUCAAGUGUGCUGUUUUAACCUUCAACAAGGACCGGCAUAGUCAAACUCGAUUCAACUAAAGUUGGAGAAACAGACACCCGCCAGCCACCUAUAUGCAAAAGCACGUUGGUAGAACCAGUCUCAUGAACGCAGUCAUGUAAUGUUGGUCUAGGCCGCUUGAUCCAACAAUACCGCCAAAUCAAAGUAAGACAUUGGUGAUAAGCAGUAUGAGUAUUAUCGCCCAUAACUCUUUGUGUUCUACUCUUGCAUAUAACAUCUACGCAUAGACCUGGCUCUGAUACCACUGUUGGGGAACGCAGCAAUUUGAAAAGUUUCCUACGAACACGCAAGAUCUAUCUAGGUGAUGCAUAGCAACGAGACGGUAGAGUGUGUACACGUACCCUCCUAGACCAAAAGCGGAAGCAUUUCAAUAACGCAGUUGAUGUGGUCGAACUUCUUCGCAAUCCAAACGAUCAAGUACCAAACUUGUGGUACCUCAGCAUUCAACACACGUUCAGCUCGAUGACGUCCCUCAUGCUCUUGAUGCAGUUGAGGACGAGGGUGAGUUCCGUCAGCACGACGACAUGGUGACGGUGAUGAUGAAGUUACCGGCGCAGGGCUUCGCCUAAGCACUAUGACGAUAUGACCGAGGUGUGUAACUAUGUAGAGGGGGCACCGCACAUGGCUAAGAGAUUAUUUGUUGUGCUAUUGGGGUGCCCCCUGGCCACGUAUAAAAAGGAGGGAGGGACAGAGGAAGCCGACCAGGUUGGGCGUGCCAGGGGGGAAGUCCUACUUGGACUCCUAGUCCAAGUAGGAUUCCCCCCUUUCGUUUCUUCCACCAGAGGGAAAGGGAAGGGAGAGAGAGGGAGAAUGAAAGAGGGGGGGGGUGGCUGUCGGUAUCAAAACUGGUGAAUCUCGGGUAGGGGGUCCCAAACUGUGCGUCUAAGGCUAAUGGUAACAAGAGGCGGGGGACACGAUGUUUACCCAGGUUCGGGCCCUCUCCAUGAUAGUAAUACCCUACUUCCUGCUUGAUUGAUCUUAAUGAUAUGAGUAUUACAAGAGUUGAUCUACCACGAGAUCGUGAGGCUAACCCUAGAACCUAGCCUAUGAUUAUGAUUGUUGUCCUUGUCCUACUGACUAAACCCUCCGGUUUGUCACUAGUAGAAAAACGACUUUUAGUACCGGUUCGUAAGGACCUUUAGUACCGGUUCUGGAACCGGCACUAAAGAGUGGGGACUAAAGGUCCCUCCUUUUAGUACCGGUUCAACACGAACCGGGACCAAAGGCCCACCACGUGGCACGAGGCGCGCCGUGGUCUGGGGGACCUUUAGUCCCGGUUGGUAAGGAUUUUUUUAUUUUUAUUUUUGAAAUAAAGCAUAAACAACCCGCCUACUGGGCUGGCACGGCCUGCAUAUGAAUAGAAACUCAAUCUCUAGUUGGGCCAGGAUGCAGGCCCGUACGACCCAGUAGGCCCCACAGGGCAGAAGACUGGCAAUAGGCCCACAAAGGCCUGCUUAGAGAGGAGCUCGACACGGUAGCCGCAGCGGGGCUUAUAAACCGGUGCGAGCUCCUCUCAACUAGCAAGGUGGGACUAAACAUUAUGCACUGCGGGUGGCAUCACACCACCAUUAGUACCGGUUGGUGGCUCCAACCAGUGCUAAAGACCCCCCCCUUUAGUAAUGGUUGGAGCCACCAACCCGUACUAAAGGCCACCACCUCUUUAGUACCGGUUCGUGGCACGAACCGGUACUAAAGGUUCGCCACAAACCGGUACUAAUAAGCGCCGCCCGCCUGGCUAGUGCCGAUUCAAUUGCAAACCGGGACUAAUGAGUUUCAUAUUAGACCCUUUUCUACUAGUGUAUAUAGACACCAGGGGGGGCUAGGGUUACACAGAGUUGGUUACAAAGAAGGGAAUCUACAUAUCCGAAUCGACAGGCUUGCCUUCCACGCAAUGGAGAGUCCCACCCGGACAUGCACUACAAAAAAAUACACUUCCGUGAUGAUACGUGUUUGUCACAGUAGGUCGCGUUUUCUGUCAUGCAUGUACAUCCAUGACAAAUUUAUGACAGAAUCAAGAUAGUCAUACCUGUGCUAUCGUAGAAGUGUUCCAUGACAUUACCAAAAUUAUCAUCACGGAAGUGUCCACUUCCAUGACGAUAAAUCACGUGUCACAGAAGUGCUUUCGCCAAGGGUGACCAACACGUGGCAUCCACCGUAACGCAACACCGUUAAGCUGUCGGGUCGAGUUUUGGAUCCGAUAACCCGUUAACAGCCCCGACCAAUGGGGAUUUUCCACGUGUAAAAUCAUCAUUGGCUGGAGGAAACACGUGUCGGCUCAUCGAUGGGACAGAUGUCAUCCACUCAUUGGACAUAAGGCGCCUAUGAUACGUCGACACGUGGCACGGCCCAACAGUGGCCCAUUCCUGUGAAAAGGCCGGCCCGUUUGACUUGGUCAAAAUAUGGUGAUCCGGCCCAUGUAAAGCCUGUUAACGGCCUAUUCGCAUAUAGCCCAUUUACAGCCCGCUAACCCAAGGCCCGUUACGCCCUAUCCGAAUUAGGCCCAGUAGCGUUAUCUGGGCCAUCCAAUAUGAUUCCAGCCUAUUUUCACUUCUGGCCCAUGUAUGGCCCAUGACGUCUUUCAGCCCAUAUGAGGCCCUAUGUAACUCUUGGCCUAUUAACGACCCGUGGUGAAACUGGCCCGUAAUGAAGAGUGUAUCACUUUACACCCAUUAACGGCCCAUGGUGAAACUGGCCUGUAAUGAAUAGUGUAUCACUUUAUACCCAUUAACGGCCCGUUAUUCCGUUGGGCCAUUUCCAGCCUAUCUUAUCUUUCGGCCUUCUCAGAGCCCAUUUAUUCUUGGGCUCAUUUCCAGCAUUUGUUUACUUACGGCCCAUUACUGUCAUUUUCUGCUUGUGGGCCAAAUUCAGCCUGUGGUUACAGUCGGCCCGUUUGUGGUCCGUUAAUACGUUGGGCCGUUUUCAUAGCAUCAUCAAAUACGGCCUAUUAACGAUGGCCCGUUAUGGUUGGCCCAUGAAAGAACGAUUCCAACUCUAGCCCGUUUACGGCCAUAUUGCGGCCUGUUAUUGGCCCAUGUUUGGCCAAUCGAUCAUACUUCCCGUAUAAGGCCCAUUGAUGAUAUGACCCAUAGAAGGCCCAUUGUUUCUACGGCCCGUAGAAGGCUUGCUGUUUCUACGGCCCAUAGAAGGCCCACUGUUUCUAUGGCCCGUAGGAGGCCCAGUGUCACUACAGUAAAGAUUAGCCCAUGGUUAUUGUGGCCUAGUUUUAAAAAAUAGGUUAUUGCAGCCACUAGCAAACCGCGGAAAAAGAACUGCUAUGACUACAAGCAAACAAAUAAACAAGACAACAACGAAAUAAAUAAGCAAGCAACUAACGCUAGGCUAUCACGGCUAUCACACAUAUUACAUCCACUAGGCAUCAAAGUUUGCCACCAGUGCAAAUAAAUGCGCCGACAAAAGAAUAUACAAAACUGAGAGCACUUCAGAAGGCACUAGGCCUGGCCAGGUUGGGCCCCCCAAAUAGCUGAAGAAGCUGAGUAGACCUCAGUUGUGUCAACGAUAGAUGCAUCAACACUAGAUUUAAGGCAUGAUGGUGCGCACGGCAGUCCUCUAACAUCUUCAUUACAUCUUUGACUUCACGUUAGAGCUGAGCUGAAGCAAUCCUUUCCGCUUUAAGUUGAGACUGAAGAAGUCGAACUGAUUGAGGCAGCGACUACACAGAGGUUGUCUCACACCUGCUGGUGAGUAGCUUCAACUCACUGUCUUCAUCAAGACAGGACCUUGGGGACAUCUCGCUGUCCUCAAGAUGGUUUGGCUCACUAUCUUCCCUAACGUUCUGCCUGGCGUAAGAGACACGACUCUGAAAGAGAAACAAGGAGACACGUAACAUGUUUCACAAUUAUAUAAGCAAAUAAAUGGAUCUGUUCUGCAUAAGGAACAUGUUUUUACAACUACAAUUUGAAACUGGUAGUUGUUGCAAACAUCCAACCAGAUGUAAACAACAAAGCAAACAGCAGUGGAGGAAAUGAUGCCUAUCCAAAUCUAUACUAGAACAAAGUUUGAAGGCUUGAGAAGGAUGAACUUACAUUACAUGUUAACACGGGCUGGACAAAGCCCUUCUCCAUGUUGAUGGAAGGAUAAUUCAAUAAAUUCUGCAAGAAGAUUCUUUAUAAGUGUUGCCAUUAUUCUACAUUUUGCAAAGAGUAAAUAUAGAUCAAAUAAUAUUGGAAGAAACAGAGGAUAAUGAAGCUCAGGUGCAGACUGAUGAUACAUAAUCAAAUAGCAAUUAAUUAAGUACAUCAUUACAAGGCAAAAGGGAGAGAGGUACUGACAAGAGCAAUGCAGAGCCCAUUAUUGUUUUGAGAUCGUAUCAUCCUUUGAGCAAGGAGAUUCAUCUGAAAUUAGUUUUCAUAGAAGAGAGAAGGUAAGGCACAAGCAAAAAUUUAGGAGUUCAAAUUUUGAAUUGAUAUCAUAGAUAGUACCUGACGCUGGGCUCCCAGCAGUUCUAAUAGGGGUUUGGCCACUAGAGUAGGAGUAAAGUGUGGUACAGUUGGGCGUGUGUUUUUUGUGGCUGCUGAUCUAUCUGAUUUAACAGGUAUAACUACCUUCUCCAAAUACCUAGUUUGUACUCCUUGAGGAUCUGCACUCACCCUCUUCCUUUUGGACAUCUAUUACGAAAGAACAACAUUUGACUGGAAAAACAUAGUGUGACGUCACAUGGAAAAGGUACAGAAAAUGGAUAGGUAUGGCAUAUACUCAUAUAUGAUGCUUAAACUAAGCACAUGGUGUAACAAAGUGGAAGUAAUGCAAGAGGUCAGAUGCACAAUAUGUGCGACCAAUACAACUUUGCAAAGUUAGAGCAAGCACCUUGAUGCGUGAAUAAGAUAGGCCAUCCUCCACCAUGCCAAGUUUGUUAGCCAGUGGAUCGUUCCGCAAUAUUCCUCUCGUGCGCCCAUUCUCAUAUUCAUUUUGAUAAUGUUCAAUAUCCGACAUGCAUGAAAACAUAAAAACAAGUGAGAUUUUGUUUGUAAUGCAGAAGUGAUUCUAAUCCAAUACUGCCUCCCUGUAAACCCCUUUCUUCUAUCUCUGCAAUUCUUUUAAAAGAUGCCUUACAUGCUGUAAUUUGUUGUGUGCAUUAAUAUAAUGUGGCCUACUACUCAAAAUACGAGAGCUCCAGAAGUGAUGACACUUCGCAGAUGACAUCUUCAACGUAUAGUAAAGAAGAACAAGUCGACCUGACCUGACAUAUUCAAAAUAUACUAAGGGAGAACAACUUGACCUGACCAGUCGACCGCGAGAGAAGAGUAUCAUCUUAAAGAAGAGCAGAAGAGCAAGCAGAUUAAAGAUAUUACAAGUCUUUCAAUACAAUUUCGGUUGGCCACCCAUGAUGAACCAGAGCACACAGAGAAAUACUAUUCUUUCCAGUCCCUCCAUAGUUGCUCACAUGCAUUUCGAAACUAAAGUAGGAACAUUUAGCUAACCAAUUAAACAUCUCUCAGUUUUACUAAUAUCAGCAAUAAUAUCAGAUAUGAAUUUGUACAACUAAGCUUGUUUAGCUCGAUGGGUGGAGCAGUGCUAUUACGACACGAACCAUGUAGGCUAAUUGUGGUCAUCAUAAAAUGGGGAAAACAUAAGCAUGAUGAGUACAAUGUUGACCAUGGCAGCGGGAUGGCAGAUCUGAAGCUGCAAACCGCGCAAAGGGUAGUUAGCAACGGAUGUUUGCUUUGAAAUAACAACUAUGAUUUGGUAUGGACAAGAAAGUACGGUCAACAAGUGACAAAGAAAUGCAAUUAUGCUGUCUCUCUAUAUGUCGCGACAUGCAUUUGGAAACUCAAGUGGGACCUUUAGCUAACCAAUUAAAUGUGUCGGUUAACUAAUAUCAGUAUCAUAUCACAAUCAUAUUUGAACAACUAGGCUUUCGAAUUCUGAGUGCGUGUUGUUUAGUUUGAAGGGUGGAGUAAUGCUAGUACGAUAGAAAGCACCUACGCAGAUCAUAGUAUAGUAGAUAAAAGGGGAAAACCCUAAGCAUUAAGAUAAAAAUCAGGAAAGUGGAACUAGAUGGACCAGUGGGUGGCGCACAUGCUUUUCGAAACGAAUAUAGGAACAUUAGGUGACCAAUUAAACAUUCUCUAUUUUAGUGAUAUGAGCAUCAUAUCAGAUUUGUAUUUCAACACGUAAGCUUUGGGUUGAGGUCUUGAGGAGCAGUGCUAGCACGACACGAAGCACCUACAAUGAUGGUAGUGAAUAUAAAGGGGGAAACUAUAAUCUUUACGAGUAUAGUGCCCGUGCCAUGGCGGAUCUGAAGGUGCAAACCAGACAAAGCUACUUCACAACCAAUGUUUACUUUCAACUAGCCACUACGAUUUGCUACGGACAAGAAAAGUACAGUAAACAAAUUACGAUCUAUUUUGCGGGUGAGAUCAAUAACUUAAGCACAUAUGGAAGAUCUAUUUUGAGGGUGUAGGCCUAUGCUGAUACGUUGAGGGUGCUGCGGGUGCGAUGGCUGUCGGUGGCGGGGAAGAAGACUUUAGACGGCAGACGGCCGGGUCGGGGGAUAUAUCCUGUUGCCGUGGACGAGGCGGUCGUACGAGCGGCAACGGCAAGGUGGACGACGGCGCCGUUGAAGCGAGAGGAGGCCAUGAAAGGAUCCUGGUCCAGCGCCGUGGAUGAGAGACAUCCAUCUCUUGUAGUGGACGACGGGGUAGGGGUAGCGGCUCCAGCAAGGUGGAGGAUGGGGUGGCGGACGGAGGAGGAUGACCGCAGUGCGGAGGUUGCCGUGCCGCCGAUGGUGUAUGAAUGGGGAAAUGGGGGGGGGAGGGGGGAUCUCAAACUUUGGGACGCGCUUCUUUGAAAUGGUGGAAAGUUAUGAACUUAUCCCCCGUUUAAAAUUUCGGACAUCGCGUCGGUUGGGGAUAGGACGGUAAUCUCGCAUCUCCCAAAUAUUUGCCGGUAACUAUUUCGGGCGAGGAGAGGGUGUUUUACUGCCCACGGUUGGCACCCAUGGAGUAUGAACGGGGCUGACAGGUAGGGCGGUUGUGUCACGUCUGAUGUUAGUUACACAUCUGCCCCUAUUUAACAUAUUAGCCUACAUCAAUUUCAGACGAGGAGAGUUUGUUUUGCCUCCCACCGUGUAUGAAUGGGGAAAUGGAGGAAGAGACACAUGUCUUUCGGACAAGCUUGAAUCAAAUGUGUUUUGUCGCCCAUGUUUGGCACCCACCGUGUCUGAAUGGGCUCAGAGGCCGUCAUGUCACGCCUGAUUGAAGUUACUAGUCUACCCCUAUCGACAUCAGUGUAAAUCCGGUCGAUAAGGAUGUCAAGUGUUAGGGGUAGACAGUAAUUUCCAUCUCGCAAACACUUGCUUCGGGCAGCCCACAAAUUAUAGUGGGUGUUUAGCCGCUUCGUUCAAAACUUGGGAGAAUUAGCAUUCACGUUUGCCCUGGGCCCUGGCAAAAUAAAUUCAAAUCCAAUUUGUAUUCGAUUACAAAUAUCCAUAGAUAAUUAUACGUUUUGUUAUUUAUUUCUUCAAAACCACAACAAAGAUUUAUUACACCUUUAUAUAUGAUUAUGAUUUAGAAAUGCCUUGAUCUUCAAAUUCAGUAGGUUGGAUACACUCUAAGUCAAACAGUUAUUUCAUCCAAUACAAUAUGCUCACACGAAAAUUAGUUCACCUUAUGUCAAUCAUACAAGUACUGAGGAUUACCUCGCCUAAAAAAUCCGGAUCAUUACAACACAUUGACAACAUAGGGGGUCUUGCAACAUAAUCCAUUCAGAGACAUGACACAACAUGCAAGUACAAUAAUCUAAUGACAAUUUCAACUGGUAUCUAAAGAAGAACCGGGAUUACCUUGGGCUUCAGAUAGCAAAAACGGUAGGACCUCCCCCGUCUUCAAAUGCAACAUUCUUACUUCCUCCAAUUCUUGGGUUGCUUGCAUAAUUUGUGCCGCUAGUUCCAUAAUUUCCAGCCUCACGAUAAAGAUUACCUCAUUCAUGGCAGCCGCACCAUCUCUUUCUGCCUCUAGUAGAGCCUCAAGCACUAUAAUAUUUGUGCUCAGACCGCUCUCCGGCGGUGUUGCCUCUGAACUGCUACCAUCUGGUAACAUGGAUGGCGCACUGCUUCCACAAAUAGAUUCUGUGGUUGUACACUGUGUCCUAGUGUGAACGGCAUCCUGAAAGGUUUUCGCUAGACAUAAGUAAGAGAUAGUUAUCGUAUGAUCCAGGCAGUAAGCUUACAUGGUUAACGACGGACGAAUUAUUGCCGAGCAUGGCAAACUAUAUUUAAAUGGUUCGAAGCAGCAUCAGCCGAAAAGAAAUUAAAAUGGUAAGUUGAAACUUGAAGGGAGUGUACCACCGCUAUAUUUAAGUUGCCAAGGCAUCUAAGCAGUUGAAAUAAUUUGAGAAAGCACUUAACAGUGUGGCCUCAUAUAAACUACGAAGACAGUCUUGUGAUGAAGUUGAGAGGAAAAGUUAAGGACUCAAAUGAAAUAGGCAUGCAUUUCUUUACGAUAGUACAUCAGGCACUGCUGACAUAUUGGCCAACUCAGGUAUAGCGUAACAACAAACAUGCAUUCGAAUCAAGCAAUACAGCAAAGCAGACAACUGAAGUAUUUGUAAUUCGGUAGGAUUACAGGUUGAGGGCACAAGCCAAGAAAGCAGCCCACUCGCAUUACAUUUCACAUGUACUAAAACACACUGGCUUACCAUAUGUUGCUGUGAAGCCUUGCUGAUGUUGCAAUGUUCUUUGAAGAUAUGGUCAGCAUCCCGUGGUUGCAAAUCUAGUUGUUGUAGUUUAUUCUGCACCCUCUAUUUAGGUAAAAUUAAAUUUAAUCGCAUGCACUGGUCCGAAUUGAUCAUCAAUGGUUCAUCUAAACUAAUGAAAGAAGGGUGUGUGCAUACACAACAAUAUAUCUGCUUCCCUCUAUUUUUAUGCUUGUUCGAGGUGCCAGCCCCAAAAGAACGAAAAUUUUGCUUGAUGGGGUUGACAGCUCCAUAAUUAAUAGAAGCAUCAAAUUUGUCACGCAACUUGGGAAGAUCAAGAACACACAAACAAGUAAUGAACAGAGGCUCGGAGUAGUGAUGUAAUAGCUAGCAUCAAAAAAUGUAGGUUAAAACGAACAAAAAGGAGCGGAACCACAUGCUUUCGAUGAGGCGUAUCUAUUGCGGUGGACGAGGGCUUGUAUGAAGGGCCAGCGAAGGGGCGGACGAGGGAGUUACUAAAGGGCCUACGCUAUGGUGGAAGUGGUCGCCGGUUAAGCAGAUCCGGUGCAGUGGACCAUGAUGGCGGUCAAGGAGAUCUAGAGCGGUGGACAAGCCAGUCGCUGAAGCGGCUCCGGUGAAGUGAUGAGUUGGCAGUUGGUGGUUCCAAGGUGCGGAAGGUAGAUCCGGCGGGGUGUGAGGUCCACCGCUGCGGCGAAGGACUAUAUUUGGUGGCUUGCCGUGGUUGGGGGCGUCGGGGAGGGGAAGGGGAGUGGCUCUGGGGAAGAAUGUUGGGGGCAAAGAGGGGAAAACAAUGGAGUUACCAAAGGAGCCCUUUUCCGUUCAUGUGGUAGGGGUAAAACAGGAAUAUCACAGGGCUAAACUUUCGGGGGCGUGAUAUUUCUAUGUGAGCGGGAAGUUUGAAAGCUUUUGGCACCUAAAAUUAUAAGUAUUCUGCUCUCGUACGGACGACCAUGAUAUCAUGGCCGACAAUUUGUUUGUUUUGCACGCAAAAAAAGUGCAAGUUUUGAAAAUCAAUGUCUCCAACUCGAAACUUAGAUUGUCCAUUCAAUUCAAAUAUGGAUCAUUGAGCUACUACAAGAAAAUACCAUCAUACGGUCCAAUUCAAAUGAAAUUCCAAAUGUGUUUAUCCUAAAUAUGAUGACAAAAGCUAAAAUGUGUGUGUGUAUGAAUAAAGUGGAUGAUUAUAAAGUUUGAACAUUCCCGUAUGUGUAGAUCUCUAGGUUUGAUGUAUGAAUUUGAAAUCACGAAAUCCCGGCUUAAAAAUUGUACCUCCGUUUAAAUGAAUUACAAAAGCUAAUGAUGGAGUCGAAUUCCCCCUCAAAUCAUUAUUUUUCCUGAACAUUACUUCAAACAGUACUGAUGCGUGUUCGUCGGUGGCGCCGGUGACGAGCGAGUUGGCCGCCGCUCCACCGGACGGCCGGACGCCGCGCUGGCCUCUGCACGGGUUGGCAGACUGGCCCGAGCGUGACUCACGAGCGAGCAAGAUGCCGCGCUGGCCUUCGCUCAAGCCAGAUGGCUGGCCUUAACAUGGUGCGCGCGAGAAAGCCGCCGCGCUGCCGUGCCAAUCUAGCUAGCAAACCUUGCAGAGAAGCAGCUGGACGGAGCUAUCUUGGCUAGCUAGCGGCCGCAAGUGCCGGACGGAGCUGGCAUCCGAGCUGCCGCAACAUGGGCUCCACACCACCGGUAGUUUUGACCUCACCUUCUGCCGACGGCGGUAGCUGCUUCCCAUGAUAGAGGAUGACUAGGUGGACAUCCCGGAGGUAGGAGGUCACUUGAGGAUUUUUCUUGGUAAGAGCAUGUACAAUGGUUGAUAAGGUAGUCUUAUCUUACGUCUGCCACGUAUGCAAGUGGUAGUAGUUUCUUGGCAUUUUAGUGGUUUCUUGCAUUAUAGGGGUUUCUUGUAAGGAACAAUGUACGUACUACUAGCGACAAAAGGCGAUUCUAGGUUGCGUUGUACUCCAACGAGUACUACUAGUGGUCGCAGGAGUGUAUACCUCGUUUUCUGGGUUCGAUCCCGGCCGAACGCAUGGCGGUCUUUUUUUUAAAUAGUACUACUACACUUUGCUGUGAGCCAAUAUUUUACACGGGUAGUUUGAGUUUUGAAGUCAAACGGACGUGCGGCCCCACAAUCUGGGUGCAUUGAAUACCCUAGCCACGUGAACGGGUUUUCCUUCCCAGCAUCCCGUGGCUCGCGUGCUCGCCCUAGCCGCACCUCGCUUGCAGCUUCCUCAUCAGCUAGUAGCUAUUUAAACUAGCGCCUCCCAAUUAAGCCCGAGGAGCUGGAAAAGCCUGGUGGGGGCAUUGGUAACUGUGCAAUAUGGCUCUGCACGUAAAGUGCUCUACUACUACUCUUUAGCUUGUGGCAUUGCACGCAUGGACUUCACUCCAUUAUCGGCUCUACUAUAAAAGAAAUUGCUAUUGACGUGUUUUUUUUAAACGGAGGCAAAAGCUUUGCUUCAUCUCUUCAUAAAGAAGGAACUACUAACAAAGUUCGGCGAGAUCCAUUACACCUCCACAAAUGGAAGCGAAAAGCCUAGUCUCGCUGUAUCAAAUAACUCAAAUGUUUUGCCCCGCAGUAACCGUCGCUGAUAAACAGGCUGCUAGUGUGUGUGUGAGAGGAGCGGCUGAGUAGGCCAGCUACGUGAGAGGAGCGGCUGAAUAGAGCACCGAGAGUACCCACUAGGCCACUACGCAGGUGUACUUUCCCUGCAUUGAUAGUACAGCGAUGGUUCUAGAGAACAAUAGUACCCUCCACUUCCAACUGUAGCUCCUUGGCCCUGAGAUUCAAGAGUUCAAAACUGGUGCACUAUACUAGAACUAGACAAGAAGUAGAGUACAUCGCACUACUAGUUGAGAAAAGUAGUACUAGUACUGCUAGAGUAUGAGUACGUACUCCUUCAUCACAUAAUGUAAGACGUUUUUUGACACUAGUUGGCGUGUACAAAAAUGGCAAAAACAUACCCAAAUUUUUUUAAUCCACGCCAAAAACUAAUACCUAGUGCCAAAAAUUUCUUACUAGUGCUAUUAUUUACAGUAUAAUGAAAUCCGAUAACGUUCCAUAAUGCUAGUACUAGUAGUAAAUAAUAGCCUCACCCCUUCGCUGAGGAACGAUCUGCAGUUGGAAGGGAUGAGGCCCUGCGGUUAUUACACUCUUAUCUCCUCCUCGCAAGUUCCCCUCCCCCCGAAGAGAAGGCAGUUCGUCGCUGCUCCCAUGGAUUCGCCAGGCGGUUCUCCUCCUCGUCGGGGCUGGGAGACCUUGGACAAUGAUCCUCUAGGAGAAAUCGCACGCUGCUCCGACGUCCUCACCGCCGCAAGACUCGGUGCUUCCUGCACCAACUUUUUCAAGACGCUGCUUAAACAAGCUUGGGAAAAGGACAUGCUUGUUGGUCUUCCAUGCGUCCUCGAGGAGAAGGUUCUUCUAUGGGACAAUCCUUCGAACAGUCCACCGCUCCCUAGCCAUGGUCGCACGUUGACUCCGCUAGAGUUGCCGACGUUGAGAGGUAGUCGGAUUUUGUCUGAUGAGCAGGUCAGUAAUGGAGUUCGAUCAUGUAGUACUUAGUUAUUCCAUUUCCAUCCCGUAGUUUCUCUGCUGCCCACCGUCUUAUAUAUAGGUCUGGGUCGGUGCCAACGAAGAUUGGCUUGCAUACCUCCGGCCGGAUACCACCAUCAUUUUGCAUAACAUCCACAACAGUGCGGCCGUUCUGGUAGACCCCUUCUCCACUAUUGGGAUCGGCCUUCCGGACUGGCUGGGCUUGAAUACGUAUGAUGAUGCCUACAUGAGAUUGAAGAAGAUAACAAUCGCGGACCCGCCGACAAAGCGAUGCGGCUACGAUGAUUACUAUCUCAUCGCGGUGUUCGACAUAAGGAUUGCCAUCAAUGCAAGAGGCAGUAACGGCAGAGGCUGGCGCAUGUUGGCGGAGGCAGAUUUGUACCCCUACACGUUCGAAGACGCCGUGCGCCAUCUAGGCUGCAUCUUCGUGGUGACAAGCCAGGGGACUUGUUUCAUCUGGUGGCCAUCCUACGGUACGGGAGAUUACAAACGGAAUGCACAAACCAUCAUUUGUGUCCCUAACGAUACUCCAUUAUUUUGCAGGGACCAAUCAUCCCCCGAUCAAAGUAAGAUCGCCGAUCCUGGAUGUGCAUUUGCAUCGGUGAUUUGGUCUAACCUGGAACCUUGUAGCUGACUUUUGCAUAUUGGCAUCAACUAUCUUAGCAGUCGUUACCCAUGGUACCACUGAUGUGCAACAUGGUCACACAAUCUACCACGAUCGGACCGUCAUCAUCUACCCAGGUAUUCCAAUUUUUAACCCUCUCGCCUUCACUUUCAUUGCUGUAGUAGUAGUAUAGUUAGUAGUACUAGUAGGAGUACUUUUUACCUUGGAGGACGCGUAUAGCUAGCUAGGCCCUUGAAGACUUGAACCCACUAGCUGCCACCAUUUUUGUUUUUCCAUGUCUUACUGUCUCAUCCAUGUAGCAAAGAGUGUGGCUAUAUAUAAUAAGCCGGUUAUUUUACUUCCUCUAUACCGGAGUAGUACUAUUUGCUGCACAGUAUUAUUGACCUCCAUAUUUGAGCACAACAUUAUUAUGCAUGGACCUUGACUAUGUACGUCACCAUGUGUCCAGAUCUGGGAUGCCGCGUGUACCAGAUGAAUGGCGCCGAGUUCGACCCCCAUGAUGCUACGUGGGUGCCGAGGAACACUCUUGGAGAGUACUCGCUUUUCAUCAGGGACAGCUACCCCAUUGUGAAGCGGAUGCCACCUUCCGUGCACGACACAGAAGGCCUGUCAUUCAUGAAGCAUGGUUGUGUCUUCAUUGCGCACCGCUGGAUGAAUCACAUGCUGGGACACGCUAUCCCUGAUUUAUGCCGCUUCAGCUUGGAUGAGUCUCCAUCGUGUGGAACUGGACUAGAAAGCUGCGACAAUGAUUCCCGUUGCCCACCGCUAUGGAUCAUGCCAUCCAUGAAGACCACCUGGGACUGGAACCUGGAGGAGGACAUGUAGCCCAUCUAUAACGUGUAAGUGGAGUACGGUAAUUGUGAAUGGUAGCGCUGUGAAUAUAUGUGGACUAGUCGUGCACAAAUUUAUCACAUGAAUUGGGGAUGAACUUGUGUGGCAUACUCGCAUUUUCCCUCUAGAAUUUCUUACUAGUAAAUGUGUUAUGUGUACGUGCAACUUGUGUGGUUGUUGCACGGGCUCCAACACGCUCUUUGAGAAAAAAAGGUGGCACAACUUUGGAUAUACGUGACGUGGUGGCAUCAUACAGUAGCAUCGUUCGCUAUAGUUGUAGUACACUCCUACUAGGACGACAACUCCUAUAAAACCUUGCGCUUGGCUCUUUGCCUCUUCGGGAGGUUCAAUAGUUCGUACCCAUGUGAACCUUGCACUUCGCUCUUCGCCUCUUCGGAAGGUCCAACAAUGAUGAUACUACAGUACAAUAUGCUUCUGGCAAUCUGACACCGAUUGAACUGUUGUACAUCCACCGCGAGGGCGAGGGCGAGGGCGAGGGAGAGGGAUAGGGCGCUGUAGUCAAAACCCUCUCCUCGUCAUGCGAACCACCGCGUGCGUGAGCGAGGGAGAGGCGUAGUAAGCAAGCUUCUCCUCAUUCGGCGAGUUGACGGGACACAUCAAAGCAGUACUAGUACUAGUAGUAGUCCAUACUGCGUCCUUUCCGAUUAAUAUGGCUUAAUUUGAAACGAGAAAAAUACACUGGCGGUCAACGUAUGUAACAAUACACUCUUUACGGUCACUAUAUAUAGUUUUGCGGUGAUUAUACGAUCACUCGCUCAUCGUAGAGCACCAUAUUGCACCCUACUAACCGGCCACAUAGUCGACGUGGCACUUUGUUGACUGGUUAAAUUGUCACCUGCACUACUAGGGAAAACCAUAUACACAGAAUCUUAGCAGUAGUGCGGCUCAAAAAGGAGCACUGCUACUAAUUAGUAGUAGCGCAGGUGUGGAAAACCCGCUACUGACAAGUGUUUAGCAGUAGCGCGCUCUGUGUAUCCCACGCUGCUACAAAUAUCGACCGACAGUGCCCCCCAAACUCCAUUUAACAGUAGCGCGGUACUGCUAGCCACGCUACUGCUAAAGCUGUAGUAGUAGCGCGGUUUUUCUGAGGUCGCUGCUGCUAACUUUCAAAUUGGACACACUUUUUCUCCCGGUUAGCAGUAGCGCUUCUGCCGAAAGCGCGCUGCUACUACUUUCUUAUCAGCAGCGCGUUUUACGUCCCGCGCUACUGCUAAUCCGCACCAACCCACCACCUUUUCCCCACCGCCCCUCCCCCUCCUCUCUUCCCUUUCCCCUACCUCCCACUCUCACUCUUCUUCUUCCUCAACACUUCUCCCCCAUUACUCUCCCUCUUCUGCCUACCUUUCUCUCUCUUCAUUACUCCUACCUAACUACACCACCUCCAUUAAUGCAUCUCCUUUCUCUCUUUCCUUCCCCCUCCACUAGUUAAAGUUGUCUCCUCCCAAAUUAGGUAGCUAGGUAGAUGUAGCAUUUAGUUAAGUGACCUAUUUGCCCCCUAACUAGAUAUAUCUUUGUCAAGAAGAGCUUUGCGCACUUUUGAUGUCCCUACAUCAUCAUCUCCACCGUGUGCUCGAUCUCGAGAUAGAGGUGAUUAAAAUUUCAUGCUUUUGCAAAAUGGAAAUAUGUUUAUGUGUGUGUGAUAUGUUUAUGGAAAUUGUGUGUGUGGCAUGAGUUGACGCCAAAUUGUGCUUUUGAGUUGCCUAUGUUUUGCCGAAAUGUCGAUUUAUUUCCAUUUCGGCGAAUUCCGGGCAAACUCUAGAUCUAUAUAUGUCCUAUUUUUAAGGAAGGUCAUGCCGAAUUUUUGUAUGACUUUGAUGCAUGCACACAUUUUUUAUAAUCAAUUUUUUUUAUUACCGUGCAUAGUUGAUGAUGGUCAGUGGAACGAUGGUGGACAGGUGGUUGCGGUCGGCGGUGCAGGACAUGAAAGAAAAUAACCGAACAGAGGUUUUAUGUCCGUGUCGAAAAUGCAAAGGAGUAGUUUGGCUCAACCACCGUGAUGAUGGUCGUGUCGAAGCACACCUGCUCAUGACUGGUUUCAUGGAUGGCUAUACUUGGUGGAUAAUUGAAGAUGAGGAUGACGAUGUUGAGGAUGCCGACAGGGCAGGCAAUGAUGACACGGGGCAAGACGAAGAGAUGAUCGAUAAUGGCGGCGGGGAAGAGGCCGGACAUGGUGGCGGAGAAGGGGCCGGACAUGGCGGAGGAGAAGGGGCCGGACAUGGCGGCGGAGAGAACGACAUGGACUCCACGCAGUAGAGUUCGUCGGUACUAAGUUCAAUUGUGUGGGACCCUCAUGUUCAAGCAUUUCUUCGGAAGGAGAUGAGUACUGAGAGAGCUGCUUCUAGAGAGGAGGCUAAGUUGGAGCAACUGGUGGUAGACUCGAACACUCCAUUGUAUGAUGGUUGCAAUCCUGAGGUGACCCACUUGAGUUUCAUGCUCCAACUCCUAAAGACGAAGGCUAAAAACAAAUGGACCGACACUAGCCUCGAUGAGCAUCUCAAGUACCUAAAGGAUGUUCUUCCUGCGGGUAAUCUAUGUCCUAGUAGUGUUGAUGAGGCCAAGAAUAUCGUGUGCCCUCUUGAUCUGCCACACGUUAGAUACCAUGCAUGCAUCAACGAUUGCAUAAUUUAUCGGAAGGAGCACGCGGAAAAAACAAGCUGUCCGGUGUGCAAUGCUUCUCGAUACAAGAAGGCCGGGAAGAAAUGUCCCCAGAAAGUUGUAUGGUACUUACCGAUCACUCCCCGUCUCCAGAGGUAUUUUGUAGAUCCCAACGAAGCAAAGCUAAUGUGCUGGCACGCGGAGAGGAAGAAGCCCAAUGAUGGAGAUGAUCCAAAGCUGAGACACGUCAAGGAUGGAAGCCAAUGGAGAGCGUUGAACAACUUCUAUCAGUAUUUUGAAUGUGAUGCAAGGAACAUCGUGCUCGGCGCAUUUACCGAUGGCAUGAAUCCGUUUGGCAACCAGAACACCAACCAUAGCAUAUGGCCCGUGUUUGUAUGGAUGUACAACCUCCCCCCUGGUUGUGCAUGAAAUCGAAGUACAUUCACAUGAGCAUGCUUAUUCAAGGGCCAAAACAACCAGGAAAUAAUAUUAAUUUGUAUCUGGGGAUACUUCAAGAGGAGUUAGACACGUUAUGGAAAACACCGGCCAAGACAUGGGACGCCAGCAAAGGCGAGUAUUUCAACAUGAGAGCCACGCUGAUCACGAUAGUGCAGGACUAUCUCGGUUACGGAUAUGUGGCAGGCCAGGUGUGCCAUGGAUAUUGUGGAUGCACGCGGUGCAUGGAUGAUACGAUGUCUCAGGAGCUAACAUCAAGGAAAGAUGGCGGGUCUGGGAAAAUCAUGUACAUGGGGCAUCGAAGAUGGCUCGAACAGGACGACCCGUGGAGAAACCAUGGAGAUCUAUUCAAUGGUCACAUUGAGCAUCGAGGACCUCCACGUAAGCGGAGCGGUGCCGAAAUCAAUGAGCUAUUGAAAAACUGGAAGGAGUGCCCCGCGCCGGGAAAGACGAUGAGAAAGGCACCAGAGCCGCUACUGAAGGUUUGGAAGACAAGGUCUGUGUUCUGGGACUUGGAGUACUGGCAAAAACUCGAUAAACCUCAUUGUCUUGAUCAAAUGCAUAUUUGUAAGAAUGUCCUUGAGAGCUUGCUCACAACACUGAUGAACAUGCUGGAUAAGACCAAGGAUGGGCCGAAGGCAAGAAAAGACUUGCAAGAUUUGGAAAUCAGGGAAGAUCUGCACAUGCCUCCCCAUAAAAUGUCAGACGAGACAGAGAUGGAGGCAGAGGCACGAGAGAAGAAGGGCAAGAAAGUAAAGAAAGAGGAUUAUUGUCCGCCUUCUUGCUUCACCUGAAGUCUGGUUGAGAUCGAUCAAUUCUUUAAGUGCCUAACCGGAGUCAAAGUUAGUUCCGGUUACUGUGGCAAGAUAAGCACAUAUCUAGACACAGACAAGAAAAGGUUUAGCGGAAUCAAGUCCCAUGACUGUCAUGUGAUGAUGGCGCAGAUACUACUUGUUGCCCUUAGAGGGAUAAUGGACAAGCACGUCCGUGACACGCUUAUUUGUCUUUGCAACUUUUUCGACGUCAUCUCUCGAAAGUCGAUCAGUGUGAAGUAGCUCCGAAGGCUACAGGAAGAGAUCCUUGUGAUACUGAAUGAGCUUGAGAUGUACUUCCCCCCCCCCGUGUUCUUUGAUGUGAUGGUGCAUCUGUGUGUCCAUAUUGUGGAUGGCAUAAUAGACAUGGGGCCGUCAUUCCUGCACAACAUGAUGCCAUUUGAGAGGAUGAAUGGGAUCAUCAAAGGAUUCGUUCGUAACAUGUCCCGUCCGGAUGGAAGCAUUGUCCAGGGCUAUGUGACACAAGAGUGCAUCUCUUUCUGUGAGAAUUUUCUAUAUGGCGCAGACCAGCCGCUUGGUGUUAGUGUUGGUUUGCCCGUUAACAAGCACGAUGGGAGGCUCGAAGGAGAAGGUCACUACAACGGUCGCAGGGAACUACACGUGGCAUACUCCGAUAAAUGCAGCGACUUUGACAGAGCAAACUUGGUAGUGCUACAACACCUAGACGAGGUAGAUCCUUUCGUGGCACUGCACAAAGAAAUUAUCGCAAAGAAGUAUCGUGACCGGGGGGUAUGCAGGACGGACGCCGAAGUUACUAAAGAGCACAACUCCACUUUCCUGCAUUGGUUCAAAGAGCAUAUUAUUGCUAAUCCCCCGAAGGAGGGCUCUAAGGACGGAUUGCUCAUAUACGCCUUAGCAGAUGGCCCCUCGCCCAACCUCGUAACCUAUCAGGCAUAUGAUAUCAACGGAUACACGUUCUACACGGAGGCCAAAGAUAUGGACAGUGAUGAUCAGAACUUAGGGGUGACGAUGGAAUGCAUGUCCGGCAGCAACAACGGUGCAACUGAAUGAUUUUAUGGAAGGGUCGAGGAGAUCUGGGAGCUUGACUACUCUAGACUGCACAACACGACGAUGUUCCAUGUCAGAUGGGCUAAGAAUGUCAAAGAGAAAACUGGAUUUUCACUACCAUGACUAUACCCGACGCCAAGAGUUCUACCGUGAGCGCUAUCACAAAAAACGAGCCAUGGUUACACGCUAAGCACGUGACACAAUGCUUCUUCAUAACGGACCCACACAAUCCCAGCCGUGUUGUUGUGGGGAGAGGCAAAAGGAACAUCAUUGGAAUGGAUGGAGUCACCAACGAGGAAGACUAUGAUCAGUACGGCAACCCAAUGAGGGAAGCUAACGAUGAUGAUGAAGUAUAUGUCAAAAGAAGAAUCAAUACUACAUUACCUAAGAAAAAUCGUACUACAUGUAAAAGGCAAAGUCACAAUGAGGGGCUCAAUUAUUCUUCGACGAAUAAGAAGGGAAAGAAGCUGACUCAAAAACAAAAACGUCAACGCUGAGGAACCAUAUGUUAUCGGUCAAAUGAUGUUAUAUAUAUAUAUGUAUAUAUAUAUAUAUAUAUAUAUAUAUAUAUAUAUAUAUAUGUUCCUAUUUUGUAUACACACUUAGCCACCAUUAUGCAUGGGUCCAAUGAUGUAAUAUAUAUGUUCCUAUUUUGUAUACAUAUUUAACCUUCAAAUGAUGCAAUAUAUAUCGCCUUCCCUUUGUUCACUGCUCUUGGGAAAUAAAAGUGGGAGAAAAUAAGUGGGAGAAAAUAAAGGAAAAGAAAAAGGAAAACUGGUUAUAGUAGUAGCAGUUUACUGAAGAAAGAGCUACAGUCAAGCUAGCAGUAGCGAUUUCCUUAAAAAACCACUACAGCUAGUGAAGGUAGUAGCAGCGCGUUUGUUCUAAACCUCUAGAACUAGUGAAGGUAGUAGCAGCGCGUUUUGUCUAAAUGCGCUACUGCUACGUCAACUUAACCCAAAAUUCUCACUCUCCUUGCUUCAUCCCGCCUCUUUUCCCCCAAAUCCCCACUCUCUCUUCCCCAGUCGCACUGCCACGCCCCGGCGCUCGCCAUCGACCCGACCCUUUACCCCGACCCCGGCGCUCGCCAUCGACCCGGCCCUCGCCCCUGACCCCGGCGCUCGCCCCCGACCCUGGCGCUCGCCACCGACCCGACCCUCGCCCCCGACCCCGACGCGCUCGUCCCCGACCCGUCGGCCCUCGCCUCCCUCCUCUGCUUCCUCCCCUCCUCGCCCCUGCACCCUCUGUAAACCCCCCUCCCCCCUCUCUCUGCUAGCUAGGGUUCUUCGGUUAAUUUACUUAGGUUUUAGUUAGGGCAGUAGGUUAAUUAGGUUAUCUAUUUAGUUAUAAAUUUAGCUAGGUUUUAAAAUAUGACAGAAAUUUAGGGUUAAGCAAUUGUAGUUAAAAGAAAAGGCAGCAUUUAAGCAAUUGUCCAAAUCAACAUCCCUUGUUAAUUAAAGCAAAUUUAGGUACGCUGAAUUUAUAUGCAAAUUUGAACUGGACAUGUGAUAUGUGGAUAUGUCAUGUUUUGGACAUGUCAUGUUUGGAAUUUGAACAUGUCAUUUGGUAAAUGAUCCGAGUGGCCUAUGUUACGCCGGAAUGCUGAUUCAUUUCCGUUCCAGUGAAUUUCAGGAGCUCGAUAUGUCCAUUUUUUAGCAAAGGUCAUGCCGAAAUUUGCCGUGAAUUUUGGCAUGAUUUGUGCUAGAUAGUUGGCAUAUCGAGUGCUGGCACAUAGAUUUCUUUUUUAUGUCAUUUCUCAUUUUUCCAUACUUUUAGAAAUAAACGAGGACACUUAAUCAUAGGAAACAUGUCGAACAACGAAGAAACUGGGCCUUCUGACCAAGAUGCAGACGAGAUGGAUUAUGAUGGUGAACAAGAGUACCUCGACUAUUUGACUGCUACAAGUGGGACAUGGAGAAAAAAGUUUUUUACACGGACCAGAUCACGAGGAAAUUGAUUAGACUACUGGAGAAGCAUCACCAGCUUGCAGCCGAAAGCCCUAAUUCUCCUUGAGGCCCAAAUGGGACACCCCUCUCAACCGGGCCUUGAACGAACUUAAGGGACUCCCUUUGGGCCAGCGGCCGCAAUAUGGUCGUGUGCACGGCGAUGGAGACGGUGCCACGUGGAAGGUGUUUUACAACGAGGGCCCGGAGGCAAAGAAGCAGAAAAAGAAGUUUAGUCAGGCGGACAUUGACGCGAAGGUGAAGCUUGCAGUCGAGAAAAUAGCAGCUGAGGACGCGGAAAAAACAGCCGAGGAGAAAAAUGAGUUGCUACAGCAGGCAGUCAAUGUAGCUAUAACUGCCUGCAGAAAUGAUUUUGCUACUAACUUGGUUCCAGCUAUCAUCAACUGGACGAAGGAAAAUCCAGACAAGAUGGUACAUGAUUUCCCGAUGCCCAGUUUCGUCGGGAGCAACUCCAUGAACAACAACAACACCGCACCAUCACUUGCUCACGCAACCAGGCCUCCUCUCGCGGUCGCUCCCGCUCACGUUCCACAACAAGCCUAUCCCCGCUGGGCACUUCAGGGUUAGCUUGUCCAGUGUGAAAUCAGGGCACGAGGCAUUGCCUCCUCCAGUACAGCAUGUGGGAGAGGACGACGAGACCCCGCCGCGGAUUGGAAGAUGCAAGGGUUGGGUGCUGCUAUGGCCGAAGAAUCUUAUUCGUUUGGAGCCGGCUGAGAGCACACCAAUAACCACACAUCAACAAGCAUGUGCGGAGACCACGACCCCGCCUAUGCAAUUACCAGCUCCUGUAGUGCCGAGUGAGAGUGGCGGAUGACGUCAUGAAGGGGGUGCAAUAGUACUAGCUGAUGUAAUCGGUCCUGUAGAACAGAGAAUGGAUGAUGAGAUGGAGGUCGACCCUAUGGGUUUCCUCAAUACAAACACGUAUGACUGUGACAUAGAUCUGAUGAGUCAACCAUAUGAUGAAUCGGGCUAUCAGCAUGCUAAUCAGGAUAUGGAUGAUAUGCUUGGGCAGGAAGGUCAUUGGAAGGAUUGCAAAAAGUCUCUCUUCAUGAAUUCCUCACAGGACUUGCCUGAAGAUGUCGCCUCAACACAGGCUCAACUAGCCGGGGGUCGUACAAUGCUUAGCCCGGGAACCCUGGGGCAGGGGUUAAGGAAGGGUCUGGAAGGUGUUCCCAAGAAAAACGAGGGGAAGAGAUCGGCGAAGAUAACUGCCUGAAACAAGCCAGAGCAAAUAGCAGCCGGAUGAUGCAUUCUGAAGAGCGUGUACCCGUGAAAGGUGUGGCCAUGUUCCAUCUCAUGGGCGAGCCGAUGCUACCACCGAAACCGCUGGAGGCACUAUCAGGGGAUCUCAGGAGACUGCACGACCAUGUGCUGUCGACUGAGAAAAGCCUACUAGCCUCAAAGGAUCCAGGAUAUCUGACAUACGCGGCUUGUGUGCCUGAGGGGAAGUGCUACGUCGACACACGGCCUGUGGAGGUGUUCUUCCUGCAGUUUAACCAUAUCUUUGAGAUGUUUCUAACAAGGCGGCUCGAUUUUACAAUCGUCCGCCUUUUGCGCUAUAUAUGAGCUCUGUCAUGAAGUGUGAAGAAGUCUCGCAAAUCUGUGUGGCGGAUCCAUACUACAUGCACGAGUCUUUCUUGAGUCUCAGCGACUUUGAGCGUGAAACUGCUAGGGACUACCUCCAAAACUUCAUGGUACUAAAUAAGGACUGGGAAAUUGUCCUCAUGCCUUAUCAUCCAAAGUAAGUCAGUUCCGGACAAACCUUUCGUACGUUUCAAUCAUUCCUUCUCUCUCAUAUGGGGAAUAAUUUGAGGUGUCUAUUCCCUGCAGCAACAGGGGCACCGUCCUUAUCGUUCUUUAGCCGCAAGUCUCCCACGCCAUGUAUUUUGACCCUUCUAGAGACUAUGAGAAAAAAGACUACACCCACAUAAUGAAUAUUCUAGAUGAUGCUCUCCGAGGCUUCAGCAUUAGAGGUGGCCACAUGUAGAUCAGGAAACAAAGGAACAAGAAGAUGGGUUUCGUGCAUAAAACUAACUUCUCCUGCAUCCAUGUCCCAAAACCAACCAAGAAGGAUGGAUUCUCCAUCGUCCAUCUCAUGAUUCAGUUCAACACGGAUCACCAAAAGCUUCACAUGAGAAGCGGAAAUGAUGAUCAUAUCCACAAGUGGCUAGAAUCUCAUGGAGAAGCGGAUUAUAAACUUAGAGAUGACUUCUUUCGCAUCCAAAGGGACAUUGCGAUGAUCAUAAUGAAAGAAGUCAUCGAUGAGAAGGGGAUGUUCCACCAUGGCCCUAUAUCGCGAGCUGACGUCCGAACUCUCAUAGGCAUGCAACCUCUAGACCUCACACCGUUCAAGAAGCUAGGGUCCAUCCCCAAUGAUAUGGAAGGAUGGAACUUCUAGUGAUUUAUGAUGCCGAUGAUGAUGAUAUGUGUCGGUUGAACUUGUAUACUUUUUGUAGCGAUGCAACUUUGUGAUGUCCACGGUCCCUGCCGAACUUGGACGAUGACCUGCGUACCUCUAGUUAAUUAGUUUGCGUACUGUAUGUUGCAUCUAGUUGCUAACCCUUUCUUUUUCGGUGUUGCUCUAGUAUAUUUGUUGCAUAUAUAUGAUUGUAUAUCCUCUUCAUGUACAUGCAUCUCUAACAGGUACCUAGUUUCUUGAUGGCGAGAUGGAAGUGCUAUGUCGUGUACAAAGGGAAGGUUCCGGGGGUGUACAACGAGUGGCCUGAGUGUCAGGCGCAAGUGAACGGGUUCUCGGGCGCCAGCCAUAAAGGCUUCAAAAGCAGACAAGAAGGAGAAGCUAGUUACUUGAGGUUCAUGCUAGCUCGAGAGAGGAAUCGUAACCGCCGCCUCAUGUACUGCAUAGUUCCGCUCUCACUCAUAGUGAUAGCUCUUCUCGCGUAUACCUUUGUUUAGAUGGAUGAUGCUGUAGUUGCAAGUAUUCGAGACUUGCAUGUAUCGCUAUUUUCGAGAUGAUGACAAGAUACCACUUUGUGUUGGAUGAUGAUUAUGAUGAGACUAUUUGUAUGUAUAUGCUAUGAUUACAUUUGUGGUCUCGCAGGCAUUUGUAUGUGUAUCAUGAUGACAUUUGUAUGUGUAUCAUCAUGACAUUUGUAUGUGCUAAAGAUUCUUCUAUAAAGCCUGUUCAAAUACAAAACAAAUAAGCGGAAAAAUAUAUAUUAAAAUUAGCAGUAGCGAGUGGAGAAAAGUUAGGAGCAGCACGGUAGUAUCAGUAGCGCGCACAUGGGAAGUGCACUAUAGCUAUUAGCAGUAGCGAGCUCCGCAGAAGAACGCUGCUACUACACUUGUAUAUCAGUAGCGCGGGUGCGCACGCGCUGCUGCUAUGGUUUAGCUGUAGCGCCUUAUUAGUAGCGCGGCCUCCCGCGCUACUGAUAACCCUAAAACCCGCGCUGCUGCUAGGCUUUCCCUAGUAGUGCUGGUUUCUGGGUCCUACCUGUCAGUUGGCAGAGAAAAGAAAUCAGUUAAACAAAACUUUACGCAGGCGCGACACGAGUUCAACCCUUGCGUGCGAACCGCCCUGGCUGUGUAUGUGAGUGCAUGCAUGUGUACUCCCUCGGUCUUCCAACAAAGAGUGUACAUCGGCUAUAAGGUUGGUCAUAGUGGAGAGUAACAUAUACUAGUAUCAUGCAUAUGAUACUAGUGUAUGAUACUACAUCUAUAGUGCAUAGUAUCAUAAAGUAGUAUCAUAGAUGGUCUCAUUUAUUGCCAUGCAUGACACACACUCCCUCCUUUCUGAUUUAUAGGACUUAUCUCAAAAUUUUAGUUUUUCCAUUUUAUAAGGCUCAAUUUGGUUGUUUUCCAUCACAUGUUCAGAUUCCAAGGUGCAUUAAAUCAUUGCAUGCAAGUAUUAAGAGAAAAUUGACCAAUGCAUGUACUUUACGCAUGCAUGCGUUGCAAUUAAUGCAUUGAUAAACAUAGGGGGUGUUUGGUUCUAGGGGCUUUUUUGUGUUGGGACUAGAAAAAGUCCCUAGCAAACCAAAUAGGGUGGGACUUUUUUGUGACUUUUUGCUAAAAGUCCUUAGAAGCACCUCCUUGAGAGUCUUUUUCAAAAAGUCCUAGGGACUAGAAAAAGUCCUAGGACUAGAGAACCAAACACCACCAUAAUUUUUUGAGGAAAACAAGAGCAUUAAUUAGGUGCUUUUGCAAAACUACAAAAAGUAUUCCACCACUCACCAUCUACCUUGAUUGGUGAGAUUUUUGAAUUGAGCCCUAUAAACCGGAAAUGAGUGAGUAGUAGCAUAACAUUAAUUGUGUUACGGUAUCUACCUAUGUUUACUACUACCUUCUCUCUCUUCUUUAAUUGUUUGCCACAUAAGCAUGUUUGCGAGUCCCAAGUACAUGAUACUAGUUAUGUUACCCCCACUAUGGCUAGUCUAAAACAAAGAGUGUAGUACAUGAUGUACAUCUACACUUCCAAUGCAUUUAGCCUUUAAUCUAACUCGAUAUUGAUUGACUAAUGCACCAACUUUUGCUGUAGGUAUAGGCUACAUGUCUAUCCUUAAUUACAACAUGCAACGACCUUCAUUUAAUCUUCUUCUCUCAAUGGUCGCAUGCACACAUAAGUCUAAUACUUUUGGGCAUUAAUUGUGCCCUGGUCAAUGUGUAAAUCUCUAAAUGUAGUACAGUCUUUCACAGACGUAGGGAGUAGGUUGAGCACUUGAGCGUGAGUGUGUGUGUUGCAUCGUUUGCUGUGUGCCGCAUGGGUGCGUGAGUGUUGCGUUCGUCCAUGUGUAUGUGUGAGUGUUGCAUGUUGCAUGCAUGCAUGCAUGCAUGGGGCUUACUCCCUCCCAUUGACAUGUUCAUAUUUCAAGCUUCCUCUGUUCCCUCCAUAUGGUGAUACUCCCUCUGUUCCCAAAUACGGAGUAAAAGCCUCCCUUUGUUCCCAAAUAUGGAGUAUUUGUCUUUCUACAGAUUUCAACAAGUGACUAGGUACGGAGCAAAAUGAGUGAAGUGAGCGUCGAGGCAUAGGGAUACUAUAAAAAGGAAGUCCUCGCGAUCCAUUAUUCCCCAUCUCGGUCAGAGAGAACUAUUCAACUAGUCUUCACAGUGAAGUGAUAAUACACGCUGCAGCAGAUGGGACACGUAAUUAAUAAGCUAAACCAGCAUGUUGGUGUUACUAAAUCAGCCUUACCCAGUACUGCCAUCAUGUUUGCCAGUAGAGCACGCUUCCGCAAAUACGCCUACGCACCUCUGUCCUCCAUUAACUGACAUAUGGGCCCUCUUGUGGUAGACCCACAUGUCAUCGUUGUAACUAUUUACACUCCGAACGACGGUAUAUCCUAGUAGUAGUACUAGUAGAAUUGAGAUUUAAUGCACUUUCUUCCCCGUCUUCCACUCUUCUUCCUCCUCUCUUCUUCUUCCUCCUCUCUUCCCCAUCAUCGGCGCACACCACUUACCCCCGCUCACUGCUCGCCCGCCCGCGCCAUCUUCCUUGGUAGCUCGGGCGUACCAUAUCCCCCCGCUCACUGCUCGGCAACACGAGGAGAAGCCUCUUCGCUCGCCCGCCCGAAUCCACUCCCCCCUGGCUCGCAGGCAUCGAAAACCCCAAUGGUAGAACCGACUGACACACAGAGCCAUGAUUGGAAUUCCCUCCCUGAUGUUCUCUUGGAGCAGAUCUGUAGUCGUAUGGACCUACUCAGCACCGUCCGUCUGGCCGCAUGCUAGGUGUCUUUGUACCGUCUACUCAUCUGCUACUGACCGGCUCUUUUCAAGACACCCUGCUUGCUGAUGUCUGAUCCUCGCAGGUGGCCCAGACACCGACUUGAAGAUCCUACAGAGGUUGCCGUGGUGCCCCUCGACAUGCUACCACUACCCGUCCACAUGUCCUUCAUGCGAGGCCACUACUGGGAGGGCAUGAAGGCCAACUGGAUCGUCCUCAUUCACCACUCCAGUAGUCCGUGGCAUCUCGUGGAUAUCUACACCCAGCGAGAGAUCACCCUUCCAUCUUUGGAUACCGCCGCCAUCGAGCCUCGCGGCCCGCCGGACACUCCUGCCUACUACGCACGAGACGCGUCAAGAUUUUGGCUCGACCUCUGUUUGCCGAAAGUUGUAAUCUGCGAAGUGCCCACACCAUCAGAAGAGUACAUGGAUUACAAGCUCAUUGCCUUGUUCAACAUGGGAUUAGUCUAUCUGGAAUCCGGUCACCAUACAUGUUUAUGGCUCAUCAUCAAUCAUGUUGAGGCAACAUUUAUGUCUGAUGCUAUAGUGCACGAUGGCAUCAUUUACACGGUCGACGCACAGAUUGGCUGCCUAUACUGGUGGAAUCUAUCAUUGUGUAAUUGUUCUAUCUCAUCUCAUCUUUACCUUAUGAAUACGACUGCCUAUUCAUUUGUUACAAAUUUAGAAUACAAAGCAUGUCUAUAACCACAUCAUUGCUAUAUGUUCCUCUCAUUUCCUAGAUUUUUAUGACCACACAUGUUAUUGUUAGAGUUGAUAUGAGAACAAUUGGCUUCUAAUGAUUGUUAGAAUACAUAUUAUGAGCAUAACCUCAUGAUUGCUAUAUGUUACUCUCGUUUACAAGAUUUUUAUAACAAUGCAUGUUAUUGCUUAGAGUUGAUAUGACAACAGUAGUAGUAAGUGCUAUGGUAGAAUAAGAGUAGGCGCUGUCAUAGUUGUUUUCCUCUCAUUGUUACAUGAUGUUUGAACCAUGACAUAUUGCUAGAAUAUGAAAGCCAUUGGCUUAUUUUUCUAACUUGGGGUAUGAUUAUGACCACAGCAUUGCAAUUCUCUGUCUAUGAUAUGUGUCACUGUUAUAAUAAUCUUAAUUCCACACACACUCUAAACAUGAUUGUUUAUUUUUGUCCUUUUGGUCUCCAAUUUGAAAUUUUGCAGCAGACGCAAAUGCGCUGGCCUUCAUGAUUCCAGGAUCUAGAAUCGUACCAGCCGAUGGGUGGUGCUUUAUCGCUCGUUCAGCUGACAGCGGUCAUUUGAUGCUCAUUCGCACGUACCAAAUUGACCAAACCAUUACAUCAAACCACAUGCAGUACAAUGCGUUGGGCAUUCAUGAAAUUGAUGGCUAUGGCUGCUUCGUGUUCGAGAAAGAUCCCAGCUCUGUUGGGCCAGGCGUAUUCAACUGGAGGCGGGUUUACAGCCUCGGCAACCACUCCUUGUUCAUCGGGCUCAAUUACCCGAUCAUCCAACCAAUCAUCGAUCAUAUCACCGGCGAUGAUUACCAUGCUAUGCAACUUCCAUUCGCGAGGGGGGACAUUGUUUACACAUCAUACCAUGGGUUUCAUGAAUCACCAUAUCCAGAGAUUCGUCGACACAGCUUGUUGCCAGAUAAUCUUUAGUGUGUGAAAGGCAUCAAGCUUCCAUGCGAUGGAUGGCUUUUGCAAACCCGACAUGCGGCGAUGUGGUUCAUGCCAACAGCAAAUAUGCACAACUUGAUUCAUGCUGAUAUCUAGACAAAGCCAUGUAUUCUGCUGCUGUCGCACGACCCUCUUUUGUUGGAUAUUAUGUACUGUUGUUAGUUUGAAGCACUCAUCUGGUUUGAAGGAUAGUAGAUACCUUCCUGGGAUCUAGUGCAUCCUAACUCACGUACAUAGGAUGUACUGAUAAUGAUGAUGGAGAUGCUGUGCAGAAGCCAUAUAUAUAUAUAUAUAUCAGUUAGGCUUCAAGUGCGUACUUGUUAGUUAGACCUAUGUAUAGAUUGUGACACUAAAUAUGACUAGUAAGUAGUAGAGUAGCAGUACUAGUAUAUGUCGGUCAAAUUAUUCAUCAUGUACACACAUUGAAUUGACGUGACAACACGCUGCGCAUGAGGUGACACAAGAAUCCCGGCGGCGUGUUCAGGUAUUCUGGACUUCAGAUUUGGAGUACCACUUAUCCGUCGAAAUCUUUCAUCAUUCACUUAAAAUAGUCGAUUGAUCAUACAUUGAGUACCAUAUAACUGGAAUUACCGAUGCAAGUUGAAGAACGAUUGGCCGGUGCUGCCGGCUGGCGUCAAGUUUGAUCCCACGAAUCAGGAGCUGAUGGAGCACCUUGAGGCCAAAGUGAGUGCUAACAGCGCGAGAUGUCAGUCUCUCAUCGAUUGGUUCAUACCAACCAUCGACAGCGAGCACGUCAUAUGCUACACCCAACCUGAGAAACUUCCAGGUAAGACACCGAUCGGCCGUCUACUUGCACAAACAUAUUCCUUUGUUUGUAGCUCUAUUUUUCUUUUUAGACGCAGACCUGGUGAAGCAAUUACAAUUUGACAGUUAAUAAAAAGUGAAACAAGUGACUGCAACAUGCCAAAGAUGUUAUGAAAAUGCCAACUACGUACACUAAAACCUGUAUUCCACAAUACUGUAGGUAUCACACUGAGUGGCCUAAGGAAGCAUUUCUUCCAGCGCAAUUUCAGGGCGUUCAAAAGGGGUAUGUGGACGCUUCGCGAGAUACAGUCAGAGUGCCGCAUGCAUGCGAUGUGGCACAAGACCGGCAAUACCUUGCCGGUGAUGGUCAACGGCCGGCAGACGGGCAGCAAAAAAGGUUCUGGUGCUGCACACCAACAAGAACUUCGACCAGCAGAGGACCAACUGGGUGAUGCACCAGUACCACCUCAGGGACCUGGAGCAAGAGAAGGAGCGGGAGCUGGUCCUCUGCAAGAUUUUCUACCAAACGAACACUAGGGCCAGGAGUAAAAAGAUUAUAAGUUAGUUUGGUAUUGGUAGUUGUACUACCUUGUCGUCCGCAAGUUGGUAUUGUUGUUAACGAUAUUUUGGUAUGAACUUGCAUUUGCUUCCAACCAUCAUGCCGAGGGUCGACGUGGAUAUAAAGCUGAAUCAUUUGUUUCGAAACGAAUUUUCAGGCACCUGAUUUUUAUUUGAUGGAUAGAAUAAGCAUCUGCCGUUUGAAUUCCCAGUUCUCCAAUUUUUAGAAACAAGUGCAUGCACUUAUUAUCACGAUGGAAAAACAAUAUCCGUGCUGCAUUCCAGUUAUCAGUAUGUACUUGCAGAAUUCACUCGUUUAUUGAGCACAUAUAUUGUUUUUUCCGGUCGAGCAAGUUUCAACUGGGCUGUAGACUGCCUAGGGUUGGUUUUGUUUUUACCAGGCCUAGACCAUGACGACAACGAGGCACAAAGAUCCAGCAGCUAUCUACUGGCCUCUGACCCGCCAGCGUUAGUUAUAUUUUGUCUUACAACAUCCGUAGGCAGUUUUUUUACUGGAUCAAACACACAGCCCAGUUCUAUUUUCCUCUUGAAACGCAUGUCCUACAUCCAUUUUCUAAUCUCUACCUAUAGUUUUACUCGUUCAUAUACACUUAUCAUUAUAUUGAAAACACAUAAAAUUCCCUUUUCAUAUUUACAUCCUUAUUUUUGUUUUUUUCCACCCAGCACUGAUUUUUUUACCACUGGUUUUCCCUUAAACCAACUCAAUUGUCCCACGUCUUAUUUGCUUACAAAAACAAAACGAUUUUUUUGGCAAAUCAAUAAGUUAUUAAAAAAAUGUUUAUCAUUUCAGGAUUACAACAGUUCGGACUCCACUGAAAUAUGCAAAAUAAGGUUGACAACUGGGUCCAUGGCCACAGCCUAGUUUUUUUGUGACCUGCCAAGUAAGUUGCUUUGUCAGGCCUGUUGGGCUGCACAUCUUUCAAGACGAGGAGAGCUUUCAUUCGGCUGGCCGAGAAAAUGGCCCAUCAGUAAUGAGAAAUGGGCUUACAUUUUUAAAACACAUCAAACCGGCAAUUAGUUUUAAAUAUCUUUUUUUUCAUUUCGAGAUUUUAAAUUACAUUAAUUUUAUGCAUGGAGAAUUUGUUGGAUUUUAUAUUGAUAUACAUUUAUUUUUAAAAUCAGUUUGAAUGUGAGUCGAAAUUUCGGGAUUAAAAACAGUUCGGACCGCACCGAAAUAUGCAAAAUUUCGUAUAUUUUUUUAACCGUGGCCACAAUAUGGGCUGUAAUGCUAACAAAAGGAAUAUGUGCUCCAAAAAAAACCCUUAAGAAUUAGCAAAUGGGUUGUAAAUUAUUAGAAAUAAUGGCACAUGGGUUGUAUGUUGUUUUCCACAGAUUUCAGGCUUUCCUAAAAAAAGGUUGACGCACAAGCAGUGAUUGUUGGAUGUCCAUCCAACGGCCAUCGUGCUUCUUAAAUCUCUGCUCUUCCUGCUCCAUCCACUGAAACAAGCGCCGGCGGGACUGCCUGCUACCUCCUUCCCGCGGUCGGCUGUGCUGCCACGCAGGCCUCGCUGCCCCACCGUACUCCCAUCGCUGGCCUGGCCAUCGCUCUACUCACCCACACAUGCUGUUAUUCUCUGGCGACGGCAGACGAACCAGUAAACCCUCGUACAGUCGUACUCCCUUCCGCGUGGGAAACAACUGCCCAGUCUUCCAUGCCUCCGUGUCGUUCCCUUCCAAGGCCUCGCCGUCGUCCACCGCCCUGGUGCUCUCGGCGCGGCCUGGUCAACAUGGUCAACGACCGACAUGCAUCUGAAGUGGACUAUGCAUGGAGAGGCCGACAGCUGGAUCCACGGCCGCACACAAGGAAAUGCCUCCUUAUUAUGCGCAAAAUAAUGAUUCCUCCACCAGACAUCAGGGACCCACCGAAAGGGCCUCUGUAUUUCGCGAAAAAAAACAUUACCGCCGCUGACAACUCGGACCCACUAGCUAUAUCUUCGCACGCAAGGAAGUGCCUCCUUAUUACGCACAAAAAAUGAAUACUCCCCUGUUAGCUGGGACCCAGUAUAGUGGCAGGCUGACUUGUGGGCCUGCUAAGUUGACGGGGACGGAGGGCUUUGUCAACUUAGUCAAUAUGCACGAUUCUAGCUCCAGUGACCGUACAAUGUCCAUCCAACGACUGUAGUGCUUCUUCAACCUCUGGUCUUCUUCCUGCAGCCGCCCAAACCAGCGCCGGUCGUGCCUCAUGCUCCUGCCUCCCAUGGCCGGCUGCGAUGCGGCGGAGGCCUCACCGCUCCCUACUACUCCCACCAUUGGCCAGGCCAUCCCUCUACUCAACCACACCCCCUGUUAACUGUUAUUCUGCGGUGACGGCAGCCUCACACCGCAGCGAACCAGUGAACCAUCGUACUCCUCUACGCGUGGACAUCCACUGCCACGUCUUCCAUGGCUCCGCGUCGUCCCCUUCCUAAGCCUCGCAGUCGUCCACCGCCCUGGUGCUCUCGGCACGACGUGGUCAACGUGGUCAAGGAACGGCUUCCAUCUGACGUGGACUGUACGUGGAGAGGCUGACAGCUGGGUCCACGGCGGCCGCAAGGAAGUGCCUCCUUAUUACGCGCAAAAUAAUUAUUCCUCCACCUGACAGCAGGGACCCACCGGACGGGCCACCGUAUUUUGCGAAAAAAAUGUUUCCCCCCUGACUGCUGGGACCCACCAGCUACACCUUUGCACGCAAGGAAGUGCGUUCGGGCAAAAAAAAAACGAUUCGCUCCCGUGACUGCUAGGACCCACCAGGUACAUCUUCGCACGCAAGGAAGUGCCUGACAGUCGGGACCCACCUAGUUGAAGCGUACAUAGCGUUGUCAUUCAGGUCGCGAACGUGUACGUACAUACUGGUGGAUGUAGAGGCGCGCACGUGUCGUAGUAGAGGCGCGCUUAUGUCGUAGUAGAGGCGCGCACGUAGCAUGUACACGUACGUACAGUGGCCAGUGCGCAAGAAAGAAAAUACGGUCACGUAUGUGUACAUACGGGCGGGGUCUCAAACGCCUACUCGCGCAUAUAUACGUACGGCCAGGGCUCGUAUACAUGGCUGGGUCAGAACAGAGAAACAUCAUCGUCGUCGUGUUCAUGGGGAGCCAACAGGCUGGGUCGGAAUGGAAUGCGUGGUCGUGUUCAUCGGGAGGGCUUGGACGGAACAGGCGAUGGAAAUGAGGCCUGGCGUACCGUAGAACGGAGGAAACAGCCUUGUGUUCGACCUGCCACGUUUGAAACGGGAUCCUGUUCAUCGAGAGGGGUCUGGCGUACUGCAAAACGAAGGAAACGGACCUCCUACAGUCGAAAUGGGGGUCCUGUUGAUCGGGAGGGGUGUGGCGUACCACAAAACGGACGAAACGGACCUCCUAUGGUCGAAACGGGGGUCCUGUUGAUUGGGAGGGGUGUGGCGUACCGCAAAACGGACGAAACGGACCUCCUAAGGUCGAAACGGGGGUCCCGUUGGUCGGGAGGGGUGUGGCAUACUGCAAAACAGACGAAACGGACUUGUGUUGGAGCACUACGGUCGAAACGAGGGUCCUGUUCAUCGGGAUGGGUGUGGCGUACCACAAAACGGGACUCCACGGGAUAUUGUUCAUCUCCACCAUCGACCUCCUCCAGCCUCCACGGGCUACUGUUCAUCCACCGUCGACCUCCUCAAGCCUCCACCUGCGACUGUUCAUCCACGGGCUCUUGUUCAUCCAGCCUCCACCGUGCGCUACUCCACCGGCUACUGUUUAACCACCCCUCUCCACGGGCUCCUGUUCAACCACCCCUCCACGAGCUACUGUUCAUCCACCCCUCCACUUUAUACUAUUCAUCCAGCCCUCCACGGGNNNNNNNNNNNNNNNNNNNNNNNNNNNNNNNNNNNNNNNNNNNNNNNNNNNNNNNNNNNNNNNNNNNNNNNNNNNNNNNNNNNNNNNNNNNNNNNNNNNNNNNNNNNNNNNNNNNNNNNNNNNNNNNNNNNNNNNNNNNNNNNNNNNNNNNNNNNNNNNNNNNNNNNNNNNNNNNNNNNNNNNNNNNNNNNNNNNNNNNNNNNNNNNNNNNNNNNNNNNNNNNNNNNNNNNNNNNNNNNNNNNNNNNNNNNNNNNNNNNNNNNNGAUCGGCUUCAGUUAGCAGCAGUAGCAAAGGAAUCGAUCGCUCGGGUUCAGUUAACAGCCAUCGAUUGAUCGCUCGAUUCAGUGAUACAUGUCCAACGUAUCUACUUUUCCAAACACUUUUGCCCUUUUUUUGGACUCUAACUUGCAUGAUUUGAAUGAAACUAACCGGACUGACGCUGUUUUCAGCAGAAUUACCAUGAUGUUGUUUCAUGUGUAAAAAACAAAAGUUCUCGGAAUGACCUGGAAAUGCUCGGACACAAGUUUCAGAAAAUAUAAAAAAUCCUCACAAAAUAUGAAGACCAAGGGGCCCACACCCUGUCCACGAGGGUGGGCCCCCCCAAUAGGACGCGCCCCCUUAUCUCAUGGGCCCCCUGAGGCUCCGCCGACCUCAACUCCAACUCCAUAUAUUCCGUCUCGCGGAAAAAAAUCAGAGAUAAAGCUUCAUCGCGUUUUACGAUACGGAGCUGCCGCCAAGCCCUAAUCUCUCUCAGGAUGGCUGAUUUGGAGUCCGUUUGGCGCUUCGGAGAGGGGGAUUCGUCGCCGUCGUCAUCAUCAACCAUCCUCCAUCACCAAUUUCAUGAUGCUCACCGCCGUGCGUGAGUAAUUCCAUCAUAGGCUUGCUGGACGGUGAUGGGUUGGAUGAGAUUUACCAUGUAAUCAAGUUUGUUUUGUUAGGGUUUGAUCCCUAGUAUCCACUAUGUUCUGAGAUUGAUGUUGCUAUGACUUUGCUAUGCUUAAUGCUUGUCACUAGGGCCCGAGUGCCAUGAUUUCAGAUCUGAACCUAUUAUGUUUUCAUGAAUAUAUGUGUGUUCUUGAUCCUAUCUUGCAAGUCUAUAGUCACCUAUUAUGUGUUAUGAUCCGACAACCCCGAAGUGACAAUAAUCGAGAUACUUCUCGGUGAUGACCGUAGUUUGAGGAGUUCAUGUAUUCACCAUGUGUUAAUGCUUUGGUCCGGUUAUCUAUUAAAAGGAGGCCUUAAUAUCCCUUAGUUUCCACUAGGACCCCGCUGCCACGGGAGGGUAGGACAAAAGAUGUCAUGCAAGUUCUUUUCCAUAAGCACGUAUGACUAUUUACGGAAUACAUGCCUACAUUACAUUGAUGAAUUGGAGCUAGUUCUGUGUCACCCUAUGUUAAAGCUAUUACAUGAGGAAUCGCAUCCGGCAUAAUUAUCCAUCACUGAUCCAUUGCCUACGAGCUUUUCAUAUAUUGUGUUUUGUUUAUUUACUUUUCCGUUGCUACUGUUACAAUCACUACAAAACACCAAAAAUAUUGCUAUUACUAUCUUUACCUUUUACCACCGUUACCAUUACUAUCAUACUACUUUGCUACUAAAUACCUUGCUGCAGAUACUAAGUUAUCCAGGUGUGGUUGAAUUGACAACUCAACUGCUAAUACUCAAGAAUAUUAUUUGGCUCCCCUUGUGUCGAAUCAAUAAAUUUGGGUUGAAUACUCUACCCUCGAAAGCUGUUGCGAUCUCCUACACUUGUGAGUCAUCAAGACUAAUUUCUGGCGCCAUUGCCGGGGAGGUAAACUCUAUUCUCUGAGUCACUUCGGAUUUAUAUCUGUUGAUCACUAUGAAGAAUUUGAAAGACUCUAAAACCAAGAUCUAUCCCUCAACUACGAGGGGAGGUAAGGAACUGCCAUCUAGCUCUGCACUAGAUUCUCCUUCUGUUAUUAAUAAGCUUGCGACACCUAAAUCUGCUACUGCUAUGAAUUCUGAUAUGUCGCAUGUUAUCGAUGAUGCCACUUCUGCUUUGAAUGAUACUUAUGAUGAAACUAUUUCUGUGCGUGAUACUACUGUGCCAUUAGGUGAAUUUCUUGACGAACAACUUGCUAGGGCUAGGGAGAAUGAAAUUAUUGAAGAUGCUAUUAUUGAUGAUAGUGAUGAUGAAUGUUCUCCGAAUGAUUCUGAAUUGCCUGUUGUUCCUGAGGGUUAUGUUAUGAAUAAAGAAGCUGCUGAAGCUAUUUUUGCCUACAAAGAUAGAUAUGAUCUUAAGAAACUAUUAGCUAAAUGGAAGCAGCAAUCUCUUAAUGCUAGAAUGAAACCUGACCCUGCUUUUGCUACUUCACCUAUCUAUGUUACUGAUAAGGAUUAUGAAUUCUCUAUUGACCCUGAAAUUAUUACUUUGGUAGAAUCUGAUCCUUUUUAUGGCCUUGAAUCUGAAACUGUUGUGGCACAUCUUACCAAGUUGAGUGAUAUAGCUACCCUGUUUACUCAUGAUGAGAAGUCUCGCUACUUUUAUAUCCUUAAGAUAUUUCCGUUCUCAUUAAAGGAUGAUGCUAAGACUUGGUAUAAUUCUCUUGCUCCUGGUUGUGUGCGUAGUCCCCGGGAUAUGAUUUAUUACUUCUCUGCUAAAUAUUUCCCUGCUCAUAAGAAACAAGCUGCCUUGGGGGAAAUAUAUAAUUUUGUGCAAGUCAAAGAAGAGAGUCUCCCACAAGCUUGGGGGAGGCUUCUCCGAUUACUUAAUGCUUUGCCUGAUCAUCCACAUAAGAAAAAUGAAAUACUUGAUAUCUUCUAUAAUGGACUAAACGAUGCUUCCAAGGACUAGUUGGAUAGUUGUGCUGGUUGUGUUUUCAGGGAAAGAACAGUCGACGAAGCUGAGUUACUAUUGAAUAAUAUGUUGACUAAUGAAAAUAAUUGGACUCUCCCUGAGCCAAUUCCUGAACCAUUUGAGCCAACUCCUGAGCCUAUCCCUAAACCCACUCCGAAAAUAGAGGUGUUCUAUUUCUCAGUCCUGAAGAUAUGCAAGAGGCAAAGAAAUCAAUUAGAGAGAAAGCUAUUAAAGCUGAAGACAUUAAUAAUUUACCUCCUAUUGAAGAAAUACAUGGUCUUAAUAUACCGCCUGUUGAAGAAACACAUUGUCUUGAUAGCCCGACACAGGUAGUAAAGGUAAAUUCUCUCUAUAGGUAUGAUAAAGAUGAAAUCCCAUCUACUAAAUUUCAUAGCCCUUGCUUAGAUGAAUUUGAUGAUUUCAUGAAUAGACAAGCAAAUUUCAAUGAUUAUGUUGGUAGACAACUGAAUAAUAAUGCUAAUACGAUAGUACGCUUAAAUGAUUAUGUAGCUAGAGUUAAAGGUGAACUUAAGCUCACUAGUAAACAUGCUUCCAUGGUUGCUACUCGAGCUGAACAAGUACUUAAGGCUCAGAAUGAAUUGCUUGCUGAAUUAAAUAAUAAAAAUUACUUUGCUGUUAGAGUGGCAACUAGAACUGGUAGAAUGACUCAGGAACCUUUGUAUCCUGAAGGCCACCCUAAAAGAAUUGAACAAGAUUCUCAGAAUAAUAAUCUAGAUGCUCCUAGUUCUUCUAAGAAGAAGAAAAAGAAGAAUGAUAUGACUUUGCAAACUUCUAGUGAACCUAAUAUAGAAAUACAUGAGAAUCCUAAUAAUACUCCUAUCUCUGAUGCUGAAACACAAUCCGAAGAUGAACAUGAACCUGAUGAUAAUGUUAAUAAUGAUGUUCAUGUAGAGGCUCAACCUAGUAAUAACAAUGAAAUAGAAAUUGAACCCCCUAUUGGUCUUGAUAACCCACAAUCAAGAAACCAACGUUAUGAUAAGAGAGAUUUUGUUGCUAGGAAGCAUGGUAGAGAAAGAGAACCAUGGGUUCAGAAACCCAUGCCCUUUCCUCCUAAACCAUCCAAGACAAAGGAUGAUGAGGACUUUGAGCGUUUUGCUAAAAUGAUUAGACCUAUUUUCUUACGCAUGCGCUUAACUAAUAUGCUUAAAACAAACCCUUAUGCUAAAUAUAUGAAAGAUAUCAUCACUAAUAAUAGGAACAUACCUGAAACUGAGAUUUCCACCAUGCUUGCCAACUAUACCUUUAAGGGUGGAAUACCUAAGAAACUUGGUGAUCCCGGAGUACCCACUAUACCCUGCUCUAUUAAAAGAAAUUAUGUUAAAACUGCUUUAUGUGAUUUAGGAGCCGGUGUUAGUGUUAUGCCUCUUUCCUUGUACUGUAGACUUGAAUUAAGUAAGUUGACACCUACUGAGAUAUCUUUGCAAAUGGCUGACAAAUCAACUGCUAUACCUGUCAGCAUUUGUGAGGACGUGCCUGUCGUUGUUGCGAAUGUUACUAUCUUAACAGACUUAGUUAUUCGUGAUAUUCCCGAGGACGAUAGUAUGUCUAUUAUUCUUGGAAGACCCUUUUUAAAUACUGCAGGAGCUGUUAUUGAUUGCAACAAGGGCCAUGUCACCUUUCAUGUUAACAGAAAUGAGCAUACGAUACAUUUUCCGAGGAAGCAAAUCCAAGUUCAUAGCAUAAAUACUAUUCAGAAAAUUCCAUCAAUUAUUAUUAGAGGUCUUGAAUUUCCUCUCCCUACUGUCAAGAAAAAGUAUGAUAUUCUUAUUAUUGGGGAUUUUCAUAUCCCCGUUGAGGUAACUUAGUGUCACUUCGCAAUUUCUCCGGUUCCGUGUUAUUCGGAACGAGUUUAUUAACAAGACUUGAUCAACCUUCUUAGUGGAUUCAUUUUGAUGACCAUGAGAUGGAUGAAACUAGAAGGCACAACCUUCUGUACUUUCUUUUUACUUUAUGGUAUUUAUAAUAAAUAAAACAAAAAUAGUAUUAUCCGUCUGUUUUCUGAUUUGUCUGUGCAAUAAAAAAUAUCCCAAAAAUAAAAGUGCUCCAAAUGCCCUGCAAAUUUAGUAUGAUUUUUAUGGAAUAUUUGAGGAUUUUAGGCACUGAAAUCACUGCAAGACGGGCAAGCACCAGGCCACGAGAGUGGAGGGUGCACCCCCUGUCUCGUGGGCCCCUGGUAGCCCCCCUCCACUUAUGCCAGCACCCACAGACUCCAUAUUAUACACAAAAAAAACCCGAUCCAUCUCAAGCACAAGUUCUAGCUCGUUUUGCUAUGAUUUUCGAUCUCCUUGCUCAAAGCUCCAUUCACAAAACUGCUUUGGGAGAUUGUUGCUUGGUAUGUCUCUCCUCCAUUGGUCCAAUUAGUUUUUGUUCUAGUGCUUUAUUCAUUGCAAAUCCUUGCUGCCUUGGUGACCCUGUUCUUGAGCUUGCAUGUUAAAUUUAUGAGGUUCCAAGUAAUUCUAAUGCAUGAUGUAGGCUCUAGGCACUUGUAGGAGUAGUUUCUACCAUUCUUGUUAAGUUUUAUUCACUUUUAUUUUGAAGUUACUAAAUUUUCAAAAUUAUUUCAGAAAAAGAAAUAUGCUUAGGAGAAUGUACCAAGGUGGUUCCUCGGUGAAGAAAGGGCCCAGGAUUGCUAUACGUGAGCAAGAUGUUGAAUUGCCAACGAACGCUGAUGUACGAGCUUGUGAGUGGCCAUCCGAUGAUUUUAUGGUCAAAGCGGGUUUUAAGGAGGAAUUUGACGCAUAUGUGCAUAAUGCCGAGUUGGAGGACUUCUUACAAGAUAAGUGUCCGCAGUACUAUCAAUUGACCGAUUCUUUUGUGCGGAGGUUUAAAUAUAACUGUACGCGUAAUUCUCCUAGUGUCAUAUUUGAUAUUUAUGAUACAUCUUAUACCAUGGACUUAGAGGAUUUUACAACUGCUUGCGAAUUCCUGUAGUGGGGUAAUAUUAAUGAUCCUCACAAAUCUGAAUUUAGAGAUUGCCUUGCUAGUAUUACUGUGGGAGAAUCUAGGGACAUUGCACAAGCUACCAUAGGGAGCAUUCAUUUUCCUGCUAUACAUUAUUUUGCUCUCUUCACUGGUAGAUGUACUAAUGGUAAGGAUGAAGCAUGUCACAUGUGUGUCCCUUAUCUGAGUAUCCUCAAGAGUGCUGUGUUAAGUUAUAAAGGUUAUAACCUGGGGGCAAUAGUUGCACGUAGGUUGCAGAAUAAUAGUUGAAAGGGAAAUUUAUUUGGAGGAAUUUAUGCAACCCGUGUGGCUAAUUAUAUUGGUAUAGCCCCACGAGAGGGAGAUACAAUAAUAUCUCCUGUUUAUUUGGAUUAUGAAGCUAUGGUCGAUCAUCAAUUCCUUGGGAGGAAUGAUCAAUUCCUCCAAUAUCGACUAACCUAUGACAGACGCAACGUCGUCCAUGUUACUCUUCCUGCUCCCUACCUUUUUGAUUAUCAGGCAAAAGGAAGAUAUGUUGUUACUAGAGAGGAAGCAGCUGAACACGAGAGGAGAGCGGAGGCAGCUCGCCAACACGCCGCAGCUCAGGAGGCGGUUGCCGCUGCAUCUCAGUACGACCCCGGUUUCACUUAUGGAUAUCAGCCAGGCUGUCCCUGGUAUUAGACCAACUUAGGCCAAAAGCCUAAGCUUGGGGGAGUACGUAUUUCUCAUCGACUUUACAUUCAUGUUCACACACUAGUUUUCGGUGCUCAUACCCUUUCAUUGUAUUAUCCAUGUUAGUUUAAAUUUCUUUUUCUAGUUUUCUUCUUGUGUGUUUGAUAAACCUUAAGAAAAACCAAAAAAAAUAGUUAGCUUAAUUUCCAUGCUUGUAGUAGAAAUUAAAAUGAAAAACCCAAAAAGAUUUCUUGUUCUUCUUUUACUUGUUGGGAGCUUUCCCGUGUAAAUAGUUUUAUUUUCUUUUCUUUCCUAUGGGGGUCAAGAAGACCAUAUUGAAAAUGUUUAGUGGCUCUCAUAUGCAUGAUUGUUUAUUUAAUUUAGAGCCCAUAUUAUUUGUAUUCUCUCUUGAGUUGAAUGCUUGCAGAUUCCAGCUUAGUCCAAUGCACGUACACUCUAUUAUUAUACACAUCGUUCGGUCGUGCGAGUGAAAGGCAAUAAUGACGAUAUAUGAUGGACUUAUUGAGAUGAGAAAAGCAGGUAUGAACUCGACCUCUCUUGUUUUUGUAAAUAUGAUAAGUUCAUUGUUCCUGAUUCAGCUUAUUAUGACGUAAACAUAUUUGCAAUAACAUUUAGAGAUUAUAGUUGCUUGUGCCAUGCUUGAUUAGCUUUGAGUUAUAAUGGUUUACCUUGCGCGCCAACAUGCUAUUAGAAUGAUUAUGAUGUGGUAUGAUGGGAUGGUAUCCUCCUUUGAAUGAAUUGAGUGACUCGACUUAUCACAUGUUCACGCAUGUAGUUGAAACAAAAUCAACAUUGCCUUCACGAUAUUUAUGUUCAUGGCGGAUUAUAUCCUACUCAUGUUUGUAUUCGGUGUGAAUUAGUUUUAAUGCAUGUUUAUGACUGUCGUCGCUCUCUUAGUUCGUCGCUUCCCAGUCUUUUGCUAGCCUUCACCUGUACUAAGAGGAAAUACUGCUUGUGUAUCCAAACUCCUUAAAAACCCCAAAGUUGUUCCAUAUGAGUCCACCAUACCUUCCUAUAUGCGGUAUUUACCUGCCGUUCCAAGUAAAUUUGUAUGUGCCAAACUCUAAACCUUCAAAUGAAAUUCUGUUUUGUAUGCUCUAGCCGCUCCUCUUUCCACUAGGGCUGUCUAUAUCUUCCAUGCUAGGUGGGUUAUUCUCAGAGGAGUGGACUCUGCUCCUCAUUAACGAGAAAGGGUCGGCAACUGGGAUGCCCAGUCCCAUGAUCCAAAAAGAUCAAAGCAAAUCAAAUAAUUAAACAAAACUCCCCUAGGGCUGUUAUUAGUUGGAGGCACUCGUUGUUUUGAUCAAGCCAUGGAUUGAUGCUUGUUGGUGGAUGGGGGAGUAUAAACUUCUACCAUUCUGCGUGGGAACUGCCUAUAAUGCAUGUAGUAUGGAAGAUACAGCCAUCUCAUUGUUGUUGUGUUGACAGCGAAAGUAUGCCGCUCAAAAUGGUAUUCAAUCUUUAUUUUAAAAUAGAGCUUUGGCACCUCUACAAAUCUCUUCUUCCCUCUGUGAAGGGCCUAUCUAUUUACUUUUAUGUUGAGUCAUCACCCUUCUUAUUAAAAAGCACCCGCUGGAGAGCACACUGUCAUUUGCAUUCAUCAUUAUUGGUUUACAUUGGGUAUGACUUGACUGGAUCUCUUUUACCAUGAAUUACAAUGUUCAGUCAGUCCUUGAUCUUUAAAGGUGCUCUGCAUUUAUGUUUUGCGGUCUCAGAAAGGGCUAGCAAGAUACCAUUUUGUUAUAUCAUGUUAUGAUUGUUUUGAGGAAGUGUUGUCAUCCGAGUUUUAUUAUUAUGGCUCGCUAGCUGAUUAUGCCAUUGAUAUGAGUAAUUGUGAGGCUUGAGUGUUAUUGUUAGUAUGGUUAGUUUAUAAUAUUGUUGAAACUUGAAUAAUGGCUUUGCAUGUUUACACCAACAAGAGCAAAUAGAGUUUGUAAAAGUUUUUCUUUAUCACUAUCAAUUUACCAACUGAAUUGCUUGAGGACAAGAAAAGGUUUAAGCUUGGGGGAGUUGAUACGUCUCCAACGUAUCUACUUUUCCAAACACUUUUGCCCUUGUUUUGCACUCUAACUUGCAUGAUUUGAAUGAAACUAACCGGACUGACACUGUUUUCAGCAGAAUUACCAUGAUGUUGUUUCAUGUGUAGAAAACAAAAGUUCUCGGAAUGACCUGGAAAUCCUCAGAGACAAGUUUCAGAAAAUAUAAAAAAUCCUUGCAAAAGAUGAAGAUCAGGGGGCGCACACCCUAUCCACGAGGGUGGGGGCGCCGCCCCCCCUAUAGGGCCCGCCCCCUUAUCUCGUGGGCCCCCUGAGGCUCCGCCGACCUCAACUCCAACUCCAUAUAUUCCGUCUCGCGAAGAAAAAAACCAGAGAGAAAGUUUCAUCGCGUUUUACGAUACGGAGCCGCCGCCAAGUCCUAAUCUCUCCCGGGAGGGCUGAUCUGGAGUCUGUUUGGGGCUCCGGAGAGGGGGAUUCGUCGCCGUUGUCAUCAUCAACCAUCCUCCAUCACCAAUUUCAUAAUGCUCACCGCCGUGCGUGAGUAAUUCCAUCGUAGGCUUGCUGGACAGUGAUGGGUUGGAUGAGAUUUACCAUGUAAUCAAGUUAGUUUUGUUAGGGUUUGAUCACUAGGGCCCGAGUGCCAUGAUUUCAGAUCUGAACCAAUUAUGUUUUCAUGAAUAUAUGUGUGUUCUUGAUCCUAUAUUGCAAGUCUAUAGUGACCUAUUAUGUGUUGUGAUCCGACAACCCCGAAGUGACAAUAAUCGGGAUACUUCUCGGUGAUGACCGUAGUUUGAGGAGUUCAUGUAUUCACUAUGUGUUAAUGCUUUGGUCUGGUUCUCUAUUAAAAGGAGGCCUUAAUAUCCCUUAGUUUCCACUAGGACCCCGCUGCAAUGAGAGGGUAGAACAAAAGAUGUCAUGCAAGUUCUUUUCCAUAAGCACGUAUGACUAUUUACGGAAUACAUGCCUACAUUACAUUGAUGAAUUGGAGCUAGUUCUGUGUCACCCUAUGUUAUAGCUAUUACAUGAGGAAUCGCAUCCGGGAUAAUUAUCCAUCACUGAUCCAUUGCCUACGAGCUUUUCAUAUAUUGUGCUUCUCUUAUUUACUUUUCCGUUGCUACUGUUACAAUCACUAUAGAACACCAAAAAUAUUGCUAUUACUAUCUUUACCUUUUACCACCGUUACCAUUACUAUCAUAAUACUUUGCUCAUAAAUACCUUGCUGCAGAUACUAAGUUAUCUAGGUGUGGUUGAAUUGACAACUCAGCUGCUAAUACUCAAGAAUAUUCUUUGGCUCCCCUUGUGUCGAAUCAAUAUAUUUGGGUUGAAUACUCUACCCUCGAAAGUUGUUGCGAUCCCCUACACUUGUGGGUCAUCAUUCAGUAACGCAUAGCCUGCAGUGCAAUCGCUCGGGUUCAGUUAGAGCCCAACGCCUCGCUCGGGUUCAGUUAGAGCCAACGCCUCGCACACACGUGCGUACGUGUACGAGAGAAACGCGCAUCGCUCGGCCCCCGACCUCCCACCGUAACCGGGAACUCCCUGAAAUUUUCCUCGCCCUCGCUUGUACCAAGGUUUUUUCCGUCAUAGACGGCCCAAAGAAUGUCAUGCAGCUGCGUCCCCGGCCCGCCCAGGACGAAAAACCCAUUUUCUUUCAUGAUUUUUUGUCAUAGAAGUUGGAGCCCACCACAUCUAUGAAAUUUUUUCGUUUGACCCAAAAUGUCAUGAAUGUCUUUUUUUUGUAGUGACGGGACGAAGUCUUCUAUCUUGUAUCUUCAUAGUCCAACAGUCCGGAUAACUUAUAUAGCCCAGCUGUCUAAGGACCCCUUAAUCUAGGACUCACUCAGUAGCCCCUGAACCAGGCUUCAAUGACGAUUGAGUCCAGCGCAGAUUGUCUUUGGCAUUGCAAGGAGGGUUCCUUCUCCGAAUAUUCCAAAGUAGAUCUUCGAACACAAGAAUCAUGUUAGGCUCUGCAAAACAGACUCCACAUACCUCCGUAGAGAGAACAAUGUUCCACGAGUCUAAUAUGCUGACAACCUUUCCAUAGCGUGACAUCACGCCACGGCCCGGUUAUUAUUCGAACUAUUUUCCAACCUGCUACUACACGUUUCGCGAGGCGGUUUUAUCGGCACGUCUUGUCGAAGCAGAGAUCGUGUCCCCUUAUUACGGGAUUCUCAUCAAUACGGGCGUGGCUAACCCAACCCUUCCACGGGUAGGAUUCCUUGGGAAUAGGCAAGUUUCAAAGGCCACAUGGGGGACAUUUGAUAUUUGUCCUCUUUAUAAAGAGACCAAGGCCUGCCUUUUUCUUCCACGCUCAAUCCUCUCCUUCUCCCACCUCGAGUUCCAACACCCAAGGCUUUAGCCAAAACGCUCCAAACUUCCGACCAUGUCCAGAUCCAGCCUUCAAGGCCGGCGAAUGGCCUCCUCUGUCACGGAGGAGGACAUCAAGAAGCUUAGGGAGGCAAGGUACUUGACCGCGGAAAUCCUCCACAGGCUUCCUGCUCAAGGGCAGGUUAUCCCUACCCUCAAGUCCAAUGAGAGUGUUAUGUUUAUCUCUCACUUCCUCCGAGGGCUAGGCCUCGGUCUUCAUCCCUUUGUUAGAGGGCUCAUGUUCUAUUACGGACUAGAUUUUCAUGAUCUAGCUCCAGAUUCCUUCCUUCACAUCUCGUCAUUCAUCGUCGUGUGUGAGGCUUUCCUCUGCAUUACUCCACACUUCGGCUUAUGGCUCAAGACCUUCAAUGUAACGUCGAAGAUGAUCGAUGGGAAACACGCGGAGUGUGGAUGGGUAAAAAUAAGAAAAUGUGCUAAUGCUUUAUGGCCGAAGGAUCCUUCCCGGAGGCUUCCAAACUAUGGUAGCGGGAGUGGUUUUAUAUCACAGCACCCCGAUGUAAAAAGUGGGCGGCUGUCCCUUCCUUCCGCUUCGGUCCUCCGCCACACUUUCAUAAUGGGUCAACAAGGGGCUGGACUAGGGAUCGGCUGAUGAUGUGUGGACAUUGCAAAGCCGCAUUCGAGAUCUCAUCGAGAAGGACAUUAGUCUUGUCAAGGUAAUCCAAGUAAUGCUAGUUUGGUGGGUCCUGCCAUGCCAACGACGACCUCUCCGUAUGUGGGAGUUCAAUCCGGAAGGACCGCGAACCGUUCAACACUUCUUCGGCAUGACACUCAAAGGGAUGUAUAAAUCAUUCUUCGGAUCACGAAUAAAGUGUCCGGACACCAUGGAAGACGCAGGCCUUGAAUGCAACCAUACAGAUACCCCGGUGAGCACCCCACAACCGAACAUGUUGUCGUUAUAUUUAUCAUAACGUUAUUCUGAAAAACCAUCCUCGGCCAGGGUUGGGAAGGCAGAGAGGAUCAGGUGUUCGGCGGAUCCGGUGUUAACCAGGAUGCUGGUGCACCAUAUCAAGUGCCAUCAGGGGAAGACAAGGAGAGGAGUGGGGAGGUCAAAAGUGGCCUCCAUACUGGUGGUAUAUUACACAUCAUAUCCAGAGAAAUUGGAACUCCUGUGUCGGAGGAUGAGUGGGGAGGAGAAUCAAGUAUUCCCUCCCUCCAUGGGAAGAAAAGGGCCACACACAAAGACUUGAAGGCAGAGGCCUCCAAGCAAGGGAAGAAAUCCCUAUCAGGGGGUCAUGUCCGGGGGAGCAAUGUUACCGAACAGCACCCUCAAGGGGACCAGCCGUUAGCCAAGACGUAAGUGAACAAAUGUGCUCUGUUAGCAUACCACGUUCAUUUCCCGUUUAUGAUAGUAACAUCUGAAACAUAUGUCCUGCAGUCCGGCCUAUAUCCUUCCACAACAAUCUUCGUCCUCGGGGGAUCUUCUUCUAGAGAUGAUGGAGAGCGAGACGCCUCCUCAUACUUCCCCUGCCCAUAAGGAGGAUGACCCUAAAGUGUCGUCUCGGAGGAUCUCUUGCAAUCCGCAAAGGAGGACGAGGCCAGAAGGUGAAUCUUCGUCCACCUGAGGUCGGGGGUGUGCGGCUCUUAAAGAGACCGAAGACAAAUGCCCCGGACUAUCCAACACACAGCCGGACACGUUGAUGGGUCUUCCGCGGCGAGCGCUUGUUUCAGAGGAACAUCAUACCUUAAUGGUUAUGGUGAUUGAGAGAAUUUCGUCCACGAAAAGGGGACUGGAUGAAGGCUUUAUGAGUCUAUUAAGAGGCUUUGAGGUACGUAAUGUGGCAUUUUUUAUUUGUACCGUAAACGCAAAGUGCACUGUGUGUAGAUAGUAGCCCCUGAGACUCUGGUUACUAUCCGAACGGGGCGAUCAGAGGAUCAAAAAUAGGAAUACUCUCAGGUAAUGAUUUUGAAAAUUUUGUACACGGGCAGCUGCAGCCCCGGCUGCCGAAUUUGCCGAACUGAAGCGGCAACUUAAUUUGGCGGAUGAGGACAUCAUGCUCGUGAAUAAGCGUCUUGACGAGGCGCAAGGUAUGUCUUUUGGGUGGUCAGUAAGUAUAAAUGAGAGCAUGAUGCUAGGAUUUAUGAUAUGCUUGAACUGCAGAUGGUGCUGCCGCCAUGGAGACUCUUUGCGGUGAGCUCGCGCGUGCCAAGGAGAAAGCUAGGAUAAGAGACGCGGCUACCGAAGUGAGAAGAAAAUAGCCAGUAUGGCUCUUGAGUUGAAGGAUGCCGCUAGCAAAUAUGAGCUUCUCGAAAGAGAGAACCAAGCAAAAACGGCAGACCUAGAGAAGGCCUUACAAGCAGCAAAGGAAACUCGAUCUGAUAUCAGAUCGGCUCGGGAGGAGCUCCGGCAAGACGGCGAGAUCGCAGCUGGGAAGCCCUUUUUAUUGCGAACUAAAUUUGGCGAUCCGAAGUAUGCUGCUCUUGAUCAAAUGUGGAGUUCUCAAGACGCAUACUUGGACUUGUCAAAGAGUGCUGCUGAUGCGACGCGGUUCUUCCAAGACCAAGAAGAUCAUGAAGCGAAAAGACUGUUCUGGUCGCAGUUCAGCAUGCCAAGGCGUCCACUGCUAUUGAACGAGUAGAUGGCCGAAUGGGCGGAGCUCCAUAGUUUAUCCGGACUUGCCAUGAAGGCUGUCGUGGACCACUUGUGGCCGGAGGAACCAAGUCCGGAUAGUUAUUUUGGUUUGGUGCAACGAUUUAUUCGUGCUGUGCCCCAUAUCGAUGCUAUCAAGCGGUCGGCGUGCAUAGAGGGUGCGCGGAUGGCCCUUGCCCGUGUUAAGACGUACUGGGCGAGGAUGGAGGCCACCGAUAUUGCAACAAGGGGUCCACCAGGGGGCCAGGACCUGCCAGAGCACUAUUUCGAAGAAGUCUCAGAGGGUGCCCACUUAAUAGAGGCUCAGUGCUCAAAAAAUAUCAUGUUCGAAUGAUAUGUACUCGAAUUGUAAAGGCAAUGCUUUUGACAGUAAAGGCUAUAUUUUUACUUUUUCCCAUAAAGUAUUUGGGUGCCACUUGUGCGGCCGUUUAUGUAUAUAUGUAUAUAACCUAAAAGAUUGCAGUCGCUGGCUUCAGCCCCCUCGCGCAUAAUGCGGGGGUGUUCGGCAAAAACACAUAGUCACACUUGACCCAACGUAUUGGUCCGUUAAGGAGGUGAUGGUGCAGCGAACGAGGCAAUUGGACUAUAGAGCUUUAACACUUUCACUUAGCCAUAGGAGUUUGACUGUGGGGCUACUAUAUAGCCCCUUGUAUGGCCGCGUUUAUCCAAAUACAAUGCGUUGACAUACGUGACCGGGAAGCCGGUCCUUUGUUAAGGUGGAGGAAUCAUGAGGAUUCCGUUGAGUCAUCGAGUGGUUGACCAGUCUCUAGCUUUAUCAUGAUAGUCAGUUUUCGGCUUUCUCUACUGAGGUUCUCACCCGGAUGAACCAGGGCACAAUCGCAGUAGUUCUCCCGAUGCCGCUUUACCCGAUAGAGCGGAACGUAAGGUAGCAAAACAUGGGAGCCGGGCAAACCCAACAUUUGACCAAAGACAUGAUUUGGAGCUGAUGCUUAUAAGGCCAAACUCGCGACGCCGAACACUCCCGACGGUAUUCUAACUUUACAAUAUAUACCGGGCUGAAUUAUAGCCCCUGGUAUUGAACCCUGGAUUUCAAGUUACGGGCGACAAUCCGGCGUGAAGAACGAGAGCCUGUGGUGAGAGCAUAGAUCUCAAAAACAUAAUUGUUGCUGCUUUUGUAACUUCUAUUUAAGUGCGGCGAAUCAUAAGUUCAGCUAUAACGCCGGUAUCCCUCUUGGUCAUUUCAAAUGCCAGUAGGGUAUGAAACAACAAGAGAUAGUGAAAAAGGUUUACACAGGGUCUUAAUUUAAUAAGAAACCUUUGAACAGGGCCCUGCUGCACGUUUGCACCUUUAUCUCUAUUGUGCCGUAUCCUUGAGGGGUAUAGAACGGUGGCCGUUUGAAAAAAAAAGAAAAAACCAGGUGAAAGAAUCUGGCGUGACUGUGAGUAAAGUUGGUUUGUUUUAAUGAACCGUGAAAAUGUAAUUUCCUUAGUCUGAAUAGGGUCAAGCCGAUCUAUGGACUUUUUACAUGCGGGCAGCCCCCAGCGCCACACAAGAAUUUUGAGUGUAUAUUUAUAUAUACGGGGAGACAUGUAUAGUCUUCUUACGGGCUGUUUUUAUGGGGGCAUAACCGCUAAUCAAGCUUAGGUUUAUCUGAGCUGCUACACCUAGGUGUGCGUCGAACACGUCUAGCUGUGUCCGCAGUCUUAACGACCGAUGAGUUGCUCCGCUUGAAAAGGCCACUUUGUGCUUCGGCUGCUAGAGCCGCCACGUAUUCUUCUGUACGAAGAGAGCGCUCUGUAUUUCCGCUGACCGUAAUAAUGCCGCGUGGACCGGGCAUCUAUACUUUGAGGAUUCAUAAUGCAGUACUACGUUGAAACGGGCAAAGGCCGUUCUUCCGAGUAGGGCAUGAUAACCACUUCGGAACGGGGUGAUGUCGAAGAUUAGCUAUUCGCUUUGGAAGUUAUCGGGAGAAACGAAUACAACGUCCAGUGUUAGAGAACCCAUGCAGUAGGCCUCUAUGCCUGGUAUUACUCCUUUGAAGGUAGUGUUGCUUUGGCUAAUUCUUGCCGGGUCUAUCCCCAUCUUGCGGACAGUGUCUAGAUAUAUCUGAUUAAGACUACUGCCGCCGUCCAUAAGGACUCGGGUGAGAUGGUAUCCGUCGAUUAUUGGGUCGAGUACUAAGGCAGCCGAACCCUUGUGACGGAUACUAGUCGGAUGAACCCUGCGAUCGAAUGUGAUCGAACAGGCUGACCAUGGGUUGAAUUUAGGGGCAACAGGCUCUACAGCAUAUACAUCUCAGAGUGCAAGGUUGCGCUCCCUCUUUGGGAUAUGAGUGACAUAAAUCAUGUUCACUGUUUUGACCUCCGGUGGAAAUUUUUUCUGUCCCCCUGUGUGCAGUUGGCGAGAUCCGUCCUCGUCUCCACUUUGCGGUCCCUUCCCCUUGUAUUCGGUGUUGAGCCUACCGGCCUACUUGAGACCCAGCAUUCUCUGUUGGUGUGGUUAGCUGGCUUGUCGGGGGUGCCGUGAAUCUAGCAGGACCUGUCUAGAAUUUUAUCUAGGCUGGAUCGACCUUCUCUACUGCCUUUAAAUGGCUUUUUCAUUUGACCUGGUUUAGAGCCCCUAAAUCCGGCGUUUACCGCUAUAUUUUCUGGGCUAUAUUCAUUAUUUAGACGUUUGUUUUUAUUGUAUCAUGGAUUUCCAUUGCCAUCCCUGAUUUCGGAUGUGCCUGGGUCGCUGGUGCUGCUACGGGCCAACCAGAUGUCCUCACCCGCACAAAAGUGGGUCAUGAGGGUGGUUAGGGCUGCCAUUGUACUUGGCUUUUCCUGGCCGAGGUGUUUGGCGAGCCAUUCGUCCCGGAUACUGUGCUUGAAAGCUGCUAGGGCUUCGGCGUCCGGACAGUCGACGAUUUGGUUUUUCUUGGUGAGAAAUCUGUUGCAAAGCUUAAGGCUGACUCUCCGGGUUGUUGGGUUAUGUGACUUAGAUCGUCUGCAUCCGUAGGUCAGACAUAGGUCCCUUCAAAACUUGCCCUGAAAGCAUCCUCGAGCUCCUCCCAGCUUUCGAUAGAGUUUUCGGGGAGGCUUUUCAGCCAGUGCCGAGCUGGUCCUUUGAGCUUGAGGGGUAAGUAUUUGAUGGCGUGGAGGUCAUCUCCAUGAGCCAUGUGGAUGUGAAGAAUAAAGUGUUAUAUCCAGACUGCAGGGUCUGUCAUUCCGUCAUAUGCCUCGAUGUUUAUGGGUUUAAACCCUGCUGGAAAUUCAUGAUCCAGCACCUUAUCGAUGAAGCACAAGGGGUGCGCAGCGCCCCUGUAUUUGGUUAUGCCGUGGCGUGAGUCCGACAGUUGUAGUGUCCGGUGUUGGUUCCGAACUAGAGAGCGACUGGAAUAUUUUUUUUGAUGGUCAUGAUCCUGCGUGGGAGCAUGUUCUCGAGAUCUGUAGAUGGACCUUGUUAUGCCAGCCCUUUUGUCCAGGUCUUCACGUAAAUCGUGUUGCUGGUUCUGGGUUGUUACCUCCCUUUCUUUAUGGAGUGGGGUGCGGAUUUGUGUGCGGCGUUAUUAGCUGCUCUGCCUCGACCAUGAGGUUGUCGGUCCUAUUGGUCUGCCGUACAGUUAUUCGGCGGUAUGGGUGCUAUAGCCUCAUCGUCGAAUUCGGGCAGCAGUUUACAUUUGGGAUAGCUCUUUGUUUGGUGAUUACCGCCAUAUUUUUCCUCGGUGUCGAGCACUUCGUUCCAUCUAUCAUCGAGCGUAUCAUGUGCGUCUUUAAGCUGUUGCUUCUUCUUCUUCAAGCUCCUUGCAGUGGCGAUAAGUCUCUGCUAGAGGCGCUCUCGUUCCACUUGUGUAUCAGGGAAGAUGAAUGCGUCAUCAUCCAGACUGUCCUCUUCUUUGGAGACAGGUUGAUAAGUGGUGUCUUUGGCAUCGCUGUGAUUGGACAGCGGCCCUGGUCUGUGUUCGCCGUCUUGCUUCUCGUCCUGCUUCAUGGCUGGGUCCGCAGAGUCUUCAUUGUCUUCGGUGUUGUCCAGGGUGUUAUAUUUUGUGCCGGUAUCGCUAUUAUUACCAUGGCGUGGCUUAGAACGGCGCUGCUGACGUCAGUGCUUUGGCUGCUUCUAAGGGGGCUUAUCCUCAAUUGGGUCCUUUUUGUCAUCGCCAUUGUUGUCUUUAGGUGUAUCCACCAUGUAUAUGUCGUAUGAGGAGGCGGCUGUCCAGCGCCCUGUGGGCGGUGGUUCCUGUUCAUCUCCUGCAUCGUCGUCCAUACCGUUGAUGUCUUCAGAGUCGUAAUCAAGCUUGUCGGUUAAGUCAUUAACAGUGGCUAUCAAGUGGGUGGUGGGUGGGUGACAAAGUUCUUCGUCAUCCGCUUCCCACUCAAGCCGAACAUAGUUCGGCCAAGAGUCUCCUGAUAAGGAGAGAGAUUUCAGAGAGUUGAACACGUCACCCAAGGGCAAAUGUUGGAAGAUGUCCGCGGAGGUAAACUCUAAGAUCGGCGCCCAAUCAGAUUCUACGGGCGCGGAUAUACGCGGUUCGGAACCUAUAUCCGAAGACGAGUCCGAUGGUCCGGUGACACAUGCCUCGUCAAAGGCAGAUCUGUGUUCGGCUCAUGCGCCGCUGAGUAUGCGACUUCCCUGGUGGGGUCUAGCCCCCGGUCCUCGGACGGAGAAUUCUACUCUGGAUCGAGGGCCAGGAUAGUUACAGGCGCUGUCUUCUGAGUACAGCCUGAUGACAUAUCUAAGUCACGCUCAUCACGGCUACCGGGUGCGGUUGCCAUGGGCUCGAAUCCACCUAAGAUCAAGUCUCCAUAGAUGUCAGCAGUAUAGUUCAAGUUUCCAAACCUGACCUGAUGGCCAGGGGCGUAGCUGUCGAUCUGCUCCAGAUGACCAAGCGAGUUGGCCCGCAGUGCGAAGCCGCUGAAUACGAAGAUCUGUCCCAGCAGAAAGAUCUCACCCUGGAUCGAGUUGUUGAUGAUCAAAGGAUCCAUCAAGCAUUACGAUGAUGACACAGUGGAACUCUCAAUGAAAGCGCCAAUGUCGGUUUCAAAACCGGCGGAUCUCGGGUAGGGGGUCCCGAACUUUGCGUCUAAGGCUAAUGGUAACAGGAGGCGGGGGACACGAUGUUUACCCAGGUUCGGGCCCUCUCUAUGGAGGUAAUACCCUACUUCCUGCUUGAUUGAUCUUGAUGAUAUGAGUAUUACAAGAGUUGAUCUACCACGAGAUCGUAGAGUCUAACCCUAGAAGCUAGCCUAUGAUUAUGAUUGUUGUCCUUGUCCUACGUACUAAACCCUCUGGUUUAUUUAGACACCGGAGGGGGCUAGGGUUACACAGAGUUGGUUACAGAGAAGGGAAUCUACAUAUCCGAAUCUCCAAGCUUGCCUUCCAUGCAAAGAGAGUCCCACCCGGACACGGGACGAAGUCUUCUAUCUUGUAUCUUCAUAGUCCAACAGUCCGGCUAACGUAUAUAGUCCGGCUGUCCGAGGACCCCUUAAUCCAGGGCUCCCUCACCGACCCCCUCCCCUAGUCCAAUUUGGUUUGGGCAAGGGGUGGGCACGCCCCUCCCUUGUGGCCUCUCUCCUCUCCUCCCAUAAGGCCCAAUAGGCCCAUUACUUCUCCGGGGGUUCUGGUAACCUCUCGGUACUCCAGAAAAAUGCCCGAACCACUCGGAACCUUUCCGAUGUCCAAACAUAGCCUUCCAAUAUAUCAAUCUUUAUGUCUCAACCAUUUCGAGACUCCUCCUCACGUAAGUGAUCUCAUCUGGUACUCCAAACAAACGUCGUCAUCAAAGCACAUAACUCAUAAUACAAAUCGUCAUCGAACGUUAAGCGUGUGGACCCUACGGGUUCGAGAUCUAUGUAGACAUGACCGACACACAUCUCCGGUCAAUAACCAAUAGCGAAACCUGGAUGCUCAUAUUGACUCCUACAUAUUCUACAAAGAUCUUUAUCGGCCAGACCGCAUAAUAACAUAUGUUGUUCCCUUUGUCAUCGGUAUGUUACUUGCCCGAGAUUCGAUCGUAGGUAUCAUCAUACCUAGUUCAAUCUCGUUACCGGCAAGUCUCUUUACUCGUUCCGAAAUACUUCUUCCCGCAACUAACUCAUUAAUCACAAUGCUUGCAAGGCUUAUAGUGAUGAGCAUUACCGAGAGGGCCCAGAGAUACCUCUUCGAUACACAGAGUGAAAAAUCCUAAUCUCGAUCUAUGCCAACCCAACAAACACCUUCGAAGACACCUGUAGAGCAUCUUUAUAAUCACCCAGUUAUGUUGUGACAUUUGAUAGCACACAAGGUGUUCCUCCGGUAUUCGGGAGUUGCAUAAUCUCAUAGUCUUAGGAACAUGUAUAAGUCAUGAAGAAAGCAGUAGCAAUGAAACUGUAACGCUCAUAAUGCUAAGCUAACAGAUGGGUCUUGUCCAUCACAUCAUUCUCCUAAUGAUGUGAUCCCGUUCAUCAAAUGACAACACAUGUCUAUGGUUAGGAAACAUAACCAUCUUUGAUUAACGAGAUAGUCAAGUAGAGGCAUAGUAGGGAUACUAUGUUUUGUUUAUGUAUUCACACAUGUACUAAGUUUCCGGUUAAUACAAUUCUAGCAUGAAUAAUAAACAUUUAUCAUGAAAUAAGGAAAUAAAUAAUAACUUUAUUAUUGCCUCUAGGGCAUAUUUCCUUCAUCUUUUUGGCAGGACUGAUUGAUAUGCCUGAAAUCAAUGCACAUAAGGAGUGACUUAUCUUUCUUGGGAACCAUGAGGAUGUUGGCAAGCCACUCAGAGUGGUAUAUCUCGCGGAUGAACUCAGCUGCCAGGAGCCGAGCCACUUCCUCGCCAAUCGCCUUCCUCAUCUCCUGGACCGUCGGAGAUGUUCCUUGACAGGUUUAGCUUUGGUGUUGACACGCAAAUGGUGCUUAGCCAGUCCUCUGGGUACACCUGGCAUGUCUGAUGGUUUCCAUAAAAAGAUGUCCCAGUUCUCACAGAGCAAUUGGAUGAGCGCAGCUUCCUAUUUGCUGUCGAAUGUCGUUCAAAUGUGAGUCGAAGCAGCUGUGGGAUCUUUUGGGUGAAUAUGAACUGUUUUUUUUCCGCCAGCCGACUGAAAUGCAGACUUAGAAGCAGGUUUCUUCGCACGGAGAAAAUCACUCGGAUCAGAAAUCUUCUUGUAUUCCUCCGGUUCAACCACUGCCAUUUGCUCGUCAGUGAUCUUGGACCCCUUCUAGAGGCAUUCUUCUGCUCUUUGCUUAUUCCAAGUGACCAUGAUCACACCUUUGGGUCCCGACAUCUUCAUCUUGAGAUACACGUAACAUGGUUGGGCCAUGAAACGAGCAUAUGCUAGCCUGCCUAGAAUAGCAUGAUAGGCACUAUGGAAAUUUACCACUUCGAACGUCAACUUUUCUUUGUGUAAUUUUUUUUGAAUAACCGAAAACCACAUCCAGAGCAAUUUUCUCGAGUGACUUCGCCUUCUUCCUAAGAAUGACGCAGUGGAACUGCAUGUUGCUCUCACUGAGUCGGGACACAGGAAUGCCCAUCCCUUGGAGGUUCUCUGCAUACACAAUAUUCAAACCAUUGCCACCAUCCAUGAGAACUUUACGGAGUCGAUUGCCUCCAAUGACUGGUUCGACCACCAAAGCUUGUCGCCCAGGGGUAGCAACGUGAGCUAGGUGAUCGGACUGGUUGAAGGUGAUAGGAGUCUUUGACCAAUUGAGGUAUGUCAUAGUUGUCCAAGCAACCAUGUUCACCUCUCUGUUGAUGACUUUCAGUCAACUUUUUCUCUCAACAUCAGCAAAAAUCACCAAAGUUGCACUGACUUUCGGGUAAUCAUCUAAAUUUUCUUCAUCUUCAUCCUUAUCAGAGCCUUUGUCACUCUGCUGCCCUUCACGAAACGGCUGAAUGAGGAACCUGCACUGUCGAGUGGUAUGUUUAGGAACAAUUAGGUUGCCUUCCUCAUCCUUCUUCGUGUGAAUGGGACACGAUAAAUCCUGGACAUCCUAGCGUGACUGAUCCUACAUUUUUCUUGGGUACCCAUGGUCCCUUGGGCUUUCCCUUGAACUUUCCUUGUGAAUUGACCACUGCUGCUUCAGCCUGGCCUCAGGCUUCAGCCUUGCGUUUCUGUUUCCGACUGGGAUUUCCACCCCCAUUUUCAGCAUCUACUGUCUUCCCUUUACCAUUACGGAGUCAGCCCUCUUCUCCACCAUUCGCCUACCGAGUGGAAAUUUCCAUCAUCUGAUUCAAAGUCAUGGCCCCAAAGUUACCAAAUUUCAAAGUGAGCUCUUUGUACCGCACACCUUCCUUGAAUGGACAGAUGGCCUAAUGCUCUAAACAAUUCUCCACCAGAUGGUGGAGGGUAGUGCAUCGCUGGAUGUAACCCCUCACAGUUUCACUCAGUUUUUGUACACAAUGCUUCAGCUUAGACAGCCCAGCGGGCCGCUUGCAAGUGCCCUCAAAUGUCUUGAUAAACACUUGGGCCCAAUCUUCCCAACAGAAAAUGCUAGCAGGAGCCAACUGAUUCAACCAAGCCCUGGCCGAGCCCUCAAGCAUCAGGGAUAGGUGCUUCAUGGCUACCUCAUUGUUUACCCCAUGGAUCUGCUCUCCCACUUGGUAAUCCUCUAACCAUGUAUCUAGCUUUGACUCGCCAGUAAACUUGCUAACUCCUACUGCCAACCUGAGUUGGGUGGAAUCUAAGCAGCACGGAUGGCUCUGCUGAAACACUCGGGUCCAGAGACGAACCCUCUGUUCCCACUCGGCUGAUCUUUGUACAAACCUUCCCUGUUAGCCCUACCUCUAUGAACCAGGCCCUGCAUAAGAACUGACCUUGCAUCAAAACCGGCCUCUCGGGGGUCGACUGGGAGCCUCCGGUCGUCGCCAUACGGGCGACUGUCAUCAUACCGCCGGGGCACGUACGAUCCAACGCUCGGAGGGGAUGUAGGCACUUGACGGUUGUCAUCACAGUGGUAUUGAAGGUCAAACUUCAUGUGGCCUCAAACCAGGUACUGGUCCUUGUGAUUACCACGAUCCUCACGCCUCUGGGGCAAUCUUGGGCUUUGUGCCGACUGAACUGUAUCUGCCACAGCAGACCUGCUGUGAAUCCUGUUAUGCGACUGAGAAACAGUUUAGUUCGGUUAUCUGGCCGCUCUGAGCAGCGCCCGAAUCUGCUGUAAGACUCUACUAGCCUCGGAAUAGGAUGGCUGGGUCGAAUCUACGAUACGUGCCGCUGCUGUAACAUUCUAGAUCGGACUACAGAAUACCUGACAGUCAUCUCGAGGUCCAUUGGAAACAGUUGCCAAUGUCGUUGACUGGAAAUUGGAAUAUGUAUGCGGGCGCGGUCGUCGAGUGCCUCUUGAAGAUUCUCCAGGCACGCAUGCUCAGCCAGAGUGGCUACACGCGCAACCUCCAAGGCCCGAGCCUCAGGGGUCUCCUCGAUGAUGGGGGCCUGGAGAGCUUCCAAAGCUUGAUCUUUCCAAUGCUGCAACUCCUUCCUCUGCUCUGAAGUGAGAGCUUCGGGAUAAUAAUCAUCGUUGUCACACGUCGGACCACUGCUGCCGCCCGCGCUACGGGGAAAUCCUGGUGGGCUACGCUGGGAACCGACCAUGAGAACUUCCGCCAUGGGUUCGUUGCUUUCACACUCGGAGAGAGUGUCCGAACAGCUAGUUGACAGGUCGAACAACCCAUAGGGAGAUUCUUCGGGCUAGCCUGCGGCGAUUUGAGGAGUGGCCGCGAGUGAUCGGAUCGCUUGUUGCGAUGGGCUGCGGGAAGCGAAGACGCCAUGGGAGCCGAACGAUAUUGAAUUGACGGUUGCCGCAGGAGGACACCGCAGGAACUCGUGCGGAAGUGCGCUGCCCCACAGAUGGGUAGUGCCUCGAAGUCGACGGGGGCCUCCUGAAGCCAGGCCGAAUCGUCGGCGAUGAAAGUGAGUGCACCGAGGUGGCUCUCGCGGCCCACGGACAAUCCACCAUCGGAAACCAUGUUGACUAAGAUCGAAGAUUGCAACCUCGCCGUAAGUCAAUAAGACGCCUGUCCCACGGUGGGCACCAACUGUCGUGGGAACGGAUCUGACAGUAGAGAGAGGGGGUACGUAGGAGAGGGAAGAGUCCUAGCUACGGCAAAGUUGUACCCUUAGAUUUACGAGUUUAGGCCCCUCAUGCAGAAGGUACCAGCCCUAGGUCGAUUGGAGUGUGAAGUUAUAGGGUGUGUUAACCCUUGUGCCAAAGGGGAGGGGUGGCUUAUAUAGAGUGCGCCAACCCCUGGUUGCCCUCCAUUACGCAAUGGUUCAAUGAGGGAGUAAUGUCCUGAAUGUUACUGGUAACACCCAUAUUUAAUGAUCUUUCUGGUGGCAGAGUGAAUGACCGACCGUUUCUAUCUACAGGUGACCUUAGGCUUUCUGUCUUCUGAGUGGAUUCUUGUCUUUCGAGUGAAGUAACAAUGGUAGAGUGGAAUUGGGAUAUCCGAGUUAAUCGUCUGUCGAGUGGAUUCCACUUCACGAGGAUUUCAGUCAGUAUCUUCUGUUUAACUUUAUAGGCCUUGGCCUCUAGUGUGAUGUCCUUGGGAAGGGCAUAUAGGUCCGGCAUAAGACCCUACCCUAGGUACAUGUCAAUGCACCCACGUUGUUUUCCCUUUGCAUUUCCUUUUAUCGUGGAAAGACUGUAGUGUUCGUGUUUUCCUUGUCUAGGACAAGACAUUGUGAAGGUUUCUGAUGCAGUUUUACAAGAAGCAUCUAGUUAGGGAGCUAAUUCAGAAGUUAGGCACUGCUUGUCGUGAUUUUUCAUUUUUAACUAUGGUGUCUAGGAUGAAAUGACCCUUUGUUGUGAUUUUCUUUUUUUGGAAAAUGUUAUUUUUAAAAUUUUGUAUUCAGUCUGCCACUUGCCAGUGAAUUAGGGCUGCAUUUCAGAUUAUAAACAUGAAGUAAACUAUGAUGUGCACCGCAUGAAGCCAGAUUGAGUCUAAUGAAAGAAGGGAGUGUAAUCAUGUUCUGUAUGUACUAUUGAAGGGCAGUCCGUAUAUCAUUUGUUUUGUUUCGUCAUUUCGUUCCUCCCUGAACUGACCUUAUCCACAAUCUUUUCCCUUUUCAUUUCCUUUUAUCGAGGAAAGACUGUAGUGUCCGUGUUUUCUAUGUCUAGGACAAGACAUUGUGAAGUCUUCUGAUGCAGUUUGACAAGAAGCAUCUGGGGAGCUAAUCUAGAGGUUAGACAAUGCUUGUCAUGAUUUUUCAUUUUCGAAGCCACAUAUAACCAACUGUUUGCUGGCUUCCCUACAUCAACGUAAUCCUCACUCCUUUGAGAUUUGUAAGAAGCCUAUCAUACUGCUCACUGUUAAGCCAAAAUUAGAUAUCUGAAGGGCAAAAACUUAGAUAUAUUUUUUCUGUUUUAUUUAUUAAAUCUCCCUCUUGGAAUGACCUACAACUACUAACCAGUUAUUCUUCUCAUAUCUACAAGAAAAUACUUUUAUAUGUGGGCUUAAAUUAGGGCGACUGGAUUGAUGUAACAACACUUUUACAUUCAAAAUGAUUAAAGGAAUGCGAAGAUGUGCCUUCUUGAGUUUUUACCACAUCUACAAACACUUUUCAAUUAUGGCUAGUCUCCUCACGGUUUGGUCUGCUUAUUUCACCAACUAGCCCGCUACUAUGUGCUGGAAGUUAUAUUGUUACUUAAUAGAGGCUACCCAUUAUAAACAUCUUCUUUUUGACUGUGCUGUCAGAUUAUUUUAUUCAAUGGAACCUGGCAUUAAUAAUAAAUUCCCUACAAUAAUAAUCUUCUUUAUAUGAAAAUGGUUGAAUAUAAUUAUGAAACUUUGAUGAAUGUUUUUUGGCUUGCCAGCCACGCAUAUGGAGAGCGCAAAUGCAAAUGUCUGUUUUGUAUUGAUGAUGCUCCCUUUUGAGCUCCAUUUUGAAUUAACAUGGUUUGCUAAUUAUUUUGGACAAGAUGCAUUACUUAGCAUUUGUAGCCUAUUAGUUUUAUAUGAGUGAAAACUAAAUAUCACAGUUCCUUAGUCUGUUCUUGCCAGCCCCUCCAUAUCAAGUAGUGUGACAGCCUGGUUUUUGCCUUCUCUCGUUUUCCAGAAUAUGUUUGCCUUUGAAUUUGCAGUUGGGUUUUUGCAUCAACUCAUUUGGACUACACCACUUGGACAUGUCCUUGAUUUUCACCCAAGUGACCCACCCCUCUCACAUUUCUUCUCUUAAAAAUCUCAAAAUGACCCAAGGAAUAUCUUUCAUAAAUUAAAAAUAUUCAUUUUCUUCUGUGCCUAACACUUCAUUUUCUUCUGUGCCUAACACUUCAGCUACAUAUGCUCCAAAGUAACCAUCAUUUUUCUUGCUCCAAAAAUUCUGAGAAAAUUCCCAAAUAAUCUUUGAACCUUGGCACACCUUCUUGUGCAAAAAUAUUUCAUAUUUAUUUGGAAUAUGCUUGCUACAGAAAAUCAUUUCUGUUCUGGCCUCGAAAUGCAGUUUCUACAACAAGUGUAUUUUUCCUUGCUCUAAUGAAGCUGAAUUUUCUUGAGCUUAUUUACCCUCCUAGGAAAAGAUUAAUCCUAGAGUCUUAGCCCUAAUCUCCUUCUAGAAGCUAGCCAAGUAGAGUGUCAAAGUUUCUGACCAGAAACUUGCUCGCAAGCUCAAGUUUAAUCUGGUCGGCCUGGCAGUGUAUGAUAUCUUCCCCAGUCUAAUCACCGCAUAGACAACACGAGAGACAAGGUUUGGCAGUGUGUGGCCGUCAUUUUGAGCAAGCCAGCAUGGUGAACGUGUGAGGACACAGCCUCUAGCACGCAUUCGACGCGCUCUGCACUGCGCCCGCGUCUCUAUGCAGUUCGUGCUCGAUGUAGAGCUUGCCGACGACUGCCACACCGCCUCCGUCUCUUCGCCCUGGACCACUCCCUGGCGCUCGCCGACGCUAGAGUCGCUGCAGCGGGCACGGGCACGACACGACCAAAGCCAUAGUGCGCCCCGUGUCACUGUCUUUGUCCGCGCCAACGCUCCUGUGCUCGCCACAUGUUGCAAAGCUCCCGCAUGAUUGCUAAACCUCUCCACCCCUCGCUGACACCGCUCGUGGUCGCUCGCCGGCUUCUAGAGAGCUCCGGCGGAGCCGAGACCCUCCUUCCCCUCCGCCUAUAAAUAGUGAUGCCCUGGCCUCUCCAACCCAUCCAGCCUCAUAACCAGCCACCACACGCAGUAGAGGGAGCUGUAGCCCGGCCGGGAAGGCCUCGGGCCGCCGUGCUCAAGCUCGAGCUUGCCGGUCAUCCCCUCUGCUCGCCCCCGCCGAUCCACUCCACCUCGAGCCUAACUGAUAUAUCUGGCGCAUCCUUUGUGGUCUAGUAGUGCCUGCUGACGCUGCUGGUGCCCCUGGAACUGCCCCUCUCCAUCGUCUUCCUCUUCUCCGAUGAGACCCGACCGUAGCCGCUGCUUGGGAGCUUGAUUACGAGCUGCUCCGACCGUCUCUUGUUGAGCCACAUGUACAGGCAGGUGCGCCUCGACCCCCUAUCUCUUUCGAUCCCUCUAGAACUAGCCAAGAACCCCUCCUCGCCGGAGUGAGCUCCGGCGAAGCGCCGCCUCUGCUAUGUCUCUCUCCCCCUCUCUCCAUACCUGAUCGGCGGGGCCCGGUGUUAGUGCCUCCACUCGCACCCGAAGCGGUACAAGUGGAGUCAUAUUUUGAAAAUACGCAAUCGGCGUCACCCCCCUGGAAAUUCUGAUAUUUGAUUUCAAUUCAAAUCUUUUACAGAAACUUCAUACAGCCAUAACUUUUAAACCCAAAGUCCAAAUGAAUUGAUUCUUUUUUUUGCAUUGUGUUCUUAUCGAAAAGAUCUAGCUGCACACCAAAAAUGAGAAUUUUCUCUACUGUCUAGAUUUUCUGGUGAAUUUCAUGAGGGUUCUUGAUAUUUAUUUUUGCUAUUUUUAUAUAUUUUUAGAAGGAGAAACUUGUCUUGAAGAGAACCAAGAGGACUGUGAUCCUCCUCGCCACUAAGGCAAGCCACGCCAACAUUUGCAUGGUGUCACUCCAAAAUUUGUGACUUUUCCAACUUUAAUAUGAUUUAUUUCAUGCAUUUAAUUAUUUAAAGGAAUAUUGCUCAUGCUAGUUGUUUUGUCAUGUUUGAAAUGCUUAGUUUACAGUAAGGUUGCAUGCAUGGACUAGUGUGAGGCAAUAGAAAUAGUUUUGCUUGUGUGGUUAUGAUUUGACUAUGAUCGGUCAUAUUUUUCAUAUAAAGAUUUGUUUGAGUUUAAUAUGAUAAUAACAUGAUUAAUAUGAUGGGUGUUAAAUACCGGUGAGCUAGAACCACUAAAGUUAAUGUUGACUAGUGCAAGUAGAAAACUUGAUGAUGUUGAUCCGUCUACUUGAAAUGAUAUGUGAUGAAUGUCGAAUAGUUGCAUGUUCAUGGCAUAUUGCGACUCGGGUUAUUUUCAUGUCAAGUUAAACCUGACGCUAAUCCAACUUGAACAUAAUGUUGAUCGAGUCCUGGUGCCUCUGAAUCGAGUUUUUCCAAAUGCAACCACAUUUUCCUUUAUGGGAAGGCCUUUAUUCGGUCCGUUGUCAUGCCUCUUGUCGGUACCUCCAACGGGGGAAGGUUAUGGGUGUGCGGUACCUUGGCCUGGUAAGAAGACAUAACCUUGUGUGCCUGUUUGUUGAUAUGGUACUUUGUCCCAGUUUGGGACCGUUUGUUUUGCCACGACGGUGGUCGUUGAUGCCUUUGGUAGGCACGGGCGACCCAUGACUUAGCCCAGAGGGGAGUUGGUCGGAGUGGCCUGGAUUGUGUCAUGGCAAUGGGAGGGUUUCGUCGGAGUGCCGUUGAUCCACCCGAAUAGGAGUGCGAGUCCAUGGGUUCCAUGGUGUGGGUACAGUGUACUACCUCUGCAGAGUGUUUACUAAUGUAUCGAUAGCCGCAUCCUUGGUUAUGGACAUAGAUCGUGAGUAAGUCACACCAUGGAUCAACAUAAUCAAGUAAUCUUGCACACUAAAUUCGUAUGCUUGGCACUGUUUGGUUGAUGAGAUUUGUGUGACCAUGAAGAUGGUCGGUAUUCAUCAGAACCAAAGUGUUGGUUCAUUUGUGAUCCGGGAGUGAUCACCAUUGAUGAGGUUGGUUACGAGGUAACCUGUCUGGUAAGAGUGUCCGAGGGAGUCGGUGCAUAAGUUUGGUCACCGCAUCAGUAGCAUGUUAUUGCAUUGCACUUAACUUGAUAAAUUGUCAUGAUAUUGUUUGUCGUUGUGCUUAUGCUUCUUGUGAGCUUGCAAUUACAUUCCAUGUGAUGACCUGGCGUGUCAUGCCAGAUUUCAGGGCAGGCUUAUCAGAUCGAAGUGUGCUACGUCUCCAACGUAUCUAUAAUUUAUGUAGCAUUCAUGCUAUAUUACUAUGUGUUUUGAAUGAUUAUGGGCUUUAUUUUCCACUUUUAUAUUAUUUUUGGGACUAACCUAUUAACCGGAGGGCCAGCCUAGAUUUGUUGUUUUAUACCUAUUUCAGUGUUUCGAGGAAAAGGAAUAUCAGACGGAGUCAAAACAGAACGAAAUCAACUGGAGAAGUCAAGUUUUGAAGGAAAGCAACCUGAUAGGCUUGGAGUGCAUGUCAGGGGAGUCCCGGGCUUCCCACGAGGGUGGGGGGCGCGCCCUACCCCCUGGGCACGUCCCCUGCCUCGUGAGCACCCCGGAGGUCCACCGACGUACCCCCUGCACCCAUAUAUACCUAUGUAUCGUAAAACUUCCAGAACAGAAGAUAGAUCGGGAGUUCCGCCGCCGCAAGCCUCUGUAGCCACCAAAAACCUCUCGGGAGCCCUUCCCGGCACCCUGCCGGAGGGGGGAUCCAUCACCGGUGUCCAUCUUCAUCAUCCCGGCGCUAUCCAUGAUGAGGAGGGAGUAGUUCACCCUCGGGGCUGAGGGUAUGUACCAGUAGCUAUGUGUUUGAUCUCUCUCUCUCUCGUGUUCUCUCUCGUGUUCCCUCCAUGGCAUGAUCUUGAUGUAUCCCGAGCUUUGCUAUUGUAGUUGGAUCUUAUGAUGUUUCUCCCCCUCUACUCUCUUGUGAUGAAUUGUGUUUCCCCUUUGAAGUUAUCUUAUCAGAUUGAGUCUUUUAUGAGAACACUUGAUGUAUGUCUUGCCGUGAUUACCUGUGGUGACAAUGGGAUAUCAUGUGCCACUUGAUGUAUGUUUUGGCGAUCAACUUGCGGGUAUCGUGACAUUGGGAACCUAUGCAUAGGGGUUGGCACACGUUCUUGACUCUCCGGUAGAAACUUUGGGGCACUCUUUGAAGUACUUUUAUGUUGGUUAGAUGAAUCUGAGAUUGUGUGAUGCAUAUCGUAUAAUCAUGCCCACGGAUACUUGAGGUGACAAUGGAGUAUCUAGGUGACAUUAGGGUUUUGGUCGAUUUGUGUCUUAAGGUGUUAUUCUAGUACGAACUCUUUUAUAGAUCGAUCCGAAAGAAUAACUUUGAGGUGGUUUCGUACCCUACCAUAAUCUCUAUGUUUGUUCUCCUCUAUUAGUGGCUUUGCAGUGACUCUUUGUUGCAUGUUGAGGGCUUGUUAUAUGAUCUAUCUAUGUUAUUGUUAUUGAGACAAUUUGCACUAGUGAAAGUAUGAACCCUAGGCCUUGUUUCCUAUAAUUGCAAUACCGUUUACGCUCACUUUUACCGCUCACUAACUUGCUGUUUUUAUUAUUUAAGAUUAAAAAAACCUAUAUCUACUAUCUAUUUUGCACUUGUAUUACCAUCUCUUCACCGAAGUAGUGCACCUAUACAAUUUGCCAUUGUAUUGGGUGUGUUGGGGAGACAAGAGACUCUUUGUUAUUUGGUUGAAGGGUUGUUUGAGAGAGACCAUCUUCAUCCUAUGCCUCCUACGGAUUGAUAAACCUUAGGUCAUCCACCUGAGGGAAAGUUGCUACUGUCCUACAAACCUGUGCACUUGCACGCCCAACAACGUCUACAAGAAGAAGGUUGUGUAGUAGACAUCAUGCUCUUUUCUGGCGCCGUUGCCGGGGAGGUGAGUGCUUGAAGGUAUAUCUUUAGAUCUUGCAAUCGAGUCUUUUGGUUUCUUGUUUUAUCACUAGUUUAUUUUAUGAAAAAAACUACAAAAAAAUGGAAUUGAGUUUGUCUCAUAUGGUUCAUAUUUUUAAUAUCUUUCAUGAGAAUGAUGGUGAGGAAAAUUGUGCUCAAGUUCUAGAAGAAGAAAUCUAUAAAAUGUUUGGCACUAAAUCUUCGAAUGAUGAUCAUGAUUGCAAUGUCGUUAGUAUGAAUUCUUUGAAUAUCCAUGAUGCUAAUGAUGAUUGCACUAGUUAUGAUGAAAAUGUCUCCUAUAAACAUGUCAAUUUUUUGUGGAGUGCAUUGGGUUUGUAAGUACACACCAAAUAGGGAAGAUAGAUAUUGCACGAGGCAUAAGUACUUAGAAACCAAAUUGUUGCAAGAAGAGCUAGAUGAAUGUGCUGAAAGAUUCAAUAUUUAUAGUACCCCUUGUGAACUUUGCAAUGAGCAUGGUCAUUUAAAGCUCCAAUGCUAUUUGUUUCAUGAUCAAGUCGUUUCCAAAUAUUGUGAUAAUUUGAUCACCUUUGAGCAUCAUAAAGAGCUUAGCCUUCUUUUGGGUUAUGAAGAAAUGAAACGUAUAACCAACUAUCUCCCAGAUUUUGCCCGUUAUAAAAUUCUUGGUUUUGAUCUAGAGGAAAUUUAUAUGUAUUGUGCGGAGAAUUUUAUUGAAAAUCCUUAUAUUGCCAAUUACCUAAAGAAAAGAAAGCAAAUGGAAGAUGAUGAGAAUACUAAUGAAAGGUAAGAGGCUUCCCAAUAUCCUCCUAUUAUUUCUUAUGAUGAAUUAGGUAACGAGGAGGAGCUUUCUAUUCAGCCAAUCUCAUCAAUAAGGAGCUCCAAGAGGAAGGUUGAACCUACACCUAAUGUGAAGAAGAAAAAGAAAAGAAGGAGCAAAAAAGGUAAAAAGGUAUCCCUCCCAAAUGAUGUUGCUCCUACUACUACUUGUGAUGAUGAUAAUUGCUAUACUAUUGGUGCUAUUGAUAUUUUUAAUGAUGAGAGUGAUUAUGCUUAUGAUAUGAAAAGGCCCAAGCUUGGGGAAGCUAUGUUUGAUGAGGAUGAAAUAUUUGAGAAUAUAUUUGCUGGAAUUAAUGUUUGUCCCAAUCUUGGGGAUGCUAUGUUUAAUGAAGAUGAUAUUUUUAGCAUCCCAAAUUUUGAUAUGCAAAUUUGUUAUGAUGAUAGCACGCCUCCUACCUAUGAUGAUUAUAUUGAUGAAAGUGGGUUCGGAAGAGUUUCAACUUUAGGAAGUAGUGAUCCCACUAUUUUGGAGGAUGUUGAAUCUACUUGUGAUGAAUACUAAAGUGGAUUUGGAAGAGUGUCAACUUUAUUUAGUGAUUCCACUAUCUUGGGAGAGGUUUCAAUCGAUUAUGAUGAGAACGAAGUUGCUACUUAUGAUGAUUAUUGUGAUGAAACUUAUGCUAUAAAAAUUAGUGAUGAUUACCCUUUUUCUGAACAUUACUCUUUUAAUGUGGAAACAAUUUUUAGUGUUCAAGUCUCUUAUGAUACUCCCACUAUUCAUGAGAAGAAUUUUGCUUAUGUGGAGAGUAGUAAAUUUUCUAUGCUUGUAGAUCAUGAAAAGAAUGCUUUAGGUGCUGGUUAUAUUGUUGAAUUCAUUCAUGAUGCUACUGAAAAUUAUUAUGAGAGAGGAACAUAUGCUUGUUGGAGUUGCAAUAAUGUCAAGUUUCCUCUCUAUGUGUUGAAAAUCUUGAAGUUAUGCUUGUGUUACCUUCCUAUGCUGGUUGAUUAUUGUUCCCAUAAGUUGUUUGCUCACAAAAUCCCUAUGCAUAGGAAGUGGGUUAGGCUUAAAUGUGCUAGUCAUAUGCUUCAUGAUGCUCCCGUUAUGUUUCAAUUCUUAUCUUUUAUGUGAGCAUCAUUGUCAUCAUUAUGCCUAGCUAAAAAGGCAUUAAAGAAAAGCGCUUGUUGGGAGACAACCCAAUAUUUAUCCUUACUGUUUUUGUUUGUACACAUGAUUAUGCUACUGUAUUAAUCAUGUUUUAUAGCUUUUGUUUCAAUUAAGUGCCAAGUAGAACCUUUGGGAGGACUUGGGUGAAGUUUAUGUGAUCUUGCUGUAGAAAACAGAAACUAUUGCACUCACGAGAAUGGAUGCCAUGUUUUACUGGAGAGAUAUUUCAGGUUGAUUCUUUAUGCAGGUGAUUAAUAGACAAAUUAAUCAGGUCCAGAAAGUUAUUUCAGAAUUUUUGGGGUUCCAUAAGUAUACGUUUGAUACAGAUUACUACAGACUGUUCUGUUUUUGACAGAUUCUGUUUUCAUUGUGUUGUUUGCUUAUUUUGAUGCAUCUAUGGCUAGUAUUAAGUGGUAUGAACCAUAGAGAUGUUAUAAUAUAGUAGAUAUUACACCAACAUGAAUUUAGAAUGAGUUCACUACAGUACCUAAGUGGUGAUUUAUUUUCUUACACUAACGGGGCUUACGAGUUUUGUCUUGACUUUUGUGUGGUUGAAGUUUUCAAGUUUUGGGUAAAAGAUUUGAUGGAUUAUGGAAUAAGGAGUGACAAGAGCCUAAGCUUGGGGAUGCCCAAGGCACGACAAGGCAAUAUUCAAGUACAACCAAGAUCCUAAGCUUGGGGAUGCCCCGGAAGGCAUCCCCUCUUUCGUCUUCGUUCAUCGGUAACUUUACUUGGAGCUAUAUUUUUAUUCGCCACAUGAUAUGUGUUUUGCUUGGAGCGUCAUUUUAUUUUUCUAGUUCUUGCUUGCUGUUAGUUAGAAUAAUGUUUUGCAUCUUUAGUUUCAAUAAAAAAGUCAAAGAUAGCCUUUGCCAUGCUUAUUUUGCUAGUAUACAUGUUGCUGUUUGAAAACAGAAAGUUUACCGCUGUUGCAAAAAUUCCCUAGAAAAGUCAGAGAAUGGUAUAACGUUGAAUCUUUUUGCAUAUUAAGCUCUGAUAAAUUUAUUACUGUGGGAAUUUUAGUUCAUAAUUUUUGGUGUCAGGGAAGUAUUGAUACUCUUGCAUUCUUUACAGACUGUACUGUUUUGGCAGAUUGCUGUUAUAGUUGCAUUGUUUGCAUAUGUUUGCUUGUUUAAUGAUCCUAUUUGAGGAUACGAGUAUUAAAUAUACAGAGGAAUUUUGUAUGCAAUGUUGAAUAAUAAUUUUAGUGAUUUGUUACAGUAGAAAAUGAUAAGGUUUUGCAUUGGUUUAUACUAACCUAUCUCGCGAGUUCUUGUUGAGUUUGUUGUGAAUGAAGCUUUUGAUAAAAAGAGAAACCAUGAUAUGAGAGUAAUUAAGGAGACACAAAAGCUCAAGCUUGGGGAUGCCCAAGGCACCCCAAGAUAAUAUUUCAAGAAGUCUCAAGCAUCUUUGCUUGGGGAUGCCCCGGUAGGCAUUCCACCUUUCUUCUUCAACAACUAUCGGUUAGUAUCGGUUGAGCCUAAGUUUUUGCUUCUUCACAUGAGUUGUGCUAUCCUUGCAAUGUCAUUUUGUUUUGCUUUGCUUACUGUUUGAAUAAAGUACCAAGAUCUGUAAUUCUUUAAUGAGAGAGAGUACUUUGCAUAGUUGCAUAAUUAUUUAGCUACUCAUUGAUCUUCACUUAUAUAUUGUUGGAGUAGUUUGUCAUUUACUCGUGUGCUUCACUUAUAUCCUAUGAGUAAAUGGUUGAAUAAGUUGAAUGCCAUAAAUCUGAAAUUAUAUAUGUUUCAUUUGCUUAUCCCAUGGGGAGUAAUGACUUCACAUCUAAGAAGUAGAGGUUGUAAAUUUAUUGACGGUUAGCAAGCAUUGUAUUAGUCAUUUGAACAAUUUAUGAAAGAAUAUUGAAGGAAGGGAGAUUUCACACAUAAAUAUAUUAUCAUAGACAUCUUUUAUAAUUGUGAGCACUCAUUAAGUAUGACAUGCUAAAGAGUUGAUGUUGGACAAGGAAGACAACAUAAUGGGUUAUGUUUUCUCGCAUCUCAGUUAAAGUAUAUUGUCAUGGAUCAUUCAAACAUGUUGAGCUUGCCUUUCCCCCUCAUGCUAGCCAAAAAUUCCUAGCACCAAGUAGAGAUACUACUUGUGCUUCCAAAUAUCCUUAAACCCAGUUUUUGCCAUGAGUGUCCACCAUAGCUACCUAUUUGUGGUAUUUACCUGCUGUUCCAAGUAAAUUUGCAUGUGCCAAACUCUAAACCUUCAAAUUAUAAUCUGUUUUGUAUGCCCGAAUUGCUCAUGUAGCAACUAGGGGCUGUCAGUGUUUUUCAUGCUAGGUGGGUUAUUCUCAAGAGGAGUGGACUCCGCUCCUCAUUCACGAGAAAGUGGCGGUAACCGGGAUGCCCAGUUCCAUGAUCAAAAAGAUCAAAAUCAAAUCAAAAUAAUUAAACAAAACUACCCCAGGAUUGUUGUUAGUUGGAGGCACUCGUUGUUCCGAGCAAGCCAUGGAUUGAUGCUUGUUGGUGGUUGGGGGAGUAUAAACUGUUACCAUUCUGCGUGGGAACCGCCUAUAAUGUAUGUAGUAUGGAAGAUAUUGGGAACUCUUGGUUGUUAUGUUGACAAUGAGAUCAUACCUAUCAAAAUUAUUUAUCUCUAUUUUAAAAAUUGAGCUCUGGCACCUCUGCAAAUCCCUGCUUCCCUCUACGAAGGGCCUAUCUUUUACUUUUAUGCAAGAGUCAAGGUGAUCUUCACCUUUCCCUUUUUCAUUUUAUCCUUUGGCAAGCACUUUNNNNNNNNNNNNNNNNNNNNNNNNNNNNNNNNNNNNNNNNNNNNNNNNNNNNNNNNNNNNNNNNNNNNNNNNNNNNNNNNNNNNNNNNNNNNNNNNNNNNNNNNNNNNNNNNNNNNNNNNNNNNNNNNNNNNNNNNNNNNNNNNNNNNNNNNNNNNNNNNNNNNNNNNNNNNNNNNNNNNNNNNNNNNNNNNNNNNNNNNNNNNNNNNNNNNNNNNNNNNNNNNNNNNNNNNNNNNNNNNNNNNNNNNNNNNNNNNNNNNNNNNNNNNNNNNNNNNNNNNNNNNNNNNNNNNNNNNNNNNNNNNNNNNNNNNNNNNNNNNNNNNNNNNNNNNNNNNNNNNNNNNNNNNNNNNNNNNNNNNNNNNNNNNNNNNNNNNNNAUAUAUAUAUAUAUAUAUAUAUAUAUAUAUAUAUAUAUAUAUAUAUAUAUAUAUAUAUAUAUAUAUAUAUAUAUCCAAUUGGAUGUACGUUAGCAUGAACUAUUAUUGUUGACAUCACCCAAAGGUGAAUACGUUUGGAGGCAACAUUAUAAGCCCCAAUCUUUCUCUGUGUCUGAUUAAAACUUCUUAACCACAAGUAUUGCGUGAGUGUUAGCAAUUGUAGAAGACUAUAUGAUAGUUGAGUAUGUGGAGUUUGCUAUUCCUGAAAAUAAGAUGAAUUGCAAUUGUUUUGAUGACUAAGAAUGAAGUUUGCUAGUUUUCAAGAAUGUUUAUGGUCUAUGCUUUAACAUGUGAAUUGCUUGUUACUAGUUUGUGAAAAGUUUUAUGAGAUGAACUACUGUUAUGACAUAUUAUCAUGCUAGAAAAGGUGAUUGAAAUUAUCAUUGAUCAAACUUGUGCACCUCUAGCAUUCACACUUCAUAAAUUCUUUCUUUUAUCAUUUACCUACUCGAGGACAAGUAGGAAUUAAGCUUGGGAUGCUGAUACGUCUCCAACGUAUCUAUAAUUUAUGAAGCAUUCAUGCUAUAUUACUAUGUGUUUUGAAUGAUUAUGGGCUUUAUUUUCCACUUUUAUAUUAUUUUUGGGACUAACCUAUUAACCGGAGGCCCAGCCCAGAUUUGCUGUUUUAUGCCUAUUUCAGUGUUUCGAGGAAAAGGAAUAUCAGACGGAGUCAAAACGGAACGAAAUCAACUGGAGAAGUCAAUUUUGGAAGGAAAGCAACCUGAUAGACUUGUAGUGCAUGUCAGGCGAGUCCCGGGCUUCCCACGAGGGUGGGGAGCGCGCCAUACCCCCCUUAGCGCGCCCCCUGCCUCGUGAGCACCCCGGAGGUCCACCGACGUACCCCCUGCACCCAUAUAUACCUACAUAUCGUAAAACUUCCAGAACAGAAGAUAGAUCGGGAGUUCCGCCGCCGCAAGCCUCUGCAGCCACCAGAAACCUCUCGGGAGCCCUUCCCGGCACCCUGCGCUAUCCAUGACGAGGAGGGAGUAGUUCACCCUCAGGGCUGAGGGUAUGUACCAGUAGCUAUGUGUUUGAUCUCUAUCUCUCUCUCGUGUUCUCUCUCGUGUUCCGUCUAUGGCACGAUCUUGAUGUAUCCCGAGAUUUUCUAUUGUAGUUGGAUCUUAUGAUGUUUCUCCCCCUCUACUCUCUUGUGAUGAAUUGAGUUUCCCCUUUGAAGUUAUCUUAUCGGAUUGAGUCUUUUAUGAGAACAAUUGAUGUAUGUCUUGCCGUGAUUAUCUGUGGUGACAAUGGGAUAUCAUGUGCCACGUGAUGUAUGUUUUGGUGAUCAACUUGCGGGUUUCGUGACAUUGGGAACCUAUGCAUAGGGGUUGGCGCACGUUCUUGACUCUCCGGUAGAAACUUUGGGGCACUCUUUGAAGUACUUUUAUGUUGGUUGGAUGAAUCUGAGAUUGUGUGACGCAUAUUGUAUAAUCAUGCCCACGGAUACUUGAGGUGACAAUGGAGUAUCUAGGUGACAUUAGGGUUUUGGUUGAUUUGUGUCUUAAGGUGUUAUUCUAGUACGAACUCUUUUAUAGAUUGAUCCGAAAGAAUAACUUUGAGGUGGUUUUGUACCCAACCAUAAUCUCUACGUUUGUUCUCCUCUAUUAGUGGCUUUGCAGUGACUCUUUGUUGCAUGUUGAGGGCUUGUUAUAUGAUCUAUCUAUGUUAUUAUUGUUGAGAGAAUUUGCACUAGUGAAAGUACGAACCGUAGGCCUUGUUUCCUAUCAUUGCAAUAUCGUUUGCGCUCACUUUUACCGCUCGCUACCUUGCUGUUUUUAUUAUUUCAGAUUACAAAAACCUAUAUCUACUAUCUAUUUUGCACUUGUAUUACCAUCUCUUCGCCGAACUAGUGCACCUAUACAAUUUUCCAUUGUAUUGGGUGUGUUGGGGACACAAGAGACUCCUUGUUAUUUGGUUGCAGGGUUGUUUGAGAGAGACCAUCUUCAUCCUACGCCUCCUACGGAUUGAUAAACCUUAGGUCAUCCACUUGAGGGAAAUUUGCUACUGUCCUACAAACAUGUGCACUUGCAGGCCCAACAACGUCUACAAGAAGAAGGUUGUGUAGUAGACAUCAAAGUGCUUCAUGAGUCCAGAUCGUCUCCACAUCGGUGUCCCUGUGCUAUGGAUAUCUGCCACGUCGUCGGUCCGCUGCCACGUAGUUAUCAUGAUCUAGGUCCCUUCAUGUUAAUUAAAUAAUGUACAUAUUGUUCGGCCGCACCGUGUGUGCCGCUUGGCCUCGUAAAAUGAUGUAAUAUCGAACCUAUGUUUUCUCUAGCAUCAAUAAAGCGGUUGUUUUCUGUACCAUAUCGUUGUGUGUUGCCAGAAGACUUGAUCUCUGGGCUGGCAAUGGCAGGUAAUCCAGUUGCUCUGAGCCAGGGUGUCACAACGCUUGGUAUCAGAGCCGCGCUGACUGUAGGACACGCUAGACCGUUAAUGCGGUAUUUGAACGGUACUUAAGUUAGUUUGAGUGCCGAUAGCAAUAGAAAGUAAUUGCUGCAUUGCAUGCAUUUUAGUUAUUGUUAUUGCUAACCGUCUAAUGAUUGCGAGUGUAGAUGGCUCCGGUUCCAUUCCCAUGCCAGUCCGAGCCAGCUCCGUUCACCUCACCGCAUCUGCUUCAGAAUGUGUGUCGUCGACUUUACCCAAUGGGUGCUGAUCCAGUGUACCAGGUGUAUCGGGAGCAUCUGGCCGGCUCGCUGUAUGAGUAUUACAUAGAGGUCACUUUACACCAAGUUCCCCUUCCAAUGCAUACACCCAUUCCUCUAAGGGUGGUUUCGCUUCCAUGCUCAGGCCAUCCAGUUUGCUACACUCGAAGCUCUUGUAGACUUGCGCUACAACGAGAUUCAAAUGCAGGCUCAUCCAGGGUUUUACUUCUACCCGUCUCUACACGAGAACGGGCAUAUCUGCUUCCCUUUCAUUGAUCCGGCGUGCGAUCUUCCUUCUAGCCACAUUUCUCGCUAUAUCACUGCUAGUUAUCUCUUGAUCUACGAGUUGGCCCGAAAGCUAACCCGAGCCCAGAUAGAUCUUGCCGCUGCUCAUAAUAGGAACCCUCAACCUUCUGUCGGAUUUGUCCCAUUCAUUCCACCAGCCUCUGCCUCCUCUCUCACUCAGGCGACCACCCAGUGUACCACGAACCCGUUGGCAGUGACUCCUCGCAGUGCCACUGCUGCGUGGGCUUCCCUUAUUGCUACUCUUGCAGCCUCUAUGCUUCAGUCUCACCCCACACCUGCCCCUGAGGGAGAGCCCUUGAGGUAGCGUCGUUGUGUCACUUCUAACCCGGAGGUUUCCGCUAUCAGCUCAGGAUCUGAGUCCGACUCUGGAGCAAAGCCAGCAGAGCUAGUAGAGCCAGUAGAGCACUAGAGCAUUAGAGUAUUCACAGUCAUGAGUUUGAUGUACGGAUCUACUCGUGCAUGGCAUGAUGUUUAGUUUCAUGUAUGAGGGUAGUCGAACCCGUCAUGAUGUUUACUUUCCAUGUAUGAGUCUAUGUAUAACAAUGUUGGACCUUCUUUUUAUUCGCCUUGGUUUUCACUGCUUUCUUUCAGGUUUGUCGCUGGCUUUUCUUCCCAUUUUCGGAUGUUGAUCAUCUCGAUUGCUUUAUAUUGGGAAAACAAACAAUAGGAUGAUGCGGGGAGGCAGCAGUAGUCACGCUUGUGAGGAUGUCCCUGUUCGUCGCUCCGCAAGGCAGGCAUGACAUUCCCCCGAGUCGUAUACUCCACCACCGCGUCCACCGCCACAUCCGCCCUUCAUUGAACAAAUUAUGCGGAUGUUCGAAGAGAGAACAAACAACGAUCUGAUUGAGCUAUUGAAAAGUGUGCAAGCUAUGGUUGGGCAUAAUGGAAAUCAGAAUGGUCAUCACUCCAAGCUGUCAGACUUUUAGAGGACCAAGCCACCCAGUUUCAGUCAAGUUAUCGAUCCCUUGGAAGUGGAUGAUUGGUUAAGGACUAUGGAGAAGAAGCUUGAUAUUGCUCGCACUGACGAAGCUGUCAAGGUUCCAUUCGUUACAAAUUAUCUCGAGGGAGCUGUCGCUAUCUGGUGGGAUAAUGCAAAAGCCAUGUGGCCUGCGAACGAAGAAAUUACUUGGAUUAAAUUCAAGGACCACUUCCGCAAAUAUCAUAUUCCCGCUGGUAUCAUGAAGGUCAAGCAGUGGGAAUUCCUUGCGCCUUACUCAAGGAAGUCUGCCAGUUAGCGAGUAUCUGCAUAAGUUCAACCAUCUGGCUCGUAUUCUCUCUAUGACGUGGUCACGGAAGAAAGGAAGAUCGACAUAUUUUUUGGAGGAAUGAAUCAACACCUUAGAUGCAUGCUCAGUAUGCUGGACUUUUCAGAUUUCCAGACUUUGGUCAACAAAGCUCUCAUUGCCGAAAGAGAGCACAAGCUCGUGCAUGACAACAAGCCUGGUAAUAAUGAUCACAAGCACAAAUUCGAGCCUAAGAAGGACGGACAACCAGUGUAGACGGCUCAUACUUGGCAACAGACUCACGUGGAGUACAAGCCCAAGUGGCAUCAGAAUGUGAACAAGACCACUACUCAAGUCAAGAAUUUCGUAACCAGUCUAGUAUGCGUAGAGUGCCAGCGCAACAACUCAUGCAUCAACUAUGGUCAAACCGGACAUUAUGCUAGACAAUGCCCCAAGAGCGACAAGUCAAAUGCUCCAUUCAGGCUGCAAGUCAACCAUAUGGGGCCACAUCCUGCCCAGAGGACCAUUCAAGGGCAAGUUCACCACCUCUCCGCGGAUGAAGCCCAAGAGGACCCAGAAGUCGUCAUUGUUAUUUUUCCUGUUAAUAACAUACCUACAAUAAUUUUAUUUGACUCUGGGGCUUCCCACUCUUUUAUUUCGUAGAGUUUUGUUGCCCAAAACAAGUUUCCUUGCUCGAUUUUGGGAAAAAAGUAUGCUGGUACAAUCCCCGGGAUCCGUGCUCAGAAGCAAUAUGGUCUGCCGGAAUUUGGAAAUUGGAAUUAAGGGAGUCAACUUUCCAACAUUGUUGAUCAUUAUUGAGUCUGCCAAGUCGGAUAUUAUUUUGGGAAUUAACUGGUUGACCCAAUAUCAAGUAUGCAUCAACUGUGCGACUAGAGAAGUCACAAUGAAAAAUCAUGAAGGCUGGUCUACAAAAUUCUUUGCUCACAGAAGCAUAUCAAAGAGAGAAUUGGUCUUCACCGCUGUAGCUGAAGAAUUGGAAUUAGUUCCUGUGGUCAGUGAGUUUCCAGAUGUAUUCCCAGAGGAAUUACCAGGAAUGCUGCCAGAUCGAGAGCUUGAGUUUGCAAUUGAGAUUGUGCCCGGGACUGGACCACUAUACAAGAAGUAUUAUCGGAUGCCUUCCUCCGAGUUAGUGGAAUUUAAGAAACAACUUGAUGAGAUGCUGCAGAAAGGAUAUAUCCAUCCCAGCUCUUCACCAUGGGGAUCACCCGCAAUAUUCGUGGACAAGAAGGAUUGAUGAUUUAUUUGAUCAACUCAGCGGGGCAAAAGUAUUCUCCAAGAUUGAUUUGAGGACCGGAUAUCACCAGCUCAAGAUCGAGAAAGAAGAUAUUCCUAUGACUGUAUUCACUACACGAUACGGUCUUUCUGAAUAUACACUUAUGUCCUUCGACCUCACCAAUGCCCCUGCCUUCUUCAUGCAUAUGAUGAAUAAGGUAUUCAUGGAUUUCCUGGAUAAGUUUGUGGUGGUCUUCAUUGAUGACAUCCUCAUAUACUCAAAAGGCAAAGAGGAGCACAAGGAACAUCUCAGAGCAGUCUUGCACAGACUCUGUGACCAUCAGCUAUAUGCAAAAUUGAGCAAGUAUGAGUUUUCGCUCAAGCAAGUCAGAUUCUUGGAACAUGUUCUGUCAGCAGAAGGCAUAGCCGUGGAUCCCAGCAAAGUGAAGGACGUGCUUGAUUGGAUAGCACCCACGACAGUAUCCGAGAUCUGGAGCUUCCUUGGAUUAGCCGGAUACUACCACCGCUUCACCGAAGGCUUCUCCAAGAUCGCCAAGCCAAUGACAAAGAUCCUAAAGAAAGAUAGGAAGUUCGAAUGGACUGAGGACUGUGAGAAGAGCUUUAAUGAGCUGAAGACCAGAUUGACAUCAGCACCAAUAUUGACUCUUCCAGACAUCUACUGCCGCUUUGAUGUGUACUGUGAAACACACUAGAAAGGUAUUGGAUGUGUACUCAUGCAAGAUGGCAAGGUUGAAGCAUACACAACUCGUCAGUUGCGACCUCACGAAGGGAACUAUCCUACCCAUCAUUUGUAGUUGGCCGCAGUUGUACACGCUUUAAAAUUUGGAGAAACUAUCUCAUUGGCAAGAGAUGCCAGAUAUUUACCGACCACAAAAGUCUCAAGUAUAUAUUCACUCAACUGGACUUAAACCUUUGACAACGAAGAUGGCUCGAGUUGGUCAAGGAUUAUGAUCUUGGAAUAAAUUACCAUCCCGGUAAGGCAAAUGUUGUGGCCGAUGCUCUUAGCCGCAAGCCUGCCAUCUUGAUCACCUUAAUGGAGUGCCUUGCAAAUAUUCUGAAAGUAAAUCCUACACUCGAGGAUGAGAUCCACAGGGCUCAGCAGGAUGAUCUAGUCCUUCAGCAUCAUGCCGAGCGUAUGCAAGAAGGCAAGACCCAAGAUUUCUCUAAGGAUAAGCUAGGUACGCUAAGGUUUCGAGGACAGAUUUGUGUACCUGAGAAAGCAGACCUGAGAAAGAAGAUUUUGGCAGAAGCAAACGAAUCGUCAUACUCGAUUCACCCUGGAGGUACCAAAAUGUAUGAAGACCUUCGAUAGAUAUUCUGGUGGGAUGGAAUUAAGAAAACAUCGCAUACUUUGUCGCUUGUUGUGAUAUAUGCAACAAAGUAAAAGUGGAGCACCAGAAACCUACCGGACUUCUGCAACCUUUACCCAUUUCACAAUGGAAGUGGGACGACGUCUGCAUGGACUCCAUCAUAGGACUGCCAAGGACUCACAAAGGCAAUGAUGCAGUAUGGGUUGUGGUGGACACGCUGAAAAAGUAGCCCACUUCAUUCCCAUCCUAACCACAUACCGAGCCGAUCAACUCGCACAGCUUUAUGUAUCCAGAAUAGUCAGUCUGCAUGGAGUACCAAGAACUAUCACUUCAGACCGCACUACUAGAAAUACCACUACUAAUGGCGCACCUAAUAUGGCCAUUAAUGGCGCAUCACUGGUGCGCCAUUGAUAGCACGCCAUUAGUAAUUUUUACUAAUGGCGCACCACCUGGUGUGCCAUUAGUAUCUGUUAUACUAAUGGCGCACCACCUGGUACGCCAUUAGUAUAUGCGAGAGUGCGCCAUUAGUAUGCCUCCCAGGGGGCAUGUAUACCCAGGUGCUUUGGCAUACUAAUGGCGCACCACCUCUGGAUGCACCAUUAGUAACCGCAGACUAAUGGCGCACUACCCGGUGAUGCGCCAUUAGUAUGCACUGUCAUACUAAUGGCGCACUGUCAUGUGAUGCGCCAUUAGUAUGAAUAUUAGGUUUUUUUUAUUUUUUUAUUUUCUGUUUUUUGCACAGGUUACAAAAUGUAUAAUUUGACAAAAUAUAGACAGCACACAUCAACAAUAGAUUCAUCAAAUACAAUAGAAGAUUAGUCUUUGAAUACAAUUCAUCAUAUUAGUCCCCGAAUACAAUUCAUCAUAUUAGUCUCCGAAUUGAAAAGACCAAACAAAGAUAGAACAUUAUAUUACAAGUCUCGAGACCGCGAGUAGCGAGUUUAUCUUUGCAUUACAAGUCGAUAUCGAUCAUCUAAACUACCAUCACAUAGAAGAGAGCUGCGGUCAUCACGAUGAGCAUCAUCACGAUGAAACUCAUCUUCAUCCGGUUCCUCCAACGCUCCCUCCCCUCUCCCGCUAGAUAGCGGGCGUAUCUAGAUUCGGCCUCGGCCCUAGUGGUGUACCCUUUGUAACUGUUACCGCUGAAUCGGUGAACCUAUCUCCGACACUCCUCCCAGUCAUCGUAGACUCCGGGAACCUUACCCUUGUACACGACAUACGUCGGCAUCGCUAUGCACUAGCCAAACGAAACGUUAGUACCAAUUCACAGACAAUACAUAAGCAAUAUAUAAGUAUGCAACAGAACGAUCGGAAGAGAAAAGCAAGACAUUAAUAGCAUCGAUUACAUCUAAGUUGAACGACUCUCGAAACCAAAGAGACAUACUACAAGUUCAUUAAAGUUUAAUUACAACAUGAGCCAAUCGAUGUUUCAGAACUAGACAACUCGACUCAAGGGACCGGAGCGUGGAUGAAGCCGCCGUCUAUCGUGGGAGUCAUGAAAGAACGGGCGUUGUCAUCCUGCAUUUGUAGCAUUGUGUCGAUGUCACUGUUGGACGGUUGAUUUCUGAGGUAGAACUGCCCCGAGGUACGAAGGACAUCUUGAUGGAUGAUUUCCGCAAACUCCGACUGGAUGUGAAAGAAUUCUUGUCGGAGGUCCGCCUCCUGGAUUGCCGACACGCUCGCGGCCCAAUCUUGGAGUUUACUCGGUAGCAGAAGUUGAUGAUGGUCCCGUACGAUCGCCCGCAUGUGAUGGAUGGCGUAGUAGGCACCCUUCUGACCGCCAGGCGGCUGCUUGACGCAGCAGAACGUCGUAUUGUGGGAGAACACGUGCUUGCCGUACUUACGAAUAGGCCUGGUGAAGGUGCCUCCAGAUUUGGCGUAGCCGGGGAGAACAUCAUCAAGAACCUUCUUGACAUUUGUGUAGUCUACGUUCGACUGACGGUCCGGGUCGAAAUACGUGGCCAUGGAAUAUUUGGGGCUUAGGAGGAUGAGCGUGCAACGUGUGUCACUGCAGAAAACACGGAAUGUUAAAAGAAAAACGAUCGAAAUAUAAGAAUUCAUAUGUUACGGGCCGGUUGAGGGGAGGACUUACUCGGGAAAGUAAGGCACGAGGAAGUUAUCCUUAUCUUGGUUUGCCAGAAUGAUGCCUUCGAGGUAAGAACUCGCGACUUGCCGGUCCCCAGCGCUGCCCAAGAUCUUGGCACGCAUGUAGAAGGGGUCGACUAUCACGAUGUCCGGGGUCUUGUCGCGAAUGAUCCGCAUCUCCAUACUCAGCGAAAAUAGCCGAACGAAGGUGUAGUGCAGCGGAUGAAGGUUAAACAUAGCAAAGAUGUCAUCAAACCGCAGGAUGAUCGUACCCCCGAUGUCGCCAUCCACAAAGCCCUUGCCCUCUGGCACCUUGGCCACGAAAACCGGGUAUGCCACAUCCUUCUCUCUGAGACGCCGCUUCUCCAAAGAAAGAACACUGUCGUGCAGACUCCGCAUAGCACCGGUUGCAGCAUUGAGCAUAUUUGGUGGUAGCAUCGCCCUACCCGCCACAUGCACCCUCCUCGAGAUAUCCUUAGGUGAAGGUGGCCCGUCCUGAGCACGGAUCGUACUCGGUGCCGGCUGGCUCGCACCCUUCUUAGUCUUUCUUUUGCGUGCCUUCUUCUUCUCCUGUAAUGGGACUGAGUUUUGCUCACAGACCGCCUUCUUGAGUGUGUUGGGGCUGAUAAUAUUUCGCACCUUGCCUAUCUAAGGCUCGGUGAAGUCGGCAGCUGGAGGCGUCUCCUGAGAGCUGAACGCCAGACGGCGCCUGUUGCAACUUGGCUUCUCCGCGGUAUGAGCUAGAUCGCACACGUCUUUUGUUGGGUUUGGUUCUUGAGAAGGAGGCCCCAUGAAGUCGCCAUCGUACCCAUGCUCGGCAAAGUACUGAUCGACGUUGCCAAAUGUAUCAUAGUCGUCGUCGUCAUUCUGAUCCUGUGCCAUAUGCAUGUUUGGAUCCAGUGGCAUAGGGAUGUCCGGCACCGUUACGGCGGUCUUGCCAUGGGGCCGACUUGGCGCCGGCACGACUGGCGGUGUUGUCUUUGGGGUGGUGUCCCCCGCCCCCAAACGAAUCUGGCUCUUCGGCCAAAGCAGGGGCCAGCUCAGGCAGGCGCUGAGGGUCAUCACGUCAUCAUCGUCGGCCCCGACGGGUCGAUUCGGAGGUAACAAGUCGUCGCAGCCUGGCAGCACCCGAACCAGUUGAACCCUAAAAAAGUUGGGUGGCAUCUGGGUACCGUGGAACAAGGGGUUGCCCGGUUGAACGAUUUUGCCCUUGGCGACAUCGACCAACUCGUUGUUCACGAAGUGGAGGAGAGUGCACGGAACAUCGGCGGCGCCCUGCGAAAACAUGUAGGGCGUCAGGGAUGCCCAGUCAAAGGCAAGGAGAUGAAGUCCUCGGCCGAGAGAGGCUUAAUUAGUUACCGUGAUGAUGGCGUCGAGCUUGGCUAAUGUAGAGGCACCGCCAACGGCGGGCGUGCAGUUGACGGAGGGGCCGCUUGCUGCAGAGGUGCCGGCCGGCGUACACCCGGGUGCAUUAAGCUCCCGUGCCGGCGUCGGAGACACCAAUGCCGCCUCCGCCGGAGGCACCAAUGGCCCCGCCAUCGCAUUAUGCGAGUUGCUGGCCGUGAAGCUAGGAAUCGGGGGCGGCCCCUGUUGGCCGCCCGCAAUCCACGCACUCAACCCCGAGAUCAAGGUAGGCACAAGGGCGGUGAUCGUCGCUCCGAGUCGUUGUUCCACUUGCUCUUGGAUAAUCUCCGGAAUCCGCGCCACCUGUGCCUUGAGUUCUUGAACCUCUCGCACCUGGCUUUCCGAGCUGGUCUUUUUCUCCGUCCGCACACCAGCGGUAUAGUAUGACCCCCAUUUUGUCGACAAGCCUUUGCCGGCCACACGACCAGCUGACGUCGGCUUACUGAGCUUAUCCUUGUUCUUCAUUAUAUUCAACCCCCUAUUUAGAGUGGUGUCCCAAGGGUUGCUCUGAGUCGACCCCGCGCUACUGCUUUCAGUCGCCUGCGGAAGGAAUGUGAACCAUUUAGAAAUUCGGCUUCAUUAAUUAGAAUGCAACCAUAUGGAGCUAAUUACGCGGGGGUGUAUUCCUUACCAGAACAAGCUCAAGCCGCCUGGUCUUCGGAUCCGUGGUAAGCUCCUUUGUUUUCGGGUCCUUCUUGUACCGGGCCCUGACAAAGUUCCUGGUCUGCUUGUCACCGUAUUUAUCGAAGAGGGGCGGUAGGCCUUGCUCGGCACGGUCCGCCUCCUCCUUGUCCCAUAUAGGCUCCGCCACUCUGUAACCGCCGGGACCGAGUGUGUGUUCCCCUAUGUUCAGCUCCCGCAUUUUUUUCCCCCACUCACUUGAUUGGGAGCUUGCGGUGCUCGAGCAAUUGAUCUUGAAGUCGUUGUAGUCAUCUUCGGUGAUCGAAGGAUUUUUCUCCUUGAUCUUCUCAUAACUCUCACCUUUCUCGAUCAUUCUCUUCACAUUGCUUUUCCAAGUAGACAGGGCCUUGCUCAUCUUCAUGAGGGCAGCAUUGUUCACUUUAUUCCCUUUGAGGCUUGUGUUUUCGAAUUCAGCGGGGAACUUGUAUCGUUCGUGCAGCUUCGUGAAGAGGAGGUUGCGCAAAUUCCCUCGGUCAGGAUGCCUCAGGUUCUCGGUGUUGAUCGAGACGGUGCUCCGGACAAUGCACCCGAGCUGAAGCGAGUACCCCUUGACUAUUCGUUCGGGCGCCGUUGGAUUCCCGUUGGAGUCCACUUCAGUAACUUCCUCCUUGAGGGUGCGGAGCACGAUUGGGCGCCAGUCCUUCCGUUGCCUCUUCGGCUGGCUGCUAUCUGUGCGUGCGCCGCCAUCAUCAGUGGUGGCAUCCUCGGCGGCACCAUCAGUGGUGGCAUCAGUGUGGUCAUCCUCGGCGGCACCAUCCGUGGUCUCAGGAUCGGUGGGGAAGGCGGUGGCCUCAUACAAGUGAGGUUGUUCCUCCAUCUCCUGGGACAGCUCCCAGAAUGCCUUGCCGCCUGAACCCCCGGCCUCAUCGUUGUGGGCCAUGUUUCUCUCUAAAUAGAAACAAAGUUUGGUCAAAAAGUUGGUUAUUGUCAAGGAACAAGAUCAUGGUCUCAUCAUUUAGGGUUUGUCGACACUGAGGCAUUCUAAAAUCUAAGCUUUUAUCAUUGAGGGUUUUUCGACGCCAAGGCACCCUAAAAGCCUAACUUUUCAUCAUUUCGGUUUUUAUCGACACCGAGGCACCCUAAAAGCCAUGCAUUAGUCACAAGUACGCCGGGGCACUUGAUCCUACUUAAUUAACUACUAAGAUACCCCGGCCCAUGCAUUAGUCACAAGUACCCCAUAUGUCCUAUUUUUAGCAAAGUCAUGCUAAAAUUCACGGAAAAUUUCAGCAUGACCUUUGCUGAAAAUAGGACAUAUGGAGUACCCGAAUUUGCCGGAACGGAAGUUAAUCGACAUUCCGGCAAACUCAAGGGCCUCUCGGGGUACCUGCAAAAUCAUCACGACACGAUGGUCGGAGACAAAACCCAGCAAACUAGCAAAAUCAUCACAAAUUGUUUUCUGUUAAAGAUGAUCAUCAUCUUUACAAGUCUUUCUCAAUGUGAUCACAAGUAAUUCAGAGGCAUCACAAGUAAUUCAGAGCAUCACAAGGCAUUAGUAGUUCAGUACAUGAACAAGUUUUACAAACCCAUAUAAGAACAAGUGAAUUCUAGUCCCAUUGACACUCCUGGUUUUCUACAAACACCAAGUACUAGGGCACACAAAAGUUCUGAAAUUUGUGUGCCUAACUGAAUUAACUGAAUUUUCAGUAACCGAAUAAACUGAAUUUUCAAAACUGCAAGAAUACAAUCGAGAAAAAUCCAACAGCACUAGAACUGAGCUGAUUGACAGUAGUUUUGUUCACUGUUAUGAAGAGAAACUUCUUCUUGUAAGAAAGGACUUCACGUGUGGUUUGGAAUAUUCAGAAAUCAAGUUGAUAUAUAAAACCAUAUAGAGGUAGGUAUGCUACAAGUCUACAACAUAUAUACUAAUUAAUCAACUGCAAUCAGGAGACAGUUUCUUCUUCUAAGUCCAUCUCACGGUUCGCUGAAUUAAGAAAAAUACAUCAAAAUUAGAGACUUUAGGCAAAAUACAUCAAAAUCAGGAGACAGUUUCUUCUUCUAAUUAUCCAGUUUCUUAAGGCAAAUGGAUUGCUAGGUCAGUACCGGGACUACUAUAGCAUAGUCAUGCUGAGCAAGAAGGUAUUUGUGGAGAAGUUCAUAUGCCCUCACAAGGAAGCUGCACCACACCUCGCUGAAGACUAUGCAACCGCUUGCAAAGGGGAAAUGCCGUCUAAUUUUGGAAUAGCCUCAGAAAAUUGGCCUAACUGGAUGUUGGCUAUCUUUUAUAGUGUCUCUGUUACAUGCCAGUUUGGUCAUUGCUAACUCUUGAUGUAACUGAUAUUUUGAUUCCUGAACCCCCGAUAUGCUGUUGUGGUUAAUCCUAAGAGAAGAUUUUGAACAAUGAGAAGUCCAUGGAUAUGUUGUGUUUCUGACUUCCGUUGAGGAUCAUGGAAAUUGGAUAUGUGAGUGGUCGGUGGACCAACUUUUCACUAAAAAUAACAGAAGAGUCCUUGUUUUCCACUAAAAUUAUCAGUGUCAUCUGGUUUCAUGGCAAUAUUUAUCUAGCAUGUUCCGUAUUGAUUUCAUUGUAUUUUCUGUUCCAUCAUAUUUCAGUUAGUACUAAGGUUCUUUUUUUAGGGAACUCAGUUAGUACUCAGUUUACAGAAACGGUUCGAUGUCUAUCAUAUACAACCAUUUUCCCUGUUAUAAAAGACAUGAAAGAUCACAACAAUAUUGAUCUGAAAAGAACAGAAAAAAAGAGAAAUAGUAUGUAUGCAGUGAAAAAUAUAUAUUUAUUCAUGAAUGAGUAAAAGUUAUACCUGGGUGAUGAAGUGCCCACCAGUGUGGUGAUUCUACCUUGCUUUCUCAGUCGUGGGUGAUGAAGUGCCUCUGUUCUGUUGUGUCUGCAGUGGUAUGGAGAUGAAUGAAUUGGUAUUAGGUUCAAAUAUGAUCGAUGGAUACUCUAACUGUCCCAGAAAUUGGAGGUUAAGAUAGCUUGAAUUUUUCGCUGGGAUUAGACUUACGUUUUAUUCAAAAAUUCCAGCUAACUCUCUCUCAAACAAAAGAAAAAUGAAUCUAAUUAGUCUGUUGUAAAUUUUCUGCUGCACUUGUGCACAUAAGUUAUUCACCUGGUCUGUUACUGAGGAGUAUCUCCAUUUCAUUUAACCGUCACAACCACAAAUGCCAAAUUUUCAACUAAAGACCACGAUCUAGUGCUGAAAACAAAAUGAAACAAAUAUAUCUGAGCUAAAGACCAGUAGAUUUUGGCAAACAUCCGCUGACAGGAGCCCAAAAUUCAUCUAUUUUCUUUGCAUGGGCCUAGCUACCUUUAUUCACUCAAGCUGGUAGCUGUUAAUAUAGAAGUAAGAUGGAGCCAUCCACUACUGUUAAACUAAAUAGUGCUAAACUAGAAAGGAUAUUAGAUAAUAAUGGAAAGUAAAGGAGCCCAAAACCUUCAGAGCACACACAACAGGAGAAAGAGUAUUAUAGCACUUGCUUUUCAGUCAUUCCAAUGAGCACGAAUGCUAUCAGCUGUCAUAAGAAAAAAAUGUUCUACAUGUUGAUUAUGGUUUUGCAUCAAGAAAAUUACAAAUUAUUAUAAGCACAUAUGGUAGGUUUCUGUGGUUCAAAGGUAAUGUACUUGAUCUAAAGAAAGGCACGACUAUGAGAAACUGAAAUCAUUGUCACGUUGUAGCUUCAGAAUUUGACUCAGGUUGAACCUUCCAGUACUACACGGACAAGAAGACCAUAACAAAAUCCCUAUCAUCGGACCAACUACUCCAGUUUUCACUCGAAAUCUAUGAAGCUGAAAACUUUCACUGCCCUGUUGCUGUCCCUUGUCCCAUUAUCUUACUUUUUUUCCAGGAAAGCUAGCUAAACGAUUGACCGGUGUGAAGAUUUCCAUGAGAAGCAUUGUCACAUGGCCAUCUUGGUUAAGCCGCAUGAAUACAUAGCUACAACAAUCGAUGGAAUCCCUGCAAGCAGGGCAAUUUCGCUGUGCAUAGCUAGCUAGGACCUCUCUCAGGAAAGUUUCAGUUGUUCUCACGCCUAAUGUAGUGAGUGCAGCAAGCAAACUGGGUAUCUAGUUUAGUUGGGGAGGAAGAAAACUAACCACGAUAGACACCUAGAGCAUCAAAGAUGGAGAGAGCAGAGAGAGAGGGGGGAUGAUACCUUGACGAGCUCCCCUGAUGGCGUGGGUAGUAGGGUCACAGCAGCGUCCCAGGAAGAGGCGCACGGCGCUGUUAUCGGGGCGGCGUCGAGGGCGGCGGGGCCGUGGCGUCCUGGUCCUGCGGCGCCGUGGCGUCGAGGGAGGCGGGUCGACGGUGGUGUGGACGGGGCGGGGUCGAGGUGGGGCAGCGGCGUCGGGGCGGGGUCGAGGCGGCGUCGGGNNNNNNNNNNNNNNNNNNNNNNNNNNNNNNNNNNNNNNNNNNNNNNNNNNNNNNNNNNNNNNNNNNNNNNNNNNNNNNNNNNNNNNNNNNNNNNNNNNNNNNNNNNNNNNNNNNNNNNNNNNNNNNNNNNNNNNNNNNNNNNNNNNNNNNNNNNNNNNNNNNNNNNNNNNNNNNNNNNNNNNNNNNNNNNNNNNNNNNNNNNNNNNNNNNNNNNNNNNNNNNNNNNNNNNNNNNNNNNNNNNNNNNNNNNNNNNNNNNNNNNNNNNNNNNNNNNNNNNNNNNNNNNNNNNNNNNNNNNNNNNNNNNNNNNNNNNNNNNNNNNNNNNNNNNNNNNNNNNNNNNNNNNNNNNNNNNNNNNNNNNNNNNNNNNNNNNNNNNNNNNNNNNNNNNNNNNNNNNNNNNNNNNNNNNNNNNNNNNNNNNNNNNNNNNNNNNNNNNNNNNNNNNNNNNNNNNNNNNNNNNNNNNNNNNNNNNNNNNNNNNNNNNNNNNNNNNNNNNNNNNNNNNNNNNNNNNNNNNNNNNNNNNNNNNNNNNNNNNNNNNNNNNNNNNNNNNNNNNNNNNNNNNNNNNNNNNNNNNNNNNNNNNNNNNNNNNNNNNNNNNNNNNNNNNNNNNNNNNNNNNNNNNNNNNNNNNNNNNNNNNNNNNNNNNNNNNNNNNNNNNNNNNNNNNNNNNNNNNNNNNNNNNNNNNNNNNNNNNNNNNNNNNNNNNNNNNNNNNNNNNNNNNNNNNNNNNNNNNNNNNNNNNNNNNNNNNNNNNNNNNNNNNNNNNNNNNNNNNNNNNNNNNNNNNNNNNNNNNNNNNNNNNNNNNNNNNNNNNNNNNNNNNNNNNNNNNNNNNNNNNNNNNNNNNNNNNNNNNNNNNNNNNNNNNNNNNNNNNNNNNNNNNNNNNNNNNNNNNNNNNNNNNNNNNNNNNNNNNNNNNNNNNNNNNNNNNNNNNNNNNNNNNNNNNNNNNNNNNNNNNNNNNNNNNNNNNNNNNNNNNNNNNNNNNNNNNNNNNNNNNNNNNNNNNNNNNNNNNNNNNNNNNNNNNNNNNNNNNNNNNNNNNNNNNNNNNNNNNNNNNNNNNNNNNNNNNNNNNNNNNNNNNNNNNNNNNNNNNNNNNNNNNNNNNNNNNNNNNNNNNNNNNNNNNNNNNNNNNNNNNNNNNNNNNNNNNNNNNNNNNNNNNNNNNNNNNNNNNNNNNNNNNNNNNNNNNNNNNNNNNNNNNNNNNNNNNNNNNNNNNNNNNNNNNNNNNNNNNNNNNNNNNNNNNNNNNNNNNNNNNNNNNNNNNNNNNNNNNNNNNNNNNNNNNNNNNNNNNNNNNNNNNNNNNNNNNNNNNNNNNNNNNNNNNNNNNNNNNNNNNNNNNNNNNNNNNNNNNNNNNNNNNNNNNNNNNNNNNNNNNNNNNNNNNNNNNNNNNNNNNNNNNNNNNNNNNNNNNNNNNNNNNNNNNNNNNNNNNNNNNNNNNNNNNNNNNNNNNNNNNNNNNNNNNNNNNNNNNNNNNNNNNNNNNNNNNNNNNNNNNNNNNNNNNNNNNNNNNNNNNNNNNNNNNNNNNNNNNNNNNNNNNNNNNNNNNNNNNNNNNNNNNNNNNNNNNNNNNNNNNNNNNNNNNNNNNNNNNNNNNNNNNNNNNNNNNNNNNNNNNNNNNNNNNNNNNNNNNNNNNNNNNNNNNNNNNNNNNNNNNNNNNNNNNNNNNNNNNNNNNNNNNNNNNNNNNNNNNNNNNNNNNNNNNNNNNNNNNNNNNNNNNNNNNNNNNNNNNNNNNNNNNNNNNNNNNNNNNNNNNNNNNNNNNNNNNNNNNNNNNNNNNNNNNNNNNNNNNNNNNNNNNNNNNNNNNNNNNNNNNNNNNNNNNNNNNNNNNNNNNNNNNNNNNNNNNNNNNNNNNNNNNNNNNNNNNNNNNNNNNNNNNNNNNNNNNNNNNNNNNNNNNNNNNNNNNNNNNNNNNNNNNNNNNNNNNNNNNNNNNNNNNNNNNNNNNNNNNNNNNNNNNNNNNNNNNNNNNNNNNNNNNNNNNNNNNNNNNNNNNNNNNNNNNNNNNNNNNNNNNNNNNNNNNNNNNNNNNNNNNNNNNNNNNNNNNNNNNNNNNNNNNNNNNNNNNNNNNNNNNNNNNNNNNNNNNNNNNNNNNNNNNNNNNNNNNNNNNNNNNNNNNNNNNNNNNNNNNNNNNNNNNNNNNNNNNNNNNNNNNNNNNNNNNNNNNNNNNNNNNNNNNNNNNNNNNNNNNNNNNNNNNNNNNNNNNNNNNNNNNNNNNNNNNNNNNNNNNNNNNNNNNNNNNNNNNNNNNNNNNNNNNNNNNNNNNNNNNNNNNNNNNNNNNNNNNNNNNNNNNNNNNNNNNNNNNNNNNNNNNNNNNNNNNNNNNNNNNNNNNNNNNNNNNNNNNNNNNNNNNNNNNNNNNNNNNNNNNNNNNNNNNNNNNNNNNNNNNNNNNNNNNNNNNNNNNNNNNNNNNNNNNNNNNNNNNNNNNNNNNNNNNNNNNNNNNNNNNNNNNNNNNNNNNNNNNNNNNNNNNNNNNNNNNNNNNNNNNNNNNNNNNNNNNNNNNNNNNNNNNNNNNNNNNNNNNNNNNNNNNNNNNNNNNNNNNNNNNNNNNNNNNNNNNNNNNNNNNNNNNNNNNNNNNNNNNNNNNNNNNNNNNNNNNNNNNNNNNNNNNNNNNNNNNNNNNNNNNNNNNNNNNNNNNNNNNNNNNNNNNNNNNNNNNNNNNNNNNNNNNNNNNNNNNNNNNNNNNNNNNNNNNNNNNNNNNNNNNNNNNNNNNNNNNNNNNNNNNNNNNNNNNNNNNNNNNNNNNNNNNNNNNNNNNNNNNNNNNNNNNNNNNNNNNNNNNNNNNNNNNNNNNNNNNNNNNNNNNNNNNNNNNNNNNNNNNNNNNNNNNNNNNNNNNNNNNNNNNNNNNNNNNNNNNNNNNNNNNNNNNNNNNNNNNNNNNNNNNNNNNNNNNNNNNNNNNNNNNNNNNNNNNNNNNNNNNNNNNNNNNNNNNNNNNNNNNNNNNNNNNNNNNNNNNNNNNNNNNNNNNNNNNNNNNNNNNNNNNNNNNNNNNNNNNNNNNNNNNNNNNNNNNNNNNNNNNNNNNNNNNNNNNNNNNNNNNNNNNNNNNNNNNNNNNNNNNNNNNNNNNNNNNNNNNNNNNNNNNNNNNNNNNNNNNNNNNNNNNNNNNNNNNNNNNNNNNNNNNNNNNNNNNNNNNNNNNNNNNNNNNNNNNNNNNNNNNNNNNNNNNNNNNNNNNNNNNNNNNNNNNNNNNNNNNNNNNNNNNNNNNNNNNNNNNNNNNNNNNNNNNNNNNNNNNNNNNNNNNNNNNNNNNNNNNNNNNNNNNNNNNNNNNNNNNNNNNNNNNNNNNNNNNNNNNNNNNNNNNNNNNNNNNNNNNNNNNNNNNNNNNNNNNNNNNNNNNNNNNNNNNNNNNNNNNNNNNNNNNNNNNNNNNNNNNNNNNNNNNNNNNNNNNNNNNNNNNNNNNNNNNNNNNNNNNNNNNNNNNNNNNNNNNNNNNNNNNNNNNNNNNNNNNNNNNNNNNNNNNNNNNNNNNNNNNNNNNNNNNNNNNNNNNNNNNNNNNNNNNNNNNNNNNNNNNNNNNNNNNNNNNNNNNNNNNNNNNNNNNNNNNNNNNNNNNNNNNNNNNNNNNNNNNNNNNNNNNNNNNNNNNNNNNNNNNNNNNNNNNNNNNNNNNNNNNNNNNNNNNNNNNNNNNNNNNNNNNNNNNNNNNNNNNNNNNNNNNNNNNNNNNNNNNNNNNNNNNNNNNNNNNNNNNNNNNNNNNNNNNNNNNNNNNNNNNNNNNNNNNNNNNNNNNNNNNNNNNNNNNNNNNNNNNNNNNNNNNNNNNNNNNNNNNNNNNNNNNNNNNNNNNNNNNNNNNNNNNNNNNNNNNNNNNNNNNNNNNNNNNNNNNNNNNNNNNNNNNNNNNNNNNNNNNNNNNNNNNNNNNNNNNNNNNNNNNNNNNNNNNNNNNNNNNNNNNNNNNNNNNNNNNNNNNNNNNNNNNNNNNNNNNNNNNNNNNNNNNNNNNNNNNNNNNNNNNNNNNNNNNNNNNNNNNNNNNNNNNNNNNNNNNNNNNNNNNNNNNNNNNNNNNNNNNNNNNNNNNNNNNNNNNNNNNNNNNNNNNNNNNNNNNNNNNNNNNNNNNNNNNNNNNNNNNNNNNNNNNNNNNNNNNNNNNNNNNNNNNNNNNNNNNNNNNNNNNNNNNNNNNNNNNNNNNNNNNNNNNNNNNNNNNNNNNNNNNNNNNNNNNNNNNNNNNNNNNNNNNNNNNNNNNNNNNNNNNNNNNNNNNNNNNNNNNNNNNNNNNNNNNNNNNNNNNNNNNNNNNNNNNNNNNNNNNNNNNNNNNNNNNNNNNNNNNNNNNNNNNNNNNNNNNNNNNNNNNNNNNNNNNNNNNNNNNNNNNNNNNNNNNNNNNNNNNNNNNNNNNNNNNNNNNNNNNNNNNNNNNNNNNNNNNNNNNNNNNNNNNNNNNNNNNNNNNNNNNNNNNNNNNNNNNNNNNNNNNNNNNNNNNNNNNNNNNNNNNNNNNNNNNNNNNNNNNNNNNNNNNNNNNNNNNNNNNNNNNNNNNNNNNNNNNNNNNNNNNNNNNNNNNNNNNNNNNNNNNNNNNNNNNNNNNNNNNNNNNNNNNNNNNNNNNNNNNNNNNNNNNNNNNNNNNNNNNNNNNNNNNNNNNNNNNNNNNNNNNNNNNNNNNNNNNNNNNNNNNNNNNNNNNNNNNNNNNNNNNNNNNNNNNNNNNNNCGUGCUCGUCCCGAUAAAUGAUGCAAUUGUUCAUGCACACAUGGUAUUUCACGUGCGGUAAAUCCAGAGGACACACGAUUUUCUUCGCCUCCUCCAAACUGGUCGGGCACUUGUUCCCCUUGGGAAGACGUUCGUGCCAGAAUGACAUGUUCUCGUCGAAGCAUGCGUCGGUCAUUUUGUGUUUUACCUUCAUCUCCAGGGCCAUGAGCGUUACUUUCAGGCGGGUAUCCUCGGGCCUGCAUCCUUCAUACAAUGGAGUAACCGCGUCUAACUCAAGUUGAUCCAUCUUGGCUUUCUCUCGGGCGGCAGCUCUUGCGUUAUCCGUCUGCUUGAGAAGCAGCUCUUGAAUAUGAGGGUCCUGCACCCAGCCCAUCGAUGGUCCAGCGUCGUCUGCUCCGCCGGCAUCAUUGUCUUCAUGAUCAUGCCCGUCGCCUGCUCCGGCAUCUUCCUCAUCAUCAUGUCCUGCAUCUUCUACAUGAUGACUGUGUACAGCGUCACAGUCGUGAUCAUCUCCUGGGGAUUCUUCGUCUUCUCGCCCGCCCGAGCCGCGGUGGUUGUCUUGCUGCCCUUCCUCAUUUCUUGCCCGGCCCGCAUGGACGACUUCGUAGUCAUCUUCAUCACCUUGCCACCGAUAGCCAUCCAUGAAACCACGCAACAGCAGGUGGUCCCGCACCUGCCCGGAAUCCGGGUCCGCAAUAAGGCUCUUCAGCUUGCAUCUUCGACACGGACAUCUUAUCUCCGUCUCGUUCUUUUGAAGCAUCUCGGCCUUCGCGGACCUCAAAAACCUAUUCACGAUGCCUUCGGUCAUCGUGCGGACCAUGGUCGCCUGCGGGGUAGAGCAAAGCGAUAUUUUAGAACCAAACAAAAAUUUGGCAUGACUUUCCCUAAAAAUAGGACCAAAAAGAAUGCUUAAUGCCAAAAUUCUCGCCGAAACGGAAAUGAAUCAACAUUCCGGCAAAAUAUUGGCAACUAUCGCAUAUCAAAUACCGGUACACCUCCAAACACAAACACAUAUGCAACACCACAAACAUAUGCAACACCACGAACAUACAUAGAUCUAGCUAGGCCGUAAAAAGUGCAUGUGCACAUUGUUGUAAGGAGAACAACCUAAAUAUAGCUUCCCCCCUUACUUACCUAUUAAAACAAGGUAAUUUAACCACUUAAUUUGAAUGAAUCUAUGGUGGAAAUGAGGUGAAAAAGAGGAGGCACCCGAGACAAGGAGGAGGUGGAGAGAAUGAAGUGGGGAGAAAGUGAGUGUGUGGGUAGGAGAGGCUGUCCCAAAUAUCUUGUUGCUGCCCACUUACUAAUGGCGCACCUCUUGCAUGGUGCGCCAUUAGUAGUUACAACUACUAAUGGCGCACCCAAGCAGGAUGCGCCAUUAGUAUGUUUGGAUAGGCGCACUAGUUCAAAAAAAAAUCUAUACUAAUGGCGCACCCACUGCCUGGUGCGCCAUUAGUAGUUACAACUACUAAUGGCGCACUUGGGCAGGAUGCGCCAUUAGUAUGUUUGGAUAGGUGCACUAGUUCAAAAAAAAAAUAUUCUAUACUAAUGGCGCACCUGCUACCUGGUGCGCCAUUAGUAGUUACAACUACUAAUGGCGCACUUUGCCCGGAUGCGCCAUUAGUAUGUUUGGACAGGCGCACUAGUUAAAAAAAAAAUUGAUACUAAUGGCGCACCCGUAGCAUGGUGCGACAUUAGUAGUUUAAACUCUAAUGGCGCAUCAGAUUGUGGUGCGCCAUUAGUAUAUACUAAUGGCGCACCAUCUUUCUGGUGCGCCAUUAGUGUCAAUCCCAUCUAUAGCCCUUUUCCUAGUAGUGCCGAGGAUAUCUCUUUACGUCAGCCUUCUAGUCACGUCUCCAUCAAGCUUUGGGGACCACACUAAAGUACAGUACCGCCUAUCACCCUUAGACAGGCGGGUAGACAGAGCGAGUGAAUCAAAUACUUGAAGGUAUGCUCCAAGCAUGUGCUUUGGCUCAAGGACCAAAGUGGGAAGAUUGUCAGCCAUAUGUUGAGUUCUCCUACAACAACACUUUCCAGAACAGCCUGAAGAUGUCACCAUAUGAAGCUUUGUAUGGCCGGAAGUGCCACACUCCACUGAACUGGUCUCAAACCGGAGAUAUCCGCAUUCUCGGAGCUGACUUAAUGCUGGAGGCUGAGAAGAAAGUCAAGGAGAUUCGAGAUAGCCUGCAAUUGGCUAAGUCUCGAUAGAAGAGUUAUUAUGAUGCCAAGCACCGUCAGAUCAGCUUUGAGCCCGGAGAACAUGUGUACCUCCAAGUCACACCUAUGAAAGGAAUCAAGAGGUUUCAGACUCAAGCAAAACUAGCACCCAAAUAUAUUGGUUCAUUCCCAGUGAUGUCCAGAGUUGGCAUAGUUGUGUAUCAGUUGGAAUUGCCACCAGAAUUGUCAGAAGUGCACAACAUGUUCCAUGUCUCGCAGCUAAGAAGGUGCAUCUCACCACCCAAGAAAAGGACUGAUGUGGCAGAGCUAGAUCUUGCUAAGUAUUUGACCUAUGAGGAGAGACCGUUCAGAAUUUUGGACGAGACCGAGAGGGUCACUCGCAUUAAGGUGAUAAGGUUUUAUAAGGUUCAUGGGAGCAUCACAUCAAGGAAGAAGCAACUUGGGAAAGAGAGGAAGUUUUGAGGGAAGCAUAUCUGGAAUGGUUUUCCUGAGCAAUCAAAUCUCGAGGACAAGAUUCAUCCUAAGUGGGGCAGGUUGAUGACAGCCUCGUUUUUGCCUUCUCUCUUUUUCCAGAAUCUGUUUGCCUUUGAAUUUGCAGUUGGGUUUUUGCAUCAACUCAUUUGGACUAAACCACUUGGGCAUGUCCUUGAUUUACACCCAAGUGACCCACCCCUCUCAUAACCAUCAUUUCUUCUCUGAAAAAUCUCAAACUGACCCAAGGAAUAUUUCUCAUAAAUGAAAAAUAUUCAUUUGCUUCUCUGCCUAACACUUCAGCUACAUAUGCUCCAAAGCAACCAUCAUUUUUCUUGCUCCAAAAAUUCUGAGAAAAUUCCCAAAUAUUCUUUGAACCUUGCACACCUUCCUAAGAAAAAAUAUUUCACACUUAUUUGGAACAUUUUUUCUAUAGAAAAUCAUUUUUGUUCUGGCCUCAAAAUGCAGUUUCUACAGCAAGUGUAUUUUUCCUUGCUCUAAUAAAGCUGAUUUUUCUUGAGCUUGUUUACCUUCCUAAGAAAACAUUAACCCCACAGGAUCAUCCCUAAUCUCCUUCUAGAAGCUAGCCAAGUACAGUGUCAAAGUUUCUGACCAGAAACUUCCUCGCAAGCUCAAGUCUAAUAUGGUCGGCCUGGCAGUGUAUGAUCUAUUCCCCUAGACUAAUCACUGCACGGACAACACGAGAGACAAGGUUUGGCAGCAUGUGACCGUCGUUUUGACAAUACCAGCAUGGUGACCGCGUGACGACACGGCCUCUGGCACGCGUUCGACGCCUCUACACUGCGCCCGCAUCUCUAUGCAAAUCGUGCUCGAUGCAGGGCUCCAUGACGACUGACGCACCACACCACCGCCCCCGUCUCUUCGCCCUUGACCACUCCCUAGUGCUCGCUGAUGCCGGAGUUGCCGCAGCGGGCAUGGGCAUGGUGCGGCCAAAGCCACACUGCGCCCCGUGCCACUGUCUUGGUCCACGCCCGCGCUCCUGUGCUCGUCCGCACGUUGCAUAGCUCCUGCAUGAUUGUUGAACCUUUUGCAUUGUGUUCUUAUUGAAAAGAUCUAGUAGCACACCAAAAAUGAGAAUUUUCUCUGCUGUCUAGAUUUUGUGGUGAAUUUCAGAAGGGUUCUUGAUAUUUCUUUUUGUUGUUUAUAAAUAUUUUUAGAAGGAGAAACUUGUCUUGAAGAGAACUAGGAGGAGUGUGAGCUUCCUCUGCACUAAGGCAAGGCACACCAACAUUUGCAUGGUGUCACUCUAAUAUUUGUGAAUUUUCCAACUUUAAUAUGAGUUCUUUCAUGCAUUUAAUUAUUUAGAGGAAUAUUGCUCAUCCUAGUUGUUUUUUCAUCUUUGAAAUGCUUUGUUUACAGUAAGGUUUGCAUGCAUGGACUAGUGUGAGGCAGUAGAUAUAGUUUUGUUUGUGUGGUUAUGAUUUAACUAUGAUCUGUAAUAUUUUUCAUAUAAUGUUUUCUUUGAGUUUAAUAUGAUAAUAGCAUGAUGAAAAUAAUGGGUGUUAAAAACUAGUGAGCUAAAAUCAGUAAAGUUUAAUGAUGACUAGUGCAAGUAGAAAACUUGAUGAUGUUGAUCUGUGUACAUGAAAUGAUAUGUGAUGCAUGUCGAGUAGUUGCAUGUUCAUGGCAUAUUGUGAAUCGGGUUAUUUUCAUGUCAAGUUAAACCUGACGCUAAUCCAACUUGAACAUAAUGUUGAUCGAGUCAUGGUGCCACUGAAUCGAGUUUUUUCCAGUGCAACCACAUUUGCCUUUUUAGGAAGCCUUUAUUCGGUCCGUUGUCAUGCCUCUGGUCGGUACCUCCAAAGAGGGAAUGUUAUGGGUGUGCGGUACUCUGGCCCGGUAAGCAGACAUAACCUUGUAUGCCCGUUUGUUGCUAUGGUACCUUGUCCCAAUUUGGGAACGUUUGUUUUUCCACGACGGUGGCCGUUGAUGCCUUUGGUAGGCACGGGGCCACCCAUGACUUAGCACAGAGGGGAGUUGGUCAGAGUGGCUGAGAGAGUGUCAUGGCAAUGGGAGGGUUUCAUCGAAAUGUCGUUGGUCCACUCGAAUGGGAGUGCGAGGCCAUGGGUUCCGUGGUGCGGGUACAGUGUACUACCUCUGCAGAGUGUUUAUUAAUCUAUCGAUAGCCGCGUCCUCGAUUAUGGACAUAGCUCGUGAGUAAGUCACACCAUGGAUCAACAUGAUUAAGUAAUCUUGCACAAUAAAUUCUUAUGCUUGGCACUGUUUGGUUGAUGAGAUUUGUGUGACCAUGAAGAUGGUCGGUAUUCAUGGAAACCAAACUGUUGGUUCAUUUGUCAUCCGGGAGUGAUCACCGUUGAUGAGGUUGGUUAUGAGGUAACCCGUCUGGUAAGAGAGUCCGAGGGAAUUGGUGCAUAAGUUUGGUCACUGCAUCAGUAGCAUGUUAUUGCAUUGCACUUAACUUGAUAAAUUGUCAUGAUAUUGUUUGCCAUUGUGGUGAUGCUUGUUGUGAACUUGCAGUGCAAGUACAUUCCAUGUACUGACCUGGCGUGUCAUGCCAGAUUUCAGGGCAGGCUUAUCAGAUUGGAGUGCUUUGCAAGUCUAGAUCGUGUCCACAUCGGUGUCCCUGGGCUAUGGAGUUCCGCUGCUUCAUCGUUCCGCUGCCACGUAGUUAUCAUGAUCGAGGACCCUUCAUGUUCAUUAAAUAAUGUACAUAUUGUUCAGCCGCACCGUGUGUGCCGCUUGGCCUCGUAAUUUGAUGUAAUCUCGAACCAAUAUUUUCCCUAGUAUGAAUAAAGAUGUUGUCUUAUGUACCUGGUUGUUCUGCAUUGUCAGAAGACUUGAUCUCUCGGCUGGCAAUGCAAGGUAAUCUGGUUGCUCUAAGCCGGGGUGCCACAAGUAGGUAUGCACUGCAUUAUAUAAGAUUAUUUUUUGUUGUUUUUCCUUCUGGUUAGUAUUUCUAAUUCUGAUUAUCACUUGGUCUCUACUAUUAAAGGGGAGUACGUAGGUCGUUUUGUUUCGGGGAGGGGGAGGCGCAGCCUUGCGAAGGAGUGGAGAAGACAUCAUGCUCUGGUCCUCCUUCAACACCGCUAGCGACUUGUCGGUUUGUUGCUCUUCCCCUACAAGGUACGACAUACUUCUUCCCUUCAUGUGUCCUUGUACAAACAUGCAGUUCUUGAUUUCGUGGAAGAAACUAAUCUAGGAUUUGACUAAUUCUCUUUGAAAAUGGAUUUUCUUAGUUUGAUUUUCCCCACCCUGUGAUUUUGGUUUGAUUUCUUGAAUUUAGCUAAACACCUUUGCGUGUGUCCCUAAUUCCCCAUCACUCUUUCUGUCACAGCAUGGUCAGAAGUAGAAAUUCCUUUGGGCAUAGUAUGCCAGCGCCUUGAGGAACAACAUAUAGUGUGAACAAAAAUGACAUUAUCCCAUUAGAGAGACUGGUGCUAAUUCUUUAGCAUGUGUGGUGAGAUUAUGUUGGUGUGUAAAGUGUUGAGGAGCAGAGUAUUACCCGUUCCACAACUUCAAGCUUGGGGCAUCAACAACGGUGCCUUCACCCUUUACUUGUGUCUGUGCCCACAUGGCCAUCUUUGAUAUGUGGUAUUCAGUCACAUGGUAGAGUUCUUUGCAAGUGAUUAGGUGAUUUGGAACUCGGUGACUUGACACAUGUUUGCUUGAUCAACUUUGAUAUUAGUGACCUUUCAGAUAUUUAGCAUUCUGGAAGUUAGAUCCACUCAGAACUGGAUAUGCAUAGUCUUCAUCACCCCCAAUUCCUGAUGUCACUCAUGUGGUCUCCUGAUCUUCGAUUUACUGAUUUGAGUAUAUGUUGUGUGUUGGUGUGUUGUAGAUCCUUGAGGUUAGGUAUUAUACCUAGCGACACGUGGUGGAGAUUUUUUGGUAGGACGACGCCGGCGGCGGCAUCACCUGCAUCAUCGUCUCCCAGACCGCCUUCAUCAACACAGGUCACGUUAGUAGUCAAUAUGGUUCAGACAUAAUACUACGUACUUCAUUUAAUUUUUUUUUGUACAUGGCAUCUUAUGAGAAAGUGUUCCGUGUACCAUGUAACUAGGUACAAUUAAUGGAUAAUAAUAAUGGACAUGCUCCAUGAGACGACCGGCCAGUUGAUAGACACCACCUGCAUAUAAACGCAUCAAGGUGCUAUCUAGAUAGCACCUGAAUAAAAAGGCUUCCAGGUGUUACCUAUCAUUUGUAAUGCCGUGCACGAUGAAGUUGUUCUAUAUUUUGUAAACGACUUACUUUUAUUGUGCAUCAGAUGAUUUAGCAUAGGUCGUUCGUUGAAUUGCAUUUUUUAUCUAAAUAAAUUGCCAGUAAAGUAGAAUUCAGUUUUUCAAGACAUUUGAAAAUUGACGUGCAUUAUGUUUAUAUAUGCAAAGUAUUUUUUUAAAGCCCUUGGCAACACACGGGCAUUGUACUAGUGCUAGUAGUACAUGAUAUGUGAUGUUGUUUAGCUGCAGGCACGUUGGAUCUCCUGCGAAGUAUUUGCUCUACUCUAGGAAACAAUCUGGGAAGUAUUCAUGAAAGUUGAAUUUACCAAAUCAAGUGUUACAUGGACGGUACAUGAGUUUUCAUUCUAGAAUACAAAGUGAUAACACACUCGUUUAGUUACCUCAUGGGUACAUGUUUUCUUUACAGAAGUAGAAUAAUACUAUAGAUGGAGUUGCAUAAGUGGUACAUUAGUACAUUUAGGAUAAGCACUUAAACAAUGAAAAUUGGGGUAUAAAAAAUGACAGUGGACCGGAUCUAGUCAUAGUCCCUCCACAAGUGAGCUGAGAGGGUAAAUUAUUUUGGUUGGUCACUCGGAAGCUAGGUGAGGAUCUGGACAUACAUAUGUGGUAGGGGAAAUGGCCAAUCUUCGGGCGUGUCUGGCUAGUCAUUCUUCGGCUAGGCAUAACCGCCGGUUGUGCUAGCCGCCGCCAUCUCCGGCUGAGCAGUCUUCGGCGUAGCAUAAGUGUCAGUUGUGCUAGCUGUCGGCGUCUCUGGCUGAGCAUUCUUCGGUGCAUUGUAACUAUCGGAUGUGACGGUCGCCGCGAUCUCUUCCUUCUUCGGCUCCUCCUUUGGCUUGGUCAAUCUUUUAGGUAUCAUAACCAUGACAUGCGGCUCUUCCUUCUUCGGCUCCUUUUUUGGCUUCUCCUUGUUAGGUUUAUCUACUUUUUCUUCUGGUUUCUUCUCCGCACCGGUGUAUCCAGAGGCGUUGUUCUUUCCUUCGGACUUCUUCUCAGUUUUACUUUUGGGUUUCUUCUCGAUGGUGGAAGGCUGGGAGGGCUCACUCUUUCUUUUGGAUUUCUUCUCGGAGGCCACUUCAGCUUUCUUCUCCUCAGCAGCCUUAGUGCCACCUUCGGGUUUCUUCUCCUUGCCGGCAUAGCCAGAGGCACUUACCGGUUUCUUCUCCGCGUCAACAUUGUUGGAGGCGACGUCAGGUUUCGUCUUCGCGCUGGAGGAGAGAUCAGAUCCAGAGACAUCAUCUGGUUUCUUCUCAACAUCAGCGGAGAUGGCUUCGGGUUUCUUCUCAGCACUAGCUGAGACAGCUUCAGGUUUCUUCUCAAUACCUGCGGUGUAUCCGCUGGUAGCUUCAGAUUUCUUACCUCCACCGCCAUAGUCAAGAUCGCCAUGGGCCGAUGCUAGGGGGCUGGUGGAGGCAACAACGAGGAAGAGCAGAAGGGCCGAUGCUAGGGGGCUGGUGGAGGCAACAACGAGGAAGAGCAGAAGGGCUAGAGCGAGCUGGGCCGUCAUGAUAAUUAAUCAACCCGACGAAGUGUGGUGCUGCGAUGAAAUGUCUGCAGGAGGAAGUUGGGAGGUAUUUGAAUGGCGAGGGAGGGAGGGAAGGAGAGGAGAGAUGGUGCUGGUGGGUCUUGUGCGUUUUUUCUUGAACCGUAACCGCUAAUCUCGUCCUAUAAAACCAUGUGCCCGCCGUGAAGAAAGGAGCCCAAAGAGAAGCCGGUAAGUUUACUAAAUAAGGUCAAAUCCUGUUUUGUUUACAUCUUUUCUGGGUGAUGUUUACAAAAUAGGCAGCAUGCAUGCAUGCAACUUCCUUUUCAUUUUUCUUUUUUCUUUUUUUUUGAGAGACUUGGUUUUCUCAAUAACAUGUGGGCGCAGAACCGAGCUAUCGACCAUCGUAGACGCAAGUAAGAUUACUCAUCUAGCAAUUCAGACAUGAUGCAAAAAAAUUGCUUUCACGCAUCUACAAAAAUUACCAUGUUAUAGUCGUCUUUGCAAUGGACGAUAGGGCAUUAUUGCGGACUACAACAACUAGGCAUGUGCACCUCGAUACGCUGUUGAUCUCCCAUUCCUGACAAGAACAAACACCGCCACACGCCUUGCAUAUCACAAUGCAGUCACGGCACCAUCUUUCCCAGUGCUGCCACAACUAAUCUAGAUAGACGCAAGUUUAGUUCAUUAGAUAUGACAAAAAAUCAUAAAACUUACGUGUGGCAGUUAAAAAGGAGAACAAGCGUUAGUUUCCAUGGAUGAAACUGGUCGUGGCAAAGCCUAUCAGCCAUCUCAACACCUUCUCUGUGGUGGUGUUAUCUUUGGGAUAUUCAAAAGUCACGAGUUCAAGGAUCCAGACAUGAAAAACAACAACUAGUAUGGGACUGCAGGAGCUCAACUUGCCAUUUUUCUUGAAAAUUUGCCUCAUCCUGUAUCUAACAUUCACAAAAAUAUAUUUCAGUUAUAUGUGAACCAGAAUAUUCUUUCCUACACGUCUACACCUACUCAAUAUAUACGACUUUAUGGGGUACCUUUCAAGUGUACCAAAAAGUUCUUUGUUAUACUCUUUGUGAAGAAAUUACUAUAGCUCCAAUGUCCAAGCCUCCAUCAGCAAAUAUAAAGCUUAUAAUUUGAGCGGGAUGGGAUACAUACCUGGUUUGCCCGCUCUAAAAUUUGAUGGAAAUGGGGCACAAACUAUAUCUCCCUCUUCAAAGAAACCUUCCUUGAAUGCUCGGAUCAGGAAACUAAAUUUAACAAGUGGUACAAUUUUGUCUUCAGCUGAUCAGCAGUUCCAGCUCCUCUAUUUGGUAGGAACAAUGCUUGAUAUUCAGAAUCUUCUACAAUUUUCACAAAGAUUCAGAAUAUGUGCACUUACAUUGCACAAUUUUGUCGAAUACAGCUUCUUGUGUAAAUAUUCAUAAUAUCUCCAUGGUUAUUACUUAGAGCAUUUCUAACCGAUCGCCAAUAAAUAGUGGAGUAUCAGGUGGAGUAGACCCUUAGUGCAGUAAAUUUACUACACUAAGUUUUGGCUCAACCUAGCUAAUCCCCUAUAUAUAACAGUAUAAAUUUUUUUCAUUUGUUUUUCAUUUUCGGCCACUGAAACACAUUUCUUUGCUUCUUUAUUUCAUUCAACGACAUUUUGAUACAUUGCAGUACAUUAUUAGAUAUUCUUCUCAAAGAAAGUAAGACCAAGGAAAAUAGGAACCACAAUUAGACAUUUUAAAAGAUAUCCGAUUUCCAUAACUGCUCCCACUAGUUGAAUUAAUAUCUUCUCUAUGUCUUCAUUGUUGAUCUGCAGCUUCUCGAGCUUGCACACUUCUUUCUUUGUACAUUGAUUUAGAAGAAGUAGACGUUGCUUUGCAUGUAGUCUUAUCUCUAGAGUCUAAUGUUGCAAUCAGUGCCCAAGCAUCUAUCAGUUUUCGUGCUACCAAUAAAUCGAUGUAGUCUUCUUAUCGACACUAAAAUUUGCAUCCAUCCUACACAUAUAAAUUAGAGCAAACAAUGAGCUACCGAAAUUGUGCCGAAUCCGGUGAACAACUGAAUGAAAAGACUCAUAUACGCCAUCUUUCUUGCACUUGAACAAAACCAUCCGGGAUGUUCCGGCGUGGUUGCAACUUGGUGCACUACCUGCCAUGGGCAAUCUUCACACUUUAUGAGAGGCAACUGUAGGCCAACGAGCCGUUUGGCCAGCACCGAGCCUUGGCAACGACCAUGCGUGUCUUUGCUGGCGAACCGCUGACGGGAGAGAUCCAAGUGCUAGAGGCAGAAUCAAUACCUGCAUGCGGUGUGGAGGCAUUGUCGGGGCUGUGCGGCCUGGUACCUGGCAUAUCCAUGGCAAGGCGCAGUCGCCGGAUGUACCAAAUCCGGUGGCGGACGCGGAAGGCGCAGAUCAACCGGUCGUGGGCUGGCGACGGGGCGAGAGGGCACAAAUCCGGGUGGUUAGGGACCACGGUGGAGCCUACAGAGUGUCCAUGGAGGCAAGCAGUGAANNNNNNNNNNNNNNNNNNNNNNNNNNNNNNNNNNNNNNNNNNNNNNNNNNNNNNNNNNNNNNNNNNNNNNNNNNNNNNNNNNNNNNNNNNNNNNNNNNNNNNNNNNNNNNNNNNNNNNNNNNNNNNNNNNNNNNNNNNNNNNNNNNNNNNNNNNNNNNNNNNNNNNNNNNNNNNNNNNNNNNNNNNNNNNNNNNNNNNNNNNNNNNNNNNNNNNNNNNNNNNNNNNNNNNNNNNNNNNNNNNNNNNNNNNNNNNNNNNNNNNNNNNNNNNNNNNNNNNNAAUAUAGGGAGGCCGGGCGCGGCCGAGGAUAAUUAUCCUCCACUACGGUGAAUGCCCUUACUAGAUUCUGCCUCUAGCGCUUGGAAAAACUAAGGAUGGAUAUAGGGGAUCGGUUAGAAAUGCCCUUACUAGAUUGUUCGUCCUUAGUUUUUGUAUGACACAAAACAGACAAAGGGAGGAAAAAAAUUGUGUGCACUGCAGUGUGCUAUUCUGUGUGAAAAAAGCUAAAUGAAGACUGAAAAAUGUUGUGCACUGUAAGUUUUCUGUGGUUUAUGUGUUUGUUUGCUAGAAAGAAAAUGUGGUUAUGAGUAAGAUUGGAAAAAAUUAUAUGCUUGUGAUUACAUAUGGCAUAUCUUGUUCCCCUUUUGUGAAUGGGCCUGCAAUCUAAUAUGUUUCCACUAGAAACUUGGGUUCGUAGUGUGUUUCACAGAUUGUUGCAGUAUGUAUAAAGGACUCAUGGCAUAACACAAGGAUAUUCUUGGUGCUUAAAUUUUGUAAACCCAAUGUUGACAUGCUGCAGCAAACGUGUAGAUUUACGUCGGUCCUAGUUUUCUAGCGUUUAGGGAAAGAGUUUGGUGCCCCAAGAUCAUUCCUAGCACCGUGUUUGGGCGUACGCUGCACACACUCUCAUCAUUUCUGCACCAUCCACUAAAGGACCUCAAGACACAGACCAGCAACAUCAACAUCGACGAUGACCCUGUGAAAAGGAUGAUCUAUUUUGAACAGGGCAUGCACUUCCACGGAGCAUACCAACAGCUAGCGCUUCUUCUACAAAGAGCUGCUGGAGAAAAGUUGCACCCUAGGCUGGCUACCAAAUUUUGGUUCAUUCUUGUCCAUCCACCUUGCAAAAAGAUUCUUGUUGGUUAAUUAAAAAGGGAAAUCAGGUUUCGAUAGAUGGUAUCACAGUCUCAUUGGUUAAAGAUAAUUAAGCUCGUUGAAAGGGAUAAGUGUAUAAUCACACAUUGAGGCACGCACAAAGAUAAUUUCUAAUUAAGUUCACUGCCCCUUUUCCGUCAGCACCAAAGUCUUACGGAUACCGGUUAGUCAGUCAGCCACGCGCUCUAAUUUCAUACAUCAGGAAAAAAAGAUGAAAAUGAAGGAGGCAUCUCCAAGAGGCAGCAAAAAAGCGGCACUCAAGUAGAAGCAGUAAUCGGCAGCGGCACACGUUGGGAGCGCCAUCAUUCUUCAUCCAUUCAGGUCAUUGUCAUCAUUCAUUUGACAUUUCACAACGGAAUCAGAAUUUCAUACUUGAUCAGGGAUACUGGCCGGUGGCAAUGCAUGUGGUGAUCAUCCAACACCAACUUUGACUUACAAAGGCAAUGUGAUGUCGAUCAGAGUUUUCAAACUUUUUUUAAAAUCCUAGCGGAGUUUUAGUGCACCAUAAACUAUUUCAUAGAACUUAGCAAAAAAAACGUAUGUCGAUGCGUUGAAAAGAUAAGAAAAUAUUAAUAUGCAAAUAUAUGUUACUCAAUAAAGUUGAUAUGAUUAUUUAUGACAUGGGUAAAUCUUAGAGCAUCUACUGCCGGGUGCCUACCCCCCCCCCCCUUCCCCCUCAAACGCCCGGCCGAUGGCUCGGUUAAUGGCCGUUCAAAAUAAUGUGACCCAGACGGGCGCCUCAAACGGGCGUCUCAAACGGGCCUCUAACGCCCGCGCGGACUUGCAUCUCUCAUAUCCAGCCCAAAUGUAGGGCUCGUAUGGGGAGGCCCAUGCGCGACUGGGUGCGUCCACCACGUCGGACCUGACAGGCCUAUCUUACCAAAAAUUGCACAAAAUACACCGUACCCUUCGCCCUCCUCCCGCCUCCCUGCACCAAUUCCCACAUCCGAGCCCGCGCCAUCUGCCACGCUUGCUCCCCAUCCUUGCCGCCGGUCCUGAUUCGUCAUCCUUGCUGUCGUCCAGUCCGACCCCGACGCCUCGUUUGAGGUUCUGUCGGACCGACGAUACAGGUCGAACUCAGCGAGUCACGGUGCAAAUCGCAGCCCACAGGAGGACCAGCACAUGCACGACUGCGUGCAGGCAGGCACAAGCAGAGCAUGCACGACCACUGGCCUCCCCUCAAGAAACAACCUUCUCCAGUAGGUCCGCAACCUUGAGAUCUCCUCCUUCGUGCAAGGACUUGGCAGGAUUCGCCCUGAAGUCGUCGCCAUCAUCCUCCAACUCCAAGUUCGGGCACUGUCGUUCGUGGUCGAUAAUAAACCACAAGUGUAGGGGAUCGCAACAGCUUUCGAGGGUAAAGUAUUCAACCCAAAUUUAUUGAUUCGACACAAGGAGAGCCAAAGAAUAUUCUUGAGUAUUAGUAGUUGAGUUGUCAAUUCAACCACACCUGGGUAACUUAGUAUCUGGAGCAAGGUGUUUAGUAGCAAAGUAGUAUGAUAAUAAUGGUAACGGUGGCAAAAGGUAAAGAUAGUAAUAGCAAUAUUUUUGGUGUUUUGUAGUGAUUGUAACAAUAGCAACGGAAAAGUAAAUAAGCGAAGCACAAUAUAUGAAAAGCUCGUAGGCAAUGGAUCAGUGAUGGAUAAUUAUGCCGGAUGCGAUUUUCAUGUAAUAGCUAUAACAUAAGGUGACACAGAACUAGCUUCAGUUCAUCAAUAAAAUGUAGGAAUGUAUUCCAUAAAUAAUCAUACGUGCUUAUGGAAAAGAACUUGCAUGACAACUUUUGUCCUAUCCUCCCGUGGCAGCGGGGUCCUAGUGGAAACUAAGGGAUAUUAAGGCCUCCUUUUAAUAGAGCCCCGGACCAAAGCAUUAACACAUGGUGAAUACAUGAACUCCUCAAACUACGGUCAUCACCGAGAAGUAUCCCGAUUAUUGUCACUUCGGCGUUGUCGGAUCAUAACACAUAAUAGGUGACUAUAGACUUGCAAGAUAAGAUCAAGAACACACAUAUAUUCAUGAAAACAUAAUAGGUUGAGAUCUGAAAUCAUGGCACUUGGGGCCUAGUGACAAGCAUUAAGCAUGGCAAAGUCAUAGCAACAUCAAUCUCAGAACAUAGUGGAUACUAGGGAUCAAACCCUAACAAAACUAACUUGAUUACAUGGUAAGUCUCAGCCAACCCAUCACCGUCCAGCAAGCCUAUGCUGGAAUUACUCACGCACGGUGGUGAGCAUCAUGAAAUUGGAGAUGGAGGAUGGUUUAUGAUGACGACGGCGACGAAUCCUCCUCUCCGGAGCCCCGAGUGGACUCCAAAUCAGCCCUCCCGAGAGAGAUUAGGUCUUGGCGGAGGCUCCGUAUCGAUAAACACGAUGAAACUUUCUCUUUGAUUUGUUUCUCCGUGAAACGGAAAAUAUAGAGUUGGAGUUGAGGUCGGUGGAGGUCCAGGGGGCCCACGAGAUAGGGGGGCACACCCUACAGGGGGGGGGGGCACCCCCUGUCUCGUGAACAGGCCCUGGGCCCCCUGGUGUAUUUCUUUCGCCCAAAAAUUCUUAUUAAUUCCAAAAAGUGCCUUCGUGGAUUUGCAGGUCAUUCCGAGAACUUUUCUUUUCUACACAUAAAACAACAUCAUGGCAGCUGUGCUGAAAAUAGCGUCAGUCCGGGUUAGUUUCAUUCAAAUCAUGCAAGUUAGAGUCCAAAACAAGGGCAAAAGGGUUUGGAAAAGUAGAUACGUUGGAGACGUAUCAACUCCCCCAAGCUUAAACCUUUGCUUUUCCUCAAGCAAUUCAGUUGAUAAACUGAAAGUGAUAAAGAAAAACUUUUACAAACUCUGUUUGCUCUUGUUGUUGUAAACAUGAAAAGCCAGCAUUCAAGUUUCAGCAAAUAUUAUGAACUAACCAUACUCACAAUAACACUUAGGUCUCACAAUUACUCAUAUCAAUAACAUAAUCAGCUAGCGAGUCAUAAUAAUAAAACUCGGAUGACAACACUUUCUCAAAACAAUCAUAACAUGAUAUAACAAAAUGGUAUCUCGCUAGCCCUUUCCGAGACCGCAAAACAUAAACGCAGAGCACCUUUAAAGAUCAAGGACUGACUAAACAUUGUAAUUCAAGGUAAAAGAGAUCCAGUCAAGUCAUACCCGAUAUAAACCAAUAGUAAUGAAUGCAAAUGACAGUGUGCUCUCCAGCGGGUGCUUUUUAUAAGAAAGGGAUGACUCAACAUAAAACUAAAUAGAUAGGCCAUUCGCAAAGGGAAGCAGGGAUUUGUAGAGGUGCCAGAGCUCGAUUUUAAAAUAGAGAUUGAAUAAUAUUUUGAGCGGCAUACUUCCGCUAUCAACGCAACAACUAUGAGAUGGAUGUAUCUUCCAUACUACAUGCAUUAUAGGCAGUUCCCACGCGGAAUGGUAAAAGUUUAUACUCCCCCAACCACCAACAAGCAUCAAUCCAUGGCUUGCUCGAAACGAUGAGUGCCUCCAACUAACAACAAUCCUGGGGGAGUUUUGUUUAAUUUUUUUGAUUUUUUUUAUCUUUUUGGAUCAUGGGACUGGGCAUCCCGGUUACCGGCCCUUUCUCGUGAAUGAGGAGCGGAGUCCACUCCUCUGAGAAUAGCCCACCUAGCAUGGAAGAUAUAGGCAGCCCUAGUGGAAACAUGAGCGGCUAGAGCAUACAAAACGGAAUUUCAUUUGAAGGUUUAGAGUUUGGCACAUACAAAUUUACUUGGAACGGCAGGUAAAUACCGCAUAUAGGAAGGUAUAGUGGACUCAUAUGGAACAUCUUUAGGGUUUAAGAAGUUUGGAUGCACAAGCAGUAUUCCCGCUUAGUAUAGGUGAAGGCUAGCAAAAGACUGGGAAGCGACCAACUGAGAGAGCGACAACAAUCAUAAACAUGCAUUAAAACUAAUUCACACCGAGUACAAACAUGAGUAGGAUAUAAUCCACCAUGAACAUAAAUAUCGUGAAGGCUAUGUUGAUUUGAUUCAACUACAUGCAUGAACAUGUGGCAAGUCGAGUCACUAAAUUCAUUUAAAGGAGGAUACCAUCCCAUCAUACCACAUCAUAAUCAUUCUAAUAGCAUGUUGGCACGCAAGGUAAACCAUUAUAACUCAAAUCUAAUCAAGCAUGGCACAAGCAACUAUAAUCUCUAAAUGUCAUUGCAAAUAUGUUUACUUCAUAAUAAGCUGAAUUAGGAACGAUGAACUCAUCAUAUUUACAAAAACAAGAGAGGUCGAGUUCAUACUAGCUUUUCUCAUCUCAAUAAGUCCAUCAUAUAUCGUCAUUAUUUCCUUUCACUUGCACGACCGAAUGAUGUGUAUAAUAAUAAGAGUGUACGUGCAUUGGACUAAGCUGGAAUCUGCAAGCAUUCAACUCGAAAGAGAAGACAAGUAAUAUGGGCUCAAAAUUAAAUAAAAAAUCAUGCAUAUGAUAGCCACUAAACAUUUUCAAUAUGGUCUCCUCGACCCCCCAAAGGAAAGAAAAGAAAAUAAAACUAUUUACACGGGAAAGCUCCCAACAAGUAAGAAGAAGAACUAGAAAUCUUUUUGGGUUUUCAUUUUAAUUUCUACUACAAGCAUGGAAAUUAAACUAACUAAUUUUUUUGGUUUUUCUCAAGGUUUAUCAAACACACAAGAAUAAAACUAGAAAAAGAAAUUUAAACUAACAAGGAUAAUACAAUGAAAGAGUAUGAGCACCGACAACUAGUGUGUGAACAUGAAUGUAAAGUCGGUGAAAAAUACGUACUCCCCCAAGCUUAGGCUUUUGGCCUAAGUUGGUCUAAUACAGGGACCGCCUGGCUGAUAUCCAUAAGUGAAACCGGGUCGUACUUAGAUGGAGCGGCAACCGCCUCCUGAGCUGUGGCGUGUUGGCGAGCUGCCUCCACUCCCCUCUCGUAUUCAGUUGCUUCCUCCCUGGUGACAACAUAUCUUCCUUUUGCCUGAUAAUCAAAAAGGUAGGGAGCAGGAAGAGUAACAGGGACGACGUUGCAUCUAUCAUAGAUUAGUCGAUAAUGGAUGAUUAAACAUAGCUUCUUUAUCCAAAUAAACUGGGGGUAAAAUCAUAUCCCCCUCUCGUGGGGCUAUGCCAAGAUAAUUAGCCACACGGGUUGCAUAAAUUCCUCCAAAUAAAUUUCCCUUUCUACUAUUAUUCUGCAACCUACGUGCAACUAUUGCCCCCAAGUUAUAACCUUUAAAACCUAACACAGCAGUCUUGAGGAUACUCAGAUCAGGGACACACAUGUGACAUGCUUCAUCCUUACCAUUAAUACAUAUACCGAUGAAGAAAGCAAAAUAAUGUAUAGCAGGAAAAUGAAUGCUCCCUAUGGUAUGUUGUGCUAUGUCCCUAGAUUCUCCCACAGUAAUACUAGCAAGGAAAUCUCUAAAUUCAUAUUUGUGAGGAUCAUUAAUAUUACCCCACUGCGGGAGUUUGCAAGCAGUUGUAAAAUCCUCUAAAUCCAUGGUAUAAGAUGUAUUAUAAAUAUCAAAUAUGACACUAGGAGAAUUACGCGUACAAUUAUAUUUAAAUCUCCGCACAAAGGAAUCAGUCAAUUGAUAGUACUGGGGACACUUAUCUUGUAGGAAGUCCUCCAGCUCGGCAUUACGCACAUAUGCGUCAAAUUCCUCCUUGAAGCCUGUUUUGACCAUAAAAUCAUCGGAUGGCCACUCACAAGCUCGAACAUCCGCGUUCCUCAGCAAUUCAACAUCUUGCUCACGAAUAGCAAUCAUGGGCCCUUUCUUCACCGUGGAACCACCUUGGUACAUUCUCCUAAGCAUAUUUCUUUUUCUGAAAAUUUCUGAAAUUUUUUGUAACUUCAAAAUAAAAGUGCAUAAAACCUAACAAGAUUGAUAGCAACUACUCCUACAAGUGCCUAGAGCCUAUAUAAUGCAUUAGAAUUACUUGGAACCUCAUAAAUUUAACAUGCUAGCUCAAGAACAGGGUCACCAAGACAACAAGGAUUUGCAAUGAAUAAAGCACUAGAACAAAAACUAAUUGGACCAAUGGACGAGUCACAUACCAAGCAACAAUCUCCCAAAACAGUUUUAUGAAUGGAGCUUUGAGCUAGGAGAUCGAAAAUCGCAGAAAAACGAGCUAGAACUCGUGUUUGAACUGGAUGGGGAUUUUUUUGGGUAGGAGAUGGAGUGUGUGGGUGCUGGCAUAAGUGGAGGGGAGCUGCUAGGGGCCUACGAGACAAGGGGCGUGCCCUACAGGGGGGGCGCGCCCUCCUCUCUCGUGGCCUGGUGCUUGCCCCUUCUGCAAUAAUUUCAGUGCCUAAAAUCCUCAGAUAUUCCAUAAAAAAUCAUACUAAAUUUGCAAGGCAUUUGGAGCACUUUUAUUUUUGGACUAUUUUUUAUUGCACGGAUAAAUCAGAAAACAGACGGAUAAUACUAUUUUUGCUUUAUUUAAUCUAAAUAACAGAAACUAAAAAGAAAGUACAGAAGGUUGUGCCUUCUAGUUUCAUCCAUGUCAUGAUCAUCAAAAUGAAUCCACUAACAAGGUUGAUCAAGUCUUGUUAACAAACUCAGUCUGAAUAACAUGGAACCGGAGAAAUUUUGAAGUGACACUAAGUUACCUCAAUGGGGAUAUGAAAAUUCCCAACAAUAAGAGUAUCAUACUUUUUCUUGACAGUAGGGAGAGGAAAUUCAAAACCUCCAAUAAUAAUUGAUGGAAUUUUCUCAAUAGUAAUUAUGCUAUGAACUUGGAUUUGCUUCCUCGGAAAAUGUACCAUAUGCUCAUUUCCAUUAACAUGAAAGGUGACAUUGCCUUUGUUGCAAUCAAUAACAGCUCCUACAGUAUUUAAAAAGGGUCUACCAAGAAUAAUAUACAUACUAUCGUCCCGGGAAUAUCAAGAAUAACGAAGUCUGUUAAGAUAGUAACAUUCACAACAACAACAGGCACGUCCUCACAAAUGCCGACAGGUAUAGCAGUUGAUUUGUCAGCCAUUUGCAAAGAUAUGUCAGUGGGUGUCAACUUACUUAAUUCAAGUCUGUGGUACAAGGAAAGAGGCAUAACACUGACACCGGCUCCUAAAUCACAUAAAGCAGUUUUAACAUAUUUUCUUUUAAUAGAGCAAGGUAUAGUGGGUACUCCGGGAUCACCAAGUUUCUUGGGUAUUCCACCCUUAAAGGUAUAGUUGGCAGGCAUGGUGGAAAUCUCAGUUUCAGGUAUCUUCCUCUUAUUAGUGAUGAUACCUUUCAUAUAUUUAGCAUAAGGGUUUGUUUUAAGCAUAUCAGUUAAGUGCAUGCGUAAGCAAAUAGGUCUAAUCAUUUAUGCAAAACGCUCAAAGUCCUCAUCAUCCUUUGACUUGGAUGGUUUAGGAGGAAAGGGCAUGGGUUUCUGAACCCAUGGUUCUCUUUCUCUACCAUGCUUCCUAGCAACAAAAUCUCUCUUAUCAUAAUGUUGGUUUCUUGAUUGUGGGUUAUCAAGACCAAUAGGAGGUUCAAUUUCUAUAUCAUUGGUAUUACUAGGUUGAGCAUCUACAUGAACAUCAUUAUUAGCAUUAUCAUCAGGUUCAUGUUCAUCUCCGGAUUGUGUUUCAGCAUUAGAUAUAGAUGUAUUAUUAGGAUUCUCAGGUAUUUCUACAUUAGGUUCACUAGAAGUUUGCAAAGUCCUAUCAUUCUUCUUUUUGUUUUUCUUAGAAGAACUAGGAACAUCUAGAUUAUUAUUUUGAGAAUCUUGUUCAAUUCUUUUAGGGUGGCCUUCAGGAUACAAAGGUUCCUGAGUCAUUCUACCAGUUCUAGUAGCCGCUCUAACAGCAAAGUCAUUUUUAUUAUUUAAUUCACCAAGCAAUUCAUUCAGAGCCUUAAGUACUUGUUCAGCUUGAGUAGCAAUCAUGGAAGCAUGUUUGCUAGUGAGUUUAAGUUCACUUUUAACUCUAGCUACAUAAUCAUUCAAGCGUACUAUAGUAUAAGCAUUAUUCUUCAAUUGUCUACCAACAUAAUCAUUGAAAUUUGCUUGUCUAUUCAUGAAAUCAUCAAAUUCAUCUAAGCAAGGGCUAUGAAAUUUAGUAGAUGGGAUUUCAUCUUUAUCAUAUCUAUAGAGAGAAUUUACCUUUACUACCUGUGUCGGGUUAUCAAGACAAUGUGUUUCUUCAACAGGCGGUAUAUUAAGACCAUGUAUUUCUUAAAUAGGAGGUAAAUUCUUAUCAUCUUCAGGUUUAAUAUGUUUUUCUUUCAUUUAUUUCUUUGCCUCUUGCAUAUCUUCAGGACUGAGAAAUAGAACACCUCUCUUCUUCGGAGUGGGUUUAGGAAUAGGCUCAGGAGUUGGCUCAAUUGGUUCAGGAAUUUCCUCAGGAAUUGGCUCAGGAAGAGUCUUAUUUUCAUUAGUCAACAUAUUAUUCAAUAGUAACUCAGCUUCGUCGACUGUUCUUUCCCUGAAAACACAACUAGCACAACUAUCCAAGUAGUCCUUGGAAGCAUCGGUUAGUCCAUUAUAGAAGAUAUCAAGUAUUUCAUUUUUCUUAAGUGGAUGAUCAGGCAAAGCACUAAGUAAUCGGAGAAGCCUCCCCCAAGCUUGUGGGAGACUCUCUUCUUUGAUUUGCACAAAGUUAUAUAUUUCCCGCAAGGCAGCUUGUUUCUUAUGAGCAGGGAAAUAUUUAGCAGAGAUGUAAUAAAUCAUAUCCUGGGGACUACGCACACAUCCAGGAGCAAGAGAAUUAUACCAAGUCUUAGCAUCACCCUUUAAUGAGAACGGAAAUAUCUUAAGGAUAUAAAAGUAGCGAGACUUCUCAUCAUGAGUAAACAGGGUAGCUAUAUCACUCAACUUGGUAAGAUGUGCCACAACAGUUUCAGAUUCAAGGCCAUAAAAAGGAUCGGAUUCUACCAAAGUAAUAAUUUCAGGAUCAACAGAGAAUUCAUAAUCCUUAUCAGUAACACAGAUAGGUGAAGUAGCAAAAGCAGGGUCAGGUUUCAUUCUAGCAUUAAGAGAUUGUUGCUUCCAUUUAGCUAAUAGUUUCUUAAGAUCAUAUCUAUCUUUGCAAGCAAAGAUAGCUUCGGUAGCUUCUUUAUUCAUAACAUAACCCUCAGGAACAACAGACAAUACAUAAUCAUUUGGAGAAUUUUCAUCAUCACUAUCAUCAAUAAUAGCAUCUUCAAUAAUUUCAUGCUCUCUAUCCCUAGCAAGUUGUUCAUCAAGAAAUUCACCUAAUGGCACAGUAGUAUCACGCACAGAAGUAGUUUCAUCAUAAGUAUCAUGCAAAGCAGAAGUGGCAUCAUCGAUAACACGCGACAUAUCAGAAUUCAUAGCAGUAACAGGUUUAGGUGUCGCAAGCUUAUUAAUAACAGAAGGAGAAUCUAGUGCAGAGCUAGAUGGCAAUUCCUUACCUCCCCUCAUAGUUGAGGCAUAGAUCUUAGUUUUAGCGUCUUUCAAGUUGUUCAUAGUGAUCAACAGAUACAAAUCCCAAGUGACUCAGAGAAUAGAGCUAUGCUCGCUGGCAACGGCGCCAGAAAAUAGUCUUGAUAACCCACAAGUGUGGGGGAUCGCAACAGCUUUCGAGGGUAAAGUAUUCAACACAAAUUUAUUGAUUCGACACAAGGGGAGCCAAAGAACAUUCUUGAGUAUUAGCAGUUGAGUUGUCAAUUCAACCACACCUGGGUAAAUUAGUAUCUGCAGCAAGGUAUUUAGUAGCAAAGUAGUAUGAUAGUAAUGGUAACGGUGGCAAAAGGUAAAGAUAGUAAUAGCAAUAUUUUUGGUGUUUUGUAGUGAUUGUAACAAUAGCAACGGAAAAGUAAAUAAGUGAAGCACAAUAUAUGAAAAGCUCGUAGGCAAUGGAUCACUGAUGGAUAAUUAUGCCGGAUGCGAUUCCUCAUGUAAUAGCUAUAACAUAGUGUGACACAGAACUAGCUCCAGUUCAUCAAUGUAAUGUAGGCAUGUAUUCCGUAAAUAGUCAUAUGUGCUUAUGGAAAAGAACUUGCAUGACAUCUUUUGUCCUACCCUCCCGUGGUAGUGGGGUCCUAGUGGAAACUAAGGGAUAUUAAGGCCUCCUUUUAAUAGAGAACCGGACCAAAGCAUUAACACAUGGUGAAUACAUGAACUCCUCAAACUACGGUCAUCACCAAGAAGUAUCCCGACUAUCAUCACUUCGGGGUUGUCGGAUCAUAACACAUAAUAGGUGACUAUAGACUUGCAAGUUAGGAUCAAGAACACACAUAUAUUCAUGAAAACAUAAUAGGUUCAGAUCUGAAAUCAUGGCACUCGGGUCCUACUGACAAGCAUUAAGCAUGGCAAAGUCCUAGCAACAUCAAUCUCAGAACAUAGUGGAUACUAGGGAUCAAACCCUAACAAAACUAACUUGAUUACAUGGUAAAUCUCAUCCAACCCAUCACCAUCCAGCAAGCCUACGAUGGAAUUACUGACGCACGGCGGUGAGCAUCAUGAAAUUGGUGAUGGAGGAUGGUUGAUGAUGACGACGUCGAUGAAUCCCCCUCUCUGGAUCCCCGAACGGACUUCAGAUCAGCCCUCCUGAGAGAGAUUAGGGCUUGGCGGCGGCUCCGUAUCGUAAAACGUGAUGAAACUUUCUCUAUGAUAUUUUUCUCCGCGAAACGGAAAAUUUAGAGUUGGAGUUGAGGUCGGCGGAGGUCCAGGGGGCCCACGAGAUAGGGGGCGUGCCCUACAGGGGGGCGCGCCCCCUGUCUCGUCGAUAGGCCCUGGGCCCCCUGGUGUAUUCUUUCGCCCAGAAAUUCUUAUUAAUUCCAAAAAGUGCCUCCGUGGAUUUGCAGGUCAUUCCGAGAACUUUUCUUCUCUACACAUAAAACAACAUCAUGGCAGCUCUGCUGAAAACAGCGUCAGUCCGGGUUAGUUUCAUUCAUAUCAUGCAAGUUAGAGUCCAAAACAAGGGCAAAAGGGUUUGGAAAAGUAGAUACGUUGGAGACGUAUCAGUCGGUUACCUUACCGUUGCUGCCUCCCCGGCCUCACCGACCUCGUCAUCGAGUUCAGCAUGAGUCACCAUAGCUUUCCCCUUUGUUUCCCCCUCUGACUAUGACCCGUAGCUGUGUCUUGCCAUCGUUGCCGACGCCAUGGUCACUACCACCUCGCCAUGGCCAGUCCUCUCAGUCCAGCCCGUGCUUUGACGCCACUGGUUCGGUCCCUGAAAAAAGGACCACGGACUCUGGAUCCGGUGCCCCCAGCCUCGUCGGCCUUCCGCGCGCCUCUCUGACCCUCCUCCGCCUGGAUCCAUCCGUUGGCAGGUGCCUGUCGCCAUUCUCCGAGGUGGGAGGCAGGAGGCGGCCACCAGCAUGCGUUGAGGCCGGGCGGGGCUUGGCGGGGUUGGGUGUGGCAGGAGGUGGUGGGCGGUGAGGCGGGGUAGGGCGGUGAGGUGGGGUAGGGCGGUGAGGUGGUCGGCGGAGCACGGUGAGGCGGGGCAGGGCAGAAGGCUGGCGGAGUGCGACGAUGUAGAGGCUGGACUAGGUUAUUUCUUCUAGCGAGAGCAUCUCGAUAAGACAUAAGUUUUUUUUUAAAAAGAACCAUUAAAGAGGGAUUGCGGGUAUUAUUAGCCAAAAGUAUAGGUUUUUUUAGCAAAAGCGUUGUGACGGUGAGCGGGCGGGCAGAAGCAAUAAUCGGUUUAUUAUUAGGGAAAGAUAUCCCCUUCGCUCAUUAGGAUGGGAUGGGGGAAGGGGCACAGAGACGUGCGCAGGUCUAUCGCAAGUCCAGUUUUUUUCUUAGUUUUUUUCCCCAAAGCUAUAUCUGGUCCGUUAAUUACAUAUUAAGGACAGAGAUCCACCGAAUUAAUGGCCAGUUGUUUCUCAUUUUUACGGGAUUUUCUAACCUAAUUCCGUGUUUUGUGGUAACCCCAUAAAGCACUUUUUAUAUAUGAAUAGAUUUAUGCAAAAGAUGCACAGAUGUGGUAAUACUAAAAAAUCUUACCAUGACAUCUCCACGGAUGUUAGCAUAGUUCAACACGUGCACUAGUGGCACAUAUUGACCAUAAUAUGGAGGAGUUUGAUAAUAGAUAUUGUAAUUCUCAAGAUCAGUACAAAAUGGGACCAGAUGAUUUUUCUCCUGAUAAGUUAACUCAGAGCCAUCGGUGUAGUAGGUUCUGUCUACCAUCUUCCGCACAUUUUUUGAAGAAUGAAAAUAAGCUGUCAAUGGAAAUAAGCUGUCAACUGUUUUGAAAUAAACAAUAUAAAUUACUUAAUAACUAUGUUUGAGAAACUCACAUAGCGGUAGAAUUGGAAGUGUAUCAACAAGGACCCAAAUGUCCAAAUUGUCUUCCUCGAUGUCAGGAUCACCAAGAUCCAUGGUGACAAGCAUACCAUCAUGAAAAUCAUACAUCUUGCAAAGUGAUUCCCAAUCCGGGCAACCAAAAUGGGAUACGCUCUCAGAAUUGCAUAGAUUUACCUAAAAAUUCAUACCAUGAUGGGUCCUUAGGUGAACUUUCUUUGUUUCCAUACUCUCAUGAUCUUCAAAAUCCAUCCUCUCCAAGACAUAUCAUCUUGCAUGGAAUGGGAUAAGCUAGUCGAAUUGUAAAAGACAAAAGUUACAUGUUGAAGUAGUAGAAGUCGAGCUUAAUUACGAAAAAAAUCACUUUGCGUCGUAGUGUACCGUUUCAACAUCGAAGGCAUCCUGGAGCUUAAUGCUGAAGGGACGACCUUCUACCAAGUGAGGCCUAUCGCAGAAAUCCUGGUUGUCGCCGCACUAGGAGCACUCCGUGAGACUUUCGUUCGACGACAUUUCCUAUGUUCAUAAUUCAAAGAUUAAACUUCUAAAAUUCAAUAUAUGUACUACAAAAACUAAAUUAGAACAUUAUUAUUCAGCACGGGUUGACUAUCGGUCCGUCGAGUCUUUUUUUUUAAAACUCUCAGCUAAUGUAGUGUAUAUAUUCGACCGUUGCUGAUGGUCGCUCCUCCCUUCGUCCCCGUGUGCAUUAAACCAAAAUGUCGAGCACACGAGAACGAAGGAGAAGCAACCCCCACGACAACAGUCGGCAUUCUUCUUGUCUCAUAUAUGGCUGACACACUCCCUCACUGAUUUUUUGACCGUCGGUGAUGGUCGUUACUCCUCUUUCCCCUGGUGCCUCACAAAGGUCUAGCACAAGGAGAAGAAGGAGAAAUGACCGCCACGACAAUAGUCGGGUUUCUUCCUCUCUCAUAUAUGGUGCAAACUUUCUCCUUCAAUCAUUUUUUGAUUGUCAUGUAUGGAGCCUUGAUAGACUUAAAGUCAACCUGAAAUGGCAUUUAAUUAUCUUUCUAGAAAAUCCAAGCCACUCAAUAUUCCUACAUAUUCUAGCACAAGUCAUGCCAAAAUUCAUGGAAAAAUCUGGCAUGACCUAUGCUAAAAAAGGACAUAUCGAGCGCCUGAAAUUUGCCGGUACAGAAAUUAAUCAACACUGCAGCAAAACAUAGGCCACUCGGAGGUGUUACCUGCAAACAUGGCCACUUGGGCAAGAACAUAUCCUAUUUGCAUUCAAACUUGAUGGUCAUUGCAUUCAAACUUGAUGAUCAUUGCAUUUCAAUGGUUAAAAAUAUGAACAAAAACAUUUCAAAAUAUCUUAUAGGACUCAUAUUGACAUGAAGAUUUGGCUAGUCCCACCUUGAGGUCGGAGGGGGGCUGUGAUGGGGAUGACGACGGCGACUAUAUGGAGAUUUGGCUGCAAGAACAAAAUACUAUUCAAAAUAGUGCUCUCCAAUUUGAGCAUUCAAAAUAGGAGUAGUUCUCCAAUUUGCUACUGUUUUUCUAAACUUUGCUACUGUUUCUUAAAUUUUUUUGCUACUGUUUUUAUACCUAAUUUUUUGCUAACUUGCUACAAAAAUUUGUUAACUUGCUAAAAAAAGCAAAAAAACAAAAAUUUGCUAAUCAGCUACUACCAUAAUUUGCAAACAAAAGUUGAUAACUUUGCUAAAUUUGCUAACUUUGCUUUUUUUUUGCUAAAUUUGCUAACUUGCCCUAAAAUUUUAUACCUAAUUUGCUAACUUACUUACUUUGCUAACUUGCCCUAAGGUGAUAAAUUUGCUAAUUUAAUACCUAAUUUUUUGCUAACUUGCUACAAAAACUUGCUUUGCUAAAAAAACAAAAAAAAAUUGCUAAUCAGCUACUGCCUUAAUUUGCUAAGAAAAGUUGAUAACUUUGCUAACUUGCUACUGCCCUAAUUUUUUUGCUAAAUUUGCUACUGCGCUAAUUAUUUUUACAGGGAGACAGAGGAGGGCAGGGGAGAGGAGAGGCUUACGGCGAGGAAGCUCGGGCUCGGGCGGUGUCUAUCAAGGGCGAUGGAUGGCGGCGACGGCGAGGUCGAGGGCACGCUGGCAUGGGAGAGGCGGGGGCGGUGUGCGACGAGGUUGAGGGCAUGGGGGCAGGGGAGAGGCGGGCGACGGCGGGCGACGAGGUCGACAACGACCAGGUGAGACGGCCGGCGGUCGAGGGCGGGUAGGGCGACGUAAGGGCCAACAAAGCGGGGGAAGAAGGUGGGGAGAGUGGGGUUGGCACAUGGCAAAAUUUGAGCGCCUCGUGGUGGUUAACUCAAAAUAGUAGUAGCGCUGGGUCAGGAUCCAUCGCUACUACUAAACAGCUAGUAGUAGCGCUUGUUUCUGUACAACACUACAACUCCAGCUACCGUCGGUGGCCUCGUCUGGUCCCACAUAGUAGUAGCGUGUUUUUGAUUCACAAUGCUACUACUACAGAGUUACUAGUAGCGCUUUCCAGGAAAAGCGCUACUGGUAAAUAUCAGCAGCUGUUACUAUUUUGCAGCGCUACUACUAUGCUACUAUGUAUAAGCAUUUUCCUAGUAGUGCACCCUUGGGUGGAGGAGGAUCCCCUAGGAUUUCAACAGGAAAGUUGUGUUUCAAAAUAGGUCCUUUCUUAAAGAAUACUUCAUCUAUUUCCCUUCUUUCAUUCAUAAACAUAUCAUUUUCAUGGUAUAAGAAAUAUUGUUCUAGAGGAUCAUUAGGAGGCAUGGCAAUAGAAGCAAGACCAAUAAUUUCAUCUUUAUUACACAAUUUUUUAUCAUGGGGUUGUCUAUGAAAUUUAGAAAAAUUAAAGUCAUGAGACAUAUCUCCUAAACCAAGAGUAACAAUAUCGGGUCUAGCAAUUCUAGAAGCUUCAUCAUAGAAGUAAAUAACAUGCCCAUCAAUAUUAUCGACCAAGAGAUCUUUGACCAUACCAAUACGAGGUUCAACUUUAAUUUGUUUACGAGGUGUAGGUGUUCUAGCAUUAAUCUUAUGAACCAUAGUUGAAGCUUUAGCAUGAUCCUUUAUUCUAACAGGGAAACACUGGUACACGUUGGUGCUAUACAAACGUUUUUUAACCUCUUUCCGCGAUGGCAUUUGGAACCGUCGCCAAGUAAGUGUGGGCGAUAGAGGGGUCCUUCCCACACGACCCAGAAACAGUCGGGGAUAGGCCCUCCUGGCACUCAAGAUGGGGCAAAAUGAGCUCGUGUGCGAUCAGGUGAGCCAUUGCAACCUAAUUGUUUCCAUUCGUAUGUACAUCUCACACGGUCAAUCCCAGAAAAACAUUUCCAUUCGUAUGUAUAUCACAUACAGUCAAUCCAAGGUGAACGUUUCCGUUCUCACGUACAUCCCACACAGUGAAUCCAGGGAAAACAUUUUCGUUCGUAUGUACUUCCCACACAGUCAAUCCAGGGAAAACGUUUACGUUCGUAUGUACAUCCCACACAGUGAAUCCAGGGAAAACGUUUCCGUUCGUAUGCACAUCCCACACAGGUUUAUGUAUAGGCUCGUGUGUGAUACGUGUAACUAUCACAAUGCUCUGCCUUGGUUAAUAGUUUGCUUUUAUCAACUACAUCACAAACGAUUUGAUGAAGAAAACUGUGUGGCAUUGGACUAUCCAUCACAAGCACUUUUAGUUCUAGAACCGUUUGCAAAGUUCCAUGACCCAUUUAGUAGGUUUAUUAGUUUACAAUUAAUAAUUUCAGUAUUACGCAAAUUCACAUUUCAUAUCGAACAACUGUUUGCCAAUUUCAUAUCAGGCACAUAGAUGUAUUUUAACAUCACAGUACGUUAGCUACCGGAAAACAUCAGAGUACAUCAUAUGGAUAGUUCAACUUCAUAAGAACAAUAUUAGAAGAAUAUAUUCAUUUCCCUAAUCGAGAUAAUCUAGGCUCGCCUUAUCAACCUCUGCUUUCAGUUCAGUAAGAACCUGUUUUGCACUGGCCAACUUGGAAAGUGCCUCCUCCUUCGCCAACACCAUCUUAGCAAAGUCUGAUUUAAAAAAUCUCAGCUCAUUCUCAACCUUCCUCUUUUUAUGCGCAUCUUCAAAUAUUCUUCAGCGUUGACAACACUUUCUCUAAGCCUACCUCUGUUCUCUUCCUGAUACAUGAUCAAAGCUUUGCUAGGCACAUCUUCAAAGACUGUGGCCACUCUUGAUCAACCCACUCCCAGUAAGAACACUUCCAUUCAUCCUAUAAUAUUUAAAACUAGAUUAGUAAAAAUUAUUGGGAAAAUGGGUUUAUAGCAACAGAGAAAAUCACCAAUACUUAUUUUGAAAAACUAAAGAAAAAAUUUAGUUAUGACAUAUCUUCUCUCAAAAAGAUCAAUGUGCAAACGAAUUAAUUGCUACUGAGAUAACAACCAAAUUCUGAAACAUUAGAAGCUAUAAUUAACUAUAACAACGCUACAAGUUCUUACUCAUGUACUAUAAAUAACAAAUUGAACAUUUUAAGAGGAAGGUAAAUAUAACUCCAACAACAUAGCAACAAUGUCUGGAUGACAGCAAAUUGAUACUAACAGGUGGCUACAUGCACAAAUUUAGUAACAUAGAACUAAUAGCACUAAGGCGUCCACUAUGUAUGCCAAAAUCGGUGUAAAGACAGCUGUUGCUACAUCUCACACUGGUGCCCUGCACUGGUGAGGCGAUGCAGCGGAAAAAAAUCUGGUUCCCGAACUCCGAAGCACCUAGUUGCUCCGACGCCUAGUUCCUUCGUGCCAUAAAGAUUUUGUAUUUUACUGCUUGGCUACUCGGAUGUGUGGACAAGUUGGCUCUACAAACUGCUGAAGCAGUGCCAAAUAAUUUUCUAGUGGCACCGCCGAUGAGAUGGCAACAUUUUUAUAUACUAGGUACAAAUUGUGACACUGUCUUAGGAUGUGUUUGGUUGAAGGUGUGGUAUGAAUGGGUUGGGACCGUGACAAUGUAUGAAUCACAUCUAACAAAUGAUUUGUAACAACGAAAGAGGGUCUAACCUUCUCUGCACAUGCCAGAAACUUCCUCCCACUGUCCACAGAUUGAAACGCAACUAGCUUCACACAUGGAGAUUGAUGGUGACAACGAGCAGACAGAUCUUCAGCCACCCUACUCCAUUCGUUGCAAGUGAUGCCCCUUAUGAUAGCAACCUUUAUUAUGCAGCCCGUCUCUUUUAUUACGUUGCCAUCAAGUUUGUACAAUGCUUAUUUUCCCUUACAAUAAAAGAUCAAACAUAUUUAGGAGCAAUUUUUAUUGCUUUAUGCACCGAUGACAACUUACUUAAAGGAUCUUAUUCAAUCCAUAGGUAGGUAUGACGGACACUCGUGGCAAGAAACUGGGUUUAAGGGUUUUUGGAUGCACAAGUAGCAUCCCUACUUAAUAUGAAUUUUUGGUUAGCAAAAGAUCCUAAGCAAAUACUACAUGUUAGAGGAUCCAUAACAAUAUAACUUGUAUGCAAAUAUACGCAACAAAUAACUCAUUAUGUUGUCUUCCUUGUCCAACUUCAACAAAUUUGCUCAAGUUUGAAAAUAAUUAACGGGUAUUCACAAUCAUAGAAGAUGUCCAAUAUAAUAUAUUUGCACUUGAAAGUUCUCUUCCUUAUACUAAACAUUCAUGAAUUGCUUGUAUGACCAAUAUUGUGAUUGCCAAGCUUCAAUAGAUUUCACUUUCUAAACCCAAUGUGAAGCUACUACUAGGCAUGAUAGAAGCUCAUAUAAUUUCAACUUUAUGAUAAUGAAUUCAUUCAACAAUUUACUCUUAGGAUACAAGUGAAGCACAAGAGUAAAUGAUUAACUACUCCAAAAAGAUAUAUGUGAAGAUCAAACAACUAGUUAUGUAAGUGGGUAGCCAUUUGAGCAGACUCUCUCACUUAAAGACUUUCAUGUCUCACUAUCUUAUUAAAACAGCAAGCAAAACAUAAUAAAUUGACAUUCCAAGAAUAGCAGACAUCAUAUGAAGAAGCAAAAAACAUAGGCUAAACUGAGAAUAACCGAUUGCUGAUGAAGAAAGGUGGGAUGCCUACCGGGGCAUCCCCAAGCUUAGAUGCUUGAGACUUCUUGGAAUAUUAACUUGGGUUGCCUUGGGAAUCCCCAAUCUUGAUAUUUUGUGUCACCUUGAUUCAUUUUAUAUCCCAGUUUGCCUAAAUCUUAAAAACCUCAUCCACACAAAACUCAACAAGAACUCGUGAGAUAAGUUAGUCUAAAUCAAUGCAAUAACCAUAUCAUCCUCUACGGUAGAAAAUUACGAAAAUUAUUAUUUAACAUUGCAUACUAAAUGCCUCUGUAUAUUUAAUACUCCUAUCCUCAAAUAGGACCAUUAAACAAGCAAACAUAUGCAAAAAAUGCAAACAUAAUAGCAAUCUGUCAAAACAGGACAGUCUAUAAAGAAUGCAAGAAGAUUCAUACUUCUCUAACCCACAAAUUCUGAAAAACUACCGCACUUUAGAAAAUUUAUCAUAGCUUAUUUUCAAAAAAAAUUAACAUUUUAUCACACUCAGACAGUUUUCUCAAGAAUUCACGCACUAGCAUGCAACUUUCCGUUUUCAAACAGCCACAUAUAGACUUGCAAAAUAAGCAUCGCAAAGGCUAUACUUGACAUUUUUAUUGAAAUAAAAGAUGCGAAACAGUAUCUAAAUAACAGCAAGCAAAUCCUAACAGAAUAAAAUGACGCCCCAAGCAAAACACAUAUCAUGUGACGAAUGAAAAUAUAGCUCCAAGUGAGGUUACCGAUAAUGUUGGAGACGAAAGACAGGAUGCCUUCCGGGGCAUACGCAAGCUUAGUUGCUUGGAUCUUCCUUGAACAUUACCUUGGUGGUGCCUUGGGCAUCCCAUAUAGCUCCAAGUGAGGUUACCGAUAAUGUUGGAGACGAAAGAGGGGAUGCCUUCUGGGGCAUCCCCAAGCUUAGUUGCUUGGAUCUUCCUUGAAUAUUACAUUGGUGGUGCCUUGGGCAUCCCCAAGCUUAGGGUCUUGUGAUCGACAUCGACAUCUCACACAAAACGUGAAAACUUCAAUCACACGAAACUUAACAGAACUUCAUGAGAUGCGUUAGUAUGAUAAAGAGAAAAUCAUUCAAUUUGGUACUGUCAAGACAAGAUUUAUAAUUGUUCUCACAUAAUUCCUACAGUAUCCUAUCAUUUCUACAAUUUAUAUUAACAAAUAUAAGCCAUAGAAACUAGAAAACAAGCAAACUUUGCAUUGAAAAUAGAAUCUGUCAAAAUAGAAUAGUCUGUAGUAAUCUGAACAACGACCAUACUUCUGCUACUUCAAAAUUCUGAAAAAUUAGGACAACGUAGGGAAUUUAUAUUUCAAUCAUCUCUAAAAUAUUCAAAUCAAAAGCAUGUUCCAGUGAAUUUUAAAAAUUCUUCGACUAAGCACAAAAGUUUCUAUUUUUGCACUGAAUCAUGUCAACUAUCGUCCACACUAUCCCAAAGGCUUUACUUGGCACUUUAUUGAAACAAAAGCUAUAAAACAUGAUUACUACAGUAGCCUAAUCAUGUGAACACGCAAAAACAUUAUGGAUAAAUGUUGGGUUGUCUCCCAACAAGCGCUUUUUAAUGUCUUUUUAGCUAGGCAUGAUGAUUUCAAUGAUGCUCACGUAGAAGAUAAGAAUUGAAACAUAAUGGGAGCAUCACGAAACACAUGGCAAGCACAUUUAAGCCUAUCCCACUUCCUAUUCAUGGGGAUUUCAUGAGCAAACAAUCUAUGGGAGCAAGAAUCAACUAGCAUAGGUAGGCAAAAGAAGCAAAACUUAAAGAUUUUCAACACAUAGAGAGAAAACUUGAUAUUAUUGCAAUAUGUAAAAGCAUGUGUUCCCCUCUCAUAAUAAUUUUUAGUAGCAUUAUGAAUGAAUUAAGCAAUAUAGCUAUCGCAUAAAACAUUCUUUUCAUGAUCCACAAGCAUAGAAAUUUUAUUACUCUCCACAUAAGCAAAUUUAUUCUAAUGAAUAUUAGUGGGAGCAAACACAACAAAAGAGCUAUCAUGUGAUACUUGAUUGGCGUAAUCAUAUUGAGCAUUGAAAUCAUAAUGAUAAGUUUCAUGGAUAUCAUUACUCUUGAUAGCAUACAUGUCAUCACCAUAAUCAUCAUAGAUAGGAAUUUUGUUUUCAUAAUCAAUUGAAACCUCUUCCAAAAUAGUCAAUUCGUCACUCAAUAAAGUCAUGACUGUCGGUGUCAAAACUGGCGGAUCUCGGGUAGGGGGGUCCCUAAAUAUGCGUCUAAGGCUAAUGGUAACAGGAGGCGGGGGACUCAAUGUUUACCCAAGUUCGGGCCCUCUCUAUGGAGGUAAUACCCUACUUCCUGCUUGAUUGAUCUUGAUGAAUAUGAGUAUUACAAGAGUUGAUCUACCGCGAGAUCGUAAUGGCUAAACCCUAGAAGCCUAGCCUAUGAGAUUAUGAUCGUCAUCUCUACGGACUAAACCCUCCGUCUUAUAUAGACACUAGAGGGGGCUAGGGUUACACAAAGUUGGUUACAGAGAAAAGAAAUCUACAUAUCUAAAUCGCCAAGCUUGCCUUCCAUGCAAAGGAGAGUCCCACUCAGACAAGGGAACAAGUCUUCUAUCUUGUAUCGUCAUAGCCCAAUAGUCCGACCCAUGUAUAUAGUCUGGCUGUCCGAGGGCCCCUUAAUCUGGGACUCCCUCAGUAGCCCGUGAACCAGGCUUCAAUGACGAUGAGUCCAGCGCGCGGAUUGUCUUCAACAUUGCAAGGCGGGUUCCUUCUCCGAAUACUUCAAAGUAGAUUUAGAACACAAGAAUCAUGUCCGGGUCUGCAAAAAAAGUUCCACAAACAACCAUAGAGACUAUAAUAUUUCACAAGUCUGAUCCGCUGACAAUUUUUGUAGCAUGACAUUAUGUCAUCACCCUGCCAUUAUUUUGAAUCGUUUUCUAGCCUGCCACUCCAUGUUUCAAGAGGCGGUUUUAUUUGCCACGUCUGGUCAAAGCAGAGAUCGUGUCCCCUUAUAGCGGGAUUUUCAUCAACACGGGCAUGGGUAACCCAACCGUUCUAUUGGCAUGAUUCCUUGGGAACCAUGUUUUAAGGCCGCAGAGGGGACGUUUGAUAUUUGUCGCCUUUAUAAAGGGGCUAAGACCUAUCCUUUUCCUUCCACGCUAAUCCUUUCCUCCACCUCCCACCUCAAGUUCCAACACCCAAUGGUCAAUCCAGCCGCUUAGAGCUUCUAGCCAUGUCCGGACCCAGCCUUGAAGGCCGGUGGAUGGCCUCUUCUGCCACAGAGGAGGAUAUUUCGAAGCUCAGGGAGGCAAGAUACUUGACUGCGGAAAUCCUCGACAGGCUUCCUGCUCAAGGGCAGGUUAUUCCUUCUCCCAGAUCCAAUGGGAGGGUCGUGUUUAUCUCUCACUUGCUCCGAGGGAUUGGAUUUUCUCUUCAUCCCUUUGUUAGAGGGCUCAUGUUUUAUUAUGGGCUAGAUUUUCACGAUCUAGCUCCAGACUCCUUCCUUCACAUCUCGGUGUUUAUCAUCACAUGCGAGGCCUUCCUCCGUAUUUCCCCACACUUCAGCUUAUGGCUUAAGACCUUUAACAUGAAGCCAAAGGUAAUCGAUGGGAAACAAGCGGAGUGCAGAGGUGCUUCAAUAAGCAAACUCACAAACUCUCCUUGGCUAAAGGGAUGCUUCGUAGAAUAUUCUGACCUAUGGUAACGGGAGUGUUUACAUUACCGAACCCCGUGAUAAAAAGUGGGCAGCUAUACCUGCGUUUCGAUCUGGCCCUCCUUUACAGCUUGCAUCGUGGAUUAACAAGGGGCUCGACUAGGGAUCUAUUGAUGAAGUGCAGACAUUGCAAAGUCACAUUCGGAACCUUAUUGAAAAGGACACCGGUCUUACCAAUGUAAUCCAAGUAAUGCUAGUCCGCCGGAUCCUACCAUGUCAGUGGCGUCCUCUCCGUAUGUGGGAGUUCAGUCCGGAAGGUCCACGGACCCUUCAGCACUUCUCCGGCACAAUGCUCAGAGGGAUAUGGAAAUUAUUCUUUGGCGCACGAAAACAGUGGCCGGAUACUACAGAAGACUUCGGUCUAGACUGCAAUCAUCCGGAUACCACAGUAAGAACUUAACUCCCGAACACAGUUUAGUCAAAUUUCUUAUAACAAUGUACUGAUAAAACACUACUUGGCCAGGGUUGGAUAAAGAAGGCAGUGAGAACGGCAAAUUGUUGAUGCGGUGCCACGUAUCGACGCUGUUAAGCGGUCAACAUGCAUAGAAGGUGCACGGAUGGCCCUUGCCCGUGUCAAGAUGUAUUGGGCAAAUAUGAAGGCCACCUAUAUUGCACCGCAGAGUCCACCCGAAGGUAAGGACCCUAUCAUGCCAGAACAUUACUUUGAAGAUUUCCUAGAAGGUGCCCGCUUGAUAGAGGGUCAGUGCUCGAAAGAUAUUAUGUUCGAGUAAGUGUACUGAAAUUGUAAAAACAAUGUUAUGAUAUGUUGUAAGGCUAUGUUUUUAUACUUUUUCCCGAAAAGUUUUGGUGCCUCCUGUGCGGCCGCUUUUUAUAUAUAUAACCUGAAAGUUUGCCAGUUGUCGGCUUCAGCCCCCUCGCGUAUAACGCGGGGGUGUUCGGAAAAGCACUUGAUCACACUUGACCCAAUGUCUUGGUCUGUUAAGGAGGUGUCAGUGCGGCGAACCAGGCAAUCGGACUAUAGGGCUUUAACACUUUCACUUAGCCAUAGGAGUUUGACGAUGGGUCUAUGAUAUAGCCCCUAGUAUGGUCGCGUUUAUCCGAAUAUGGCGCGUUUACAUAUGUGACCAGAAUAGCGGUCCUUCGUUUAAUACAGAGGGAAUCGAGUGGUUGACCAGCUCUCGCCGCAUCAUGAUAGUCAGUUUUCAGCUUUCUCUACUGAGGUGCUCAUCUGGAUGAGCCAGGACACAAUCACAGUAGUUCUCCAUUUACUACCCUAGCCGAUAUAGGGGAACGUAAGGUAGUAAGCACAGGAGCCGGGCAACCCAACUAUUGACCAAAGACAUGAUUCGGAGCUGAUGCAUAUAAGGCCAAACUCGCGAUGCCGUACACUCCCUACAUGUGUUCGGACUUUGCAAUAUAUUCCGGGCUGAAUAAAGCCCCUGGUAAUAGACCCAUGGUAUCAAGGCAUGUUUGGCAAUCCGAUGUGGGGAAAGAAUGCAGGUGGUGAGAGCAUAAAUCUCAAAACGUAAUACGAACCAAGCUGCUUCUAUAACAUCCACUUUAGUACGGCGAGCCAUAUAUUUACAAGUAAUGCCGAUAUCUUUCUUGGACAUUUUACAUGCCAUGAAUGUAUGAAACAAAAAGAGAUAAAAAAGGUUUACACAUGGUAUUAAUCUAAGAAAGAAACAUUGAUGCGGGGCCCGGCUGCACGUCUGUGCCGUUUUCUCUGUUGUGAAGUGUCCCUGAAGGGUAUGGUGUGACGGCCAUCUGUAAGAAAGGGGAAAAAUAGGUAAAAGAAUCGGGUGUGGCUGUAAGUAAAGCUGGUUUCUUUUAAUGAACCAUGAAAUAUAACUUGUGGAGUCCGAAUAGGGUCGACCCGAACUAUGGACUUUUUGUGUGCACUGUGCCCCCGGUGCCACCCAAGGAAUUUUGAUUGUAUAUUUAUGUAUAUGUGGCACGUGUGCUAUCUCCUUAUGGGGCGGUCGGUGGGGGCGUUGCUGCUAAUUGAGCUCAGGUUUAUCUGAGCUGCCACACUGAAGUGUGCACCGGAUACGUUUAGCUGUGUCCGCGGUCUUAACGACCGAUGAGCUGCUCGGCUUGAAUAGGCCGUUUUGUGUUUCGACUGCUAGAGCCGCCGUGUAUUCUUCUGUACGAAGAGAGCGCUCCAUAUUUCCACUGACCGUAAUGACGCCACGUGGUCCAGGCAUUUUGAGUUUUAGAUAAGCAUAAUGCGGGACUGCAUUAAAACGGGCAAAGGACGUUCUUCCGAGUAGUGCAUGAUAGCCACUUGAGAACGGAGCUAUGUUGAAGAUUAGUUCUUUGCUUCAAAAGUUGUUGGGAGAGCCGAAUACAACCUCCAAUGUUAGGGAGCCCGUGCAGCGGGCUUCUACACCCGGUAUAACUCCUUUAAAGGUAGUGCUGCUUGGCUUGAUUCUUGACGGGUCUAUCCCCAUCUUGCAGACAGUGUCCUUAUAUAUCAGAUUCAGACUGUUGCCGCCGUCCAUAAGGACUCGAGUGAGGUGGUAUCUGUUGAUUAUUGGGUCGAGCACCAAGGCAACCGAACCCCCAUGACAGAUACUAGUCAGAUGAUCCCUCCGAUCAAAGGUGAUCGGACAGGCCGACCAUGGGUUGAAUUUGGGGGCGACGGGCUCGACGACAUAGACAUCUCAGAGUGCGUGUUUGCGCUCCCUCUUUGGGAUAUGAGUGACAUAGAUCAUGUUCACUGCUUUGAUCUCUGGUGGAAAUUUCUUCUGGCCCCCCGUGUUUGGCUGGCGAGGUUCGUCCUUGUCUUCACUCUGAGGUCCCUUCCCCUUGUGUUCGGCAUUGAGUUUGUCGGCCUGCUUGAAGACCCAACAACUGCGGUUGGUAUGCUUCAUAGGCUUAGCUGAGCUGCCAUGGAUCUGGCAGGGCCUGUCUAGUUUUUUAUCCAGAUUGGAUGGACCGUCUUUAUUGCCUUUAAAUGGCUUCUUCCAUUGACCGGGCCUGAAGCCCCUGAAUUUGCCAUUUACCGUUGUAUUGUCUGGGCUGUCUUCAUUGUUCCGGCGUUUGUUUUUGUUGCGUCGUGGUUUUCUGUUGCCAUCCCUGACCUCAGAUGUGCCGGGAUCACUGGUGCUGCUACGGGCUAACCAGUUGUCCUCACCCGCGCAAAAGCGGGUCAUCUGUGUAGUUAGGGCUGCCAUUGUCCUUGGCUUUUCCUGGCCGAGGUGUCCGCCUAGCGAUUCGUCCCGGACACUUUGUUUGAAGGCCGCUAAGGCUUCGGCAUCCAGAGAAUCAACGAUUUGGUUCUUCUUAGUGAGAAACCGGUUCCAAAGCUUGUGGGCUGAUUCUCCAGGUUGUUGGAUUAUAUGACUUAGAUCGUCUGCAUCCGGGGGCCGGACAUAGGUCCCUUGGAAAUUGGCCCGAAAAGCGUCGUCAAGUUCAUCCCAGCUUCCAAUGGAGUUUUCAGGAAGGCUUUUCAGCCAGUGCCGAGCUGGUCCUUUCAGCUUGAGGGGUAAGUAUUUGAUGGCGAGGAGAUCAUCUCCGCGAGCCAUGUGGAAAUUCUUCUAUCGAAACCGCAGGGUCCGUUGUUCCAUCAUAUGCCUUGAUGUUUGUGGGUUUAAACCCUUCUGGAAAAUUGUGUUCCAGCACCUCAUCGGUGAAGCACAGGGGGUGUGCGGCACCCCUGUAUCUGGUUGUGUCAUGGAUUGGGUCCGACGGUUGUAAUGUUCAGUAUUGGUCCCGAGCUGGGAAAUGACCGGUAUAUUUCGUUUGAUAAUCAUGAUCCCAUGUAGGAGCACGGUGCUUGGAUCCAUAAUUGACCUGGUUUUGAGGUCUUCACGUAGAUCGUGUUUCUGGUCCUGGGCCGCAACCUUCCUUCCUCUACGUGGAGGGGGUACGGGCUUGUGUAUGGCAUUGCUAGCCGCUCUGUCUCGACCACGAGGUGGUCGAUCCGGCCUAUCAGCCGUAUUUUUUCCGGCCGUAUAGGCGCAAUAGCCUCAUCAGCAAAUUUGGGCAGCAGCUUAAGCUUAGGAUAGCUCUUUGUUUGGCGAUUACCACCAUGUUUUUUCUUAGCGUCUAGCGCUUCGUUCCAUCUAUCAUUGAGCGUAUCCUGUGCGGCUUUAAGCCGCUGCUUCUGCUUCUUCAGGCUCCUUGCGGUGGCGAUAAGCCUUUGAUGGAGGGGUUCUUGUUCUAAUGGUUCUGGGACGACGAAUUCGUCGUCACCCAGGCUGAUCUCCUCUUGAGAGACAGGUUGAUAAUUGCUAUCUUCGGCAUCGUUGUGGUCAGACAACAUCUACGGACUGUGUUCGCCGUCCUCUCGCACACCCUGCUCCAACGCUGGGUCUACGGGGUCCUCGGCUUGGUUCAAAUUAUCAUCGUCGUCCAUGAAAAUGUUGCUCUUCUUCCUUUUGCCGGAUCGAGGUCGGCGCUUCUGAUGCCGGCGCUUGGGAGGUUCAUCGAUAGGCAUGCCGUUAUCGCCGUCGGCCACCUUAUCCUUAUGUGUGUCCACCAUGAAUAUAUAAUAUGAGGAUGUAGCCGUCCACCGCCCUAAGGGUGGUGGUUUUUGUGCCUGCUCCUCUCCGACGUUGUCGUCCAUACCGUUAAUGUCCUCGGAGCCGUAAUCGAGCAUGCCGGUUAAAUCGUUGAUGGUGGCAAUGAAGUGGGUGGUGGGUGGGAAACGAAGUUCUUCGUUGUACGCUUCCCAUUCGAGCCGGACAUAGUUUGGCCGAGAGUCCCCCAACAAGGAGAGGGAUUUCAAUGAGUUAAACACAUCGCCUAGAGGUGAGUGCUGGAAGAUGUCCACAGAGCUGAACUCCAAGAUCGGCGCCCAAUCAAGUUCGAUUGACGCGGAUGCACGGGGUACGGAAUCCAUGGCCGGAGACGAGUCCAAGGUUUCGGUGACACAAGCCUAGCUCGAUGUCAGAUCUGUGUGCGGCUCGAGCGCCGCUGAGUCUGCGGCUUCCGCGGCGGGGUUAAGCUCCCUGUCUUCGGACGAUGCGAUCUGCUCCAGAUCUAGGGCCAGAGCGGUUAUAGGCGAUAUCUCCUGAGCGCGGCCAGAUGACAGAUUUUGGUCAUGUUCAUCGUGGUGGCAGGGAUAGCCGUCAUGGGCUCGAAUCCAUCGAAGAUCAAGUCUCCACGGAUAUCGGCCACAAAAUCCAGGUUUCCAAAUCUGACCUGAUGGCCAGGGGCGUAGCUAUCGAUCUGCUCUAGAUGGCCAAGCGAGUUGGCCCGCAGUGCGAAGCCGCCGAAUAUGAAGAUCUCUCUGGGGAGGAAGAUCUCCCCCUGGACUGCGUUGUUGUAGAUGAUUGAUGGAGCCAUCAAGCCUUCUAGUGACGACGCAGCAGAACUCUCAAUGAAAGCACUAAUGUCGGUGUCAAAACCGGCGGAUCUCGGGUAGGGGGUCCCGAACUAUGGGUCUAAGGCUAAUGGUAACAGGAGGCGGGGGACACAAUGUUUACCCAGGUUCGGGCCCUCACUAUGGAGGUAAUACCCUACUUUCUGCUUGAUUGAUCUUGAUGAAUAUGAGUAUUACAAGAGCUGAUCUACCACGAGAUCGUAAUGGCUAAACCCUAGAAGCCUAGCCUAUGAGAUUAUGAUCGCCAUCUCUACGGACUAAACCCUCCAGAUUAUAUAGACACCAAAGGGGGCUAGUGAGGGAGUCCUGGAUUAGGGGGUCCUCAGACAGCCGGACUAUAUACUUUGGCCGGACUGUUGGACUAUGAAGAUACAAGAUUGAAGACAUCGUCCUGGGUCCGCGUGUGAGUCUCCUUUGCGUGGAAGGCAAGCUUGGCAAUCUGGAUAUGUAGAUCUCUUUCUGAGUAAACCGACUCUGUGUAACCCUAGCCCCCUCCGGUGUCUAUAUAAACUGGAGGGUUUAGUCCGUAGGACAAAAACAAUCAUACCAUAGGCUAGAUUCUAGGGUUUAGCCUCUACGAUCUCGUGGUAGAUCAACUCUUGUAAUACUCAUAUCAUCAGCAUCAGUCAAGCGGGAAGUAGGGUAUUACUUCCAUCGAGAGGGCCCGAACCUGGGUAAACAUCGUGUGCCCCGCCUCCUGCUACAAUUAGCCUUAGACGCACAGUUCGGGACCCCCUACCCGAGAUCCACAGGUUUUGACACCGACAUUGGUGCUUUCAUUGAGAGUUCCACUGUGUCAUCGUGAUAAGGCUGGAUGGCUCCUUCAAACAGCUACAACGACGCGGUCCAGGGCGAGGUUUUCCUCCCCGGACAAAUCUUCAUAUUCGGCGUUUUCGUACUGCAGGCCAAGUUGCUUGGCCACUUGGAGCAGACCGAUAGCUACGUCCCUGCCAUCAGUUCAGGUUUGGAAACUUGAACUACACUGCCGACGUCCACGGAGACUUGAUCGUUGACGGAUUCGAGCCCAUGUCAGGUGUGCCAAACAGUCACGACAAACAUGACUUAGAUCUGCCAUCGGACGGUGUUCGGGAGAUCAUGCCUGCAGCCGCACCGGCCAUUAACCCGGAGCAGAUCGUGCCAUCUGAGGAUGGGUGGAUGAACCCCGCCACGGAAGUCGCACACUCAUCGGUGUUAGAGCCGAACACAGACUGCACCUCCAAAGAGAUCUGUGUCAUCGGACCCUCGGACUCGUCUUCGGCCAUGGGUUCAGAACCGCGUGCGUCCGUGCCUAUUGAUUCUGAUGGGGCACCAAUCAUGGAGUUCACCAACGCGGAUAUCUUUUAGCACUCACCCUUGGGCAAUGUGCUAAAUUCUUUGAGGUCUCUCUAACUAUCAGGAGACUCUUGGCCGAACUAUGUCCGGCUUGAGUGGGAAGCGGACACGAAGAAAUUGAUUCCCCACCCACCACCCACUUAAUAGCCACUAUCGACGACUUAACCUACAUGCUUGACUUUGAUUCCAAAGACAUCGAUGUUAUGGACCACGAUGCAGGAGAAGAACAGGAACCACCGCCCACAGGGCGCUGGACAACCACCUCAUCAUAUGACAUAUACAUGGUGGACAUACCCAAAGAAAGUGAUGGCGAUGAGGCAACGGAGGAUAAUCCCCUUGAUAAGCAAUCUAAGCAGUGUCGUCAUCGGCGCCGCUCUAAGCCCCGCAAUAGCAAAAAUAGCGAUACCGGCACAAGAAACAAUAGUAAUACGGAUGAUGCCGAAGAUGAAAACAAUCCCGCCCAGCCAGACUUCGAGCAGGCUGAACGGGAGAAUGGGCAAGCUAGCCCUGAUGAACAGGCAACAGAUGGAGACUUGGAGGAUGAUAAUUACAUGCCUCUCUCCGAAGACGAGGUGAGCCUCGGUGACGAAGAAUUUAUUGUGCCGGAGGAUCCCAUCGAGCAGGAGCGCUUCAAGCGCCAGCUUAUAGCCACUGCAAAAAGCCUGAAGAAAAAACAACAGCAGCUUCAAGACAAUCGAGAUCUGCUAACAGAUAGAUGGACUAAGGUCCUGGCAGCCGAGGAAUACGGACUCGAGCGCCCAACCAAAAGUUACCCGAAGCAUAGGUUGCUACCUCAAUUCGAGGAGGAGGCGCUAGAACCUACACUACCAGCGCAGGACGAGGCUGACCGGCCACCUCGUGGCCGAGACAAAGCGGCGUAUCAGUCCAAACACCAGCCCGCACCCCGUCCCCAAUCAAACAAAAACACCAAGGCUCGGGGCUAUACGCAGGGCAUGUGAGACAUACUGGAAAACAAAGCAGGACAGUCUAGAUCGAUCUACGGAUCACGGUGGCGUGCCCUGCUUCGUCUUGAGCUUGCGUUGGUUUUCCUUGAAGAGGAAAGGGUGAUGCAGCAAUAGUAGCAUAAGUAUUUCCCUCAGUUUUUGAGAACCAAGGUAUCAAUCCAGUAGGAGGCUCCUCACAAGUCCCAUGCACCUACACAAACAAACAAAGAACUCGCAACCAAUGCAAUAAAGGGGUUGUCAAUCCCUUCACGACCACUUGCGAAAGUGAGAUCUAAUAGAGAUAAUAAGAGAAGAUAAAUAUAUUUUUGGUAUUUUAUAAUAUAGAUGCAGAAAAUAAAGAUGCAAAUAAAAGUUGAUUGGAAGAAAAUAUGAUAAGAGAUAGACCCGGGGGCCAUAGGUUACACUAGAGGCUUCUCUCAAAAUAGCAUAAGUAUUAUGGUGGGUGAACAAAUUACUGUCGAGCAGUUGAUAGAAAAGCGAAUAAUUAUGAGAUUAUCUAGGCAUGAUCAUUUAUAUAGGCAUCACGUCCGCAACAAGUACACCGACUCCUGCCUGCAUCUACUACUAUUACUCCACACAUCGAUCGCUAUCCAGCAUGCAUCUAGAGUAUUAAGUUCAUAAGAACAGAUUAACGCAUUAAGUAAGAUGACAUGAUGUAGAGGGAUAAACUCAAGCAAUAUGAUAUAAACCCCAUAUUUUUAUCCUCGAUGGCAACAAUACAAUAGGUGUCUUGCAACCCUUUUUGUCACUGGGUAAGAACACCGCAAGGUUGAACCCAAAGCUAAGCACUUCUCCCAUGGCAAGAAAGAUCGAUCUAGUAGGCCAAACCAAACCAAUAAUUCAAAGAGACUUGCAAAGAUAACUCAAUCAUAUAAAAGAAUUCAGAGAAGAUUCAAUUAUUAUCCAUAGAUAAACUUGAUCAUAAACCCACUAUUCAUCGGAUCUCGACAAACACACCGCAAAAAGAGAUUACAUCGAAUAGAUGCCCACAAGAGAGGGGGAGAACAUUGUAUUGAGAUCCAAAAAGAGAGAAGAAGCCAUCUAGCUAAUAACUAUGGACCCGAAGGUCUGUGGUAAACUACUCACAACUCAUCAGAAGGGCUAUGGUGUUUAUGUAGAAGCCCUCCGUGCUGGAAUCCCCCUCCGGCAGAAUGCCGGCGAUGGCUCCAAGAUGGGAUCUCGCGUAUACAAUAGGUUACUGUGGCGGAAAUAUUUCUUUGGUGGCUCCCUGGAUGUUUUCGGGGUAUGUAGGCUUAUAUAGGAGGAAGAAGUACGUCGGUGGCCGCCCGAGGGGCCCACGAGACAGGGGGGCACGCCCUACCCUCUUGUGGCCGCCUCGGCUGCUUCUUGACUUGCACUCCAAGUCCUCUGGAUCACAUUCGUUCCAAAAAUCACGCUUCCUAAGGUUUCAUUCCGUUUGGACUCCGUUUGAUAUUCCUUUUCUUCGAAAUACUGAAAUAGGCAAAAAAACAACAAUACGGGUUGGGCCUCCGGUUAGUAGGUUAGUCCCAAAAAUGAUAAUAAUGUGUAAAAUAAAGCCCAUAAACAUCCAAAAUAGGUAAUAUAAUAGCAUGGAACAAUCAAAAAUUAUAGAUACGUUGGAGACAUAUCAAGCAUCCCCAAGCUUAAUUCAUGCUCGUCCUCGAGUAGGUAAAUGAUAAAAACAGAAUUUUUGAUGUGGAAUGCUACCUAGCAUAAUUCUCAAUGUAAUUUUCUUUAUGGUGGCAUGAAUGUUCAGAUCCAAAUGACUCAAGAUAAAAGCUUAUAAAACAUAAAAAAUAAUAAUGCUUCAAAGCAUACUAACAAAUAAUCAUGUCCUAUCAAAAUAACAUAGCCAAGAAAGCUUAUCCCUACAAAAUCAUAUAGUUAGGCCAUGCUUCAUUUUCAUUACACAAAAUACUCCCAUCAUGAACAACCCCGAUGACGAGCUGAGCAAUUGGUUCAUACUUUUUAAUGCGCUUCAGCUUUUUCAACUCUUACGCAAUACAUGAGUGCAAGCCAUGGACAUAGCACUAUGGUGGUCUAUUGUGGUGGUUGUGAGGACAAAAAGUGGGAGAAGAUAGCCUCACAUCAACUAGGCGUAUCAACGGGCUAUCGAGAUGCCCAUCAAUAGAUAUCAAUGUGAGUGAGUAGGGAUUGCCAUGCAACAGAUGCACUAGAGCUAUAAAUAUAUGAAAGCUCAACAAAAGAAACUAAGUGGGUGUGCAUCCAACUUGCUUGCUCACGAAGACCUAGGGCAUUUUGAGGAAGCCCAUCAUUGGAAUAUACAAGCCAAGUUCUAUAGUGAAAAAUUCCCACUAGUAUUUGAAAGUGACAACAUAUGAGACUCUCUAUCAUGAAGAUCAUGGUGCUAUUUUUCAUGAACAAGUGUGGAAAAAGAGAUAGUAGCAAUUGUCCCUCCUCUCUUUUUCUCUCAUUCCUUUUUUUUCUUUUUCUUUAUUUUUCUUUCUUUUUCUCUUUUUUUUCUUUUUCUUUUUUUUCUUUUUUGUGGGCUUCUUUGGCCUCUUUUAUUUUUAUAAAGCCUUAAGUCCCAUCCCGACUUGUGGGGGAUAGUCUUCACCAUCCUUUCCUCACUAGGUCAAUGCUCUAAUAAUGAAGAUCAUCACACUUUUAUGGAUUUACAACUCAAGAAUUACAACUCAAAGCUAGAACAAAAUAUGACUCUAUAUGAAAGCCUCCGGCGGUGUACCGGGAUAUGCAAUGAAUCAAGAGUGACAUGUAUGAAAAUUAUGAAGGUGGCCUUGCCACAAAUAUGAUGUCAACUACAUGAUCAUGCAAAGAGCAAUAUGACACUGAUGAAACAUGUCAUAAUAAACGAAACGGUGGAAUGUUGCAUGACAAUAUAUCUCGGAAUGGCCAUGGAAAUGCCAUAUAGGUAGGUAUGGUGGUUGUUUUGAGGAAGGUAAAUAAUAGGUUUAUGCUACCGGCGAAAGUUGCGCGGUAAAAUAGAAGCUAGCAAAGUGGAAGGAUGAGUGUGCGUAUAUCCAUGGACUCACAUUAGUCAUAAAGAACUCAUAUACUUCUUGCAAAAGUCUACUUAGCCCUCGAAGCAAAGUACUACUACGCAUGCCCCAAGAGGGAUAGAUUGGUAGGAAAAAUCCAUCGCUCGUCCCCGACUGCCACUCAUAAGGAAGACACUCAAAAGAGGACCUCAUGCAACGAAUUUGUCACACAACUUUUACCAUACGUGCAUGCUACGGGACUUGCCAAGUUCAACAAAAGUAUUUCUCAAUUUCAUAAUUAUCCACUAGCAUGACCCUAACAUUACUACCUUUAUAUCUCAAAACAAUUAUCAAGCAUCAAAUUGAUCCUAGCAUCCAAUUCACUUUCUAUGAUAGUUUUUAUUAUACCCAACUUGGAUGCUCAUCAUUCUAGGACCAAAUUUGUAACCAUAGCAAAUACCAUGCAGUUAUAAGUGACUCUCAAAAUAAUAUAAGUGAAGCAUGAGAGACUAGCAAUUUCUUCAAAAUUAAUCGACCGCCAUGUUCUAAAAGAUAUAAGUGAAGUACUAGAGCAAAAACUAUCAAGCUCAAAAGAUAUAAGCGAAGCACAUAGCAUAUUCUAAUAAAUUCUAAUCAAAUAGGCUUCUCCCAAAAGGUGUGUACAGCAAGGAUAAUUGUGGUAAACUAAAAAGAAAAGACUAAUAUAAUACAUGAUGCUCCAAGCAAAACACAUAUCAUGUGGCGAAUAAAAAUAUAGCUCCAAGUAAAGUUACCAAUGAACGAAGACGAAAGAGGGGAUGUCUUCCCGGGGCAUCCCCAAGAUUAGGCUUUUGGAUAUCCUUUAAUAUCUUGGGGUGCCAUGGGCAUCCCCAAGCUUAGGCUCUUUGCCACCCUUUAUUCCAUAGUCCAUAAAAGCUUUACCCAAAACUUGAAAAAUUCACAACACACAACUCAACAGGAAAUCUUAUAAGCUCCGUUAGUGAAAGAAAACAAAACCACCACAUAAGGUACUGUAAUGAACUCAUUCUUUAUUUAUUUUUGUGUUAAACCUACUGUAUUCCAUGUUCUCUAUUGUUCAUACUCUUACAUACUAGCCAUAGAUGUAUCAAAAUAAGCAAACAACACACGAAAGGCAUAAUCUGUCAAAAACAGAACAGUCUGUAGCAAUCUGUAACUAACGCAAACUUCUAGAACAUUAAAACUCCUACCAAAAUAGUACGUCCUAAACAGUUUUUUUAUUGAUCAUCAUCAAAAAGAAUCAAUGCAAAAGCUCGUUUCUGUGAUUUAUUGAUUUUUUUUCUCGUGAGCGCAAAGUUUCUGUUUUUCAGCAGAAUCAAAUCAACUAUCAUCAUAGGUUAUCCUAUAGGUUCUACUUGGCACAAACACUAAUUAAAAGAUAAUAACACAUCUAAACAGAAAGUAGAAGCAAAAUUUAUCACUAAACAGGAACAAAAACAAAAACAUAAAGAAAAUUGGGUUUCCUCCCAACUAGCGCUAUCGUUUAACGCCCCUAGCUAGGCAUAAAAGCGAAGAUAGAUCUAAGUAGUGCCAUCUUUGACACUUGGUUCAUAGGUAGCUCGCAUGAUAGAUUCAUAAGGUAAUUUGACUUUCUUUCUUGGAAAGUGCUCCAUGCCUUUCUUUAAUGGAAAUUGGAAUCUAAUAUUCCCUUCCUUCAUAUCAAUAAUUGCACCAAUCGUUCUAAGGAAAGGUCUACCAAGAAUAAUAGGGCAAGAAAGAUUGCUAUCUAUAUCAAGAACGAUAAAAUCAAUGGGCACCAAAUUUCUAUUUGCAACAAUAAGGUCAUCAUUGAUCCUUCCUAUUGGCUUUUUAAUGGUGGAAUCCGCAAGAUGCAAAUUUAAAGAGCAAUCGUCAAGAUCAUGGAAACCUAGAAUAUCACAUAAAGUUUUCGGAAUCGUGGAAACACUAGCACCCAAAUCAGACAAAGCAAAACACUCAUGAUCUUUAAUUUUAAUCUUUAUAGUAGGUUCCCACUCAUCAUUAAGUUUUCUUGGUAUAGAAACUUCCAAAUUAAGUUUUUCAUCACAAGAUUGCAUCAUGGAAUCAACGAUAUGUUUGGUAAAAGCUUUAUUUUGAGUAUAAGCAUGUGGAGAAUUAACAACGGAUUGCAACAAGGAAAUACAACUUUCUAAAGAACAAUUAUCAUAAUCAAAUUCCUUGAAAUCCGAGGUAGUGGGUUCAAUGCUAUUUAAAGUCACGACCUCUCCAAUCCCACUUUUACCAAAGUUAGCAUCAAGAUCUAAAAACUCCGAAUUUUUGGGACGCCUUUUAGGUAAAGUUGACUCAUCUUCAGUCCCAUAAUUUUCAAGAGUCAUAUUGCAAAACAAAUAUCUAAUAGGGGACACAUCAAUAACUUUAAGAUCUUCAUCAUUAUUUUCAUGGAAACUAGAAGAACACGCUUUUAUAAAGCUAUCUUUCUUAGCACACAAUCUAGCGGUUCUUUACUUGCACUCAUCAAUGGAAAUUCUCAUUACUUUGAGAGACUCAUUGAUAUCAUGCUUAGGAGGAGAAGAUCUAAGUUUAAGAGAAUCAACAUCAAGCGAAAGUCUAUCAACGUUCCUAGCCAAAUCAUCAACUUUGAGCAAUUUUUCUUCAAGCAAAGCAUUAAAAUUCUUUUGAGAAAUCAUAAAUUAUUUUACACUAUUCUCAAAAUCAGAGGGCAUCUUAUUAAAAUUACUAUAAAAAUUAUUGUAGGAAUUUCCAUAAUUAUUAGAGGAAUUACUAGGGAACGGUCUAAAGAAGUUUCCUCUAUAAGCAUUGUUUCCAAAACUAUUCCUACCAACAAAAUUCACAUCCAUGGAUUCAUUAUUAUUCUCAAUCAAAGUAGACAAAGGCAUAUUAUUGGGAUCAAGAGGAGUAUUUUUAGUAGAAAACAUUUUCAUAAGUUCAUCCAUCUUUCCACUCAAAACAUUGAUUUCUUCUAUAGCAUGCACUUUUUUACUAGUAGAUCGUUCGGUGUGCCAUUGAGAAUAAUUUGCCAUAAUAUUGUCAAGAAGUUUUGUAGCAUCUCCUAACGUGAUUUCCAUAAACAUGCCUCCCGCGGCCGAAUCUAACAGAUUCGUAGAAGCAAAGUUCAAACCGGCAUAAAAAAUGUGUAUGAUCAUCCAUAAAUUCAAACCAUGAGUAGGACAAUUGCGAAUCAUCAAUUUCAAUCUUUCCCAAGAUGGGCAACAUGCUCAUAAUCAAGUUUUUUAAAAUUCAUAAUAUCGUUCCUAGGAGUGAUGAUCUUAGCGGGAGGAAAAUACUUAGAGAUAAAAGCAUCUUUGCACUUGUUCCAAGAAUCAAUACUAUUUUUAGGCAAGGACGAAAACCAAACUUUAGCACGAUCUCUAAGCAAAAACAGAAAUAACUUCAAUUUAACAAUAUCAUUAUCCGUUUCUUUCUUCUUUUGCAUAUCACACAAAUAAACAAAGUUGUUUAGACGAGAAGCGGCAUCUUCACUAGGAAGGCCGGCGAAUUGAUCUUUCAUAACAAGAUUCAGCAAAGCGGUAUUGACUUCACAAGAAUCAACAUCAUUAAGAGGAGCAAUCGGAGUACUAAGCAAAUCAUUAUUAUUGGUAUUCGAGAAAUCACACAAUUUGGUAUUAUCUUGCGCCAUGGCAACAAGUAAUCCAACACACAAGCAAACAGAAAUAGGCAAACGAAAGAGAGGAGGAGAUUGGGAAAGAGAGGGCGAAUAAAACGGCAAGGGUGAAGUGGGGGAGAUGAAAUCGAGAGGCAAAUGGCAAAUAAUGUAAAUGCGAGGGAGAUGAGUUUGUGAUGGGUACUUGGUAUGUCUUGACUUGAGCGAAGACCUCCCCGGCAAAGGCGCCAGAAAUCCUUCUUGCUACGUCUUGAGCUUGCGUUGGUUUUCCUUGAAGAGGAAAGGGUGAUGCAGCAAUAAUAGCGUAAGUAUUUCCCUCAGUUUUUGAGAACCAAGGUAUCAAUCCAGUAGGAGGCUCCUCACAAUUCCCACACACCUACACGAACAAACAAAGAGCUCGCAACCAACGCAAUAAACGGGUUGUCAAACCCUUCACGGCCACUUGCGAAAGUGAUAUCUAAUAGAGAUAAUAAGAUAAGAUAAAUAUAUUUUUGGCAUUCUAUAAUAUAGAUGCAGAAAAUAAAGAUGCAAAUAAAAGUAGACCGGAAGCAAAUAUGAUAAGAGAUAGACCCAGGGGCCAUAGGUUUCACUAGAGGCUUCUCUCAAGAUAGCAUAAGUAUGACAGUGGGUGAACAAAUUACUGUCGAGCAAUUGAUAGAAAAGCGAAUAAUUAUGAGAUUAUCUAGGCAUGAUCAUGUAUAUAGGCAUCACGUCCGCAACAAGUAGACUGACUCCUGCCUGCAUCUACUACUAUUACUCCACACAUCAACCGCUAUCCAGCAUGCAUCUAGACUAUUAAGUUCAUAAGAACAGAGUAGCGCAUUAAGCAAGAUGACAUGAUGUAGAGGGAUAAACCUAAGCAAUAUUAUAUAAACCCCAUCUUUCUAUCCUCGAUGGCAACAAUACAAUACGUGUCUUGCAACCCUUUCUGUCACUGGGUAAGAACACCGCAAGAUUGAACCCAAAGCUAAGCACUUCUCCCAUGGCAAGAAAGAUCGAUCUAGUAGGCCAAACCAAACCGAUAAUUCGAAGAGACUUGCAAAGAUAACUCAAUCAUAUAAAUGAAUUCAGAGAAGAUUCAAUUAUUAUCCAUAGAUAAACAUGAUAAUAAACCCACAAUUCAUCGGAUCUCGACAAACACACUGCAAAAAGAUAUUACGUCGAAUAGAUCUCCACAAGAGAGGGGGAGAACAUUGUAUUGAGAUCCAAAAAUAGAGAAGAAGCCAUCUAGCUAAUAACUAUGGACCCGAAGGUCCAUGGUAAACUACUCACAACUCAUCUGAAGGGCAAUGGUGUUGAUGUAGAAGCCCUCCGUGCUGGAAUCCCCCUCCGGCAGAACACCGGCAACGGCUCCGAGAUGGGAUCUCGCGGAUACAGGAGGUUACGUUGCAGAAAUAUUUCUUUGGUGGCUCUCUGGAUGUUUUCGGGGUAUGUAGGCUUAUAUAGGAGGAAGAAGUACGUUGGUGGCCGCCCGAGGGGCCCACAAGACAGGGGAGUGCGCCCUAUAGGGGUGCACCCUACCCUCUUGUGGCCGCCUUGGCUGCUUCUUGACUUGCACUCCAAGUCCUCUGGAUCACGUUCGUUCCAAAAAUCACGCUUCCGAAGGAUUCAUUCCGUUUGGACUCUAUUGGGGAUAUUACCACUGGGCGUGAACCGGCCUACCUGGGCCGGGUUAGCUUCAUUAUUAGUUUAUAGGUGAUUAAGCAGAUGAAGGCCCAAGGCCUGUAGUCGGUUUAGAACCUGUAGCCAUAAACCGGCUUGAUAUGUAAACUUGCAUUGUGAGUUAGGAAUAGAGAGAGACCAAUCGGGAUACGAGUAUGAACCGGUGUGGGACACUGUGGCCGACGGGCGUCACCCGUGUAUAUAAGGGGACGACCCGGCGGCGGUUCAAGGAGAGACAACAACAACUCGAGCCUAGGCGAAGCUUGUUUGCUCCCUAGCCUUCGAAACCACAUCAAUUCCAUCACAACUAGACGUAGGCUUUUACCUUCAUCGAAGGGGCCGAACUAGUAUAAACCCUCGUGUCUUUGUGUCUACUUUAACCACUUCAAGUUAACCCGUAGCGAUGGCUCCACGACUAAGUCCUUUCACAAGGACAUCUGCCGUGACAAAUCCACGACAGUUGGCGCCCACCGUGGGGCUAUCGCACGACGGUUUGAUGAUCUUGGAGGGCAAGCUCAAAAGACUCGAAGGCUAUGCUGUGGGCCCGAUGACGAAGAGUCGUCGCGGCAAGCUCUACAUCGACGAUGCAGGAUGGGGUCCCGAAGCCGGCUCGAUCGAGUACGGGUACCGGGUCCCCUUUGGUGGCAUACACGUUUUUAUCGGCAAGAUUGGUGAUCCUGGGCCUGAGUCGGACAUCCGCACCGACCUCGUCGAGACGGCUCAGCGUGCGAGAUCUACCCAGGUUAAACCGGCCGUGAGGCGUGCCUUCGUGGGAGUCAUCUACGGAGGAGAGCACGAGGACGAGUCAGAAUACGGUAGCGAGACCGUCGUCUAUUCCGGCGACGAGUCCUCAACCGGAGAGACCGAAUCAUUGUACCAGUUGCAAGAUGACUAGAUUAGGGGCUGUUCCAAUGGCGACAGUGUUCCGGGCCCCCCAGAUCAGAUCAACCGGGUCGGAAUAUUCAUGGCCGGCACGCAGGCAGCGAAUCACUCUUUGACCGCAGCAGCAAUGCUUUCCGGAUCAGCAGCGACAGCGGCAGCAAGGGUAGGAGGCCUUGUGCCCCCACCGGUUCAAGUUAUGUCUGACCUGUUUGACGCACUAUUGGUACUUAUGGCAGAGGCCAAUCCGGCGGAUCAGGAGGCCCAUGAUGCGGAGAUUGCAAAGGUGAGAGAGCAGAUUGUACAGGCCAAAGCCGACCUGGCAGUAGAGAAGGACAGGAUGGCUGCAGAGCGGGCCGCUUUGGAUGCCCAGGCCUAUAAGCUCAUGCUCGACCAGAACGCAUCAUAGGAGGUCUUGAAGCGGAAGCACAGAUCACGCCUGCCGUUAGGGUUCGACCCUCGAAAUCUCUUUCACACUCCGGGAGCUGCAAACAGUAAUCCGCCGGGGCACCUGGAGGUAAAUCGGGUCGAGGCACCAGGGCCAGGAGCGACAGUCCAACCCCGCCUGAUGGAACCUCCUCGGCAGAACAUUGUGAUUCCUCCGCCGGUCCAGACACCUCCGGGUCAUUAUUCUAAUCCUAUGGACAAUCUUGUCGCAGCUGCUGCGCGAUUAGAAGCUAUCCCGGUCGAAGGAGACUCUCCACAAGCAAUAGAGACGCGCCGGGUUAAGGAACUUCUCCGGACCGCUUUGAUUCAACAGGAGGCAUAUUCAUACAGCCGCGAUCGGAUUCAUUCCACACCUCGUCCAAGCCGGAGCUAUAGUACGUGCCUGGAUGAACCGGCCAUAUCAAGCAAUGCGCGGGGCCGUGAAGCGACCCGUGGUGAUAACCCGGCCGGUGGUGUUCACGAUGCUCAGGAUGUAGUGGACCGGGCCCGGGCACGAAGGGAGGCCGAGUUAGCAGCACAGAACGAGGCGGAUCAGCUUACACCGGUUCGUCCUACCACCUCUGCCAGGGCCAGGGGUCGCAUCUAGCUUGGGAGUGCCCUAUUUAGUCCCCGCUUUACGCAAUGUACGCCUGCCCAAGGACUUCAAGGGCCCGUGCAAGGUGCCAAAUUACACCGCUGAUUUAUCUCCAGAAGCGUGGGUAGAGAGUUAUGAGAUGGCAAUGGAGAUGCUGGAUGUGGAUGAGACCGCGUGUGCAAAGUACUUCACCAUGAUGCUUGAAGGCACAACCCGUACUUGGUUGAAGAGCCUGCCGCCUAAUUCUAUCAGUUCAUGGGCCCAGUUGCGGACCCGGUUUAUCCAGAAUUUCAAAGAUACGUGUAAGCAGCCUAAGUCCAUAGUAGACUUGGCGGCUUGUGUUCAGGAGGACGGAGAGUCAACAACCCAUUUGGUACACCGCGUUUCUAAAGUCUUGCACUCGUCUGACAGGAUCAAUGCUGACUCUGCGAUCUUAACCCUGGAGGGCAACUGCCGAUUUAAGCCUCUAAAGUUGAAGUUGGGGCGUAUGAAGCGGUUCUGUAAUGACAUGGGAACUCUCAUGGCCGCUUUAGUGAAGUAUGCUGAUUCUGAUAGUACUAAGGAUCCCGAGACUGACGAUGACGAAGCAGGGAAGGGAAAAAAGAAUAGGAACUCUAAGGGGCAUCAAUACAAACCGGCGGGCCAUGGAAACGGAGGCAAGCAUAAAGCGGAUGGCAGCAUGGACUUUGUGGCUAACACUAAUGCGCAGGACAAGAGUCAGCGGCGCAGAGGUAAAGCGGCGAAUCAUAAUGGGGCUCCAAAUCCUAACCCGGAUCGCUUAAACUAUUUGCUGAAUCAGCCUUGCCCAAAACACGGGACGAAGGAGGCGCCAGCUAACCACCUUUGGAAGGAUUGUUACAUUAUGCAGGAAUUUAAAAACUCUAAUGCCUUCUGGUAUGACCGUGGGUCAGGUGGUGGCUCAGGAUCCGGUUUCCAUGGGUCGGGUCACGAUGGAGCUUCCGGUUCAGGUUUCAAUCAGGGCGGUAAUAAUAACCAGGAUAAUCAGAGCGGUCAAGGGGGUUACAACCAACAGCAGCAGCAGCAGCGGUCGGGUUAUCAGAGCCAGCCAAAACAGUUGAACAAUGGGCAGUAUCACGUUUUCACAACUAUCUUAGAUAAGCGCGACCGGAAACUUCACAAGCGAGCAGUGAACUCUGUUGAACCGGCCAUACCGCGUUAUUUACGCUGGUCGNNNNNNNNNNNNNNNNNNNNNNNNNNNNNNNNNNNNNNNNNNNNNNNNNNNNNNNNNNNNNNNNNNNNNNNNNNNNNNNNNNNNNNNNNNNNNNNNNNNNNNNNNNNNNNNNNNNNNNNNNNNNNNNNNNGUACCGCGUUAUUUACGCUGGUCGGAGCAGCCUAUCGUGUGGAGCAGGGAGGAUCACCCCCCCCGGGUUGACAAUCCGGGCCAGUUGGCAUUAGUGGUAGACCCUCAGGUGGGAGGUUAUAAAUUCACCAAGGUACUCAUGGAUGGAGGGAGCAGUAUUAACAUCCUGUACUAUGAGACAUUCCGCCGCAUGGGGCUAACAGACAAGGAUCUCAGACCGUCUAAUACGGUGUUCCAUGGUGUGGUGCCUGGCAAAUCAGCGUAUCCUGUUGGUAAGAUAGCCUUGGAGGUGGCUUUUGGGGACGAGCAUGAUUCCCGAUCUGAAACACUAACCUUUGAGGUAGUGAAAAUUCGGAGCCCGUAUCACGCCUUGUUUGGGCGGCCGGCUUAUGCCAAAUUCAUGGCACGACCUUGUUAUAUCUAUUUGCAGCUCAGGAUGCCGGGUUACAAAGGGACAAUAAUGGUUCAUGGGAGCCGCAAGAUUUCUUUGCAAUGUGAGGAAGGUGAUGCGGCCUAUGCAGAGUCAGUUUGUGCCACGGAGGAGUUGAAAUAUUAUAGGGACAAUGUUGAUCCGGCGGACAUGACCCCUUUGAAUAGGCCGACUACGGAGCAUGAUUCAGAUCUGAAGUUCAAAUCGGCGGCUGAGACCAAGCUUGUUGACUUCGUGCCCGGCGAUUCGUCCAAGCAGUUCACUGUCAGUGCCAACUUGGACCCUAAAUAGGAAAGCGCGCUCAUCGAGUUCAUCCGUGAGAAUCGGGACAUUUUUGCAUGGAAGCCUUCUGACAUGCCAGGUGUACCGAGGGAACUCGCUGAGCACACUCUUAAUGUUGAUCCCAACUAUAAACCGGUAAAACAGUUUCUCCGCCGGUUUAACGAAGAAAGGCGCAAAGCUAUUGGAGAGGAAGUGGCCAGGCUCUUAGCAGCUGGUUUCAUGAUUGAAGUGUUCCAUCCAGAAUGGCUCGCUAAUCCGGUGCUGGUACUUAGAAAAAUGGCACUUGGUGUAUGUGUGUGGAUUACAUGGAUCUUAACAAGGCUUGUCCAGCGGAUCCUUUUGCCCUCCCUCGCAUUGACCAGAUUAUUGACGCCACGGCGGGUUGUGAGCGUUUGAGUUUUUUGGAUGCGUAUUCUGGGUAUCAUUAGAUCAAAAUGGCGGUUAAGGACCAGGAGAAGACAGCGUUUAUUACUCCCUUUGGAGCCUUCUGCUAUGUAUCUAUGCCUUUUGGGCUCAAGAGCACCCAAGCCACUUAUCAACGGUGUGUACAGAAUUGCCUGCAUAAACAGAUCGGCCGCAAUGUGCACGCCUAUGUGGAUGAUAGUGUAGUCAAGUCAAGGCAGAAGGAGACGCUGGUUGAUGAUAUGAAGGAAACCUUUGACAACUUGCGGGUUUAUAAGAUGAUGCUUAACCCUGCCAAAUGUGUCUUUGGUGUUCCGGCAGGCAAGUUACUGGGCUUUCUCGUGUCCAACAGAGGAAUUGAGGCUAAUCCGGAGAAGAUUACGGCUAUCACCUCCCUGGCUAAACCGAAGUGUAUCAACGAUGUUCAGCGUUUGGCGGGUCGGAUCGCCGCACUGAGCCGGUUUAUCAGCCGCCUCGGAGAGAAGGCCAUCCCUUUAUACCAGAUGUUGAGAAAGACAGAUCAAUUCAUCUGGAGUCCAGCUGCUGAUGAAGCGUUGGGGGACUUGAAGCGGCAAUUAGCCAAUCCGCCUGUUCUUGCAGCUCCGGUCGACAAGGAGCCAUUAUUGUUAUACGUAGCGGCCAAUGCUCGUGCAGUUAGCGUGGCUAUUGUGGUAGAACGCAAGGAGGCAGGCAAGGAGUAUCCGGUUUAGCGGCCGGUUUACUAUGUCAGCGAGGUGCUUAUUGAAUCCAAGCAAAGGUAUCCGCAUUGGCAAAAGCUGGUAUAUGGAGUUUUCAUGGCAAGCCGGAAGUUGAAGCAGUAUUUCCAAGGGCACCCCAUCACAGUGGUCAGUUCAGCUCCCUUGGGCGAUAUCAUACAGCACCGGGAGGCGACUGGCCGGAUUGCCAAGUGGGCCAUAGAACUUGGGCCGCACGGAUUGAAGUACGUGCCUCGGACGGCGGUGAAGUCUCAAGCACUUGUUGAUUUCAUCAAUGAUUGGACGGAGUUGCAAGCACCAGAGGAAAAGCCGGAUCACACAUAUUGGACUAUCCAUUUUGAUGGAUCCAGGCAAUUGGAAGGCUCGGGGGCUGGAGUCGUCUUAACUUCCCCACGGGGUGAUAAGUUUUGUUAUGUUCUCCGCUUAAUGUUCCCUUGUACUAAUAAUGCACCUGAGUAUGAAGCUUUGCUCCAUGGUCUCCGGAUGGCUAAAGAGAUGAAUCUAAGUCGUGUUAAGUGCUUCGGUGACUUGGACCUCGUCGCUCAACAGGUAUCUGGCACUUGGGAUUCUAAGGACCUGCUUAUGGCUGCAUAUCGUCGUGAGGUGGAUAUUGUUGCGGGUCACUUCAAGGGUUAUCAGGUGGAGCACGUGGAUCAUCGAAAAAAUGAAGCGGCGGACUCUUUAAGUCGGUUGGGCUCUCAGCGUAAACCAGUCCCGCCUAAUGUCUUUCUCGAUGUGUUGCACAACCCGUCAGUCAAGCUCCCGGGUGAAGCGGAUUUGGCUAUUCCUGAUCCGGAGGCUCAAUUGGUGGCAGCCCUGCAUAUUAUACCGGAUUGGAUAGUUCCUUAUCUUGCGUACAUGAACCGGGGAGAGUUGCCAGAGGAUGAGACUCUAGCCAGGCAGAUAGUCCGGCGAUCCAAAUCUAUGACAAUUAUCAAUGGCGAAUUGCAUCAUUGCAGUGUAUCAGGGGUGUUUCAACGCUGCGUCUCUCCUGAGGAAGGUUGUGAAAUUUUACAUGAAAUCCAUGAAGGGGAUUGUGGUCACCACGCCGGUUCAAAGUCUCUGGUGGCUAAGGUGUUUCGUCACGGGUUUUACUGGUUGACAGCUCAUGCUGAUGCGGAGGACUUGGUUAAACGGUGUGAUGGCUGUCAGAAAUUUUCAAGGCGUGCUCAUGUGCCGGCUCAAGAAUUGAGGAUGAUUCCAAUUACUUGGCCGUUUGCAACAUGGGGGCUGGAUAUGGUCGGACCUUUUAAAAGAUCCAAGGAUAAGAAAACCCACCUUUUGGUGGCAGUUGACAAGUUUACCAAGUGGGUUGAAGCGGAGCCUGUCAGCAAGUGUGAUGCAGCUACAGUGAUGCAGUUCAUUAAAAAGGUGAUUUUCUGGUUUGUCUUUCCACACAGUAUCAUUACUGACAAUGGUACCAAUUUAUCCAAGGGUGCUAUGAAGGAAUUCUGUGAACGUGAGAACAUCAGACUUGACGUAUCAUCAGUGGCUCACCCCCAGACCAAUGGGCAGGCAGAACGAGCUAAUCAAGAGAUCUUGCGAGGCAUCAAACCCCGGCUUAUGGUUCCAUUGCAAAGAACACUGGGAUGUUGGGUUGAAGAACUACCAUCUGUGCUAUGGAGUAUCAACACUACGCCCAACCGAUCUACAGGAUACACACCGUUUUUUAUGGUCUACGGAGCAGAGGCAGUUCUCCCUAGUGAUAUCUGGCACGAUUCGCCUCGUGUGGCGGCUUAUGUUGAAGCGUACAAUGAGACAGCACGGCAAGAUGCUUUGGACCUAUUAGAUGAGGAGCGUGACAUAGCGGUUGCCCGCUCGGCGAUUUAUCAACAAGAUCUUUGUCGCUAUCACAGUCGCCGGGUCAGAACCAGAACUUUUCAAGGAGGAGAUUUGGUGCUUCGGCUCAUCCAAGAUCAGACGGAUAUGCACAAGUUAUCCCCACCUUGGGAGGGACCUUUCGUGGUCAGCAAGAAUCUGCACAACGGGUCAUACUAUCUGAUUGAUAUUCGAGAGCAUAAAGACUCACGCACAUCAGAGGAGGAGACCAACAGGCCGUGGAAUAUAGCUCAUCUUCGGCCUUACUACACUUGAGCCAUCGGCUCUAUCUAUGUACAUAUUAUGGCAGUGUAUAUAUUAUCAUUGAUAUAAUAAAACCGGAGCCUCAGCUAAAGCGGGGUCUCUGUCCUUUCAUAUCAUGUGUGGUUACAUGGAGUGGUUCUGUUUUAAAGCGGCCUCCGGUUUACCCCUUGAAAUUUGCUUUUCAAAAAAGCUUUGUGAUAUCACUUGGGGCCUUGGUCGUGUCCGAACCAAUGCGACACCUUUUGAUAGGCGAAAGCCACCAGAUCAUUUGGGGACAUGGUCAAGUCUGAACCAGUCACGCCUCUUGAUCGGCCUAAGGCCACAGAAUCACUUGGGGGCUUGGUCGAACCCGAACCAUUGCCACGCCUUUUGAUCGGCAUAAAUGCCAGGGUUUCAUUUGGGGACCUGGCUGACUUGAACCAUUGUCACUCCUAUUGGGGGCUUGGUCCUGUCCGACCGUGGUAACACCAUCUGAUCAGCUCAGUAAAGCAUGUUUUUGCAAACGGUUUUUAUCAUUACCUUUGCUUCCAUAUUUCUUUUAUGACUAUUCUUCAAUUUUUGUUGUGUUUCCUUUAAACCAACAACACUUUUUUACCGGUUCAGCUGACGGAAAUCGGUUCAUUUGUACUCCGGAGAAAUAUGCCCGGUUUAACUUUCCUGUUAACAUCAUGAAGUAGCAGGGGGGCUCAUAAUGACCCAGCACGGUUUACAUGGGAGUUGUUUUCUCCCCUUUGAUGGUAACGAUUUAUAAAUACUCCAUUUCAAGCCUGGCUAAGCCAACUUCAUGCCCAGCGAUGGCAGGUAUUUUGUAUCACAUAUUUGAUUAUACGUCUUAAAUACAUUGAUGAUAUAUAUAUAAAGGUCAUAAACCGGUUGGCGGUAUAACCGCCACCGAAGUUCAAGAUUUUCUGAUUGCAGGAAAUAUAAAUUGAGGAUUUCAAGCAAAAGCAUCAGUACUUAUGCACGAAGGCAUAUUCAAGGCAGAAGUAUUGUCUAUCCUAUUACAAGGCAACGCGGUGCCCAAAUAAGAUCAUUGUUGUUCCGGCGGAUCAUAAUAAAGCAGUUAUUUAAACUGGCUUCCGGUUCAAGCCUGUUCAUCGCCCCGGUCUGAUGAUUGUGGGUCGGCCCGCGCCGUUUCAGCUUCCUCAUCUCUAUCCAUUGGCUGGAAAUCAACAGUGGUCCAGUCGAUUCCCAUUAAAGUUUGAAAGACAGCCUCUUCGUGGAUCAGAGAAGACGGUUCAAUAUCAGGAGCGUAAGUAUGCUUACAGAUUGGAGGAAUCAGAUUCUCCGCUUCAGGAGUUGGUGCAGGCACUCGUUUGUUCUGAUCAUUGUACUGAGCUUGAUAAUGCGACAAGUCUGCCUCUUCAGCCAAUUGACAAGCCAGAGGGCGUACUGCAUGAUUUAUCGCCCUCAAAUCAUCUUCAUUGAACUCCGAGCCGUCUUCCUUCAAGCUUGGAUAGCCUUGAGCUGCCUCAAUAGGAUCGAAAUCCGGCACCCAUGCUUUUGCCCGGAUCAAGGCAUUAAUGGCUCCGGUUCGAGCAGCAGAUUUUUUCAGUUCUUCAAUCCGAGCAGGAAGCAUUGACAACCUAUUAAGAGUGUCUUGGAUUAAAGUGGGUGCCGGAUUGUUAUGAGAUGCAGUGGUGAUGAUCCGCUGUGCUCCGGUAUACAGCUGUUCAAUUAAAGUGUAGGCAGCCUUCAACUUCUUCCGAACAUCUGACCCUAAGUGACCAAUGCGUGUACCUGCAACAAUACAGGAAAGAUCACAAACCGGAUCUAUUAUAAGCAGGCCAGAGUUGUCCAGGAAACCAAAAGGAGCUUACCAAAGAUAGCAGCCGUCAUGGAAUGUACUUGCCGCUUUAUGGCGGUCAGCUCAUCUACCACCGGUUUAAGGGCAGCUUCAGUGUUUUCAGCUCUUUUUAUUAAAUCGGCCUUCUCAGUGGCCCAAUCAGUCCGCUCUUUCUUGAAGCCCUCCUUCAGCUGUUCUGUGAUGUUCAAAGCGCUGGUUAUUUCUUCCCUUGCCUUGUCGGUUUCAGCUUGUUGGGUUUUCAAAGUUUCCUGCAGAUCAGUAAUCCGGUCCUCUUUGAUCCUCACUUCAGCCUGCAUAAAGACAGUGCUUGGCUUUCAACAAAGGGUACAAGAAUUUGAAGUACCAACCACAUAACAAGUUAUACGUUUGAUACUUGGGGGCUAAUGCACCUUCAAUUUUCAUCUAUUACUAAAUCGCAAAGUCCCAAGCUCAAUACAGGUAUUCAACUCGGCACUUGGGGGCUAAUGGCUAUUUGCUCAGUUAUGUUCUGAUGUUAGAAUCUUUAUUGGAGUCCCGGUUUAACUAUACUAAGUUGAACCGGCCCUUGGGGGCUACAUUGAUGGAUUUCAAAGUAUUGAGGACUAUAUUCAAGUCCCGGCUUGAAGAAGGUUACAAACCGGCCCUUGGGGGCUAGGAGGAUUAAUACAGUGGCAGUAAUUAAAGAAAGAAGGAGCACAAGGAAGUUACCUCAAAUUUAUCUCUCAUCAUCUUUACCAUGCCAGCUUCACAGUCCCGACUAGUAUAUAGCCGGUUCAAGUAACCAGAAUGAAGAUCUUGGGCACUCAGAGCAGCAUAUGUUUCUAGAUCAACAUCCCAUUUGCCUUUGUUCAUGGCAGAAAAAUCUUCUUUCACAGUAUGCUUGGCCAAAGCGACAGGAUUCCCUGGUUCAAAGCGACCUACGCCGGUAAUUACAACGUCAUCAUCCUUGGACUCGCCGGUUUGCGUUGGCGUGGUCGGGUUUAUCGGCAGGCUUUGAAGGACUGCGGGAUCUAUCAAUCCGGACGGAGCUGGCAGGCUGGUCAAUAGGGACUAAGGUAUUGAUAGGCCUUUUCUCAGGAAUAGCAUCAUCUUGCAAGGGAGGAUCAUUGGGAAUAUCCUCAUCAACGAAUGUUUCAAGAUCUGGUGUUUUAUCCUGUUCAGGGGUGACAUCUUCCUUGGCCGCUUUAUCCAGGCGGGCUUUCUUGCUCAGUUUAGGUUUAGCCCUGAAAGAGAAAGAAAGAGUCAAGAAACAGCAUAAGUUAUAACGUGGUAUACCAGAAGCAUAUGUUCAGUCUAGCUUACCCAAGAACCGUUUUCAAUGGUGGCAGCUGAGUGGCCGACGAUUCACCAGAGGAAGAAUGGGAAGUAACCUGAUAAUCGGAGUCGGACGGAUUAAGAGGUUGACGGAUGAAACCCGCUUUAGGAUAUAAAUUAAUAAAAAGGUCGGAGACCUCGAAGCGGCGUUUUCGAACCGGACUGUUUGGUAAACCGGCGGAGGUAACUACCUGGCCGCUGUGCCGGGUUGUGCGGCGAGCUUCAUGUUGCUGAGUCUUCAUAAGAAAUUUGGGAUCCAAGUAAGCAAGAGGAUGAGAAAAUUUAACUUUCCGGUCUGCCUGGCGAAAUUUUGGCAAAGGCAAAGGAUCUGAAUCGGAAGAGAGAAUAGUUACCUCAGCGACAUCAGCAUUACUGGCUUCAGCGUCGUCCUGACAAGUAUCAUCAUCAAUAAGGCAUGUAAAAAGUAAGCCUAGUGAAUCGAGUUCUACCUCAAGGUCCGAGUUACCCACAUCAUCAUCAACAGCCGGAUCAGAUGAAGUAGUGGUUUUCCUCUUUUUAGCAGGCUUCUUGAUGACCUUGGUCUUUGGCCGGAUUGACCGUUCUGCUUUCUCCGGUUUGUCUUGUGGAAGCUUCUUGCUCCAAAAUGGAUUAUCACCCUGGUUAAGCAGCAAUUGAUGUCAGACAGAGAUAGCAAUAACAGGUUUAGUAAAAAGUACAAUCAAAGUCUUACAGCUGGCGGUUUGUUGGUAGCACAGAAAGGGAGCAGGCCGGUUUGAGCACAGAGGUUCUCCGGUUCGUUCAGCAUUUUCUUCACAGCCUCUGUAACUUCAUCAUCGGAGAGCUGGAUGUUGGUGUGUCGGAGUGGGUCAUCAACGCUACCAGUAUACUUGCACAUUAAACCGGAGCGCCGGCUGAGAGGCAGUAUGCUCCAUGAUAUCCAACAGCGUGCGAGAUCUACUCAUGUUAAACCGUUGGCCAUGAAGGCUCGGAGCUUGGAUAAUUGCGGAGCGUAUUUACUCCUCUCCUUGGCACUUAACCUUUGUGGGAAGGGGUGUGUAUUGCUGAGCCGCUCCGGAUGAAAGCCAGGCAAAGGAUUUUCAUCAUCAGGGGAAGUAUCUUUGCAGUAAAACCAUGUUGCAUUCCACUCCUUGGGGUGACUGUGUAGUCGGGCAUGGGGAUAAGUGAUUUCUUUCCUUUUCUGAAUUGCCAUUCCGCCCAAUUUGGUAUUGGGACCAUCAGUGAACUCUGUGCGGCGGUUCAACUGGAAGCAGUCUCUGAACAAUUCAACUGUGGGUUUCUCUUGAAGGUAUACCUCAUAGAGCACUUGGAAGUGACAUAAGUUGGUAACAGAAUUGGGGCCAGUAUCUUGCGGGCGGAGUUGAAAAUUGGCUAACACAUCCCGGUAAAAUUUAGAGCCGGGCGGUUUGAAGCCCCGGGCUAAGUGAUCCGCAAAGAUCACAACCUCUCCCUCUUGAGGUGUGGGAGGACAUUCAUCACCAGGAACCCUCUAGUGGAUAGUCUCUUUGCUGUCUAAAGCGCUGAUCGAGACUAAAUCAUCCAACUGAGUUUCUGUGACACGAGAAGGAACCCAGUUGCACUCAUAUACUUGUUUGGCCAUGGUGAGAUCUACAAGAAAUAGGUGAUUCCGGUUCAAGAACAUGUUGGAUAAAAGAAGGCGCUGGUAUGAACAAUGCUAAACCGGAGGCAGUAUAUUUAAACCGGAUUUUUAUGAAGUGGCAUCAUAUGGCUAAAGAGUUCUGGCGGUUCAACAAGGGGACUAAUGGUUGCGGAUGGCUAAGUAUGCAGAAACAGGUUUCACAAGGUCUUAUUGCAGCAAUGGAUCUGAAGCAAGUUCAGAAAAACAGAAAAUAUUCACAAGGUUAAAGCAGAACAGAAGUAAAUCAAUGGGUAGGAAUGUGGAUGAGAUCUAUAGACUUGAGCGUAAAACUACAGGCGUAUGCUAAAAAGCUACUGCUAGUCAGAGCAGGGUUUCACAGAUAUGUCCAGGAGUCUGGGUACGAGUAUGAACAAGUGAUGAACAUGGCAAGAACACGAAACCCUAGAAUAGAUCUAUGUUAAGAAGAACAGAAGGCUUACUAGAGUCAAGGAAGACGCGGAAGGCUACCACGGUGCUCUGGUGCGUUCAGGUUGAUGCAGCGGCCCAAGACGGUGCAGAGGUCAACGGCGGUGGCGGAGCUCCGAGGCUGGCGACGCGAGGAAGACGAAGAGAAAGAGACGAAGUGGAGAAAAGGAAAUGACCCUUCGGUCCUAUUUAUAAGGCAGGGGACGUGUGUCAGGCGCGCGAAUCCAGGAGCCACAAGAUUCGAAAGUGGAGCUGCUGCCUUGGGUAUCGCAGAUCUAUUAAUGAAGGAAGGCGUCAUAAAUGUUAACUUCAUGAUGACGUCAUGCCGGUUUACAGCAACCAGAGAUGAUGACGACAUGGCGGUUUACCAAUUACCAGAAGAUGUUGAAGACAAAGAUCUUUGUGAAGGAUUGACAUGAACCAGUUCAAAUCAAUCUGGGGCCUAAUGUUGGGGAUAUUACCAUUGGGCGUGAACCGGCCUACCUGGGCCGGGUUAACUUCAUUAGUAGUUUAAAGGUGAUUAAGCAGAUGAAGGCCCAAGGCCUGUAGUCGGUUUAGAACCUGUAGCCGUAAACCGGCUUGAUAUGUAAACUUGCAUUGUAAGUUAGGAAUAGAGAGAGACCAACCGGGAUACGAGUAUGAAACGGUGUGGGACUCUGUGGACCGACGGGCGUCACCCGUGUAUAUAAGGGGACGACCCGGCGGCGGUUCAAGGAGAGACAACAACAACUCGAGCCUAGGUGAAGCUUGUUUGCUCCCUAGCCAUCGAAACCACAUCAAUUCCAUCACAACUAGACGUAGGCUUUUACCUUCAUCGAAGGGGCCGAACUAGUAUAAACCCUCAUGUCUUUGUGUCCGCUUUAACCCCUUCAAGUUAACCUGUAGCGAUGGCUCCACUACUAAGUCCUUUCACAAGGACAUCUGCCGUGACAAAUCCACGACAGACUCCGUUUGAUAUUCCUUUUCUUCGAAAUACUAAAAUAGGCAAAAAAAUAGCAGUGCGGGCUGGGCCUCCGGUUAGUAGGUUAGUCCCAAAAAUGAUAAUAAUGUGUAAAAUAAAGCCCAUAAACAUCCAAAACAGGUAAUAUAAUAGCAUCGAACAAUCAAAAAUUAUAGAUACGUUGGAGACGUAUCAUGCCCCAACGCGAGACGACGACCGUGACACCGGAUAUACCAAAUACAAAUCCGGUCGGGCCGAAUACAACAGACUGGACUCAUUUGAGCUGCGUCGCGACAUUGCGCGGCACAGAGGCGCCGCACACCCCCUAUGCUUCACUGGCGAAGUAAUGGAUCAUGAAUUCCUAGAAGGGUUUAAAACUGUGAAUAUUCAGUCAUACGAUGGCACAACAGACCCCGCGGUAUGGAUUGAAGAUUUCCUUCUACACAUUCACAUGGCCCGCGGCGAUGAUCUACAAGCCAUCAAGUACCUCCCACUAAAACUCAAGGGACCGGCUCGACAUUGGCACAGCCUACCGGCAAAUUUCAUUGGCUGUUGGGAGAACCUGGAAGACGCAUUCCUUGAAAAGUUCUAGGGCACUUACGUGCGACCGCCAGAUGCUGAUGACUUAAGUCACAUAACCCAACAGCCCGGAGAGUCAGCCAGGAAAUUCUGGACUCGGUUCCUAACGAAAAAGAACCAAAUUGUCAACUUUUCGUAUGCCGAAGCCCUAGCGGCCUUUAAGCACAAUAUCCACGACGAGUGGCUCUCCCGACACCUCGGCCAAGAGAAGCCGAAGUCCAUGGCAGUCCUCACGACACUCAUGACCCACUUUUGUGUAGGCGAAGACAGCUGGCUGGCUCGCAGCAACAGCACAUCAAGAAAUCCUGACACUUCAGAUGCCAUAGAAAACAACGGCAAGCCCCGACGCAACAGAUGCAAGCGUCAUAGCAAUGGCGACAACACCGAAGACACGGCAGUCAAUGCCGGAUUCAGUGGCUCUAAGACUGGUCAGCGGAAAAAGUCAUUCAAAAGAAACAAUCCGGGUCUGUCCAAUCUGGAGCGCAUACUCGAUCGCUCGUGUCAAAUUCACGACACCCCUGAUAAACCAGCCAACCACAGCAACGGAGAAUGCUUGGUGUUCAAACAGGCCGGCAAGUUGAAUGCCAAAAACAAGGAAAAGGGGUUGCAUAGCGAUGAUGACGAGGAGCCCUGGUAGCCGAACACAGGAGGAUAGAAUAAAUUUCCUCCCCAAGUGAAAACGGUAAACAUGAUAUACGCCACCCACUUUCCCAAGCAGGAACGGAAGCGUGCACUAAGGGACUACUACGUCUUGAGAUUGAGUUGGUUUUCCUUGAAGAGGAAAGGGUGAUGCAGCGCAGUAGCGUAAGUAUUUCCCUCAGUUUUUGAGAACCAAGGUAUCAAUCCAGUAGGAGGCUCCUCACAAGUCCGACGAACCUACAAAAACAAAGAAAGAACUCACAACCAAUGCGAUAAAGGGGUUGUCAAUCUAUUCACGACCACUUGGGAAAGUGAGAUCUCAUAGAGUUAAUAUGAUAAGAUAAAUAUAUUUUUGGUAUUUUAUAAUAUAGAUGCAGAAAAUAAAGAUGAAAAUAAAAGUAGAUUGAAAGCCUAUAUGAUAAAAGAUAGACCCGGGGCCAUAGGUUUCACAGGAGGCUUCUCUCAAGAUAGCAUAAGUAAUACGGUGGGUGAACAAAUUAUUGUCGACUAGUUGAUAGAAAAGCGAAUAAAUACGAGAUUAUAUAGGCAUGAUCAUGUAUAUAGGCAUCACGUCCGUGACAAGUAGACCGACUCCUGCCUGCAUCUACUACUAUUACUCCACACAUCGACCGCUAUCCAGCAUGCAUCUAGAGUAUUAAGUUCAUAAGAACAGAGUAACGCAUUAAGAAAGAUGACAUGAUGUAGAGGGAUAAACUCAAGAAAUAUGAUAUAAACCCCAUCUUUUUAUCCUCGAUGGCAACAAUACAAUACAUGCCUUGCAACCCUUUCUGUCACUGGGUAAGGACACCGCAAGAUUGAACCCAAAGCUAAGCACUUCUCCCAUGGCAAGAAAGAUCAAUCUAGUAGGCCAAACCAAACCAAUAAUUCAAAGAGACUUGCAAAGAUAACUCAAUCAUACAUAAAAGAAUUCAGGGAAGAUUCAAAUAUUACUCAUAGAUAACUUGAUGAUAAACCCACAAUUCAUCGGAUCUCGACAAAAACACCGCAAAAGGAGUUUACAUUGAAUAGAUCUCCACAAGAGAGGGGGAGAACUUUGUAUUGAGAUACAAAAAGAGAAAAGAAGCCAUCUAGCUAAUAACUAUGGACUCGAAGGUCUGUGGUAAACUACUCACAACUCAUCGGAAGGGCUAUGGGGUUGAUGUAGAAGCCCUCCGUGGUGGAUUCCCCCUCCGGCAGAACGCCGACGACGGCUCCAAGAUGGGAUCUCGUGAAUACAGAAGGUUACUGUGGCGGAAAUAUUUCUUCGGUGGCUCCCUGGAAGUUUUCGGGGUAUGUCGUAUUAUAUAGGAGGAAGAAGUAUGUUGGUGGCCGCUCGAGGGGGCCAGGAGAUAGGGGCGCCCCCAGGAGGGGUGGGCGCGCCCUCUUGUCUCCUGGCCGCCUCAUUUGCUUCUUGACUUGCACUCCAAGUUCUCCGGAUCACGUUCAUUCCAAAAAUCACGCUCCCGAAGGUUUCAUUCCGUUUGGACUCCAUUUGAUAUUGCUUUUCUUCGAAAUACUGAAAUUGGCAAAAAAAAUAGCAAUACGGGUCGGGCCUCCGGUUAGUUGGUUAGUCCCAAAAAUGAUAUAAAUGUGUAAAAUAAAGCCCAUAAACAUCCAAAAUAGGUAAUAUAAUAGCAUGGAACAAUCAAAAAUUAUAGAUACGUUGGAGACGUAUCAGGGACGUCUAUGCGAUGGAGCCAGUCGCCCCGAAGUUCAACCCAUGGUCAUCUUGUCCGAUCACUUUCGAUAGCAGGGACCAUCCUACUAGUAUCUGUCAUGGCGGUUCAGCCGCAUUGGUCCUCAACCCCAUCAUUGACGGAUUCCAUCUCACGCGAGUCCUUAUGGACGGUGGAAGUAGCCUGAACCUGCUUUAUCAGGAUACAGUGCUCAAAAUGGGCAUUGAUCCCUCAAGGAUCAAACCCACCAAAACCACCUUCAAAGGUGUAAUUCUAGGUGUAGAGGCCUGUUGUACGGGCUCAAUAACACUGGAAGUAGUCUUCGGAUCUCCGGAAAACUUCCGAAGCAAGGAGUUAAUCUUCGAUAUCGUCCCCUUCCGUAGUGGCUAUCAUGCACUACUAGGACGAACCGCAUUUGCUUGAUUCAAUGCGGUGCCACACUACGCAUACCUCAAGCUCAAGAUGCCAGGACCUCACGGGGUUAUAACAGUCAAUGGAAACACAGAAUGCUUGCUCCGUACAGAGGAUCACACUGUGGCCCUCGCAGAAGAAGUACAAAGCAUCCUUGUUAGCUAGACUCUCAACCCGACGAUAAAUGCCCCGGACACCGUCAAGCGAGUCCGGAGUACUCUGCAGCAGGAUCAUCCGGCACGUCCAGAGCUCGACUAGCAAUUCGGCCUCCGUCCUAGUCCCAGUCAAGCGGCGAAAUUUGCGCCGCGCGUACAUAAUUACGCACUCAAAAUACCAUGGGCAUAGGCGGAGGCACGGCUACGAAGCGGUCCACAAUGCGGCUCAACCGCCCCAGGAUGCGUAUACCUUCAUCAUUUUCUUUCUUUCAGGACCCUAAUUUCGGGAAGUCCUUUCAGAUAGUCUGAUCAUCGGAAUCAUCACGGGAAGGAAAAACCAAGGAGGCAAGUGGCUUGGACGUACAAGGGAAUACGGAGGUGGUCUCUAAUAACGAUUGUUAUACCUGUUUUACAUACCUGCUCGCAGCCUGCCCUUGGUUAGGACAUGUCAAAUAGUCCUAUUUUUACUUAUCACAUUACUUGUAUACAUACGCUUUGACAUAUUAUUUAAAUAACAAUGGAAAAAAUAUACAACGUCAGCUUAUCAUUAUAUUUUCUUUAUCUUUUUCCUUGACUGCUUAUUUAUUACAAAUUGCACCCGUACACUUUGGUACAUUCCGUUUGCGAGGGGCUUCAAUGUACCGCAUAACACGGCAAGAAAAGUCCGAACACUUUCGACAGUUGGGCACCCCGAACUUAUAGCAUUAUAUGCAUCAGCUCCGAAUCAUGUCUUGGGUCAAUAGUUGGGUUUGCCCGGCUCCCAUGUUUUGGUACCUUACGUUCCGCUAUAUCGUCUAAGGUAGCGCUGGGAGAACUACUGCGAUUGUGUCCCGGUUCUUCCGGACGAGCACCUCAGUAGAGAAAGCCGAAAACUGACUGUCAUGAUGCGGCAAGAGCUGGUCGUUGUUCGAGAGGUCUCAAAUCCUUAAAGAUUUAUUCCGCUUCGGGCGAGGAAUUGGCCUUGUCCGAUUUAGGCGUGUAUAGUGCCCCAAGUUCGGUCUUUCGAAUAACAGGGGCUACGCCAAAAUUUAACAUUACAGACUUCUAUGGCUAAGUCAGAGUGAUAAAGCUAUAUAGUCCGAUUGCCUUGUCCGUUGCGCUAAACACCUCCUUAUUGGACCAAAAAUUUGGAUAAAGAGUGUUUAGAUUUACCCCGAACACCCCGGUACUAGUUGCAUGGGGGCGGAAGCCGACGACUGGCCAACUCUCAGGUUUUAGAAACGGCUGCAUAGAAGGUAAUAUUUUAAAUCAACAAGCGUUAUAUGGCGCAAACGAACUUUUUUUCAUACUACAAGAUCAGAUGAGUACAUUCAUUCAAAAAUUACAUCCUUAGAGCAUUCCUCCGCCACAAGGCGAGCGCCCUUCAGGACACCAUAGUAAUACUUCUCGGGGUUGCGGUGCUCCUUGCCCUUCGGUGGCCCCUCCGUCACCAGUUUCUCGGUGUCCAUCUUAGCCCAGUGCACUUUCGCGCGGGCGAAGGCCCGGCGCGCACCUUCAAUGCAGACAGACCGCUUUAUGGCUUCAAGCCUCGGUUAGGCAUUCACAAGACGCUUCACCAAGCCAAAGUAGCUGGUGGGCAGGGGCUCGGCAGGGACUAUGAGGUCCUUCAUGGCCAGUUUCGCCGCCUUGUGCAGUUCGACCAGUUGCUUCAGCUGGUCACUCAAGGGCAUCGGCCGUUCGGCCCCAAUAUACUGGGACCAGAAUAACUUCUCUGUUGAGCUUCCUUCUUCAGCCCGGUAGAACUCUGCGGCAUCAAAGAUGCUGCGUGGAAGAUCUACGGAUGCUCCUGGAGAGUUCCAAAUUCGGGUAAGUAAUAGGAAAGCCUCCUUCACAUGCUUGCUUUGCAUAUUGAAAGCCUUCCCCUCCGAAAUCUUCUUGGCCGCCUGAACCUCGUGGAGGGCCUUUUGGGCUUCGGCCUUGGCGUCUUGCACGCUUUGGAGGGCCUUCGCAAGCUCAGACUCUUGCAUCUUGGAGUCACGCUCCAUGGACUCGAAUUUUUUGACGAAGUCCUGGAGCUCUUGCUGGACCUCAUUAACCCAAGCCUCUUGCCUCUCACGCUCGGUGCGCUCCGUGGCCGCCUUGUCUUUUGCCUCGGACAACGCUUUCUUAAGGGCUGCCACUUCGGUCGUGGCCCCUAUUAUAAUUCAUGAUGCUUCUGUUAGCAUCAACGAUUUUUCCUUUAUAUGACACUCAGACAGGGUAUUGCUUACCUUUGUUCUCCUCGAGCUGCCUCUUCACGAGGCCAAGCUCUUCGUCGACCCGCCCCAGGUCCAGCUUUAGUCCGGAGACCACCGUAGUUCGGGCCACAGCGGCCAGCAGCGACGCCUGCUUAUUCACAUAGACAUAUUCUGAUUAGACUCCUGUGGAUGUUAUUUGAUCCUCUGUUCGGUGUUUCUCUUCGAAUACCAAACAGAGCAUCAGGGGCUACUGUCUAUGUUGUGAUAUUUCCUCAUAAUGUGAUUAUUUCCCUCAAAGCUUGUUAGGAGGCUGGCGCAGGCUUCGGUCAAUCCGCUUUUGGCGGAUCGAACCUUCUCAAUCACCGUACUCAUAAGAGUACGGUGCUCUCCGUCAAUGGAAGCGCCGCGAAGCGCUCCCAACAAAUUGCCCGAUGCCUCUAGGUGGACAAAGGUCGUCGGCAUAGGAGGCUCGCCCUCCUUAGCGAGGGGCUUCUCACCUGAAUCCGGAACUGUUGGAGGUUCCGGCGCAGUAUCUGGAACUGUUGUUGUGGCCCCCGUCGGCAUAAUCCAUGGGGCUCUUUCCACCCAUGUACCCAGCAUCUGGGAUUUCUCCUUGGGGCGUCUCCAGAACCAUCGCCCCCUAUUCCGGUAUCCUCUGGGACAAUGCCUCGGUGUCGUCUGCGGGCCGGUGGCUGGUGGCCGUCGGGAGUGAAUAGCUAUUCAUCUCCGAUUGACUCAAAGACCCAGCCGAGGAGGAUACAUUGAUGUGGGCUUUGGGCGGACUGCACAGUCACAUCUGACAUGAUAAGGAGCAAUAAAGCCAAAAAUACUGGAAGCAUUAUAGUGUCCUGAUACACUACUGGAAUCUGGCACUUUGCCAUCUGCCAUGGCGGAUGGCAAAGGCAUGGUCGGCGGAUGGCAAAGGCUUUGCCAUCUGCCAGUAGAUGGCAAACAGUUUGUUUGAAACCCUGCUGGUAAAGGCUUCUUUGCCGUCUACUGGCUGAUGGCAAAGAGCCUAUGGCUUUGCCAUCUGCUGGCAGUUGGAAUACUUUGCCAACUGCCAGCAGAUGGCAAAGGCUGCAUACUUUGUCGUCUGCCAGCAGAUGGCAAAGAGUUUUGCCAUCUGCAAAGAGCCUAUGGCUUUGCCAUCUGCUGGCAGUUGGAAUACUUUGCCAACUGCCAGCAGAUGGCAAAGGCUGCAUACUUUGUCGUCUGCCAGCAGAUGGCAAAGAGUUUUGCCAUCUGCUGGCAGAUGGCAAAGAGCCCAAAUAUGCCAGCCCAAAUUUAACAUGUAGAUAACACGUGGCCUCUUUGCCAUCUGCCAGCUGAUGGCAAAGCUCUUUCCCAUCUGCCAGCAGAUGGCAAAGUGACUAUAUUGCCCCAUUUAAUUUUGUUUUUUCUUAUAUCAAUUCAUUUUCACAUAAAUCAAGCACAAAUAUAUUUAUACGACCAAUAUAGCAUAUUCAACACAUAUUACCAAUAGUCAUGAACACAUAUGUAUCCAACACAUGUUACCAAUAGUAGCAAGUUUCAUCCGUACAUAUACAUAGUUUCAUCAAUAUUACACAGUUUCAUCCAUAGGUAGCAAGUUUCACAAGGUCAAAACAAAAACUAAAUACAAGCACUCCAUCAACCCAAGCUUCCGUGAUCUUAAGCAAAUCUGUAAAAUGGGAAAGAAGAAAGUUAGAAGAAGAAGACUAGAAGAAGAAGAUUAUUAUGAUGCAACUAAAAUGUUCAGCUGCCGUUCAGUUACCAGUUCAGCUACCGUUCAGUUUCAAGAAAAAAAGAGUUACUUACCCACAAAAAGAAAAAGGAGAAAUGAGUCAGCUAGCUUUCUUGCAGACUAUACGUACGUGUGAAACAUAGAAUCAGGUCACACAUGUUAUACAGCAGGCCAAACAUAUCUUUAGAAAACAAAAUAAAGUAAAAUAAAGUAACAACCAACAGAUAAUCUUGAGCAGAUGCAGCAGAGUGAUCUACAAUAUGAAAAAACCACUGCAACUAUGUAAGCCACAACACCCAUACAAAUACAUGAAAACAUCGCCACACUUCGCCAACAGCAAACCGCCUGAUGCCUAUGUAUUAUAUAUAGGAGUGGAACGAAGUAGUCCCAGAUUUAAAAUAAAUAUAGGAGUUCGGGAGAGAUAAAGUUGAGUUGUUAUAAAUACUGCAAAUGUGGUUGUGUGUAUGUGUAGGUUCGCCUCAAGGCACACAACCAUGAGAUGAACUAUGUUGGUAUUUCUGUAUUUGCGCAGUCCAGCCUUACAAGCCACACUGAAUAACAAUGAACAGAGUAAGAUUACUAGAAAUGUACUGAAUGCAUAAAUUACAAAAUAUGUGCAGAUCUGUCUAAGGCUCAGGAAAUGUUUGUUUUUUUGGUUAUUGGAGCUGUAGAACAGUAGGAGAAUUAACCACUUAAUUACUACUGGAGUUUUGUUCAUCUGAAAAAUAAAAUAGUGCGAGUUUUUUGCCAGGAGCUUCAGGGCACAAAUAAGUUAUGGGGCAAGACAAUUGUAUGAGUAGUACUAUUUUGCAUUGUAUUUGUAGGGAGGCAGCACUGAUGUUUAGUCCAAGAAAGCUUACCUUAGAUACCUCGAGGCAACUCUGCCAUUUCACUCCAAAGGAACAACUCGGCGCAGAAUUCAGUUCUCACAACCAACGGCAUCAACAAGCAUUCAGCAAACAUCAAUCAAACCAUCAGAACACGUCCAACAUCCAAGCAUCAAUAUGUCUUUCUUCAGACCGGAAAUUACAUGUCUGUGUUGUUCUCUAUUUUUGAGUCGCCGAGUCAAGCCAAGUCGCCGAGGCUGUGGCUAGUGGCUUGCUGGCUUGAGUCAGCGACUUGGCUUGAUUAGUCACCCUAAGUCGCCAUGGCUUAGAAUAGGAUUUAGGGGUAGAAUUAGGAGUGAUAUUACCUUGUAAUCUUUUAUAGUUGGCAAUGGAAAUCCCUUUCUGACCUUGUGCAAGGUCGUCUUUGUUGAUUGCAGGUGCACCUUGCAGUGUAAAUGUAAUAGCAAGCAUGAGCAUCAAGUUGUUUGCACCUUGCAGUAUAUAUGUAAUAGGAAACUUGCACAUUUGAGUUGAAAUAAAGAGGAGAACUUACUUCUUGUGUGUCCAUCUGUCCCAAUUUGUUUUCCUUGAUGAUCCUUUUCUCUUUGCACCUGAUCACCUGAUUCAGACAAGGAAAACAGCAGCAGUUCUACAUACAAAUACCAUCACAUUUCUUAAGCAUUAGUUCAUUACAUUUAACUACGAGCUAUCAAGUUCUUAACUCUUAACAACCAGCCCCAAAUCGACCCCAAAUCCUAUGUCCAAAAUAAGGGAUAAGGCACACCAGCCCAACCCCCAAGCCCCCAACUCCAUAUGUCCAAAAAGAAGCCACAAGGUCCACACCAGCCCCAAAUCCUAUGUCCAAAAUGAGGCACACCAGCCCCAAGAGCCCCCAACUCCAUAUGUCCAAAAUGAGGCACACCAGCCCCAAGAGCCCCCAACUCCAUAUGUCCAAAAUGAAGCCACACCAGCCCAAGUUCCAUCAAUCGUCCUAGUAAUCCAGAUCAUCAUCAAAGCCAAUGGAGCCUCUCUCUUCACCUCCACCCUCACCUUCACCUUGAUUUCCCUCUUGAUCAUCUUCACUUGUUGAAUAAUCUUCAAGCUCAACCUCCUGAUUUGCAUCAUCCUCCUCGUCCUCAUCUUCUCCAACUUGGUGCACUCGAGAUCGAGAAUAGACAUGAGUAACAGCAGCCUGACUCCCACUCCCAUGGCUUCUAAGGUUGCGCCAUGUACCUUCAGAUGCACCGACAGCUUCGUCAACUUGAGCCCAAGUGAUAUCAGCCCCUUCAUAAACCGGCUGAGCAUUAUGGUCAACCCAUUCAUUGUCCCAUUGUAAGUCUUCUAGGACUAAUGGGUCAGACCUAGUCCCUUUGGAGCCUUCCUCACGAAUCUUUUGGAACCUAUCAGCAUUCUUCCGGUUGUAUUGAACAUAUGACAAAUCAUUAAGUCUUUAGAACUCCAACCUAUUUCUCUUUUUGAUAUGGAUCUGAAAACAACAUACAAGAAAACAAUUAGAAAGGCUACCAUAAGCACCCCACCAAAGAACUACAGAAGUACAAUGAACAUCAAGUUGGUACAUACUACUUACAUUUUGAAAGCAAGACCAAUUUUGUUCGCAACCGUAAGCUGAAGUACAAAGGCUAACUAUGUGCUUUGCUAAAUGUUGCAGCUCAUAAGCAAGGCCACCAUAAGCACCCCACCAAAGAACUGCAUGACUACAAAUGAAGACAAUGUUAGAAUUCUUAAUCCAAAAAAGAUAGGUGCUGAAAUUUAUGAAAAAGUAGAAGGCUAUAGCUGAAGUAACUUACGAGGAAUCUUUUUUGUUCGGUCAUUGAUUGCCAACUUAGAGCUGAAGCAUUCACCUUCACCUCUUUCAUAGUCAUCAGCCAAUCUACUUAUCACGCUUGCUUUAUCAUCAUCGGGCUCCAUGUGCAAUAGCACCUCAUUGAACAUAUGCCUAAGCCUUUGACAAUAUCGUGCUUUCUCGGGCUUAGCUUUGAGAUCAUAGAUCCUAUUUGGGUUUAAGAAUAGUGCAGCUCCAUACAACUUCACCCCCAUUUGAGAUUCCCACUUGUCCUCUACUAUUUUUGUCACCUUCUUAACCAACGUUGGUUUGUCAUCUAUCCCUCCUGUUCAUAUCAUGCCAAUACCCAUACUUCCACCCAGGGUCUCCCUACUUUGCCUUCCGCUUAGGAUCCUUGGAUGGAUCAUACUGCUCAGGCUCAGGCCCAUUGCCGCCGGCUGCACUAUUGACAGUUUGGUCAGUCAUCCUCUAGCUGCAGCCAAGGUGCCUACAGAAAAAACAGAGCAACACAAGUAGUAAUCAGUAAUUACUAAUUAGAGCAGCAGGGCACAUCAGUACAUAGAGCAGCAGAGCAAAUCACUACAUCAGUACAUAGAGCAGCAGAGCACAUAGAUCUACAGCAGAGUAAAUAUAGAGCCCACCCCACGCUAUCUUUCCUUCGGUCCUUCUAUUUUCCCAGUCCCCACAGCAACAGCAGCAGAGCACGCAGCAGCAGAAGCAGAGCAAACAGCAGCAGAAGCAGAGUAAAGAGACGCAGAGGGGGCAACGAGCCAUACCUGCAGUCUUUGCUGGCGUAGGCGCAGGAGAAGAUGGAGGCGAAGGCGGAGGAGGCUAGUGGGGGCAGGUCACCGGCGGAGGAAGCUCUUGGGGCCGCGCGUCACCGGCGGAUCUGGAGGGGCACGUCGCCGGCGGCCGCCGAUCUGGAGUCCUAGGUUAGGAGACUCAUAAGACGGAGUUGCAGCCAUGGCGCGGCGGUGCGGCGCAUCGAGGAUGCUUCGGCCGACGGCAGCGAGCUAAGGAGGCUGCGGUCGACGGCGGCAGGCUAAGGAGGCCGCAGCUGGCGACGGCGACAGCGCAUCGAGAAGGGGACGGCGCCGCGGGGAGGGGUCGGCGCCGCGGNNNNNNNNNNNNNNNNNNNNNNNNNNNNNNNNNNNNNNNNNNNNNNNNNNNNNNNNNNNNNNNNNNNNNNNNNNNNNNNNNNNNNNNNNNNNNNNNNNNNNNNNNNNNNNNNNNNNNNNNNNNNNNNNNNNNNNNNNNNNNNNNNNNNNNNNNNNNNNNNNNNNNNNNNNNNNNNNNNNNNNNNNNNNNNNNNNNNNNNNNNNNNNNNNNNNNNNNNNNNNNNNNNNNNNNNNNNNNNNNNNNNNNNNNNNNNNNNNNNNNNNNNNNNNNNNNNNNNNNNNNNNNNNNNNNNNNNNNNNNNNNNNNNNNNNNNNNNNNNNNNNNNNNNNNNNNNNNNNNNNNNNNNNNNNNNNNNNNNNNNNNNNNNNNNNNNNNNNNNAGAUAGUCCGACUUCUUUGCCAUCGGCCAGCGGAUGGCAAAGGCCCAUAUCUUUUCCAUCAGCCAGCGGCUGGCAGAUGGCAAAGAGGUGGGGCUACUGGGCCGUUACAGCGCCGUCAUCCACUGGGCCCCACCCACUUCUUUGCCAUCUGCCAGCAGACGGAAAAGAUUCUUUGCCAUCUGCUAGCAGAUGGCAAAGAGGUGGGUAGUCUACCCACCUCUUUGCCAUCUGCCAGCGGAUGGCAAAGAUUCUUUGCCAUCGGCUGGCGGAUGGCAAAGAACUGGCUGAUGGCAACCAGGUUCUUUGCCAUUUGUCAGUUCUUUGCCGUCUGUUUUUUGUAAGCAGAUGGCAAAGACGUUCUUUGCCAUCCGCUGGCAGACGGCAAAGAGCUGACUGAUGGCAAAUUCCUUUCCAGUAGUGAUACUUAUGACUUCGCCCGGGGCUUGUCCCUGGCCAACCACUCCUCGUCGCUAUAGGCGGCCAUGGUGGACUAGUUCGGAGGGUGGGUCCUUCCCUUCUUGGACCCUUCAGCCUCCCCAGACGGGCGACCUUCCUUUUCUUCUCCCUCUCGGUUUGGGGGGGGAGGGUUUUCCUCUUCCUCCUCGUUUUCGUUGGAGGAGUGCGCCUCGGUGUCAUCGGACGAUGAGUCCGACACGGCCUUGCGCCGGAUACCUUUCCUGCUCCCCGUGGCCUUCUUCUCAGGCUCUUUGUAAGGCGCCGGAAGCAGGAUCUCCGUCAAGAGAUCUGUUGCUUUUCUUCAAGUAGCGGAGCCGGACAGUCGAUCCGCUCCGCUGUCGCUACCCAGUCCUAUUAAAUUGGCAUGGAGGCUUAGAUCCCUCCCACGAAUAUACUGAGGAAAGGUGCAUUUUGUGAAAUAUAUAGAGUUUACCGGAUUGGCGGGGCGCUUUGCGCUGAGACCGCGAUCCUCGGUAGUGGGAGGAGGUACUUCGGUGGCCUUGAACAACACUUUCCAGACGUCUUUGUGCAUCGUGUUGAAGAGCUCUCACAGUGUUUGGUAUUUGGCCAAAUCGAACUCCCGCAUAUUGAAUUACCGUCUUUGACACGGAAGGAUCCGGCGGAAGAGCAUGACUUGGACCAUGUUGACAAGCUUGAUCUUCUUGUUUAUCAUAUUUUUGACACAGUUCUGAAGUCCGGUCAGCUCUGUCGGUGCACCCCAGGCUAAGCCCUUCUUUUUCCAGGAGGUGAGCCGCAUGGGGAUGCCAUAUCGGAACUCGGGGGCCGCCGCCCAGUUGGCGUCACACGGCUCGGUGAUAUAGAACCACCCCGAUUGCCACCCCUUCACGGUCCACGUAGGAGCCUUCGAGCCAUAUGAUGUUCGGCAUCUUGCCCACCAUGCACUACUAGAAAAAGGCCUGUUAGUGGCGCACCUAUUUUUUCCAUUAAUGGCGCACUAUAGGUGCGCCACUAUUACCACGCCACUAGUAGCAAAUACUAAUUUCUUUUUUUUCUUAAUUUCGGGUCACCAUGGCUUAAUCUCGGGUCAAUAUGGCUUAAUCUCAAGUCAAGUCGCACUCCGUGGUCAAACUUGCCGAAAGGUCACCCAUCCUCACACUACUCCAGCCCAAGCACGCUUAACUUCAGAGUUCUAUCCAACCCCAGCACCAGCUCACUUAACAGGCACUUGUUGAUAUAUCUAGCAUAUCAAUCCAAUUAAACCUUGUUGAUGUUUAGGACUUUGUUCAUGUUCAUGAGUGUGAUGAAAUUUUGAAAAAAUGUUUCAAACUUCCGUUCAUAUUACGUAGCAUAUUCUGAAAAACAUUUCCCCAAAAAAAUUCGAAACUACUUUUUUUCUCUUACUAGUGGCGCACCUAGCAAAUGGUGCGCCACUACUAAGUUUGAAUUUUAUUGAAUUUUUUUCCUCUCCAGAUCUUGAAAGCCCCGUAACUUUCUUUCUGUUAGGUUUUUGAGGAUUUUGAAAAUGUUUAACGGGGUUUCCCCUGGUUAAAUUCGGAUAUAACUUUUCGAGUAGAUGAUUUUUCAUAUAAAAAACUUUUUAAUAUGAGUUCGUAUGCAAAAGUUAUGCCCAUUUUACAAAUUCCAGAGAGAUUUUGCAAAUAAAGUAGAAAUUCAUAUUUGUAAAUUUUCCCAAGGACUAGACCACAUAUCACAUGGGAAACUUAUUUUCUUUUAUAUUUUUGACAUUUCCAUCAUUUUCUUUUAUUUUUUUAAAACUAAAAAGGCGGUCCACAGGGGGGGCAUUCGGUGGAAUUUUUUGUCAAAGUUAGUAAUGGUGCACCGUGAGUGUGGUGCGCCAUUACUAGUUAAAACUAGUAAUGGCGCACCACACCCACAAUGCGCCAUUACUAACUUUCAAAAAAAAUAGUAGUGGCGCACCGAGGGUGUGGUGCGCAAUUACUAGUUAAAACUACUAAUGGCGCACUAUCCCCUGGUGCGCCAUUACUAGUUUUGAAAAAAAAAUGAAAAAAAAUUGUUAGUAGUGGCGCACUGAGGGUGUGGUGCGCCAUUACUAGUUAAACUAGUAAUGGUGCACUAUCUCCCGGUGCGCCAUUACUAGUUUUGAAAAAUAAAAUAAAAUAAAAUUGUUAGUAGUGGCGCACCAUGGAUGUGGUGUGCCAUUAGUAUUUGGAGUUUAAUGGCGUAGCUAUAUAUGGCGCGCCACUGCUAUAUAGCAGUGGCGCACCAUAUAUGUGGUGCGCCAUUAAUUUCUGUAUUAUCUAUAGCCGUUUACCUAGUAGUGAUGGCGCCUCCGCACUACGCUUGCUGUCCGACCACUAUCUUCGGCUUUGCGUUGAAGGUCUUCAGCCACAGGCCGAUGUGGGGCUUGAUGCGGAGGAAGGCCUCGCACACGACAAUAAACGCCGAUAUGUUGAGGAUGCAAUUGACGGCCAGAUCAUGGAAGUCCAGCCCGUAGUAAAACAUGAUACCACGGAAAAAUGGGUGGAGUGGGAAUCCCAGUCUGCGGACAAAGUGAGCAAGGAAUACCACCCUCUCGUGGGGUUCCGGAGUAGGGACGAUCUGCCCUACAUCCGGAAGACGGUGCCCAAUGUAUGCGGCCAGCUAUCUGGCUUCCUGGAGCUUCGUAAUGUCCUCCUCCGUUACGGAGGAGGCCAUCCCCUUGCCUCCCGCUCCGGACAUGUUUGGAAUGGCUUUACGGAAAAGGUGAGAACUUGGGCGCUGGGGCUCGAGCGUGCGAGAAUGGAUGAGCAGGGAAGAAGAAGGCGUGGGUGAAAAUGAGGGAUCCUUAUCUCUUUAUAAAGGCGGUAGAAACUGUGCGCCUCCCAACUUGCCCAGUAAACCCGCUAAUUCCCCAAGCGCCGCAUUGAUGGUGUGGUUGGGUUACCCACACCCGUAUUAAUGAGAAUCCCAUGAUAAGGGCACACGAUCUCUGCUUCGACAUGAUGUGCCAAUAAAAUUGCCUCGCGAUAUGUGCGGUAGCAGGUUGGAAAACGGUUCGAAUAAUGAUCGGGCCACGGCGUGAUGUCACGCUAUGAAAAGAUGUCUAUAGAUUAGAUUUGUGGAAUAUUGUGCUCUCUACGGUGGUAUGUGGAAUUUGUUUUGCAGAGCCAGAGACGAUCCUCGUGUUCAAAAUCUUCUAUGGAGUAUUCGGAGAAGGAACCCUCCUUGCAAUGCCGAAGACAAUUUGCGCGCCGGUCAUCGUCAUUGAAGCCUGGUCUAGGGGCUACUGAGGGAGUCCUAGAUUAGGGGGUCCUCGGACAGCCGGACUAUAUACUUCGGCCGGACUGUUGGACUAUGAGGAUACAAGAUUGAAGACUUCGUCCCGUGUCCGGGUGGGACUCUCCUUUGCGUGGAAGGCAAGCUUGGCAAUCCGGAUAUGUAGAUCUCUUUCUAUGUAACCGACUCUAUGUAACCCUAGCCCCCUCCGGUGUCUAUAUAAACUGGAGGGUUUAGUCCGUAGGACAACAACAAUCAUACCAUAGGCUAGCUUCUAGGUUUAGCCUCUACGAUCUCGUGGUAGAUCAACUCUUGUAAUACUCAUAUCAUCAAGAUCAAUCAAGAAGGAAGUAGGGUAUUACCUCCAACGAGAAGGCCCGAACCUGGGUAAACAUCGUGUCCCCCGCCUCCUGUUACCAUUAGCCUUAGACGCAUAGUUCGGGACCCCCUACCCGAGAUCCUCCGGUUUUGACACCGACGGCUAGGCUUAGACAAAGUCGGUUACUGAGGAAAGAAAUCUACAUAUCACGAAUCGCCAAGCUUACCUUCCACGCAAAGGAGAGUCCCACCCGGACACGGGAACAAGUCUUCUAUCUUAUAUCUUCAUAGCCCAAUAGUCGGGCCCACGUAUAUAGUUCGGCUGUCCGAGGACCCCUUAAUCCGGGACUCCCUCAAUGACCUCUCCAAAUCCAUGUUCAUAAUUAUUACAAUAAGAUUCGACACCCUCCAAAAUAGUGGGAUCAUUAGUACCUAGAGACGACACUCUUCCAAUCCCAGUUUCAUCAAUAUAAUCAUCAUAAGUAGGAGGCAUGAUAUCAUCAUAAUACUAAUUCUCGCCAAAAAAUGGGUAACUAAAAAUAGCAUCUUCAUCAAACAUAGCAUCCCCAAGCUUAUGCAUUUGCAUAUCAUUAUCAUCAUGUAUAUUCAAAGAAUUCAUGCUAGAAACAUUGCAACCUGAUACGUCUCAGUCGUAUCUAUAAUUUUUGAUUGUUCCAUGCCAAUAUUCUACAACUUUCAUAUACUUUUGGCAACUUUUUAUACUAUUUUUGGGACUAACAUAUUGAUCCAAUGCCCAGCGCCAGUUCCUGUUUGUUGCAUAUUUUAUGUUUCGCAGAAACCCCAUAUCAAACGGAGUCCAAACGGGAUAAAAAAAGACGGAGACUAUUUUUGGAAUAUUUGUGAUUUUCUAGAAGAAAAAUCAAUGCGAGACGGUGCCCGAGGGGGCCACAAGGCAGGGGGCGUGCCCCAGGGGGGCAGGCGCGCCCUUGACUCUGGUGGGCACCCCAUAAGGCGGUUAACGCUCUUCUUUUGCCGCAAGAAAGCUAAUUUUCAGAGAAAAAUCUGGGCGAAGAUUUUAAUCCAAUCGGAGUUACGGAUCUCCGGAUAUAUAUGAAACAGUGAAAGGGUGUCGGUGUCAAAACCGGCGGAUCUCGGGUAGGGGGUACCGAACGGUGCGUCUAGGCAGAUGGUAACAGGAGACAAGGGACACGAUGUUUUACCCAGGUUCGGUCCCUCUUGAUGGAGGUAAAACCCUACGUCCUGCUUGAUUAAUAUUGAUGAUGUGUGUUACAAGAGUGGAUCUACCACGAGAUCAACGAGGCUAAACCCUAGAAGCAAGCCUAUGGUAUGAUUGUUGUUCAUCCUACGGACUAAAGCCAUCCGGUUUAUAUAGACACCGGAGAGGGCUAGGGUUACACAGAGUCGGUUACAAUGGUAGGAGAUCUACAUAUCUGUAUCGCCAAGCUUGCCUUCCACGCCAAGGAAAGUCCCAUCCGGACACGGGACGAAGUCUUCAAUCUUGUAUCUUCAUAGUCUUGGAGUCCGGCCAAUAAUGAUAGUUUGGCUAUCCGGACACCCCCUAGUCCAGGACUCCCUCAGUAGCCCCCGAACCAGGCUUCAAUGACGACGAGUCCGACGCGUAUGUUGUCUUCGGUGUUUGCAAGGCGGGUUCUCCUUCACGCUCCACGUGUUUGCCGGAUAGUGUCUGGUUGCUUCAUAAAUGUUGCGCUCCUUGGCUUCCACGUCCAAUAGUGGCCUUCUUCCACAUGUUGUACGAAUGCGAAAAGCCAGGGUAUUCUUACAUUUUACCCCCUAGCCGCGCGAAUAAGCUGCCUAUAAGAGAGGCGAGGAUCCAGAUCCAAAUCACACCAUCCUCCUUCCGCAAGUACUCAUCGAGGCGCAUCUGACAAGAAAUCCAUUCCAUCAUGGAUAGUCGACGCAACUCCUCUUCUCGCGCUCCCAGUCCUCAGCCAGGAGAUUGGAGGAGAUGCUCAGUCCCGCAUAGCGAGUUAGUGACGCUCCAAGCAGAGGGAUACCUUCCCCCAGCCUUUAUGGUUCCGGUUCGAGCCGGACUGGCCACCUACAAUAGGAAGAGAGCAUCACCAAUCCCUCCAAAGGACAGCGGGUAUGCUUCGUCCCCUACCUAAUAAGGGGACUCGGAUUUCCCAUACAUCCGUUUCUCCGGGGGCUCCUGGAGUUCUAUGGACUCCAACUUCACCACCUUACGCCUGCCUCCAUUUUGCACAUCGCGGGCUUUGUAGCUCUUUGUGAGCUGUUCUUGGGCAUCGAGCCCCAUUUUGCCAUGUGGAAGAGGUUGUUUUGCCUCGUACCCCGUUCUCACGAGGGGUCGAUAUAUCAAGUGGGCGGAGCCGAAAUAUGGCGCAUCGCCGGGACCAGAUAUCUAUCCGGAACCCUGAAGAAGGCGUCCGAAGACUGGCCUUCGGAGUGGUUCUAUAUGGAAGACGCCCCGCUACCGGAUCCAAUUCGGAUCGGCCUCCUGGAGUUUAGCAAUGCUCCUCUAAAGAAACGCCUGAGUUGGCGCCCACAGAGCCCUCAACGGGAAGAUGACAGGAGCGUCCACUAUCUGAUGGGCCGGAUACGGUUACUAGCCCAUUCCGAAUUAACCAUGAUUGGAGUCAUGGCCACAUGCAUUAUGCGAGGGGUGCAGCCGCUUCAAUAUAGGGGCCACCCCAUGUGGGAUUUCAACGGGAAGAAUGACACCACCCAUCAUGGCCGCACGGGGCCGGGAUCGGCCGCCGAUCUGGUGAAGAUCCUGUCCGGCUUGUACAAGGGGGAGAAGGAGGACUUCCUCCACACGAAUCCAUUGAAUGGAUUCUCCAUGAAUAACCCUCGGAGCUGGGUAAGCGGACGCUUAUAUAUCUGAUCCGUGCUUUCAAAGAUAAGUGCCUUACUUUAUGAUUUCGACGCAGGAAAUACGUCGGGAUGUGGCGGGCAUAGAAAGCCCAACUCCACAACCCGAGGAUCCGGGAAGAUCCCUUGAUCCGGCCUCCGAAGAGGAUCCGGACAUAAAGGUGGAUUUGAUUGACGGGGUGUUCCACCAGCUCAGCAUAGACAAUGCUUUAGUCGCCAUUACGGCUGACUACCCCGGUUUAUGUCCGGCUUCCCAGGUGAGUACGACCGAAGUCCUGACACCGUUACCUUUUUAAUGCUUAUUUCUGACCACCGUGUAUCAAUGGUGCUUGGCAGGAGGUGCCUUAAUGGCGGGAAGCCGAGCCCGCGGCGACUGACCAAACGAGGUCAGUGCGUCCUAGCAGGCGGAAGAGGAGUGCAGCGCGAAUCGAAACAUUGCCGCAAAGGUAUGGUGCGCCAUUGUCUUUUAAGGGAAAGACUCCUGGGAGGAAUAUUAAUGCUCAUGAUUCUUCCAGGAGAAAGAGCGCUCGCCGGACUGAGUCCGGAGAGGGUGCCCACCAAGCCUCCGCCAGCCAGGCUCCAACGCCUGGUCCGGAGGGGGAGGCGAGCGCAAGGCGCGAGCCGGAUGCUCCUCCAACAGAGGAUGCCGACAGGUUGUCCGCCACUAGGUUUGAGGUGGAGAGCGCCAUGAAUCACAGGCGCCGUCGGAUAGUUCUUCGUGACGCGUGUUUCUCCCCUGAGGCGUUAAAUGCCUUUAAUGCGGGAGACGCGCACCUCCGUGCUGCUCAAGAUGGUUUAACCAGAGCCAUGGAGCAGUAUGUAAAGGACAUACGGGUAAGGAAUUUUAAUAGUUAUAUAGGCCAAUAGCCCCUGAGACUUAAAAUAGUUAAACUAACUGAUUUAAGGAUCAUUUGUUAUGCAGGAUCUUACUGAGAAGAAUACCCACCUGUCUCAGGAGCUUCAAGAAUGCAAGGCCCAACUUGAGGCCGCACUAGCCGCUGCCGGGGGAGCCACGGAGACCCCCUCUGGUAAUUCAUAUUUUGAAAAGAGAAGUAGUUUAUGAAGUGCGGCGUGUGUGUAUAGUCUGACAAUAAUAUUGCAGAGGGUGCCGGACUAGAUCCGGACAAGCAAUAGCUGUUGCGCCAGUUGAAGGCCGGCGAGAGGGUGCUUAUGAGGGUGCAGCAGGAGAGGAACAAACUCCAAGAUGCCAACACCCACCUGGGCGAAGAACUAAAAGAUGUUCGGGUCCAGCUGUCUAACUCCGUAAAGGAGAAUCGGCGGCUUCAUCGCGGCAUUUAUAGUAAGUUCUUGAGCAAACUCUUUUGAAAAGAAGAGUUCGGCGAGGAAGUCGAUUGACAGAAAUGUGUGUGUAGGUGUGCUCACGGGUCAUCCAGCGGAGGUGAUGCCUGGUUCUACGGGAGACCCACUUCCCGAGCUGCUGCAACUGCACGAACGUGUUCGGCAGGCGAUGAGCGGCAUUGUUCAGGCCUUAUGGCCUUCUGUCUCCCUACCCGAGGGUCUUGGAGGGCUUGCCGAGAAGCUUCAGGGAGUACGGCGGCGUCUCCGUCUAUGGAAGAUAUUGGCCUGCCGUCAAGGUGCCAGGGAGGCCUGGGCCAUGGUGAAGACGCGGUACCCGAAGGCUGACCCAAACCACAUGGCCGAGGUCAGACCUGUGGGGCCCGAUGGGUAGGAGAUCCCUGUGAGCCUGAUGUACGGCCAAGUAGAGUUGGUCGUGAAAUAUUCCCAAUAGGACUGUAAAUUAGACAACCUGUUAGAUGGGAUUGAAGAGGAGUACAAUCAUUCAGUUUGACGAUGUAAUUUUAAAAUGACAUGUAAAAUGCCUUCUAGCCGGAUUGUAGAUCGUUUGUCUUUGCGGACCUUUUCGCUUCAACCUCGGGACCCAAUAGUCCGAAGUGUGUCCGAAUACCCUUACGGUUAUGAAAGAACCGGGGCAUGCAUGGAGACAAGGCGUAGGGGUCAUAAUUGCUUUAUCAGACAAGUGCCCAACUAGCUAUGUUAUAUUACAUGGUUAGUAAGAAACAUCUUCCAGGGAGAAUAGUUCCGUUAAGGGUUCCUUUUACUGGGAGGCAUGCCCUAAAGUGCAUGUCCGGACUAUGAAAAUAGCAGAAAAAGCAUCUGGGGGCAGAUAAAUAAGUAAGUAAUAAAUCAUCUUUCAAGGUCACCGACCGAAUAUUCCCUUAAGAACGCUAGCCUUCGGCUUCACCCAGUCUGAGGUACACAUCCGGCUGACCCGGCAGUAACAAUCGCAGAGGUGCUCCCUUUACCUCCUAGCCGAACAAUCGGGAAUGCGGGGGUAAGCACAGGAUCCAGGCAACCCGGCUUGGCCAAAACUUAAGUCAUAUCGAUGCAUAUAAUGGUGAUCAAAAGGUACAUGCGGAAGUAUGACACAUGUGUUGGGAAUGAAGCCCAUAGAAAUAAGCUUCUGUUAAAGAAGCCCCCAGGUAUAACGAGUGUGAGUAGCACAUCGAGUGAGUGCGAACAAAGCGUGGAUCAGCCCUCAAGAGGCUUGUACUGAAAGAGGGAGGAAAAAGGAGGGAAAACAAAGACAGCGAAAAAACAUGAAAGGUGGACGGAGGAAGGAGACGAACCCUGAGUCCGGCGUUAGCCGUAAAAUCUUCAGAGACGGGCUGCGUUCCAUGGGUUUGGCUCGAGUCGGUUGUCAGAUGCAUUGCAUAGACGGUAUGCACCGCCCGUAAGGACUUGGUCGAUGAUGAAGGGACCUUCCCAUUUGGGCUUAAGUUUGUCCUUUUUCUUGUCUGGCAGGCGUAGAACUAGCUAGCCAACAUUGUAAGUUUUGGCCCGUACUUCUCUGCUUUGAUAUCUUCAAGCCUGCUGUUGAUAGAAUGCGGAACGGGAUUUUGCCACGUCACGCUCCUCCUCUAAAGCGUCCAAACUGUCCUGCCGAUCCAACUCGGCUUCUCUUUCCUCGUACAUGCGCACGUGAGUUGAGUCAUGAAUUAUAUCGCAGGGCAAAACUGGCUCAGCGCUGUAUACCAUAAAAAAUGGUGUGAAUCCGGUUGUGCGGUUUGGCGUGGUCCGCCGCCCCCAGAGUACGGAGUCGAGCUCCUCUACCCAGUGCGUGUUAGAUUCCAUGAGGGACCGCACUAAUCUGGGUUUGCUUCAAUUCCUCUACCAGAUACAAUGUACUGGUACUGCUGGGCUGGUUGCCCGGGGCUAGAAAGCCUUCGCCACUUUUGGCCACCUGCCAUAGUAUCCAACAUGCUUGGAGGCUAUGUGUUGGAGUGGCGCCCUCCGUACUGUGGAUUUUGCAGGGUCUGUUGAGCCAUCCCUCCAGUACGGUUCCAUGUCCUUUAGGGGUUUUUUGUUUUUUGGUUUUUAACCUAGGUGCUUGAGUAUGACGCACCCUUUUAUUUCGGACUGGGGUUGUAUUCAGGGCCGGAUUGUCCCAAAACCUGGUUUUGGUUUUCCAGGUGCUCUGCAUCGCACAGUAUUUUUGUACAAUGGUCGCUAGGUCGGCGAAGCGUGUAACUUUGCGACGACUUAUGGCGUUCAUGAUUGCCUUGUCCGUGCAAUUGUUGCAGAAAAUUGAAAUCGCGCUUUCUUCACGGCAGUCCUUUAUCCUGUUCAUAACCAGGAGGAAUCUGGCCCAGUAAUGAUGUACUAUUUCAUCGGGCUCUUGCCGUAUUUGAGAUAGAUCGGUUAUGUUUGGGUGGGCGGGUGGAAUUAAGUUCGGAACCCCGCCCGAUCUGAGGCUCAAAGGCCAAGAAGUUUCUGGAUUUGGAAGCUUGGUUUGUUGGAUGCUUUCUGACAAAUCUGGUCCGAUGCCUGACUUUAGGUUCAGUAUUUGAUUGACGUCCGUCCCUCUGCGGGAAUCCGGCAUGGAGGGAUCGGGAAUCCGGACAUAGCUGGUUUUUAACAUAGAAGAAGAGUCGCCGCAUUGUUCCUCUACCACAACAACGUGGUGGGUAGCCUGGGGAGAGUUAAUUUCUCUCAGAUCGGUUUUAAGACCAAUCUGAUCGUAGUCUGUAGCGACUCCCAGGGCGGCGAUGCGAUCCAAGAGCUCGUUUAUGGAGGAGAGCUCAAUCAGAUCUAGCUUCUCGGAGAAUUCCGAGCUGACGUGAAGAUCGCUUUUGAUAACCUGAGAGGUCAUCGUCGGGGCGGUGGCCGAACAGGCGGUCAUAAGAAAACCACCUAGCCGGAUAGUUUGGCGGGCGGCCAAAGCUCCCUUGACGACGGUGCCGUCUUAAAAGACGGGAAACGACAUCCUUCCUUAUUGCGACGACACAGAGGAACUCUCAAUGAAAGCACCAAUGUCGGUGUCAAAACCGGCGGAUCUCGGGUAGGGGGUCCCGAACUGUGCGUCUAGGCAGAUGGUAACAGGAGACAAGGGACACGAUGUUUUACCCAGGUUCGGGCCCUCUUGAUGGAGGUAAAACCCUACGUCCUGCUUGAUUAAUAUUGAUAAUGUGUGUUACAAGAGUGGAUCUACCACGAGAUCAAGGAGGCUAAACCCUAGAAGCUAGCCUAUGGUAUGAUUGUUGUUCGUCCUACGGACUAAAGCCAUCCGGUUUAUAUAGACACCAGAGAGGGCUAGGGUUACACAGAGUCGGUUACAAUGGUAGGAGAUCUACAUAUCCGUAUCGCCAAGCUUGCCUUCCACGCCAAGGAAAGUCCCAUCCGGACACGGGACGAAGUCUUGAAUCUUGUAUCUUCGUAGUCUUGGAGUCCGGCCAAUAAUGAUAGUUCGGCUAUCCGGACACCCCCUAGUCCAGGACUCCCUCAAAGGGCAAAAUCAGAGAACGCAGAAACAGAGAGAGACAGAGAGACAGAUCCAAACUCGGAGGGGCUCUCGCCCCUCCCACACCAUGGGUGCUAAGGACCAGAGGGGAAACUCUUCUCCCAUCUAGGGAGGAGGCCUAGGAAGAAGAAGAAGAAGAAGAAGGGGGGCUCUCUCCCCCUUGCUUCCGGUGGCGCCGGAACGCCGCCUGGGCCAUCAUCAUGACCCUAAUCUCCAGCAACAACUUCACCGCCUUCAUCACCAACUCUUCCCUCCUCUAUGCAGUGGUGUAAGCCCUCUUUUACCCGCUGUAAUCUCUACUUAAACAUCGUGCUCAAUGCUAUAUAUUAUUUCCCAAUGAUGUAUGGCUAUCUUAUGAUCUUUGAGUAGAUCCGUUUUGUCCUAUGGGUUAAUUGAUGAUCGUGAUUGGUUUGAGUUGCAUGUUUUAUUAUUGGUGCUGUCCUAUUGUGCCCUCGUGUCGCGCAAGCGUGAGGGAUUCCUGAGGUAGGGUGUUGCAAUAUGUUCAUGAUUCGCUUAUAGCGGGUUGCUUGAGUGGCAGAAGCAUAUACCCGAGUAAGGGGGUUGUGGCGUAUGGGAUAAAGGGGACUUGAUACAUUAGUAGUUGCGGAUGCUUGCUAGAGUUCCAAUGAUAAGUGCAUAUGAUCCAAGUAGAGAAAGUAUGUUAGCUUAGGCCUCUCCCUCAAAUAAAAUUGCAAUAGUGAUUAACGGUCUAGUUAUCGAUUGCCUAGGGACAAAUAACUUUCUCGUGACAAAAAGCUCUCUACUAAAACUAAUUUAGUUGUGUCUUCAUCUAAACAUCCCCUACUUUUUUACGUGUUCUUUAUUAUCUUGCAAACCUAUCCAACAACACCUACAAAGUACUUCUAGUUUUAUACUUGUUCUAGGUAAAGCGAAUGUUAAGCGUGCGUAGAGUUGUAUCGGUGGUCGAUAGAACUUGAGGGAAUAUUUGUUCUACCUUUAGCUCCUCGUUGGGUUCGACACUCUUACUUAUCGAAAGACGAUACAAUUGAUCCCCUACACUUGUGGGUUAUCAAGACCUUUUUCUGGCGCCGUUGCCGGGGAGUCAUAGCAUGGGGUGAAUAUUCUCCUGUGUGCUUGUUUGCUUUAUCACUAAGUAAUUUUUAUUUUCUCUUUUAAGUUGUUCUCUAUGAUUAGUUAUGGAUAUGGAACACGAAAUACCAAAAACAUUAGGUGUACUUUCUACUCAUGGACAUGGGAAACCUCCUAAAACCCUCGAUGCUCAUUAUGUGAAAGAACUUAUGUACUUCUUUGAUAAUCCCGAGAAAGCCCCAUUCAAUUAUGUUAUGCAAGACACGUUGGAUCAACGUGAAUACUUUAGGGCUUAUCGCUUGACACAAAAAGGGAAACUAUUAUGGAUCAAAUUCAUAUGUUGCAUUGGUAUGCUCAGGAACUAUGCUUGAGAUAUGAUUAUACUUGUUGCUCUAGGAUGAAGGCUCCACACCUUCCCUUUUCAUGCAAAUUUAAUGAUGAUAAAACCUUGGCUUCUUAUGCUAAUGGUAUAUAUGAUUACUAUGAUGUGAAACAAAUAAAAGAAUUCGUUGCUUUUAUGGGUGCUUAUGAAAUUGAAUCUUUGUUUAAAGAGUUUUAAGAUUUUGAUGAUUCAGUUUAUAGACCUGAAAAUUUUGCUAUACUUAAAUAUUGUUAGGAGAAUUAUGAAUACAAUUCCGAUAUUGAUGCAUUUAUUGAGAAAGUCUCCGCUGUCCAAGAAGAGACUAAUGUUUUGCAGGAGUCUAUGGAAGAAGGAAUAGAUGAAACUGUGAGCUCAUUGGAUGAAAAAGAUAAUGAGGGUAGCAAAGAACAAAAGGAGGAAGAGCGGAUUAGCUACACGUGCCCACCUUCUAAUGAGAGUAACUCUUCAACUCAUACAUUGUUUAAUUCCACUUCGUGCUUACCGAAGGAUGAUUGCUAUGAUAAUUGCUCUGAUCCCGUUGAUUCUCUUGAAAUAGCCCUUUUUGAUGACGCUUGCUAUGCUUGUGGCCAAGAUGCCAAUAUGAAUGAUGCUUAUGAAGAUGAACUUGAUAUAGUUCCUUAUGUUAAACAUGAAAUUGUUGCUUUUGCACCCAUGCAUGAUAGUCCUAUUAUCUUUUUGAAUUCUCUAAACUACACUAUAUCGGAGAAGUUUGUGCUUAUUAAGGAUUAUAUUGAUGGGUUGCCUUUUACUACUACACAUGAUGAUUUCGAUAUAUAUAAUAUGCAUGCGCUUGCUGCUCCUACUUGAAAUUAUUAUGAGAGAGGAACUAUAUCUCCACCUCUCUAUGUUUCCAAUAUGAUAAAAUUGCAAGAAACUUCUUAUACUAUGCAUUGGCCUUUACUAUGUGUGCAUGAAUUGUUCUUUUAUGGCAUGCUGAUGCAUAGGAAGAGAGUUAGACUUCGUUGUUGCUUGAUAUAUGUUACUUUGUGCUCACUACUAAAUUAUAAAUCAUUGUUAAUUAAAAUUGGCUUUGAUAUACCUUGGGAUCCGGGUGGAUUCAUUACAUGAGCACUGUAUGCCUAGCUUGAUGGCUUUAAACAAAGCGAUGCCAGGGAGACAACCUGGAAGUUUUAGAGAGUCAUUUAUUUCUAUUGAGUGCUUUUAUAUAGUCUAAAAACAAAAAAUAAAUAAAGAGGGGAACCCAAAACUUUUCAAAAAGGAAAGUGAAAGUGAGAGAGACAAGCAUUGUUGAAGUGGGAGAGCUCCUUGAACUUUGUUCGUGCUCAUGGAAACUUUGUGAAUCUUGAUUACAGAAACUUUUCAUCAAAAAUAAGUAUCCCCUUGUACAAUUCCAUUGUAUUAUAAAAAUAAUGUGCCAAGGUUUGCCUUUAAGAUGUUUACAAUGCUUGUUGGUUUGUGCGGUGCAGGACAUAAACUUUGGCUGUAGUGCGCGAUUUUACAUUUUUUUUAUUGCAACAUCAAACGGUUCUGAUUCUUUUUGCACUGUCUUUCUGUACAAAUUGUUUAUUUUUCCUAAUUUCGGUAGAAUUUUUGGGGUAACAGAAGUAUGGUGAAUGUUCAGAUUGCUACAGACUGUUCUGUUUUUGACAGAUUCUCUUUUUGAUGCAUAGUUUACCUGUUUUGAUGAAACUAUCAAUUUCUAUCAGUGGAUUAAGCCAUGAAAACGGUUAUAUUACAGUAGACACAAUGCAAAAAAAUAUGAAUUGGUUUGCAACAAUACUUAGAGUAGUGAUUUGCUAUAUUAACGGAUCUUACCGAGUUUUCUGUUGAAGUAUUGUGUGGAUGAAGUGUUUGAUCGAGGAGGUCUUGAUAUGAGGAAAAGGAGGAGAGGCAAGAGCUCAAGCUUGGGGAUGCCCAAGGAACCCCAAGUAAAUAUUCAAGGAGACUCAAGCGUCUAAGCUUGGGGAUGCCCCGGAAGGCAUCCCCUCUUUCUUCAACAAGUAUUGGUAUGUUUUCGGAUUCAUUUCGUUCAUGCGAUAUGUGCAAGUCUUGGAGCGUUUUUUGCAUUUAGUUUUCACUUUUCUUUUAUGCACCAUGAUGGUAUGAGAUAGUCCUUGGUUGAUUUAUAGAAUGCUCAUUGCACUUCACUUAAAUCUUUUGAGUGUGGCCUUUAUAGAAUGCUUCAUGUGCUUCACUUAUAUCAUUUGAAGUUUGGAUUGCCUGUUCCUCUUCACAUACAAAACCGCCAUUUGUAGAAUGCUCUUUUGCUUCACUUAUAUUUGUUAGAGCGUGGGCAUAUGUUUUGUAGAAAGAAUUAAACUCUCUUGCUUCACUUAUACCUAUUUAGAGAGAUGACAGGAAUUGGUCAUUGACAUGGUUAGUCAUAAAAUCCUACAUAAACUUGUAGAUCGCUGAAUAUGAUAUGUUUGAUUCCUUGCAAUAGUUUUGAGAUAUAAAGGUUGUGAUAUUAGAGUCAUGCUAGUGGGCGACUAUGGAUUAGUAGAAAUAAUUGUGUUGAGGUUUGUGAUUCCCGUAGCAUGCACGUAUGGUGAACCGUUAUGUGAUGAAGUCGGAGCAUGAUUUAUUUAUUGAUUGUCUUCCUUAUGAGUGGCGGUCGGGGACGAGCGAUGGUCUUUUCCUAACAAUCUAUCCCCCUAGGAGCAUGCACAGUACUUUGUUUCGAUGACUAAUAGAUUUUUGCAAUAAGUAUGUGAGUUCUUUAUGACUAAUGUUGAGUCCAUGGAUUAUACGCACUCUCACCCUUCCAUCAUUGCUAGCCUCUUCGGUACCGUGCAUUUCCCUUUCUCACCUCGAGAGUUGGUGCAAACUUCGCCGGUGCAUCCAAACCCCGUGAUACGAUACGCUCUAUCACACAUAAGCCUCCUUAUAUCUUCCUCAAAACAGCCACCAUACCUACCUAUCAUGGCAUUUCCAUAGCCAUUCCGAGAUAUAUUGCCAUGAAACUUCCAUCAUCAUCAUAUAUAUGACUUGAGCAUUCAUUGUCAUAUUGCUUUGCAUGACCAUAAGAUAGCUAGCAUGAUGUUUGUCAUUGCUACGCUAGAUCAUUGCAUAUCCCGGUACACUGCUGGAGGCAUUCAUAUAGAGUCAUAUCUUUGUUCUAGUAUCGAGUUGUAAUAUUGAGUUGUAAGUAAAUAAAAGUGUGAUGAUCAUCAUUAUUAGAGCAUUGCCCCAGUGAGGAAAGGAUGAUGGAGACUAUGAUUCCCCCACAAGUCGGGAUGAGACUCCGGACUUUAUAAAAAAAAGAAAGAGAGAGGCCAAAGAAGCCUAAAUAAAAAAAAGGGGGCCAAAGAAGCCCAACAAAAAAAGAGAAAAUAAAAAAAAUGAGAGAAAAAGAGAAAAGGGGCAAUGUUACUAUCCUUUUACCACACUUGUGCUUCAAAGUAGCACCAUGUUCUUCAUAUAGAGGGUCUCUUGAGUUAUCACUUUCAUAUACUAGUGGGAAUUUUCAUUAUAGAACUUGGCUUGUAUAUUCCGAUGAUGGGCUUCCUCUAAUGCCCGAGGUCUUCAUCAGCAAGCAAGUUGGAUGCACACCCACUUAGUUUGCAGUCUGAGCUUUCAUACACUUAUAGCUCUUAGUGCAUCCGUUGCAUGGCAAUCCCUACUCCUCACAUUGACAUCAAGUGAUGGGCAUCUCCAUAGCCUAUUGGUUAGUCACGUCGAUGUGAUACUUUCUCCUUUUUUAUCUUCUCCACACAACCUCCACCAUCAUAUUCUAUUCCACAUAUAGUGCUAUAUCCAUGGCUCACGCUCAUGUAUUGCGUGAAAGUUGAAAAGGUUUGAGAACGUCAAAAGUAUGAAACAAUUGCUUGGCUUGUCAUCGGGGUUGUGCAUGAUUUGAAUAUUUUGUGUGGUGAAGAUGGAGCAUAGCCAGACUGCAUGAUUUUGUAGGGAUAACUUUCUUUGGCCAUGUUGUUUUGAGAAGACAUGAUUGCUUUAUUACUACACUCCAAGUAUUAUUGUUUUUAUGCCAAAUGAUAGACUAUUGCUUUGAAUCACUCGUGUCUUAAUAUUCAUGCCAUGAUUAGAUAUAUGAUCAAGAUUAUGCUAGGUAGCAUUCCACAUCAAAAAUUAUCUUUUUUAUCAUUUACCUACUCAAGGAUCAGCAGGAAUUAAGCUUGGGGAUGCUGAUACGUCUCCGUCGUAUCUAGAAUUUUUGAUUGUUCCAUGCCAAUAUUCUACAACUUUCAUAUACUUUUGGGACUAUUGUCCCAGUGCCAGUUCCUGUUUGUUGCAUGUUUUAUGUUUCACAGAAACCCCAUAUCAAACGAAGUCCAAACGGGAUAAAAAUGGAAGGAGAAUAUUUAUGGAAUAUUUGUGAUUUUCUGGAAGAAAAAUCAACGCGAGACGGUGCCCGAGGGGGCCAAGAGGUAGGGGGAGCGCCCCUGACCCGCGUGGGCACCCCGUAAGACGGUUGACUCUCUUCUUUUGCUGCAAGAAAGCCAAUUUUCAAAGAAAAAUCUGGGCGAAGGUUUCAAUCCAAUCAGAGUUACGGAUCUCGGGAUAUAUAAGGAACGGUGAAAGGGCAGAAUCAGAGAACACAGAAACAGAGAGAGACAGAGAGAUAGAUCCAAUCUCGGAGGGGCUCUCGCCCCUCCCAUGACAUGGGAGCCAAGGACCAGAGGGGAAACCCUUCUCCCAUCUAGGGAGGAGGUCAAGGAAGAAGAAGAAGAAGUGGGGCUCUCUCCCCCUUGCUUCUGGUGGUGCCGGAACGCCGCCGGGGCCAUCAUCUCACCGUGAUCUACACCAACAAAUUCACCGCCUUCAUCACCAACUCUUCCCUCCUCUAUGUAGCGGUGUAACCCAUCUUUUACCCGAUGUAAUCUCUACUUAAACAUGGUGCUCAACGCUAUAUAUUAUUACCCAAUGAUGUAUGGCUAUUCUAUGAUGUUUGAGUAGAUCCGUUUUGUCUUAUGGGUUAAUUGAUGAUCGUGAUUGGUUUGAGUUGCAUGUUUUAUUAUUGGUGCUGUCCUAUUGUGCCCUCCGUGUCGUGCAAGCGUGAGGGAUUCCCACUGUAGGGUGUUGAAAUAUGUUCAUGCUUCGCUUAUAGUGGGUUUCUUGAGUGACAGAAGCAUAAACCCGAGUAAGGGGGUUGUGGCGUAUGGGAUAAAGGGGACUUGAUACUUUAAUGAUAUGGUUGGGUUUUACCAUAAUGAUCUUUAGUAGUUGCGGAAGCUUGCUAGAGUUCCAAUCAUAAGUGCAUAUGAUCUAAGUAGAGAAAGUAUGUUAGCUUAUGCCUCUCCCGCAAAUGAAAUAGCAAUAGUGAUUACCGGUCUAGUUAUCGAUUGCCUAGGGACAAAUAACUUUCUCGUGACAAAAGGCUCUCUACUAAAACUAAUUUAGUUGUGUCUUCAUCUAAACAGCCCCUACUUUUUAUUUACGUGUUCUUUAUUAUCUUGCAAACCUAUCCAACAACACCUACAAAGUACUUCUAGUUUUAUACUUGUUCUAGGUAAAGCGAACGUUAAGCGUGCGUAGAGUUGUAUUGGUGGUCGAUAGAACUUGAGGGAAUAUUUGUUCUACCUUUACCUCCUCGUUGGGUUCGACACUUUUACUUAUCGAAAGAGGCUACAAUUGGUCCCCUACACUUGUGGGUUAUCACAACCAUCCUCAUCAUUAAAAGAUUUUAUGCCAAACAUUUUAUUGAAUUCUUCUUCAAUCAAUUGAGCACACUUUUCCUUUCCAUCAUUUUCAUGGAAGACAUGAUAAAAACGAAUAAUACGUGGCCACCGUUUUUUUAGUUUUCUGUUAUAAGAAAAACUAGUGAGAAACAAGAACUAAAAUAUUCAAUUGCAAGAUCUAAAUGUAUAACUUGAAGCGCUCACCUCCCCAGCAACGGCGCCAGAAAGGAGCUUGAUAUCUAUUAAACAACUUUUUCUUGUAGACUCGUGUUGGGCCUCCAAGUUUGGAGUUUUGUAGGACAGUAGCAAAUUUCCCUCAAGUGGAUGACCUAAGGUUUCUCAAUCCGUGCGAUGCGUAAGAUGAAGAUGGUCUCUCUCAAACAACCCUGGAACCAAAUAAUAAAAAGUCUCUUGUGUCCCCAACACACCAAAUACAAUGGUAAAUUGUAUAGGUGCACUAGUUCGACGAAGAGAUGGUGAUACCUGUGUAGUAAUGAUAGUAGAUAUUGAUUUUGGUAGUGGUAACAAUAAAAACAACAAGGUAACAAGUAACAAAAGUGAGCACAAACAGUAUUGCAAUGCUUAAAAAUGAGGCUUAGGGUUCAUACUUUCACAAGUGAAAUCUUUCAAUAAUGCUAAUAUAAUUGGAUCAUAUUACCAUCCCUCAACGUGCGAUGAAGAAUCACUCCAAAGUUCCUAUCUAGCGAAGAACAUAAGAUGAAAUUUUUUGUAGGGUAAGAAACUACCUCAAAGUUAUCCUCUGCGAUCGAUCUAUCGAAGAGUUCCUACUAAAAUAACAGCAAGUUAUCCUUUCUGAUCGAUCUAUCUAAUAGUUCGUACUAAAAUAACACCAUAUGAUACACAUCAACCAAAUCUAAUGUCACCUAGAUGCUCCAAUGUCACCACGAGUAUCCGUGAGUUAUUUAUAUGAUAUGCAUCAAAAUAUUUCAUAUUCAUAAUACUCAAUCCAACACAAAGAACCACAAAUAGUGCCCCAAAAUUUUUAGCGGAGAAACAAGGACGAAAAUGUGCAUCAACCCCUACGAAUAGACUACCCCAGUGUCACCUCGGGAAUCUGCAAGUUGAGUGCCAAAACAUAUAGCCAGUGAAUUAAUAUGAUAAGACAUUAUCACCACGGGUAUUCAUAGAAAGACAUACAUCAAGUGCUCUCAAAUCCCUAAAAGUAUUCAAUCUGAUAGAAAGAUCUCAAAGGGAAAACUCAAUUCAUUACAACAAGAUAGAGAGGGGAAAACACCAUAUGAUCCAACUGUAUUAACAAAGCUCUCGAUACAUCAAGAUUGUGCCAAAUCAAGAACACGCGAGAGAGAGGUCAACCACAUAGCUACUAAUACAAACCCUUAGCUCCGAGGGUGGACUACUCCCUCCUCAUCAUGGUGGCCGCCGAGAUGACGAAGAUGGCCACCGGUGAUGAUUUCCCCCUCUGGCAAGGUGCCAGAACAGGGUCUAGAUUAGUUUUUUGUGGCCACAGAGGCUUGGGGCGGUGGAACUUCUGAUCUAGGAUUAUUUCUGGGGGUUUCUGUAUUUAUAGGAUUUUUUGGCGUCAUUUUCACACGAAGAUGGGCUUCGAGGGGCCCACCAGCACAUGGGCAAGGCACAUGGCGUGCCCUUGUGGGUGGUGGCCACGUCCUUCACUUUCUGGUCCUCCCACGAAGCUUCUAGUGCCUAUUUUGUUCCAAAAAAUCAUCAAAAAAGUUUGUUGCAUUUGGAGAAACUUUUAUUUCUGCACAAAAAACAACACCAUGGUAGUUCUGCUGAAAACAACGUCAGUCCGGGAUAGUUCCAUUCGAAUCAUACCAAAACCAUAUAAAAUUGUUGUAAACUUGGCAUGGAUUCUUCAUAAAUUAUAGAUACGUUGGAAAUGUAUCAAGGUAUUUGCUGGAUAAGCUUCCCGGGAAUGAUGGUUGACGGGGUCCCCUUGGUAGAAUCUGCUUCUUGGCACUCCUCGCCUUGGUGCUCCCCUCGCGUCUCCUUGCCAUCACUAGAAGGAUGAACCUUAGCAUCAGCAGCAGUCAACUGGGAUGGCGGCACGUCCUAGACCAGGGGGCUGUCCUGGGGGCUGGCUGUUGGGGAUACAACCCCGUGGUAUAACCCGCCCUAAUAGGGUCGGGUCAGAUUAUUGGCGACUUAUGAAGUUGGGCCUUAGAUAGGCCACGACGAUCAAGACAUGAGGCCGGAAGGGCGGCACACAAGAUGGGCCGGCUUAGAGCCCAGAUCCAGAUGGCGGUCUAGAGGCGUAAGCCGCUAUAUGAUGACUUGUCCUGUAAGGCAAGGUGACUUAGACUCAGUCACGGAUCCCAACCCACGGACUCUUGUAAGACGGAGGCCUCGACCUGCAUAUAAAGGUGAGUCCCUGGCAUAGUAUAGGUCAACUUACAAUCAAUCGAUAGCUAGCUCAAGCAAAUCCAUUCCCUUGUAAUCGAUACUCAAGCAAUAAGCAACAAGAGCAGGAGUAUGUUUUUACCUCCACCGUGAGGGGCCGAACCUAGGUAAACAUGGGUCUCUCGUCCUGCUCUACCCCUUCAAGCAAUCACCUAGUUGCAAUGGCCUGGCGUCAAAGUCCUCACACCAGGACAUCUGCCGUGACAAACCUUGAAAGUUGGCACCCACCAUGGGGCCAGCGCACCAUGGUUUCGAGUUCUUGAAGGGCUCUUUCCUAGGGAUCGAGCAAUAGGACAUUGGCAGGAUGACCAAGAGUUGUUAUGGCAAGCUCUACAUCUACGAUGCUGGCUGGGGCCCCGAGGCCGACUCAAUCGAGUACGGAUACCAGGACCCCUUCAGUGGAAUCGACGUCUUCAUGGACAAGAUCGGUGGAUCAGAGCCUGAGCCAGACAUCUGCACCAACAUCCUCGAGCCGGCUCGGCGCAUGCAACACAUCUGGGUCCAAGCUAGGAUGAAACACGCUUUCAUGGGCUUCACACAAGGUAUGGAACUUGCAGAAGAUUCCACAUCUGGAGGAGAGACUCUCGUCUACUCAAGCGUGGGCUUCACGCAAGGUAUGGAACUUGCGGAAGAUUCCACAUCUGGAGGAGAUACUCUCGUCUACUUAGGUGAUGAGUCCUUGACCGGAUAGACGGAGUCGAUCUACUAGCUUCAAGACAGUGGGCUUUGGGGCUGUUCCGAUGGCAACAGUAUCCCGGACCCCUAUGAGUCGCCGUGCCGAGCCACCAUCUUCAUGGAAAGCAUGGCACCGGCUCUCACCGACACAACAGCCGGUGUCGUGGAAUUAUCACAUCAGAUGUCCUAGGGAAAGGACUUAGUCGUGGAGCCAUCGCGAUCGGGUUAGAUUAGAGGGGUUAAACCGGACAAAGGACACAGGGAGUUUAUACUUGUCCGGCCCCUUGCGGUGAAGGUAAAAUCCUACGAUCCAGUUGUGGUGUUCUUGAUGUGGUCUCGAUUACCAGGGAGCAAAAUAUGCUUUGCCUAGCUUUCGAGUUGUUGUUUCUUGUCCCUAAACCACCGUCGGGUCCUCCCUAUAUAUACACAAGUUGACGGCCGGGCCUGUCUAUAGAAUCCCGAGGCCGGCUCAUACAAGUGUCCGGCUCGGUUUCUCCUUUCCCUAACUUACAAUACAAGUUAUACAUAUAUGGCAGUUCAUUACUAUGGGCCCUAAUCCGCCAUUGGGCUCUGGGCCUUCUAAGCCUUCAUAGUUAAAGCUCCACAACCUUCGUCUUCAUGGGCUUCUAUAUAGAUGACUACUUACGAGUGUAAUCCAGGCCUCCUGGGUGGUUUAACUUAGUAGUCAUAUCCCUAACAUUAGGCCCUAGAUUAGUUUGAACUUGUUCAUGUCAAUCUCCUACAUAGAGAAACUUUGAUUUGAACAUCUCCAUGUUGUCCUUGUAAACCGCCGUGACAUCAUCUUCUGGAAUAACGUUAAACCGCCAUGACGUCAUCUGCGUAAAAAACUAAUAAACAUUUCUUUUUAUUAAUUGAUCUAUGAAGAUCGAGGCGACAACUGUGCCCCAUUAUCUUUUUAAGGCUCCUCGAUUCCCACGCUUGCCUUAGCUAUCCAUUCACCUUAUAAAUAGGCCCAGGGGUCCUUUCCUUUUUCCCUUCCGUGUCUCUUCUUCCUCCUCGUGACGCUCAAGCCCUGAAGCUCCGCCGCCGCCCUCGACCUUCAAGCACUGCAUCAUUCUUGGCCGCUGCAUCGACCUGAACGUACCAGAGACCCGCGGCACUUCUCCGCUAUUCCUGUGAAUCCGGUAAGCCUCCUUCCUUCAACCCUGAAUCUGCAUUAGGGUUUCGGUGUUCAUCAGUGUUCAUCCUCGUUCGUUGCUUCGCCCUUAUUGUCUCAUCGAAUCUAGAUAAACUUGCCAUCUUCUUUUGCGGCCGAAACUGUAGCUUUAGUUUGCCUCAUCGUAGUAUCUCUUCGUUCCAAGAUAGAUCCCAUCUAGAUCUUUACUGUUCUGCUAUCAUCCAUUUUUAGGGUUGAGAAAUUUUUCUUUACUGAAGGUAGAUCCAAAAUUAUAGCACCAUCUUGUGAAACCUGUUUCUACAACACUUAGUAAAUUUCAGAUCUGCUUCUUCCACUGUAGGCGGUUUAACUUUUAGAAGCUGAUAAUCCGCUAGGUACCAUUAGCCCUCACUUAAACCUCCAACUUUACCUAAAAAGAAGUAUCCGGUUUAACGUGCACAUAUGCUCUGAUUGAAUCUUCCAAUUUGACACAGUUGUACACAUAUCAAUCAUGAAUCGUGAAUCAACAUUUUGAACUUAUUUUUACAGCUUGUCAUCAACAAUGGCCAAACAAUUCUCCUCUUGCAACUGGGUUCGUUCCCGGGUCACCAAAGAGUAGCUGACUGGGUAUGUUGUGACUGGCGCUUUAGCAAAAGAGGAAACCAUUCAUUGGAGGGUCCCAGGUACUGAAUGUCCUCCUGAACCACAGGACGGAGAGGUAACUGUGUUUGUACAUCAUCUGGACCGAGGGUUUAGCCCUCCCAGAUCAAAAAAAUUCCGUGAUGUACUCGCCAGCUUUCAACUCCACCCUCAAGACAUUGGACCGAACUCUGUGUCCAACCUUUGCAACUUUCAAGUGGUUUGUGAAGUUUACCUGCAAGAGGAACCGACUGUUGAGUUGUUCAGAGAUUUCUUUCACUUGAACCGCCGUACUGAGUUCACUAAUGGCCCCAAUACUGAACUUGGCGGGGUAUCAAUUCAGAAGAGGAAAGAAGUCAAUUUUCCUCAUGCCAAACAUCACAGCCACCCCAAGGAUUGGAACCAAACGGUUCUACUGCCGAAACACUGCUCCUGAAGAUGAAAAUCCUCUGCCGGGUUAUCGUGCUCAUCGGCUCAACAAUGAACACCCACUGCCUCAAUGGCUGACUGCUAAGGAGCAAAUGAAAUAUGCCACGCAGAUCUCAAAGAUCCAGGCUUUUAUGGCCAACGGUUUAACUGGUGUCGAUCUUGUCCGCUGCUGGGUUUCAUGGAGCAUCUUGCCUUUAAGCCGUCGUUCCGGUUUAAUGUGCGAGUACACAGGACAUGUGAAAGACCCUCAACGUUAUAUUGACACUCAAUUGACUGAUGACGAGAUUACUGAAUCCAUCUGGUAGAUGUUGGAUGAACCGGUAGCUGAAUGCAGCAAAACCGGGCUGCGUCCGUUCUGUACUCUCCACAAACCGCUAGCUGUAAGAAUUGCAUUUUUUUCUGUUUUAAUCCGCCCUUUUUGACACUUUCUGACAGGCCUUCUGUUUACCUUUGCAGAGCAAUGAUCCGUUUUGGAAGAGGAAAACGCAGGACAAACCGGCCAAAGCUCAAGACAAACCGGUGAGAGCGCCUCGGGCUAAGUCCAAGGUUACCAAGAAGUAUGCCAAGAAGAGAACCAUCGAGUCCCCUGAUCUGGCCAAAGAUGUUGAUGACUCACACGUAGAGGUAGAACUUGAUUCACUUGGUUCACUUUUCAUGCACCUUAUUGACAAUGACUAUUAUCAGGAUGAUGCGGAGGCCAGCGGCGCUGACAAUGUAGAGGUAAUUUCCCUUUCCUCCGAUUCAGAUCAUGUGUCGGUACAAAAACUCCGCCGCGCAAUCCGGAAAGUAAAACAUUCACAUCCUCACACUCAUUUGGAUCCGCAUUGUUCUUUGAAGACAAAGCAACAUGAAGCCCAUCGCACAACCCGACAUAGUGGCCAACAAGUUACUUCUUCUGGUUUACCAGAUACUCCGGUUCGAAAACGCCGACCAGAGGUCUCUUGUUCUUCCAAUACAUCUUAUCCCAAGGCGGGUUGCUUUCGAUAUCCUCUUAAUCCGUCUGAUUCGAAUUAUCAGGGAACUUCCAAUUCCUCCUCUGGCGAUUCAUCAACCACACAGAUGCCUCCACUCAAGACCGUUCCUGGGUAAGAGUAACAUAAUUAUUUUUAUAUGAUGAUCCGGUUUACUAUACUAAUGCCUGUACUUUACUCUUUUCAGUGCCAAAGGCAGGCUUAGCAAGAAAGCCAAAUUCACUGUUCCAACUGAUGAUAAUCAGACCCCUGAACCGGAGUAGACCCUUGAACCUCAUGACCUGGAUGCCGAUUUUGUUCAAGAAGAUCCGGUACCUCCGGUUCAAGAUACUUUUGUUGAACCGGAUGAGAGUAAUGUUAUGAACCAGCCUGCUGAUCUACCAAGUCCAUCCAAGGAUGAAGAUCAUCCGCCAAGUCCAGCCAAGAAUACUGAUAUUCCUCCAAUCUCAUCCAAAGGUGGUGGUGAUGAUGUUGUCAUUACUGGUACUGGACAUACAAUUCCUGGUAACCCGGUUGCCUUAGCGAAGCAUACUGCCAAGGAAGAAGCUGCUGCUAUGGGCAAAGGCAAGUGGAAGACUGCUUUAGCCAGCUGUGCUAACCUCAAUGCUCAGGAACUCCACUCUGGAUUUCUAAACCGCCUGUACACAAGUCAUGACUAUGAAGCCGGUUUAGUCAACUUGAUGAAGGAGCGCUAUGAGGUAAUUCUUGCUUGAACCAUUUCAUAAAAACUAUUCCUUUGCUUCAUGUCUACUCCAGUGUAGCCCCCAAGGGCCAGUUUAUCUUUUGAAGGUGAACCGAUACUUUAAUAUGAAAAAACUUCAACUGUGUAGCCCCCAAGGGCCGGUUUAUCUUUUUGAAGAUGAACCAGUACUUCAUAUUGUAAAGCUUAUCUUUGUUAGUUCCUUCACAUCCGCUUUAUCUGAUCAAAUAAGCAUUAGCCCCCAAGUGCCAAGAUGAAUACAUGUAUUGAGCCUUGGGACUUAAAAAUAACAGUUAGGAAGAAACAAUCCGCAUUAGCCCUCAAGUGCCAAGUUUAUAACUUGUUAUGUGCUUGGGACUUUGAAAAAGUCUUAUAAAACUUAUUGUCUGUCUUUUGCAGGCUGACUUAAGCAGCAAGGAUUCCCAAAUCGCCGACCUUCAAGACAAAUUAAGUCCCAACAAGCCGAGACCACCAAAUCCAAGGAUGAACUGAAAAGUGCUUUAACAUCCAUGGAGAAAUUGAAGGAUGACUUCAAGAACGAACGGGCAGGCUGGGAGACUGAGAAAGCCGCUUUGCUGAAGCGGGCAGAGAAUGCUGAAGUAGUGCUUAAACCGGUAACAGAAGAGCUGUAGGUUUGAAGCAGCAAAUCAACGCGAUGACUUCUGCUGUCUUUGGUAAGUACUUUUCUUCAGUUUUUAGUAAACCUUGUUGAUACUGCCGAUUUAGCAAGAAUUUAUCAAACCGUUGCAGGUAGUCAUGUUGCUCAUCUGGGCUCAGAUAUGCGAAAGAAACUGAAGGCUGCCUAUACCUUGAUAGAGCAGCUUUAUACCGGUGCUCAACGGGUCAUCUGCGAAGCCUCAUACAAUAAACCGCCGCCAACCUUAAUCAAGGAUACGUUGUCCAGAUUAUCCAUGACUCCUGCCCAACUAGAAGAGGUGAAGAAAUCUGUUGCAAGAGCUGGUGCUUUGUCUGCACUGACUCGGGCCAAAGCUUGGAUAGCUGAUCUUGAUCCGGAAGAUAUUGGAAACGGCUAUCCUAGCCAAAUAGCAGACGGGUUAGAUUUUGACAAUGAAGCCCUUAAAGCUUUGACGAAGGAGAUGCGCCCACUUGCAAGCAGAUUGGCUGAAGAAAUUGACUUGUCUGUCCAUCGGUGAAACUAUGAUGCAGACAACAAAUGGAUUGAUGCAUCUAUGAAUGAAGUGCAGAAUCUUAUUCCGCCAAUCCGUAAGCACAGUUAUGCCCCUGACAUUGAACCGUCCGAUCUUAUAAGUGAUGAAGCUGUCUUCCGAGCUUUGUCUGGAAUUGAUUGGGCACACCUUGAAUUAUAGCAAGUGGAUGGGGAGGAGGAGGGUGAACCGACACAAUAUGAUCCAUCCACCUCACGUCAACUUGGUGACGAGUCGUGAUCCGGCAGCCGGCUUAAUUUCUACAGACUGCGUUCUGUGCAACAAAUAGUCAUUAUUUUGGGCAUCAAAGCGACGUGUAAUAGGUAGUUGAAAUACUUUGAUCUGUUGCCAUCGUGCACUGCUACAUGACACUGUUUGAUCCGCCAUGAUUAUUGCAAUGCUUGCUUAUAUGCCUUGGUAAUUUUAUGCAAUCCUUGUGUCUGCAUAAAAAAAUUGUCCUGGCGGUUUACCGCUGAAUGGGUCAUAAUGCCCAACACAAAUCCUUGUUUAUAACCAAGACUGCCAAAAUAUCAAAAUAUGAAAUAGAUCAUACCUGUGAUAUGAAAUCAUAUUGUUGGUUUACCAACUGGAUUGUAGUAAGGGUGAGAACCCAAAUCUUGAGUGUUGAUAACUCCCACCACGCUGUGCUGGCGUAUAAUAAGCCAUGCUGGGUUAUGAUAAACUCCAGAUGAUCAUCCUGGCGACGUAUAGUCAAUGCCAGACCGGGUUAAUAAACACCGGUUUAAAAUUGAAUGUGGUCUGUCAACUUGUAGUUGAAAACCAAGCCGGGUUAACAAACACUGGGUUAAUUUGAUGACUGAUAGUCAUGCCGGGUCAAUAGACGCCGGUUUAACAUAAAGUUUUAACCAAGAAAAAAAAACUUGACAAAGUCAAAUAAAACUGUGUAGUCGAGGCUUUUCAAGGGCUGCCAAGCCCAAAUUUGAGGCUUUUCAUGGGCUGCCAGGCCAUUGAGUUAAACCAUUUUGCAAAGCCUUUCAAGAUGGGCCUCCAACUAACCAAUCGUCAUUUUAACUUUGACAAGUUCAGGGUCUAUAUAAGAUUGACUUGUCAAACAUUCGGCGGGUCAUGCCAGGAUUACCUGGAUAGGAGUGGCUUACUUGAUGAAGGCAAGUUAACCUGGGGUUUUAGGUGAAUACACCAGGCUUCCACGCCGUGCUUGAUAGCAUAUUACAAGGGUCCUUUCAAACUCUUUGUUGCAUUGCACAAAGAGCCCCCAAGUAAUUUUGUGAGAUGUGCUCUUAUGGGUGCCUAUGUUUGAGCUGUGCAUAGCAACCAGACUCUCUUUGGCCCUUUGGGUGUGAAGCUCCCAAGCUAUAUUGUGGCGUGUUAGCCGGAUUAAUGGACAGAACCCCGCUUUGUCAGCUGAAGCCCCCAUAUAACGAAGAGGUAUUGGAAAAAACAGCAGAGGACCUGCUUGUAGCAAGGAUGCCAGUUUAUUAUAUUGAUCAUAAUAUAUACAUUGUCAAAAUAUGUACAUAAUAUUAGCCUAUGGCUCAAGUGUAGUAAGGACGACGGAGAGCUAUGUUCCACGGCCGCCGGGUCUCCUCCUCAGAUUUGCGUGAGUCUGCAUGCUCUCGAACAUCGAUGAGGUAGUAUGAUUCGUCGUGCAGAUUCUUGCUGACCAUAAAGGGUCCUUCCCAAGGUGGGGAUAACUUGUGCAUAUCGGUAUGAUCCUGAAUAAGUCGAAGCACUAAGUCGCCUUUUUGAAAGGUUCUUGUCUUAACCCGGCGGUUGUGAUACGCCGCAGGUCUUGUUAAUAAACCGCCGAUCAAGCCAACGCCAUAUCCCGUCUUUCAUCUAACAGCUCUAGUGCUUCCUGACGUGCUUGCUCGUAGUCCGCUUCAACAUAAUUGGCAACCCGGGGCGAGUCAUGACGAAUAUUACUUGGGAGUACCGCCUCUGCCCCAUAAACCAUGAAGAAAGGUGUAUAACCCGUUGAUCGAUUGGUGGUGGUGUUUAUGCUCCAUAACACAGAAGGUAAUUCUUCCACCCAACAACCCCGCAUCCUUUUCAAAGGAACCAUAAGCCGGGGCUUGAUACCCUUCAAGAUUUCCUGAUUAGCUCUCUCAGCUUGACCAUUAUACUGGGGGUGGGCCACUGAUGACACAUCAAGCCGGAUGUGCUCCCGUUGACAGAAGUCCUCCAUCUCCCCUUUGGAGAUGUUCGUGCCAUUAUCUGUGAUGAUGCUGUGUGGAAAACCGAAGCGGAAGAUCACUUUCUUGAUGAAUUGAACCGUGGUGGCUGCAUCACACUUGCUUACUAGCUCCGCUUCAACCCAUUUAGUGAACUUGUCAAUCGCCACCAACAGGUGGGUCUUCUUAUCUUUGGACCGCUUAAAAGGUCCUACCAUAUCAAGCCCCCCUGUAGAAAACGGCCAAGUGAUUGGAAUCAUCCGCAGCUCUUGAGCCGGAGCAUGAGCUCGACAUGAAAAUUUCUGACAAGCGUCACACUGCUUUACCAGGUCCUCAGCAUCAGCAUGAGCCAUCAACCAAUAAAAACCGUGACGAAAAGCUUUAGCAACCAAGGAUUUUGAACCGGCGUGGUGACCACAAUCUCCUUCGUGGAUCUCACGAAAAAUCUCUUGCCCCUCUUCACGAGAAACACAGCGCUGGAACACACUUGAGACACUACAAUGGUGUAACUCGCCGUUGUGAAUAACCAUGGACUUGGAUCGCCGGACUAUCUGUCUGGCCAGAACUUCAUCUUCUGGUAACUCGCCCCGGUUCAUGUACGCCAAAUAUGGAACCGUCCAAUCCGGAAUAACAUGUAAAGCGUCCACCAAUUGUGCCUCCAGAUCAGGAAUAGCUAAAUCCUCCUCUGUAGGCAACUUAACUGACGGGUUAUGCAAGACAUCCAAAAAGGUAUUGGGUGGCACCGGUUUAUGCUGAGACCCCAGCCGGCUUAAAGCAUCUGCUGCUUCGUUUUUGCGCCGAUCAAUGUGCUAAACCUGAUAACCCUCGAAGUGGCCAGCCACAAUGUCCACCUCCCUUCUGUAAGCCGCCAUGAGUGGAUCAUUAGAAUCCCACAUACUGGAAACUUGCUGAGCCACAAGAUCAGAGUCUCCAAAGCAUCAUACCCGACUUAAGUUCAUUUCCUUAGCCACGCGAAGACCAUGGAGCAAGGCCUCGUACUCAGCUGCAUUGUUAGUACAAGGAAACAUUAAGCAGAGAACAUAACGAAUUUUAUCACCUCGAGGGGGAGUAAGGAGAACUCUAGCCCCCGAGCCCUCCAAUUGCCUGGACCCAUAAAAAUGGAUAGUCCAAUAUGUGUUGUCCGGUUUGUCCUCUGGUGCCUGCAACUCUGUUCAAAUAUUGAUGAAGUCGAUAAGUGCUUGAGAUUUGAUAGCUGUCCGAGGCAUAUACUUCAACCCGUGCGGUCCAAGCUCAAUAGCCCAAUUUGCAACCCGGCUAGUUGCCUCCCUGUUCUGAAUUAUAUCACCCAAAGGAGCAGAACUGACCACCGUGAUGGGAUGGCCCUGAAAGUACUUUUUAAGGUUCCGACUUGCCAUAAAAACCCCAUACACCAACUUCUGCCAAUGUGGAUAUCUUUGCUUUGACUCGAUGAGCACUUCGCUGAUAUAGUAAACCGGCCUAUGAACCGGAUAUUCCUUCCCAUCCUUCUUGCGCUCGACCACAAUAGCCACGCGGACAACCCGGGCAUUAGCAGCCACAUAUAAUAACAAUGGCUCAUUGUCGAUCAGAGCAGCAAGGACCAGCGGUUCAGCCAACUGCCUCUUCAAGUCCUCAAACACCGCAUCAGCAGCAUUACUCCAGACAAAAGUGUAUGUUUUCUUCAACAUCUAAUACAGAGGGAUCACCUUCUCUCCCAAGCGGCUGAUAAACCGACUCAGGGCUGCGAUUCGACCUACCAGAUGCUGAUCAUCAUUGAUACAUGUCGGUUUACCCAGAGACGUAAUCGCCUUGAUAUUUUUUGGAUUAGCCUCAAUGCCCCUGUUAGACACCAGGAAACCUUGAAGCUUGCCUGUCGGAACACCGAAGACGCACUUGGCCGGAUUGAGCAUCAUUUUAUACACCUGAAGAUUGUCAAAGGUCUCCUUCAAGUCUUCAAUCAAUGUCUCCUUCUUCCUGGACUUGACCACAAUAUCAUCCACAUAAGCAUGAACAUUGUGCCCAAUUUUGGUAUGAAGACAAUUCUGCACACAGCGCUGAUAAGUCGCCUGGGCACUCUUGAGCCCAACGGGCAUAGAAACAUAGCAGAAGACUCCAAAGGGAGUGAUGAAAGCUGUUUUCUCUUGGUACUUAACCGCCAUCUUGAUCUGAUGAUAACCAGAAUAAGCAUCCAAAAAACUCAAACGCUCACAACCCGCUGUAGCAUAAAUGAUUUUAUCAAUACGAGGGAGAGCAAAAGGAUCGGCCGGACAAGCUUUGUUCAAGUCCGUGUAAUCCACACACAUGCGCCAAGUGCCAUUCUUCUUAAGCACUAGCACCAGAUUGGCCAGCUACUCUGGAUGAAAAACUUCAACGAUAAACCCAGCAGCCAACAGCCGGGCUACCUCUUCACCAAUGGCCUUGCGCCUUUCUUCAUUGAAGCGACAAAGAAACUACUUGAUUAGUUUAAACUUGGGAUCAAUAUUGAGAUUGUGCUCAUCGAGUUCCCUCGGUACACCUGGCAUGUCAGAAGGUUUCCAUGCAAAGAUGUCUCGGUUCUCACGGAUGAACUCGAUGAGCGUGCUUUCCUAUUUCGGAUCUAGAUUAGUGCUGAUACUAAACUGUUUGGAUGAAUCGCCAGGAACAAAAUCAACCAGCUUAGUCUCAUCAUCCGGUUUGAACUUCAGGGUUGGGUCAUGCUCUGUAGUGGGCUUCUUCAGAGGAGUAAUAUCUGUCGGAUUAACAUUGUCCUUGUAGAACUUCAACUCUUUUGUCGCACAAACUGACUCAUCAUAAGCCGCAUCACCCUCUUCAUAGUCCAAGGCUAUCUUCCGACUCCCAUGUACCGUAAUGGUCCCCUUAUGACCCGGCAUUUUGAGAUGCAGAUAAGCAUAUCAGGGCCUUGCCAUGAACCUUGCAUAGGCCAGCCUUCCAAACAGGGCGUGAUAUGGGCUCUGGAUUUUUACCACUUCAAAGGUUAAGGCUUCUGACCUGGAAUCAUGGACAUCUCCAAAUACCACUUCCAAAUUUAUCUUACCAACUGGGUAUGCCGAUUUUCCUGGUACCACUCCAUGGAAAACAAUAUUUGACGGUUUAUGAUUUUUAUCCGUCAAUCCCAUGCGCCGGAAGGUUUCAUAAUACAAAAUAUUGAUACUGCUCCCUCCAUCGAUGAGUACCUUGGUGAACUUAUAACCUCUAACCCGAGGCACCACCACCAAAACAAAUGACCCGGAUUGUCAACCCGGGGUUGAUGAUCCUCUCUGCUCCACACAAUGGGCUGCUCAGACCAACGUAAGUAAUGUGGCACCGCCGGUUCAACAUCGUUUACUGCCCUCUUGUGAAGCUUCUGAUCGCGCUUGCACAAGCUAGUGGUGAAAACAUGAUACUGCCCACUACUCAACUGCUUCGGGUGAUUCUGAUAACCCGACUGCUGCUAAUUUCCAUGAUUAUUCUGUUGAUUAUAACCACCCUGGUUGUUCUGAUUACCCUGAUUGCCUUGGUUGCCCUGGAAUCCGGAGUUUGAACCGCCACCACCAUAACCCGGCCCAUGAGAUCCUGAACCGCCAGAUGGGCCCUGAUCAUACCAGAAAAAAUCAGAGUUCUUAAACUCUCGCAUAAUGAAACAGUCCUUCCAGAGGUGUGUGGCUGGAACCUCUUUCGUCCCGUGCUUCGGCCAAGGCUGAUUCAACAUACGCUCCAGAUUCAUACCGUCACCGCGCUGGGGCGGUUUACCCUUUCGACGCUGAUUAUUGCCCUGCACAUUGGUGUUAGCCACAAAAUCUGAAGUAUCCGCUUUACAUUUACUGUUGUUACUGUUCCUCGCCGGGUUAGGUUGCUGUCCCUUGGUGUUGCCGCUCAUUUUUCCCUUCCCCGACUUCUCCUCGCCAGACUCGGGAUCCUUGAUCUCAUCAGAGUCAGCAUACUUGAGUAGAGCCCCCAUGUGUGUUCCCAUAUCAUUGAAGUGACGCUUCAUCCGCCCCAACUUGAACUUCAAAGGCCUGAACUUGCAAUUGCCUUCCAACGUUAUGAUUGUUGAGUCUGCAUUGAUGCGGUCAGAUGAAUGUAAGAUCUCAAAAACCCGGCGUACCCAUUGGGUAGUUGAUUCACCCUCUAUUUGAACACAAGCGGCCAGAUCAACAAUCGACAUCGGUUGCUUGCAAGUAUCUUUGAAGUUAUUGGUAAAUCGGCUCUUCAACUCCUCCCAUGACCCAAUUGAAUUGGGUGGUAAACUCAUUAGCCAAGUGCGAGUUGUUCCUUCUAGCAUCAUAGUGAAGUACUUAGCACACACCGCUCCAUCCACGUCCAGCAUCUCCAUGGCCAUCUCAUAGCUUUCUACCCAUGAAUCGGGAUGUAAAUCAACAAUGUAAUUGGGUACUUUUUGAGGGCCCUUAAAAUCCUUGGGUAACCGUGCAUUGCGUAGGGCCGGUGUGAGACACGGGACUCCCCAAGUGGUAAAGGCAACCCCUGGCUCUACUGUAGUGGUCGGACGAACCGGCGUAAGCUGGCGCUCCAUGUCUUGUGUAGUCAACCCGGCGCCACGGCGCGCUCGUGCUUGGUCCAAUAAAUCCUGCGCUUCAUUCCUUCCCGCUGCCGGGUGAGGCCUCCAUGGAGGAUGAUGAUUCCGUCCACUGCUUGACACAGCUGGCUCUUCAACACGCCUGCUGUAACUUUGACUUGGAUGAGGGGUAGAGUGUAUCCUCUCCCGACUGUACCAAUAAGCCUGCUGCUGAACCCUUGCUAUCUGGAGUAAAUCCCUAGCCCGUCGUGUCUCAACCGCCACAGGGGAGUCACCUUCCAUUGGAAUAGGAGCCAAUCUUGAUGCUGCAGCAAUCAUGUUGUCCAACGGGGUGGGAAAAUGACCCGGUGGUGCUGGUGUGUAUUGCGGCGGAUCACGAUUAUGCUGAGGUGGACCCAUCAUGCCCGGCUGAUCCGGUGCUCCUUUCCUCAGUGCUCCAAUCCGGUUCACUACGGGUGGGUUGCUAGUGCCCACUCCUGGCGUGUUAAAAAGAUUUCUUCCUUAGUAAACCAGCGGUAGACGAGAUUGGUGCCUUCUCCUCAUCACCUCCUUUAAAGCGUUCUGAUCCAACAUAAGCCGAUAAGCCUCUGCAUGAACUCGCUAUGCCUCAGCAUUUAAAGCGGUUCAUUCCUCGACCAUCCUGGUCUUCUCAGCAGCCAUGUCAUCCUUAGCCUGAGCUAUCUGAUCUCGCAACUUUCUGACUUCCGUAUUAUGCUCAUCCCGUUUAUCCGGAGUAACUUCAGCAGCCAACAAUGUUGCUAAAGUAUCCAAUAACCCGGACAAGACUUGAACCGGCGGGCGCACAGGGCCACCUGCCCUUGCUGCUGAUCCGGAGAUUAUCGCUGCUGCUGUUGAAGAUUGUGGGGCGGGUUGCGUGCCAGCCAUGAAGAUUGCAAAGGGGUCCGGAAUACUGCUGCCGUCGGAAUACCCCCCAAACAGGCCAUCCUAAACUUGAUACAAAGACUCGGUUUCACCGGUAGAUGACUCACCAUCGGAGUAGACGGCCGUCUCACCAUCGGACACCGGUUCAGAUUCGAUCCCAUGGAUACAUCCUACGAACGCACGCUUCAUGGCAGGCUGACCCCGGGCAGGGCUCGCAUGCUGAGCCGUCUCGACAAGGUAGGUGUAGAUGUUCUGCUUACGGCCUGGUUCACCGAUCUUGCCGAUGAAGACGUGAAUUCCUCUGAUGGGGACCUGGUACCCAUACUCGAUUGAGCCGGCGUCGGGGCCCCAGCCUGCGUCGUUGAUGUAGAGCUUGCCGUGACGACUGUCGGAGUAAUGGGCCACGGGUAGGAUAACCCGAGUCCCAGGACCUUUCAAGAUAUCGGGGCAGGCCACGCCCCUCAAGCCGAGUCCCAGGAGCGACUCCAAGACAAGCCGACUCCGAGCUAGGCGACCUCCAGAGGGGCGGACUAUGGAGAGUCGGCCCAUGACUCCUCCCUCAUCUCAAAGUACGAUGCGGGGUACGGUCACGGCGUGGCCGUUCCCCCCUGCUUACGAAGGGCCGGCAUGGCUACAGUAAGCCGUAUCGCUGGAAGAUCUCCGGCGAGGCGCGACACUGUUGCCAUGCCUGCCCUGACCUCAGCCAAAGUGCACAGCACAGUGUGCCCACGAUGCCGGCCUGUACGACCCGAAGGCGACGGGGCCGCCUGUCAGUGGGUGGGCCGAAGGCGGCCUGAGCGCCCCGAAGACGGACCUGUGGGAGUCGGCCGACUCCUCCUCGGGGCCCCACGAGCCAUUAACCAGAUAGGAUGGGGAAUGGCGACAGUGAUCGCCCGACAGAUUGCGGCACUGUUGCCACGACCCUAUAACCGAGCCUGCGUCAUCAGGAGUGCCGCAACAGUAUCAAGCCUGUCCGCGGGACCCGCCAGUCGGCGGGCCCCAGAAGCCGGCAGGGAGGACGACGACCUCAGAGACAAACGGCUGGGACCCGCGCCCAGCCGGAUUACUACUGUACCCCCAGGGGGUAGGCCUAUAUAACCCCCCCGGGGCACCCAUGCAAAGGGUUCGGACCUAGAUAGAGAUAGACCAAAUAGCAUAGGGAGGAGAGAGCUAGCCUUGCCAUCUCCUGCCUCCCGAGACAGCUCCAGGAGCACCAUUGUAGUCACUUUGCCUUAGUGAUCAUGCGGAGACCCCGCAGAGCAGCAGUAGGGGUGUUAUCUCCUAGGAGAGCCCUGAAGCUGGGUAAGUUCCACCGGCGUGCAUGUCUUCGCCUCAUCCCGCUUCCAGGCACCAGCGACGUUCUACUCGCUCCCACCAUGAUAAGCUAUCCUUUGGCAUAUGUCUUAUCCAACCCCCGACAUUUGGCGCCCACCUUAGGGCGAGGUGCACCGUCGUCCGGAGAUCUGCUCUGGACGGGAACCCUGUUCCUCCCCGGCGAGCACAGCCAGCCCGGCACGCCGAAUGGCGUCUGGGCCGACGCGCUGCACAGCGCUGAGAUCGCCUGUGCGCCCAGCUGCCUCGCCGAUCUUAUCGGCGAGGUUCGCCUCUCCGAUGAGCCUGCGUCCGACGCAGGCAUGAGUGGCCCCGAGAGCCUCCUCGCGGGCCUCCUCGACCAACUCCACGUCGCCGGCGAGCCUGCCGCGGACCUGGAGUCCAUAGGAUCCACUGACCCGAUGCUGGUCGACUCCGACACUGUGUCGCUCGACGCGUUCCCCACCAACGUGGUGGUCUACGACGAGCCGCUCUCUUACGCGGGGAGCGGCGGAAGCACCAUCACUGAGGUCCUCAUCCUCGACCACGGCGAGCGCUCCGGCGAAGGAGCGCACGACCCGCUUGACGCGGCCCUGCGAGGCCUCGCAGCGCCGAUUCCGGAAGACGCCGACGCCGAGACGCUGGAGGCGCUCCGCCUUCAGCUCGUCGAGGGCGUGAAGAAGCUGGAAAGCAUGAGGCGCUUGUCAGAAGCUUACCAACGCGAGAUGGAUCGCGCCGUAGGCGGCUCGCCGGCUCCAACCGGGCCUAGCCGCCUAGGCGCGGUCUGACAGCGCGGCGCGGCAAUCGCCAACCUCUUCGGGGCUGAUCGCCCUGUGUAUGCCAUGCCCGCAGAGAAUAUCCGUGCCGCCCAGGCGGCGGCAGACGAGCUUGACAACUUCGAGGGCGAAGAGCGCCGCAUAAUGACGGAGCGAGUUCAGCAGCUCCUUGACGCGGCUGCCACGCAGAAUGAUGCCAGCUGCCGCACCGAGGCGCCGCAGCGCCAAAACGACGACCCACCGCCUCGCCGAGACCAAGGUGCGACGUCUCGGACGCCGACUGGCGGGGCCCGUGGGAAGAAGGACAAGGAGCCGGAUGUCAGCCACAGUCGGACUCACAUCACCAUCGAGCGGGACCAAGACGGCCGCCCCAAAGAGGUGGAACGGCGGGACGACUACCUGCCUCCCCCUCCUCGUAGAGAAAGGCGAGUCUCCCCGCCGCCCGUGGAACAUCCGACUCUCGGCGACCGCCUUGGCCACCAAGAGGGAGUCGGAGAGAACGACGCCCGCCACCGGAUCGACCGACUCCACCCGAUCCCUGGCGCUGGAAGAAGAAGACGAGUUGGGUCCCCCCUGCUUUGGACCCCGCAUCCGAGAUGAGCCCUUCCCCAAAGGGUUCACGCUCCCCCGAGACACGCCCAAAUAUACCGGCACCGUGAAGCCGGAAGAUUGGCUGAUCGACUACUCCACAACCGUCAACAUAAUGAACGGCAACAAGCGUGUUGCCGUGAGAUACAUCCCGCUCAUGCUCCAGGGCUCGGCCCGGACGUGGUUGAACAGUCUAAAGCCUCGCAGCAUCAACAGCUGGGUCGACUUCACCGAGGCUUUCGUCCGCAACUUCAUGAGCACGUACAAGUGACCUCCCAAGCCACGCCAACUCUCCUUCAGUUGGAGCAGAGCUGAUCACCCAGAGGUGAUGUCGAGUCCAGGCUCCUACGCUUUGGUCUUAGGUGCCACACUCGCCACAGAUAGGCGGGUCGCUCGCUUCUCGCGAGUACUGAUAGACGGAGGCAGCAGUAUCAACAUCCUGUACAAGGAUACAAUGGAGAAAUUAGGAAUCAAGCGAAGACAGCUUCAGAGCAGCCGGACUGUGUUCCACGGAAUCGUCCCUAGCCUUUCCUGCUCACCAAUCGGCAAGAUCCUGAUAGAUGUCCUCUUCGGAGACAAGGAUCAUUUCCGCCGAGAGCCAAUUUGGUUUGAGGUGGUGGACCUUGAAAGCCCAUAUCAUGCAUUGCUUGGCCGACCCGCCUUGGCCAAGUUCAUGGCGGUCCCCCACUACGCCUACCUCAAGAUGAAGAUGUCGAGUUCCAAGGGAAUCCUAACGGUGUCCGGCGACUACAGGAAGUCGUCCGCUUGUGCGGCCGAAAGCAGUCGGCUAGCCGAGUCCUUGGUGAUCGCGGCUGAGAAACGGCUUCUUGAUCGGGUCGUGGCGAUGGCCGGCAAGCAGCCCGAGUUAUCGCCCGACCCCAAGGAGUCGAAAGCAGAAGGAUCAUUCAAGCCAGCCAAAGAAACAAAGAAGAUACCGUUGGACCCGGAGCACCCGGAGAGGUAUGCUGUCAUGGGCACAGGCCUUGACAGCAAAUAGGCAGGCGAGCUCAUCGAUUUCCUCCGUGAGAAUCGUGACAUCCUCGCAUGGUCCCCCAAGGACAUGCCUGGUGUCCCGACAGAAUUCGUCGAGCACAAAUUACAUGUCCGAUCUGAUAUGAAGCCCGUCAGGCAGCCCUUGCGCCGCCUGUCAGAAGAAAAAAGAAGAGUUGUUGGAGAAGAAAUAGCCCGGCUCCUGGCAGCCAGCUUCAUCAUGGAAGUGUUUUUUCCAGAGUGGCUGGCAAACCCAGUACUGGUGCUGAAGAAGAACAAGCAGUGGCGGAUGUGCAUUGGUUACACGAGCCUCAACAAAGCUUGCCCCCAAGGACCCAUUUGCUUUGCCGAGAAUCGAUCAGGUGAUAGACUCCACAGCCGGAUGCGAGCUGUUGAGUUUCCUAGACGCAUAUUCAGGAUAUCACCAGAUCAAGCUGAACCCGGCUGACAGACUGAAGACCACCUUCAUCAUGCCGUUUGGAGCCUUCUGCUACCUGACCAUGAUGUUCGGCCUAAGAAACGUCGGCGCCACCUUUCAGCGUUGCAUGCAGAAGUGCCUCCUGAAGCAACUCGGCAGAAAUGCCCACGUCUAUGUGGAUGAUGUAGUGCUGAAGACGGAGAAGCAUGGAACCUUGCUCGAGGACCUCAAGGAAACCUUUGAGAAUCUGCGCCGAUUCUAGAUCAAGCUCAACCUAGAGAAGUGCGUUUUUGGAGUACCAGCCGGCCAGCUCCUCGGUUUCCUGGUCUCCGAACGCGGCAUGGAGUGCAAUCCUGUGAAGAUCAAGGCCAUCGAGAGGAUGGAAGCACCCAGACGACUGUUAGAUGUGCAGAAGUGUCACAUCCCUAGUCUGGUAUGACCUAGACUAGCCAGUCAGUUGUGCAUCAUACUUAAAUUUCAUUUAAAUUUGAAAUGAGGAUUGGUGGAACCCUGAGAAUCAUUUUUGAAAAUGACCCAAAUAAAAAUUUCUCCAAAAGGGUCCAAGAAAAUGCUCAUGUUGCUCUCUGAAAAUAUUGGACAGAGAUAAAAAUCAAAACAAUAUUUUUAGGAGCUCAUGGAUAUUUAUUUUGGCCAUUUGGAUUAAUUCAAUAAAUAUUUGCAUUGGAAAUAUAUUAGUUAUAUAUAUAUAUAUAUAUAUAUAUAUAUCUCCAAAAAUUAUGCCAUUUAUAAAGGAGCUCUGGAAUAAUACCAUUAGCCCCUACAAAAAUUGGCAUAAGCAAAUAAAAUGGUUUAGUAUUUUUAUUAAAUCAAAACAAAUGUCAGAAAAAAAUAGAAAAACAGAAAUAAAAGAAGGAGGGGCUUACCUGGGGCUUCCCCUGUGCAGCCCAGCCACAGCAGGCCGGCCCAGCCAGCAGGCGGCCCAGCCCACCUGGCCCCCCUCCUCUGUCGUCUUCCUUCCCGACAGGGGAACGGAGCGUGCCCGGUGCGCGCGCGCGCCACCGCGCCACGCCUCCUCCCUCCCUGCCUGCCUGUCCUCCCCUCGCCGCUCUGGAUGGACCGAACAUCGCCACGCAGCCGCCCCGGUCCUUUUCCCCUCCCUCUCGCUCUCCCUCCUCCCUGGUUCUCUCUUCCCCGAGCGCACCCGAGCGCAGCCGCCGCCAUCGCUCGCCCUUGCAGUGGCCACCGGCCUCCCCUCGCCUCCCUGACACGCUUCCCAGCUCCGCCUCGACCCCCUCUACCUCCUCGUCAAGCCACGCACCUCCGGACGCGCUCCAUCGCCGACGCCGUUGUCUUCUUCAGCACCGACGCCGGAGAUCGACCUCGCCGCCAUUGCCGUCGAUUCGCCGGAUGCAGGACGUCCCCGAGCACACCGGCCUGCUCUGCGAGUCCGCCGUGAGCCCCUCUUCCUUUCCCCUCACCUCUCUCUCUUGCGCGUGCCCUGUAGUCGCUGCCCCGCGAGCGCCCGAAGCCGCCGUCCGCCAUGGCCGGCGAGCUCCGUGCCUCCGAGCACCUCCGCCUCGCGUAGUAGCUCGAUGUGCUCCUGCUGCCUCGUAGCUACCGCCUGUGCCCUCCGUUCGCUCGAACGCGAGCUGCAGCCCCACGCCCGUGCUAUCCCGAACUCCGGUCGCCGCCCAAGUGGUCGCCGCCGGUGAUAUAGGCCGUCUCCGGUGAAACAGAGGGUGCCACAGGAUGCGCGCGAGCCUGGGCUUCGCGUAGGUGCUCUCCGCCGCACGAUUGGUCGCCGGAGCGACGAUUCCGCAGCCCUCCGUCGCGUUCAGGCCUCGCCGGCGACUAACCGCCGGCGGGUCUGACUUGUUUGACCUGGGAUUUGACCCCCCAGGGUCGCUGACUAGUGGGGCCAGGCUCUGCUAAUUUUAGUUAAAAAAAAUAAUAACUAAACCUAAUUAGCCACUAACACUGACCAGUGGGCCCGACCCCCCUAAUCUGUUAAUUAAGUUAAUUAACCCCUGUUUGACCCCCCUGUCACUGACGUGUGGGUCCCACACGUCAGGUUUGACCCGGACCAGCCUAGUUUACUGCUGACGUCAUGCUUACUCAAUGCUGACGCAAUUAUAUAUUUUCUGGAAUUAAAAUAAUUCAGAAAAUCCAGAAAAUGAUUUAAACUUCAAAAAUUCAUAACAAUUCAACCGUAGCUCAGAUUAAAAUAAUUUAUAUAUGAAAAAUUAUCAGAAAAAUGCAAUCUUUCCAUCUGUACUAGUUUCAUGCAUGACAAACCAACUUAUACAUGCUGAAUAUGGGAAAACACAUUAUGGCAUAUAUAAGAGACUUAAUUUAGAAAUGCAUUUGAACCUUUGGUUCAAAUGGAAUUCAAACCAAAUAUUUACUAGUUGCAUUAGCUCAAAUAGCAUCACAUCUACAUGCCAUGUUCAUGCAUCAUAUUGUUGCAUAUGUUUGUGUUUUGAUUGCCGGCACCGUUCCUUCUCGAUAGGUCCUGCUCCGGAGACGUUCCAGAGUACCUGUCUGUGAAGCAGUGCCCCCUCCUUGUUAAUUUACCAGGCAAGCAAACCCCCUUGUUCAUUUCCAUAAAACCCUACUCUCUCGCUCCUGCUCUCAGUUAUUGCAUUAGGACAACAGCGAUUCAUCUGUUACUUUGUGCUGCGGUAGUUGAACCCAUUCCUCUGCAUGACCUGUCAUUGCCACAGUAAAUAGUUGAAACCCACUAGCAUGUGUAGGAGUUGAUUGAAACCACUGAUAUGUUCCUACCAUGCUAUGCCUGCUAUUGCUUAGAGUUGUGUCAGGUCUAGUUCAUUGGGAAUGAAUUGGAGUGUUACGAUAUGUUCUGAUGCUGAGAGUUAAGUGUGUGAACACGAUUUGGUAAAGGUAGCGGUGAGAGGCCAUGUAGGAGUACAUGGUGGGUUGUCUCACUGGAACCGUCAUUAAGCACUGAGUUCUGUGUAUGUUGUCCAAUGACUCGAUACUACCACACAUUGGGUUCCGGUAACUCGACCCCUCUCGACUUAUUAACCAACUUGAUCUCUGUCCAGGAGUCGCAACUAGUUUCUGGCGUUUGUAGGUAGUGUUAGUAGUCUACCAAGUGGCACCCGACCAGGUGGGCUUGGGACAGACUAGGCACCAGUGGCACGGUGUACCAAGCAUAGAUCCAUCCGGCGAGGUGGGCUUGGGAACCCUGCACACAUCGUUUGGGGCCGUGAGUGAAACCCCGGCCGGAUCUCCUUGCGGAUGGAACCCGAAUAGGCGAUAAACCUGGAUUAGAGUCUUGUGCGGUUAGUCAGGUCGUGGCCGACACCCUCGCCAGGCUUCCGCUUGAAGGUUGCCGAGAUACAUGACGUGUACAUGGCGGUAAGUGGCGAGAGCGUGUGUGAAGAAGUACACCCCUGCAGGGUUAACAUGAUCUAUUCGAAUAGCCGGGUCCGCGGUUAUGGACUUCUUGGAUGCUUACAUGGUACAUAGACAACUUGAAGUGGAUACCCUAAAAUGCUCAAGACAAGUGUGAGUGCUAUGGAUGGCCUUCUCGUAGGGAGACGGGGAUGAAUCCAUAGUAGUGUAUUGUGUGGUGAUUAGUGGACUCGUGUACGUUGUUUCACCUCCAGAGUUUCUGGUAGUCGUAGAAUAGGAUAGCCACAGAGUUAAAGCUGGCUUGCUGCAACUAAACCCCACAUUACCCUCUUGAUACAAAUGCAUGUACGAUAGGAUCUGAUGUAAGUCUUGCUGAGUACCUCUGUACUCAUGUUGCUUUAUUUAUGUUUUUGCAGCUGAGACUUCGGUCUUACUAGCGUUCUCGUGGACUUCGACUAGUAGCUAGUACCUCAGCUACGAUCUUGAUCGGAGGUUGUAGAUAGUCAGGCGUUCAGCCUUUUUCAUUUAUAGAUGUCUGUACUCAGACAUGUAAUGCUUCCGCUUGUUGCUUGUAUGCUCUGUAUGAUGGGUUUUGUGACCCCUGUUUGCAAUAAAUGCUAUGAUAGCUCUUCUAAGCCUUUAUCUAUAUGAUUGUUGAGUUAUGCUGUGAUGCCAUGUUGUACAGCACAUACUUGCAUGUUAUGCGUACGUGUAAUGUGUAUUGCUAUGUGUGGGAUCUGACUAUCUAGUUGUUUAUUCUUAGUAGCCUCUCUUACCGGGAAAUGUCUCCUAGUGCUUCCACUGAGCCCUGGUAGCUUGCUACUGCUCCGGAACACUUAGGCUGGCCGGCAUGUGUCCUUCUUCGAUCCUGUGUCUGUCCCUUCGGGGAAAUGUCACGCGAUGAAUACCGGAGUCCUGCUAGCCCGCUACAGCCCGGUUCACCGGAGUCCUGUUAGCCCAGUGCUACAGCCUGGAUUCACUCGCUGAUGACCGACACGUUCGAUGCUGGGUCAUGGAUGCCUGUCCCUGUAAGUUAGUGCCACUUUGGGUUUACGACUAGCCAUGUCAGCCCGGGCUCUUUAUCAUAUGGAUGCUAGCGACACCAUCAUAUACGUGUGCCAAAAGGCGCAAACGGUCCCGGGCAAAAGUAAGGCGACACCCGUGGGGAUACCGUGCGUGAGGCCGCAAAGUGAUAUGAGGUGUUACAUGCUGGAUCGAUGUGGCAUUGAGUCGGGGUCCUGACAGCGUUGGUAUCAGAGCCUGACUGCCUGUAGGUUUACCAAGCCAUACUGGUCGAAGUUGAGUCUAGAAAAUCUUUAGUUAUGUAAGGGAAUUGAUUGUGGGUUGGAACGUAAGGCUCUUUUUACUCCUUAUACCUCAUGACCUUCUGAUCUGAGUCGUCCUAUCUUUCCGACGGGGUUAAGGAACUAGGCUUCUCUUCCGUCUAUUAGGAUCACGUGUUACUACUCCGUAGUUCCAUAGGAUUGGUUGAUUAGAGUCAUACCCCAGUUUUCGAGUACUUCCAGUGUAGUCUGUUUAGUACUACCUCCGAACCUUGAGUGAUGCUGAUGAGUAUGUUACCACCCCAUUUUUAGUAGGAUGUCUCAUUCUGAACAUUUUACUGCCGUUAUGCUGUCGAAAUUUCCCUAGGAGUUCGAGAGAUACUAAUUCCUUGUCCUACAUUCUACAGUCCAUAGCUGAUGCUGAUUCCGUCCUUGGUUCGUUUCUCAGGAUGUCAUCGGCUAAGCGAAGUUCCGUUGCUCGUAGCCAGAACCACGGAGAUGGUAGGGAUGAGGAUCCUCCUGAUCAGCCUUCGUUGACAGAGUUCAUGCUAGAGAUGGAGAGGAACAAGCGUGAGUCCAACCGCUUGUUGGCACGUAUCGAGGAGAACACCGCACAUCAGUCCAAUAAGCCUGUGACCAUUCAUGACUUCAUUCGCUUGCACCCACCUACCUUCCAUCAUUCCAUCGAGCCACUCGAUGCAGAUGACUGGCUCCGUAGCAUCACUCAUAAGCUGCAUUCCGCGAGCGUAGCCGAAAGUGACAAGGUCACCUAUGCUGCACACCACCUGGAAGGUCCUGCUAGUCUUUGGUGGCAGAACUAUGAGGCUAUGCUUCCAGCUGGCCAGACUUCCACCUGGAGGGAUUUCGUUGAGGCUUUUCGUGAGCAUCACAUUCCUGAAGCCCUCAUUGAUCGCAAGAGAGAAGAGUUCUGUAGUUUCACCCAGGGUAAGAUGGCUGUUGAUGCCUAUAGUAGAGAGUUUGAGAACCUCGCCCGUUAUGCCACAGAAGAGGUGUCCACGGACGCCAAGAAGCAGGCUAGGUUCCGGAAGGGUCUCAACCCCAAGUUGCGUCGUGAUCUCCACCUGCAUCAUUGUGAUACCUUCCAAGCCCUUGUGAACAAGGCCAUUAAUGCAAAGACAGCUCAACUCACUUACGAGGAGUCUCGUAAGCACACUCGUGGUUUGGGAUCUUCCUCCGGUUCUAGCUCUCAGAAGCGCCAGAUUUGGGUUCCAAACUCCGCUCUUCCACCCAAAUAUGUAUCCAGGCCAUCUUAUGUGGCACCUCAUCAAGUUCAGCAGUAUGCUCCACCCAGGCCUAUUGGUGGACCGCCUUCCAAUGCAGGUCCACAUCCUACCUCCAAGAUUUGUUACAAGUGCGGAGAGCCAGGCCACACUGCCCGUAUUUGCACUCAGACCAGAGUUGCUCCACCCCAGCCCAAGAAGUCUAUUGGCCGUGGUAAGCCAUCACGCAAGAUGAUCAGUGCCAAGUCAGCUCCCACUGAACAUGGACGUGUGCAUCACGUCUCAGCUAAAGCCGCUCAUGAUGAUCCAGAUGUCAUUCUUGGAACACUCCUUGUCAACUGUCAUCCGGCAUCGGUUUUGUUCGAUACUGGAGCGUCUCAUUCCUUCAUUUCUGAAAGCUAUGCCCGCUUGCACGACAUGUCAUUUUGUGAUAUGCCCUCUCCACUACUUAUUCAAACUCCUGGAUCCAAAUGGCAAACUUCUAGGAUAAGUUAUGGCAAUGAAAUCCUUGUGGAAAGACUUGCAUUCCUUGCCUCCUUGAUAUCUCUCAAGUCUUCGGAUAUUAACAUCAUCUUGGGUAUGGACUGGAUGACAGCUCAUCAUGCCAAGAUUGAUUGUUUCACCAGGUCUGUUCAGCUCACACACCCAUCUGGCAAGAUAGCCAUUGUCUCCACUAGAGUUGCAAAGCGUCAGCUCUAUUCCCUUAAUGCCAGCCCUUCUCCAGACCUUGAAGUUAUCCCGGUAGUCCGUGACUUUCCGGAUGUCUUUCUAGAGGAACUGCCAGGUGUUCCGCCUGACAGAGAUGUAGAGUUCGUCAUAGAUCUUAUCCCAGGAACUGCUCCAAUCUCUAGGAGACCCUACAAGAUGGCACCUUUAGAACUAGCCGAGCUUAAGAAACAACUUGAUGAGUCCUUGCAAAAGGGUUUCAUCCGUCCUAGUUCUUCUCCUUGGGCUUGCCCCGUCCUCUUUGUCAAGAAGAAAGACGGUACGGACCGGAUGGUCGUUGAUUAUCGUCCCGUUAAUUUGGUCACGAUAAAGAACAAGUAUCCGCUCCCCAGGAUCAACGACCUGUAUGAUCAGCUCGCUGGAUCCUCAGUCUUCUCCAAGAUGGAUUUAAGGUUAGGAUACCACCAAAUCAAAAUCAGAAACGGGGACAUUCCCAAGACAGCUUUUGUCACUUGUUAUGGUCAGUACGAGUACACCGUCAUGUCCUUUGGCCUAAUCAACGCCCCAGCCACAUUCUCCCGCUUGAUGAACUCGAUCUUCAUGGAGUACUUAGAUAAGUUCGUCGUGGUUUACCUCGAUGAUAUUCUUAUCUACUCGAAGAACGAGGAAGAGCAUGCCGAACAUCUUAGACUUGUGUUAGAAAAACUCAGAGAGCACCGCCUUUAUGCCAAGUUCUCCAAGUGUGAAUUUUGGUUGCCAGAAGUGACCUACCUAGGCCACGUAAUCUCUGGUAAGGGCAUUGCUGUCAAUCCCGAGAGAGUUCAAGCCGUUCUCGAUUGGACUCCACCUGAGACCGUGAAACAAGUUAGGAGUUUCCUUGGUCUAGCCAGCUAUUGUCGCCGCUUUGUUGAAAACUUCUCCAAAGUAGCCAAACCCCUCACGGAACUUCUCAAGAAAGAUAAAAAGUUUGAGUGGUCCCCACAGUGUGAACACAGUUUUCAGGAACUGAAAAGGCGCCUGACUUCUGCUCCCAUACUUGUGCCACCGGAUUUCACUAAAGACUUUAUUAUCUACUGCGAUGCCUCACGACAGGGACUAGGUUGCAUUCUUAUGCAGGAACGUCAUGUGAUUGCCUAUGCAUCUCGACAGUUGCAUCCACAUGAGGAUAAUUAUCCCACACAUGAUCUAGAGCUUGCAGCCGUAGUCUAUGCACUCAAGACCUGGCGACAUUACCUCCUUGGUAAACGUUGCGAGAUCUACACCGAUCACCAGAGUCUCAAGUAUAUCUUCACCCAACCAGAUUUGAACCUUAGGCAAAGACGUUGGUUGGAGUUAAUCACAGAUUAUGAUCUAGGGAUUACCUACACCCCAGGCAAAGCCAAUGUCAUGGCUGAUGCUCUAAGCCGUAAAUCCUAUUGCAACAAUCUCAUGUUGCAGCAAGGUCAACCACUUCUCCAUGAGGAAUUCUGUAAGCUUAAUCUUCACAUUGCUCCUCACGGAUUCCUUUCUACCUUGGUGGCGAAACCUACCCUUGUGGAUCUUAUCAUAGAAGCCCAGAAGCAUGAUACGGGGAUUACCCGGAUCAAGAGAAACAUUGCCAAGGGUAUUGCUGGUAGUUUCUCUAUAGAUGAUCGAGGUGUUGUUUUCUUUGGGAACCGCCUGGUGGUCCCCAAGAAGCAACAUCUUCGACAAUUGAUUCUUAAGGAGGCGCAUGAAUCUCCUCUCACAAUUCAUCCCGGUAGUACUAAGAUGUAUCAGGAUCUACGCCAGAGGUUCUGGUGGACUAGGAUGAAGAGAGAAAUCGCUGAGUUCAUUGCUAACUGUGACGUUUGUCGUCGCGUUAAGGCAGAGCAUCAAAGGCCUGCUGGCACCCUUCAACCUUUAGCUAUUCCUGAGUGGAAAUGGGAUAAAGUUGGUAUGGACUUCAUUACCGGCUUUCCCAGGACCAAGAAAGGGAAUAACGCUAUCUUCGUAGUCGUUGAUCGUCUUUCCAAAGUGGCUCACUUCCUUCCUGUUCGGGAAAGUAUCACUGCUGGUCAGCUUGCUGACUUAUAUAUUUCUCGAAUAGUGUCACUUCAUGGUGUUCCACUAGAGAUCAAUUCAGACCGUGGCAGUCUUUUCACUUCUCAUUUUUGGGAGAGCUUCCAAACUGCCAUGGGAACCCAUCUUUCCUUCAGCACCGCUUUCCACCCUCAGUCGAGUGGUCAGGUGGAACGGGUCAAUCAAAUUCUCGAAGACAUGCUUAGAGCUUGCGUUAUCUCCUUCGGUAUGGAUUGGGAGAAAUGUCUUCCUUUCACCGAGUUUGCUUAUAACAAUAGCUACCAAUCCAGUCUCAAGAAAGCUCCUUUUGAGGUUCUCUAUGGACGAAGAUGUCGAACACCUUUGAACUGGUCAGAAACCGGUGAAAGACAAUUCUUUGGACCGGACAUGAUCCAGGAGGCAGAAGAGCAAGUUCGCAUCAUUCGUGAGAAUUUGAAAACAGCCCAGUCUCGUCAGAAAAGCCAGUACGAUCGUCAUCAUAAGGAUAUGACUUAUGAAAUUGGCGACCAAGCUUACCUUCGGGUUACUCCUUUGAAGGGUACCCAUCGUUUCGGUAUCUAGGGCAAGUUGGCUCCUUGUUACAUUGGUCCUUUUCGUAUUCUCGCUAAACGAGGAGAGGUUGCCUACUAGUUGGAACUACCCCCACAUCUUUCUCGAGUUCAUGAUGUCUUCCACGUCUCUCAACUCAGGCGUUGCUUCUCGGAUCCCAUCCGCGGAGUGGACCACGAAACGCUUGAUCUCCAAGAUAACCUCACCUACCGAGAGUACCCGGUUCGCAUUCUUGAUCAAGCAGAGCGUGUCACUCGACGUCAGAACAUCAAGUUUCUCAAAGUUCAGUGGUCCCAUCAUUCCGAGAGAGAAGCUACUUGGGAACGAGAAGAUCGUCUUCGACUGGAGUACCCCGCUUUCUUUCCGUCGACCCCUGAAUCUCGGGACGAGAUUUUUCCAAGUGGGGGCGAGUUGUCACAUCCCUAGUCUGGUAUGACCUAGACUAGCCAGUCAGUUGUGCAUCAUACUUAAAUUUCAUUUAAAUUUGAAAUGAGGAUUGGUGGAACCCUCAGAAUCAUUUUUGAAAAUGACCCAAAUAAAAAUUUCUCCAAAAGGGUCCAAGAAAAUGCUCAUGUUGCUCUCUGAAAAUAUUGGACAGAGAUAAAAAUCAAAACAAUAUUUUUAGGAGCUCAUGGAUAUUUAUUUUGGCCAUUUGGAUUAAUUCAAUAAAUAUUUGCAUUGUAAAUAUAUUAGUUAUAUAUAUAUAUAUCUCCAAAAAUUAUGCCAUUUAUAAACGAGCUCUGGAAUAAUACCAUUAGCCCCUACAAAAAUUGGCAUAAGCAAAUAAAAUGGUUUAGUAUUUUUAUUAAAUCAAAACAAAUGUCAGAAAAAAAUAGAAAAACAGAAAUAAAAGAAGGAGGGGCUUACCUGGGGCUUCCCCUGUGCAGCCCAGCCGCAGCAGGCCGGCCCAGCCAGCAGGCGGCCCAGCCCACCUGGCCCCCCUCCUCUGUCAUCUUCCUUCCCGACAAGGGAACGGAGCGUGCCCGGCGCGCGCGCGCGCCACCGCGCCACGCCUCCUCCCUCCCUGCCUGCCUGUCCUCCCCUCGCCGCUCUGGAUGGACCGAACGUCGCCACGCAGCCGCCCCGGUCCUUUUCCCCUCCCUCUUGCUCUCCCUCCUCCCUGGUUCUCUCUUCCCCGAGCGCACCCGAGCGCAGCCGCCGCCAUCGCUCGCCGUUGCCGUGGCCACCGGCCUCCCCUCGCCUCCCUGACACGCUUCCCAGCUCUGCCUCGACCCCCUCUACCUCCUCGUCAAGCCACGCACCUCCAGACGCGCUCCAUCGCCGACGCCGUUGUCUUCUUCACCACCGACGCCGGAGAUCGACCUCGCCGCCAUUGCCGUCGAUUCGCCGGACGCAGGACGUCCCCGAGCACACCGGACUGCUCUGCGAGUCCGCCGUGAGCCCCUCUUCCUUUCCCCUCACCUCUCUCUCUCGCGCGUGCCCUGUAGCCGCUGCCCCGCGAGCGCCCGAAGCCGCCGUCCGCCAUGGCCGGCGAGCUCCGUGCCCCCGAGCACCUCCGCCUCGCGUAGUAGCUCGAUGUGCUCCUGCUGCCUCGUAGCUACCGCCUGUGCCCUCCGUUCGCUCGAACGCGAGCUGCAGCCCCACGCCCGCGCUAUCCCGAACUCCGGUCGCCGCCCAAGUGGUCGCCGCCGGCGAUAUAGGCCGUCUCCGGUGAAACAGAGGGCGCCACAGGAUGCGCGCGAGCCUGGGCUUCGCGUAGGUGCUCUCCGCCGCACGAUUGGUCGCCGGAGCGACGAUUCCGCAGCCCUCCGUCGCGUUUAGGCCUCGCCGGCGACUAACCGCCGGCGGGUCUGACUUGUUUGACCUGGGAUUUGACCCCCCAGGGUCGCUGACUAGUGGGGCCAGGCUCUGCUAAUUUUAGUUAAAAAUAAUAAUAACUAAACCUAAUUAGCCACUAACACUGACCAGUGGGCCCGACCCCCCCUAAUCUGUUAAUUAAGUUAAUUAACCCCUGUUUGACCCCCCCUGUCACUGACGUGUGGGUCCCACACGUCAGGUUUGACCCGGACCAGCCCAGUUGACUGCUGACGUCAUGCUUACUCAAUGCUGACGCAAUUAUAUAUUUUCUGGAAUUAAAAUAAUUCAGAAAAUCCAGAAAAUGAUUUAAACUUCAAAAAUUCAUAACAAUUCAACCGUAGCUCAGAUUAAAAUAAUUUAUAUAUGAAAAAUUAUCAGAAAAAUGCAAUCUUUCCAUCUGUACUAGUUUCAUGCAUGACAAACCAACUUAUACAUGCUGAAUAUGGGAAAACACAUUAUGGCAUAUAUAAGAGACUUAAUUUAGAAAUGCAUUUGAACCUUUGGUUCAAAUGGAAUUCAAACCAAAUAUUUACUAGUUGCAUUAGCUCAAACAACAUCACAUCUACAUGCCAUGUUCAUGCAUCAUAUUGUUGCAUAUGUUUGUGUUUUGAUUGCCGGCACCGUUCCUUCUCGAUAGGUCCUGCUCCGGAGACGUUCCAGAGUACCUGUCUGUGAAGCAGUGCCCCCUCCUUGUUAAUUUACCAGGCAAGCAAACCCCCUUGUUCAUUUCCAUAAAACCCUACUCUCUCGCUCCUGCUCUCAGUUAUUGCAUUAGGACAACAGCGAUUCAUCUGUUACUUUGUGCUGCGGUAGUUGAACCCAUUCCUCUGCAUGACCUGUCAUUGCCACAGUAAAUAGUUGAAACCCACUAGCAUGUGUAGGAGUUGAUUGAAACCACUGAUAUGUUCCUACCAUGCUAUGCCUGCUAUUGCUUAGAGUUGUGUCAGGUCUAGUUCAUUGGGAAUGAAUUGGAGUGUUACGAUAUGUUCUGAUGCUGAGAGUUAAGUGUGUGAACACGAUUUGGUAAAGGUAGCGGUGAGAGGCCAUGUAGGAGUACAUGGUGGGUUGUCUCACUGGAACCGUCAUUAAGCACUGAGUUCUGUGUAUGUUGUCCAAUGACUCGAUACUACCACACAUUGGGUUCCGGUAACUCGACCCCUCUCGACUUAUUAACCAACUUGAUCUCUGUCCAGGAGUCGCAACUAGUUUCUGGCGUUUGUAGGUAGUGUUAGUAGUCUACCAAGUGGCACCCGGCCAGGUGGGCUUGGGACAGACUAGGCACCAGUGGCACGGUAUACCAAGCGUAGAUCCAUCCGGCGAGGUGGGCUUGGGAACCCUGCACACAUCGUUUGGGGCCGUGAGUGAAACCCCGGCCGGAUCUCCUUGCGGAUGGAACCCGAAUAGGCGAUAAACCUGGAUUAGAGUCUUGUGCGGUUAGUCAGGUCGUGGCCGACACCCUCGCCAGGCUUCCGCUUGAAGGUUGCCGAGAUACAUGACGUGUACAUGGCGGUAAGUGGCGAGAGCGUGUGUGAAGAAGUACACCCCUGCAGGGUUAACAUGAUCUAUUCGAAUAGCCGGGUCCGCGGUUAUGGACUUCUUGGAUGCUUACAUGGUACAUAGACAACUUGAAGUGGAUACCCUAAAAUGCUCAAGACAAGUGUGAGUGCUAUGGAUGGCCUUCUCGUAGGGAGACGGGGAUGAAUCCAUAGUAGUGUAUUGUGUGGUGAUUAGUGGACUCGUGUACGUUGUUUCACCUCCAGAGUUUCUGGUAGUCGUAGAAUAGGAUAGCCACAGAGUCAAAGCUGGCUUGCUGCAACUAAACCCCACAUUACCCUCUUGAUACAAAUGCAUGUACGAUAGGAUCUGAUGUAAGUCUUGCUGAGUACCUCUGUACUCAUGUUGCUUUAUUUAUGUUUUUGCAGCUGAGACUUCGGUCUUACUAGCGUUCUCGUGGACUUCGACUAGUAGCUAGUACCUCAGCUACGAUCUUGAUCGGACGUUGUAGAUAGUCAGGCGUUCAGCCUUUUUCAUUUAUAGAUGUCUGUACUCAGACAUGUAAUGCUUCCGCUUGUUGCUUGUAUGCUCUGUAUGAUGGGUUUUGUGACCCCUGUUUGCAAUAAAUGCUAUGAUAGCUCUUCUGAGCCUUUAUCUAUAUGAUUGUUGAGUUAUGCUGUGAUGCCAUGUUGUACAGCACAUACUUGCAUGUUAUGCGUACGUGUAAUGUGUAUUGCUAUGUGUGGGAUCUGACUAUCUAGUUGUUUAUUCUUAGUAGCCUCUCUUACCGGGAAAUGUCUCCUAGUGCUUCCACUGAGCCCUGGUAGCUUGCUACUGCUCCGGAACACUUAGGCUGGCCGGCAUGUGUCCUUCUUCGAUCCUGUGUCUGUCCCUUCGGGGAAAUGUCACGUGAUGAAUACCGGAGUCCUGCUAUCCCGCUACAGCCCGGUUCACCGGAGUCCUGUUAGCCCAGUGCUACAGCCUGGAUUCACUCGCUGAUGACCGACACGUUCGAUGCUGGGUCAUGGAUGCCUGUCCCUGUAAGUUAGUGCCACUUUGGGUUUACGACUAGCCAUGUCAGCCCGGGCUCUUUAUCAUAUGGAUGCUAGCGACACCAUCAUAUACGUGUGCCAAAAGGCGCAAACGGUCCCGGGCAAAAGUAAGGCGACACCCGUGGGGAUACCGUGCGUGAGGCCGCAAAGUGAUAUGAGGUGUUACAUGCUGGAUCGAUGUGGCAUUGAGUCGGGGUCCUGACAAGAAGUUCACCGGCUAUUUGGAAUCCAUCAGCCGAUUCAUCAGUGGGCUGGGCGAGAAGGCUCUCCCCUUGUAUUAGCUCAUGAAGAAGACGACCUUCUUUGAGUGGACUCCCAAGGCGGACGAGGCUUUUCUCCAACUAAAGAAGAUGUUGACUACUCCCCCUGUGCUGGCGGCUCCGACUCCCAAAGAGCCCAUGCUCCUAUACAUUGCCGCCACCAGCCGAGUAGUCAGCACAGUCAUUGUAGUCGAGCGCAAGGAGGAAGGCAAGGCGCUGCCUGUCCAGAGACCAGUAUAUUACUUGAGCGAGGUACUGUCGGCCUCCAAGCAGAACUACCCCCAUUACCAGAAGAUGUGCUACGGCGUGCAUUUUGCCGCCAAGAAAUUGAAGCCUUACUUCCAGGAGUAUCCAAUCACUGUGGUCUGCACAACUCCACUGGCCAAGAUCAUCGGAAGCCGAGAUGCUUCUGGCCGAGUGGCCAAAUGGGCCAUCGACCUGGCCUCCUACACCAUCUACUACGAGCCCCGCACUGCCAUCAAGUCGCAAGCACUGGCCGACUUCCUCGUCGACUGGGCCGAGACCCGGUAUCUGCCGUCAGCGCCCGACUCCACCCAUUGGCGGAAGCACUUCGAUGGCUCCAAGAUGCACACCGGCUUGGGAGCCGGCGUCGUCCUCACUUCCCCCAAGGGCGACAAGCUCAGAUAUGUGCUGCAGAUCCACUUCGCCGCCUCCAACAACGUGGCCGAGUACGAGGCGCUCAUCCACGGGCUCCGGCUUGCCAAAGAACUCGGCAUUCGCCGGAUCCUGUGUUAUGGCGACUCUGACUUGGUGGUCCAGCAAUCAUCUGGCGAUUGGGACGCCAAGGACGCAAAUAUGGCGAGCUACCGUUUCCUCGUCCAGCAACUCAGCGGAUACUUCGAGGGGUGCGAGUUCCUCCAUGUGCCAAGGAACGACAACGACUAAGCAGACGUCUUGGCACGAAUCGGCUCCACCCGCCAGGCAAUACCAUCUGGUGUCGCCCUCCGGUGCCUCCUCAAGCCUUCUAUCAAGCCGUCACCAGAAUCAGAUUCAAUCUUUGUGCCGGCUCCGCCUGAGGAAGACGGAUCCGACUCCAAGAAACACACAGUCGAAGCCGGCCUGGGGACUUCAGAACCCGGCCCGGGGACUACAGUGGCAAGAUCGAAGACUCCAGAGCUCGGCCCGGGGACUGCUCCAGUCGGCCCCUGGACUUUGUCAAAUCAGCAAGCGGCUGCGGACUCCAACCCGCCGCCUCCAAGCCCGACCGCCCUUGUCCAAGUCGCACUAGUGGCAGUUUAAGAAAUAGCAGCACCUUCAUGGGCCCAGCCCAUCCUCAGGUUCUUAGUAAACAGAGAGCUGCCAACUGAUGAAAUCUUGGCUCGACAAGUGCAACGCCGAGAAGCAGCCUACACCAUAGUCAAUAGAGAGCUGGUCAGGCGCAGCGUUACCGGCGUCUUCCAACACUGCGUCGAGGCAGAACAAGGCCAAGCAAUCCUCAGAGACAUCCAGGAAGGCGAGUGCGGUCACCACGCGGCCUCCAGGGCACUCGUCGCCAAAGCCUUUCGGCACGGUUUCUUCUGUCCAACCGCCCUGGAAGAGGCCAAAGAGUUAGUCCAAAAGUGCAAGGGGUGCCAGAUUUUCCGUUCCAAGCAACUUCAGCCAGCUUCCGCACUCAAGACUAUCCCCAUCGCCUGGCCCUUUGCAGUCUGGGGUCUGGACAUGGUGGGACCAUUCAAGACGGCACGAGGUGGCGUGACUCACCUACUUGUCGCAGUGGACAAGUUCACCAAGUGGGUGGAGGUGAAACCCAUCAAGAAGUUGAAUGGUCCGACUGCAGUGACCUUCAUCGCUGACAUCACAACUCGGUACGGCAUCCCACACAGCAUCAUCACAGACAAUGGAACGAAUUUUGCCAAAGGCGCCUUGGCCCGUUUCUGCGCGACACAGGGCAUCCGACUGGACUUAGCGUCCGUUGCCCAUCCAUAGUCAAACGGCCAGGUGGAGUGAGCGAACGGCCUCAUCUUAUCCGGCAUCAAGCUUCGACUCGUCGUGCCGCUGGAGCGAUCUGCCGGCUGUUGGCUUGAGGAGCUGCCAGCCAUCCUCUGGAGUCUGCGCAUGACUCCAAACAAGUCAACCGGUUUCACACCCUUCUUCCUCGUCUAUGGUGCCGAAGCCGUCAUCCCAACGGACAUAGAGUUCGACUCCCCGCGAGUCACCAUGUACACCAAGGAAGAAGCAGAAGAAGCACGUCAAGACGGCGUCGAUCUGCUGGAAGAGGGCCGGUUGUUGGCACUCAGCCGGUCCAGUAUCUACCAGCAGAGUCUGCGUCGAUACUACAACAGGAAGGUCAGGCCAAGAUCUUUCCAAGAAGGCGACCUUGUGCUCCGGCUGAUCCAGCGAACAGCCGGCCAGCACAAGCUGUCGGCACCUUGGGAAGGACCCUUUAUCAUCAGCAAGGUGCUAGGGAACGACGCCUACUAUCUUAUCGACGCUUAGAAGCCCCGAGCGCGCAAGAGGGAUGACUCCGGCAAAGAGACAGAGUGCCCGUGGAAUGCAAAUCUUCUUCGAAGAUUUUACAGUUGAUGCAGUAUGUAUCACACUACCCCUUUGUAUUAAACUACUAAGACUUUGGGCCCCCCGAGACGAGCUCGGGGACUGCCCUUUUUGUUAUCUGUAUGAUAAGAAUUAUGCCUUCGAGUACAUUACUUUCAUUACAAGCCGCUUGGCACCGGGCCAGACUAGUUGGCCCGGGGACUCGCCGCCUUGCGCUAUGAGGAGCUUCCCGCAGUCAGACAAGUAGUGCGCGGUGCCCAAUCCGCCUCCUAGCAAAGCCGCAGCUCGCAGAGCGACUGUGAGGCGGGCAGGAGUGAGGAAGAACGGGCGCCCACACGAAAAAUGGCUAGGGACCUAAAGCAUGAACAUAGCGUAAGACGGCCUCCAGCAUUUCUGAAGCAGAAAGCCGACUCAUGAGUAGCCGGCUCGCCGUCCUCUAUCAAGGACGGCCGACUCUUGGGUAGUCGGCCAGUUUCUUUCUAUCCGACUUGCUAAAGAAACUCUAAACGGCCAAGUACUUGCCUUCCCGAAGUAGCCAAGCGCUUGACCCAGCGACAGUCCCCAGAGCGGCUGUCCGACUGGCAAGGCAGCGACUAAAGGAAGGCGGCAAAGGGAAAAGCCUAAAGAGCAGUAAGUAAGGAAAGACGGAAAUCGGAUAAAUAUUUACAUAGGCCCUUGGCCGAAUCUACGAAUAGAAGUUCAAGAUACACCCCGCGGGUGGAAUUGUUCGAAUCAAACAAAGUUUUCAAAAGAUUACUAAGACAGACAAACAGAGGCGAAAAAGGCAGCCUAGGAGGCGUGAUCUGGGAUCGGAGGAUCGGAGGAGAUGGCGGUGUCAGGCGCCGGGGCAGUCGGCUAGGCGGUCUCGGUUUGAUCGCCUCCGGCGGCAGUCGCCUUCUCUCGACGCGGCUCGUUGCUGGAGGCGCGGUCGAGCUGAGGCUGGCCGCCUGCGCCGUCUUCUGGCACCUCCGCCUUGCCUUCGUCCUCUGCCUCGUCCUCCUCCUUGGUGCUGGAGUCGAUCACCUCCGCCGAGUCCUCGCCAUACUCCGGGUUCAUCCCGAACCACUCUGGUGGCACUUCCUCGCCGCCUUCAGCCCGCUCGGGGACGAAGACACUGGUGUCCGUGUACUCGGCGAUGGCCGCCGCACGCUCGAUAAGGGCGCCUUCCACGGCCUCCAGCUCGGCCUGGGCUUCUGACCGGAACACGGCCAGACGGUCCAGGUCCAGCCCUGGAUACCAUGCCUUGACGAACUCCAAGGCCCGAUGCGCUCCGGCCCGGGCCGAGGAGCCCUUCCAGGCCUCAAGACGGCAGGCAGCGACCUCCAGCCAGUCGGCAGUUCGGCUGGCGGUGCACAGAGCCGGUGUGCCUGGCCACAGGGCGGCAACCGCCUGGGCGCCGGCACGCUGAAGCCGGCGCAUCAGCCGGUGAGCCGGACGAGGACGGGCUUCAAUGCUCAGAAGCUGCUCAUCGAUGGUUCGGGGGGCAUUAGUGACGAUCUCCUCACCGUUUGCCCUUCGCGCCUCACGAGCAGCCUCGAUGGCCAGAGGGACUGCCUGCGAGUGACCAGGGAAGAAGUCUGCCAAGACAAAAAAGAAGCCAGUCAAAAAAUCAGAAGUGGGCCUGACACAUAGACGGAAGCCCGAAGAAACGAAAGAAACUUACCAUCAACGAUAUCCUCGAUCUCGUGGAAGCCGGAGGUCAGCAUCGCCUUCCUGUCAGUCCAGGAGGAGCGCUCGCUCUCGAACUCGGCCAGGAGAGCGGCCUCCUUCUUCUCGGCCUCGUCCUGCGCCUUCUUGAGCAGCUCCUUCUGCUCGGCCAGCUGCGCCGCCAGCAGGUCGCGCUCCGCGGCAAGCUUGCCACACUCCUCCUCCUUGGCACACCGGGCGGUAUUGGCCUCGCCCAGCUGCUCCUGAAGAGCGGCGUUGGCUCCUGAAGAACGAAAGAAGAGACAAAUAAGUCGUCAGCAAAGAAGAUUGCAGAGAAGAUCCGGCCCGACUGCUCAGCAGUCGGCCCGAAUCUCGGGGACUACAGCCCGCGGGUGCGCCAGCGCGCCCCCGCGAAGAAAAAGGACUUACUCCGGCUUUCCGUCAAGUCGGCAACCCGCUUAUUCAACUCCUCAACAUUGCGGUUGAAGGCAGUGGCGCGGAGGUUGUGAUACUCCUGCAAUAAGUCAUUGAGACAAAGUUAGUAUUUGGAACUCGCCAAAGGAAGUUCCGAGCCGCCUGCUCAGCAGCCGGCCCGAAACUCGAAGACUACACCCAGUGGGUGUGCUGGCGCGCCCCCACAGAGAAAAACAAGAAUCAAAAAGAAGAAGGAAACAUACUCGAACAGCCGUCCACGCUGCCAGAUGCGCCCUGGUGCAAGUUUGAAGGGCGUCGCCUUCAGCGCGCAGCUUCGCCUGAACGUCCAGAAGCGCUUGAUUCAGCGGCCCGGUGCCGCCUCCGCGCAACCACCCGGUGGGCGCGGCGCUUGUGGCCACGGCAUCUAUGGUCGCCGAGCUGGCAGCGCCGGUCUCCCGAGGUCGCCCUCUCAAAACGGCGGCGCACCGGCGAGGCGACUUGGAGAAGCAGCCGCGCCUCGGCCUCGUCCGUGACCGGCGGCUCUGACGGACCCACCGGCUAUUUGCCGUGCGGCCUCCCAGACGGCGGUGGAGGCGGCGGUGGCGGCAUGAGAAUAUCCGACAUAGAAGCCUCGCCGCUCUCCUUCUCCACGACGGGGUUCUCGCUGCCGGCCUCCCCGGUCUGCCCCGUGAACUCCGGAGGGGGCGGUGUAGACGAUAGUGGGGGGACGAGCAUCGCCGAUCGGCGACGCGCGACCUCCUCGGCAUGCCGUCUCGCCGCAAGGGCGGCUUCGGCAUCCUCCAGCUUCUUCUGGGCGGAGGCGGCCGCCCUGUCGGCCUCCGCCUUCUCCAGACGUUCGACCUCCUCCUCCUCAUGCUUCUCCCGCGCAUUUCGCUCUGUCGCCUCCCAGAGGUCGGCGGCGGGGUCGGCCCGCCGAGUAUUGGCGGACGUCUCUACCGACCCCAUGACGGAGGGGACGGCGACUCUAUCAAGGGAAAGAGGGGCCCUGAAGAAGAAUGGAGGGAGUAUAAAAGAAGACUCGGACAAGAUUCAACGAAGGAAAAUAAAAAAGUGUAAAGACUUACGCAGAGACUAGCGACGGCCUUCUCACUUCCCUACGGAAGCGGUUGGCCUUCGCGGCCGCCUCCUCCCGUUUGGUCGCGGCGGCCGCCCCCUUGAACUUCUUCAAUUUGCCGCCGGGCGCACUCGGCCCGGCGUGACGCCUCUUCGUGCCGCCUUGGCCAGCCAGGCCGGCGGAGGAGCCGGCGCCCGACGAGCCGACCCUCGGCUGGUGGCGUGGGGCGACUUCCCCUUCGGCGUCAUCGUCAGGCCAGUCGGUGAAGGUGGCUGAGGGCCUGAAGUCGCCUUCUGCUCCUUCUCCCCCGCCUUCGGUGUCGGCUUCCAUCGCCGUCGCCCCCCAAGUCGGGGUCGUCGACGUCGCUGUCCGCAUGAUCGGGAACAUACUCGCGGGGCUGUCUCGUGGCGCUGGCUGCAGGCUGCAUAAAAGGAUUCUAGCUCAGAAGAAACCGACCAGAGUCAAAAGCCGGAGUCGGCCGCAAAGAAGACUAAACAAUGGGAGGACGCGACUUACCACUGGUGGGGGGUUGUCGCGCGAGUACGGCUCCUUGCCGAACUGCCAGUCCUCCCCGAACUCGCAGUUCGCGAUACGAUUCACCAUGUUUGCCACCUCCGCGCGGGGCAUCUCCUUUGUGCUUAUCCGACUCGGGUCUCAGAGGCCGCUCAUCUGACAGAUCAGGUGAAGCCGACCUUGGAGCGGGAGAACUCGGCGCGCCACGAAGGCGGCCAGCAAGUCGGCCCCGACGAGACCCUCCGACUGCGUCAAGACUCGGAGUCGCGCAACGGCGGCGGCUCCGGCGGGAGUCAGCGUCUUGACUCAGUGAGACCAGCUGGGGAGCCUCCCAGUUAGGGGGGCGGCGUUGUAAGGAGGCAGGUUGACCCAGUCGCCGUCGGAGGCGAGGUUCUUCACGUGGAAGUAUGAGCGCUGCCACAUCUUCACCGACUUGAUCAGCGUGAUGGGAGGAAAGGGGUUGUCGGCCGUCGAGCGCCGCACCACGAUGUAGGCGCCGCACUGAGCCGGCACCCUGGCGACGUGCGUGCCGAGCUUAGAAGAGAAGAAUUCUCCCCACAGCUCGAUGGUGGGGAGAACGCCGAGGAAACCUUCGCACAGAGUGGCGAAGGUGGAGAGCAACACCACCGUAUUCGGAGUGAGGUGGUGCGGUUGAAGGCUGUGGAACUCCAAGAACGAGCGGAAGAAGCCGCUCGCCGGCAGCCCCAGGCCGCGAAAGAGGUGCGAGCGGAAGAUGACCCGCUCGCCCUCCUCCAGCGCCGGCCAGAUCUCCCCCUCCAGCGCGGCGCGGGCGCGCACGAGGUCCGCGCUGGGGAGACGGCGUGUCCGGCGGAGGAACUCGAUGUGUUCCUCUUCUACCUCCGAGCCGUCCCACACGCCGGAGCGCACGGCGGGGGCCGCGGCGGAGGAAGAGCUCAUCGCCGUGGUGUGGAGUGCUCUUGCUCAACGGCGGAGGCAGGAGGGAGAGAAGGCAAGAUGAGGCGGGGGAGCAGGGAAGAAGGGCGCGGGUGCUGUGCCGCUCCCCUCCCCCCCGCCUACUUAUAGCCCUGUGGGCUGAGAAGCCGAGGGGGCGGGCGUGGGAUUAACUACGCACGAUGCCCCACGCCGCCCCACGAUUUACCCCACGAAGUUACUGCGCGCAGUAACGACGUGGGAAAACCAACCGUCCACGGCCGCAACGGAUCCGUUCGUAUGCCGAGGCACGGUAGUGGCGGGCCCCGCCUGACGGCCCGUCCCGUCGCGCGCGUGGGCAGGCAGACUGUCCUCUCCACAUGGCGCCACAUGAUAGGACCGCCCUGAUGGCUGCGGGGAAGCGUAUCAGGCACGCCGCCUGGUUUCCCGCUGCGGCUUUCGAGCUGCGGCUCUUCGCUAAAACAUCCGACUCUCGACAGUCGUCCCAAGGGAAGACGGCAGCCGAGUUCCAGAGUCCGCUCCUGGAAGGUUGAAACUGUUGAAGCCCCACAAUGCAGCGUCCGCAGGGCUUCACCAGCUUCGGGGACUACUGUCGGAGUAAUGGGCCACGGGUAGGCUAACCCGAGUCCCAAGACCUUUCAAGACAUCGGGGCAGGCCGCACCCCUCAAGCCGAGUCCCAGGAGCGACUCCAAGACAAGCCGACUCCAAGCUAGGCGACCUCCAGAGGGGCCGACUAUGGAGAGUCGGCCCAUGACUCCUCCUCAUCUCAAAGUACGAUGCGGGGUACGGUCACGGCGUGGCCGUUCCCCCCUGCUUACGAAGGGUCGGCAUGGCUACAGUAAGCCGUAUCGCUGGAAGAUCUCCAGUGAGGCGCGGCAUUAUUGCCAUGCCUGCCCUGACCUCAGCCACAGUGCGCAGCACACUGUGCCCACGAUGCCGGCCUGUACGACCCGAAGGCGACGGGGCCGCCUGUCAGUGGGUGGGCCGAAGGCGGCCUGAGCACCCCGAAGAUGGACCUGUGGGAGUCGGCCUCCCUGGAGUCGGCCGACUCCUCCCCGGGGCCCCACGAGCCAUUAACUAGAUAGGAUGGGGAAUGGCGACAGUGAUCGCCCGAUAGAUGGCGGCACUGUUUCCACGACCCUAUGACCGAGCCUGCGUCAUCAGGAGUGCCGCAACAGUAUCAAGCCUGUCCAGGGGACCCGCCAGUCGGCGGGCCCCAGAAGCCGGCAGGGAGGACGACGGCCUGAGAGACAAACGGCUGGGACCCGCGCCCAGCCGGAUUACUACUGUACCCCCGGGGGGUAGGCCUAUAUAAACCCCCCGGGGCACCCAUGCAAAGGGUUCGGACCUAGAUAGAGAUAGACCAGAUAGCAUAGGGAGGAGAGAGCUAGCCUUGCCCUCUCCUGCCUCCCGAAACAGCUCCAGGAGCACCAUUGUAGUCACUUUGCCUUAGUGAUCAUGCGGAGACCCCGCAGAGUAGCAGUAGGGGUGUUAUCUCCUAGGAGAGCCCUGAAGCUGGGUAUGUUCCGCUGGCGUGCAUGUCUUCGCCUCAUCCCGCUUCCAGGCACCGGCGACGUUCUACUCGCUCCCACCAUGAUAAGCCAUCCUUUGGCAUAUGUCGUAUCCAACCUCCGACAAUGACUCUUAGUCAUCCGGCCCACUGCGUAUCCCUUAAGCCCUUCGAACUUGCCCUCUAAGAACUUGAAACAAUCGUGCGAUAGCCCCACGGUGGGCGCCAACUGUUGUGGAAUUAUCAUGUCAGAUGUCCUAGGGAAACGACUUAGUCGUGGAGCCAUCACGAUCGGGUUAGCUUAGAGGGGUUAAACCGGACAAAGGACACAUGGAGUUUAUACUGCUUCGGCCCCUUGCGGUGAAGGAAGAAGCCUACGAUCCAGUUGUGGUGUUCUUGAUGUGGUCUCGAUUACCAGGGAGAAAAAUAUGCUUCAUCUAGCUGUUGAGUUGUUGUUUCUUGUCCCUUAACCGCCACCGGGUUGUCCCUAUAUAUACACAAGUUGACGCCCGGGCCAGUCUACAGAAUCCCAAGGCCGGCUCAUACAAGUGUCCGGCUCAGUUUCUCCUUUCCCUGACUUACAAUAUAAGUUAUACAUAUAUGCGGUUCAUUAUGGGCCCUAAUCCGCCAUCGGGCUCUGGGCCUUCUAAGCCUUCAUAGUUAAAGCGCCAUAGCCUUCGUCUUCAUGGGCUUCUAUAUAGAUGACUAGUUAUGAGUGUAAUCCAGCCCAUCCUGGGCGGUUUAACUCAGUAGUCAUAUCCCCAACAGCCGGGGCAGCAGCAGCUAUUGACCUCUAGAGAUUCGGCUCAGUCAGGCCACCGGCUCAACUCUUAUCUAAGUUGAUGAAUGAUUUGACAACCUUAAUGCGGAAAACCAAGCAGAGCAUAACGCAGAGAUCGCAAAGCUUAGGGAACAAAUGACGAAGGCCCAAGAGGAUAUCAACGCCUGAGAAUACCCAGAUGGCAAUGGUGCUGUCUCAGAUUAAUGCUGAGUCGGAGCACUUGAAAGCAGAAGCUUGGCGUUUAAGUCUGUAUAAGAAUGCCUCGAAUGUAGUCCUCGGGAGGAGGCACCAGACCUGUUUGCCCUUAAAUUAUGAGCCCACAAAUAUGUUCAAUAACAUUGGUUGCAGGUCCAAGUACUCCACUGUUUGUGCCCCCGACUGCAGAGGCGCCCACGAAUAGGGUGGUGGCUCAGCCUUGUCAGCUAGAGCCGACCCGUAGGGGCCAGACCCCACCUCAGCGGUUUUCAACACCACCAGGACAUUUUUCUAACACGGUUGAUAACAUGGUGGCAGCUUCUACUCGGCUCAAUGCGCUCCCUAUCAUUGGUGAGUCGCUAAUUGAAGUGGAUGCACGGAAUGCCAUUGAGCUUCUUCAAACAACAUUUGCACAGCAGGAGAAGUGUUCAUACAGUCGUAAUCGUGUGCACUCAACUCCUCUCCCGAGCCAAAGUUACAGUCGACAUGUUGAGUCACCCGCGGUCUCUCGUUGUGAGCAACACUGUAACUGCUCAAGCAAUUGUCAAUUAGGCUAGAGCCCGCCAUGAGGUGGUGGCGGCUAACCGGGUGUCUUACCAGCAGCCCUUGAUGACCCCUUCAGCCUCAAUGGGAGCCGAGUCAAAUUCCAGGACCAUUGGGGUGCCAUGUUUAAUGCCGGCUUUGUGAAAUGAGCGCCUGCCCACAGAUUUUAAGGGCCCUCACAAGGUGCCCAAUUACACGGCGGGUCUGCCUCCGGAUGCUUGGAUUGAGAGUUAUGAGCUAGUCAUGGAGAUGUUGGACGUCAAUGAUGCAGGAUGUGCCAAAUAUUUCACUAUGAUGUUGGAAGCGAGGCUCGUACAUGGUUAAAGAACCGCCCCCAACUCUAUCAAUACCUGGGCGGGAGUUGAAGGACGGAUUUAUAAAAGACAUUCAGGGAACUUGUAAGCAUCUAGUGACAAUUACUGAUUUGGAGCACCAUGUGCAGCAAGACAAUGAGUCGGCUCAUCAUUGGGCCCGCCGGGUUGCGACCAUCAUCCAUUCUUCAAAAAGUGUUGGGGCGCCUCAAGCUGUCUUGCUCUUGGAUAAAAUGGUCACUUUGACCCCCUUAAGCAGAAGUUAGGCCAACUCCACCGUGCGACCCCAUCCUAUCCGGGCCUGUCCGUUUGGGGUAAAAUGGACAAACCGGGCGACCCAGCGCGCGGGAGCAAACGGACUUUUGUCCAUUUUGUGUCCACUUUCGACCCAUCCACGGCCCAAGUUUGCGCCGCUUUUGGGGUGAAACGGACACCACGUGGACGCGCCGGCCGUCUGUGCGUGUCCUCCCCUGGCCCGCCCAUUGUUGGCACAGGAUGGGCCUUUUUCUAUCUGCCCCCUCCCUCCCUCUGGCCGCAUCCCACUCCAUUCUUCUCCACUCUUCCAAACUCUUCCCCUCACCGCCUACCGCCGCAGCCAUUGCACGGACGCACGCUCGCCCAGCCUCUUCCCCUCAUCGCCGCCGAGCUACCCAACCACGGCCGCCUUGUUUGCACACCCGCAGGCCGAAUUUGGGGCGGAUCCGGUCGGUCUUGAGCUCGCCCGGCUGUGGGAGGCUGGGCCGCGCCAUGGAAUGGUCGGGCACCUCGCCGGAAGGCCCUGGCAGGGCCGCAAGGCCACAUGCAGGCAGUGGCUCGUACUCUAGCUGCUCGGAUCUACACCAUCGGUGGUCCACUGGCAGAUACGUGAAUGGCAGCCGGCCGGGCUCGGUGCUUGCCCAAAAGCUCGCCGGCGCACCGUUGCCCCUCAUCAAGUGCGACCACUGCCCAAGGAUGGCCGUGCGCUGCGUGUCUACAACAUCGGAGCAUCCCGGAUGGGUGUUCAUCAAGUUCUUAAACGAUGGGGUAUGUGCUCUUUUUAGCUUCGGUUUGUGCUCUCGGAUUAGAUUAGUUGUGCUAACUUUAAGUUUUAUUGUGUAGAGUGGAUGCAAGUUUUGGUAUUGGGAAGAAGAGUACAUCGAUAUAUUGAUAGAGCGAAAUCUAGUACAUGUUCGUGCACUUUUAGCUAUCCUAGAGGCUGUAGAUGAGACAAGUGCACUUGUUGCUAGAUUGGAGGCUAGGCACGAUACUACAUGUGAGGAAGCAACAUCGACUUCUGGCUUGAAGGAGAAAGGAGGGUGCAACGUCGAGCCUCCUCCACAGAUCAACAAUGAGUGCAUCAAGAAGGCCCUAACCCAACUCAAGGGAGCAGUUAUUGAAGUUGGGUAUCUUCUCAAAUGUAUUCUUGUGGUUCUUGUUUUCUUUGGCCUUGCUUUACUAGUCAAAAUGUGAUGAUGUAUUUGUCAUGUACCAAAAAUGAAUGAUGGAUAAAGCUUAAGGACUUGCAAAGAAAUGUGCAUGCAGACAAGAUGCGGUCGGGAUGCGUCCGCGCGCUGGGCACACGGCCACCGCAUCCCGGAAACUGCCCAGACAAGACCCCAUUGCCCUACCCAAACGGACAGAAUCCAGACAAAACAGACGUCCGUUUGGGGUCGCGCGGUGGAGUUGGCCUUAGGGCGGCUCAAGCGUAAGUGUAUAAAUAUGGGAAAACUUAUGGAUGUGCUUAACAUGUAUGGCGAUUUUGAUACUACCAAUGAUCCAAGCUCUCAUGAUGAUAAGUCUGGUAAGGGUAAGGAAACUGGUGGUGGCAAGGGACAGCAGCAACAUGCCUCGACUAAGCAUGGUAAUCAGAAUAACCAAAACAAUUGGGGGAAGCACAAGUACUCUGACGACGAGUCAUAUUUUGUGGCUAACACCAACACCGGGUUUAAAAACUAGCAUCGCAAUGGUAAUGGCAAUCAACCUUUCCCUGGAGGAAAGCAAGUCAAUCUUGAGGCAAUGCUCAAUGACCCUGCUACCUCUUGUCAGGACUGGUUUUCCAAUAAAACAUUUAUUGAGAAACCGUCCUUGUGUAAGACCAGUAUAGGAAAAUCUUCCUUACUAGUAGAAAAAUCCUUGAUACAUAAAUCCAGUAGUACUAAAUAUUAUACAAGGUUGAGCUGAGGCUGCUCAACAAUCUAUUACAAGCACGCCGAUAUUAUACUUAAAGGCUGAUAUGACACAAGGAGUGUGGUGGCAUAACUACUGGCUCGUAAUAAAAGUGGUGGUGGAUAUGUCACAGUGGCGUGAGUGACAUGACUCCUAAAUCUUACAACUCAUUGAGCGCCGAAGUGAGUCUCGAUGAUUUUAUUUGGGUAGCGGAAGCGUAUAUGAUACAAGUGACCAAUUCCAGGAAUCGCACGGGACUAACUGGGACUCCUGUAGGCGUCGGAGUCGCUAUCGUACUCUUCAUCCAUAAGAUCACCUUCAUCGAUAUCUGGCCAAAUCAACAAGCCAGGUGAGUACUUUGAAUGUACUCGCAAGACAGUUUGGACAUAAGAUAUAACAGAUGCAAACAUGAUGCACAUGAGCAGAUUAGUAAUGCACACUCAGAUAAUAAAUUUGCAUGGCACGUAAAAUAAAAAGGAAGUCAGGCGGUAGUCCUCCCGAAAUCCCAAUAAAAUAACUGAAGACCGAUCGGGUGUCUGAAGCGACGCCUCGAAAGGUAAAAAUAAAUUAACAUGCCGCAGUCGGGUGUCUGAGUGACACCACAUAAAGGGCUUAUAUUGAAAUGUGAAUGACAGUGCAUGCCACAGUCGGACGUCUACGCGACAUCUCGAAAAGGGCUUGUAACAAAAGUAAAUAACAUGGAUGCCACAGUCGGACGUCUGAGCGACAUCACAUAAAGGGCAUAUAUCGAAAGUAAAUAACGAGAAUGCCACAGUCGGACGUCUGAGCGACAUCACAUAAAGGGCUUAUAACAAAAAUAAACAACAAGAAUGCCACAGUCAGACGUCUGAGCGACAUCAUAUAAAGGGCUUAUAACAAGAAUAAACAACAAGAAUGCCACAGUCGGACGUCUGAGCGACAUCACAUAAAGGGCUUAUAUUUCACCAUUCGAAUUCAACUAGCUCAUGAAUUUAAAUUCUCCCAAGGAAUUACUCAGCAAUAAUAAACAGGUUAGUCCAUCCACAGGAAUAACAUUCAACCGGGUUUACCACUCAUGUUUGUUGACCGGAGAUUGUCACUGAAACUGACACUGAGGCUGACGAUGAGACUGACACUUACACUGGUAUGUUGAUCACAGUCCUUGACCAUGGACAUGGUUACUCGAAUGGUUUUGACUCUGCAGAGUUUGUACUCUUUACCCACAGUCAACGGAUUUCCGUAGUCACAAGGACUAGUUCCAUUUACGGUAUUUUAGAAGAAACUCAUAUAACCAGUACACACCCAUUUCCACAUCCCGCUGCCAGGAAUCACCCUAGGCAACGUGCAAGAAAAACUUUAAGACGGGGAGGCCACAACCUCGAGUAGCAUGGGAUCAAAUUUAUAUCGCGCGCUCUAAGGGGUGCCCCCCUCUCGGUCCCAACCGGAAACACUGAUGCCCCCUGACCGGAUGACGGGCUUUAAUCUAGGGCCAUGGAACCCUCAUCACGACCUCUCUAUUUGGUAUGUGCAAGGAAAGAGGUUUGCAACCUACUAGACCGCAUUCUUUUCAGAAGGCAUGUGGUAGCACGAAAAAGGGGAUGAACGGGAACAUGACUUGAUCCAUGUUAGUGCUGGAGUUAAACAGUUGGCAUAAGCCUGGCAUGCUACAACAAUACCAGCUUGCAACCUAUCAUGCCACCACAUGAUUGGAUUAUCUCACCAUCAUAUGAGCACAUCAAGUUUCGAAGCUCACUUGUAGCUUACCUUGCAUGUAAUAUAACAUUCACUAAUGCACAUAAAGACAUGCCAUAAGAACGCUACUCAAGCAAACAUGCAAAACACUCAUUAUAUCAAAGGUUCAAACAUGCUUGCCUGGUUCUGAGUAGUCGGAGUCUAGCUCGGUGAAGCUUGCGGCUCCGUCACCUCCGUCGGUAUCUACAUUAAUAACAAAAUCGGAUACUAACGUAAAUACCGUGCGUGCAUAAAAGUUGUUCCAAAUAAUUUUCAAAUAAAUAUGAUAAAAAAUUAGAUACAAAAAUAAAGAUGACAAGAAAAGAAUCAACUCAAAAUCUUCUUUUGUUUAAAAGUUAUUAAGGUUUUAGUCCAGGGACUCAUCUGUAAUGAAACAGAAAACUUCCCGGGGCUAGUUUAGAAAAAGACGGAAAAACAUUUCAGUUAGAAGACGUAUUUUGCCCGAAGGCAUUUUCAGAAAACGUUUCAAAAAGAAGAAAAAGAUGACGAGGGGGUCCCACCCAUCAGGUUUGAAAAUCAAAACAGAGUGCACCGGCGCCCGAGGAUUGCGGUGGUCGCCGGCAUCGAUCCACGUCGAGGUAGGGGGAGUGGAUGGUACCUACGGACUCACGGUGCUCUCCCGCGUCUGUGGGUGGUGGAGUUGGUCAUCGGCGAGCACCACGUCAACGGCGGCCUCCACUCAGGCGGACGGUGGUUUGGGCGGUGAUGGAUCUCGCCGAGGAGGGCUGCAGACGCCAAAUUGAUGCUAGGGUUAGAAGGAUGGGUGCACUAGGAGGCUUCUGGCAAGGUUAUGGAAGCGGGGGUGCCCUCACCAGAGAGAAUCGUGCUGGAGCCCGAGGCUGAUCGGGGCGGCCGGAUUCGGGGAAGAAGACCUCCUCGAGGUCCUCCUAGUGGCUGGGCGUGGUUCUCGUGAGGUGGAGGGAUGGUGCUUGGUCGAAGGCGAGCUCAUGGUUGCUAUUUAUAGACGGCCCGAGGUAGUUGCCGAGAACGGGAUAACUCCGGCGAGUGAUUACGGCGAUGCAGUGGUCGGUUUGGAGGUUUGGCGGCUUUGGCCUCAUCGUGUUGGUCCCCUGGUUCCGUUCAAGGGCUAAACUUGGCAAGACUUGGGUGAUCCUCCAAGUUCUCGACAGAACGGCCUCGCGGGCACGUUGGCGGCAGGGAGCACACCAUGUGCUUCUCACGCCACAGCGACUAUGUUGCAGCAUGCGCAGAGGAGGGUACGGCCAUGCGGAGGCUUCUGUUGGUGCGGGCGGUGCUGGACGGUGCCAAAAGGCAGGGCUGGCCCCUGCUGGCCGCCACGGGUGGUUCUGCCACCACAGAAGACGCCGGCAUUGGCGAGACACAUCGCCACCGACGCUCAUGCUCGUCCAAACGACCGUGCGGCGCACUGGAUAAGGAGGAGAAGAAGUGAGAAAUGUGCCAAACAAGGGCACUGGCGAGAUUGACGCCGCACUCUAAAGAAACGACACUGAUGAUAGACUGAAUCACUGAACUUUCUAAAUUUCGACAGGAACAGUGCAUGCCAGGUGUUCGACGAAAUAUUUUUGGCAUGUGGAAAAUUUUUCUGGAGUUGAUCUUUGGUGAGGUGGUCUCUUGAUGCAUCUAGAGGCUGCCUGAUUUUUCUCAGAAUUUUAGGAGAAGAAAAAUAAUGAAUUUUACCAAAACUGACAGAUCUGGUCCAAACUUGCAGCAAGCAAAUUUUGAAAAAUUUGAAUUGUGGACCAGUGGAUCUUGAUGGAUCUUUGUUGAGGGUACUAAGGACUAGUCAGAGGAGUUUAUUUGGGACCAAGACUCAAAGGGAUACUGGAGGUUCCUUUGUAAAUCAUAAAGGCCCAAAUAAAUGACAUAAAAUGCUUUUGAGGGAAAAUAAAUAAAUAAUUUUUUUAAGGAGGUAGAAACUUGCUGGAGUGGGAUGCUUGGUUUGAUCCAAAGUGGGGAGCUGGGUUUUGGGAUAAAUAUUUCAACAUAUGUCAUGGCAAGCGAAAUAUUUUUUUGAUUGGGAAGGAGUAAGUCCAAAAUUUAUGGGAACUCUUUUAAUAAAAGAAAUAUUAAAAACAACCCAAGAUAAUUUGUGUUGAUCCAACACAUGUUGAAGAACCCUCAAGACUAAAAAUCAAUAUUGAGAAGAGCUCUUAAAAUAUUUUUCAAAAAAAGUUUUGAGAAGGAGAGCCCUUCUAUUAGAAAAAUUCAAAUAACCCCCUUUUUUAAAUCAAAUAAAGAAUUUUAGGAAAAACGAAAACAAAAUUUUUGAAGUGUUACACCUAUUAAGCUUGCUUUGGUUUUUUCCUUGAAGAGGAAAGGGUGAUGCAUCAAAGUAGUGUAAGUAUUUCUGUCAGUUUUGAGAACCAAUGUAUCAAUCCAGUAGGAGACGACACACAAGCCACCUAGUACCUGCACAAACAAUCAAGAACCUUGCAACCAACGUGAUAAAGGGGUUGUCAAUCCCUUCACGGUCACUCGCAAAAGUGAGAUCUAAUAGAAAAUAGUAAAGUUAAUAUUUUUGGUAUUUUUGUUGUAUAGAUUGGAAAGUAAAGAUUGCAAAAUAGUAAAUGAGAUGUGAUGUAAAUAAAAGAGAUGUAAUAUAAUAAGAAAGAGACCUGGGGGCCGUAGGUUUCACUAGUGCCUUCUCUCGAGAUAGCAUGUGUUAUGGUGGGUGAACAAAUUACUGCCGAGCAAUUGAUAUAUAGAAAAGCGCAUAAUUAUGAAGAUAUCUAAGGCAAUGAUCAUGAAUAUAGCAUCACGUUCGUGUCAAGUAGACCAAAACUAUUCUGCAUCUACUACUAUUACUCCACACAUCGACCGCUAUCCAGCAUGCAUCUAGAGUAUUACGUUCAUAAGAAUGGAAGAAUGCAUUAAGCAAGAUGACAUGAUGUAGAGGGAUAAAAUCAGGCAAUAUGAUAAUAACCCCAUCUUUUUAUCCUCCAUGGCAACAAUACAAUAUGUGCCUUGCGGCCCCUAUUGUCACUGGGAAAGGACACCGCAAGAUUUAACGCUAAGCUAAUGUAACAUCCCAAAUUGAAGAUCAUCAUUGCAUAUCAUAUUUUAUUACAUUUUGGCUUGAUCCUAGAAAUUCUACGCAACUCAAGGACCCAUGGAGAGAGUUGGGGAUUUCGUUAUUUUCAUAUUUGAGUUUUCCCAAAUUUUGAAAAUAGGAUCAUUUGAUUUUAUUUAUUUUAUCUUCAAUUAUUUCUAUUAUGAAAAUAAGAGAGAGGGAAUAAAAUGACUUUCCAAAAAUAAAGAAAUAUUGAGGAUUUAAUAAAAAAAUCAAAUAAGAUUUUAUUUCAGAGUUUUUGGCUAUUUUAUUUGAAUUAGGAAAAAUGAAUGUUUUUCAAAAUUGCAUUUAGGCCCCAAAUAAAUGAUCAUCUUGUUCGGCUCAAUUUUAGAGGACGGCGAAAAUUUAUUUCGGGAUUUUUGGAGUCCGUUUAGUAUUUCUUUUAUUCGUUUUUCUGCGCGUAAUUAGUUUAAGAAAAAAAGUCAACCGACCUAGCCGGGCCGUACCCGACCCGGACACGCCCGGGGGCGCUUUAUAAGCCGGACCCCCCUGCCCCCGAAGCCCACCGCCACCCCAGCCCAGCCCGCUCCGCCGCCAAACCCUAGCGCUGCCGCCGCCACCCCAGCCCAGACAGUGAACGUUCGUUCUUUAGCCUGUUCGUCCGUUUUUCUUUUCUCGGAUUUUCCGCGAUUAUUUCUGAUCGUGAUUUCUGAUCUGAUUAUCGUUCUAGUAUAACUUUUUGCUCGUUUAUCGGAAUCAGGUGAUUCAAGCGCCUAGAGUUUCGUUUCGAAGCCCUCUUUCGGCUUAACCAACUCAAACAAGUUUUUGCUACUGUAAAAUGUCACUUACGUCCAGAAUAGUAAACAAAGCUUGUUUCUUUCGCCGUUUGACCGUCGUUGCUUCGUUUGAUUUGAUUUGAUCUCUUAUUUGAGUUUUACAUGUGCAUUAGAUGAGUGCUUAUUGUAUGCUUGUUUGUUUGCGAUAGAGUAACCGGAGUGCGCUUCUUGCCACUACGAGUCUCUAUGUUUCACGGAUCAUCAGGAAGGCAAGUAACACUUUGAUCAUACCUCUUUACUACCCAGUUUUAUUGCAUUAGAUCAAUGCUCAAACAAUUGCAUGGUUAAGAUAUGAUUAAUAUCUGUGAUUUGGGGAGUAGAUGAGGUAGUGCCUAUUACCUGUUUUAUUAUCAAACCUUUGGGAGUUACUUCUAUGUUUGCUUUUGUUGCCAUGCUAUGCUAGUAGACGUGGAUUGGGUGUGUGUAUUCAUGACAGAUGUGAGAGUGAUAUUUAAUGGUUUACUUAAGGUGGCAACUUAAACUCACAUAUGGGUGGAUUGAGGCACCUGGGGAACCCAGUGUUGCCUGUAUUUUUGGAAAUCCCGGGGUACCGUGUAAUUCUCCUAUGGACCGCCACCCAGGCUCAAAGGGAUCAUGAGAUUAUUCAUGCUAGAAACUUCCGUGUGCAGCCACAAGCUACUAUGGGCUCUAGCAUAGUUGAUUAAGUUGUGUGAACUCUUGAAGAAGUAGACUAGCAAAUGUAGCGGAAAGUAGGUGUAACUGUCUACCUGGAGUAGGGAGUUUAUGCUUCUGAAAGACUGUGUCUCGGUCAUCCGUUUCUCAAACACCAUGUAGUGCGAGAAAUCCAGCGGAGGAGAUCGAGUCUUGUGGGGAAAGGUGUGCAAACCUCUACGGAGUGUAUAAACUAAUCAUGGUUUGCCGUGUCCCCAGUUAUGGACGUUUUGAGUAUCUAGUACCUGGAUUAUCAUGUGAAUCUCAUCAUGUUACUUUAAAUUAAUUUGUUGGGUUUAAUGAUGAUGUUUAAUUGGGAUUGAGUUGGAGGAACGUUCUCAAUGUUUAACAACCACCAUGAUAGUUAAAUUAAAUUUAUUCCUUUGCAGUAGGCAAAAAUUGGCUUUAUGCAAAACUGUAACCAUAGAGCUUUCCACCAGCCAAAUAUGCAUGUAGUAUAGCAUUAUCCUGUUCAUUACUCUCUAUGUGUUACAUUGCCAGCAUAUUCCAUGUGCUGACCCAUUUUUGGGCUGCAACGUUCAUGUUGCAGACUUAUCAAACGACGAGUAAGGUGCCUUAGGUCAUGGUAUUAUACUCAGUGAUGCCGUUGGAGUUGAUGGACUCACUUAUCUUCCAAGCCUUCCGCUGUUAUCGUUAUUAGAUGGCCUUAAGCCAUAUUUAUUGUAAUAAGUUCUCUUUUGACACAUUCCAUGUAAUAAGUGUGUGAUUGCUACUCUGCUAUAAAUCCUUCAAGUACUGUGCAUGUCAGCAUUACCGACCCAGGGAUGACACUAAUGCACAAAGAUCAGAUUGUUUGAGGUCUGGUCGCUACAGCUAAGCACUUCUCCCAUUGCAAGAAAGAUCAAUCUAGUAGGCCAAACUAACCGACAAUUCGAAGAGACUUGCAAAGAUAUCAAAUCAUGCAUAUAAGAAUUCAGAGAAGGACCAAAUAAUGUUCAUAUAUAAUCUUGUUCAUAAGUCCACAAUUCCUCAGAUCUCGACAAACACACUACAAAAGAAUAUUACAUCGAAUAGAUCUCCAAGAACAUCAAGGAGAAUUUUGUAUUGAGAAUCAAAGAGAGAGAAGAAGCCAUCUAGCUAAUAACUAUGGACCCGAAGGUCUGUGGUAAACUACUCAUGCUUCAUCGGAGGGGCAGUGGUUUUGAUGUAGAAGCCCUCCGUGAUCGAUUCCCCCUCCGGCAGAUCGCCGUAAAAGGCCCCAAGAUGGGAUAUCACGGGUACAGAAGGUUGUGGCGGUGGAAAAGUGGUUUCGUGGCCCCCCCUGAUGUUUCUAGCGUAUAAGAGUGUAUAUGGGUGAAAAAAGUACGUUGGUGGAGCUACGAGGGACCCACGAGGGCGAUGGCGCGUCUACCCCCCUGGGCGCGCCCUCCUGCCUCGUGGCCUCCUCGUAGAGUCCUAUACUUCAACUCCAAGUCUUCUGGAUUGCUUUUGGUGAAAGAAAGAUCUCCGUGAAGGUUUCAUUCCAUUUGGACUCCGUUUGAUAUUCCUUUUCUAUAAAACUCUAAAAUAGGCAAAAAAAACUGGCACUGGGCCUCCGGUUAAUAGGUUAGUCCCAAAAAUAAUAUAAAAGAGUAUGUUAAAGCUCAUUAAACAUCCAAAACACAUAAUAUAAUAGCAUGGAACAAUCAAAAAUUAUAGAUACAUUGUAGACGUAUCAAUCAUCCCCAAGCUUAAUUCCUGCUCAUCCUCAAGUAGGUAAAUGAUGAAAACAGAUUUUUUAUGUGGAACGGUACCUAACAUAAUUAUCAAUGUAAUUUUAUUUAUUGUGGCAUGACUGUUCAGAUCCAAAAGUUUCAAGACAAAAGAUUAAUGUUGACAUAAAAAUAAUAAUACUUCAAGCAUACUAACAAUGCAAUCAUGUCUUCGCAAAAUAACAUGGCCCAAGAAAGUUAUCGCUACAAAAUCAUAUAGUUUGGCUAUGCUCUAUCUUGGUCACACAAAGUAUUUAAUCAUGCACAACCUCGGUUUCAGCCAAGCAAUUGUUUCAUUCUUUAGUAUUUUCAAACUUUUUCAAUCUUCACGCAAUACAUGAAUGUGAGCCAUGGACAUAGCACUAUUGGCGGAAUAGAAUGGUGGUUGUGGAGAACACAAAAAGGAGAAGAUAGUCUCGCAUCAACUAGGCGUAUCAACGGGCUAUGGAGAUGCUCAUCAAUAGAUAUCAAUGUGAGUGAGUAUGGAUUGCCAUGCAAUGGAUGCACUAGAGCUAUUAGUUUAUGAAAGCUCAACAAAAGAAACUAAGUGGGUGUGCGUCCAACUUGCUUGCUCACGAAGACCUAGGCUACUUUGAGGAAGCCCAUCAUUGGAAUAUGCAAGCCAAGUUCUAUAAUGAAAAAUCCCCACUAGUAUAUGAAAGUGACAACAUAGGAGACUCUCUAUCAUGAAGAUCAUGGUGCUACUUUGAAGCACAAGUGUGGUAAAAGGAUAGUAGCAUUGUCCCAUCUCUCUUUUUCUCUCAUUUUUUUAUUUGGGCUUUUUCUCUUUUUUUAUGGCCUCUUUUUUUAUUUAGUCCGGUGUAUCAUCCCGACUUGUGGGAGAACCAUAGUCUCCAUCAUCCUUUCCUCACAUGGGAAAAUGCUCUAAUAAAGAAGAUCAUCACACUUUUAUUUACUUACAACUCAAGAAUUACAACUCAAUACUUAGAAUAAAAUAUGACUCUAUGUGAAUGCCUCCAGCGGUGUACCGGGAUGUGCAAUGAUUCAAGAGUGACAUGUAUGAAAAAUUAUGAACGGUGGCUUUAUCACAAAUACGAUGUCAACUACAUGAUCAUGCUAGGCAAUAUAACAAUGAUGGAGGGUGUCAUAAUAAACGGAACAGUGGAAAGUUGCAUGGCAAUAUAUCUCGGAAUGGCUAUGGAAAUUUGAUAGUAGGUAGGUAUGGUGGCUGUUUUGAGGAAGGUAUAUGGUGGGUGUCUGGUACCGGCGAGAGUUGUGCGGCACUAGAGAGGCUAGCAAUGAUGGAAGGGUGAGAGUGCGUAUAAUCCAUGGACUCAACAUUAGUCAUACAGAACUCACAUACUUAUUGCAAAAAUCUACAAGUAAUCAAUAAAAGUACUACAAGCAUGCUCCUAGGGGAAGGGUUGGUAGGAGUUAACCAUCGCGCGAUCCCGACCUCCACACGUAAGGAAGGCAAUCAAUAAAUAAAUCAUGCUCCAACCUCAUCACAUAACGGUUCACCAUAUGUGCAUGCUACGGGAAUCACAAACCUUAACACAAGUAUUCUUCAAAUUCACAAUUACUCUACUAGCAUGUCUCUAAUAUCACCAUCCUCAUAUCUCAAAACAAUCAUAAAGAAUCAAACUUCUCAUAGUAUUCAAACUUCUCAUAGGACAAAUUUUAUAACCAAACAAAAUACUGUUAUGUUCUAAAUGACUCUCAAAAUAAUAUAAUUGAAUCAUGAGAGAUCAAUAAUUUCUAUAAAAUAAAACCAUCGCCGUGCUCUAAAAAGAUAUAAGCGAAGCACUAGUGCAAUAUUGUCUAGCUCAAAAGAUAUAAGUGAAGCACAUAGAGUAUUCUAAUAAAUUCCGAUUCAUGUGUGUCUCCCCCAAAAGGUGUGUAAAGCAAGUAUGAUUGUGGAAAACUAAAAAGAAAAGACUCAAAUCAUACAAGACGCUCCAAGCAAAACACAUAACAUGUGGUGAAUAAAAAUAUAGCCCCAAGUAAAGUUACCGAUAGAUAAAAACGAAAGAGGGGAUGCCUUCUGGGGCAUCCCCGAGCUUAGGCUUUUGUUUGUCCUUGCAUUAUGUUGGGGUGUGUUGGGCAUCCCCAAGCUUAGGCUCUUGCUACUCCUUAUUCCAAAAUCCAUCAAAUCUUUACCCAAAAACUUGAAAACUUCACAACACAAAACUUUAACAGAAAAAUCUCAUGAGCUCCGCUAGUAUAAGAAAAUAAACCACCACUUUAAGGUACUGUAAUGAACUCAUUCUUUAUUUAUAUUGGUGUUAAACCUACUGUAUUCCAACUUCUGUAUGGUUCAUACCCACUGAUACGACUUAUUGAUUCAUCAAAAUAAGCAAACAACACACGAAAAACAGAAUCUGUCAAAAACAAAACAGUCUGUAGCAAUAUUUACAUUUAGAGUACUUAUGUAACUCUAAGAAUUCUGAAAUAAAUUGGUUCACGUGAGUAAUUUGUAUAUUAAUCAUCUGCAAAAAUAAUCAACAUAAAAUCACUCUCCAGUAAAAAAUGACAGCUAUUCUCGUGAGCGCAAAAGUUUCUAUUUUUUACAGCAAGAUCGCAAAGACUUCAGCCAAGUCUUCCCAAAGGUUCUACUUGGCACAAACACUAAUUAAAACAUAAAAUCACAUCUAAAUAGAAGCUAGAUGAAUUAUUUAUUACUAAAUAGGGGCAAAAAUUAAAGAACAAAAAUAAAAUUAGGUUGCCUCCCAACAAGCGCUAUCGUUUAACGCCCCUAGCUAGGCAUAAAAACACGAAUAGAUCUAGGUAUUGUCAUCUUUUGUAUGCAAUCCAUAAGUGGCUCUCAUAAUAGACUCACAAGGCAAUUUAAUUUUUCUUGCUAGGAAAGUGUUCCAUGCCUUUCCUUAACGGGAAUUGGAAUCUAAUAUUUCCUUCUUUCAUAUCAAUAAUUGCACCGAUCGUUCUAAGGAAUGGUCUACCAAGAAUAAUAGGACAUGUAGGAUUGCAAUCUAUAUCAAGAAAAAUGAAAUCUACAGGCACAUAAUUCCUAUUUGCAACAAUAAGAACAUCAUUAAUCCUUCCCAUAGGUUUCUUAAUGGUGGAAUCCGCAAGAUGCAAACUUAAAGAACAAUCAUCAAAUUCACAGAAACCUAGCACAUCACACAAAGUUUUUCGAAUCAUGGAAACACUAGCACCAAAACCACACAAAGCAUAGCAUUCAUAAUCUUUAAAUCUUAAUUUUAAUAGUAGGUUCUGACUCAUCAUAAAGUUUUCUAGGGAUAGAAACUUCAAGUUCAAGAUUUUCUUCAUAAGAUUGCAUCAAAGCAUCAACGAUAUGUUUAGUAAAAGCUUUAUUUUGAUUAUAAGCAUGAGGAGAAUUUAACACGGAUUGCAACAAGGAAAUACAAUCUAUCAACGAGUAAUUUUCAUAAUUAAAUCUCAUGAAAUCCAAAAUAGUGGGUUCAUUGCUAUGUAAAGUGUUGACCUUUUCAAUCACAUUUUCACUACUAGGAAAACGGUAUAGAUGAAAUGGACAUUAAUGGCGCACCACAUGUGUGGUGCGCUACUGCUAUAUAGCGGUGGCGCACCAUUUAUAGGUACGCCAUUAAACUCCAAAUACUAAUGGCGCACGACAUACACGGUGCACCACUACUAACAUUUUUUUUUCAAAACUAGAAAUGGCGCACCAGGGGAUAGUGCGCCAUUACUAGUUUAACUAGUAAUGGCGCACCACACCCUCAGUGCACCACUACUAACAAUUUUUUUUCAAAACUAGUAAUGGCGCACCAGUUGUUAGUGCGCCAUUACUAGUUUUAACUAGUAAUGGUGGACCACACCCUCGGUGCACCACUACUAACAAUUUUUUUUUAUUUUUUUCAAAGUUAGUAAUGGCGCACCGUGGNNNNNNNNNNNNNNNNNNNNNNNNNNNNNNNNNNNNNNNNNNNNNNNNNNNNNNNNNNNNNNNNNNNNNNNNNNNNNNNNNNNNNNNNNNNNNNNNNNNNNNNNNNNNNNNNNNNNNNNNNNNNNNNNNNNNNNNNNNNNNNNNNNNNNNNNNNNNNNNNNNNNNNNNNNNNNNNNNNNNNNNNNNNNNNNNNNNNNNNNNNNNACCCACGGUGCGCCAUUACUAACUUUGACCAAAAAUUCCACCAAAUGCACCCUCCCUGUGGACUACCUUUUCAGUUUAAAAAAAUAAAAAAAAUGAUGGAAAUGUCAAAAAAAAAAUAAAGAAAUAAAAAUCUUCCCAUGUAGUUGUUGGGAAAAUUUACAAAUAUGAAUUUCGACUUUAUUUGCAAAAUCUCUUUGUAAUUUGUAAAAUGCGCAUAACUUUUGCAUACGAACUCGGAUUAAAACGUUUUUUAUAUGAAAAAUCAUCUACUCAAAAAGCUACAUCCGAAUACGGGGUUCCUCAAAAAAACCUAACAGAAAAAAGUUACGGGGCUUUCAAGAUCUGGAGAGGCAAAAAAAUUCAAAAAAUUUCAAACUUAGUAGUGGUGCACCAUUUGCUAGGUGCGCCACUAGUAACAGAAAAAAAAUAGUUUCAAUUUUUUUUUGGAAUUUUUGUCCAAAAUAUGAUACAUAAUAUGAACGGAAGUUUGAAAUAUUUUUUCAAAAUUUUAUCACACUCAUGAACAUGUACAAAGUCCUAAUCAUCAACAAGGUUUAAUAUGAUUGAUAUGCUAGAUAUAUCAAUGAGUGCCUGUUAAGGGAGGUAGUGCUACGGUUGGAUAGAACUCCGAAUUUAAGCAUGCUUGGGCUGGAGUAGUGUGAGGAUGGGUGACCUUUCGUGAAGUUUGACCACGAAUUGAUAUUUCACUUGAGAUUAAGCAUAUUGACCCGAGAUUAAGCCAUAGUAACCCGAGAUUAAGAAAAAAAUGAAAAAACAAAUCCUAAAAAAAUUUGAAAUUUUUUAUUUGAAAAAAAUUUGAAAAAAAAUUAUUAGUAAUGCCGCACUUCUAUGUGGUGCGCCAUUACUAAGUCAGAUAGUAAUGGCGCACCUCUAGGCACAGAAUGGUGCACUAUAGGUGCGCCAUUACUAACAAUUACUAAUGGCGUGAUGCUAGUAUCACACCUGUAGUGCGCCAUUAAUGGCCAAAAUAGGUGGCCACUAGCAUGCCUUUUUCUAGUAGUGUUUUAUCAUUUUUGCAUGAAGAUCUAAAAACUCUGAAUCAUUAGGACGCCUUUUAACUAAAGUUGACUCAUCUCCAGUCCAUAUUUAGCAAGAUUCAUAUUGGAAAAUAAAGAUUUAAUAGGAGUCACAUCAAUCACUUUUAGAUCUUCAUCAUUAUUGUCAUGAAAACUAGAAGAACAUGCUUUCACAAAGCAAUCUUUUUUAGCACACAUCCUAGCGAUUCUUUCUUUGCACUCAUCAAUGGAAAUUACCAUGGAUUUGAGAGACUCAUUGAUAUCAUGCUUGGGUGGAAUAGAUCUAAGUUUCAAAGAAUCAACAACAAGAGAAAUUCAAUCAACAUUCCUAGCCAACUCAUCAAUCUUAAGCUAUUUUUCCUCAACCAAAGCAUUGAAAUUCUUUUGCGAACUCAUAAAUUCUUUAACACUUUUCUCAAAAUCAGAGGGCAUCUUAUAAAAUUUCCAUAAGAGUUGUUGUAGGAAUUACCAUAAUUAUUAGAGGAAUUACUAGGAAAUGGCUUAGAAUUAAAAUUUCCUCUAUACGCGUCGUUACCAAAAUUGUUCCUACCAACAAAAUUCACAUCCAUAGAUUCAUUAUUAUUCUCAAUCAAAGUGGACAAAGGCAUAUCAUUAGGAUUAGAAUAAACAAUUUUAUUAGCAAACAAUUUCAUAAGUUCAGCCAUCUUUCCACUCAAAACAUUAAUCUCUUCAAUUGCAUGAACUUUUUUACUAGUGGAUCUUCCAGUGUGCCAUUGAGAAUAAUUAACCAUAAUAUUGUCUAGGAGUUUAGUAGCUUCUCCUAAACUGAUUUCCAUAAAAGUGCCUCCCGUGGCCGAAUCUAAGAGAUUUCUAGAAGCAAAAUUCAAGCCGGCAUAAUUGUUUUGUAUAAUCAUCCACAAAUUCAAUGUGUAGGGCAAUUACGUAUCAUUAAUUUCAUCCUCUCCCAAGCUUGUCCAACAUGCUGAUGAUCAAGUUGCUUAAAAUUCAUAAUAUCGUUCCUAAGAGAGAUGAUCUUAGCGGGAGGAGAUAAAAGGAUCUUUGUACUUAUUCCAUGAAUCAAUACUAUUUUUAGGCAAAGAAGAGAACCAAGUUUUAGCACGAUCUCUAAGCAAAAAUGGAAAUAGCUUCAAUUUAACAAUAUCAUUAUCCACAUCUUUCUUCUUUUGCAUAUCACAAAAAUCAACGAAGUUGUUUAGAUGGGUUGCGGCAUCUUCACUAGGAACGCUAGAAAAUUGAUCUUUCAUAACAAGAUUCAACAAAGAGGUAUUAAUUUCACAAGAUUCAGCAUCGGUAGUAGGAGCAAUUGGGGUGCUAAAAAAAUCAUUGUUGUUGGUAUUGGAAAAGUCACACAAUUUAGGAUUAUCUUGAGCCAUCGUGACAAACAAUCAAUCCAACACACAAGCACACAAGAAACAAGUGAAAAGAGACGAAUGUAAGAGGGGCGAAGAAAAUGAGAGGCGAAUGCAAAUAAUGUAAUGCGAGGGAUAAGAGUUUAUGAUGGGUACUUGGUAUGUCUUGACUUGGCGUAGACUCUCCGGAAACGGCGCCAGAAAUCCUUCUUGCUACCUCUUGAGAUUGCGUUGUUCUUUCCCUUGAAGAGGAAAGGGUGAUCCAGCAAAGUAGCAUAAAUAUUUCCCUAAAUUUUGAGAACCAAGGUAUCAAUCCAGUAGGAGACGACACACAAGUCACCUAGUACCUGCACAAACAAUCAAGAACCUUGCAACCAAUGCGAUAAAGGGUUGUCAAUCCCUUCACGGUCACUCGCAAAAGUGAGAUCUAGGUUAGUCCCAAAAAAUGAUAUAAAAUAGCAUAUAAAUUACAUAUAAAACAUCCAAGAUAUAUAAUAUAAUAGCAUGAAACAAUAAAAAAAAUAUUAAUAUGUUGGAGACGAAUCAGACAAAUGUUUUUUUUCUGCGGGCUCGUUCCGAUAAAUUAUACAAUCAUUGAUGCAUGUGUGGUAUCUAAUGUAUUGAAGAUCAACAAGGCAUAUGAUUUUCUUGGCCUCCUCGACACUAGUAGGACACAGGUUCCCUGCAGGAAGAACCUUCUUUAGGUACUUCAAAUGAUCAUCGAGACUUCUGUCAGUCCAUUUGAUUUUGGACUUCGUCUUUAGCUGUUCAAGCAUGAAAUUCAAGCGGGUCACCUCGGUGUCACACCCUAGCUAGUCAUGCAUCAGAGUGUGUGCAUCAUGUUUAAAAUUCCAUUUAAUUUGAAAUGGGGAUUUGUGAAACCCUCAGAAUCAUCUUGAGAAUGACCCAAAUAAAAAUUUCUCCAAAAGGGUCCAAGAAAAUGCUCAUGUUGCUCUCUGAAAAUAUUGGACAGAGAUAAUAAUCAAACCAAUAUUUUUAAGAGCUCAUAGGUAUUUAUUUUGGGCUUUUGGAAUUAAUGCAUAAAUAUUUGCUUUGGAAAUAUAUUAAUUAUAUAUAUUAAUAUAUGUCCAAAUAUUAUGCCAUUUAUAAAGGAGCUCUGUAAUAUAUUUAGCCCCUGCAAAAAUUGGCAUAAGUUAAAUAAAUGAUUUAAUAUAUUAUUUAAAUCAAAACAAAUGUCAGAAAUUAGAAAAACAGAAAAAAAAUAAAAGGGAGAAGCUUACCUGGGCUCCUCCCUGUACAGCCCAGCCAGCUGGCCGACCCAGCCAGCAGCCGGCCCAGCCCACCUCCCUCCUCUGUCGUCUUCGUCCUCGACAGAGGGAGGGGAGUGUGGCCGGCGCGCGCGCGCGCGCCACCGCGCCACGCCACCUCUCUCCCUGCUUGCCUGCCCUCCCCUCCUCGCUCGAUGCCCCGGACGACGCCACGCCUCCCCCCCUGCUCUCUCUCACUCGCCCCGGCUCUCCCCUCCUCUCCCUCACUCUCUCUCUCACACGGCCGAACACCACCGUCGCCGCGGUUCGCCAUAGCAGUCGUCUCCGGCCACCCCUCGCUCCCCCGACUAGCUCAGAAGCUCCGCCACAACCCCCUCUUCCUCCCCACCGCUCCACGGGCCUCCGGAAGCCCUGCAUCGCCGCUACGUCGCCGUUCCCCUCUUCGGGCUCCGACCAUCAUCGCCGUCGAAUUCGCCAUCUCCAGCGCGUCUCCGAGCCCGCUUCGACGCCCACUACAACCGCGGUGAGCCCCCGAGUCGUUUCCCCCUUCUCCCCUGGUCUCUUUCGACCUCUAGGCCUUAGCCCCACCUUGGCCGAGAGCUCCACGCCGCCGGCGAUGUCGCCGUCGUGGCCACGGUCACCGUAUCGCCCAACCGAGCACACUAUCGUGCUCCACGCCUCACUAGGAGCACGCAGCACGCACCAAUGCCUCCCCAAACACCCUGCAACACCGACUCCGACCGCACCCGAACUCCGGCCGCCGCUCACGAGCUCGCCGUCGACGGUACCGGCCACCACAGGCUCGGCCACCACCACCGUUCGACGCGCGGGAGCAAGAGCUCUCCAACGAGCCCAAGAACGGCCUCGCCCGUGCCCUGUAGCGCGAUCCCGCAUCGCGCCGCCGUCUCGGGCCUCGCCGGCGUCACGUCGCCGGUGGGUUUGACCCACUUUGACCACGGCAGGACCCCCCUGAGUCCCUGACAGGUGGGCCCAGCCCUGUAGCUAAUUAGGAUUAGCGCUAACCACUGUUAGUUAACCCCCUAACACUGACCAGUGGGCCCCAGCGCCACUAACCCCUAAUUAGGUUUAAACUAACCCUGUUUAACCCCCCUGUCACUGACGUGUGGGCCCCACACGUCAGGUUUGACUCCAGCCAGCCGCAGUUGACCACUGACGUCAUGCUGACGUCAUGCUGGCGCAAUAAUUAUAAUUUCUGGAUUUAAUUUAAAUCAGGAAAUUCCAGAAUAUUAUUUAAACUUUAAAAAUUCAUAACUUUUAUUCUGUAACUCCAAAUUAGACAAAUUAUAUAUGAAAAAUGAUCAGAAAAAUCCAAUCUAUCCAUCUGUACUAUUUUCAUGCAUGAUCAAACAAGUUAAAUUGAUGUUUUAAGCAGAACAAGGAAAAGCACUUUAAAAGGCCAUAUUUGAAUUUGAAAUUUGAAUCCUUGAUUCAAAUUUGUUCAAACCCUUCUGGUUUUAGUUGCAUUAGCCCAACACACUCAUAUUGCCAUGUUUCAUGCAUGCAUCAUAUUGUUGCACAUUGUUUGGUGAUGCUUGUGUAUCGGUGUCCUCUGCGAUAGGUUCUGCCUCCGAGGAGUACCGUGAUUACCCUAACGAAGAACCGUAUCAGUGCAUCGAACCAUCAGGCAAGCAACCAACCAUUUGAUCAUAUCGAUACAAACCCAUGUUCUCGCUCCUGCUCUCUUUUACUGCAUUAAGACAACGCGUUUCAAACUGCUGUGUGCUACGGUAGUUGAACCCAUUUCCUCUGCAUGACCUGUCAUUGCCACAGUAACUAGAUGAAACCCACUAGCAUGUGUAGGAGUUGAUUGAGCCAUAUGUAUGUGUUGUUCCUACCUUGCUAUGCCUGCUAUGCUUAGAGUCGUGUCAGGUCUGGUUCAUCUGGGUGAUGGGCUAGAGUGAAAUGAUUAUGUCGGUAAUGAGAGUGGUGUGGUGAACAUGAUUUGGUAAAGGUAUCGAUGAGAGGCCAUGUAGGAGUACAUGGUGGGUUGUUUCAUUGAAGCCGACCUUAAGCACUGAGAUCUGUAUGUGUGAUUUAAGAACCAGCUACUACCAUGCAUUGGGCCCGAAACCAAUGGACCCUCUCGACUUCUUAUUCACCCUAGUUCUCCGUCCAGGAGUUGCAAGUAGUUUCUGGUGUUUGUAGCCUACUGGAGGCCGUGGACAGCGCUGACCGUAGGGGUGGGCUGUGAUGCGGUAGGUACGUGGCACAGUGUACCGAAUACCCGUUAGGUAUCUCGGGAACCCUGUUCACAUCGUUCGGGGCCGUAUGGGAAACCUCGGCCGGACUCCCUGCGGAUGGAACCUGGAUAGGCGAUAAACCUGGACUGGAGGCUUAGGUGAUUAGGUAGGUCGUGGCCGACAUCCACGUUGGGCUUCCGCUUGAAGGUUGCCGAGUACAUGUCGUGUAAACGACGGUAAGUGGUGAGAGCGUGUAUGAAGGAGUACACCCCUGCAGGGUUAUCAUAAUCUAUUCGAAUAGCCGCGUCCGCGGUAAAGGACUACUUGGUUGCCUAUACAGUUCAUAGACAAGUAAAUGGAAACUGUUAAAAGCCUCAAGAUAAGUGUGAGUGCCGAGGAUGGCCCUUCCGUAGGAAGACGGAGGUGGAUCCUCGGUAGUGUAUUGAAGUGGUGAGUAGUGGACUCGUGUGCGCAAAACCAUUUCAAGUUGUAGUAUCGUAGGAUAGUCUAGCCAAGAGUCAAAGCUGGCUUGCUGCAAUAACUCCACCAACCCUUCUUGAUACUAUGCAUGUAUGUAGGAUCUGAUGUAAGUCUUGCUGAGUACCUUUGUACUCAUGUUGCUAUAAUCUACAUUUUUUUACAGAAGACGCUGCAACCCCUUCUGAUGGGUUCUAUGUAGACGUUGACAUCAACGAGUAGGCUAAAGACCCAGGUGGUGACCCUGAGCUUGUGAAGGACCACGUAGUAUAGCUAGGCUUUCCAAGCCUCUUUUAUUUUACUAGUUGUCUGUACUCAGACAAUGUACUUCCGCUGCUGGUUUGUAUGACUGUAUGACUUGAAUGUUGGGUCGUGAGACCCGUACCUUUGUGUAUGUUAUGCAUGGCUCCCUGAGCCUUAAAUAAAGUACUUGUGUCGUAGAGUCAUGUUGUGAUGCUUCGUUGUAUUUGCACAUAUCGAGCAUAUUGUGUGUAUGAUUGAAAUGCUUGGUAUGUGUGGGAUCUGACUAUCUAGUUGUUUAUCCUUAGUAGCCUCUCUUACCGGGAAAUGUCUCCUAGUGUUACCGCUGAGCCAUGGUAGCUUGCUACUGCUCUGGAACACUUAGGAUGGCCGGCAUGUGUCCUUCUUCGUUCCUGUGUCUGUCCCUUCGGGGAAAUGUCACGCUUUGAGUACCGGAGUCCUGUUAGCCCGCUACAGCCCGGUUUACCGGAGUCCUGCUAGCCCAGUGCUACAGCCCGGACCCACUUGCUGAUGACCGACACGUUCGGAGCUGGGUCAUGGAUGCCUGUCCCUGUAAGUCUGUGCCACUUUGGGUUUACGACUAGUCAUGUCAGCCCGGGCUCCUUAUCAUAUGGAUGCUAGCGACACUAUCAUAUACGUGAGCCAAAAGGCGCAAACGGUCCCGGGCAAAGGUAAGGCGACACCCGUGGGGAUACCAUGCGUGAGGCCGCAAAGUGAUAUGAGGUGUUACCGGCUAGAUCGAUGUGACAUCGAGUCGGGGUCCUGACAGCGUUGGCAUCAGAGCCGGACUGCCUAUAGGUUCUCCAAGCCAAACUGGUCGAUGUUGAGUCUAGAGAUUCUUUAGUUAUAUGUAGGGGAAUUGUUUGUGGGAUGGAACGUAAGGCUCUUUUUACUCCUUUAUCUUAUGACCUUCUGAUCUGAGUCAGUCCAUUCUUCUACCGGGGGAUAAGGAAUUAGGAUCUGUUCUCUCUAUCAGGAUCACGUGUUACUAAUCGGUAGUACCUUAUAAGUUUGGUGGAUACAAGCCUAGUUCAGUUCUACUACCACAUUAUGUUGCUAAGAUGGAUUCAAAACCUUGUUAUGAUGAUGAUGAGUGUGUAUGCAAUCCUUUGUCAAAUGUCUCAAAUCCUUCUUGAGCAUUUACAGCUGUUAUGCUGCCGAAAUUUUGCUAGAAAUUCUAAUGCCUUUGCAUUAUGAUUGUGCUUUCAGAUGGCCACUCGCGACCUCAAUCAAGUGGUUCGCCUGACUCGAUGCCUAGAUGUACCCGGCCAUACUGCUAAGUUGGUCAGGGUAAUGACUGAGGCUGGAUACCGCUGGUAUCCUGAGUACACGGUCGAAGAGCAAUUCCUAGACUUUAAUCAAAGCCAGUAUCUCUGCACUGUCAGGAUAUUUCCAUCUUAUCCUGGAUCCACCGAGCCCCUUCACUGCUCUUAUGGACUCGGGGUUACUAUUGAGAUGGCUGUGCAGGACGCCGCCUACUCUAUGAUGACCAUUAUGCGAGUCAGAUCUGGACUAUUUCGGGACUCUGAUUUCCGGUAUAUGCCAGGAUCACUUCCGGGAGCACAAGGGUAUCUCCAGGCUAUCUAUGCUGACCCCACUCAGGAGGAUUCACGGACUCGCACCACUGCUGAGAUGCUCGAGGAUAAGGACCGUGAAAAUCGGGCCUUAAGGUUAGAGCUCUUCAAUACCCGUGCUGACCACUGGGCCACUUUGACUCGGCUCGCACCGGCGGUGCAAGCUGGAUAUUCGGAUAUGCGCGAUCUCUAUCCUGUGAGAUCUGCUCUGCCGGACGUGAUGGUUUGGCGUGAUGUAGGAGGCAUCACCCCACCUCGCGGUCCCCGCAGGCCACCGUCUGUUGGUCUAAGACCUCAUCCUAGCCCCUAUGGUCCACAAGCUUCGCGAGAUCGUCUGUUUCCGGAUGAUCAUGUUGAGCUUCCAGGCUAUGGAGGCGACUUCUACGAGGACUACUACGGAUCGGUCUGAGUUAGCGAUAGUAUCACUAGUUCGCACUAGCCGUGUCGUCUAUCGUCCCGCGUGACUCGUGGGAUAUGACCUAGUUUGUACUCUUUCCGGAGGUGUAGAAAAAUAAUGUAUAGGAGCUUGGAAUGCCUCCGAUGAGAUGUAAUCCUCUUUUCACCGUAAUAGUACUUUGUUUGGUCUUGUACUAAACCCUGUAUGGUGUGUAUGACGAUGGAAUAAAGAAGCAGUUUCUGUAUCUACCAUGUCAUAUGGAUGAUCAUCUUGCAUUUCGAGUUAUUCCUUACAUUUCUAUCCUUUGUCGGAAUUUUAUCAUUCUGACUAAAUCAUUGCCUUGUUUACCUAGGAUGGUCAACACGCGCGCUAACCCUGCUUCUCAAGAGCAGGCCGAAGGCAGUGAAGGCAGGAAUGAAAAUCUGCCUCAUCCUCCUUCACUAGCCGAGGUUAUGAUGGAAGCUGAGAGAAACAAGCGGGAGACCAACCGUUUGUUGGAGCGUAUUGAACAGAAUACAGCACACCAUCAGAGGACUAACGUGGUGUCACUCAGUGAUUUUAUCAAAUUGCAUCCACCCACGUUCCACCACUCCGUUGAGCCUCUCGACGCUGAUGACUGGCUUCGCAGUAUUGCUCACAAACUGCGUUCCGCGCUGGUAGCGGAGGCUGACAAGGUCACCUUUGCUGCAUAUCAUCUUGAAGGCCCCGCCAGUCUAUGGUGGGAGAAUUAUGGAGCUAUGCGCCCGGCGGGCCAUGUCACUACUUGGGCUGAGUUCAGCGAGGCUUUCCGUGAACAUCACAUUCCGGAGGGUCUCAUGGACCGUAAACGUGAGGAAUUUUGCAGUUUCACCCAAGGCCGACUUUCUGUGGAUGCUUACAGCAGGGAGUUUGGUAAUCUCGCACGAUAUGCAACCGAGGAAGUUUCUACUAAUGCCAAGAAGCAAGCAAGGUUCCGUAAGGGCCUUAGUCCUGAGCUUCGCCGCGACCUUCGUCUGCAUGAGUGCACAUCUUUCCAGAAACUUGUCAACAAAGCCAUCAGUGCUGAAACGGGUCAGACUGACUAUGACGCAACACGCAAGCACGGCCGCGAAAUGGGUUCCUCAUCCGGUGCUGGUCCUCAGAAGCGCCGCGUGUGGGUACCCAACACCGCCCUGCCACCCAGGUUCACACCGAGGCCAUCUUUCCAGGCGCCUCGCCCUGUUCAACAGUCUGCACCGGCCAAGCCCUAUGGGGGUCCAACCAAUAAUGCUCCUCCACAUACCAGUUCCGUGACUUGUUUCAAGUGUGGUGAAUCUGGCCACUAUAUGCGUGAGUGUCCCCAGACCAACCCCAAUCAAGCUGCUAAAGCUGUUGGCCGUGGCAAGCCGACAGGAAAAGUAUUCCACGCCAAACCGGUCACCGCUUCACGUGGCCAUGUCAAUUGUAUCUCUGCCGAAGAAGCUCAAGAGGAUCCCAACGUCGUUCUCGGUACGCUUCUUGUUAAUUGCCACCCGGCAUCUGUUCUUUUCGAUACAGGAGCCUCUCAUUCUUUUAUAUCUGAAAACUAUGCUCGUUUGCAUAACGUCGCAUUCGGUGAUAUGCCAACCUCUAUGGUAAUUCAAACUCCGGGAUCCAAAUGGCAAACCUCUAGAGUAAGCCAUGGAAAUGAAAUCCAAGUCGACAGACUUGUUUUCCUCGCAUCCUUGAUAGCCCUUAAAUCUUCAGAUAUUAAUAUCAUUCUGGGUAUGGACUAGAUGUCAGCUCAUCAAGCCAAAAUUGAUUGCUUCUCUAGGACUGUUCAACUUACUCACCCUUCGGGCAAGAUAGUCAAUGUCUUGACCCGAAUAGCCAAGCGACAGUUAUAUUCUCUUAACGCCAGCCCUUUGCCAGACCUUGAGGACAUUCCGGUAGUCCGUGACUUCUCGGAUGUCUUCCCAGAGGAAUUGCCAGGUGUUCCACCUGACAGAGAUGUUGAGUUCGUAAUAGACCUCAUCCCAGGAACCGUUCCGAUUGCUAGAAGACCUUAUAAGAUGGCACCACUAGAACUAGCCGAGCUUAAGAAACAACUCGAUGAGUCCUUGAAAAAGGGUUUCAUCCGACCUAGUUCAUCUCCGUGGGCUUGCCCCGUCCUAUUCGUCAAGAAGAAGGAUGGUACGGACCGGAUGGUUGUAGAUUACCGACCUGUCAAUUUGGUCACAAUCAAAAACAAAUAUCCACUUCCCAGGAUCAAUGAUCUGUAUGAUCAGCUCGCUGGAUCCUCAGUCUUCUCUAAGAUGGAUUUGAGGCUGGGCUACCAUCAAAUCAAAAUCAGAAACGGGGACAUUCCUAAAACGGCCUUUGUUACUCGUUAUGGCCAAUACGAGUACACCGUCAUGUCCUUCGGAUUAACCAACGCUCCAGCCACCUUUUCUCGGUUAAUGAACUCAAUCUUCAUGGAGUAUUUGGAUAAAUUCGUCGUGGUCUACCUCGAUGAUAUACUCAUCUACUCCAAGAACGAGGAAGAACAUGCCGAACAUCUAAGGCUAGUGUUGAAGAAACUUCGAGAGCAUCGCCUUUAUGCCAAAUUUUCUAAAUGUGAAUUAUGGUUGUCAGAAGUGACCUAUCUGGGCCAUGUAAUAUCUGGUAAAGGUAUUGCUGUUAACCCUGAGCGAGUUCAAGCCGUCCUUAAUUGGACUCCACCUGAAACGGUCAAGCAAGUUCGGAGUUUUCUGGGCUUAGCGAGCUAUUGUCGUCGCUUUGUCGAGAACUUCUCCAAAGUUGCCAAACCUCUAACCGAACUCCUCAAGAAAGAUAAGAAGUUCGAUUGGACUCCACAAUGUGAGCACAGCUUUCAGGAACUGAAAAGAUGCCUGACCUCUGCUCCCGUACUGGUACCGCCAGACUUCUCCAAGGACUUUGUUAUCUACUGCGACGCCUCACGACAAGGACUAGGUUGCAUUCUCAUGCAAGAUCGACAUGUAAUUGCCUACGCUUCACGGCAAUUGCACCCACAUGAGGAGAAUUAUCCUACUCAUGAUCUAGAGCUUGCAGUCAUAGUCUAUGCACUUAAGACCUGGCGACAUUACCUCCUCGGUAACCGUUGUGAAAUAUUCACUGAUCACCAAAGUCUGAAGUACAUUUUCACCCAACCGGAUCUGAAUCUCAGGCAAAGACGUUGGGUGGAAUUGAUCACAGACUUCGACUUAGGAAUAACCUACACCCCAGGGAAAGCCAACGUCAUGGCUGAUGCGCUAAGCCGUAAAUCUUAUUGUAACAACGUGAUGUUACAACAAAGUCAACCGCUUCUCCAUGAGGAAUUUCGGAAGCUUAACCUUCACAUUGUUCCUCAAGGUUUUCUUUCCACCUUGGUGGCAAAACCUACUCUUACGGAUCAGAUUAUCAAAGAACAGAGGGUAGAUCCGGGAAUUUCCCGCAUCAAGAGAAACAUUCAGAAAGGAAUUGCGAAUUGCUUCUCCAUUAAUGAUCAAGGGGUCGUAUACUUCGGGAAUCGACUAGUGGUUCCCAAAGUGCGAAACCUGAGGCGUUUGAUCCUUAAGGAAGCUCAUGAAUCUCCCCUCACCAUUCAUCCCGGUAGCACUAAGAUGUAUCAGGACCUACGCCAGAGGUUCUGGUGGACUAGGAUGAAGAGAGAAAUUGCUCAGUAUAUUGCUAAUUGCGACGUCUGUCGUCGUGUAAAAGCAGAGCAUCAACGGCCUGCUGGCACCCUUCAACCCUUAGCUAUUCCUGAAUGGAAAUGGGAUAAAAUUGGUAUGGACUUCAUUACCGGUUUUCCCAGGACCAAGAGAGGGAAUAAUGCUAUUUUCGUCGUGGUCGAUCGUCUUUCCAAAGUAGCCCAUUUCCUACCUGUUCGUGAGAGUAUAACCGCUAGUCAGCUGGCAGACUUAUACAUCUCCCGAAUAGUGUCUCUCCAUGGUGUUCCUUUGGAAAUCAACUCGGAUCGAGGAAGUCUUUUCACCUCUCGAUUUUGGGAAAGUUUCCAAAAUGCUAUGGGAACUCGUCUCUCCUUUAGCACCGCUUUCCACCCUCAGUCAAGUGGUCAAGUGGAACGCGUCAACCAGAUUCUAGAAGACAUGCUUCGAGCUUCUGUUAUCUCAUUUGGAAUGGACUGGGAGAAGUGCCUUCCAUUUGCCGAAUUCGCUUACAACAACAGCUAUCAAUCUAGCUUGGGUAAAGCCCCUUUUGAAGUUCUCUAUGGACGACGGUGUCGAACACCCCUUAACUGGUCAGAGACCGGGGAAAGACAAUUCUUUGGCCCGGAUAUGAUUCAGGAAGCAGAAGAACAAGUUCGUAUCGUUCGUGAAAAGUUGAAAACAGCCCAAUCCCGUCAAAAGAGUCAAUAUGACCGAAAGCAUAAGGCUAUGACUUUUGAGGUUGACGAGAAGGCUUAUCUUCGGGUCACCCCUCUGAAGGGAACCCAUCGUUUCGGUAUCAAAGGCAAAUUGGCUCCUCGUUACAUUGGACCUUUUCGCAUUCUCGCCAAACGAGGAGAAGUUGCCUACCAGUUGGAACUACCUCCGCAUCUCUCCAGAGUCCACGAUGUCUUCCACGUUUCUCAACUCAGGCGUUGCUUCUCGGAUCCUAUCCGUGAAGUGGACCACGAAACGCUUGAUCUCCAAGAUAAUCUUACAUAUCGAGAGUACCCCGUUCGUAUCCUCGAUCAGGCCGAACGUAUCACCCGACGUCAGAACAUCAAGUUCCUCAAAGUACAAUGGUCACACCAUUCUGAGGAUGAAGCAACUUGGGAAAGGGAGGAUCGUCUUCGACUCGAGUACCCCGCCUUCUUCCCGGAGGAACCCAAAUCUCGGGACGAGAUUCUUUUGAGUGGGGGUGAGUUGUCACACCCUAGCUAGUCAUGCAUCAGAGUGUGUGCAUCAUGUUUAAAAUUCCAUUUAAUUUGAAAUGGGGAUUUGUGAAACCCUCAGAAUCAUCUUGAGAAUGACCCAAAUAAAAAUUUCUCCAAAAGGGUCCAAGAAAAUGCUCAUGUUGCUCUCUGAAAAUAUUGGACAGAGAUAAUAAUCAAACCAAUAUUUUUAAGAGCUCAUAGGUAUUUAUUUUGGGCAUUUGGAAUGAAUGCAUAAAUAUUUGCUUUGGAAAUAUAUUAAUUAUAUAUAUUAAUAUAUGUCCAAAUAUUAUGCCAUUUAUAAAGGAGCUCUGUAAUAUAUUUAGCCCCUGCAAAAAUUGGCAUAAGUUAAAUAAAUGAUUUAAUAUAUUAUUUAAAUCAAAACAAAUGUCAGAAAUUAGAAAAACAGAAAAAAAAUAAAAGGGAGAAGCUUACCUGGGCUCCUCCCUGUACAGCCCAGCCAGCUGGCCGGCCCAGCCAGCAGCCGGCCCAGCCCACCUCCCUCCUCUGUCGUCUUCGUCCUCGACAGAGGGAGGGGAGUGUGGCCGGCGCGCGCGCGCGCCACCGCGCCACGCCACCUCUCUCCCUGCUUGCCUGCCCUCCCCUCCUCGCUCGAUGCCCCGGACGACACCACGCCUCCCCCCCUGCUCUCUCUCACUCGCCCCGGCUCUCCCCUCCUCUCCCUCGCUCUCUCUCUCACACGGCCGAACACCACCGUCGCCGCCGUUCGCCAUAGCAGUCGUCUCCGGCCACCCCUCGCUCCCCCGACUAGCUCAGAAGCUCCGCCACAACCCCCUCUUCCUCCCCACCGCUCCACGGGCCUCCGGAAGCCCUGCAUCGCCGCCACGUCGCCGUUCCCCUCUUCGGGCUCCGACCAUCAUCGCCGUCGAAUUCGCCGUCUCCAGCGCGUCUCCGAGCCCGCUUCGACGCCCACUGCAACCGCGGUGAGCCCCCGAGUCGUUUCCUCCUUCUCCCCUGGUCUCUUUCGACCACUAGGCCUUAGCCCCACCUUGGCCGAGAGCUCCACGCCGCCGGCGAUGUCGCCGUCGUGGCCACGGUCACCGUAUCGCCCAACCGAGCACACUAUCGUGCUCCACGCCUCACUAGGAGCACGCAGCACGCACCAAUGCCUCCCCAAACACCCUGCAACGCCGACUCCGACCGCACCCGAACUCCGGCCGCCGCUCACGAGCUCGCCGUCGACGGUACCGGCCACCCCAGGCUCGGCCACCACCACCGUUCGACGCGCGGGAGCAAGAGCUCUCCAACGAGCCCAAGAACGGCCUCGCCCGUGCCCUGUAGCGCGAUCCCGCAUCGCGCCGCCGUCUCGGGCCUCGCCGGCGUCACGUCGCCGGUGGGUUUGACCCACUUUGACCACGGCAGGACCCCCCCUGAGUCCCUGACAGGUGGGCCCAGCCCUGUAGCUAAUUAGGAUUAGCGCUAACCACUGUUAGUUAACCCCCUGACACUGACCAGUGGGCCCCAGCGCCACUAACCCCUAAUUAGGUUUAAACUAACCCUGUUUAACCCCCCUGUCACUGACGUGUGGGCCCCACACGUCAGUUUUGACUCCAGCCAGCCGCAGUUGACCACUGACGUCAUGCUGACGUCAUGCUGGCGCAAUAAUUAUAAUUUCUGGAUUUAAUUUAAAUCAGGAAAUUCCAGAAUAUUAUUUAAACUUUAAAAAUUCAUAACUUUUAUUCUGUAACUCCAAAUUAGACAAAUUAUAUAUGAAAAAUGAUCAGAAAAAUCCAAUCUAUCCAUCUGUACUAUUUUCAUGCAUGAUCAAACAAGUUAAAUUGAUGUUUUAAGCAGAACAAGGAAAAGCACUUUAAAAGGCCAUAUUUGAAUUUGAAAUUUGAAUCCUUGAUUCAAAUUUGUUCAAACCCUUCUGGUUUUAGUUACAUUAGCCCAACACACUCAUAUUGCCAUGUUUCAUGCAUGCAUCAUAUUGUUGCACAUUGUUUGGUGAUGCUUGUGUAUCGGUGUCCUCUGCGACAGGUUCUGCCUCCGAGGAGUACCGUGAUUACCCUAACGAAGAACCGUAUCAGUGCAUCGAACCAUCAGGCAAGCAACCAACCAUUUGAUCAUAUCGAUACAAACCCAUGUUCUCGCUCCUGCUCUCUUUUACUGCAUUAAGACAACGCGUUUCAAACUGCUGUGUGCUACGGUAGUUGAACUCAUUUCCUCUGCAUGACCUGUCAUUGCCACAGUAACUAGAUGAAACCCACUAGCAUGUGUAGGAGUUGAUUGAGCCAUAUGUAUGUGUUGUUCCUACCUUGCUAUGCCUGCUAUGCUUAGAGUCGUGUCAGGUCUGGUUCAUCUGGGUGAUGGGCUAGAGUGAAAUGAUUAUGUCGGUAAUGAGAGUGGUGUGGUGAACAUGAUUUGGUAAAGGUAUCGAUGAGAGGCCAUGUAGGAGUACAUGGUGGGUUGUUUCAUUGAAGCCGACCUUAAGCACUGAGAUCUGUAUGUGUGAUUUAAGAACCAGCUACUACCAUGCAUUGGGCCCGAAACCAAUGGACCCUCUCGACUUCUUAUUCACCCUAGUUCUCCGUCCAGGAGUUGCAAGUAGUUUCUGGUGUUUGUAGCCUACUGGAGGCCGUGGACAGCGCUGACCGUAGGGGUGGGCUGUGAUGCGGUAGGUACGUGGCACGGUGUACCGAAUACCCGUUAGGUAUCUCGGGAACCCUGUUCACAUCGUUCGGGGCCGUAUGGGAAACCUCGGCCGGACUACCUGCGGAUGGAACCUGGAUAGGCGAUAAACCUGGACUGGAGGCUUAGGUGAUUAGGUAGGUCGUGGCCGACAUCCACGUUGGGCUUCCGCUUGAAGGUUGCCGAGUACAUGUCGUGUAAACGACGGUAAGUGGUGAGAGCGUGUAUGAAGGAGUACACCCCUGCAGGGUUAUCAUAAUCUAUUCGAAUAGCCGCGUCCGCGGUAAAGGACUACUUGGUUGCCUAUACAGUUCAUAGACAAGUAAAUGGAAACUGUUAAAAGCCUCAAGAUAAGUGUGAGUGCCGAGGAUGGCCCUUCCGUAGGAAGACGGAGGUGGAUCCUCGGUAGUGUAUUGAAGUGGUGAGUAGUGGACUCGUGUGCGCAAAACCAUUUCAAGUUGUAGUAUCGUAGGAUAGUCUAGCCAAGAGUCAAAGCUGGCUUGCUGCAAUAACUCCACCAACCCUUCUUGAUACUAUGCAUGUAUGUAGGAUCUGAUGUAAGUCUUGCUGAGUACCUUUGUACUCAUGUUGCUAUAAUCUACAUUUUUUUACAGAAGACGCUGCAACCCCUUCUGAUGGGUUCUAUGUAGACGUUGACAUCAACGAGUAGGCUAAAGACCCAGGUGGUGACCCUGAGCUUGUGAAGGACCACGUAGUAUAGCUAGGCUUUCCAAGCCUCUUUUACUUUACUAGUUGUCUGUACUCAGACAAUGUACUUCCGCUGCUGGUUUGUAUGACUGUAUGACUUGAAUGUUGGGUCGUGAGACCCGUACCUUUGUGUAUGUUAUGCAUGGCUCCCUGAGCCUUAAAUAAAGUACUUGUGUCGUAGAGUCAUGUUGUGAUGCUUCGUUGUAUUUGCACAUAUCGAGCAUAUUGUGUGUAUGAUUGAAAUGCUUGGUAUGUGUGGGAUCUGACUAUCUAGUUGUUUAUCCUUAGUAGCCUCUCUUACCGGGAAAUGUCUCCUAGUGUUACCGCUGAGCCAUGGUAGCUUGCUACUGCUCUGGAACACUUAGGCUGGCCGGCAUGUGUCCUUCUUCGUUCCUGUGUCUGUCCCUUCGGGGAAAUGUCACGCUUUGAGUACCGGAGUCCUGUUAGCCCGCUACAGCCCGGUUUACCGGAGUCCUGCUAGCCCAGUGCUACAGCCCGGACCCACUUGCUGAUGACCGACACGUUCAGAGCUGGGUCAUGGAUGCCUGUCCCUGUAAGUUUGUGCCACUUUGGGUUUACGACUAGUCAUGUCAGCCCGGGCUCCUUAUCAUAUGGAUGCUAGCGACACUAUCAUAUACAUGAGCCAAAAGGCGCAAACGGUCCCGGGCAAAGGUAAGGCGACACCCGUGGGGAUACCGUGCGUGAGGCCGCAAAGUGAUAUGAGGUGUUACCGGCUAGAUCGAUGUGACAUCGAGUCGGGGUCCUGACAUCGGGAUCGCAACCAUCAUACAAUAGAGUCUUUGAGUCUAACUCCAAGUACCAGCUUGGCCUCCUCUCUAGAAGCAGCUCUAUCGGUAAUCGUCUUCUUGUCUAGCAAGUCUCGAUCAUGAGGGUCCUGGAUGACUAAAGCUUGUAGCGACAAAGACUGCGGCGUGUUCGCUUCAUCUCAGUCAUACCCGGCCUCUUCUCCGCCAUCAUGCCCGGCGCCCUCUUCUUUGCGUCCAUUAUUGGUUAUCUCUUCAUCUAAACCCAUGUCCUUAUUGAUUGCCCCGCCGACAUCCUCAUCAUCGUAAUCUUGACUUAUUCACCGAGUAUAGCCAUCCUUUGCAUCUUCGACACGGACAUAAAUCACCUUAUGGUUAUUUUCAUACAUGUCGUGUACCACUGAUUGCAACCAUCUUUCCACCAUCCUACCACUAAACUUCAUGAUCGCUUGAGAGGUAUAUCAAAAUAAUUAUAACCACACAUGCAUGCAUGAAAGUCAUACAAAUCGGCAUCACCUUCCCUAAGAAUAAGACAUAUCGAGCUUGCCCGAAGUUCACCGAAACUGAAAUAAAUCGACAUUUCGGUAAACAUAGGCAACUCAUGUCACACAUACAUUUCGGAAAAUACAUAUAGGCAACUCAUGCCACGCACUGUUUGGUAAAAUUGCACACACACAUAUAUUUCCAUUCUAGCAAAACACUAUUUUUUACUCACGUAUCUAGAUAGCAAGGUGAUGAACAGGUGUCGCUUUUGGGAUCGAUGUGGACAAAGAUAUUUAAUGCGCCUUCAUUCAUGAGAGUGAGAUAGCUAGCUUACUUCAUUUAAUGAGUAGAUCUACCUCGUAGGAAAUGCAUCUAACUAGUGGAGAGGAUAGAGUGCUAGUAAGUGAAUGAAGUGGAAGAGGCAAGAGAUAUGGGAAGCUGGGAGAGCGAGAAGAAAAGCAAGUGAGGAAUGUGAGCCAUUAAUAAAGGGGAGAAUAGAGGGAGGAUGGUGGAGAAGCAAGAGAGAAGAGAGCAAGUGGAGAGCAAAGGAAUCUACGGGAGAAGGAAGGGGGGGGGGAUGAGGAGGUGUCCAUGUCAAAACCGGCAGAACUCGGGUAGGGGGUCCCGAACUGUGCGUCUAAGUAUCAAAGGUAGCAGGAGGCAGGAAAAAGAUGUUUACCCAGGCUCGUGUCCUCUUGAGGGAGGUAAUACCCUACUUCAUGCUUGAUUGAAUUUGAUGAGUAUAGUGGUUACAAGAGUUGGUCUACCUCUAGAUCGUAAUGGCUAAACCUUAGAUGCCUAGCAUGUAUGAUUGUGAUGGCCCCUAAGGACUAAACCCUCUGGUUUAUAUAGGCACCGGAGGGGACUAGGGUUGUACAAAGUCGGUUUUACAGAGGAAGGAAACUACACAUCUGGAUGCCAAGCUUGCCGUCCAUGCAAAGGAGAGUCCCAUUCAGACACGGGAGAAGGCCCUCGGUUCUGCAUCUUCACGGCCCGUCAGUCCGGCCAAUGUCACAUAGGCUGGCUCUCCGAUGACCCCAUAAUCCAAGACUCCCUUAGUAGCCACCGAACUUUCCUUCAAUGACGACGUUGUAUCCGGCUUCAUAUCUUUGCAAGGCGAGUUCCCCAUUGUACUCCAUAUAGUUGGGCCUUUACAUUUAAAUAUUGUACACUUUAGCUUCUGUGUCGUCGUCGCCUCGGCUUCCACGUGUUAGACAAAUAUGAAGGGUCUAAGUAUUUUUACAAAUAACCCCUUGACCAUGUAGGGAAGGCGCUUAUUUAAAGAGAUUGAAUCAUAGAUGCCAUUCCUCACCAGACAAAAAUCCUUAGAGCUUGUCAUAGGAAACCAACCAAAGAUGGCCACCGCUCCUUGUUCUUCUUCGCACCCACAUGGCCCUCAAGAAGGCGACUAGGAGAGCUUCUCUGUGCCCCAUCCCCAGUUGACCAAGCUUCAGGCACAGGGAUACCUCCCUCCAUCGGAUCUAGUCCCCGUUCGGGCGGGAUUAACUACCUUCAACGGUGAAGCCCUGGUGGAGAACUUCCCUAAUCCCAAUAAAGGUGAGCGAGUGCGCUUCAUUUCGUUCCUGCUGAGGGGCGUGGGAUUUCCAAUCCACCCUUUCCUCAGAGGUCUUAUGGAGUAUUACGGUCUCCAACUGCACAACCUCACGCCGAGCUCGAUUCUACAUAUCGCAGGCUUUGUUGCUCUUUCUGAGCUGUUCCUAAGCUGUGAGGCCCAUUCCAAUUUAUGGAGGAAAUAUUUCUGCCUCAUCCCCUGCUCCCAAAAGGGAUCCAUAUUUGAGGUGGGCGGUGCCGAAGUAUGGUGUAUAGGAAGAACAAGAUACCUGUACGGCACUCCGAAGAAGGCAUCCGAAGAGUGGCCCUAGGAGUGGUUCUACAUCCAAGACAUUGUCCUUCCGGACCCAAUCCGGCAAGGUCUUCCCAAAUUUUCAUCCGCUCCUUUAAAGAAGCACGCCAGCUGGCGUCCCCGAAGAUACGAAGAAGAAGAUAGUGCGGAGGUUAAGAGGCUAGUGAACAAGAUCAAAAUACUUGCCCACUCUGGACUAUCUAUAGUCGAGGUAAUGGCGAUUUCAAUAACGUGAUGCGUUCAACCACUUCAAUCCAGGGGACUUCCCAUAUGUCAUUAGAACGGGGAUGGUGACACCUCACGUUGUGGGCGCAAGGGUCCGGCUAAUUUUGCUGCGCUGGCCGCCAUGUUCGCUGGCCUUUUCAAAGGGGAAAACGAAGAUUUCGCUCGCCUGAAGUGUCGAGAAGGUUUCUCCAUGUAUACUCCCAUUGACUGGGUGAGUCUUUGAUUAUAGGCCUUAAUUGAUCUUUUUUCCUUAACUAUGCUUUUUAGUCGAACAAAAUCUGACUACCUUCAACAGGAAGGAAGAAAGGUCGUCGCAGGGAUCUACAGCCCCGCUCUGCAGCCAGAGGACCAUAAUCGAGACCUUGAUCCUGGAUUCGAAGAGGAUCCAGAUAUAUUUGUAGACUUUAAUGAUGGAGUCUUUUAUCAGACGAGCUACGAUGUCACAUAAGUGGCUAUUAUAGCUGACUACCCCGACCUUCUCCCUUCCUCCCAUGUAAGUACCCAGAAGACAUCUCCUCAAAAAGAGUUUUCCCUCUAUGACUCACCCACUGCACUACAUCGUGCUCCCAAGGGGCGAUGCUCGCACCAGCGUACUGCAGCAAAGGCGUCUUCUAAGAAGACGACGCUUGCACAAGGUGCGUCUCUGAAAAGAAAGGCAAACAACGAUACAGUCGGGACCUCUUCUAUGUCGAAGAGGUAUAAUAUUUUAGAACGCACUCGGCGGAUAGAUCGGACGGUGACAUUCCCUGCUAUGCCAUAUUGCAGGAGGAGUGUACGUCGAACUGCAUCCGAAGACCUUGCCGGCCAUGCACAGACUAAUCUAGUCCUGUACCCUGCCACAAGGACUAGAGGGGAUGCGGGAGCAAUGUCGGAUUGUCAUCUCCCAGAGGAUUCAGAUAAUGUAUCCGUCAUGAACUCUGAAGUGGAGAGUGCGAUGAAUCACCGGCGGCGGAGAGCGGCUAUGCAUGACCCAAACUUCACCGAAGAGGCAUUCAAUGCUUUCAGCUCAACGGAUGCUUAUAUCUGAGAUGCUCGAGAUGGACUUGCUGGAGGCACUCACCAGCUUUCAAAGGAUAUGCGGGUAAGUAUUUUUAUGUAGAUUCAAUAAUCAUAUGCCAGGAGCCCCCGAGUCUUGAAGCGGUUGGCCCAACUGAUUUGAGAGUCGUUAUAUUGUCAGGUACUCACGGAGAGUAAUAACACAUUAUUGAAAGAGCUAGAGGAAUGCCAAACUAAGCUGACUGCAGCCACCAUCGAAAUGGAAAGUUUGAAGAAAUCCAAGAAGGCACCUGAUGGUAAGUACAGCAGCGGCUCGGAAAUAAAAUUUCGUGCCUACAACGAGGUUGCUUAACUAUGCUUUUAUCUCAUUUGGUAGGCUCGACAGAUCAACUGGAGGAGAGGCUAAGGGCUGGUCAAGCAGACAAACAACAUGCCGAAGGGCAAGAAGCCGCUGGUCAACGUGUAUUGAUACGGACAAUUAAUGAGAAGAACAAACUACAGGAUGCAAAUAUCAAGCAAGCCGAAGAACUGAAGGAUUUAAGAGCCAAUUAUCGGAUGCUUUGAAGGAUAACUGGAAACUGAAAGGCGGCAUAUUCAGUAUGCUCUUUGACCUAUCUAUCACUCGUUCUCCUGUUUGAAAAUUUUACGAGUUUGCUUCUGUAGGUGUGCUAACCGGACGCCCCGAAGGAGAAGUGUCUGGAUUCCAACGCGACCUGCUACAGGAGUUGUCCAAAGUGCAUGAGCGAGCUCGGAAAGCAUUGAGGAACAUGGCGAAGGCUUUAUGGCCAGCCGUUCCCCCUCCAGGAAGUAUGGAUGAGCUUGCGAAUUUACUCAAGGGAGCUCAUCGCCGUUUGGAGCUAUGGAAGAUAUCAGCAUGUCGGGAAGGCGCCGUGAGGCCUGGGCCAUGGUGAAAACAUAUUAUACCAAGCUUGAUCCAAAUCGUAUGGCCCGGGUCGGACCUCGGGGACCAGAUGGACAAGAAAUUCCUGUUAGCUUAUUGUACGACCAAGUGAAAAUAACCGCUAACUUUUCUCAAUAGGAUUGUAAACUAGACAACCUACUAGAGGGUCUAGAGGAAGAAGAAGUUUUUGAAUCUAAGUUGUAGUGUACUUUAUCAACAAACUUAUCUCCAGCCGAAUUGUAAAACGGUUGUCAUGGCAGACUUUCCGCUUCAACCUCUAGAACCCGAGGUUUGGAGUGUUUCUGGGUAUUUAUACCAUUUGUAAACACCAAGGUAUGUUCGGAAACUAGGCAGUCCGGUCAUAGUUGCUUAAACAGGCAAGUUGUAUUUGGGGACUUAUGUUAUAUUACAUUUGAUCGUAAGAAACAUCUUCCAGAGAGAAUAGUUCCGUCAAGGGUUCCUUUCCCUGGCCAGCAUGCGUUUUUGCGCAUGCAUGAACUGUGGUGCGAGAAAUCGCAGUAUGCAUUAUAAUUGGGGGCGUGUAUUGCAACGAGGGCACUUCGGCUUUUGUCCGCCGACAGAUUAUUCCCUUAAGAACACUAGCUUUCGGCUUCACCCGUCUGAGGUACACGUCCGGAUAACCCGGCUGUAACAACCGCAGAGGUGCUCCAUUUAUGCCCUAGGUAAACAAGCGGGAACGUAGGGCAUAAGCAUAGGAGCUAGGCAACCCAGCUUGGCAAAAACUUAAGUCAUAAAGGUGCAUAUAAUGGCGAAGACAAGGCACAUAUGAGUAGAAAACACACAUAUACGGUGGGCUUGAUGCUCCAAAAUAAUAAUCAUAAUAAGAUUCUUUGAAAAGAAGCCCCAUGUAUUGUGGGGUAUGUACAUUUAAUGAUGUAUAUCCCUCGAGUGUGCGGUUUCUCCGAACACUGGUAGAAGUCGUACAAAAAACGGAGAAGAGAUAAAAAGGGGUGAGAUGGAGAAAAGAAAAGGCGAAAAAAGUUAUAAGUGUGAACUUAGGCGUAGAAUCUUCGGAGCCCACCAGCGUUCCAUGGGUUUGGUUCCAAACGAUUAUCCGAAGCGUUGCGAAGGCGAUAGGCUCCUCCAGUGAGAACUUCAUCUAUGAUGAAGGGACCCUCCAAUUUAGGCUGGAGCUUGUCCUUUUUCUUCUCUGGUAGGCGCAGGACAGGUUCACCAACAUUAUAAGUCUUUGCCCAUACUUCCCUGCUUUGAUAUCACCGAGCUUGUUGUUGGCAAAAUGCAGAACGGGCCUUCGCAACGUCGCGCUCCUCUAUCUCUUCAUACACGCGCACUCAAGGUGAGUCAUGAAUAAUGUCGCAAGGCAAUACUGCCUCGGCGCCGUACACCAUGAAAAAAGGUGUGUAUCCGAUCGUGUGAUUGGGCGUGGUAUGCAGCCCCCAGAGUACAUAAUCGAGUUCUUCAACCCAGUGCUUGUCUGAUUCACGCAGGGAUCGCACUAGUCUGGGUUUAAUGCCGCCCAUUAUCAAGUCGUUAGCCCGUUCGACCUAGCCGUUUGUCUGAGGGUGAUAUACGGAGGCGUAAUCGAGCUUGAUGCCCAAAUUAGCGCACCAGGUUUUCACCUCAUCGGCCAUAAAGUUAGAACCGUUAUCAGUAAUGAUACUAUGCGGGACACCAUAAAGAUGUACAACACCGGAUAUGAAGUCUAUAACCGGUCCGACUUCAGUCGUUUUGACUAGUUUGGCUUCUAUCCACUUAGUGAACUUGUCGACGAUAAAUAGUAAAUAUUUCUUAUUAUGGCUUCCCCCUUUAAGGGGUCCGACCAUGUCUAGGUCCUAGACCGCAAAAGGCCACAUAAUGGGAAUUGUUGGUAAGGCAAUGGGCGGCAUAUGGAUUUGAUUUGCGGAAAGCUGGCAUCCAACACAUCGCUGUACGAGCUCUUGUGCGUCUGCUCGGGCCGUGGGCCAAAAGAAACAUGUACGGAAGGCCUUACUUACAGGGGCCUGAGCUGCGGUGUGAUGGCCACCAAGACCGGCGUGUAUUUUAGCCGGGAGUUGUCGUCAUUCUUCUUCGGAGACACACCUUUGGAGUACUCCAGUGGUACUUUUCUUGUACAGUUCCCCCUCGUGGACUUUGUAGGCCUUUGAGCGUCGAACAAUGUGACGGGCCUCCGUCUGGUCAUCAGGGAGCUCAUUCCUAUUAGGCGAGGAACGAUUCGGUCCAUGGGGCGAUUACAUCCAUGAUUUCAUGAGCCGAUGGUGUUACUUUGUUGCCCAAACCCCCAACGAUAUCUGGACUGUGUUCGGAAUCUGGGGGUAUGAUCGGUUCUGGAAUAGUGUUGCCACUAUCGUCCUGCCACACGAUAGAUGACUUGAAGAGCCUCUCCACAAAGGUGUUAGGCGGGACGGGGUCGCGCUUGGCACCCAUGCGUCCAAGUAAGUCCGCAGCUUGAUUACUCUCUCGAGCCACAUGAUGAAACUCGAGCCCUUCAAACCGAGCUGAUAUUUUGAGUACGGCGUUGCGGUAAGCCUCCAUCUUUGAAUCUUUUGCGUCGAAGUCUCCGUUUAUCUAAGAUAUUGCGAGGUUUUACUCCCCGUGUACUUCGAGGCAUUGUAUGCCCACGGAGACGGCCAUCCGGAGACCGUGUAAUAAGGCCUCGUAUUCGGCUGCAUUGUUAGAGUCUGUAUAUAGUAUUUGGAGCACAUAACGGAUUGUGUCUCCUGUGGGGGUUGUCAAGACAACACCAGCCCCCAAUCCGGCUAACAUUUUAGAGUCGUCAAAGUGCAUCACCUAGUUGGAAUAUGUGCCGUAUUCUUUAGGGAGUUUGGUCUCCAUCUAUUCGGCGAUGAAGUCAGCCAACACCUGAGAUUUAAUAGCUCGGCGUGGCUUGUAAAUUAUUUCAAAUGGUAAUAUCUCAAUGGCCCAUUUGGCAAUCUGGCCGGUGGCAUCCUGAUUGUUUAUAAUAUCGUUAGGUUGUACUUCGGAAGCCACCAUGAUCGAGCACUCUUGAAAGUAGUGCCGCAGCUUGCGGGAUGCCAUAAAGAUCGCAUAUGCUAUCUUUUGAUAAUGCGGGUAUCGGGAUUUGCAUGGUGUAAGGACCGUCGAUACAUAAUAUACUGGUUUUUGAAGUGGGAAUUUAUGUCCCUCCUCUUCUCGUUCGACGACGAGAAACGCACUCACCAUGGUGAGUUGCAGAUAUUUAGAGAAGCAUCGGUUCGCCAAGUUUGGUUCGGCCAGGAUUGGGUUACUUGCUAACAGAUCUUUUAUUUCGUCCAGUCCGGCUAUGGCAGCAUCAGUCCACAUGAAGUGGUCACUGCCGCGGAGCAAGUGAUAUAAUGCCAACGCCUUUUCCCCUAGUCUGGAGUUAGAACGGCUUAAAGCUGGCACACACCCAGCUAAUUUUGGGACCUUCUUGAGGUCUGUUGGUGUUGCCAACUGUUACAGGGCUCGGAUUUUAGUGGGGUUUGCUUCGAUUCGUCUAUUGGAGACAAUGAACCCAAGCAGCUUUCCGGCUGGAAAGCCGAAAACGCAUUCUUCCGGAUUGAGCCGUAUGUCCUAUGCUCGGAGGUUGUCGAUUGUAAGGCGUAAGUCAUCAACCAAUGAAUCUACAUGUUUGGUUUUGAUGAUUACGUCAUCUACAUAUGCCUCCAAAAUUUUGCUGAUCUACUUUUCCAUCCAUGUUUGAAUCAUGCGUUGGUAGAUUGCGCUGGUGUUAUUGAGCCUAGUGUUGAAGCAGAAGGGCCCGUACGGAGUGAGGAACAUCGUGGCGGCUUGGUUGGAUUCUUUCAUCUUAAUUUGAUGGUCUCCGUAGUAUGCAUCAAGGAAUCAGAAGGAAUCGUGUCCUACGGUUGCGUCAAUAAUCUGGUCAAUUCGAGGUAAUGGGAAGGGGUGACGAGGUUACAGACCUGGGGUAGGGUCAUAGGCCUGACCUAUAUGUCCUACCCGAGGUCACUACCCUAGAAGAUAAAAAGACCAAGAGUCAACAGGAGAGCACCGGUCGAGUGCGUCGGGCGCAAUCCACUCGACGGCCAUAUCAUUCGGUGGUCUCCUCCCUACCGUCACUCGACCAUAUGAAGAGUCACUCGACUUGUCACAAACCAGGAGUCGGAGGAGAACGCAACGGCCAGACGUUCUCCCCUUAGUCUUUAUAAGCAUUAAGGGUACUUAAGGUUGGCGUUACAAGUAACGCCCCUUACUUUAGGUACAUUAAGCCCCUUGUAAUGGAGGCGGGCGGGGGUCCUGGCGCACUCUAUAUAAGCCACUCCCCUCCUCUGGGACAAGGGUUUGCACCCCCUGUAAUAUCACACACAUAAUCCAAUCGACCGCCUCCGGGCACCGAGACGUAAGGCUGUUACUUCCACUGUGAAGGACCUGAACUCGUAAACCUUGUGUGUACACCUUCACCAUAGCUGAGAUCUUGCCUCUCCAUACCUACCCCCCUUUCUAUUGUCAGUCUUAGGACUACAACAGUUGGCGACCACCGCGGGGCAGGUAUCUUAGUGACUUGCUGGUGAAGUUGCAAGUUUUACCGAUCGUUAUCGUCAUGGUUUCCGGCGGCGGAUUGGCUAAGGGCCACGAGAUCUGUCUCGGCGCGCUCGUUUUCGUCCCCGACGACUCUGUGUGGCUUCAAGAAGCUCCCCUGGACAUUGAGGCACUCCCCGUCCGAGGGGCAACGCACUUCCGAGCGUGCGUUUGCGGUGUUCUCCUUCAGAAGCCGUCGACUCAGUAUCAGUCGACCCCGACCAUGUUUUCACUCCCCACCAUUCGUCACCGCGAGCGAUCCGGUUGAUCGCGGCUUCAGCGGUAGGUGAAACACGUGGUGGUUCAACGUUCGACCACCCAUCAAGUCACGGCAAUCGAGCCCGACAGUACUCUCCACGGCAUGUUCGACCUGUCGACUGGCUCCGCGGAGACCACAUCCGAGUGCGAUAGCAGCGACCCUGCGGCUGAAGUCUUGAUGGUCGAUAGACCCCACAGCCCGCCCGGUUUCCAUCGUGAAGGCGGCGAAGACGGGGGCGGCGAUCCAUUGCACGUCCCCGAGGAAUACCGACCCGAGCCCCUCUCUUCGCAGCAGAUGGAAGAACUUCGUCACCGCAACAUGGAUGCACUCCACACGCCCAUCAUUGGAGAAACCCCCGAGGCUCAGGCCUUGGAGGGGGUGUGCUUGGCUAAACUGGCUGAGCGCACUCGACUGGAUAACCUUCAGUGGGCCCUCGACGAGCGCGCUCAGGAGCGGAUCCAUGAGUCCAGUCGACGACAACUUUUUCCACCUCCACCUAAGGUAUACCACACUCCGAUUCAGAAUAUCCAACCUUCCCAGUCAGAAGCUGCCAGAGGGUUGAUGCAGAUCCGGGCCUUGCUCAGGGCAGCAGGAGAGCAAAACAUAGCAGUAUCUCAGUCGCGGAAUAGGAUUCACAGCAGAUCCGUUGCAGCGGACACGGUUUAGUCGGCUCACAGCCCAAGAUCGCCUCCGCGGCGUGAAGGCUGUGGGCAGUAUGAUCAUCCACUCGACCGUGACAAUCGUCGUCGAGGACCCACGCCUCCCUCGAGGAGUGCGUCAUAUGUGCCUCGGCAGAACAAUGACAGGCGCCGUCACAGUGGUGAGCAUAGGGCUUCAGUCGACCCAAGGGAACCGUGCUUCGACGCGAGGUCUAUCCUUGUUCAAGGCCUGGUCGACCAGAACAGAGCACACAGAGAAGACCCUGGCAUAGAUCGUCCGAGUGGCAGCCGAAUGCAUGCUUCUGGUCCCGAGUAUUUUAGCAGGGCCAUCAAGGCAGCAGUGACUCCUCCCAACUUCAGGUUGGCGUCCGAAGUCAGUAAGUUCGCCGGCGAAUCUAAGCCUGAAACAUGGCUUGAAGAUUACCGAGUGGUUGUACAGAUUGGUGGUGGAAACGAUGAGUUUAUGAUGAAACAUCUCCCUCUGACAUUGGAAGGGUCAUCCUGAGCAUGGUUGACUCGGUUGGCUCCGAGCAGUAUAUACAGUUGGGAAGAACUAUCUCGAGUGUUCCUCCGAACUUUCGAAGGCACUUGCAAAUGACCAGCGGGAUUGACCGAGUUGCAUCAUUGUGUUCAGAAGCCGAGUGAGACCUUGAGAGAUUUUAUCCAGAGGUGGUCCACUUUGCAUUACACUGUCGAAAAUGUUUCAGAGCAUCAGGCAGUGUGUGCUUUCAAGGAAAACGUCAAAUACAAAGAGUUAGUCUUGAAAUUCGGUCGGACUGGGGAUAUGACUCUGACUCGGAUGAUGGAGAUAGCAACCCGGUUCACUAACAGAGAAGAAGAGGAUCGACUCCGUAGCGGGAAGAGCAAACCAAUCGGCCAAGAGGCUGGUGGAGGCAACUCCAGUCGGAAACAGAAGCGCAAGGCCGAACCAGCGGCACCUGGAGAGAUUGCAGCAGUGACUCAAGGAAAGUUUAAGGGAAAACCUAAGGGGCCUUGGCCCCCUAAGAAGGUAAAGGAUCAAGGAGGGAAUGAUGUGCUGGAUUUGCCAUGUCACAUCCACACGAAGAAAGAUGAAGAAGGUAAUCUGAUUUACCCGAAGCAUACCACUCGACAAUGUAGACUCCUGAUCCAGCAGUUCCAAGAGAAACAACCCAAUGAGAAGGAGAAAGAGUCGGACAAGGACGAGGAUGAAGAGGAAGACGAUGGUUAUCCCAAAGUCAAUUCCACUUUGAUGAUUUUUGUUGAUGUUGAGAGCAAGAGUCGAUUGAAGGUCAUCAACAGAGAAGUAAAUAUGGUCUCUCCGGCGGCGAAGACCACAUACCUAAGAUGGUCUCAGACAGCCAUCACAUUCAACCAGUCUGACCGUCCUGCUCGUGUCACCACCCCUGGGAGGCAAGCACUACUGGUCGGCCCCGUGGUUGGAGGCACUCGACUGACCAAAGUACUGAUGGAUGGUGGCAGUGGUUUGAACAUCCUUUACGCUGAAACCUUGAAGGGGAUGGGCAUUCCGAUGUCCAAACUUAGCGAGAGCAACAUGAGUUUUCAUGGUGUUAUCCCUGGAAAGAAAGCUGAAUCAUUCGGCCAGAUCGCCCUCGAUGUGGUUUUCGGUGAUUCCAAGCAUUACCGUAAGGAGAAGUUGACAUUUGAAGUUGUGGAUUUCCAGAGUGCCUAUCAUGCCAUUCUGGGUAGGCCAGCCUAUCCACGUUUUAUGGCUCGACCAUGUUAUGUGUAUCUCAAGCUGAAGAUGCCUAGCCCCAAAGGUGUAAUCACAGUUACUGGCAAUCGGUAGAAGGCAGAGGAAUGUUUCCAGAAAGGUUCCAGAAUAGCAGAUGCACAGAUGGUAGCAGUUGAACUCCAAGAGUAGCAGAAGAGUGCAGAUCCGAGUGAUUUGCUCCAAGCUAAGAAGCCUGCUACAGACUCAGCAUUUCAGUCGACUGGUAAAACAAAGCCGAUUCAUACUCACCCGACCGAUCCCAAUGUUGCACCGACUCAUAUAUCAACAACACUCGACAACAAAUAGGAAGAAGCGCUCAUCCAGUUCCUCCGUGAGAACUGGGACAUCGUGGAAGCCCUCUGACAUGCCAGGUGUACCCAGAGAACCGGCUGAGCACUGUUUGCGUGUCGACCCCAAGGUAAAACCCGUCAAAGAGCACCUUCGGCAGUCCGCCACGCAGAAGAGAAAAGCAAUUGGUGAAGAAGUAGCUCGGCUGUUGGCAGCAGAGUUCAUCCGUGAAAUCUACCACUCCGAGUGGUUAGCCAAUGUAGUCAUGGUCCCGAAGAAGGAUGAUUCACUUCGUAUGUGCAUUGAUUUCAAGCAUAUCAAUCGGGCCUGCCCAAAAGAUCACUUCCCUCUCCCUCGCAUCGAUCAGAUUGUUGACUCGACUGUAGGGUGUGAGUGCUUGUCUUUCUUAGAUGCAUAUUUCGGGUAUCAUCAGAUCUGACUGUAUGGUCCCGAUGAAAUAAAAACAGCCUUCAUCACCCCAUUCGGGUGCUUUUGUUAUGUCACCAUGCCAUUUGGUCUUAAAAAUGCUGGAGCCACAUUCAUGAGAAUGAUUCAGAAGUGCCUGCUCACUCAAAUCAGUCAGAAUGUGGAAGCAUACAUGGAUGACAUUGUGGUCAAGUCUCGCAAAGGUUCCGACUUAUUCAUUGACCUCGCAGAAACCUUUGCCAACCUAAGAAGAUACGAUAUCAAGCUUAAUCCGUCAAAGUGUACAUUCGGAGUUCCAGGAGGAAAGUUACUCGGUUUUCUCGUUUUUGAACGAAGGAUCGACGCUAAUCCAGAAAAAGUUGAUACCAUCCUCCGAAUGAAACGCCCCGUGCGAGUGCAUGACGUUCAGAAGCUGACUAGUUGUUUGGCCGCCUUGAGUCGAUUCAUUUCUCGUCUCGGUGAAAAGGCCUUGCCUCUUUACCUAAUGAUGAAGAAAUCUGAUAAGUUCGAGUGGACUGAAGAAGCUGAUGCAGCGUUUGUAGAGCUCAAAGCCCUGCUUUCCACCCAGUCGGUGCUCGCUGCGCCAAUCAGCAAAGAGCCUUUACUGCUUUACAUUGCAGCCACUGGACAAGUUGUCAGUAAGGUAGUCACAGUCGAGCGGGAAGAGGAAGGAAAAGCUUACAAGGUUCAACGCCCAGUUUAUUACCUCUCUGAAGUUUUGACUCCAUCCAAGCAACGAUAUCCACAUUAUCAGAAGCUUGUCUAUGGAAUAUACAUGACCAUGAAGAAGGUUGCGCAAUAUUUCUCUGACCACUCCAUUACAGUUGUCAGCGACGCGCCACUAUCUGAAAUUCUGAAUAAUAGAGAUGCAAAUGGUCGAGUGGCAAAAUGGGCGAUUGAAAUCCUUCCAUUGGAUAUCAAGUUUGAGGCAAAGAAGGCUAUCAAGUACCAAGCAAUCGCAGAUUUCCUUGCCGAGUGGAUUGAGCAGCAAUUGCCAACUCAAGUCCACUCGGAGCAUUGGACUAUGUUCUUUGAUGGCUCCAAGAUGUUGAAUGGUUUAGGUACUGGGGUAGUAUUUGUAUCCCCCCGUGGAGACAAGCUUAGUUAUGUUCUCCAGAUUCAUUUUGAUAACUCCAAUAAUGAAGCCAAAUAUGAAGCACUUUUAUACGGGUUGCGUAUGUCCAUUUCACUCGGCGUCCUCGCCUUAUGGUUUACAGUGACUCAGAUUUGGUGGUUAAUCAAGUGAUGAAGGAAUGGGAUGUCAGGAGCCCAGCUAUGACUGGUUAUUGCAAUGCAGUGAGAAAGCUGGAAAAGAAGUUUGAAGGUUUGGAGCUUCACCAUAUACCCCGACUGAAAAAUCAAGCUGCAGAUGAGUUAGCAAAGAUAGGCUCAAAGAGAGAGGCCAUUCCUCGAAAUGUGUUUUUGGAACAUAUUCAUUCACCAUCAGUUUAGGAAGAUCCUUUCACCGACGAGUCACCACAGCCCAAGAGUGCCACAUAUCGGACUGAAGUCGAAAUCCCAACCGUGGUCGACUUAGUCAUGGAGGUUUUGGUCAUCACUCCUGACUGGACAGUGUCGUACAUUGCGUACAUUCUUAGGAAAGAACUGUUGGGGAACGUAGCAGAAAUUCAAAAUUUUCCUACGUGUCACCAAGAUCUAUCUAUGGAGAGACCAGCAACGAGUAGAAAGAGAAUGCAUCUACAUACCCUUGUAGAUCUCUAGGCGGAAGCGUUCAAGUGAACGGGGUUGAUGGAGUCGUACUCGUCGUGAUUCAAAUCACCGAUGAUCAAGUGCCGAACGCACGGCACCUCCGCGUUCAACACACAUACAGCUCGGUGACGUCUCCCAAGCCUUGAUCCAGCAAGGAGAGAGGGAGAGGUUGAGGAAGACUCCAUCCAGCAGCAGCACAAUGGCGUGGUGGUGGUGGAGGAGCGUGGCAAUCCUGCAGGGCUUCGCCAAGCACCGCGGGAGAGGAGGAGUACUUGUGAGAGGGGGAGGGCUGUGCCAGAACUUCGUCUGUAGCUCCCAUGCGCCUCCCCACUAUAUAUAGGGGUGGAGGGGCUGGUUUCUUGCCCUCCAAGUCCAUUGGGGCGUUGGCCAAGGUGGGAGGAAAGAAAUCUCAUUAUUUCCUUCCCCAUCGAUUGUUAUCCCCCCUUUUUAGGGAUCUUGAUCUUAUCCCUUCGGGAUAUGAUCUUAUUCCUUCUAAGGGGGGAUCUUGGUGCGCCUUGACUAGGGGUGUGGGGCCUUGCCCCCACUACCCACGUCCAUGUGGGUCCCCCCAUGCAGGUGGGCCCCACUCCGGAACCUUCUAGAACCUUCCCGGUACAAUACCGAAAAAUCCCGAACAUUUUCCGGUGACCAAAAUAGGACUUCCCAUAUAUAAAUCUUUACCUCCGGACCAUUCCGGAACUCCUCGUGACGUCCGGGAUCUCAUCCGGGACUCCGAACAACAUUCGGUAACCACAUACAAACUUCCUUUAUAACCCUAGCGUCAUCGAACCUUAAGUGUGUAGACCCUACGGGUUCGGGAGACAUGUAGACAUGACCGAGACGUUCUCCGGUCAAUAACCAACAGCGGGAUCUGGAUACCCAUGAUGGCUCCCACAUGUUCCACGAUGAUCUCAUCGGAUGAACCACGAUGUCAAGGACUUAAUCAAUCCCGUAUUCAAUUCCCUUUGUCUAUCGGUAUGUUACUUGCCCGAGAUUCGAUCGUCGGUAUCCAAUACCUUGUUCAAUCUCGUUACUGGCAAGUUACUUUACUCGUUCCGUAACACAUCAUCCCGUGAUCAACUCCUUGGUCACAUUGCGCAUAUGAUGAUGUCCUACUGAGUGGGCCCAGAGAUACCUCUCCGUUUACACGGAGUGACAAAUCCCAGUCUCGAUCCGCAUAAAACAAUAGAUACUUUCGGAGAUACCUGUAGUGCACCUUUAUAGUCACCCAGUUACGUUGUGAAGUUUGAUACACCCAAAGCACUCCUACGGUAUCCAGGAGUUACACGCUCUCAUGGUGGAAGGAAGAGAUACUUGACAUUGGCAAAGCUCUAGCAAAUGAACUACACGAUCUUUUGUGCUAGUCUUACGAUUGGGUCUUGUCCAUCACAUCAUUCUCCUAAUGAUGUGAUCCCGUUAUCAACGACAUCCAAUGUCCAUAGCUAGGAAACCAUGACUAUCUGUUGAUCACAACGAGCUAGUCAACUAGAGGCUCACUAGGGACAUAUUGUGGUCUAUGUAUUCACACGUGUAUUACGAUUUCCGGAUAAUACAGUUAUAGCAUGAAUAAAAGACAAUUAUCAUGAACAAGGAAAUAUAAUAAUAAUACUUUUAUUAUUGCCUCUAGGGCAUAUUUCCAAUAGUCUCCCACUUGCACUAGAGUCAAUAAUCUAGUUCACAUCGCCAUGUGAUUAACACUCACAGGUCACAUCGCCAUGUGACUAAUACCCAAGAGUUUACUAGAGUCAGUAGUCUAGUUCACAUCACUAUGUGAUUAACACUCAAUGAGUUUUAUGUUUGAUCAUGUUGCUUGUGAGAGAGGUUUUAGUCAACGGGUCUGAACCUUUCAGAUCCGUGUGUGCUUUACAAAUCUCUAUGUCAUCUCCUAGAUGCAGCUACCACGCUCUAUUUGGAGCUAUUCCAAACAACUGUUCUACUUGGAGCUAUUCUAAAUUAUUGCUCCAUUAUAUGUAUCCGGUCUCUCUACUGAGAGCUAUCCGGAUAGGUGUCAAGCUUGCAUCGUCGUAACCUUUACGACGAACUCUUUUACCACCUCCAUAAUCGAGAAAAUUCCUUAGUCCACUAGUUACUAAGGAUAACUUUGACCGCUGUCCUGUGAGCCAUUCUUGGAUCACUCUUGUACCCCUUGACUGACUCAUGGCAAGGCACACUUCAGGUGCGGUACACAGCAUAGCAUACUGAAGAGCCUACGUCUUAAGCAUAGGGGACGACCUUCGUCCUUUCUCUCUAUUCUGCCGUGGUCGAGCUUUAAGUCUUAACUUCGUACCUUACAACUCAGGCAAGAACUCCUUCUUUGACUGGUCCAUCUUGAACACCUUCAAGAUCAUGUCAAGGUAUGUGCUCAUUUGAAAGUAUUAUUAAGCAUUUUGGUCUAUCCUUAUAGAUCUUGAUACUCAAUGUUCAAGUAGCUUAAUCCAGGCUUUCCAUUGAAAAACACUUUCAAAAUAACCCUAUAUGCUUUCCAGAAAUUCUACGUCAUUUCUGAUCAACAAUAUGUCAACAACAUAUACUCAUCAGAAAUUCUAUAGUGCUCCCACUCACUUCUUUGGAAAUACAAGUUUCUCAUAAACUUUGUACAAACCCAAAAUUUUUGAUUCAUCAAAGCAUACAUUCCAACUCCGAGAUGCUCAUUCCAGUCCUUAGAAGGAUUGCUGGAGCUUUGCAUACUUAUUAGCAUCUUUUGGGAUUGACAAAACCUUCCGGUUGUAUCACAUACAACCUUUCCUAAUUAAAAUCGUCGAGGAAACAAUGUUUUGACAUCCUAUCUGCAAGAUUUCAUAAAUAAUGCAGUAAUCGCUAAUAUAAUUCCAACAGACUCUUAGCAUCGCUACGAGUGAGAAAAUCUCAUCGUAGUCAACUCCUUGAACUUGUCGGAAAACAUCUUAACGACAAGUCGAGCUUUCUUAAUGGUGACAUUUACCAUCAUUGUCCGUCUUCCUUUUGAAAUCCAUCUGUACUCAUUAGCCUUACAACCAUCGAGCCGUUCUGCCAAAGUCUACACUUUGUUUUCAUACAUGGAUCCUCUCUCGGAUUUUAUGGCCUCAAGCCAUUUAUCGGAAUCCGGGCCCACCAUCGCUUCUCCAUAGCUCGUAGGUUCAUUGUUGUCUAGCAACAUGACCUUCAAGACAGGAUUACGUACCACUCUGAAGUAGUACGCAUCCUUGUCAUCCUACGAGGUUUGGGAGUGACUUGAUCCGAAGUUUCAUGAUCAAUAUCAUAAGCUUCCACUUCAAUUGGUGUAGGUGCCACAGGAACAACUCCCUGUGCCCUGUCACACACUAGUUGAAGAGACGGUUCAAUAACCUCAUCAAGUCUCCACCAUCCUCCCACUCAAUUCUUUCGAGAGAAACUUUUCCUCGAGAAAGGACCCGAUUCUAGAAACAAUCCAUAUUGCUUUCGGAUCUGAAUUAGGAGGUAUACCCAACUGUUUGGGGUUUCCUAUGAAGAUGCAUUUUAUCCGCUUUGGGUUCGAGCUUAUCAACCUGAAACUUUUUCAUAUAAGCGUCGCAGCCCCAAACUUUUAAGAAACGACAACUUAGGUUUCUCUAAACCAUAAUUCAUACGGUGUCAUCUCAUCAGAAUUACGUGGUGCCCUAUUUAAAGUGAAUGUGGUUGUCUCUAAUGCCUAACCCAUGAACGAUAGUGGUAAUUCGAUAAGAGACAUCAUGGUACGCACCAUAUCCAAUAGGGUGCAACUAUGAUGUUCGGACACACCAUCACAUUAUGGUGUUCCAGGCGGUAUUAAUUGCGAAACAAUUUCCACAAUGUCUUAAUUGUGUGCCAAAACUCGUAACUCAGAUAUUCAUCUCUAUGAUCAUAUCAUAGACAUUUUAUCCUCUUGUCACAAUGAUCUGCUACUUCACUCUGAAAUUACUUGAACCAUUCAAUAAUUCAGACUUGUGUUUCAUCAAGUAAAUAUACUCAACAUUUACUCGAAUCAUCUGUGAAGUAAGAACAUAAUGAUAUUCACUGCAUGCCUCAGCACUCAUUCGACUGCACACAUCAAAAUGUGUUACUUCCAACAAGUUGCUAUCUUGUUCCAUCUUACUGAAAAUGAGGCUUUUCAGUUAUCUUGCCCAUGUGGUAUGAUUUGCAUAUCUCAAGUGAUUCAAAAUCAAGUGAGUCCGAACGAUCCAUUUGCAUGGAGUUUCUUCAUGCAUAUACACCAAUAGACAUGGUUCGCAUGUCUCAAACUUUUCAAAAACGAGUGAGUCCAAAGAUCCAUCAACAUGGAGCUUCUUCAUGCGUUUUAUACCAUUAUGACUUACAUGGCAGUGCCACAAGUAAGUGGUACUAUCAUUACUAUCUUAUAUCUUUUGGCAUGAAAAUGUGUAUCACUACGACCGAGAUUCAAUAAACCGUUCCUUUAGGUGCAAGACCAUUGAAGGUAUUAUUCAAAAAUAGAGUAACCAUUAUUCUCCUUAAAUGAAUAACCGUAUUGCGAUAGACAUAAUCCAAUCAUGUCUAUGCUCAACGCAAACACCAAUCUCGGUGGUAGAGGGAGCGUGCGAUGCUUGAUCAUAUCAACCUUGGAAACACUUCCAACAUAUAUCGUCAGCUCACCUUUAGCUAGUCUCCAUUUAUUCCGUAGCUUUUAUUUCGAGUUACUAACACUUAGCAACCGAACCGGUAUCCAAUACCCUGGUGCUACUAGGAGUACUAGUAAAGUACACAUUAACAUAAUGUAUAUCCAAUAUACUUCUAUCGACCUUGCCAGCCUUCUCAUCUACCAAGUAUCUAGGGUAAUGCUGCUCCAGUGGUUGUUCCCCUUAUUAUAGAAGCACUUAGUCUCGGGUUUGGGUUCAACCUUGGGUUUCUUCACUAGAGCAGCAGCUGAAUUGCCUAUUCAUGAAGUAUCCCUUUGUUCCCUUGCCCUUCUUGAAACUAGUGGUUUCACCAACCAUCAAUAAUUGAUGCUCCUUCUUGAUUUCUACUUUCGCGGUGUCAAACAUCAUGAAUAUUUCAAGGAUCAUCAUAUCUAUCCGUGAUAUGUUAUAGUUAAUCACGAAGCUCUAGCAGCUUGGUGGCAAUGACUUUGGGAAACAUCACUAUCUCAUCUGGAGGAUCAACUCCCACUCGAUUCAAGUGAUUGUUGUGCUCAGAAAAUCUGAGCACAAGCUCAACGAUUGAGCUUUUCUCCUUAGUUUGUAGGCUAAGAAAAUCGUCGGAGGUCUUAUACCUCUUGACAUGGGCACGAGCCUGAAAUCCCAAUUUCAGCCCUCGAAACAUCUCAUAUGUUCUGCGACGUUUUGAAAACGUCUUUGGUGCCUCUACUUAAACCAUUUAAUUGAACUAUCACGUAGUUAUCAAAACGUGUAUGUCCGAUGUUCGCAACAUCGACAAACGACGUUGGGGUUCAGCACACUGGGCGGUGCAUUAAGGACAUAAGCUUUCUACUGAUCGCAUAAUCUCUACUAUCAACUUUCAACUAUAUUUUCUCUAGGAACAUAUCUAAACAGUGGAACUAAAGCGCGAGCUUACGACAUAAUUUGCAAAAGGUCUUUUGACUAUGUUCAGGAUAAUUAAGUUCAUCUUAUGAACUCCCACUUAGAUAGACAUCCCUCUGGUCAUCUAAGUGAUCACAUGAUCCGAGUCAACUAGGCCGUGUCCGAUCAUCACGUGAGACGGACUAGUCAUCAUCAGUGAACAUCUUCAUGUUGAUCGUAUCUACCAUACGACUCAUGCUCGACCUUUCGGUCUCCGUGUUUCGAGGCCAUGUCUGCACAUGCUAGGCUCGUCAAGUUAACCCUAAGUGUUUUCGCUGUGUAAAACUGUCUUACACCCGUUGUAUGUGAACGUAAGAAUCCAUCACACCCGAUCAUCACGUGGUGCUUAGAAGCGACGAACUGUAGCAACGGUGCACAGUUAGGGGAGAACACUUCUUGAAAUUUUGUAAGGGAUCAUCUUAUUUACUACCGUCGUCCUAAGCAAACAAGAUGCAUAAACAUGAUAAACAUCACAUGCAAUCAAAUAGUGACAUGAUAUGGCCAAUAUCAUUUUGCUCCUUUUGAUCUUCAUCUUCGGGGCUCCAUGAUCAUCAUCAUCACCGGCACGACACCAUGAUCUCCAUCAUCAUGAUCUCCAUCAUCGUGUCUUCAUGAAGUUGUCACGCCAACGACUACUUCUACUUCUAUGACUAACGCGUUUAGCAAUAAAGUAAAGUAGUUUACAUGGCGUUCUUCAAUGACUCGCAGGUCAUACAAAAAAUAAAGACAACUCCUAUGGCUCCUGCCGGUUGUCAUACUCAUCGACAUGCAAGUCGUGAAUCCUAUUACAAGAACAUGAUCAAUCUCAUACAUCACAUAUCAUUCAUCACAUUCUUCUUGGCCAUAUCACAUCACAUAGCAUACCCUGCAAAAACAAGUUAGACGUCCUCUAAUUGUUGUUGCAUGUUUUACGUGGCUGCUAUGGGUUUCUAGCAAGAACGUUUCUUACCUACGCAAGACCACAACGUGAUAUGCCAAUUGCUAUUUACCCUUCAUAAGGACCCUUUUCAUCGAAUCCGUUCCGACUAAAGUGGGAGAGACUGGCACCCGCUAGCCACCUUAUGCACCAAGUGCAUGUCAAUCGGUGGAACCUGUCUCACGUAAGAGUACGUGUAAGGUCGGUCCGGGCCGCUUCAUCCCACAAUACCGUCGAAACAAGAUUGGACUAGUAACGGUAAGCAUAUUGAACAACAUCAACGCCCACAACUACUUUGUGUUCUACUCGUGCAAAGAAUCUACGCAAUAGACCUAGCUCAUGAUGCCACUUUUGGGGAACGUAGCAGAAAUUCAAAAUUUUCCUACGUAACACCAAGAUCUAUCUAUGGAGAGACCAGCAACGAGUAGAAAGGGGAGUGCAUCUACAUACCCUUGUAGAUCGCUAAGCGGAAGCGUUCAAGUGAACGGGGUUGAUGGAGUCGUACUCGUCGUGAUUCAGAUCACCGAUGAUCCUAGUGCCGAACGGACGGCACCUCCGCGUUCAACACACGUACAGCUCGACGAUGUCUCCCACGCCUUGAUCCAGCAAGGAGAGAGGGAGAGGUUGAGGAAGACUCCAUCCAGCAGCAGCACAACGGCGUGGUGGUGAUGGAGGAGCGUGGCAAUCCUGCAGGGCUUCGCCAAGCACCUACGGGAGAGGAGGAGGUGUCACGGGAGGGAGGGAGGCGCCAAGGGCUCAGGUAUGGAUGCCCUUAACUUCGUACCUUACAACUCAGGCAAGAACUCCUUUUUUGACUGAUCCAUCUUGAACACCUUCAAGAUCACGUCAAGGCAUGUGCUCAUUUGAAAGUACCAUUAAGCGUUUUGAUCUAUCCUUAUAGAUCUUGAUGCUCAAUGUUCAAGUAGCUUAAUCCAGGUUUUCCAUUGAAAACACUUUCCAAAUAACCCUAUAUGCUUUCCAGAAAUUCUACGUCAUUUCUGAUCAUUAAUAUGUCAACAACAUAUACUCAUCAGAAAUUCUAUAGUGCUCCCACUCACUUCUUUGGAAAUACAAGUUUCUCAUAAACUUUGUAUACACCCUAAAUCUUUGAUCAUCAUCAAAGCAUACAUUCCAACUCCGAGAUGCUCACUCCAGUCCUCAGAAGGAUUGCUGGAGCUUUGCAUACUUAUUAGCAUAUUUCAGGAUAGACAAAACCUUCCGGUUGUAUCACAUACAACCUUUCCUCAAGAAUCGUCGAGGAAACAAUGUUUUGACAUCCUAUCUGCAAGAUUUCAUAAAUAAUGCAGUAAUUGCUAAUAUAAUUCCAACAUACUCUUAGCAUCGCUACGAGUGAGAAAGUCUCAUCGUAGUCAACUCCUUGAACUUGUCGAAAAACAUCUCAACGACAAGUCGACCUUUCUCAAUGGUGACACUUACCAUCAUUGUCUGUCUUCCUUUCAAAAUCCAUAUGUACCUAACAGCCUUAUGACCAUCAAGUAGUUCUUCCAAAGUCUACACUUUGUUUUCAUACAUGGAUCCUCUCUCGGGUUUUAUGGCCUUGAGCCAUUUAUCGGAAUCCAGGCCCACCAUCGCUUCUCCAUAGCUCGUAGGUUCAUUGUUGUCUAGCAACAUGACUUCCAAGACAGGAUUACUGUACCACUCUGAAGUAGUACGUAUCCUUGUCACCCUACGAGGUUUGGGAGUGACUUGAUCUGAAGUUUCAUGAUCACUAUCAUAAGCUUCUACUUCAAUUGGUGUAGGUGCCACAGGAACAACUUCCUGUGCCCUGCUACACACUGGUUGAAGUGAUGGUUCAGUAACCUCAUCAAGUCUCCACCAUCCUCCCACUCAAUUCUUUCGAGAGAAACCUUUCCUCGAGAAAGGACCCAAUUCUAGAAACAAUUCAUAUUGCCUUCGGAUCUGAAUUAGGAGGUAUACCCAACUGUUUUGGGUGUCCUAUGAAGAUGUACUUUAUCCGCUUUGGGUUCGAGCUUAAUCCUGAAACUUUUUCACAUAAGCGUCGCAGCCCCAAACCUUUAAGAAAUGACAACUUAGGUUUCUCUAAACCAUAAUUCAUACGGUGUCAUCUCAUCGGAAUUACGUGGUGCCCUAUUUAAAGUGAAUGUGGUUGUCUUUAAUGCCUAACCCAUAAACUAUCCUGGCAGUUCGAUAAGAGACAUCAUGGUAUGCAUCAUAUCCAAUAGGGUGCAACUAUGAUGUUCGGACACACCAUCACACUAUGGUGUUCCAGGCGGUAUUAAUUGUGAAACAAUUUCCACAAUGUCUUAAUUGUGUGCCAAAACUCGUAACUCAGAUACUCAUCUCUAUGAUCAUAUCAUAGACAUUUUAUCCUCUUGUCACAAUCUUCUACUUCACUCUGAAAUUACUUGAACCAUUCAAUAAUUCAGACUUGUGUUUCAUCAAGUAAAUAUUCUCAACAUCUACUCGAAUCAUCUGUGAAGUAAGAACAUAACGAUAUUCACUGCAUGCCUCAGCACUCAUUGGACUGCACGCAUCAAAAUGUGUUGCUUCCAACAAGUUGCUAUCUUGUUACAUCUUACUGAAAACGAGGCUUUUCAGUCAUCUUGCCCAUGUGGUAUGAUUUGCAUGUCCCAAGUGAUUCAAAAUCAAGUGAGUCAAAACGGUCCAUUUGCAUGGAGUUUCUUCAUGCAUAUACACCAAUAGACAUGGUUCGCAUGUCUCAAACUUUUCAAAAACGAGUGAGCCCAAAGAUCCAUCAAUAUGGAGCUUCUUCAUGCGUUUUAUACCGAUAUGACUUACGUGGCAGUGCCACAAGUAGGUGGUUCUAUCAUUACUAUCUUUUGGCAUGAACAUGUGUAUCACUACGAUCGAGAUUUAAUAAACCAUUCAUUUUAGGUGUAAGACCAUUGAAGGUAUUAUUCAAAUAAACAGAGUAACGAUUAUUCUCCUUAAAUGAAUAACCGUAUUGCGAUAGACGUAAUCCAAUCAUGUCUAUGCUCAACGCAAACACCAAACAACAAUUAUUUAGGUUUAACACCAAUCUCUUUGGUAGAGGGAGCGUGCGAUGCUUGAUCAUAUGAAGCUUGGAAAAACUUCCAACACAUAUCGUCAGCUCACCUUUAGCUAGUCUCCGUUUAUUCCGUAGCCUUUUGUUUCGAGUUACUAACACUUAGCAACCGAACCGGUAUCUAAUACCCUGGUGCUACUAGGAGUACUAGCAAAGUACACAUUAACACAAUGUAUAUCCAAUAUACUUCUAUCGACCUUGCCAGCCUUCUUAUCUACCAAGUAUCUAGGGUAAUUCUGCUCUAGUGGUUGUUCCCCUUAUUACAGAAGCACUUAGUCUCGGGUUUGGGUUUUACCUUGGGUUUCUUCACUAGAGCAGCAGCUGAUUUGCCGUUUCAUGAAGUAUCCCUUCUUGCCCUUGCCCUUCUUGAAACUAGUGGUUUCACCAACCAUCAACAAUUGAUGCUCCUUUUUGAUUCCUACUUUCGCGGUGUCAAACAUCGCGAAUACCUCAAGGAUCAUCAUAUCUAUCCCUGAUAUGUUAUAGUUCAUCACGAAGCUCUAACAGCUUGGUGGCAAUGACUUUGGAGAACCAUCACUGUCUUAUCUGGAAGAUCAACUCCCACUCGAUUCAAAUGAUUGUUGUACUCAGACAAUCUGAGCACAAGCUCAACAAUUGAGCUUUUCUCCUUAGUUUGCAGGUUAAGAAAGUCAUCGGAGGUCUUAUACCUCUUGACAUGGGCACGAGCCUGAAAUCCCAAUUUCAGCCCUCAAAACAUCUCAUAUGUUUCGCGAUGUUUCAAAAACGUCUUUGGUGCCUCAACUCUAAACCGUUUAACUGAACUACCACGUAGUUAUCAAAACGUGUAUGUCAGAUGUUCGCAACAACCACAGACAACGUUCGAGGUUCAGCACACUGAGCGGUGCAUUAAGGACAUAAGCCUUCUAUGAAGCAAUGAGGACAAUCCUCAGUUUACGGACCUAGUCCGCAUAAUUGCUACUAUCAACUUUCAACUAAUUUUUCUCUAGGAACAUAUCUAAACAGUAGAACUAUAGCGUGAGCUACGACAUAAUUUGCAAAAACCUUUUGACUAUGUUCAGGAUAAUUAAGUUCAUCUUAUGAACUCCCACUCAGAUAGACAUCCCUCUGGUCAUCUAAGUGAUCACAUGAUCCGAGUCAAACUAGGCCGUGUCCGAUCAUCACGUGAGACGGACUAGUCAUCAUCGGUGAACAUCUUCAUGUUGAUCGUAUCUUCUAUACGACUCAUGCUCGACCUUUCGGUCUCCGUGUUCCGAGGCCAUGUCUGCACAUGCUAGGCUCGUCAAGUUAACCCUAAGUGUUUUCGCUGUGUAAAACUGUCUUACACCCGUUGUAUGUGAACGUAAGAAUCCAUCACACCCGAUCAUCACGUGGUGCUUAGAAGCGACGAACUGUAGCAACGGUGCACAGUUAGGGGAGAACACUUCUUGAAAUUUUGUAAGUGAUCAUCUUAUUUACUACCGUCGUCCUAAGCAAACAAGAUGCAUAAACAUGAUAAACAUCACAUGCAAUCAAAUAGUGACAUGAUAUGGCCAAUAUCAUUUUGCUCCUUUUGAUCUUCAUCUUCGGGGCUCCAUGAUCAUCAUCGUCACCGGCACGACACCAUGAUCUCCAUCAUCAUGAUCUCCAUCAUCGUGUCUUCAUGAAGUUGUCACGCCAACGACUACUUCUACUUCUAUGACUAACGCGUUUAGCAAUAAAGUAAAGUAGUUUACAUGGCAUUCUUCAAUGACACGCAGGUCAUACAAUAAAUAAAGACAACUCCUAUGGCUCCUGCCGGUUGUCAUACUCAUCGACAUGCAAGUCGUGAAUCCUAUUACAAGAACAUGAUCAAUCUCAUACAUCACAUAUCAUUCAUCACAUUCUUCUUGGCCAUAUCACAUCACAUAGCAUACCCUGCAAAAACAAGUUAGACGUCCUCUAAUUGUUGUUGCAUGUUUUACGUGGCUGCUAUGGGUUUCUAGGAAGAACGUUUCUUACCUACGCAAGACCACAACGUGAUAUGCCAAUUGCUAUUUACCCUUCAUAAGGACCCUUUUCAUCGAAUCCGUUCCGACUAAAGUGGGAGAGACUGGCACCCGCUAGCCACCUUAUGCACCAAGUGCAUGUCAAUCGGUGGAACCUGUCUCACGUAAGAGUACGUGUAAGGUCGGUCCGGGCCGCUUCAUCCCACAAUACCGUCGAAACAAGAUUGGACUAGUAACGGUAAGCAUAUUGAACAACAUCAACGCCCACAACUACUUUGUGUUCUACUCGUGCAAAGAAUCUACGCAAUAGACCUAGCUCAUCAUGCCACUGUUGGGGAACGUAGCAGAAAUUCAAAAUUUUCCUAAGUGUCACCAAGAUCUAUCUAUGGAGAGACCAGCAACGAGUAGAAAGAGAAUGCAUCUACAUACCCUUGUAGAUCGCUAAGCGGAAGCAUUCAAGUGAACGGGGUUGAUGGAGUCGUACUCGUCGUGAUUCAAAUCACCGAUGAUCAAGUGCCGAACGCACGGCACCACCGCGUUCAACACACAUACAGCUCGGUGACGUCUCCCAAGCCUUGAUCCAGCAAGGAGAGAGGGAGAGGUUGAGGAAGACUCCAUCCAGCAGCAGCACAACGGCGUGGUGGUGGUGGAGGAGCGUGGCAAUCCUGCAGGGCUUCGCCAAGCACCGCGGGAGAGGAGGAGUACUUGUGAGAGGGGGAGGGCUGCGCCAGAACUUCAUCUGUAGCUCCCAUGCGCCUCCCCACUAUAUAUAGGGGUGGAGGGGCUGGUUUCUUGCCCUCCAAGUCCAUUGGGGCGUUGGCCAAGAUGGGAGGAAAGAAAUCUCAUUAUUUCCUUCCCCACCGAUUGUUAUCCCCCCUUUUUAGGGAUCUUGAUCUUAUCCCUUCGGGAUAUGAUCUUAUUCCUUCUAAGGGGGGAUCUUGGUGCGCCUUGACCAGGGGUGUGGGGCCUUGCCCCCACUACCCACGUCCAUGUGGGUCCCCCCAUGCAGGUGGGCCCCACUCCAGAACCUUCUAGAACCUUCCCGGUACAAUACCGAAAAAUCCCGAACAUUUUCCGGUGGCCAAAAUAGGACUUCCCAUAUAUAAAUCUUUACCUCCGGACCAUUCCGGAACUCCUCGUGACGUCCGGGAUCUCAUCCGGGACUCCGAACAACAUUCGGUAACCACAUACAAACUUCCUUUAUAACCCUAGCGUCAUCGAACCUUAAGUGUGUAGACCCUACGGGUUCGGGAGACAUGUAGACAUGACCGAGACGUUCUCCGGUCAAUAACCAACAGCGGGAUCUGGAUACCCAUGAUGGCUCCCACAUGUUCCACGAUGAUCUCAUCGGAUGAACCACGAUGUCAAGGACUUAAUCAAUCCCGUAUUCAAUUCCCUUUGUCUAUCGGUAUGUUACUUGCCCGAGAUUCGAUCAUCGGUAUCCAAUACCUUGUUCAAUCUCGUUACUGGCAAGUUACUUUACUCGUUCCGUAACACAUCAUCCCGUGAUCAACUCCUUGGUCACAUUGCGCAUAUGAUGAUGUCCUACCGAGUGGGCCCAGAGAUACCUCUCCGUUUACACGGAGUGACAAAUCCCAGUCUCGAUCCGCAUAAAACAAUAGAUACUUUCGGAGAUACCUGUAGUGCACCUUUAUAGUCACCCAGUUACGUUGUGACGUUUGAUACACCCAAAGCACUCCUACGGUAUCCAGGAGUUACACGCUCUCAUGGUCGAAGGAAGAGAUACUUGACAUUGGCAAAGCUCUAGCAAAUGAACUACACGAUCUUUUGUGCUAGUCUUAGGAUUGGGUCUUGUCCAUCACAUCAUUCUCCUAAUGAUGUGAUCCCGUUAUCAACGACAUCCAAUGUCCAUAGCCAGGAAACCAUGACUAUCUGUUGAUCACAACGAGCUAGUCAACUAGAGGCUCACUAGGGACAUAUUGUGGUCUAUGUAUUCACACGUGUAUUACGAUUUCCGGAUAAUACAGUUAUAGCAUGAAUAAAAGACAAUUAUCAUGAACAAGGAAAUAUAAUAAUAAUACUAUUAUUAUUGCCUCUAGGGCAUAUUUCCAACAAGAACUUCCAGAAAAUGAAGAAGAGGCCCGGUAGAUCGUCCGACGGUCUAAAGCAUUUACCGUGAUAAAAGGUCAGUUGUUCAAAGUAAGUGUAACUGGGGUCUGCCAGAAGUGCAUCAUGCCAGAAGAAGGCCGAAUGAUCCUCAACGAUAUUCACUUGGGGACCUGUGGUCACCACGCGUCCUCUCGGACCAUUGUGGCCAAAGCAUACCGAGACGGGUUUUACUGGCCACGUGCCAACGAGAUGGCAAAGGAAAUAGUGGACAAGUGUGAAGGUUGUCAGUUUUACUCCAACAUGUCCCACAAACCGGCAUCAGCUCUGAAGACUAUUCCACUCGUCUGGCAUUUUGCUGUUUGGGGAUUGGACAUGGUUGGACCUCUGAGGGCCGGCAGGAGCGGACUUACACAUGUGCUAGUAGCAGUCGACAAGUUUACCAAGUGGAUCGAAGCCAAGCCCAUUAAAAACCUUGAAGCAAGUACUGCUGUGAGUUUCAUCAGAGAAUUGAUAUUCAGAUAUGGUGUACAAUGCAGCAUCAUCACUGACAAUGGAUCGAACUUCGACUCUAAUGAAUUCAGGGCCUUUUGCGCUUCCCAACGCACGAGGGUCGAUUACGCUUCAGUCGCCCAUCCUCAGUCGAAUGGGCAGGCUGAGAGAGCGAAUGGAUUGAUCCUGAAAGGACUGAAGCCCCGAUUGAUGCGUGACCUCAAGCAUGCAGCAGGAGCUUGGGUGGAUGAACUCCCGUCAGAGCUUUGGGGAGUGAGGACAACUCCCAAUCGGUCGACUGGACGGACUCCAUUCUUCCUAGUCUACGGGGCCGAAGCCAUACUGCCGAGUGAUUUUCUCCACAAUGCUCCCCAAGUCGAACUCUUCUCAGAGGAGGAAGCAGAGCAAGCUCGGCAAGAUGCAGUCGACCUCUUGGAGGAAGAAAGAGAGAUGGCCCUGAUCCGGUCGACCAUUUAUCAACAAGACUUGCGACGAUUCCAUGCCAGGAACAUAAGAGGUCGAGCGUUCCAAGAAGAGGACUUGGUUCUCCAAGUGGACCAGCAGAAGCCACACAAGCUCGCCCCUGCCUGGGAAGGCCCUUUCGUCAUCACCAAGGUGCUCCACGACGGAGCUUAUCGUCUCUUCAACGUCGAGCACAACAAAGAUGAACCGCGCGCCUGGAACGCGAAACUGUUCCGCCCUUUUUACUCUUAAGUAUUUAGUUGAUGAGAUGUAAUAAGAAGCACCUCCUAGUUUGGUUAUCAAAAGACAUAAUUUUACAGCUUUCCGAAUGAUUGUUGUCUAUUUCUUUCGUUUGUAUCGCCUUAGCUGCGAAUCUGUUCCGCCCAAGAUGAAGUGUUAAAAAUCCUACUGAGUGGUGAGUCUGCCUCUCACUCGGGGGCUUAGCUGCAGUCCACUACUCGCCUAAGUGAUAAAAAUCCCACCGACUAGUGAGUCUGCCUCUCACCAGGGGGCUUUGCUGUAGUCCAGUACUCGCCUAAGUGAUAAAAAUCCCACCGAGUGGCGAGUCUGCCUCUAACUCGGGGGCUUAGAUGCAGUCCAGUAAUCGCCUAAGUGAUAAAAAUCCCACCGAGUGGUGAGUCUGCCUCUCACUCGGGGGCUUAGCUGCAGUCCAGUACUCGCCNNNNNNNNNNNNNNNNNNNNNNNNNNNNNNNNNNNNNNNNNNNNNNNNNNNNNNNNNNNNNNNNNNNNNNNNNNNNNNNNNNNNNNNNNNNNNNNNNNNNNNNNNNNNNNNNNNNNNNNNNNNNNNNNNNNNNNNNNNNNNNNNNNNNNNNNNNNNNNNNNNNNNNNNNNNNNNNNNNNNNNNNNNNNNNNNNNNNNNNNNNNNNNNNNNNNNNNNNNNNNNNNNNNNNNNNNNNNNNNNNNNNNNNNNNNNNNNNNNNNNNNNNNNNNNNNNNNNNNNNNNNNNNNNNNNNNNNNNNNNNNNNNNNNNNNNNNNNNNNNNNNNNNNNNNNNNNNNNNNNNNNNNNNNNNNNNNNNNNNNNNNNNNNNNNNNNNNNNNNNNNNNNNNNNNNNNNNNNNNNNNNNNNNNNNNNNNNNNNNNNNNNNNNNNNNNNNNNNNNNNNNNNNNNNNNNNNNNNNNNNNNNNNNNNNNNNNNNNNNNNNNNNNNNNNNNNNNNNNNNNNNNNNNNNNNNNNNNNNNNNNNNNNNNNNNNNNNNNNNNNNNNNNNNNNNNNNNNNNNNNNNNNNNNNNNNNNNNNNNNNNNNNNNNNNNNNNNNNNNNNNNNNNNNNNNNNNNNNNNNNNNNNNNNNNNNNNNNNNNNNNNNNNNNNNNNNNNNNNNNNNNNNNNNNNNNNNNNNNNNNNNNNNNNNNNNNNNNNNNNNNNNNNNNNNNNNNNNNNNNNNNNNNNNNNNNNNNNNNNNNNNNNNNNNNNNNNNNNNNNNNNNNNNNNNNNNNNNNNNNNNNNNNNNNNNNNNNNNNNNNNNNNNNNNNNNNNNNNNNNNNNNNNNNNNNNNNNNNNNNNNNNNNNNNNNNNNNNNNNNNNNNNNNNNNNNNNNNNNNNNNNNNNNNNNNNNNNNNNNNNNNNNNNNNNNNNNNNNNNNNNNNNNNNNNNNNNNNNNNNNNNNNNNNNNNNNNNNNNNNNNNNNNNNNAGUACUCGCCUAACUUUGAGAAAUCCUACCGAGUGGUGAGCAGCCCUCCCACUCGGAGGCUUAGGUGCAGACCAGUACUCGCCUAAAUUUGAGAAAUCCUACCGAGUGGUGAGCAGCCCUCCCACUCGGAGGCUUAUCUGUAGACCAGUACUCGCCUAAGUUUGAGAAAUCCUACCAAGUGGUGAGCAGCCCUCCCACUCAGAGGCUUAGCUGCAGUGCAGUACCCGCCUAAGUUUGAGAAAUCCUACCGAGUGGUGAACAGCCCUCCCACUCGAAGGCUUAGGUGCAGUCCCGUACUCGCCUAAGUUUGAAAAUUUCUACCGAGUGGUGAGCAGUCCUCCCACUCGGGGACCUAGCUGCAGUCCGAUACUAGCCUAAGUCCGAAAAAAACCCACCGAGUGGUGAGCAGGGUUGUAGGUCGACCACGACGCCAUCACCCCCCCAGGCUGCAUUGUCAAGAAGAAGGACGAGAUUGUGUGCACCCGUCCAACGGUUGGCCCCUUGCCAAUGACAGGAACGUCAAGACCAUUGCUGAGUACCUUGCUGAUGAGCUGAUCAAUGCUACCCAAGGCUCGUCCAACUGUUUGACUGUUGUUCCUUCUUUAGCACCUGCAUCAAACAAAGAGAGAUCGAUCCAAGAGAAGAACGGAUUCCACUCGGAGAUAAAUCAAUAUAUUCAAAGAUAAAUCCUGAGGUUCCUAACCGCAGAUUAAAAGGGAUCGGGCUUCAGGCCCGAAGGAGUUUUAACGAUUACAAAAUCACUCGGCAUUCCGAGGAAAAUAAAAGUGAGGCAUAAUGUUUUUUCCGCCACUCGACGGGAGAAGGGCUAGACGGAUCACAGAAGCUGUCAAGAUCGAUGCUGUCGGCAAUGCGGGUAGCUGCUUCGAGUAAGGUGUCCAUGAAGUCCUGGAAAGAGUGCUUCUUAGUAUUCGCUACCUUGAGGGCCGCCAACUUCUCUUCUUUAGCCUCCUUGCAGUGCACACGAACCAAUGACAAGGCGACGUCGGCCCCACAGUGGGCAGAGGACUUCUUCCACUCUUGCACUCGGUCAGGGAUUUGGUUGACUCGAGUCAUCAGCGACUCGAGACUUUGAGAGAGUUCUACCUGAGCCCAGAGUUUGGCAUCCACUCUGGUUAUUGCAGCCUUUCGGCGAGCCAGAUAGUCGACAGCGCCGUCCAAACGUGAUUCCAAUUGAAGCAAGUUCAUCGCAACUUCAUCUUUCACGGGACAAUUGAUGGGGUUGAGACCUGUCUCGACCCGUCCAGUUUCAGCUUCAAAGUCCUAGCAAAGUUCUGCUCCAUUGCAAAACACAAUGAGUCGAUGGUAUUGCAAAUUAUAGUCGACGACAGUUAUUUAACUGAACAAGCCAUACCUUCAAGAUUGAAGACAAGCUUUGCCGCAAGUUGUUCCAAAUAGGACUCCAGCUUGCCCAUCUUGGCUCUAAGGCCGUCGACUUCAGUGAUCAGGAUCUCAUUGUCCUUCCUCAGUUGCUCGACUUCCCGAUUGGCGUCCGAGAUGGCCACGUUCAACUUUGCAUUCUCAUCCUCCAACUUGCCGACUUAAGCCAGCUUCUGGUCCGCAAGCGUCGUCUUCUCACAAGCUUCUUUUUUAGUAGCAGCAAGGUCCAUGUCCUUCUUCUCCAACGCCUCCUUCAUUUUCUCUAAAGAAACAACACUCUUCAGACGAGCCUGAAGUUGGCAGUUUUCACUACGCACAUCUGCUUAUGUGAAGUCACUCGGUUCAAAGAGACUGAAUGAAAAGAAGUGGAAAGUGCAAACUACUAAGCAGACAAAGCGGUCGGAUGGUUACCUCCCAUGAUGGCCGUCUCUUGUUGAGCAGUCUAGAGAUUCUUCUUGGCGAGUUCAAGGUCAAAUUCAACGCUGAUAUGCUUCUUCUUUAACUUGGAAAGACGAGCUCCAAGAUUACAAGACCUCUGCCGUCAGCAAGAGUGAUAUGUCAGUCAACAGAAAUAAAGGAUACCGACAGAGGAAAGUUACUCUAAGACUACUGCCGAAUCAAAAUAUUCAGCAAGUAGUCUCGGGGACUACACCCAGUGGGUGCACUUAGCGUUCCCCCACUGGUUAAGAUCAAUUCUCAGCAGGGUCUGCCCAGCGUGAGUUCAAAAAAAAAGAUACAUUCUAAGACCUCAGUCGACUGCUGGGUGCACUUAGCGUGCCCCCACUGGUUAAGAUCAAUUCUCAGCAGGGUCUGCCCAGCGUGAGUUCAAAAAAAAAAGAUACAUUCUAAGACCUCAGUCGACUGCCAGCAGUCGACCGUGGUCUCCGGGACUACACCCAGUGGGUGCACUCCGCGUGCCCCCACUAGUUCAGAAAGUCUACAAAGAUUCAACUCAAGUCGAGUGGCAUGGAAAAUUUUCCAGGCUCUAAGCAACAAAACACCCCAGUGGGUGAUCCGAUAUAAGACAACAUUCGAAAAGUCAGUCGGAGUCUUGCUGACCUGAACAUUGGCCUAAAGGGCAGUAUUGGCAUUGUAGGCCACCUGGCUAGCCUCGUGAACCACCUUCACCUGCUCCAUGACAAGGUUCACCUGGCGGAGAGCUUCCCUAGCUGCACUCGGCGAGUCAUCCGGAGUCUGAUACGCAGAAAAAAGUGAUGGUUGUAGAGCAGCUUGAGCAGUUGUUGAGUCAGAGGCGUGAAGUUGCACUGGAGCAGCAGGAGUCGGAGCAGUCGAGCCCGCCGGAUGAUCAGUCGUCAGCGGGCUGGCGAAUCUGAUGCUAGUUCGAACAGGCUCUCCGGAGCGUUCGACCAUCGCCUCGAGCGCCGGUGUCGACUGAGGGACUUGAAAUUCAAGCCUCCUCCUGCCAGAGCUUCCACUCCUCUUCCUCCUCUCCUGUAGAGGUGCCUCUUCUUCGUCAUCAGGGAGCACAACAACUUCUUGCAGAACUACAGAAAGAGAGAAAUGUCAGAAACUCUAUCGAUCGGUGGUCUACACAACUCAACGAAGCUUGGCCGAUUAGACUUACCGACUCGUGAGGUGGCCUCUUCGUCUCCUGGUGCCUUGUCAAUGUCCAUGUCAGUGGCAGCAGAGGUGGGGAUGGAAACACAAAUGAAUUGGUUGGUCAUAACAAGAAAAUCUUCAGUCGACCUAUGAAAACGCAAGCGAGAUACUCACCCCGAAGCAACAGGGACGUCCAUCUUGAUCCGUGGCAAUGUCUUCCGAGCCUUGGGAGGAGCAACUUUAGGCUGCUUGGCCACCUUCUCCGUCGGCUCCGGAGUCGACAUUCGAGUGCGCUUCUGAGUAGUGGCACUCGGAGCCAUGCUUUUCCCAUGCCCGCCAGACUGAUCAUGCUGCUGUUUGGAUCGACGUUCAGAGCGCGGCGGCGAGUAGACCUCUUCCUCCUCGUCCGACUCGUCGCUCUCCUCCUCCUCCUCUUCUCCCGGAGACUCCCACUUGCCACUCUCCUCCACACUGUCCUCCCCCUCCUGGUCCUGCGCCAAAGCCUAUUCACCGUUGGGCAUUGAAUGCAUCUCAGUGAAUACCUGCAAAGCAAAUCGAUCGAGUAAGAGUCAGCCAACAUCAAGUACAGUCAGAACGCGAGCGGGAAACAGUCGGAACAAUGAGUGUACCUUGUCGGGCGGGUUGUCAUCGCCGAAAGGGGUGACUCGCUUGGAUCCUCUAGGGUUGUCUUGGUUGCCUGUAAUACCCUACAGCCACAAAGCUAUAGUUUCGGGCGGCACUUCUUCUGGAUGGACCCGAGCGGUGUCAUCUGGUCCAGAAUACAAUCACAUCGGGUGAUCGCGAGCCCGGAGAGGCUGGAUGUGCCGACUGAGGAACAGUUCCAGCAAGUCUAGGCCAGUAACGCCAUCAUUGAUGAGCUGGACCACUCGGUCCACCAACAUCCUCGUCUCCACGGUCUCAGCAACGGUUACUUUCAGUGGAGCAGGAAUCUGAACACGGUCGAACGAGAAGAGAGGAUGACCGGUCGACUGACCUGGAGCCGCGAUGUCCUGGCAGUAGAACCAGGACGACUGCCAACCCCUAACAGAUUCAGGAAGAGUCAUAGCGGGGAAGGCACUCGUAUUCCACUUUUGGAUACCUAAACCCCCGCACAUCUGGAUGAUGUGGGUUUUCGAGUCACCCGACUUCGCCUUUUUUACCGACUGGGAACGAAUGGUGAAGAUGUGUUUGAAGAGACCCCAGUGCGGUCGACACCCUAAGAAGUUCUCGCACAUCAAUACAAAUGCAGCUAGGUACGUGAUGGUGUCGGGAGAAAAGUGGUGGAGCUGAGUACCAAAGAAGUUCAAAAAUCCCCAGAAGGAAGGGUGCGGAGGGAGCGAGAAACCCAGGUCGACGUGACUAGCAAGCAGAACACACUCACCCGGUCGAGGUUGUGGUUCUGUCUCCUCCUUCGGCAGCCUCGCCGCUCCCUUGACAAUCAGCCUGGACUCCUCCAGUUCGGGCAGAUACUCCUGCUAUACCACAGACUGUAUCCAAUCGCCCUGGAUCCAGCCCGGCGGCAGCCCCGCACGCAACGACGAUCCUUGGCUCUACUUCUUUCCCUUCGCCGCCCCCGUCGCCUACUUAGCACGCUCUAGCGCCGCCGUCUUGUCCUUCACCAUGGCGGGUGAGGGAGUCCUGGAUUAGGGGGUGUCCGGAUAGCCGGACUACCAUCAUCAGCCAAACUAUCAUCAACCGGACUAUCAUCAUCGACCGGACUCCAAGACUAUGAAGAUACAAGAUUGAAGACUUCGUCCCGUGUCCGGAAGGGACUUUCCUUGGCGUGGAAGGCAAGCUCGGCGAUAUGGAUACGUAGAUCUCCUACCAUUGUAACCGACUCUAUGUAACCCUAGCCCUCUCCGGUGUCUAUAUAAACCGGAUGGCUCUAGUCCGUAGGACCGAACAACAACAACCAUUACAAUCAUACCAUAGGCUAGCUUCUAGGGUUUAGCCUCCUUGAUCUCGUGGUAGAUCCACUCUUGUAAACAUCCACGAUAUCAAUAUCAAUCAAGCAGGACGUAGGGUUUUGCCUCCAUCAAGAGGGCCCGAACCUGGGUAAAACAUCGUGUCCCUUGUCUCCUGUUACCAUCCGCCUAGACGCACAGUUCGGGACCCCCUACCCGAGAUCCGCCGGUUUUGACACCGACAUUGGUGCUUUCAUUGAGAGUUCCUCUGUGUCGUCACCGAUAGGCUUGAUGGCCUCUUCAAUCGACAACGAUGCAGUCCUGGGUGAAACUUUUCUCCCCGGACAGAUCUUUGUUUUCGGCAGCUUCGCACUGCGGGCCAACUCACUUGGCCAUCUGGAGCAGAUCGAAAGCUACGCCCCUGGCCGUUAGGUCAGGUUUGGAAGCCUGAACUUCACGGCCGAUAUCCGCGGGGACUUGAUCUUCGAUGGAUCUGAGCCACAGCCGAGCGUGCCGCGCUGUCACGAUGGGCACGACCUAACUCUGCCGCCGGACAGCACCUUGGAGGCCGCACACGAAUCCGCUCCGACCCAUAGUCCGGAGCCGAUCGCUCAGAUUGAGGACGGAUGGCUGGACACCGCCUCGGGAGCUGCAACUUCUACGGCGAUGGAGCCGAACACUUACCUUGUCCCGCAUAAAGCUCAUGACUCCGAGGUGCCCGACUCUCCGCCGGACUCCGAACCUCCUGCGCCCCUGCCAGUCGAAUCCGACUGGGCGCCGAUCAUGAAAUUCACCGCUGCGGGCAUCUUUCAGCACUCACCCUUCGGCGAUAUCUUAAAUUCGCUGAAGCAUCUCUCGCUAUCUGGAGAACCCUGGCCGAACUACGGCCAGGAUGGUUGGGACGCGGACGACGAAGAAAUUCAGAGACCAGAAGACCUUCUCCGUUGAGCUCCCCUCCUCGGCUCGGUAGAAUGCGGCGGCAUUAGACACGCUGCAAGGCAGAUCUGCAAACGCCCCUGGAGAGCUCCGAAUUUGGGUCAGUAACACGUAAUUUACAUUCACAUGCUUGCAUUGCAUGAAAAAUGCCUUACCCGCCGCUAUCUUCCUCACCAACUCAAUCUCCUGAAGGGACUUAUGGGCAUCGGCCUUGGCAGUUUUGGCACUUUCGAGAGCCGAGGCAAGCUUGGACUCUCGAGUCUUUGAGUCACCCUCCAAACUCUCAUGCUUUUCCAUCAGAGCCUGGAGCUCUUGCCGAACCACCGCCACCCGCGCCUCCUGCUUUUCUCGCUCUGCCCGUUCUGCGGCCGCAUUGCGUUUGGCCGCGGACACGGCCUCCUUCAGGGUCGCCACCUUGUUCGUGGCCCCUGCAGUACCCAUGUUAUCCUUGUUAUUUUUUGUUGCAACCUAAAUCCUUUUCUGUAAGUCACAAGUUCAAAGUGGUGUUACUCACCUUCUUUGUCCUGGAGCUGGUUCUUGGCGCGGCCGAGCUCUUGCUCGGACCGCUCGAGCUCCUGCUUCAAAGCACCGACCUCCGCAGCCAGUGCGGCAGAGGUCAGCAGCGCAGCCUGCAACCCAUAUUGACAUAAUUUUUUAGCAACCCUGCGUAUAUUUUUUUUUCAGAUCCUCAGUCCGGCUUUUCUAUCCGAACACCGAACCGAGCAUCAGGGGAUACUGUCUAUGCGGUAUUACAUUGCAUAUUUUUAACUUCUUACCUCAAAGCCUGAUAGAAGGCUACUGCAGGCUUCGGUCACCCCGCUCUUGGCAAGCUGUACCUUCUGAAUCACCGCACUCAUAAUAGUGCGGUGUUCUUCCUCGAUGGAAGCGCUCUGCAGCGCCUCCAACAAAUUGUCCGGAGCCUCCAGUUGGACGGAAGCUGCCAGCGUCACGGUCUUGCCCUUCGUGCGAAGGGGCCGCCGGCCGGACUCCGGAACCACUGCGGGUUCUGAUGUGGAGUCCGGCGCAAAGCCCGGGAGGCCGCCUUGUGGCACCUUCGGAGCCUCCCCCUGAUGGGUCCAUUCUUGGGAUCCCACCUCGGCGUCCUCGGUGUCGCGAGGGGUGGAGGCGGUCGGGAUGGAGUCUACAUUCGACGGAGCCAACGACCCGCUCGAUGAAGCGGGGAGAUCAUCAUUGGCCGGACUACAGGCAGCAUGCGGCAUCAGAAUGACAUUAUGUGACGCAGAAAAAGAAAUUAUAAAUCAUUCAGGAAUCCGGAUACUUACGAUCUCGCCGGAGGCCUGGCCCUUGAAGGCCAUUCUUCCUCGCCAACAUUGAUGUUGGCGGAGCUGUCCGGGGGAAUAGACCUUCCCCUCUUGGACCCUUCGGCCUCCCCUGUUGGGGAAGCCUUCCUCUUCCUCUCUCCCUCCUCUGGGAGAGAGUCCUCUUUCUCCUCCUCAUUUUCGGGGGAGGAGUCCGCCCCGGAGUCAUCGGACACCUGAAAACGGGAACUCUUUCGAGCACCCGUGGCCUCCUUCUUGGCCUUCUUCUCCGGCACCACGUGCGGUGCCGGAACCAGCAGCCUCGCUAGAUGGGCGUCUACUGGGUUUUCUGGCAUAGGAGCCAGGCAGAUAAUCUGCUCCGCCUUCCUCAUCCAGUCCUGUCAAAGGAAAAGGGGAAAUUAAAACCCGCAUAGAGUCAAACUAUGAAAAGCAAGUGUCCCGUAAAGGGGUAGAAUCACUUACCUCGUCGGCUUGGCGCUGCAAGCGAAAUCCGCGAUCUUCAGUCGCGGAUGCGGGGGCUUCGGCGCCCUUAAACAACACCCUCCAGGCGCCUUCAUACAUCGUGUCGAAGAGCCCACUCAGUGCCUGGUGCUAUUCCGGAUUGAACUCCCACAGAUUGAAUGCCCGCUCCUGGCAUGGGAGAAUCCGGCGGACGAGCAUGACUUGGACCAUGUUAACCGGCCUAAGCUUCUUCACCGGCUUCUGGAAAUAGGCUUGGAGUCCCGUCAGCUCCUCCGAACUACCCCACAUCAAGCCCUUCUCUUUCCAGGAGGUGAGCUGCAUGGGGAUACCAGAUCUGAACUCGGGGGCCGCCGCCCACGUAGGGUUGCGCGGCUCGGUGAUAUAGAACCACCCCGAUUGCCACCCCUUGACGGAUUCCACGAAGGCCCCUUCGAACCAAAGGACGUUGGGCAUCUUGCCCAACAUGGCGCCUCCGCACUCCGCUUGAGUGCCCUUCACUACCUUCGGCUUGACAUUGAAGGUCUUGAGCCACAAGCCGAAGUGGGGCUGGAUGCAGAGGAAGGCCUCGCACACGACGAUAAACACCGAGAUGUUGAGGAUGAAGUUCGGCGCCAGAUCAUGGAAAUCCAGGCCGUAGUAGAACAUGAGCCCCCGGACAAAGGGGUGAAGUGGAAAGCCCAGUCCGCGGAGGAAGUGGGGAAGAAAAACGACCCUCUCAUGGGGCCUGGGGGUGGGGAUGAGCUGCCCCUCGUCGGGCAUCCGGUGCGCAAUGUCGCUGGACAGGUAGCCGGCACUGCGCAGUCUUUCGAUGUGCUCCUCCGUAACGGAGGAGGUCAUCCACUUGCCUCCCGCUCCAGACAUGACUGGGGAAGGUUGAGACGAGAUGUGCGGGCUUGGGCGCUGGAGCUCGAGUGCACGGAGAUGGAUAAGCAAAGGAGGAAGAAGGCGUAGGUGAAAAGGUGAAUCCUUAUCCCUUAUAUGGGUGGGCGAAGUCUACGCGUCCCCCACCGGCCUGGUAAAACUCGCUUAUCCCCCAAGCGUCACCAUCAAUGGCGCGGUUGGGUUACCCACGCCCGUAUUGAUGAGAAUCCCGGAUUAACAGGGAACACGAUCUCUGCUUCGACAAGACGUGCCAAGGAAACCGCUUCGCUAAAUGCGCUGAGGUGGUAGAGUAAAAAACGAUUCAAGUAAUGGCUUGGUAGUGGCGUGACGUCAUGCCGCAAAAAACGUUAGCAGAUUGAACUUGUAUAUAUAUUAUUCUCUCUACGGUGGAAUGUGGAAUUUAUUUUGCAGAGCCGGACACUAUCUUGGUGUUCACAAUCUUCUAUCAUUCAGAGGAGGAACCCGCCUUGCAAUGCCAAGCAAUAUACGCGCUGGACUUAUCGUCAUUGAAGCCUGGUUCAGGGGCUACUGAGGGAGUCCUGGAUUAGGGGGUGUCCGGAUAGCCGGACUACCAUCAUCAGCCGAACUAUCAUCGGCCGGACUAUCAUCAUCGACCGGACUCCAAGACUAUGAAGAUACAAGAUUGAAGACUUCGUCCCUUGUCCGGAUGGGACUUUCCUUGGCGUGGAAGGCAAGCUUGGCGAUAUGGAUACGUAGAUCUCCUACCAUUGUAACCGACUCUAUGUAACCCUAGCCCUCUCCGGUGUCUAUAUAAACCGGAUGGCUCUAGUCCGUAGGACCGAACAACAACAACCAUUACAAUCAUACCAUAGGCUAUCUUCUAGGGUUUAGCCUCCUUGAUCUCGUGGUAGAUCCACUCUUGUAAACAUCCACAAUAUCAAUAUCAAUCAAGCAAGACGUAGGGUUUUACCUCCAUCAAGAGGGCCCGAACCUGGGUAAAACAUCGUGUCCCUUGUCUCAUGUUACCAUCCGCCUAGACGCACAGUUCGGGACCCCCUACCGAGAUCCGCCGGUUUUGACACCGACGGCGGGGGAGCAGCGGCGUCGAGAGCGAAGGCGCUGGACGCGGUGGAGAAGCGGAGCAGAAAGAAGGACAAGCAGGCGUGCACAGUGCAAGCGCCUCAGCUCCUUCACCUUAUAAAGGGUCACUUUUGAGUGACUGAUGCGUGGGACCGGGCAAUCUCAUCAAAUCCCGCAACAGUUGCAUGCAGCAUACGUGGCGAAAAAGGCGGCGCAGUAAUCGAGGCAUUGCUACUUAUCCGGACCGCCUGUUUCGGCGCUCUCCGGCCCGCGCACUUCCCCGAAAUUUCGUAUCCCACGAAAUCCGGGAUACACCGCACACAAUCGCGCCCAAGAUUUCAGACUCUGACACAGCACAUGACGCAUGCAGUUACCGUUGCAGUCGACAGCUCUCUGAAUGGAUCAAGGCAACUGAGUUGACAUCGAAGUACCAACGCGGGCGUUCAGUCUUGCAGGAAACACUCGCGAAGGCACAAAGCCCAGAACAUGUUCAACUUUGACCUACUUUCCACUCACACCUUAAUCCAUUCAGGGGCUACUGACGAGGAUACAGACCUGGGGUAGGGUCAUAGGCCUGACCUAUACGUCCUACCCGAGGUCACUACCAUAGAAGAUUAAAAGACCAAGAGUCAACAGGAGAGCACCGGUCGAGUGCAUCGGGUGCAAUCCACUCGACGGCCAUAUCACUCGGUGGUCUCCUCCCUACCGUCACUCGACCAUAUGAAGAGUCACUCGACUUGUCACAGACCAGGAGUCGGAGGAGAACGCAACGGCCGGAUGUUCUCCCCUUAGUUUUUAUAAGCAUUAAGAGUACUUAAGGCUGGCGUUACCAGUAACGCCCCUUACUUUAUGUACAUUAAGACCCUUGUAAUGGAGGCGGGAGGGGGUCCUGGCACACCCUAUAUAAGCCACCCCCCUCCUCUGGGACAAGGGUUUGCACCCCCUGUAAUAUCACACACAUAAUCCAAUCGACCGCCUCCGAGCACCGAGACGUAAGGCUGUAACUUCCAUUAUGAAGGGCCUGAACUCGUAAACCUCGUGUGUACACCUUCACCAUAGCUGAGAUCUUGCCUCUCCAUACCUACCCCCCUUUCUACUGUUAGUCUUAGGACCACGACAAGGGGUCAUUAGGGCAAGAAUUAUUAAGGUCUUUGAAAUCGACGCACAUGCGCCAGGAUUUAUCCUUCUUAGGUACCAUGACCAGGUUUGCUAGCCAGUCCGGAUGUUUGAUCUCUCUUAUAAACUCGGCUUCGAGUAGCUUGGCUAGCUCCUCCCCCAUGGCCCGUCGUUUGGGUUCAGAGAAUCGACGCAGAGAUUGCUUGACUGGUUUGUAUCCUUUCAGUAUAUUGAGACUAUGCUCAGCCAGUCUCCGUGAGAUACCUAGCAUAUCCGAAGGGUGCCAGGAAAAAAUGUCCCAGUUCUCACGCCGGAAUGCGCAUAAUGCAGGUUCCGCCGUCGGAUCCAGCUAUGCCCCAAUGGAAGUUGUUUUCUUGGGGUCCGUCGGGUGAACUUGAAAUUUGACUAUUUCAUCUGCUGGCUUGAAGGAAGUAGAUUUGGGUCUAUUAUCGAAGAUUACAUCGUCCCUAUCGACUGUAGAACGUAGAGUGGUCAAUUCUUCGGCCGUGAGGGCCUCGAAUAAUGCCUCAAGAGCUAGAGAGGCGGUUUUGUUUUCGGCGCGGAGUGCUAUGUCCGGAUCACUGGUGAUAGUGAUAAUUCUGUUGGACCCGGGCAUUUUGAGCUUCAUAUACCUGUAAUGGGUUAUGGCUUGGAAGCACAUGAAUGUGUCUCGCCCCAGCAAACCAUGAUACCCUCUGUUGAAUGGUGCCACAUGGAAGAGUAACUCAUUGGACCUGUAGUUCUCAGGCGUGCCGAAUACCACGUAGAGUUUGUUUUUUCCCGAGCAUCUGGCUUCCCGACUAGGGAUAAUACCGUGAAAGGUUGUGUUACUUUGCUCAAUGCGAAUCAUGUCCAUUUGCAUUUUAUUGAGCGUGUCCUCAUAGAUGAGGUUCAGUCUGGUACCGCCAUCCAUGAGCACUUUAGUGAGCCGAAAGCCGUCUACGAUUGGGUUUAGGACCAAAGCGGCUGGUGCCCGGACUGAGCGGGCUCUUGGUUCGUCAUCGGUGUUGAAAGUGAUCGCCGUGUCGUUCCAAGGAUUUGUUGCUGCCACAUGGCAGACUUUGGCAAGGUCGCGGAGCGCCCUUUUGUGCCGAUUAUUUGAAGAAAAGGUCUCAAAGACCGUGAAUACUUUAGGAUCAUUAUCCUCCAAAGAGUAGUUCUCUGGAGUGUUUUUAGGGAGGAUAUCCUCGCUGCUCUUGGCCACUUGCCGGAGAAUCCAACAUGCUCGAAGGGUAUGCGUUGGUUCAUUGUUCGACGCCAUGUGAAUUUUAUAGGGCUUGUCGAGACAUUCCUCGAGGACAGUUCUAUGCCCCGUAACGGGUAUAAUUUUCUUGUCCACGGGAUGAUGAUUGGGUUCUCCGCGGCGGUACACCUCUUUGCCUGUCCGGGGGAUGGCCUAAAGGCCUGCGGGUCCCAGCGGGCUGUCUAGGUUUUCCAUGUGCUUUCUAUUACACAGUACUUCCGUACUAUGUGUGCUAAAUCAGCAAAGUGCAGGAUGCGAAGUCGGUUGAGGGCAUUAAGGAUUCCCUCAUCGGUGCAAUUGUUGCAAAAUACCGAGAUCGCGUCGUCGUCACAGCAAUCCUUGAUCUUGUUUUUAACAAGUAGGAAUCUAGCCCCAAAGUGGUGGACUGUUUCCUGAGACUGCUGCUCCACAUACAUUAAGUCGCAUAUGUCUGGAGGACCGGAGUUUCAUGGGGAAUAUUGCUUGUGGUGGGUGGGCGGGUUCAAAUCCGAACCCUGACCCACUGAGAAGUCCGGAUUCUGAAGAAUUUCCAAGGUUAUAGGCCUAGGCUACAUAGCAUCCAGUGCGUUUUUAGGCUCAACGCAUGAUUCCAUGUUCGGAGGAAAAUAAGUGUCUUCCAGAACACGGGAGUCCGGUUCUUCGAGCUCGGAAACCCGAACAUACUUUGUUCUCAAUGUAGGAGAAGAGUUAUUGUCGGCUUGUUCCUCCAUGAUUGCCACAUGAUGGGUGAUUGGCGGAGAUCUGAUUUCUCUCUAAUCGGGUCUAAGCCCAAUCCAAUCAUAGUUGGUUGCGACCCCCAGGGCGGCGAUGCGAUCUAGCACUUCUUUUAAGGCCGAUACAUCUACCAGAUCCAUCUUGUCGGAGUGUUCAGGGCGGAUACGGAGGCAAUUUUGGCGAUGAUUUGGGCUGCUUCUGGCUUAAUGACCGGGCGAGCUCCCAGAAUGAAGCUGCCGAGCCGGAGGGUUUGCCCUAAAGCUAGGGCUUCUCCGCAAGUGAUGUUGUCCUUGAUGACAAGGCGAGCCAUCAAUCCUUCUGGCGACGGCACAGAGGAACUCUCAAUGAAAGCACCAAUGUCGGUGUCAAAUCCAGCAGAUCUCGGGUAGGGGGUCCCGAACUAUGCGUCUAAAGAUCGAAGGUAACUGGAGGGAGGGGACAUGAUGUUUAGCCAGGUUCGGGCCCUCUUAAGGGAGGUAAUACCCUACUUCCUGCUUGAUUGGCUUUGAUGAGUAUAUGGGUUACAAGAGCUGAUCUACCUCGAGAUCGUAAUGGUAAACCUUAGAUGCCUAGCAUGUAUGAUUGUGAUGGCCCCUAAGGACUAAACCCUCCGGUUUAUAUAGGCACCAGAGGGGACUAGGGUUGUACAAAGUCGGUUUUAUAGAGGAAGAAAACUACACAUACGGACGCCAAGCUAGCCGUUCACGCAAAGGAGAGUCCCAUCCGGACAUGGGAGGAGGCCUUCGGUUCUGCAUCUUCGCAGCCCGUCAGUCUGGCCCAUGUCACAUAGGCCGGCUCUCCAAUGACCCCAUAAUCCAGGACUCCCUCAGGAGGGGAAAAAGGUGGCUGCUUUGGUGGGUGCGCCUUAGCAUUAGUGCAGGGUGAAGGCCCGCGCUACUGUUAUGACACCUACCUAUAGCACGGGUCGUAUCCCAAUGCUGCUGCUAAGUGGGCCCACCAGCUGGCCUCGUGUAGCAGUUGUCACAGUGCCGGUUAUGUGCCCCACGCUAUAGGUAAUGGCCAUCGCAGUAGUGCGGGUCUUUACAUGGCGCUGCUACUAUGGCUCGACCCGGGUGGUACCAUGGGGCACACUUACACUAGUAGAUAAAGGGCCUCUUGUCCCGGUUCGUAAGGGCCAUUUCUCCAGGUUAUUGAACCAGGACUAAAGUGUCGGUACUAAUGCCCUAGACCUUUAGUCCCGGUUCUUACACAAACCGGGACAGAUGGGCCUACACGUGGCCGAUGCGGUGAGCCCAGGCAGGAGGCCCUUUGGUCCCGGUUGGUGGCACCAACGGGACCAAUAGGCAUCCACACUUCAGUAUUUCAGGGGCUGGAGUUUUUGUUUUUUAAGGGGGGGGGGUUAGGGGGUUUUGGGGGGUUAAAUUAGGUGUUUCAUAUAUUGUGUUAGCUAGCUAAUUAAUAGAGAGAGAAGUGACCUCUCUUAUCUCGUGCUUGGUCGAUGCUACGUACUAUAUGUAUAGAGAGGACUAGACACGGUAGCUAGUAAGAAAAUGAAGGAAAUAGAAGAUCGUCAUGAAAAUAUGCAUACAGAGAGAAGUGAUAUCGACCACCUCUCCUUCUCUCAGAGAUUGGUCGAACAACAAGUUCUCGUAUAUCUAUCUGACGCUACUGGCUACAUAUAUACAAUAUAAUUAUCUCUUACAAUAUAAUCUCCUAAUUCCAAAUGAACUUGGGGUCCACAUGGUAUUCUCCGUCUUUAGCGAUCACAUGGUCAAGAAAGAAUGCUGCCAAUUCCUCUUGAAUUGCUCGCAUACGAUCUGCUGGUAGGAGUUCAUCCCGCAUCCAAAAUAUCUAAUUUGAAGAAGGGGGUGAAUACAUAUAUAUGAAUAAAUGAAACUCACCACAAAUGAUGGUAAUAAAAUAAAAUUGUGAAUAUUAUUAUUUACGCACUUCAUAUUGUUUGUCAGAGUAGCCCCACUGACAGGUCAUGUGGCGAAUGGACUCACAAAUGUAGUAUCCACAGAAAUCAUUCCCGAGUUCCUGCCACAACCACGUUACAAAAAGUAGAGGACAAUCGAACUGAUAAGCAAGCAUGCUAAAUGGUAUUGAUGAAACUAGCACUUGAAUCACUAGGAGAUGCGCGGAACAUGCUAAUAUAGUACUUACUUUCGGGUGUUUAAAUUGCAACUUCUUCGGCAGUCAUGAAGUUUUUGAGGUGAAUUUUUUCCAAACCCUACCAGACAAAGAAAACAAUUACUUGAUAUCAGGAAAUGAACAAAGUUGCCGAUAUGGUGCAAUAAUGAUCUAUUUAACUUACUUCUCUAGAAUUUCAGUGAUGUAGCAUACUCCUUGGGAUCUUUUUGUUUCGAGUGCUCAAGCUUAAUCUCUAGGAGAAUAUAGUGGAAGCUGCAACUGCAUGCGCAUAACUCAUCAAUUACAUUACUAUAACCUCUACUAAUAAGGGAAACCGAAUAUCCAAAAGACAGUAACACUCACUUACAUUUGUAAGGAAAGAGUAUUAUAGCUUUGUUUUGAUUUAAUACAAACGAUUGUAGCAACUUGACCUCGGUAUCUCUGGCGUGAAAUUUAACCAUUUAUGCAUCUAUGAGAUUUGUGUUAACGAACCCAAUAUCACCGAUUUGUCUUUUCUUCAAUUCAGCGAUUUUCAACCUACAUAAUAUAGUGAGGAUAAUUAAAAAUACAUGCAAUGAAAGAGCUGACCUAUAUAUAGAGACUAAAUGACAGAAGUAGUCCUACUUAGAGGCAGUAGCAAGUGACUGUUAAUUUAUCGAUGGCCUUUUGAUUGAAAAACGUGAAGAACUCCUCAAAUGGAACAUUCAACAGUUCAAUUCCAACGAGGUCAUGCUGCUCUCUAACUCUCAGCGUCAAAAUAUUCCUCCCAUCAGACUCUCUGCAGGUUUUCGUGUACCAAUCAUGGAAUCUUCGCAUCAUCGUUGCUAGAGAUCUUUCAUCUUUGAUGAGAGACUUCCCGUACUCGUAUUUGUGUUCGUCCACCUCCAAUAAAUCGUAAUGUACAUCCUCGGGCAGGUAAUCUCCAAGAUUGUUAUAACCGGGCACCAUCCCCGGAUCUUUAGCAAUGAUAUCUCUAGACACCUGGAGCAUCGGGAACAAUUGGUUCGCUUGUUUGCCGAGCUGGGCAAUUUUUUCCCAGCUCGUCGUUCUGCUAACCUUUGAUCACCGACAGUACUUCCAAACCUCUUCGCUUCGAUAAAUGACUUUUUAAUAAUGAGCUCAUAGUUGUCUUUCGCCGAAGACUUUGGUGGUUUCUUCAGGGCAGCCAGAGUACGCUUCGCUUUUACCGGAUCUAUCUUCUCCUCCGGAGGUGGAUGUUUCUUUGCUUUCACCCCUUCAAAGAAGUUGUUCAGUUCGGCUUGCAUGAUCUUCGUGUUCUCCUCCAUGCUCCUCUCUUAUAGUAACUUCUCUAGAGUCUUCAGAGAAGGACCGUAUCUGUAUUGCCUCCCGCCUCUGGCUGUACUGCUAGAUGCCGGAGCAGACGGAGCGCCUGCGUUGUCUUCCUUUCUUACGAGGUGGAGGAGAAGGACUACGAUGCGCCAGAGCAGCCGGAGCGGCGGCUAGUCUCUUCCGCCCUUGUUGACGAGGCGGAGAAGGAGGAGGAUUGCUGCUCGGGCGCACCGGUGCAGGCGGAGAAGGAGGUGGAGUGCCACCACGCGCCGGAGAAGGAGGCUGAGUGCCCUUAUCACUUGCUGGAGGAGGUGGUGGAGGAGGAGGCGGAGUGCCCUGACUCGCCGGAGGAGGAGGAGGAGGAGGAGGAGGCCUCUAGUUCGAAAGGUGGAUGAACUCCGUUCGCCAUAGGCAUGGAGUCUUCAGAGAGGAACCCACCCAAAUCUCCCCUUCACCCGUACGGUAGUCAAGAUCGAGGUCCUCAAAUCCGUCCGUUAUUUGAUCCACCAUCACCCUACCAUAUCCUUCUGGAAUCGAACGGCCAUGGUAGGUUGCGCCAGGUUCAGUAGGUAAAACAGAGCCAACAUCCGCCUUGACUUUCAAUUCCGUCCAUUGCGCCAUAAGGUGGCAAUUUUGAGACUCCAUGAUAGCAUCCACGGGGUAGCUAGCAGGAGCCGUGAAGACAGGCUCCAGCUGCUGAGUCUGCUUGGUGGAAGCCACAUUGCUUCUCUAUUGAGAUGGCGGGGUAGCUUCAGGGGAAGCUUCGGUAGGUCGUUUGCUGCGAUCUGGUUCUCAUUCCUCUAGCCCUUGUACCUUUGCGUGCAGCGCCUGCAGUAGGCUAUGCUCCACUUUCUUCCUCCUCUCCUGGCAUUUGUAACCCCCUGCGUCCGGAAACCCAGCCUUCCACGGAACAGAGCCCGGCGUGCCUCGUGUCCGUCCAGGGUGCUCAGGAUUCCCGAGGGCCAUUGUGAGCUCGUCCUUCUCUCUGUCUGGAACGAACGUCCCUUGCUGCGCUUUCUCGAUAUACUCCUGAAGCCUCGUAAUAGGUAUUCGCAGUUGCUCAUUCGUCCAAAUGCACUUCCCUGAUACAAGGUCCAAGGUUCCGCCAACCCCGAAGAACCAAGUCCGGCAACGGUCUGGCCAGUUCAAUGUCUCUGGUUCGACCCCUUUAUCAAUCAGGUCAUUCUUAGCCUUGGCCUACAACGGUCGGGCUUUGAGGUAGCCACCUGACCCCGUGCGAUGGUGAUGCUUCUUCUUCGCAGCAUUUUUCUUGUUUGCCGUUGAUAUCUUCUUACUCUUGUCCAAUGUCUUGUUGGCCACAAAUGCGGGCCAGUGAUCUUUGAACUUCUCAAACUGGCUGGUGAAUUCUGGUGUAAUUUCUUUGUCGACAAGCGUUUUCAGCUCAUUCUUCCACCUCCUGAAUAGUUCUGCCAUCUUCUUAAGAGCAUGAGACUUGAUCAAUUGCUCUUUAACUGGCUUCUCCAGACCCUCCUCUGGCGGUAGGGUGAAAUUUUCCUUAAGUGUUGUCCAAAGAUCUUCUUUCUGCAUAACAGAGACAUAAGACACCUCAGGGUCUUCAUUCUUAGGCUUUAACCAUUGGUGGAUACUGAUCGGGAUCUUGUCCCUAACAAGAACCCCGCACUGAUAAGCAAAUGCUUCUUUGUCCGGAUGGGUUCAAUCGGCUUGCCAUCACGCACGAUUGCUGUGAUCUCAAACCUUUCAUCCAAGCACAACUUUUUCUUCGGGCCUCGUCUCUUUACCGAAGUUGUGCUCGAUCCGGAGGGCUAGAAAAAAGAAGAAAGACGAGAGUUAAUUAAUAUGUGAAGAACAUACUAAAACAAUGAAUGCAUCUAUUAGCUAGCUAGUCAGCACAUGCUUAACUAAUAUAUAUACCUGGCCGGACUCAGUUCGGUCACCAGAGCCGUCAUCAUGGUCUCCUUCUUGUACCGACGUUGGGUCACCGGAGCCAUCAUAAUCAUAGCUUUCUUCUUGUACCGGCAUUAAUCGGUCACCGGAGCCAUCAUAAUCAUAGCCUUCUUCUUCACCCUGUCCUUCCAGACCAUCGGUGUCGUUGAGAAACGACAAGAUGAUGUCACUUCCUUUUGCGAUUAUGUCCCCCAACAUCGCUUGUGUUGCUUCCUCUCGGGGGAGCUCCAUAGUUUCUGCAAAUAUUUACAACAUGGAAAUUAUUAUUCAAACAUGAUAGAUGGAUAUAUUAGUGGCAAACGUAGAACUAGCUAGCUAAUCACAAUAAGGAAUCAUAUUAGUGGCCUCGACGCUGCUUAUCUAGGGUUUGGGGUGGCCUCGGCAAUGCUUCAAGGGUUUGGGGUGGCCUCGACAAUGCUUCAAGGGUUUGGGGUGGCCUCAACGACAACACUCUUUUAACUUGGUAAAUUUGGGUGGUCUGGAGAGAGUUUGUUAGGUAGGGGCGCGGCGGGAGGGGGUAGGAGACCGACAUCGUUUUUUUGUAGGGGGUGUCCUCGAGAGUUUUGGUCGAGCGAGAGGGCCGGGGGGUGUGCUCCCGUGGUAUAAGUUAUCACGGUCGAGAGUGUCGGAUUUCGGGUUCCGGUAGACCCUUGAGGUUCGAACUCUGGGGUGCGUGCGGAGAUCUCUCCUCUACCAACUCACGUCCCAAAACUUCUCAUGGAAUCUAAGCUAGAGAGAUUAACACACGGGGGAGACGGGGUUUAUACUGGUUCAGGCCACCAUUGUGGUGUAAUACCCUAAUCCAGUGUGUGGUGUGGUGGAUUGCCUCUGGGGCUGAUGAUGAACAAUACAAAGGAAGAAUAGCCUCGCGAGGGAUGUUCUUGUGGUGGUGUUGUCCCUUUGGAAGGGUUGGGUUCAGAUCCCUUUCUACUGUGGUGGCUAGCCCUAUUUAUAGAGCGAGGCCCUGGUUCUCUUCCCAAAUAUUGAGCGGGAAGGGCGCUAACAAUUGGCCAUUUUGAAGGGGAACAUCUAGUACACUUAUCCUAACUAAAGUUGGUCUUCGACUGCCAAAAGACUCUAACGAUGACACCGUCUUGGACUCCACGGUGACCUCCAUCCUGCCACUCUGCUGGUCUUGGUCUUGUUGCACCGAAAUGGUAGCCUUUGCCUGAUGCCUUGUCCUGUGCUUGCCCCCUUUGCACCAAACAGGAAACAAGGACACUGCGCAGGCCAGCACCCGCCUGACGCCCGCCUGGCUUCGGUCGUCAUGGCUUGCAUCAUGUGCACCUCGCGAGGUACCCUUGCCUUGAUCUCUCUGCCUCCUCGCGAGCCUGCCUGACAAGGCCGCUCCCGGGGAAGCUUCCUGUCGUCCGCCCCGCGAGGCUUGGCCCCUUGCGAGGGUCUUGAGCAUGAGUUGAUGAAGAUGGGCCGUACUGGGACACUUCUUGAGCCACGCCGAUAGUAGCCCCCCGGCCCAAGGCGCGCCCGGACUUGGUUUGGCAGAGAAGCGAAGGGGCAAGUGCGAAGCGCCGCGGGCCCCAACAGCAUGCGGCCUUGGGUGCCGCGUGGUGGUUGAUUGGACGUGGUCGUCUCCGUUUCCCCACGACGCCUCGGAAACCGUCCGUCUGACAAAAGGGCUGGCCCGGGCCAGGCUUACUUUCUUUGCUCUAGUCCGUCUUGCUCCAGAUCCCCUUUCUCGCUCUCCUCCUUCUUGCUUCCGAAAUCCUCCAGAUCUGCCUCAAUCUCUCACUUUCGACAAGCCAUGGCGCCUCGCAAGGCUCUAGCUGGGGUCUGGUACUUGCAGGCUCUGGAUCCCCUGAACGUGUCGGAGAAGAAUCUCGCCCUCGCGCGGCUGAUUACGGUGGUGUAGGGCAACGAGGGGGUGACCGUGCUCAAGAUCGGCUCCGCCCAGCCUGAAGGCAAGGGUAGCACCUUCUACCCGCUCUUUGUGAGCGCCAUCAACGCCGGUCUGGUGCCUCCUUUUUCUGAGUUCUUCCUCGCUGUUCUUCGCCAAUACAACUUGCAAGCUCUGCACCUCCACCCCAACUCUGUUCUUCUCCUGGCGAUUUUCGCCUACUAUUCUGAGGCUCAUGUUGGAGUGAUGCCCUUAGUGGCCCUACUGCGCCAUUACUUUUCCCUCCGGGUUUCUGGUGCCCACAUCACCGCAUGUGCAGGCUUUAUCGCAUACUCCAACUCCAAUGCCAUAUCGAAGCCCGGGAAGAGGAUCGAGGGCUUUCGGAGCAAGUGGGUCAUGAUGGACGCUGGGCGCGUCCACCCUCGUCUGGUGAUGCCUACGGGGCAGCCCAAGGCCGUUGAUGCCUGGUCUCGCACGGAACUCGAAGAACCCCGUGCGAAGGUGGUGCUGAAGAGGAUGAACGCGGACCUGAGGCCAGGCAACCUGGUGGCGGCGAAGCUGACCGGGGCUAUGCUCCUGAGGGAGUUCCUAGAGCACCGGGUGGCUCCACUUCGGGAACACUCGCUCCCAUUGUGGAGGCUCGGGGAAGCAUAUGCCGCCCUCCGCCUGAGCUCCGCGGCCCUGGCCGACGAAGAUCUGGCCACGACCUUCCAUUCCUUGGUUGGAGGAGACGUGGCGAGCCUAGAGGGCGCUCCUGUCCCCCUGUUCCUUCGUGAUGACUAGGAGCAGGUGGUGAACGCCAUGCCCACCUUCAACGGGAAGGGGCUGGUGCCGGCGGAAGCUCCCGAGGAUCUGGCGGCGUUGGCGACGGUGAACUUUUCCUCUGACGACUCCAGCGGGGAGGAGGAAGAAGAGGAGGAGGAAGAAGAGCCCGACUCUGAGGCGAUCGACGGAGAGUUGGGGGAGUCCUUCCCUUGGCGCAGGUCCCACGCCCUCCGCUCCAUGCCGGAUGACGACGAGGCUGCUGCCAGGCGGGGCGAAGAGGACUCGCCCUCGGUCCCGAGGAAGGACAGGACGGGGCUUAUUCCCCGAGGGUCUUCUCUGGUCUCGGGGCUGCCUGAAGCCAGCUCGAACCCUUCUGACGCGCCCUCUGCUUUCGGGCCUCCCGAGGCUGACCCCUGCAGUAGGCUCUCGGGCUUCAAGUUCGGCCGGAGGCUGCUUGAGUCCGCGAACAACGACCAGUAAGUACUCGAUUCAUGUUUUGCUUCCUGUUUCUGCCGCCAAGGCUUGACAUCUGCGUCCUUUUGGCUAGGCCGGCGCCUGCGCUAAAAUGGUUGAAAGGGGCCUCGGUGGCCCUACUUGGGGCGAGUUCGCCUGCCGGGGCAGCGCCUUCAUCUGCGGGGAAAGGAGGUAGUGAGGCUUGUGCCUCCCCUGCCCGGUCGUCCUCGCGAGGCCAGGUGGGGUGCACUGGCGUGGAUCCAGCCCCCACGGCCUAGGCGACUCCCAAGGCGGCCAUGCUUAAUGCCGUUGCCGAGGCCGCCGGGGACGAGAAGGCCCUAACGCUCGAUUCUGUGAUCACGCUGUCAUCUUCUCCUCCUACUCCGCCGACUGCUGCUUCCCUCACUCCUUCCACCGUCCUGUACCGUGCCAUUGCUGAAUUAAGCCGGCUGCAAGAAGAUCUCCAGGGAACCGACCCUCGCCUGGUGGUCGGGCGCCUACAGCUAGCCUCUGGCUGGGUCCGCUCUAACGCCUCCGUCCGAGCCGCGCUGAGCCAGGCUGCGUCGGCCUUUGAUGAGGAGAAGCAAGCCACCUCCCAGGCCAAGGCCGCUCGCGACGCUGCCUUGGGUGACUCUACGGAUGCCCGGGCCGCUGCAAGGCGUUGGAGGACGAGCUGCAAGGCCUGCGCGACGAGCUCGCCAAGGAGGUCCGCGACAGCCAGGACAAGGAGAAGGAGAUGAAGACUCGAGAAGCUGUCAUCAGGGACCAGGACGCUGAGCUCGAUGAGCGUGAUGGCCAGUUGGAGAUGCUGGAGCGGAGAGGAUCGAGCUGGAUGGCAAGGCGAAGGUCCUGGCUGAGGAUCGAGUGGCCUUCGCGAAGCUGGAGGAGAAAGCUUGCACCACGCUGAAGACGCUUUAUGACGGCGGCUUGGAGAAGCCGUUGGCUGCCGCAGAGGACGGCCCCGUCGAGUUCCUUCCCUUCCUGGUCCGUGCACUUGAAGAUGUCGCAGACGGCCUCGGCCCCACGGCCGAGGCCGGCGCGCGUGUCCUUUCUUCUGCGGCACUGACGCGUGUCCUCAGCCACGUCUACCUUCGCGACCCCAAUGUUGACCUUGACAGCCUGCUGGAACCUGUGAGCGGCGAGCUUGUCGCUGCUGCUGCUGAGGCUGUGAAGGGCCGAGCUAAGAGGCCUUGCUGGCAAGGUUCCGCGCCUUCAGCACCAGGGCCGGGCGAGAUGCUGCGAGCUCCGCGGCUUCGGGAGGUGGAGCCGCCCAGCACGACCCCACCACAAGCAACGGUGCCGCCGGAAAGUGAUCCUUUUGCGGCUUCUGUCCUGUUCCAAUUCCUGCAACAUGCAUCAUGCCUCAUGGAGGCGUUUAAACUUGUGUUUGAGGUUGUGAAAACAACCUAUGGCCUAUAAUAUUUGCUUUUGAAUUCCUUAGAAUUUUGCAUUUUUCCUUCCUAUUUGCUUGUGUUCUACAUCGGCAGGGCCUGGCCCCGCGCAUACCUCAGCCGACGUUAUCCCCGACCGGAAACCAGGAUGGGACUAAGGAGUGAGGGGCUACGUGACCUGUUAGGCUCCUGAGUCGCGAUGCUCAGGAGUCCCCCUUGACGCGCGAACAGCAAGUAGGGAAGGGAGGCAUAGGAGCGGAUUUGUCGUUCUACGUUGGCAGGGCCCGGCCCCGCGCAUACCUCAGCCGCCGUUAGCCCCGACCGGAAACUACGACUGGACCAAGGAGUGAGGGGCUACGUGACCAGUUAGGCUCUUGAGUCGCGAUGGUCAGGAGUCCCCCUUGACGCUCAAACGACCUUCGUACCUUGGCUCCGCUCGGGGAGGGGUGCACGACAAACCAGGCCCGAGGGACCUGGCUGGGUGGCGUGUGCCUGGGCGUGGCCCGGACGUAGCCCCCGUCUCCAGUCCCCUCGUGUGGCGCUCCCGAGGGGAGGCGUUAUGAUAGGGCCGAACACUGAGCCCUGGGCUCCCUGAGGUUGAUGCGUCCGUGGGCCGCUCUCAGUUGUUUAUCACCAGCGCGGAGCAUAGCGCUUCCGUAUGUGUACGGGCAUAGCCGCUCCUCGGCAGUGUCGUCAGCCAGCACGGAGCAUGGUGCUUCCACUGGUGCGUGGAGGGGGCCCCCUCCAGGAGGAGCCCCCGGGGCGUGUACAGCCCCACCCUGACACGUGACUGGCACGGUAGAGCUUGACGAGGUGUAUUUGGGCACCCGUGAGCCAGCACGGGACUCACGGGGCCCUACCUCAAGGCGGGUUGCGCCUGGCUCUGGGCCUUUGUUUGUAGCGUGCUCCAGCAAGAUUGGUUAGAUGCCGACGCUCUACGUCCUCAGGUCCCGGCCCUCGAGCAAGCUCAGCCAUCACUGGUAUGCCAGGUCGCGAUGCCGUGGACAAGGCCAGGAGGUAGGGCUGGAGAGCCAGUAAGAGCAUGUGAGUCGUGAUGCUCAGGUGCCCCCCUUUUAACGUGCAAGCGAUUAGCAUGAAGGAGAAAAAAGAGGGUGGUGCCAUGGGAGGCAUCAGGUAAUAAUCAUAGCGGGUCAAAUAUGCAAGGCACACGACCUAGAUAGAUGCGGGAAAGAUACAUGCCACCGGGUCAGGCCCGAGCGGCUUGGGCAUAAUGCAGCCCGAGGGGCACCCCCAACAAGGUAACCUAAAGAUACGAACAAAAGAGAUACAUGCCACAGGGACGGACCCACGUGGCCUGGGAAUGAUGCAGCCCUGGGGGCGCUCCCAGCUGAAAAUGGAACUUGAAAGAUGUCACCUGAUACCGUUGGACAUGAAGAAAUGCUGAAUGUAGCGGACGACGCGUGGUGAGGAAGCCGACCCUCACGAGCUCCUGGGCCCAGAAGCCUCGGGAGGCUCCGGGGGCGCAAGGGGCUCCUCAAGGACCAUUUCCAUCUCUGCCAGGACCGCGCAGUGCCUGACCUCCUGAGCCUCCAGAAUGCUCCUCGGCAGGCGCUGAUGAGCAGCGGCCGCGUUCGGCAGGCCGAAAGGCAUGCGAACGUAGCUUUGGGGAGGACCCUCGCAACGUCCCACGCGUGAGGGCAAGAUGCGCUCCUGAGAGGCGGCUCGGUUGAGCCCUGGUACGUCGAUGCAGACGCACAGCCCACCAUCCUCGCCGAGAUGGGGGGCCACGGCGGGUAAGCGGCGGCUGCCGCGCAUGGCUCUUGACUACUGCCGCUUUUGAGUGUUUUUUCCGAUAAACUCCUGAGGGUUUGGCCCUCCUUGCCUGAUGCCUUCCUGAGGGAAACGUGCUUUGAAGCAGGCCUCCAAGUCAUGCCCGAGCGCCUCCCUCGUGACCUUGGCAAAUUCGGUGGCCCUCCAGGAGAGAACCCCCGAGCCUUGCCCAAGGAGGGCGCCGGGCGUGCCUUCCUAUGCAACAGAGGGAGGCACCCCUUGAACGGGCGCGGAUCCUGACACAACACCACUGGAGGUGCCUGCCUCCUGAUGGUUCGGGCCAGGUGAUGUCUUCUUCUUCUUAAGGACUGCCUAGGGAAGGCUCCCGCUCCUGUGAUCUCGGUGUUCGAUUGCCGCAACUUGGAAGGCACGCUCGAGAGAACACACUGCAUCCUUCUCCUCACACGGGACUGUGAUGACUCUGCCGCUUCCUGGCAUCUUGAGGACAUUGUAGCCAUGGUGGGUCACUGCCAUGAACUUGGCCAAGGACGGAUACCCGAGGAUGGCAUUGUAUGGCAGGCGAAUGUGGGCGACGUCGAAGUCAAUGAGCUCAGUGCAGUAGUUUUUGCGCUGCCCGAAGGUGACAGGGAGGCAGACCUGCCCUCUCAGGGUGGUAGAACCAUCAGUUACUCCUGAGAAAGGCUUGGUCGGUGUCGUGGUUCUAAGCCUGACAGUAGAGUGGGGGGUAGGUAUGGAGAGGCAAGGUCCUAGCUAUGGAGAGGUUGUAAGCACAAAGGAUGUACGAGUUCAGGCCCUUCUCGGAAGAAGUAACAGCCCUACGUCUCGGAGCCCGGAGGCGGUCGAGUGGAUUAUGAAUGUAUGGAUUACAAGGUGCCGAACCCCUCUGCCUGUGGAGGGGGGUGGCUUAUAUAGAGUGCGCCAGGACCCCAGCCAGCCCACGUAGGAGAGGGUUUAAGGUGAGUUAAGUCUGGGGCGUUACUGGUAACGCCCCACAUAAAGUGCCUUUACUAUCAUAAAGUCUACUUAAUUACAGGCCGUUGCGGUGCAGAGUGCCUCUUGACCUCCUGGUGGUCGAGUGAGUCUUCGUGGUCGAGUCCUUCAGGCCAGUCGAGUGAAUCCUCGUUGGUCGACUGGAAGGCGACCUCUUCUAGGGAUGUCCUAGGGUAAGUUACUUGGAACAGGUCCAUGACCCUACCCUAGGUACAUAACCCCAUCAUUAGCCCCCGAAUGGAUUGAGGCUUCGAGUGAAGAAGGAGUUGAUGUCGUUUCCGAUUAGCCUUUGCGCUCUAGUUGUGCGCUGUUCUGGAUCAAAGAAUCUCUUCGUUGACAGGGAGUAAUUUGUCUUCGGUCGACUCGAUCCAUUCUAUUUUUGCGUCGAGUGAUCUUUCGAGCUUCGACGAUCUCCGAGCGACGGAUCGCCGGAAACACCGCGUCUGACAGACUGAUUUGUUGCUUGCGGAUUCCGCGGGAUGCGAAAUUUGGGGGCGCGCGCGAAGCGGGGCAGACCGCGGCGUUCGGAUGGGACGGGGCAUAGACGCCUCGAUCUCCGCGCCGCCUUUUUCGCCACGUAUCCAGUCCCCAUAACUGCUCCCAGAUAUGAUUAGAUCGACCGGGCCCACAUGUCAGCCACUCGGAAGAGACCUUAUAAUUGCGCCCGGCGAGGAUUUCUGUGCUGCGCCUCAGCAUUCUCCCUUUCUUCCUCUGCUUCCUUCCUCCCUGCUCAGCGCGCUCGCUCUCACCCCCGCACCACUUCCCUUCGUGCAUCUCACCGGCGACCAUGGCCAAGGAGAAGACGGCGGCGCUGGAGCGUGCCAAGAAGGCGUCGGCAUCGGAGAAGGCGAAGGGGAGAUCCACCAGCCGCAGAGGGUCCUCGUCCAGAUCCCGCCUGCCGAAAGGCUGGGUCCAAGGAGACUGGAUCCAGUCGACCAUCACGGAGAAGGACCUCCUCGACAUGGCCAACGAGGGCUUGAUCCCUCACGGAGCUGCGAGGUUGCCGGGGAAGGAGUGGCAGCCACAGCCAGAAGAGGGUGAGUGUGUGCUUCUGGCCACUCAUGUUGAUCGCGGGUUUUCCUUGCCUCCAAGCAUUUUCUUCCGUGGCUUCUUGAAUUUCUUUGGAGCGCAGCUCCACCACUUUACCCCAAACUCCAUUGCCUAUCUUGCUGCAUUCGUGUCCAUGUGUGAGGGUUUCUUGGGCUGUCGACCGCACUGGGGUUUGUUCAAACGUAUCUUCACGUGUCGCUCUCAGACCGUGAAGAAGGCGAGCCCAGGUGAUGAGAAGACCCGAGUCGUCCAAAUGUGUGGGGGCCUGGGGAUUCAGGUGAGGAACAAUAGCACCUUCCCGCCCAUGAGCUUUCCCGAGUCCGUCAGAGGCUGGCAGUCGACUUGGUUCUACUGCCAGGUCCAGUCGACGCCAGGGCAGUCGAGUGGACUCCCUCCGUUUACCAUGGACCGAGUGAACAAGCCCUCCCCUCUGAAGCUGAUUCCGGAGGAGAAAGCCGACGUGAAGAUGUUGAUGGAACGCGUGGUGCAGUUGGUUCGGGAGGGGGUGACGGGCAUGGAUCUUCUGGAGGUCUUCCUCAGGCGUCGCAUCCAACCCCUUCAAUUCCGGAGCCACUGCAUGUGGUUGUACUGUGGGCCCGAAGACGAGACUAGAGUCCAUCCAGAAGAAGUCGACGAUGUCACUCUGGAAAGAUGGAUGGUAGCCGUUACCGGAAACAGGGACAACCCGCGCGGAGCCAGAAGGAUCCCCCCACUCGACCACAACAGCAAUCCAAACAAGGUACACUUGCUCUGCCCUCCACUGAGUCCUUGUCGUACUCAUUUCUGUUAACCCUGCCGACUGGUCGACUGAUCCUUGUUUGAGCAUCUGCUAGGCCCUCACCGAGCUGUACUCGAUGCCCAACGGGGCACAAGCUUCGACUGAAGAAGGCGAGGCGAGCGGGGGCGAGGCGAGCGGGGGCGAGGCGAGCGGGGGCGAGGCGAGCGGGGGCGAGGCGAGCGGGGGCGAGAGCCAGGAAGAGGAGGAGUGGGAUUCGGAUGCUGCAGGGGAUGAUGACGACGAUGAUGAUGAUGAAGGUGAUGAAGAUGACAUCGAGGACGAAGAAGAAGAGGAGGAGGAGGUCGUUCCACCGCGCUCGGAAAGGCGGUCGAAGCUUGUCCACGACCCUUCGACCGAACGUGGUAAGGGGGUUGCGACCGCCACUCAGUCGACCAAGCGCCCUCGGACCACCUCUCCGGCGCCGACUGAAAAGGCGCCGAAGCAGCCCAGGGCGGCCUCAUCGAAGCCGACCAAGCUCCUGCCGAAGAUGAAGGUGUCCAUCCCCACCAUAUCAGGGUAAUUGUGUUGCUCAUAUUCUCUUAUUCUGUGUGAACUUUAUCUCUGGUCGACGCUGAGGGUAGUCGACUGAUCCUUUGGAAUUGCAGUGCUGCUACUUCUGAGACCUCGGCCCGGGCCGAUGACCACGAGAUGGAGGAUGCGGCAACUUCGAAUCCAGGUACUGUGUACUUAACACCAUUCUUAGUCGACUGACUCGCGAUCUCUGAUCCUGAUCCUUCUCCGCAGCUCCACCCAACACUGUUAUCGAUCUUCCUAAUGAUGAUGAGGAUGAAGAGCCGCUGAAGCACAGGAGGAGUCGGAAAGCGUCUUCCAGUAAGGUGCCCCAGGAUGUGCCGGCGCCUGAAAUUAUGACUGUGGAGGAAGAGAACACCACUCGACACACGGUGUCCUUCGCGAAUCCACUGACGAGUGUUCAGCAGCCUUCCCUCUUCACGACGCACCACGUCCCAGAGGACCAAGCUGGUGCAGCGAAGGAGGCAAUACGCCAGGCGGGACUUAUGAUGGAGCAGCUGAAGACCAUCCGAGAUGCGAGCCAGGCAGCUUAUGACGCCAGCUCUGCCCUCCAAAGUAAUGUCCAGGUCAGUCGACUGCUGUUUGUUCUGUUGGAUAUGCUACCAAAAACUUUUCUUUUCCGGAAUUUAUAUUAGUCACCCACUAGGUGUGUCGAAUAAACUCCGUGUUAGCGGGGGCACGCUGAGUGCACCCGCUGGGUGUAGUCCCCAAGGCUAAGGUCGACUGCUGGCAGUCGGCCUUAGGCUUUAUGAUGUCAAUCUUCUGUCAGUCGACUGGUCGACUGGAUUUCGCAAACCGGUGGGGGCACGCUGAGUGCACCCACUGGGUGUAGUCCCCGAGACUGUGGUCGACUGCUUGCAGUUGAUCACAGUCUUAGAGAAUGCGUCUCGCACACUGUUUUUUUUUUUUUUGAGGUCGACUGGUCGACUUUGUCUUCAACAGGAUUAGUGGGGGCACGCUGAGUGCACCCACUGGGUGUAGUCCCCGAGACUACGGUCGAAUGCUUGUGUUCGGCUGUAGUCUUAGAAACGUGUAUUUUUCCCUUUUUCACUCGGAAGUGAGUUACGUUUGACAUUUAGUCGAUUGAUUCUCCGCAGAACUCCUGUGAUCUUGUGGCUCGCUACUCAGAGCUGGAACAGAAGCACACUCAAGUCGAGCUGAGCUUGAAGCUGGUUCAGGAGAAGUUGGCAAAGGCAACGGAGGAGACUGAAGGUAUGUUUGGUGAGACCCUGACGACCGCUUUUCCCCUUGCUUGUUUCAGCAUCUGAUCUUGCUGUGACUUGCAGGUAAGGUAAGGGAGGCCCAGCAGAAGAAAGACCUUGAGCUAGCUGAGAAGGUCAAGCUUGCUGACGAGAAGUUAGCUUCAGUCACCAAGCUUGAGCAAGACAAUACCAAUCUGAAAACUGCUCUUGGGAUUGCCAACAAGGAGGUCAGUCGACUGAGAACUGACAAAGCUGCCCUGACCGACCAAGUCAGCAAAUUGACUGAGAAGAAAACUGAGCUGGAAGCCUUCCUGAGUGGCCUUGCCAAGAAGCUGUUCCUUAUGCUUGAAGGUAAAUCUCCAUGUUUGGCAAAUAUUUCCAACUGUGGCUUCUUCCACUCGACUAUCCCCUUGACUUAGUGAUCACCCUUGCAGAAUUUUGUCAAAACUUUGAAGAGGAAACCAGCCGACUGGAGCCAAACCUUGACCCCGUCAAUUCUCCGGUGAACGACGAAGUUGCUAUGGAUGUCUUCCGACUGGAGUCUCGUGUUGCAGCUGUCGUGGACUAUCUCGCAAGGCUGAAGGCCGCCACAUCUCGCAUCGACUCGACGCUCUGGCCUGAGGAGACACUUCGGAAUGACCUUGAGUCGCUGAUGGCCCGCUUGAACACGAUCCCUGGUCGAGUGCAGGAGUGGAAGAAGUCCUCGGCUCGGUGUGGCGCAGAUGUCGCUCUGUGUCUGGCCCGAGUCCACUGCGAAGAUGCACGAGAGGAGAAGCUGGCGGCCCUUCGGGUGGCCCAUACCAAGAAGCACGACUUCAGGUCCUUUAUGGAGACUUUCCUUGCAGCCCUCCACAGGAGGGGUAAAAAACUUUUUCUGGCUCGACUCUUUAAAUUUGCCUCGGUAUGCCGAGUGGAAUUGUAACCGACAAACUUUAACAGGCUUGAUGCCUGAGCACUUUCGGUUCCUUUAGAUAUCGAUUCAAACUUGAAUUUGGCGCUUGAAUAUGAUUGCCUUCGGCUCAAAAUGUCUUCUGCAGGUUCAAAGCAAGGCGCCUUUUCUGCAAUCGACCUAUUCUUUGGUCCACUUAGGCGAGCACUGGGCUGCAGCUAAGCCUCCGAGUGGGAGGGCUGCUCUUCACUCGGUAGGAUUUUAUAACUUAGGCGAGCACGAGGCUGCAGCUAAGCCUCCGAGUGGAAGGCUGGCUUUCCACUCGGUAGGAUUUUGAUAACUUAGGCGAGUGCUUGGACUGCAGCUAAGCCCCCGAGUGUGAGGGUUGCUCUCCACUCGGUAGGAUUUUUAUAACUUAGGCGAGUGCUUGGACUGCAGCUAAGCCUCCGAGUGGAAGGCUGGCUUACCACUCGGUAGGAUUUUUGUAACUUAGGCGAGUACGAAGCUGCAGCUAAGCCCCCGAGUGAGAGGAUUGCUCUUCACUCGGUAGGAUUUUUGUAACUUAGGCGAGUGCUUGGACUGCAGCUAAGCCCCUGAGUGUGAGGGUUGCUCUCCACUCGGUAGGAUUUUUAUAACUUAGGCGAGCACGAGGUCGCAGCUAAGCCUUCGAGUGGAAGGCUGGCUUACCACUCGGUAGGAUUUUCACAACUUAGGCGAGUGCUUGGACUGCACCUAAGCCCCCGAGUGAGAGGAUUGCUCUUCACUCGGUAGGAUUUUUGUAACUUAGGCGAGCACGAGGUCGCAGCUAAGCCUCCGAGUGGAAGGCUGGCUUACCACUCGGUAGGAUUUUUAUAACUUAGGCGAGCACGAGGUCGCAGCUAAGCCUCCGAGUGGAAGGCUGGCUUACCACUCGGUAGGAUUUUGAUAAACUUAGGCGAGCACGAAGCUGCAGCUAAGCCCCCGAGUGAGAGGAUUGCUCUUCACUCGGUAGGAUUUUUGUAACUUAGGCGAGUGCUUGGACUGCAGCUAAGCCCCCGAGUGGAAGGCUGGCUUACCACUCGGUAGGAUUUUGAUAAACUUAGGCGAAACAGAUUCGCAGCUAAGCCUCCGAAUGAGAGUCUGGCUCACCACUCGGUAGGAUUUUUACAAACUUAGGCGAAACGGAUUCGCGGCUAAGUCACCCACUGAGGGGGAGUUUUUAUGUGGACAAAAAUAAAAAGUGAUGACACUAUUAUUUCUAAAUCCAUGAACUACAGAAGUACUUUAUUGCAACUCAUCCGAGUGAUAAAACUUAAGUGUAAAAUGGGCGGAGUAGCUCCGCGUUCCAAGCUCGGGGCUCGUCGAUAUUAUGCUCGACGUUGUAAAGACGGUACGCCCCGUUGUGGAGAACCUUGGUGACGAUGAAGGGACCUUCCCAAGAAGGAGCAAGCUUGUGUGGUUUGUGCUGAUCCACUCGAAGAACCAAAUCUCCUUCCUGGAAGGCUCGACCUCUCACAUUCCGGGCGUGGAAACGGCGCAGAUCUUGUUGGUAGACGGUCGACCGGAUCAGAGCCAUCUCCCUUUCUUCCUCUAAAAGGUCGACUGCGUCCUGCCGCGCUUGUUCAGCUUCUGCUUCGUUGUAGAUUUCGACUCGAGGGGCAUUGUGGAGAAGAUCACUCGGCAAGACUGCUUCGGCUCCAUAGACCAAGAAGAAUGGAGUUCUUCUGGUCGACCGAUUGGGCGUGGUCCGCAGUCCCCAGAGUACAGAUGGAAGUUCGUCGACCCAAGCUCCAGCCGCGUGUUUGAGAUCACGCAUCAGUCGCGGCUUCAGUCCCUUGAGAAUCAGUCCAUUAGCUCGCUCUGCUUGUCCAUUCGACUGUGGAUGGGCGACUGAUGCGUAGUCGACCCGUGUGCCCUGGGAGUUGCAGAAGGUUCUGAAUUCCUCUGAGUCAAAGUUCGACCCAUUAUCCGUAAUGAUGCUGAUACGCUGAGCUGAGCACUUCCAUUAUCCAUUAUUCGGUCAGAAGUGCAUUGGGAGGACCCCAGCUAUUGCUGCGCAUUUGAGCUGAUACGCUGAGCUGAACGUGAUGGCACAUGUGGACCACCUGAGAGGGCACGAGGCCUCGAGCUUUGGGAGGACUGCAUUCACCUCGCGAGCAAACUGCUUGAAGAUACGCUGAGAGGAAUGGGGCCUGAGCUCCGCCCAAGAUAUAGGUGACAGCUCGUGGCUCCUGGAAGCCCCCAGCCCCCUCGUCCUGAUGCUGGUCUUCAUUCCUCCUUGACGGUGGUGGCAGAGGAGGAAGGCCUGCGUUGCCUUGUGGGCGAUCCUCACGAGGCUGAUCCCUCCAGGACCCCUCACGAGGCUGGUCCUGCCAGCGGUCCCCGCGAGGCCGGUCACGCCACCCUUGGCGAGGGCCACGGUCUUCCCAUCGUCCACCACCUCUUCCUCCUCCGCGGCCAUAGCCCCGAUCGCUGCGCUCGGGGCAUCAACCGCCACGCCCUUCUCGCACGGCCCUGAGCUCUUGACAUUCGUUGGUUUUGUGAGUGUGGAGGUCGUGGAACACGCAGUACCGGCUGCCCUUGGACGACUCUGGCUGAUCUCUGCCAUGCUUGGUAUCAGGCUCAGCUGCGAGCACAACUGCUCCCUUGCGCUUCGCGUCCUUGGCUUUGGCCUUCUUCUCUUCAGGAUCAGCAGUUGGAAGCUCGAGGAGGGAAAGGUGUCCCUCCUCAGCCCUGGCGCACUUAGUCACCAAGUUGAACAGCUCCAGGGAUGUGCACAAGUCUUCAUGGAUUGCUUGCUCCUCUUUCAUCUUGAUGUCUCUGACGCCAUCAGAAAAGGCUGAGAUGAUGGCCUCCUUAGUCAACCUAGGGAUCUUGAGUCGCGUGUUGUUGAAGCACUAGAACUUCUGCAGGGUCUCUCCUGGUUGCUGCUUGAUGCGGCGCAGGUCACUCAUGGCUGGGGGUCGGUCGCGAGUACCUUGGAAGUUGGCGAUGAAGCGAGUGCGCAUCUCGUCCCACGAGGAGAUCGUGCUGGGAUGUAGGUUCAGGAGCCAAGUGCGGGCGCCAUCCUUCAGUGCCAUGGGAAACCAGUUCGCCAUGACCUUUUCGUCUCCGUUGGCCGCCUCGAUGCCCAGCUUGUAGAGUUGGAGGAACUCCGCGGGGUCGGCGGUGUCGUCGUAGCGAAGAGGCAGAUCUGGCUUGAACUUGCCCGGCCAGGCCACGCUGCGCAGCUCGGCGGUGAAGGCGCGGCAGCCUACGGUAGCCACUGUGGGCCUUUGCUGGCACAGUGCUUGAUCCUGGGGGUCUCCGCGCGCUGCCGCCAGGAGCAGCGCGGGUCUUGGCGCGCUGGAGCAGGAACGCGGUUGUGGCGUGCUGGCACAGGCAGCACGCGAGCGCCUUCUUGAGGGUGAGGAACCUCUUGGCAGCUCCUUUCUUUCUAUGCUAGUGCUGGACGCGGUGGGUCCCGUCCAGGAGCCGCGCGCUUGGAGCCAGGGCGCCUUCUUCGGGAGGAGGCGACGGAGGUGCCUCCGGAGCCACGUUGCCUGCGCAGGACGGAGGGUGAUGAAGCAAGAGGGAUGGUGCAGGGGUGCCCCCUAUCGCGCUGAUGAGCUCGGUGAUGCGAGCGAGCCACUCCUCGUAGAGGUCGUCGACGGGACGGUAGUGCAGGAGCUCACGCGCCAGGAGCAACACGUCGUCCGCGUCCGCAGAAGCGCGACGAGCGUGCGACGACGAGCCUGCUGGAGUUAGCAACGGGGUGGCGGUGCGGCCCUCCCGCCACACCGAGGGUUGCAGACACGACGCCUGCUGCUCGUUCCCCGCCGGGCCAGUGGCAGCGUAGGCGGCGGGCGACCGGGAACGGCGGGGAGUCCCACCGACGGGAGCCGUCUGGGCGACGUGGGCGGCGAGAGCAGCCCGACGCUUGGCGCGGGCUCAGCGAGCGUCAGCCAUGGAUGGGACAGGAGAUGGAACGCGAGACGGCGGAAGAAAAGAUCCCGGCACACCCCUACCUGGUGCACCAAAGGUCGGAUUUCGGGUUCCGGCAGACCCUUGAGGUUUGAACUCUGGGGUGCGUGCGGAGAUCUCUCCUCUACCGACUCACGUCCCAAAACUUCGCACGGAAUCUAAGCUAGAAAGAUGAACACACGAGGGACACGGGGUUUGUACUAUUUCAGGCCACCCUUGUGGUGUAAUACCCUACUCCAGUGUGUGGUGUGGUGGAUUGCCUCUAGGGCUGAUGAUGAACAAUACAAAGGAAGAACAACCUCGCGAGGGAUGUUCUUGUGGUGGUGGUGUCCCUUUGGAAGGGUUGGGUUCGGAUCCCUUUCUACUGUGGUGGCUAUCCCUAUUUAUAGAGCGAGGCCCUGGUCCUCUUCCCAAAUAUUGAGUGGGAAGAGCACCAACAAUUGGCCAUUUUGAAGGGGAACAUCUAGCACACUUAUCCUGACUAAAGUUGGUCUUCGACUGCCAAAAGACUCUGACGAUGACGCCGUCUUGGGCUCCAUGGUGACCUCCAUCCUGCCGCUCUGCUGGUUUUGGUCUUAUUGCACCUAAGCGGUAGCCUUUGCCUAAUGCCUUGGCAUGUGCUUGCCCCCUUUGCACCAAAGAGGAAACAAGGACACUGCGCAGGCCGGCGCCCGCCUGGCUUCGGUCGUCAUGGCUUGCGUCAUGGGCACCUCGCGAGGUACCCCUGCCUUGAUCUCUCCGCCUCCUCGCGAGCCUACCUGACGAGGCCGCUCCUGUGGAAGCUUCCUAUCGUCCGCCCCGCGAGGCUUGGCCCCUCGCGAGGGUCUUGAGCUUGAGUUGAUGAAGAUGGGCCAUACUGGGCCACUGCUUGAGCCACUCCGCAGGCCGCGGGCAGGCAAGUCUGGGGAUCCCCGUUCCCAGAACGCUGACAGAGAGGGGGUAUAUAUAUCGACCGCCCCUCAUGUCAAAGUUAUCCGGGAGGGGGUUAUAUCGACAACGACGACAUACAUACAUGGGAAAAUAAUGUUAUCGGGGACGGGGUAUAUCGACCCCCCCCCUCGUGUUGAAGUUAUCGGGAGGACACCCAAAAGAGGACAUAAAUAGAGGAGAAGAAGAUUCUAUUUUCUCUUCUUCUCCUCUAUUCUUUUCUUCUUCUCCUUUUUUUCCUUCUGUUUUCCUCUUCUUAUUUAUUCCUCCUCUUCUUCCUCUCCUCUUCUUGUCCUUUCUUUCUCUUCUUAUUUUCCUUUUUCCUCUCAUUCGUUUUCUUCUUUUUCCUUUCCUAGCUAGAUAUAUAAAAAAAUCAAAAAAUAAACUAACCUAAAAUGUACUAAAUCAGAGAACAUAUAUAGAUAAAACUUUUCUAAAAAUCUAACUUGCAUAUAUGUAUACUUUAAAAAAUACAUACAUACAUACAAAAAACAUGUAAAAAAUACGCACAUACAUGUAUGAACAUACAUAAAAAAAUACAUAUAUCUAAAAAAUACAUACAUUCAUAUGAAAAUCUAAAAACAUGUAAAAAAAUCUAAAGUUCUUAUAUGAAGAAAAACAUGCUCAGAACAAAAAACUUAAUACAUUAUGAACAUCUACAUAUAUGCAUACACAUACAUUCAUAUAUACAUUAUGUAUAUAUGAACACGAAAUUACUCUAAUAAAAAUUAAAAAAAAUAGAGUAGGGUGGCGCGGCGCGCGGCUCACAAUGCGGGCGGCUAGUGACGGCGAUGGCGGGGGCGGCGAGGGCGCCGGCGCGGGCAGGGGCUCGGGCGCGGGGCAGGGACCAGUGCGGCGACGGCGACGACGUGGUCNNNNNNNNNNNNNNNNNNNNNNNNNNNNNNNNNNNNNNNNNNNNNNNNNNNNNNNNNNNNNNNNNNNNNNNNNNNNNNNNNNNNNNNNNNNNNNNNNNNNNNNNNNNNNNNNNNNNNNNNNNNNNNNNNNNNNNNNNNNNNNNNNNNNNNNNNNNNNNNNNNNNNNNNNNNNNNNNNNNNNNNNNNNNNNNNNNNNNNNNNNNNNNNNNNNNNNNNNNNNNNNNNNNNNNNNNNNNNNNNNNNNNNNNNNNNNNNNNNNNNNNNNNNNNNNNNNNNNNNNNNNNNNNNNNNNNNNNNNNNNNNNNNNNNNNNNNNNNNNNNNNNNNNNNNNNNNNNNNNNNNNNNNNNNNNNNNNNNNNNNNNNNNNNNNNNNNNNNNNNNNNNNNNNNNNNNNNNNNNNNNNNNNNNNNNNNNNNNNNNNNNNNNNNNNNNNNNNNNNNNNNNNNNNNNNNNNNNNNNNNNNNNNNNNNNNNNNNNNNGGCGCAGGGCAGCGGGUCGGGGGCGGGGGCGGGGCCGGCGCCGGGCGGCGGGGGCGGCUGGAUGUGGGCGUCGGGGAGGAGAGAGGGAGAAGAGAGAGAGUAACGGGCCGGGGGAGCUCGGCCGUUAGGUAGGUUAGUUAGGUUAGCCUUUGCCGUCCGCUCCUCCUUUGCCGUCCGCUUUCCUUUAUCUUUGCGGUCUGCUGCGUACGACAAAGAGGGGGGACGUUAAGUUUUUUCGUUAGUGGGUGCCACCUCCCUCUUUGCCGUCAUCCAGCGGACGGUAAAGAAUCGUUGCCGUCAGCCAGCGGAUGGCAAAGAAUUGGUGAUGGCAAAGACCUUCUUUCUCGUCCGCCAUUUGUUUGUUGUCCGCUUCUUGGUAUCUGAUGGCAAAGACCUUCUUUGUCGUCCGCUAGCGGACGGCAAAGAUAUGGCAGACGGCAAAUUCCCUGAUUCCAGUAGUGAUAAGACCAUGAAAUUGAAAAGCAUUUGAAAUGAACUCUGAAAAGGUUGAAAGUUGGCAUGGUAUCAUCCACAUAGCAUGUGCAAAAAAGUAGAGAGGGUUACGGCAAAAACUGGAUGCACUUCGUGUACAAAAUGGACAAUCUCUUUCGAAGUAUUAGGGUUUCAUACGGAAACUCGUCUGUUACCAAGGAAUUUCAUUUUUUUUGAACUUAUUUGAACUCCAUAGUUUUUCUGUGUUCAAAAUGCACCAUUUAAAGCCACAUCAUCAAUUUUCAAACCUUUCUGACUUCAUUUGUUAUUUUUCAUGCAUUUACUGAUUAUUUUGAGCUAUAAGACCAUGAAAUUGAAAAGCAUUUGAAAUGAACUCUGAAAAGGUUGAAAGUUGGCAUGAUAUCAUCAUUUCCCCCACAUAGCAUGUGCAAAAAAGUAGAGAGGGUUACGGAAANNNNNNNNNNNNNNNNNNNNNNNNNNNNNNNNNNNNNNNNNNNNNNNNNNNNNNNNNNNNNNNNNNNNNNNNNNNNNNNNNNNNNNNNNNNNNNNNNNNNNNNNNNNNNNNNNNNNNNNNNNNNNNNNNNNNNNNNNNNNNNNNNNNNNAUUUCAUUUUUUUGAACUUAUUUGAACUCCAUAGUUUUUCUGUGUUCAAAAUGCACCAUUUAAAGCCACAUCAUCAAUUUUCAAACCUUUCUGACUUCAUUUAUUAUUUUUCAUGCAUUUACUGAUUAUUUUGAGCUAUAAGACCAUGAAAUUGAAAAGCAUUUGAAAUGAACUCUGAAAAGGUUGAAAGUUGGCAUGGUAUCAUCAUUUUACCCACAUAGCAUGUGCAAGAAAGUAGAGAGGGUUACGGCAAAAACUGGAUGCACUUCGUGUACAAAUCGGAUAAUCUCUGUCGAAGUAUUAGGGUUUCAUACGGAAACUCGUCUGUUACAAAGGGAUUUCAUUUUUUGAACUUAUUUGAACUCCAUAGUUUUUCUGUGUUUAAAAUGCACCAUUCAAAGUCACAUCAUCAAUUUUCAACCCUCUCAUGAAUAGAUAAGUGACCAAAUUAAUAGAAGUUCAUCAUCACAUUAAAAUGAAAAUACAUACAUAGUUCUCAUUGAACAACAUAUAGCUCUCCAGAGCAUCUAAUUAAACCAUACAUUGAAAUUAUGUAAAACAUUUCAAUGCAAAAACGAAUGCGAUCAUAAUCACAACUAAAGUAACAACUGAUCCAACUGCAUAAUGAUGCCAAGCCUCAGUAUGAAUGGCAUAUUUUCUAAUCUAUUUAAUCUUCAACCGCAUUGCAUCCAUCUUGAUCUUGUGAUCAUCGACGACAUCCGCAUGCAACUCCAAUAUCAUCUUCUCCUCCUCAUUUUUUCUUAUUUUUUCCUUUAAGUAAUUGUUUUCUUCUUCAACUAAAUUUAACCUCUCGACAAUAGGGUUGGUUGGAAUUUCCGGUUCAACAACCUCCUAGAUAAAUAAACUCUAUGUCACGUUGGUUGGCAUAAUUAUCAUAAACAAUAAAUGAACCAAAUAGUUAUCAAAAGAUAAUAUAUACCACAUCUGAAUCAUAGACAUGACGAGGGCCGACGGGGGCGGAUACCAAAACCAUCGCACUAUAUAAUAACAAGGAAUAAUAAAAGUAAGAACAUUAGACAAGUAUCUAUCUGAAGUAAGAAUUUGUUUUGUUUCGGAAAGAAGACAAGAACAAGAGGCUCGCCACGGUGGUGUCGAUGACGAGAUCGGCGCGGGCGAUCGGCGGCGGUGAAGACGGGGACAGGACGUGACAGACCGCUAAACCUAGACAAAUCUCGGGGAAAAUGGAGCUCGGAGGUCGAGUUUCGAGAGGAGAAAGAUUAACUAGUGUGGCUCAGAUAUUUCAUCGAACACCUCAUGUGCAUAGGAGGUGAGCUAGAGCACCCAAAUGCCCUCCCCUCGCCGACCAGAAAAAACAGAGCACUGUCGAGUGCUCUGCUGCGGCGAUGGGGUAUAUAUAGGCAACUCAUUUGUCCCGGUUCUUGGUAGAACCCGGGACUAAAGCCCUGCAAUCUGUCCCGGUUCAAGCCACGAACCGGGAAUAAUGGUUGUGGGCCAGGAGCGAGGACCAUUGGUCCCGGUUCGUGCCUAGAACCGGCAUAAAUGGAUCCAGACAAACUGGGACCAAUGCCCACGAGGCCCCGGCCGACACCCUGGGCUAAUAAACCGGGACUAAUGCCCCCCAUGGGUCCCGGUUCGUGAAGAACCGCGACUAAUGGGCUGGCCAGGCCCGAACCAAAGCCCUGUUUUCUACUAGUGUUACCAGCAGCGCAUAAUGCGCCCACCCGCACUACUAUUGAAUUGUACUUGUAGAGUGGGUCCCUUACCCCACGCUACUGUUAAGAAUCUACCUAUAAGUUAUUUCCUAGUAGUGACACCGCAAGAUUAAACCUACUAGAAAGCACCUCUCCUGCUGAAGAUAAUUCAACCUAGUUCGCCAAACCAAAUAGAUAGAUCAGAGAGAAAUAUAAAUCUAUAACAAUCAUGCAUAAUAAUGUUCAACAAAGACUCAAUUACUUUCAAUGAAUAAUCUGAUCAUAGAACCACAAUUCAUUGGAUCCCAACAAACACAUAGCAAAACAAGAUUACAUUGAAUCGAUCUCCAAAAAGAACAUUGUAUUGAAGAUCAAAGAGAGAAAGAAGAAGCCAUCUAGGUGCUAGCUAUGGACCAGCAGGUCUGCAUUAACUAACAACUCACACAUCAUCGGAAGGCAGCAAGGCUGAUGUAGAAGCCCUCCAUGAUCGAUUCCCUCUCCGGCAGAGUACCCAAAAAGGCUUCCAGAUGGGGUUGCCGAAGAUUAGGCACUUGCGGCGGCGAAAAAAUUGUUACAGUGGCUUCUCGGGGGUUUCCCAGUAUUUAAGAAUUUAUAGAAGUGGAAUUAGGUCAGACAGGACCAUGUGAGGCCCGCAAGGUAACACGAAUGCAUAGCCCAAAGGGCGCGCCCUGUUGCCUUACUAUCUCCUUGCUUAUCGUAUGUUCUCUUCCGAAGCGUCUAGGUUCUCUUAUGUCAAGAAAAAAGCAUCAAAAAGUUUCCUAGCGUUUGGUCUUCGUUUGGUACAAACUUCCAGGAAAACAAAAAAUAGGCAGAAAACAACAACUGGCAUUAGGCACUAAUUUAAUAGGUUACUCCUAGAAAAUGAUAUAAAAUUGCAUAUAAAGCGUCUAAGAUUGAUAAUAUAAUAGCAUAAAAUUAUAGAUACAUUGGAGACGACACUACUGCUACAAAGUACCUGCAGCCCCGGAUUGCAGGUCCACACUACUCGUAAUUGAGGCUCAUAGGCUUGCUUUACGUAUAAGUAGUAGAAGUGUUGGGUAAAGUACAUACGCUACUACUAAAAGAUUAGUUACAGCGUUGGUAAUAUACCCAUCGCUGCUACUGUGGCCUACCCCGGGGUACUGUGGAGACCACGAGUAGUAGCGUUGGGUUGCUUAACUCGUGCUGCUACUAAGUGAUACCUAUGGUGCAUGUUUUUGAACAACGCAGCUAAUAAUUAACUGUAUCGCGGUCCACCUGCCCCGCGCUACUGCUAAGCAUCUACAGAUAGGCUUUUCCCUAGCAGUGCCUUCUUGCGCUUGAGGUUGGCCACCCUAGCCGCCUCCGUCGCUGCCUCCGCCACCUCCCGUUCAGACUGAUCAAUGCCGAGCCGGAGCCUUGACGGUGAUCCUUUGGAGCCGUUGGGUGUUCGUUUCUGCCGUGGUAAGUGAUCGUCGGUACACCCCUGGAAUGAGAUGUUCCUCCUUGUCGGGCACCGACAUCACGCGGCGGUGCCAGGUGGGCUCGUGUGAUUGCUUUAGUCUUUGGUAGAUCGACUAUGCAUCUUGAAUUAUUCUAACACCGAUUAAAAGGGAUCGAAAGGGUGAUGAAAACUAGCCUAGACAAAAUGGGUGCAAAAUAAGGGGAAAGAAACAAAAUGAAAGAAGUAAUUACAAGUCCAACUCACUACUCUCAUCAAUUUUUCCACUACAUAUAGUUUCUGCACUGCUAAGCCGAGUGAAGUUUAUUGGGUACUCGCCUUAUAGCUAGCACCAUCCCGAAGUCGUUAGUGGACGCCGCGUGGCAGUUAAAUUUGCCGUAUGUUUAAGGUAAGCCGAGUACUUUUUUCACGGCCUCACAGCUGAUUACGAUGUCAGCCGUGUUAUAUUACAUAAGCCAAAUGUCUUCUGCGUGGACACACAACUUACAUGGAAGUACAACUUACAUGGAAGUGAGUCGAGUGUCGCCAUGUAGCCGUGUGUCGUGUUAGCCUCACUCCGUUUACAUGCCACUAAGCGUUCAACCCGUGUCUUGACUCGGCUUACAUGCCACUAAGCGUUAAACCCGUGUUUUGACUCGGCUUACAUGCCACUAAGCGUUAAACCCGUGUUUUGACUCGGCUUACAUGCCACUAAGCGUUAAACCCGUGUUUUGACACUCGGUACUACCUCAGUGAAACUGUGGGAAGAUGGGUAGGUGGGGCCUCUCAACCAAGACAUCGUGGUUGGCGAGUGGGGACUCUACUGAACUCUAGCAUGGGUGUGGUAGAUUACUGACGUGAAGCCGGACCUCCUUAUGACUUGAUACUCGGCGACCUGUAGUGUAUGUUGAUUGUUCUUCUCCAGUUGUAAUAUAAAAUAAUUUUAACUAAUUUGAUUUGCGUGUUCACACUGUGCAUGUCAUUUUCCAAUAAGCACUAGUGCAGAAAAAGCUAGUGCCGGCGUUUUAAAAAUCACAUUCGUGGUGUGAGGGGUCGACGCCACCAAUAUGGUGUCAUUCUUAACAAAUACCGAUGAUGUCGGGCCCCACGCCAUCGGUAUUUUACAUAUUGGUGGCAUGGCACUAUUCACUCACGCCACCACUUUGUGAAAUAGCAAUGAUCGUGCACACAGAUACCACGUCACCACUAUACACUAGUAGUAGCAAUGUGAGCAUAUAGCCACCAAUGCCAUCAAUAAAUAUUUCUGGAUUUAAAAAAAUAUAAUUCAUCCAUGAAUCCAAAUAUUUAUAUAUUCAUCCACAUGUUCAAAUCAGUUAUAAAUUCAUACAUUCAUCCGUAUAUAUCAGUUCUACGAUGUGGUCGUCGUCGUCGCCGUUGUAGCCCCGUGUUGAUGUUAUCGUUGCCGUCGUCAUCGCCAUCGCAGCCCCAUGUCGAUACCACUUGUUGAGGAGAUCAUCGCGCAGCCCCGCGUCGAUUUCGUCGCCGCCGCAGGAACUUACUUUCAAUGGAAAUGUAGCAAUAACUAUUCGGUAAAGCGCAAACUGCACACUUAUCUUUUUUUAUCUAUCUUCGAACAUUCCUUUUCCAGACAAAUCACAACAAUUGAUUGCAAGUAACAAAAACAAGCAAGCAAUAUUAUCUAGCAUGCAAGCAUAAUUAAAGUUCACAUAAAUGAAGCUAUGCUAGAUCACUGUCAGACAUCAUGCAUUUGUGAACUAACUUUUUUUGAUAUAAGAUUGUGAAGUAUUCAGAUACCAUUUUAAUUGUAUUUUCAUCCAACUAUUAUUAUUGGAAAUAAAUAUAAAGAUGUUUCAGGUUUCAGUUUGGGCCCUAACACAAGGCAAUCAGUUAAAUGGACGGCAUUUCAGAAUGUUUCUUUUUUGUUUGAAAAUAGUGUGUUUACUGUAUAAUGGUGUCUAUCCUAGUUAUGUCAAACUUCCAAAUGGUGAACACACACAGAUUAAACAUAAGGUAAAGCAGCGGCUAAGGAUGUUGUUGAUUCAAAUUUCUGGAUGGAUGUGUCUUACGAAAUUCAAUUGGCCAGCUGCAGUUUAGGAUAAUUGGUAAUAUAUCUAUACACCAGCAGCUGGCCAAUCUCUUCACUGAAGGCUCCAUCGAUCAGCUAAAUCAAUAAGUUUAUUAAUUAGGACAUCCAUCAAGUCUAGGCCAGUAGGUUAGUUAGUUAAGAUGCAUGCAAACAGUAGGGAAAUUUAAGCAGUAUAAGAUGGGAAAUCUAAGCCCAUUACAAGACUUGCACGCAAGGAAACAUUAUGUGAGCUGCGCUACAACCACACUGCAGGGAAACAUUAAGCAGUCUUAAGUUUUAGAGCUUCUUCAUAGUUUCAUCUCUGAAUUUCAUUCGUAAAUCUUGUCCAAAUCCGCUUUUGGGGAGUCACAAAAAGACAUCGAGUACUUCAAAGAAGGAAUACUCUUCCAGUCUAUAUUCUACUACUUACAUCAAUUACAACAUAUAUCUGCAAGCACUAUCCAGGUUAUGUUUUCUGCACUGAUAUAAUGCAUCACUCAUUUAUUUUAUAUGAAUUAAAUUCUCAAAGUUGACCUUUAUUUGCAAACUAGACGAACUUGUUUGUGAAGUUAACUUACGAUGAAACAUGUAUUUGCAGUUCAUGACUAGAAAAUUUACUCAUGCACCCUCAGCUUAACUGUUAGUCUAACUAGCCAAACACAAACUUCUUCGGUGGAGACCUAUACCUUGGAGACGUGACAACAGGCGAGGGGUUGUAGCAGGGUGCAACCUCCAGCAUGAUGUCGCCUAGCUCCUCCACCCGGCUGUUCAUCAGGGCAUCUCUCCCGACUCUGAUCAGAUCGAAAUUCUAUUAGAUCAGAUCGAAUCAACAACAAGAAAGGGAAAGUUAGGAGAGGAGAAGAAUAUGGCCAGGCACGAGAUGGCUGACAACGGGAAGGGAGGGCGCUGGUAAAGGCGGAGGAGGAGCCCUUAUCUCCGGCGAGCCCAGCGGGUCGACCACCACCACCGUGGGCGGCGGCGCGUUUACGUUCUCCCCCCUGCACCACCCCGCCAAGAGCCGAGGAGGUGUAUGAGGAGAGCGAGUGGAUCUCCGAGGAGAGCACUGCGGUGGCGGGAGGGGCCGGAGUUUACCGGAAUCGUUGGUCGGCAGCGGCGGCAAUUUGAGGAUCACGUGGAGACAGAGAUGUGCGUUUGGGGAUCGUGGGCAGCGGCGGAGUUGACCGGAAGCAGAGGAGAUUAGGAUUGGGCAUGAUUUUAUCCGUGGCGUGUACAAAAACUAACGCCAUAAGUACUUCCUCCGUUCUUUUUUAGUCUGCAUAUAAAAUUUAAUCAAAAUCAAACUUUGUUAACCUUUGACUAAUUUUAUAAAAAAAAUUAUCAAGAUUCACAAUAUGAUAUCAAUAUUGUUAGAUGCCUCCAGGUCAACUUUCCUCUUUUUAGUGAUGACAAUUCACAAGCAAUUUAUAGCAGAAGUAACUUGUAUUGAGUGUUAAUGUACGGACCGAAAUGAUCUACAUUAUGUUGGUGGUUGAUAUAUCUUUGAUUGUAGGACCAAAAAUGUACGCAUACGUGGUACGCCGAGACACGCCCAAACAUCUAGUUGUAUAUACAUUUCCCUCGAAUAAAAUACUAGCAGCUAUAACACUACUCUUGAGAAAAAAAUUAUAUAUACCAGUAGUACAUGAUAUGUGAUGAUGUUUAGCUGCAGGCACGAUGGAACUCCUGCAAAGUUUUUGCUCUAACAAUCUGGGAAGUAUUCACGAAAGCUUAAUUUACCAAAUUGAGUGUUACAUGCAUGGUACAUGAGUUUUCGUUCUAGAAUACAAAGUGAUAACACACCCGUUUAGUUACCUCAUGGGUACAUGUUUUCUUUACAGAAGUAGAAUAAUACUACAUAUGGAGUUAUAUAAGCGGUACAUUAAAGGUAAGCACUCACACAAUGAAAAUUGGGGUAUAAAAAAUAACCGUGGACCGGAUCUAGUCAUAGUCCCUCCUCAAGUGAGCUGAGAGGGGAAGUUAUUUUGGUUGGUCACUCGGAAGCUAGGUGAGGCUCUCGACAUACAUAUGUGGUAGGGGAAAUGGCCAGUCUUCUGGUGUGUCCGGUUAGUCAUUCUUCGGUUAGGGGUAACCACCGGUUGUGCUAGCCGCCGCCAUCUCCGGCUGAGCAGUCUUUGGCGCAGCAUAAGUGUCAGUUGUGCUAGCUGCCGGCGUCUCCGGCUGAGCAUUCUUCGGUGCAGUGUAAAUAUCGGAUGUGACGGUCGCCGCGAUCACCUCCUUCUUCGGCUCUUCCUUCUUCGUCUCCUCCUUCUUCGCCUCCUCCUUUGGCUUGGUGUAUUUUUUAGGUUUCAUAGCCAUGACCUCCUCCUUUGGCUUCUCCUUUUUGGGUGUAUCCACUUUUUCUUUUGGUUUCUUCUGCGCACCAGUGUAUCCAGAGGCGUCAUUCUUUCCUUUGGACUUCUUCUCAUUUUUACUUUUGGGUUUCUUCUCGAUGGUGGAAGGCUGGGAGGGCUCACUCUUUCUUUUGGAUUUCUUCUCGGAGGCAACUUCAGAUUUCUUCUCCUUAGCAGCCUUGGUGCCACCUUCGGGUUUCUUCUCCUUGCCAGAGGCACUUACUGGUUUCUUCUCUGCAUCAACAUUGUUGGGGCUGACAUCAGGUUUCUUCUUAGCACUGUCAUAGCCAGCGACGACUUCGGGUUUCGUCUUUGCGCUAGAGGAGACGUCUGUUCCGGAGACGGCAUCUGGUUUGUUCUCCACAUCACUGGAGAUUGCUUCGGGUUUCUUCUCAACACUGGCCGAGACAGCUUCGGGUUUCUUCUCAAUACCGGCGGUGUAUCCGCCGGUAGCUUCAGAUUUCUUCACUCCACCGCCAUAGUCAAGAUCGCCAUGGGCCAAUGCUAGGGGGCUGGUGGAGGCAACAACGAGGAAGAGUAGAAGGGCUAGAGCGAGCUGGGCCCUCAUGAUAAUCAAUCAACCCGACGAACAGUGGUGGUGCGAUGAAAUGUCUGCAGGAGGAACUCGGGAGGUAUUUCAAUGGUGAGGGAGAGGGAGCUAGGGAAGGAGAAGAGAGAUGGUGCUGGUGGGUCUUGUUCAUUUUUCCUAGAACCGUAGCCGCUAAUUUUGUCCUGUAAAACCAUGCGCCCGCCGUGAAGAAAGGAGCCAAAAGAUAAGGCGGUAACUUUACUAAAUAAGGUCUAAUCCAUGUUUUAUUUACAUCUAUUCUGGGUGAUGUUAACAAAAUAGACACCAUGCAUGAAUGCAACUUCCUUUUCCUUUUUCUUUUUUCUUUUUUUGAGAGACUUGGUUUACUCAAUAACAUGUGGGCGCUCACCCGAGCUAUCGACCAUGGUAGAUGCAAAUACGAUUACUCAUCUAGCAAUUCAGACAUGUUGGAAAAAGUUGCUUUCAUGCAUCUAAAAAAUUACCAUGUUAUAGCCAUCUUUGCAAUGGACCAUAGGAUAUUAUUGCGGACUACAACAACUGUGGCAUGUGCUCCUCGAUACGCCAUUGAUCUCCCAUUCCUGACAAGAACAAACAUCGGUCAAUGCUCAUGAUUCCACUGCUCUUGUCGCAACACCGCCACACGGCUUGCAUAGCACAAUGCAGUCGCAGGACUAUCUUCCCCAGUGCUGCCACAAUUAAACUAGAUAGACGAAGUUUAGUGUUCAUUAGAUUCGACAGAAAAUCAUAAAACUUGCGUGUGGCAGUUAAAAAGGAGAGCAAGCGUUACUUUCCAUGGACGAAACUGGUCGUGACAAAGCCUGUCAGCCAUCUCAACUCCUCUGCGGUGGUGUUAUGUUUGCGAAAUUCAAGUCACUGGUUCCAGGAUCCAGACAUGAAAAACAACAACUAAUAUGGGACUGCGGGAGCUGGACUUGCCAUUUUUCUUGAAAAUUUGCCUCAUCCUCCUCUGAUCUGUAUGUAACAUUCACGAAAAUACAUUUCAGUUAUAUGUGAAGCAGAAUAUUCUUGCCUACACGUCUACACCUACUCAAUAUAUACGAUUUUAUAGGGUACCUUUCAAGUGUACCAAAAAGUUCUUCGUUAUACGCUUUGUGAAGAAAUUAAUAUAGCUCCAAUGUCCAAGCCUCCAUCAACGAAUAUAAAGCUUACAAUUUGAGCGGGAUGGGAUACAUACCUUGUUUUAUCCUCUAAAAUUUGAUGGAAAUGGGGCACAAACUACAUCGCCCUCUUCAAAGAAACCUUCUUUGAAUGCUCGGAUUAGGAAACUAAAUUUAACAAGUAGUUGUCUUCAGCGGAUCAGUGGUUCCAGCUCCUCUUUUUGGUAGGAACCAUGCUCAAUAUUCAGAAUCUUCUACAGUUUUGACAAAGAUUCAGAAGAUGUGUACUUAUCUUGCACCAGUUUUUCAAAUACAGCUUCUUGUGUAGAUAUUCAUAAUAUCUCCAUGGUUAUUACUUAGAGCAUUUCUAAACGAUCCCCGAUAAAGAGUGAAUAUCUGGUGGAGUAAACACUUAGUGGAGUAAAUUUACUACACUAAGUUUUGGCCAGACCUAAUUGAUCCCCUCUAUAUGACGGUGUAAACUUUUUUCAUUUGUUUUUCAUUUUGGGCCACUGAAACACAUUUCUUUGCUUCAUUAUUUCAUUCAACGAUAUUUUGAUACAUUUGAGUACAUUAUUCACAUAUUCUUCGCUAUGAGAGCAAGAGCAAAGAAAAUAGGAACCACAAUUAGACAUUUUAAAAGAUAUCCAAUUUCCAUAACUGCUCCCACUAGUUGGAUUAUAUCUUCUCUAUGUCUUCAUUGUUUAUCUGCAGCUUCUUGAGCUUGCACACUUGUUUCUUUCUUCUUCGAUUUCGAAGAAGUAGACAUUGCUUUGCAUGUAGUCUCAUCUGUAGUCUCUAUUCUAGCAAUCAGUGCACGAGCAUCUAUCAAUUUUUGUGCUAUCAAUAGAUCAAUGUAAUCUUCUUAUCAAUACAAAAACUUGCAUCCNNNNNNNNNNNNNNNNNNNNNNNNNNNNNNNNNNNNNNNNNNNNNNNNNNNNNNNNNNNNNNNNNNNNNNNNNNNNNNNNNNNNNNNNNNNNNNNNNNNNNNNNNNNNNNNNNNNNNNNNNNNNNNNNNNNNNNNNNNNNNNNNNNNNNNNNNNNNNNNNNNNNNNNNNNNNNNNNNNNNNNNNNNNNNNNNNNNNNNNNNNNNNNNNNNNNNNNNNNNNNNNNNNNNNNNNNNNNNNNNNNNNNNNNNNNNUCAUACACAUAAAUUAGAGCAAACAAUGAGCUACGGAAAUUCGAAUCCGGUGGAAUGAAAAUAUUCAUAUACACCAUCUUUCUUGCACUUGAAGAACACCCAUUCGGGAUGUUGCGGCAUGGUAAAAACUUGGCACACAACCUGCUGCGGGUAAUCGUUGCACUUUAUGAGCGGCAACUGUGAGCCAACGAGCCGUUUGGCCAACAUGGAGCCCAGGCAACGGUCACCCGUGUCUUUGCCGGCGAACCGCUGACGGGAGAGAUUAGAGCGGCUAGAUCGAGAGUGGACUUUUCACUCAACCGCCGAUAGGUGGAGUAAAUAUAGGGAGGCCGGGCGCGGCUGAGGAUAAUUAUCCUCAACUACGGUGGAUUGGGGAUCAGUUAGGUGCCACUUAGGAGAGUAAAACAGAAUUUUUACUCCUCUAACCAGUUAUAGGGGAUCGGUUAGAAAUGCCCUUACUAAAUUGUUCAUCCUUAGUCUGUGUGAAAAAUGCUAAAUGAAGAGUGAAAAUGUUGUGCACUGUAAGUUUUCUGCGAUUUAUGUGUUCGUUUGCCGAAACCGAAUGCGGUUAUGACUAAGGUUGGAAAAUCCAUAUGCUUGUGAUGACAUAUGGCAUAUCUUGUUCCUCUUUUGCGAAUGGGACUGCAACUAAUAUGUUUCCACCAGAAACUUGGGUUAGUAGUGUGUUUCACAGAUUGUUGCAGUAUGUAUUAAGGACUCAUGGCAUAACACAAGGAUAUUCUUUCUUCUUACAUUUUGUAAAUCCAACCUUGACAUGCUGCAGCAAACGUGCAGAUUUACUUCGAUCCUAGUUUUCUAGCGUUUAGGCCAAGAGUUUGGUGCGCUAAGAUUUUCCUAACACCGUGUUUGGGCAUACGCUGCACACGCUCUCAUCAUUUCUGCACCAUACACUAAAGGGCCUCAAGACACAGACCAGCAACAUCAACAUCGACAAUGACCCUGUGAAAAGGAUGAUCUAUUUUGAACAGGGCAUGCACUGCCGUGGAGCAGACCAACAGCUAGCGCUUCUUCUGCGGAGAGCUGCUGGAGAAAAGUCGCACCCUAGGCUAGCUACAACAUUUUGGUUCAUUCGUGUCCAUCCACCUUGCAAAAAGAUUCUUGUUGGUUAAAAAGGAAAAUCAGGUUUCGAUAAAUGGUAGCACAGUGUCGUUGUUCAAAGAUAAUUAAGCUCGUUGAAAGGGAUAAAUGUAUAAUCACACAAUGAAGCACGCACAAAGAUAAUUACUAAGUUCACUGCCCCUUUCUUGCCAGCACCAAAGUCUUACAGAUACCGAUCAGUCAGUCAGCCACGCGCUCUAAUUUCAUACAUCAGGAAAGAAAGAUGAAAAGGGAGGAUGCAUCUCAAAGAGGCAGCCAAAAAGCGGCACUCAUUGGGAGCGCCAUCAUUCUUUUGCCAUCCAUUGAGGUCAUUGUCAUCGUUCAUUUCACAUUUCACAACGGAUUCCAGAAUUUCAUACUUGAUAGGCCUACCAAACAAAAAAUGUAGGGCUGGUAUGGGGAGGCCCAGGCGCGAUCAGGUGCGUCCGACACGUCCGACCUGACAAGCCUCCCCUACCAAAAAUUGCACGAAAUCCACCGANNNNNNNNNNNNNNNNNNNNNNNNNNNNNNNNNNNNNNNNNNNNNNNNNNNNNNNNNNNNNNNNNNNNNNNNNNNNNNNNNNNNNNNNNNNNNNNNNNNNNNNNNNNNNNNNNNNNNNNNNNNNNNNNNNNNNNNNNNNNNNNNNNNNNNNNNNNNNNNNNNNNNNNNNNNNNNNNNNNNNNNNNNNNNNNNNNNNNNNNNNNNNNNNNNNNNNNNNNNNNNNNNNNNNNNNNNNNNNNNNNNNNNNNNNNNNNNNNNNNNNNNNNNNNNNNNNNNNNNNNNNNNNNNNNNNNNNNNNNNNNNNNNNNNNNNNNNNNNNNNNNNNNNNNNNNNNNNNNNNNNNNNNNNNNNNNNNNNNNNNNNNNNNNNNNNNNNNNNNNNNNNNNNNNNNNNNNNNNNNNNNNNNNNNNNNNNNNNNNNNNNNNNNNNNNNNNNNNNNNNNNNNNNNNNNNNNNNNNNNNNNNNNNNNNNNNNNNNNNNNNNNNNNNNNNNNNNNNNNNNNNNNNNNNNNNNNNNNNNNNNNNNNNNNNNNNNNNNNNNNNNNNNNNNNNNNNNNNNNNNNNNNNNNNNNNNNNNNNNNNNNNNNNNNNNNNNNNNNNNNNNNNNNNNNNNNNNNNNNNNNNNNNNNNNNNNNNNNNNNNNNNNNNNNNNNNNNNNNNNNNNNNNNNNNNNNNNNNNNNNNNNNNNNNNNNNNNNNNNNNNNNNNNNNNNNNNNNNNNNNNNNNNNNNNNNNNNNNNNNNNNNNNNNNNNNNNNNNNNNNNNNNNNNNNNNNNNNNNNNNNNNNNNNNNNNNNNNNNNNNNNNNNNNNNNNNNNNNNNNNNNNNNNNNNNNNNNNNNNNNNNNNNNNNNNNNNNNNNNNNNNNNNNNNNNNNNNNNNNNNNNNNNNNNNNNNNNNNNNNNNNNNNNNNNNNNNNNNNNNNNNNNNNNNNNNNNNNNNNNNNNNNNNNNNNNNNNNNNNNNNNNNNNNNNNNNNNNNNNNNNNNNNNNNNNNNNNNNNNNNNNNNNNNNNNNNNNNNNNNNNNNNNNNNNNNNNNNNNNNNNNNNNNNNNNNNNNNNNNNNNNNNNNNNNNNNNNNNNNNNNNNNNNNNNNNNNNNNNNNNNNNNNNNNNNNNNNNNNNNNNNNNNNNNNNCCCCCUCCUCCCGCCUCCCUCCACCAAUUCCCACAUCUGAGCCCUCGCUGUCCGCCACGCUUGCUCCCCAUCCACGCCGCCGGUCCCAAUCCGCCAUCCUUGAUGUCGUCCAGCCCGACACACAACACCGCAAUUGAGGUUCUGUCUGCAUCGCUCAUCGAUGUCUCGUCCUCGGCGACAUCGUGCAAACUAGAGAGCAUCGCCUGAAGGGACAAGCGACAGACGCAGCGGGAGAGAGAAGCGGUGGCGGCUCAUGGAACGAAUGUGGACCUCAAGGAGCAAUCGCAAACCUCCCCCCCCCCCACCGCCGACAUGCCUGGGACCCCGCACCACGUCCAUCCAGGUGCUGACAAGGAUCGCGCCAUUGGACCAGGUUGGGUUAGAGGAUCCGGCGAUCGAAUUAGUCCAAUGUAGUUUCCACCAACACAAAUGUAACAGCUCGUUCAGGCGCAGACAAGCAUGGGCACCGGCAGCCCCUGGGCUGCCCACAACCUAGUCAACGUUAUGACAAAACAAGACUCGCUAUGUUCUUUUUUCUCCUCUCCGAUCAACUUUGCAUAUGCCAUGAUGAAUGUUGUAAAUAGACCGCUAGUUCAUUUCCAACAUGAUCAAUGCUUGGAAACCAUGAGAGUUUUAGGGGUUUGUCAGGUCAGACACGACCAAUGAUAUUCAUGAUCCGACCCAAAUGGACUACGGGUUUGGGGAUCCCACUUGCCCUUCAUUUAAAGUUGUGGCAACAUCAAAUCACAGUCUGGGAAAGAAAUAAAAGAAGCCAAGGCCGAGAAAGGCAAGACGUCCGACAUUCUCAACUUUUUCGGAUAUCUUGGUGGUUAAAUCUUCGUUGGUCACAUCAGUGGAUCUAUAUGUGGCAUGGAUCAAAAGAGGAAUAAAUAUGACAGAAGAUUUGGAAGGACUGCCAUGAACAAGAGCAAUAUGCGCAGCCCCAUCAUAUUGUAACCAACCGCAGUGUGGCAUCUCUCCAACAUCAAUGGGGGAUUAUUCAACGGGAAUGAACUAGUACAUCGUCUUCUAUUCAAAAGUGCUUGUCCGCUCUCAAAGUUGGAUGGGAGAGGCAACUCAGAUAAGCUAAAUUACUUCAUCUUGUCAUCAUUUGCACAUGCUUGUUUUUUGUUGCAUUUUCAUUGUCACACAUACACUAAUAGAGGAACGGCCUUUAGUCCAGGUUUGAAAGGGCCUUUAGUACCAGUUCACCAACCGGGACAAAUAAAUCGGGACUAACGACCCCACCCUUUAAUCCCGGUUGGCCACGACCCGGACUAAAUCCCUGCCACGUGGCCGGCAGCAUGCACCGGGGACUGUGGACCUUUAGUCUGGGUUGGUGCCAUCAACCGGGACUAAAGAUUUAGGUGUUUAGGCGUUUAUGGUUUUAGGGUUUAUGGUUUAAUUUUUUUCCUUUUCAUUUUGUGUUUUUCAUUUAAUUCUUUUUCAUUUCAAACAUAUUUUACGCUACUACAUACUAUACACGCCAUACAUAUAUAAUAGAAUUUCUCGUACGAACAUGCAUACACAUAUUAUAUAUAUAUAUAUAUAUAUAUAUAUAUAUAUAUAUAUAUAUAUANNNNNNNNNNNNNNNNNNNNNNNNNNNNNNNNNNNNNNNNNNNNNNNNNNNNNNNNNNNNNNNNNNNNNNNNNNNNNNNNNNNNNNNNNNNNNNNNNNNNNNNNNNNNNNNNNNNNNNNNNNNNNNNNNNNNNNNNNNNNNNNNNNNNNNNNNNNNNNNNNNNNNNNNNNNNNNNNNNNNNNNNNNNNNNNNNNNNNNNNNNNNNNNNNNNNNNNNNNNNNNNNNNNNNNNNNNNNNNNNNNNNNNNNNNNNNNNNNNNNNNNNNNNNNNNNNNNNNNNNNNNNNNNNNNNNNNNNNNNNNNNNNNNNNNNNNNNNNNNNNNNNNNNNNNNNNNNNNNNNNNNNNNNNNNNNNNNNNNNNNNNNNNNNNNNNNNNNNNNNNNNNNNNNNNNNNNNNNNNNNNNNNNNNNNNNNNNNNNNNNNNNNNNNNNNNNNNNNNNNNNNNNNNNNNNNNNNNNNNNNNNNNNNNNNNNNNNNNNNNNNNNNNNNNNNNNNNNNNNNNNNNNNNNNNNNNNNNNNNNNNNNNNNNNNNNNNNNNNNNNNNNNNNNNNNNNNNNNNNNNNNNNNNNNNNNNNNNNNNNNNNNNNNNNNNNNNNNNNNNNNNNNNNNNNNNNNNNNNNNNNNNNNNNNNNNNNNNNNNNNNNNNNNNNNNNNNNNNNNNNNNNNNNNNNNNNNNNNNNNNNNNNNNNNNNNNNNNNNNNNNNNNNNNNNNNNNNNNNNNNNNNNNNNNNNNNNNNNNNNNNNNNNNNNNNNNNNNNNNNNNNNNNNNNNNNNNNNNNNNNNNNNNNNNUUGUCAAAUGAAAUGUACAUUGCCUCCUGGACAACUUUCCUCUUUUUAGUGAUGACAAUUCACAAGCAAUUUAUAGCAAAGGAAGUAACUUGUAUUGGGUGUUAAUGUACGGCCGAAAUGAUGUACAUUAUGUUUGUGGUUGAUAUAUCUUUGUUUGUAGGACCAAAAAUGUACGCAUACCAUGGUACGCCGAGACACGCCCCAACAUCUAGUUGUAUAUACAUUUCCCUCGAAUAAAAUACUAGCAGCUAUAACACUACUCUUGAGAACAAAAUUAUAUAUACCAGUAGUACAUGAUAUGCGAUGAUGUUUAGCUGCAGGCACGAUGGAACUCCUGCAAAGUUUUUGCUCUAACAAUCUGGGAAGUAUUCACGAAAGCUUAAUUUACCAAAUUGAGUGUUACAUGCACGGUACAUGAGUUUUCAAUCUAGAAUACAAAGUGAUAACACACCCGUUUAGUUACCUCAUGGGUACAUGUUUUCUUUACAAAAGUAGAAUAAUACUACAGAUGGAGUUAUAUAAGCGGUACAUUAAAGGUAAGCACUCACACAAUGAAAAUUGGGGUAUAAAAAAUAACCGUGGACCGGAUCUAGUCAUAGUCCCUCCUCAAGUGAGCUGAGAGGGGAAGUUAUUUUGGUUGGUCACUCGGAAGCUAGGUGAGGCUCUCGACAUACAUAUGUGGUAGGGGAAAUGGCCAGUCUUCUGGUGUGUCCGGUUAGUCAUUCUUCGGUUAGGGGUAACCACCGGUUGUGCUAGCCGCCGCCAUCUCCGGCUGAGCAGUCUUUGGCGCAGCAUAAGUGUCAGUUGUGCUAGCUGCCGGCGUCUCCGGCUGAGCAUUCUUCGGUGCAGUGUAAAUAUCGGAUGUGACGGUCGCCGCGAUCACCUCCUUCUUCGGCUCUUCCUUCUUCGCCUCCUCCUUCUUCGCCUCCUCCUUUGGCUUGGUGUAUUUUUUAGGUUUCAUAGCCAUGACCUCCUCCUUUGGCUUCUCCUUUUUGGGUGUAUCCACUUUUUCUUUUGGUUUCUUCUACGCACCAGUGUAUCCAGAGGCGUCAUUCUUUCCUUUGGACUUCUUCUCAUUUUUACUUUUGGGUUUCUUCUCGAUGGUGGAAGGCUGGGAGGGCUCACUCUUUCUUUUGGAUUUCUUCUCGGAGUCAACUUCAGAUUUCUUCUCCUUAGCAGCCUUGGUGCCACCUUCGGGUUUCUUCUCCUUGCCAGAGGCACUUACUGGUUUCUUCUCUGCAUCAACAUUGUUGGGGCUGACAUCAGGUUUCUUCUUAGCACUGUCAUAGCCAGCGACGACUUCGGGUUUCGUCUUUGCGCUAGAGGAGACGUCUGUUCCGGAGACGGCAUCUGGUUUGUUCUCCACAUCACUGGAGAUUGCUUCGGGUUUCUUCUCAACACUGGCCGAGACAGCUUCGGGUUUCUUCUCAAUACCGGCGGUGUAUCCGCCGGUAGCUUCAGAUUUCUUCACUCCACCGCCAUAGUCAAGAUCGCCAUGGGCCAAUGCUAGGGGGCUGGUGGAGGCAACAACGAGGAAGAGUAGAAGGGCUAGAGCGAGCUGGGCCCUCAUGAUAAUCAAUCAACCCGACGAACAGUGGUGGUGCGAUGAAAUGUCUGCAGGAGGAACUCGGGAGGUAUUUCAAUGGUGAGGGAGAGGGAGCUAGGGAAGGAGAAGAGAGAUGGUGCUGGUGGGUCUUGUUCAUUUUUCCUAGAACCGUAGCCGCUAAUUUUGUCCUGUAAAACCAUGCGCCCGCCGUGAAGAAAGGAGCCAAAAGAUAAGGCGGUAACUUUACUAAAUAAGGUCUAAUCCAUGUUUUAUUUACAUCUAUUCUGGGUGAUGUUAACAAAAUGGACACCAUGCAUGAAUGCAACUUCCUUUUCCUUUUUCUUUUUUUCUUUUUUUGAGAGACUUGGUUUACUCAAUAACAUGUGGGCGCUCACCCGAGCUAUCGACCAUGGUAGAUGCAAAUACGAUUACUCAUCUAGCAAUUCAGACAUGUUGGAAAAAGUUGCUUUCAUGCAUCUAAAAAAUUACCAUGUUAUAGCCAUCUUUGCAAUGGACCAUAGGAUAUUAUUGCGGACUACAACAACUGUGGCAUGUGCUCCUCGAUACGCCAUUGAUCUCCCAUUCCUGACAAGAACAAACAUCGGUCAAUGCUCAUGAUUCCACUGCUCUUGUCGCAACACCGCCACACGGCUUGCAUAGCACAAUGCAGUCGCAGGACUAUCUUCCCCAGUGCUGCCACAAUUAAACUAGAUAGACGAAGUUUAGUGUUCAUUAGAUUCGACAGAAAAUCAUAAAACUUGCGUGUGGCAGUUAAAAAGGAGAGCAAGCGUUACUUUCCAUGGACGAAACUGGUCGUGACAAAGCCUGUCAGCCAUCUCAACUCCUCUGCGGUGGUGUUAUGUUUGCGAAAUUCAAGUCACUGGUUCCAGGAUCCAGACAUGAAAAACAACAACUAAUAUGGGACUGCGGGAGCUGGACUUGCCAUUUUUCUUGAAAAUUUGCCUCAUCCUCCUCUGAUCUGUAUGUAACAUUCACGAAAAUACAUUUCAGUUAUAUGUGAAGCAGAAUAUUCUUGCCUACACGUCUACACCUACUCAAUAUAUACGAUUUUAUAGGGUACCUUUCAAGUGUACCAAAAAGUUCUUCGUUAUACGCUUUGUGAAGAAAUUAAUAUAGCUCCAAUGUCCAAGCCUCCAUCAACGAAUAUAAAGCUUACAAUUUGAGCGGGAUGGGAUACAUACCUUGUUUUAUCCUCUAAAAUUUGAUGGAAAUGGGGCACAAACUACAUCGCCCUCUUCAAAGAAACCUUCUUUGAAUGCUCGGAUUAGGAAACUAAAUUUAACAAGUAGUUGUCUUCAGCGGAUCAGUGGUUCCAGCUCCUCUUUUUGGUAGGAACCAUGCUCAAUAUUCAGAAUCUUCUACAGUUUUGACAAAGAUUCAGAAGAUGUGUACUUAUCUUGCACCAGUUUUUCAAAUACAGCUUCUUGUGUAGAUAUUCAUAAUAUCUCCAUGGUUAUUACUUAGAGCAUUUCUAAACGAUCCCCGAUAAAGAGUGAAUAUCUGGUGGAGUAAACACUUAGUGGAGUAAAUUUACUACACUAAGUUUUGGCCAGACCUAAUUGAUCCCCUCUAUAUGACGGUGUAAACUUUUUUCAUUUGUUUUUCAUUUUGGGCCACUGAAACACAUUUCUUUGCUUCAUUAUUUCAUUCAACGAUAUUUUGAUACAUUUGAGUACAUUAUUCACAUAUUCUUCGCUAUGAGAGCAAGAGCAAAGAAAAUAGGAACCACAAUUAGACAUUUUAAAAGAUAUCCAAUUUCCAUAACUGCUCCCACUAGUUGGAUUAUAUCUUCUCUAUGUCUUCAUUGUUUAUCUGCAGCUUCUUGAGCUUGCACACUUGUUUCUUUCUUCUUCGAUUUCGAAGAAGUAGACAUUGCUUUGCAUGUAGUCUCAUCUGUAGUCUCUAUUCUAGCAAUCAGUGCACGAGCAUCUAUCAAUUUUUGUGCUAUCAAUAGAUCAAUGUAAUCUUCUUAUCAAUACAAAAACUUGCAUCCNNNNNNNNNNNNNNNNNNNNNNNNNNNNNNNNNNNNNNNNNNNNNNNNNNNNNNNNNNNNNNNNNNNNNNNNNNNNNNNNNNNNNNNNNNNNNNNNNNNNNNNNNNNNNNNNNNNNNNNNNNNNNNNNNNNNNNNNNNNNNNNNNNNNNNNNNNNNNNNNNNNNNNNNNNNNNNNNNNNNNNNNNNNNNNNNNNNNNNNNNNNNNNNNNNNNNNNNNNNNNNNNNNNNNNNNNNNNNNNNNNNNNNNNNNNNNNNNNNNNNNNNNNNNNNNNNNNNNNNNNNNNNNNNNNNNNNNNNNNNNNNNNNNNNNNNNNNNNNNNNNNNNNNNNNNNNNNNNNNNNNNNNNNNNNNNNNNNNNNNNNNNNNNNNNNNNNNNNNNNNNNNNNNNNNNNNNNNNNNNNNNNNNNNNNNNNNNNNNNNNNNNNNNNNNNNNNNNNNNNNNNNNNNNNNNNNNNNNNNNNNNNNNNNNNNNNNNNNNNNNNNNNNNNNNNNNNNNNNNNNNNNNNNNNNNNNNNNNNNNNNNNNNNNNNNNNNNNNNNNNNNNNNNNNNNNNNNNNNNNNNNNNNNNNNNNNNNNNNNNNNNNNNNNNNNNNNNNNNNNNNNNNNNNNNNNNNNNNNNNNNNNNNNNNNNNNNNNNNNNNNNNNNNNNNNNNNNNNNNNNNNNNNNNUCAUACACAUAAAUUAGAGCAAACAAUGAGCUACGGAAAUUCGAAUCCGGUGGAAUGAAAAUAUUCAUAUACACCAUCUUUCUUGCACUUGAAGAACACCCAUUCGGGAUGUUGCGGCAUGGUAAAAACUUGGCACACAACCUGCUGCGGGUAAUCGUUGCACUUUAUGAGCGGCAACUGUGAGCCAACGAGCCGUUUGGCCAACAUGGAGCCCAGGCAACGGUCACCCGUGUCUUUGCCGGCGAACCGCUGACGGGAGAGAUUAGAGCGGCUAGAUCGAGAGUGGACUUUUCACUCAACCGCCGAUAGGUGGAGUAAAUAUAGGGAGGCCGGGCGCGGCUGAGGAUAAUUAUCCUCAACUACGGUGGAUUGGGGAUCAGUUAGGUGCCACUUAGGAGAGUAAAACAGAAUUUUUACUCCUCUAACCAGUUAUAGGGGAUCGGUUAGAAAUGCCCUUACUAAAUUGUUCAUCCUUAGUCUGUGUGAAAAAUGCUAAAUGAAGAGUGAAAAUGUUGUGCACUGUAAGUUUUCUGCGAUUUAUGUGUUCGUUUGCCGAAACCGAAUGCGGUUAUGACUAAGGUUGGAAAAUCCAUAUGCUUGUGAUGACAUAUGGCAUAUCUUGUUCCUCUUUUGCGAAUGGGACUGCAACUAAUAUGUUUCCACCAGAAACUUGGGUUAGUAGUGUGUUUCACAGAUUGUUGCAGUAUGUAUUAAGGACUCAUGGCAUAACACAAGGAUAUUCUUUCUUCUUACAUUUUGUAAAUCCAACCUUGACAUGCUGCAGCAAACGUGCAGAUUUACUUCGAUCCUAGUUUUCUAGCGUUUAGGCCAAGAGUUUGGUGCGCUAAGAUUUUCCUAACACCGUGUUUGGGCAUACGCUGCACACGCUCUCAUCAUUUCUGCACCAUACACUAAAGGGCCUCAAGACACAGACCAGCAACAUCAACAUCGACAAUGACCCUGUGAAAAGGAUGAUCUAUUUUGAACAGGGCAUGCACUGCCGUGGAGCAGACCAACAGCUAGCGCUUCUUCUGCGGAGAGCUGCUGGAGAAAAGUCGCACCCUAGGCUAGCUACAACAUUUUGGUUCAUUCGUGUCCAUCCACCUUGCAAAAAGAUUCUUGUUGGUUAAAAAGGAAAAUCAGGUUUCGAUAAAUGGUAGCACAGUGUCGUUGUUCAAAGAUAAUUAAGCUCGUUGAAAGGGAUAAAUGUAUAAUCACACAAUGAAGCACGCACAAAGAUAAUUACUAAGUUCACUGCCCCUUUCUUGCCAGCACCAAAGUCUUACAGAUACCGAUCAGUCAGUCAGCCACGCGCUCUAAUUUCAUACAUCAGGAAAGAAAGAUGAAAAGGGAGGAUGCAUCUCAAAGAGGCAGCCAAAAAGCGGCACUCAUUGGGAGCGCCAUCAUUCUUUUGCCAUCCAUUGAGGUCAUUGUCAUCGUUCAUUUCACAUUUCACAACGGAUUCCAGAAUUUCAUACUUGAUAGGCCUACCAAACAAAAAAUGUAGGGCUGGUAUGGGGAGGCCCAGGCGCGAUCAGGUGCGUCCGACACGUCCGACCUGACAAGCCUCCCCUACCAAAAAUUGCACGAAAUCCACCGANNNNNNNNNNNNNNNNNNNNNNNNNNNNNNNNNNNNNNNNNNNNNNNNNNNNNNNNNNNNNNNNNNNNNNNNNNNNNNNNNNNNNNNNNNNNNNNNNNNNNNNNNNNNNNNNNNNNNNNNNNNNNNNNNNNNNNNNNNNNNNNNNNNNNNNNNNNNNNNNNNNNNNNNNNNNNNNNNNNNNNNNNNNNNNNNNNNNNNNNNNNNNNNNNNNNNNNNNNNNNNNNNNNNNNNNNNNNNNNNNNNNNNNNNNNNNNNNNNNNNNNNNNNNNNNNNNNNNNNNNNNNNNNNNNNNNNNNNNNNNNNNNNNNNNNNNNNNNNNNNNNNNNNNNNNNNNNNNNNNNNNNNNNNNNNNNNNNNNNNNNNNNNNNNNNNNNNNNNNNNNNNNNNNNNNNNNNNNNNNNNNNNNNNNNNNNNNNNNNNNNNNNNNNNNNNNNNNNNNNNNNNNNNNNNNNNNNNNNNNNNNNNNNNNNNNNNNNNNNNNNNNNNNNNNNNNNNNNNNNNNNNNNNNNNNNNNNNNNNNNNNNNNNNNNNNNNNNNNNNNNNNNNNNNNNNNNNNNNNNNNNNNNNNNNNNNNNNNNNNNNNNNNNNNNNNNNNNNNNNNNNNNNNNNNNNNNNNNNNNNNNNNNNNNNNNNNNNNNNNNNNNNNNNNNNNNNNNNNNNNNNNNNNNNNNNNNNNNNNNNNNNNNNNNNNNNNNNNNNNNNNNNNNNNNNNNNNNNNNNNNNNNNNNNNNNNNNNNNNNNNNNNNNNNNNNNNNNNNNNNNNNNNNNNNNNNNNNNNNNNNNNNNNNNNNNNNNNNNNNNNNNNNNNNNNNNNNNNNNNNNNNNNNNNNNNNNNNNNNNNNNNNNNNNNNNNNNNNNNNNNNNNNNNNNNNNNNNNNNNNNNNNNNNNNNNNNNNNNNNNNNNNNNNNNNNNNNNNNNNNNNNNNNNNNNNNNNNNNNNNNNNNNNNNNNNNNNNNNNNNNNNNNNNNNNNNNNNNNNNNNNNNNNNNNNNNNNNNNNNNNNNNNNNNNNNNNNNNNNNNNNNNNNNNNNNNNNNNNNNNNNNNNNNNNNNNNNNNNNNNNNNNNNNNNNNNNNNNNNNNNNNNNNNNNNNNNNNNNNNNNNNNNNNNNNNNNNNNNNNNNNNNNNNNNNNNNNNNNNNNNNNNNNNNNNNNNNNNNNNNNNNNNNNNNNNNNNNNNNNNNNNNNNNNNNNNNNNNNNNNNNNNNNNNNNNNNNNNNNNNNNNNNNNNNNNNNNNNNNNNNNNNNNNNNNNNNNNNNNNNNNNNNNNNNNNNNNNNNNNNNNNNNNNNNNNNNNNNNNNNNNNNNNNNNNNNNNNNNNNNNNNNNNNNNNNNNNNNNNNNNNNNNNNNNNNNNNNNNNNNNNNNNNNNNNNNNNNNNNNNNNNNNNNNNNNNNNNNNNNNNNNNNNNNNNNNNNNNNNNNNNNNNNNNNNNNNNNNNNNNNNNNNNNNNNNNNNNNNNNNNNNNNNNNNNNNNNNNNNNNNNNNNNNNNNNNNNNNNNNNNNNNNNNNNNNNNNNNNNNNNNNNNNNNNNNNNNNNNNNNNNNNNNNNNNNNNNNNNNNNNNNNNNNNNNNNNNNNNNNNNNNNNNNNNNNNNNNNNNNNNNNNNNNNNNNNNNNNNNNNNNNNNNNNNNNNNNNNNNNNNNNNNNNNNNNNNNNNNNNNNNNNNNNNNNNNNNNNNNNNNNNNNNNNNNNNNNNNNNNNNNNNNNNNNNNNNNNNNNNNNNNNNNNNNNNNNNNNNNNNNNNNNNNNNNNNNNNNNNNNNNNNNNNNNNNNNNNNNNNNNNNNNNNNNNNNNNNNNNNNNNNNNNNNNNNNNNNNNNNNNNNNNNNNNNNNNNNNNNNNNNNNNNNNNNNNNNNNNNNNNNNNNNNNNNNNNNNNNNNNNNNNNNNNNNNNNNNNNNNNNNNNNNNNNNNNNNNNNNNNNNNNNNNNNNNNNNNNNNNNNNNNNNNNNNNNNNNNNNNNNNNNNNNNNNNNNNNNNNNNNNNNNNNNNNNNNNNNNNNNNNNNNNNNNNNNNNNNNNNNNNNNNNNNNNNNNNNNNNNNNNNNNNNNNNNNNNNNNNNNNNNNNNNNNNNNNNNNNNNNNNNNNNNNNNNNNNNNNNNNNNNNNNNNNNNNNNNNNNNNNNNNNNNNNNNNNNNNNNNNNNNNNNNNNNNNNNNNNNNNNNNNNNNNNNNNNNNNNNNNNNNNNNNNNNNNNNNNNNNNNNNNNNNNNNNNNNNNNNNNNNNNNNNNNNNNNNNNNNNNNNNNNNNNNNNNNNNNNNNNNNNNNNNNNNNNNNNNNNNNNNNNNNNNNNNNNNNNNNNNNNNNNNNNNNNNNNNNNNNNNNNNNNNNNNNNNNNNNNNNNNNNNNNNNNNNNNNNNNNNNNNNNNNNNNNNNNNNNNNNNNNNNNNNNNNNNNNNNNNNNNNNNNNNNNNNNNNNNNNNNNNNNNNNNNNNNNNNNNNNNNNNNNNNNNNNNNNNNNNNNNNNNNNNNNNNNNNNNNNNNNNNNNNNNNNNNNNNNNNNNNNNNNNNNNNNNNNNNNNNNNNNNNNNNNNNNNNNNNNNNNNNNNNNNNNNNNNNNNNNNNNNNNNNNNNNNNNNNNNNNNNNNNNNNNNNNNNNNNNNNNNNNNNNNNNNNNNNNNNNNNNNNNNNNNNNNNNNNNNNNNNNNNNNNNNNNNNNNNNNNNNNNNNNNNNNNNNNNNNNNNNNNNNNNNNNNNNNNNNNNNNNNNNNNNNNNNNNNNNNNNNNNNNNNNNNNNNNNNNNNNNNNNNNNNNNNNNNNNNNNNNNNNNNNNNNNNNNNNNNNNNNNNNNNNNNNNNNNNNNNNNNNNNNNNNNNNNNNNNNNNNNNNNNNNNNNNNNNNNNNNNNNNNNNNNNNNNNNNNNNNNNNNNNNNNNNNNNNNNNNNNNNNNNNNNNNNNNNNNNNNNNNNNNNNNNNNNNNNNNNNNNNNNNNNNNNNNNNNNNNNNNNNNNNNNNNNNNNNNNNNNNNNNNNNNNNNNNNNNNNNNNNNNNNNNNNNNNNNNNNNNNNNNNNNNNNNNNNNNNNNNNNNNNNNNNNNNNNNNNNNNNNNNNNNNNNNNNNNNNNNNNNNNNNNNNNNNNNNNNNNNNNNNNNNNNNNNNNNNNNNNNNNNNNNNNNNNNNNNNNNNNNNNNNNNNNNNNNNNNNNNNNNNNNNNNNNNNNNNNNNNNNNNNNNNNNNNNNNNNNNNNNNNNNNNNNNNNNNNNNNNNNNNUUGUCAAAUGAAAUGUACAUUGCCUCCUGGACAACUUUCCUCUUUUUAGUGAUGACAAUUCACAAGCAAUUUAUAGCAAAGGAAGUAACUUGUAUUGGGUGUUAAUGUACGGCCGAAAUGAUGUACAUUAUGUUUGUGGUUGAUAUAUCUUUGUUUGUAGGACCAAAAAUGUACGCAUACCAUGGUACGCCGAGACACGCCCCAACAUCUAGUUGUAUAUACAUUUCCCUCGAAUAAAAUACUAGCAGCUAUAACACUACUCUUGAGAACAAAAUUAUAUAUACCAGUAGUACAUGAUAUGCGAUGAUGUUUAGCUGCAGGCACGAUGGAACUCCUGCAAAGUUUUUGCUCUAACAAUCUGGGAAGUAUUCACGAAAGCUUAAUUUACCAAAUUGAGUGUUACAUGCACGGUACAUGAGUUUUCAAUCUAGAAUACAAAGUGAUAACACACCCGUUUAGUUACCUCAUGGGUACAUGUUUUCUUUACAAAAGUAGAAUAAUACUACAGAUGGAGUUAUAUAAGCGGUACAUUAAGGGUAAGCACUCACACAAUGAAAAUUGGGGUAUAAAAAAUAACCGUGGACCGGAUCUAGUCAUAAUCCCUCCUCAAGUGAGCUGAGAGGGGAAGUUAUUUUGGUUGGUCACUCGGAAGCUACGUGAGGCUCUCGACAUACAUAUGUGGUAGGGGAAAUGGCCAGUCUUCUGGUGUGUCCGGCUAGUCAUUCUUCGGCUACGGGUAACCACCGGUUGUGCUAGCCGCCGCCUUCUCCGGCUGAGCAGUCUUUGGCGGAGCAUAAGUGUCAGCUGUGCUAGCUGCCGGUGUCUCCGGCUGAGCAUUCUUCGGUGCAGUGUAACUAUCGGAUGUGACGGUCGCCGCGAUCUCCUCCUUCUUCGGCUCUUCCUUCUUCGGCUCCUCCUUCUUCGCCUCCUCCUUUGGCUUGGUGUAUUCUUUAGGUUUCAUAGCCAUGACCUCCUCCUUUGGCUUCUCCUUCUUGGGUGUAUCUACUUUCUCUUUUGGUUUCUUCUCCGCACCACUGUAUCCAGAGGCGUCAUUCUUUCCUUUGGACUUCUUCUCAUUUUUACUUUUGGGUUUCUUCUCGAUGGUGGAAGACUGGGAGGGCUCACUCUUUCUUUUGGAUUUCUUCUCGGAGGCAACUUCAGAUUUCUUCUCCUUAGCAGCCUUGGUGCCACCUUCAGGUUUCUUCUCCUUGCCAGCAUAGCCAGAGGCACUUACUGGUUUCUUCUCUGCAUCAACAUUGUUGGGGCCGACAUCAGGUUUCUUUUUAGCACUGUCAUAGCCAGCGACGACUUCGGGUUUCGUC